rnacentral:lncRNA from 1 species
GGAAUGCAUUCAACCUUCGGUAUCCUCAAUGAUAAUACGGCUAACUGAGACAACGAAUUUAGUUCUUUUAGGCUUGCAUUCAUUCCUCCUGUGCUGUCACAUCCAACAACAUCCCAUCCAUCAAAUCUGCAACCCCCGAUCAACAGCUCUUCUAACUUCUUCAACCUUCCAAUCAAAUUCACAGGGAUCCUUCUUAGCCUGUAACAACCUGUCACAUCCAACAACCUUAACUCCUUGAGCUCUCCUAUUUCAUCAGGUAAUUCUUCAAUGGAUGAGCACCACAUAAGACCAAGUAUCUUAAGUCUCUGCAGCUUUCUCAACCAAAUGAGGUCCUUGCAAUUACACGAGAUCAACACCAACGAUUGAAGUUUCGUUGAGAGUUCAAGUGAUUGCAAUGACAAACACCCUCCCUUCAGAGACAAAACUUUAAUUUCUUUCAUCCCUUCAAAGAACCUCUGAGGAACAUUCAAACGAUUAUCCAGUUCUAAUAAUAGAACUUUGAGCUGUGGACAUACCAAUCCUUCAGGAAGUUCUGCUAGUUGAUUGCCCAUUAACGAAAUUGUUGUACAACCUUCAAAGCUUGUAUCGCUCAUUGGCCACUUCUCUAACCGUAAGCCAGCCUUUACCAUGAAUCCAUAUUCUUCUGAUGCUAUGUGAAUAGCAACAUCACGAACAAGGUCAUGCAUUUUCACAUGUUCUUCAGUUUCAGAGCCCAACACCAUGCAACAAUCUUUGAGGUUUUCGAUUGCCACAGAAACACGUUUCCUUGCAUCUUCAAUGGGCUCCGUGUCGUGAUGUAACCCAUAGUCAACUGCAUAUCUCGUCAAGUCCUGGAUUGGAAUGUCAUAGUCUUCUGGAAAUAAACAGCAUAGCACGAAACAUGACUUGGUUUCCUUGAGCUGCAAAUAAUCAUAGCUCAACUUAAGACAUGUAUAAGCAUUAUUUUUUUCGUCAAUUUGUUCCAUGCAAGCAAAUUUAGAUUCUUUGAGCUGUCUACACGCGAAUUCCCACUGAAGUGCAGAUUGAUCUCUUAGAGCCCUUCCCACUGUCACAAGUGCUAUGGGCAAGCCUUGACAUUCUCUCGCAACCUCCCUUGCCACUGUGUUCAAGGUAGGGUGCCCAUCAAGUAAAUCUGCAUUGAUUCUGAAUAAAUCCCAUGCUUCUUUUUCAGGUAAUUCUCUUAAGAACACCUUUUGCUGGCAUUUCAUAGAAGAACAUACAUUUGUACGACGUGUUGUUAGAAGUAUUUUACAACCCCUGUGAUCAUCACCAAAUGGGAUCCCUAUCUCUUUCAAGUCAAUAUCUUUCCAAACAUCAUCUAGGAUAAUAAGCAUCUUCUCCACUUGCUUCAGUCUCUUCCGUAAUAGAUCUGCUCUCCCUGGAUUAGUAUUCUUUUCUUUAAUAUUCAUCAGUUCUAACUUAUCUGCCAUUAGGUGCUGAAUGUCUUUGACAAUUGGAUUCUGCGACACCGUAGCAAUCAAAACUUCAUCAAAAAGCUGCGACUCUCUGGCUAUCGUGCCUACUUCUUUCACCAGGGUGGUUUUGCCCACCCCUCCCAUGCCGUACAGUCCGAUCAUAUUGACAUUGUCAUCUUUGAGAGCUUCCAUAAUCUGUUUGAAAGCUUCUUCUGACGAUUUUGAGGGCGUGAAUUCCUUUGAUGGAAGAAAUUCUAUGGGCUCAGGAUGAGCUCUGUGGGACACUUUUGUAGACUUUUUUUCUAAAAGUUCUCUGAAAGUCUCCGACUUCUUGGCCAGUGCCUUGCUUAACUUGAAUUGUCGCAUGCAGUUUGGACACCAAGUGAAGCAUUUGCCAUUUUUUCCUAUUUCAUUUUCCAAGGGUUUCGCAUCUUCAAUUUCGUUGUUUGCAUCUCCCAGCCACUUUUUGACAUCUUCGUAAAUUUCUUCAGCAUUCCUGUCAGCAGCUUUGACAUCGUCUUGCAGACGUUCUUUUUCCGAAACCAGCUGCUCCUUCUUUUGUUUGAAUUCCUUAACAAAAUCGUUGAAACAGAACAUGUAACGCAACUGCCUUCCUACUGGUUCCACCAUGAGUUCUGCAAUCUUAGAUAUAAUGGAUCCACCCACACUUUCGAUAGCCAUUUUCCACCGACCUGAAAAUCAGAGAAAUAAGGAUACACAGAACGUGAGAGUGAGUCACUACAAGUAAAACAGGCGCAGAGAGAAUGGGAAUAGGAAUUUCAUUACCUUAACUUGAGAAAAUAUGUGCGAAAAGCACUGGUACUGAUUGCUCAAUGAAAUGGAGAAGGCCUUUAGCUCUGUAUGGAAUCCAGCUUCAAAAGCAACAAGGCAAGGUAUAAGGAUUCUACUGACACUUGUGAGUUAAAGCAGUAAUUCCCAUUAAAAAUGCAUUUUGAUGACAUAAUUAAGAUCAUAUAGAGACAGUGACAAACAAAAAAGAAAGAAACGAGUGAAAGGUCCAGGAUAAUCACUCAGCCCGCUUCCAACCACAAAUAUAAUUAACUAAUCUAAGCUAUGAUCGGUCAAAGUCAAAGUUUUUUUUAGUUUUAUUCUUUUUUUAAAUAAAAAAAACAGGAAAAGACUUGCAAAGAAAUAGAAUUACUGGAAUGAACACAAUAAAGGAUGAAGCUCAAGCAAUUAAAAAUAAAUUAUCUAUGAUGAUCAUCUGUUUGUCACACUCAAUGAAGUAACAUGAUUGACCUUUUACAAUAUUAAAUAAAUAAAUAAAUAAAAGCUAAAAGAACUAGGUUUUUGGUGGCAUCCAGAUUGCGGUUACUUUCUUCAUCCUUCUUUUGUGGUUUUAUUUUAUUUCAGUCCUUCAAAUCUUUUUCUUUUGCUAUUUCAUCGAGUUGCUUUGCUCGAGUUGAUGUGCUUGCCCUAGAAUAUGCAUCAUGCUAGGGAUUACAAUUACAUUACAUAAGAAAUUAUACUUACAGAUUAUAAUUAAAAAUUUCAGUUUUUUUUUAAAAACAAAUUUAUGAGAGAGUACCAAUUUACAACGUGAGUAAAUGAAAGGAGAAUUUUAAAUCUUUUUGUGACAUGGUGACCAGCUGAUCCAAGUAACCAAUAGAUUAUCACCACUUGUUCAACCUAUCUGCACAUUAAGAUAGGGGUAGUCAUAACUAUGACUAGGAGUGAGCAAAAAAACCGAAAAACCGAUUUAACCAAGAAAACCAGAAAAAAAUUAACCGAAAAAACCGAACCGGUAAAAAAAACCGAUUGAACUGGUUAAAAUAUUUAGGAAAAUGUCCGGUUCGGCUUCCGGUUUUGGUGUGCCUAAACCAGCCAACCCGAACCGAACCGAACCGGUUCGGUUUAGGAAUGAAAAAAAAAUAUAAACCAAGCGGGUCGCCUCCUCCCAUUACUUUCCCUUUCAACAACCCUAGCAGACCAUUUAUUUGUUUUCCCUUUCACACAGCCGCCCCCUCCCCUCCAACCCUUUCAAUCUUCAUUCACACUUCACAGACAUAGCCGCCCCCUUCAAUCACCCCUACUCCCAUUAACAGCCGCUCCCUCCCAUUAACAGCCGCCUCCUCUUCACCAGUCAACGAGCUUAGGCUAUUCUCGGACAACCAUUCUUCGAAUCUCGAAAGAAACCGCCGUGCGUGUGAGGUGGCGAAACUGUUACCGCUUCUAGAUCUUCUUCAAUCUAUUGCUUCUAUCAAAGCCGAUUACAUCGCUCAGGUAAUCUUGUCAUGUAAUUACAUAUUUAAUUAAUUAUUGCUUGUUGAUUUUAUAUUGUUUCUAUUUUUCAAUUUUGAUGUGUUAAUUAUUUUGAACAAUGUAAAAAUAAAGGUGGACGAAAGAACACAAUUUGGAAAGGAAAUUGGAAUCGUUGUCCCUGUCUCAGAUUCUCAAAAGACAAUCAAUCGCAAACAGUAUGUCCUCCAUUUUUUUUUCUUCUUUUCUUUCUCACUGGUAGAUUGGAAUUUGAAACUGCCAACAAAAGUUUGUAUUCGAAGUUAGCUUUUUGAAAAUUGACCCUAUUAUAUAUUUACUGUGGCUUAAGCUUUGAGAUAUUGCAUGAUUAUGAAUUAGUUUAUAUGAGUUGAAACUUGAAACAUAGUCUGACAAGGAUGGAUUAACCAAUUGCUGGGAAAAUAGUUUUCAAAUCUCUUUGAAAAAUGUCUGAUGCUGCGACAUAAGUCACAUAACAGACUCGAUUUGAAGGGAAUCUUUGAGAUAUUGCAUGAUUAUGAAUUGGUUUAUAGAAAUUUGCUGGAUUGAUUUUUUUUCUUUUUCUUUUUUAAAAGGGAAUUUAAUUAAAAUACAUUUUUUUCAUCUACUUUUUAAGUUUAAAUCUUAGAAUUAAUAUCCAAAAAAUUUCACCUUUGCUCGCUAAAAUAUAAUUUUAAUCUUAACAAAAAACUAUAUCUUAAAAUUGACUGUGUUGCUAUCCAACUAAGAAAUUGACUCAAGUGGCUUAGUGAUAUAUAGUGGGGACAUUCUAUUUUAGACAUGCAGCUUGUUGCCUUGUUCUACUUUAUUCUAUAAUCUAUUUGAGAAAAAUGUUGUUUAUUUCUUCUAGACACUUUAGUCUUCCAAAUUUCAGUUGUAACCAGCAAGCAUAGAGGUUAUGAUAGAGGUUAUGUAUUGGGAAGAUGAACUAUCUUUUUAUUUGCAGUGGCUGUGAAACUCUCUUUCUGUGUGUCUCUGUCUCGUGUGCGUGUGUAUAUAUGCACCUGUAAUUCUUGCUUCUCUCCAGUUCCUUUCGUUUGCAAGUUACUGUUGCUAGAGUAGGUGCAACUAGUUCUUUCCUCUACAAGUCGGGUUUGGUAAGAUUGAUUAUAAAGAAAAAGGUAUUGGUAAUGCACAAUUUGAUUUUAGUGUUGAUGUUAAGUGUGGCUUGUUUUAUGAUGGAUAAUUAUGUUGACAAUAUUGGGCUUCAUGAAUGAUGAUGCCAGUUUAUUUAUGGUCUUAAUAAGCUAUAUUACUGCUGGAUUUGUGCUCUUUAUUUAUAUGGCAAAUUCUUAUUCAAAUCUUUGAUAUUUAUCGCUAAUGAAACUUCAAUCUUGCCUCAAGUUGUCGACCAAGUCAAAAUUCCUCCUACAAGUAUACAAUAUUGUUUUAUUAUAAUGUUAUAAUGUUAUCGCUAAUGAAACUUCAAUCUUGCCUCAGGUGCUCUUUAUUAUUAUAUUGAUAUUAAAAAUAAUUUUAAAAAAUAAAAAAAAUAUUAUUUUAAAAUAUUUUUAAAAUAAAAAAUAUUUUAAAAAACAACUAUUUAUUCAAGGACUUAAAAUAAAAACCUUAAAAUCACGGCAUGAUAAAAGGAGGAAGAAAGGAAUGGGACAAAGAAGGAAGAAAAUAAGGUCAUGUAGGGGGCCAGUCUUGUAUAAAAUAGAAGAUGAAAAUUAGUAUGAAAAAGAGGCUAUUUGUUUUUUUACUGUGUCAGAGUGGUUUUUAUAAUUAUAUUCAAUUUAUUAAAAUAUUAAAUUAAUAUAUUUUUAAAUGUUUCUUGUUAUUAUAUAUAUAUAUAUAUAUAUAUAUAUAUAUAUAUAUAUAUAUAUAUAUUCUAAUAUGUUUUUAAAUAAAAAAUUAUUUUAAAAAAAUAUGUGUCACAAUACUAAAUUAUAGUAUAAAUUAAAAUAUAAAAGAGUUCUCUGUUUAUUACUAUUUACCGAGACUUAUUUUAUUGUAGAUAUUAAUAGUGAAUUUUUUUAAAAUUUUUAAUUUGGUAUUUGAAUUAUUUUUUUUUCAUAAUUAAAUAUCUUUAUACCCAAAUUAAAACUCAAUUGCAUUUUGUUUUUUAAGAAUAAGAGUUGAAUUCAAAGAUAAAUGCCUGUAAUGAAAAACUCUGUAAAAAUAUGCGGCAACAUUGUAAUUGUUUGCAAAGUUCAUUUUAGUCCCUUAUCUUUUUGAGCUACUAAGUAACAUGUCCCUAUAAUUUCUCAACAUUACAUUUUAUCCAGAAUCUCGGAUUAUGCUUUAGGGACUAAACUGAAUUUUUUAUAAAUUGAGAGACCAAACUGAAAUUUUAUCAUCUUCAAUCUCAAAUCUAAAAUUUUCACAUAUCACCUACUGAUAUAACAAGAUUUCUAACUCAAAUUCACCAUUUAAACAAACCAUAACUCAAAAUCAUCAUUUUUACUUAAAAUCUUUCAAAAUCAACUAAAUAACUCAUUAUUCAUAACAAUCAAUACAUAAUAUUCAAAUCAAUUCAUCAAUCAAACCCAAAACACAAUAUUCAAAACCCUCAUAUUCAACAAAACAAAAAAUUAAAGCUAAGAAAAACACAUUUAUACACAUCAAAGCGUAAAUAUUCUUAUCUUUUAAUUUAUUUUCUCUAACUAUCUUAUCCUUUCUUUAUCUUUUCCUCUUUUCUCUUUUUCUUCUUUCACUCUCACGGUUUUUUCUCUAAGAAUUCAAAUCUCUCUUUUUUUUUUCUAUUUAUAUUUAUGAACUAUUUGUUCAAUUACUACAAUACCGUUCAUUUAUUUAUACCUACUUCUAAGCCUCCAUGAGUUUUGUUGUCUUUUUCUAUUCUCUUUUAUUUCCAAAUCAUCACAAUAAAAUUGUUUUCUUUUUAUUUAGCUGCUAAUUUAUGCAGCUUUAGCUCUUGUUCUCUUUUCAUGUUUAGCAACUCUGAUCUGUUCCUUUCUUUACAUGAUAUAAGAGCAGGUUCUUACCUCUUGAAGUCUGCUGGAUAAACCUAUCAGCAGAAGAUCCUGAAGCGAUCCCAAAUCACAGCUUCAAUCCCCACCACAACCAAUCUCCUCUUUCCCGUAGUCUGUCGUCCUCAAUUGGGAAAUGAUCUCAAAAAAUCACUUGAUGCAACAAGUAGGGUAGAGAAAUAUAAGACUUCAACAAAGAAUCAAACUCAAAAAAAUAAAAGUAAUUGUCUAUGAGAAGCAUUUCUGUGUCACACACUCAAGUAAUAUGAUUGACCUAUUACAUUAUACAAAAUAAUAAUAAUAAUAAUAAUAAUAAUAAUAAUAAUAAUAAUAAUAAUAAUAAAAGAACUAGGUUUUUGAUGGCAUCCAGAGUGCUGUUACUUUCAAACAAAGAGGCUUGUGCAUGCGGUGUUACGCUGUUCAUGUAGGCUAAGAUAUCCUAUGAAUACAAUUGUAAAAUCAUACAAUUGUAUUCUUUUUAUUAAGCUGCUAAUUUAUGCAGCUUUAGCUCAUGUUCUCUCUUCUUGUCUUGCUAUUCUGAUUUUAUCUUUUUCUUUGCAUGAUAUAAGAGCAGGUUCUUACCUCUUGAAGUCUGCUUCAAUCCCCGUAGUCUUCCGUCCUCAAUUGGGAAAUGAUCCAAAAUCAACAACCGGUUCGGAGAUAGUUUGAGUGAAAAGAAACGGCUGAAAGAUGAAAUGUGAAGGUUAUGGUGAGAAAUUAGAUGACAAACUUACUUUGUCCUCCUAAUGCUUUUGCUUUCAUUGUUUCGAAAGUAAAAGAGACAUAAACAUAAUCAGUGUGUUUUCUGUUUAGCAAUAGCUAGAAAGGUAUCUGCUUAAAAAGACCAUUGAACAAGGGAUGACCCAUUCAGCAAGGGAUUCUGCUAGGAAAACAUGAAAUUGUUCUUCUAUUUGAUAUUUGUUUCAAUCUUCUAAACAAAUAGUACAGCAUCAAGUCUCAGUCACCUAUUCACGAAAUUGUUGUAUUUCUAAUGACUAUGCUAAUAAAAAAGUUGAGCCAGCAUGACACAUGAAAUUCAAAAAUAACAAAAUAACAUGAGAAAAUAAAUAUUUAUAUUAUAAUUAUGCAUCUUAAAAAAUCACUUGAUGCAACAAAUAGGAUAGACUUCUAGGAAAUUCUUUCACUGUAAAAUGGCUGAAGGUUCUUUUAUGAACAUUUAUAUUAAAAAAUUGGGUCAAUUGAUCUUUGUUAUUUAACAUGAAUAAAGUGUUGAUUUAGUCUUGUAGUUAUUAUAUCAAAGUUUUUAUUAGUUUAUGCACGAUCCCUUAUUUUACUUGCUUUAUUUUUUUUAAACCCAGCUUAGUUUCAAUCUCGAAUCUAUCGGGUCCCACUACCAGAUAUUCGCUAAAUACCAACGGAUUUACCGACGAAAUAUUUUCUGUCGGUAUUUUGAGGUCGAAAUUACCGACGGCCACUUUCCGUCCGUAAUUCAGUCGGUAAAAACCGACAAAAACUUUUCCGUCCGUAAUUCAGUCGGUAAAUACCGAUGGAAAUUUUCCGUCGGCAUUUACCGACUGAAUUACGGACGGAAAAGUUUCUGAAUUUUAAAAAAGGCGGGUCGCUGACGUGGAGGUUUUGGCGGGUUUUUUUUUUCCGACGGAAUCACCAACGGAUUCAAAAACGACUGCCCGUACAGUGCCCGUAAAGUGAUGUGACCGGUUCACCGUUUAAAUUUCCGACGGACUCACCGAGGGAUUUGAAAUGGCAGAUCCGUACGGUGACAUGUCUAUGUUUCCGUCAGAAUCACCGGCAUAAUAACCGACGGAGUGUCCGUCGGUAAAACCGUCGGAAAAAGUUAAUAUAUGACAGCUCUGCCGACCCUCUCAUCCCCUAUUUCUCCUUCUUCUUCCUCAUCCCAACUCUCCCCAUCUGCAAACAACCAGCCCCCCCUCCCCCCUAAAAAAAAAAAAUCUUCCUCAUAUCAGCACAAGAAGUUAUAUUUCUUGAAGUUUUGUGGUCACGGCAUCCGCGCGUGUUCUGAUUUAUCGACGGAUUUUAUCAAUUUUUGUAAGUAAUUAUAUCUUUUUAAAUUUUAACAUUUAAUUAAAUGUCAAUUUUAUUGUUUUUUUAGUAUAUGUAUUUUGUUAGUAGAUGUACAUGUUUUAUUGUUAUUUCUCAAACAAACUUGUAGUAUAUGAAUGUAUAAUUUUGUACCUGUUAUGGUUUGUUUUAGAUUUUGUAAGAUUGUAUUUGUUUGUAAAUUAUUAUUUCUUUAUGGAAUUACCGAAUUACAUGUGCUAUUUUGAAAUAAUUAAUAGCUUGGUUAAUGGGCCCGUUUAAAGUUUUAUCAAUGGUAUUGUGGAGUGGUAAUUUCUGUAAAUUUAUAUUUUUUAAUUCGUAUGGACGUUGAUAAAUGAUAAUGAAUAUUUAAUAUUUAUGAGAAGUUGUGAUUGGUUUGUUGGAUAAUCUCGAGUUAAAGUAAUAUUUGUACAAGUUUAUUUACCUAACUUAGUUAAUUAAUACAUGAUGUCAUCAUAAUUUUAUAGAGGUUCGAUAUAAGUCAUGGAUGAUCGUUCAUGGAUGUAUCGAGAUUCACCCCAAGGAUUGCGGAGGAUGGAUUAUUGUAAUGGGGUUCAGGGUUUUAUUAAUUUCGUAACAUUUAUUCCCAGAAAUUUUACUGGAGGCGGUAUUAGGUGUCCAUGCAGGAAGUGUGAAAAUAAAAAGUAUUUGCAUCCAGAUGUUGUAAUGAUACAUCUUCUACACAAAGGGUUUAUGGAGAAUUACCAGUGUUGGUAUGCACAUGGAGAAGUAUUUGUUAGCGAGAGUGAGAGGAGAAUGGAAGAAACGGUGGUUGGGUCUACUUCUAGUGCUAGUAACGUGCAUGAAACGGCAAAUGACAACACUAAUCCUUACAGAAAUAUGGUUAUGGAUGCAAUGAGAAUGAAUCAAGGUAAUGGCAGUCAAUGUCCAAUCGUAGAAGAAGAACCUAAUGUAGAUGCAGCUAGGUUUUUUGAUUUGUUGAAAGAUUCUGACGAACCAUUAUGGGAUGGCUGCACGAACCACAGUAAAUUAUCGGCUGUAGCACAGGUGUUCACCAUCAAGUCAGAUCACGGGUUGAGUGAGGCCGGGUAUGACAAGAUUAUUGAAUGGGCAAGAAGCAUUUUACCUGAAGGGAACAGGCUGAAAGAGAACUUAUAUGCUGCGAAGUUCAUGAUGAAACCCCUCGGUUUAGGAUACCAGAAAAUUGACAUGUGCCCUAACUUCUGCAUGUUAUACUACCUUGAAAAUGCUGAGAUGACUGAGUGCAUGACAUGCGGGCAUUCCCGUUACAAACCUAGAACUGGCAGGGGAAAGACUCUAGUGGCAUAUAAAAAACUUAGAUACUUCCCGAUCACACCUAGACUGCAGAGGUUAUUCAUGUCACCAAGGACUGCUGAGCACAUGACAUGGCACCAAGCACACCAUGCGGUUGAUGGAGUGAUGGUUCAUCCUUCUGACGGCGAAGCGUGGAAACGCUUUAACAGUGUUCAUCCUCACUUUUCAGCUGAAUCAAGGAAUGUGCGUCUUGGGUUGUGUACAGACGGAUUCAACCCAUUUGGGUCAUUUGCUGCUCCUUAUUCUUGUUGGCCGGUCAUACUCACAGUUUAUAACUUGCCACCGGGAAUGUGUAUGAGGCCGGAGUUCAUGUUUUUAUCUAUUGUCAUACCCGGUCCAAGAAGCCCGGGGCGGAAUAUAGAUGUUUGUCUUCGACCGUUGAUUGAUGAGUUGACGCAGUUGUGGUCCUCCGGAGCUCUGACUUAUGAUAUAUCGAGGAAACAAAAUUUCCUUAUGAGGGCGGCAUUGAUGUGGACUAUCAAUGAUUUUCCAGCUUAUGGAAUGCUUUCUGGUUGGAGCACGCAUGGGAAACUCGCAUGUCCAUAUUGCAUGGAAAACAACAAGGCAUUCACGCUAGCAAAUGGAGGUAAAGCUUCUUUUUUUGACUGUCACCGUCGCUUCUUGCCACUUCAUCACAGGUACAGAAAGAACAGAAAAGAUUUCUUUGCUGGCAGAGUUGAAAAAGAUGUUGCAUCCCCGCGUCUUUCUGGUGAAGAAUUGCAUGAUGUUGUCUUAGAGUACGGUGACAUUGUGUUUGGCCUUCAAUCAGGAAAGCAAAAGUUUCCUGGUUUUGGUUUGACCCAUAAUUGGGUAAAGCGAAGUAUCUUUUUUGAGCUUCCUUAUUGGAAGACCAAUCUGCUUCGCCAUAACCUUGACGUCAUGCACAUCGAAAAGAACAUGUUUGAGAAUAUUUUCAACACCGUCAUGGAUGUGAAGGGGAAGACAAAGGACAACAUCAAGGCUAGAUUGGAUAUAGCUUUAUACUGUAACCGAAAAAAUAUGGAGUUGGUUUAUGAUGAGUCACGGGUCGCAAAACCAAAAGCAAGCUUCGUGUUAGAGAAAAACGCACAACUGCUAGUCUACAAAUGGCUUAAGAGUCUGCGUUUUCCGGAUGGACAUGCAUCGAACAUAUCAAGGUUGGUUAAUAUAGAGGACUGCAGAUUGUAUGGAAUGAAGAGUCAUGACUGCCACGUGUUUAUGCAAACACUCAUCACAUUAGCUUUUCGUGAUUUGUUGCCAAAGGGAAUAUGGGAUGCACUCACGGAGAUCAGUCAUUUCUUCAGAGAUAUAUGCUCCAGCAAGUUGAAUGUUGAUCACAUUGAGAGGCUUCAAACGAAUAUCGUCGAGACACUGUGCAAACUUGAGAUGAUAUUCCCUCCAUCAUUUUUUGACUCAAUGGAGCAUCUCCAUAUACAUCUAUCGUUCGAGGCAAAAGCUGGAGGACCGGUCCAAUAUAGAUGGAUGUACCCAUUCGAACGGUUAGAUAUUACAGUUGCAAUGUAAUUCAUAUAUAAAAGUAUUUUAUAUGUUUUUCUUAAUUGAAAAUACUUGAUUAAUAUUUCAGGUGCGGUCGCAGCUAGUUCGUCUAGCAGCGAGGAUGAUAUUUCCUUAGGUGCCUCUCAAGAAGAGGCACCUACACCACCUGCGCCGUCAACCGAUGCUGCCUCUUCCAGCGGUACUUCACAGCGCAGAGGCGGCGUGCCUUCGCAGCGGAAUCAAUUUACCCGCAAGUACGAGGCACAGUGGAAGGACGACCUUUCAAUGUAAGUUUGUUAAGGUUUUAGUUUUUUUUAAAAAAAAUUACAACAUAAUUUAUCAAGUAAUCACUAUUGAAUUUAUUUCAUUUAUUUUCAGGUUCACAAACAUUGAAGUCGCCCGAGUAAUAUCAUCGGCGUUUAAAUCGUCGAUGGAGAUUCCAUUGUUUCAAUGGAGUCAGAUAUCCAAGCAUCCUGAAUGGAUGCCUCAAAUCAAUGCAUGGUUUAACAGGUUUGAGGUUGGUAUUAAUUUAUAAUUUUCAGCUUAUUAAUAUAAUUGUAUUAUUUUUAUUUAAACUUGUUUAUUUAUACAAAGCACAAAUUCUGCUAGGACAUUGAGCAUAACGCUGUUGUGAGGAGGGUGUGGGAAAAUCACGCGGCAACUAGGUAAGAUCGAAAACAAUACAUGAUUUUUUUUAGACAAAAAUUUAUGUUUCGAAAUGUAAUUUUUGGUUGCGUGAAGCAGGUUGCGUGAUUUUUGGUAUGAAGCACAGAAAAAGGCAAAAAAAACCGCGAGGGAUAGGGGUUUCCAAGGCUGGAACGAUGUUGCGGUUUGGAGGGAUUUCAAACUGAUAUACAUCCCGGAAGAUAUAUGGCCGCACUAUCUUGAGCACGUGACGUCUGAGCAGUUCACACGACGCUCACAGUCCGGUGCUGGCAACCGGAAUCGACCAAUUCAUGGCGGGGUGAGAACUCACACUGGCAGCUCCGUUCCGUUUGCUGCACAUGCGAAACGGAUGGUAAGAUUAAUUUAAAUGAAAUAUAUCGUUAAAUUCAGUUGUUGUUAAUAUAUCUUUUUUCAUUAUAGGCUGCGUCUCUUGGACGUGAGCCGAGCCCGAUGGAGCUGUUUGUGGAGACGCACGUGCGGAGUCAAGACCGCCAGAAGGGGGCGCAACAGUUCGUUGAUAACCGUGCUCAGCAUUUCGUGGUAUGUUUGUUCAACCAUUUUAUUUUCUAAGUUAUUAUGUUUAUUGUAUUGAAUAUGAUGAUUACUUUUUUUAUUUUAUUUUCAGGAGACCUAUAAUAAUCGGUUGAGGGAGAGAUACGGGGACGAUACUUUGACCCAUCCGGAAUUCGAUCCGGAUUUGUGGAUGGAGGUUGGCUCGUCAGGUGGACCAGAUAAAAAUCGGGUUUACAGCCUCUCCAACACUACGGCCGACAACUUGCGGUCGACCCAUAGUGUUUCAACCGUUGGGAACUCCCAAUCAAUAGCGAGCUCCCAAUCUAAGGAGUUUGUGGCUUUGCAGCAACUCAACGAGAAAUACGACAACCUACAAGCGGAGUACGCACAACUCAAAGCAUCUCAUGCACAACAAAGAGCGGAGUCUGAGCAAUUCAAAGCGUCUCAAGCACAACAAAAAGCGGAGUAUGAAGCGGCUCAUGAACAGCAAAAAGCGGCUUAUGACCAGCUUUACGAAAUGAUUAUGAAAUUGUCAAAUAGCGGAACAUGUGCGCCUAAUCCUUUUUGGCCGUAUAACCACCAGCCUCCGCCCGGAUCUCCUCCUCCUCCUCAAGCUCCAUCAUCUUUAUAUUAAUUUGUAAUCAACAUUAUUUACCUUUAAAACUUCAUUUAUUAUUUUUCUUGAAACAUAUUCAGUUUGUAAUGAAUAUUAUUUAACUUUUUUUUUUUAUGUUUAAUAAAAAUUUUAUUUGCAUAAUUGGUUUGUAUAACAAUUAAUUUAUAUAGUUUUAUAUUAUAUAUCCUAAAUAAUUUUUUAAAAACAAAUUAAGAAAAAAACUAUUACCAAGGAUUUUACCGACGGAUGAAUUCGGUCGGUAUUUUAAACUUUCACCGACAAACUUACCGACGGAAUUAAUCCGUCGCCAUUUAACAGUAGCUUCCACCAGUACCGACGAAUUUACAGACGAAAAUAUUCCGUCGGUAUUUCAUACAUUCACCGACCGAUAUCACGACGGAUAUUUUCCGUCGGUAAUUUCAAUUUCACCGACGGAAUGAAAAUCCGUCGGUAUAUUUCAAGCGGGAAUCUUUUUUUUUUGGCGCGCACGUUCCGUCUGUAAAACCGUCGGUAAAUGAUUUUUUUGUUUUUCCGACUGAUAUACCGACGGAAUGAGGAAUCACCGACGAAGGUAAAGCCGACAGACGUAUUCCGUCGGUAAAAAAAUCACCGACGAACUUCUAAUCACACACCGACGGAAUUUUGCCGCCGGUAAAACUGUGAAAUCUUGUAGUGUCCUGGAUCGACCCAUAAAGCCAAACCAAGUUUUAAAACUAUGUUAUCUUAGCAAAUUUAAUUAUCCCAAUUCUUAAUUUUCAAUUGAAAAUGCUAAAGAAUUCCCCACUGGGAGCAAAUAAUAAUAUGUUAAGCAUGACAAAUUUUAUUUAAAUUAAAAAGCCAAAAAUGAACGCAUCUACUCUUGCAAGAAUGGACUCAAAAGUUCAGCUAGUCCGCAUAAUUAAAUAGUACUGUUACUGUAAACUACUAGGAAAUUCAUGGGUAGAGCCAAAAUGUUAACAAUAGCAUUGAUUCGGUCAGGGGCUCUGGUGUAUAGAGAGGACCUUGCCGUUAGAAACUAUGGAGCCCACUAUUUAUUAAUCCAUUUUUAUUUACUACUUAUUACUAUUUAAUUAUUUUUAUUUACUAUAUUUUUGUUUGUGAUACCCAGUACCAAUAAAAUUUGAGAUUCCUUCAAUUUUUUAGGUGCAUGCAAGUCUAAUGGCUUCAUGUACAAAAGCAAUUCAAGGGUGUGUAUCCUUAACUAUCAGGCUAACCUUUACAGGCUUCGCUAGCAAUCAAUAAUUAUUUUUUAAUGAAUUCAUUUUUUAUUUAAAAUAAGGAAAAGGACAUUGGUGAAUAAAUUGUUUCCUUCCUAUUAUAAUUGUUAGACCUUACCAAAGGGCUAAUUUAGAAAAAGAUUAUAACUUAUAGGUCACCAGGGCCGAGGUCAACUUGUAAUUAAGUAGAUCAAUUUAAAUUAAUUGUUUUUAUUUAAAUGAUAAUGUUUUGUUUUUUUUUCUUGAUAUUAAUUUGGCUAAUUUUUAUCAAAUCAAAUCACUAAAAACUUAACCAAAACAAAUUUCAUCAAAUCAAUAAUAUUUUAUGUAGUUGAAUUAAAAAUUCAAUUCAAUUCUAGCUCUGAACCCUGAUUAAGCAUACAGGUUUAAAAAAUAUGCAUCUCACUUGCAGCUGUGGUUUGCUGCGGGCAUUUGGUAAUUGGGAGAGGCUUUAGUUUCGUACCUGUUGAUCUGCUUCAUAUACACUUGGACCUCUUAUUUUAUUUUAUAUUGGUUGGAUCCAAACUUAAUCCAAUACAAAAUUAACAUAUUUAUUAUUUAUUUAAGAUAAAUGAUAUGGCUUUAACAUAUUAGCGUACACUUAAUAUGAUUAAAUUUAAUUUAAUUAAUUAACAUCUCACCGCAAUAAAUUUUACCAUUUGCAACCAUAAACAGUUGACACCUUAUUAAUAUAAUCAAUAUAGUAGAAAAAUUAUAGUGAUUUAAAACAAUUCAUUAAAAUGUUCGUAAAUGUUUUUAUUUUGUGAUGAUGGUUUUCGUGUUAUCUUUUAUGUAUUGUCGCUACCGUACAUGAACGCCUGACAUGAGGGUUAUUUGAAAUCAUUAUCUAGUUAUUUAGUUUAAGGUCACUAAGAAACCUAUAAAUACUAGUCUUGUUAGAGAUUUGAGAGUAAAUGACUAGUUGUGGCUAAAGAAUGUAUUAACACUCUUAAUGCACCCUACCCAAGUAAAUUAUUUUGUGAUUAAACGUGGUUUAGAGAUUUUGAUGAUUUUCUGAUAUAUCUAUAGUUUAGGAUUGGGAUUUGCUUGUAUGAAUAAAUUUGGUGUUUAAUAAUUUAUCAUGGAUUCUUGUACCCAGAUAAAUUCUUAGAAAAAAAAGUUCUUCAUAAUUUGUGUACGUAUUACGGUAAAAAUUACUCUCAAUAAAAAUUCAUGAAUAUUUAGAAUAACUUUGAGGAUUUUCUAAUCAACUUCAAUAUUUCAAAUAUCAGCCUCACUUAUAGGUAUAGCGUUUUAUAUCAAUAUUUUUAACCAUUAAUUCUCAUUAAUUAAAAAAUAGUGGUUUAUUAAAAUAUUGACCAAAUUCACAUGAAUUUAAUAAACUAGUUAUUAAAUUUUAAAAUGCAUAUACAUAUAUAAUAUUUUAAUUUGUUUUUAAAUAAAGAAUAUUUUUAAAAAGCAUGUGCCAUAAUACCAAAUUAUAGAAUAAAUUAAAAGAGAAAGGAGUUUUCUCUUCAUCACUAUUCACUUAUAUUCAUUUUACUAUGGAUAUUAAUAGUGAAUUUUUUGAAAAUUUCCAAUUUGGUACUCAAUUAUUUUUUUUUCACAAUUGAGCUCUUUUAAAUCCAAAUUAAAGCUUAAUUGCAUAUUUUUUCAAGGAUGAGGGUUGAAUUGAAAAACAUAGGACUGAAGUGAAAAACUCGAAUAAAAUAAGUUGUGGUUUUGCAAUUUGUUUGCAAGUUCAUUUUAGUCCCUAUAAUUUUUUAUCAUUGUAUUUUGAUACCAAACUUUAUUUUCUUCUGUUUUUAGUUUUUUUGUGUAAGAGAGAGAGAGAGAGGAUCACCAUAUUUUGUUUUAGAGAGAAAAAGUUAUUUUUAAGGAUUGUGACCACCAAAACAAUUGAUUUUUGUGUUAAAUUGUUAUGUCUUAAUUCAACAAGGUUCCUUGAAUGUUUUCUAGGUGUUUUGGGUUAAAAUGGGUUGAAGACAGGUUUUAGGUUAUAAUUAGGUUUUUUACCAAAUUGAUCAAAUUUUUUUAAAAAAAAAAACAAAUCAAGAAGAGAAAAAGACUUGUAAAAAAGUAGAAUUACUGAAGGAAGCUCAACAAAGAAUCAAACUCAUGCAAUUAAAAAUAAUUGUCUAUGAUGACCAUCUCUGUAUCACACAUUCAGGAAAUAUGAUUGACCUAUAACAAUAUUAAAAAAAACAAAAAAAAAAUAAGCUAAUAGAUGGUCGCCACGUGUUCAACUUUAUCUAACCUUAGCAAAGGAUAGAAAGUGGGAGAGAGAGAGAGAGGUUAAAAGGAUUAAGAAAAAGAAAAAAGGAAAGGCAGAAACGGAAGAAGACAUUGAAAGAAAGAAAAAAACGAUAAGUUAUUUAACGUCUUUUUAGGGGGGGAAAAAAAAGCUUGUAACACCGUGCAGACCAAACAGAAGAGACAUCUGUUUAUUUAAAGAAAAAAAAAAUAUAUAUAUAUAUAUAUAAAUACUCUCUCUUCCAAUUUCCUCUCCCAGCUGAAUUUCGGCGACCGCCCACACAACGAUAGCCUACACAACCACCAGCCAUGCCACCUUUCAAGACCCCAUCUCUCAACCUCAAAACCAAAAACAACUCUUUCUCCAUUUAUCCGAACCUCAUAACUCCAGGAAGGUGAAGGACUAAACCAUAGUGGCAAAAAUCUUAAAGGGUUCUAAAUUGUCUGUUACUUUCCCUUAAUUUUCUAGACAAGCAAAAGGAGCUAAACUUAUUCCCGACCAAAACGUCAAGAAUUUCAGUAGAACAAAAGAAGAGAUCAUUACUUGACCAAAAACAACUAGUCAGCACCCAAAGAAACCGAGUGAAUGAGAGAAAAUUAAAGAUUAAUAGCUAGAAAACAAUAAACAGAUCCAAGAAUUUUCUGUAUGGUUUCCAAGAAAAUGAAACGAAAUGAGCAGCACAACCCUCUUUCUCCUCCAAGAAAAGAAAGAAAAAGAAAGGAAAGAAACAAAGAAAGUCAAACUUGGCUCCUCUUUUAGUGUUAAAAAAAAAAAGAAGUUAGAGGAAGUGGGCUGCCUUUUUUCUGCUGUUCAUGUGGUGUUCUGCUGUUCACGCAGACUAAGAACUCCUACCAUCGUAAAAUCAUACAAUUAAAACACAACAAUAAUAAAGUAAUAAGCAGCUAAUUAUGUGCGAAAACAAGAGAAAUAAGGAUACAGAACGUGAGAGUGAGUCACUACAAGUAAAAGAGGCGCUGAGAGAAUGGGAAUAGGAAUUUCAUUACCUAAACUUGAGAAAAUUGUGCGAAAAGCACUGGUACUGAUUGCUCAAUGAAAUGGAGAAGGCCUUUAGCUCUGUAUGGAAUCCAGCUUCAAAAGCAACGAGGCAAGGUAUAAGCAUUUUGAUGACAUAAUUAAGAUACUAUGCGUCGUAAUAUAGAGACGGUGACAAAGAAUUAAAGAAAAAUAACGUGUACAAGUACUCACCAAGCAAAGAAAGAAACGAAUGAAAGGUUCGGGAUAAUCACUUAGACGCCUCCAUGGAUGAUACCAGCUCGCUUCCAACAACAAAUAUAAUUAACCUAAGCUAUGAUCGGUCAAUGUUUUUUUUAGUUUUCUUCUUUUUUAUAUAUAAAAAAAACAGAUCAUCAAGGGAAAAGACUUGCAAAGAAGUAGAAUUAAUGGAACGAACACAACAAAGGAUCAAACUCAAGCAAUUAAAAGUAAUUGUCUAUGAGUACCAUCUGUGUCACGCACUCAAGUGAGGAGAGAAAAGAAGGAGAAAGAAAGGAAAGGGACAAGGAAGGAAGAAAGUAAGGUCACGUAGGGGCCAGUCUUGUAGAAAUUUUGAAAAGUAGCAUGAAAAAGAGGAUAAUAGAGUAGUUGUCAGAAUCAAAACACAUCUAAACAGAGGACAAAAACAGGGAGGGAGGCUGUUUGUUUUUUUAACUGUGCCUGAGUGAUUUUUAUAAUUACAUUUAAUUUAAAAAAUAUUAAAUUAAUAUAUAUUUUUAAUAUUUCUCGUUAUUACAUAUAUAUAUAUAUAAUAUUUAAUAUAUUUUUAAUUAAAUUUUUUUUAAAAAAAGUAUGUGUCACAAUACAAAAUUAUAGUAUAAAUUAAAAGAAAAAGGAGUUUUAUGCUCAUUACUAUCCACUAGACUUGUAGAUAUUAAUAAUAAAGUUUUUGAAAGUUUUCGAUCUAGUAUUUGAAAUUUUUUUUUUUUUGCAUAAUUGAAUUUAUUUAAGCUUAAUUGCAUAUUUUUUAAAAGGAAAUAGGUUGAAUUGAGAAACAGAGAAACUCGGCAAAAAUAUGUGGUUAAAAUCAAUCCUUUUUAAAAAAAAAAAAAAAAAACUCCUUAGUUGUUAAGGAAAGAUUGGUAGUGUGAACAAAUCACCAAAGUCAGCAGCAAGGAAGUUCCAGGAAGUGGGCAGCCUGUUUCAGGGCUACCUGUUUUUGAGAAUUAUGGAAAGUUAUCCCUAACUCAAAAACGGCACCAAUUAUAAGUUCAUUAAAAAAAAUCUGGAACACAACAGAUGGAAAAAACUCGAAACAACUUGUAUAGAAUUUAGGCAAGAAGAAUGAGCCAAGAUUUCAAGUGCAAUGAAAUUUGUCUCACUUUGUUUUUUUAUUUAAUGAUACAAGAUAUACCGUCCUAUUUCAAGGGUAAAAUAGAAUGGAAUAGACAACCUUUAAAGGGAGCAUAUACCACAUAUGUGUAGCUGGAAUUCGAUAGCCUUUCUCCAAUGCUGACAUGUGCUUUACAUGCAUGCACCAACAUUUCACAUCGGCAAGUGAGGAUUUGGUAGCUCAUCUUAUUAAUAGUGUUGGUUAAUGACUUGUCAGACGCGUUUUGAGGUCAUGCGUGGUCAUCAAAAACAAAUUUGUGAGGGCGAUAAGGUCCAAAAUGGACAAUAUUUGACAAGUUGGAUCGGACUAUGACAUUUGGUAUCAAAGCUGGCCUCACUAACUAUCCAGUUGUGCUGAUGGGGUCAUUGAGCUCCUUAAGGGGGUGAAUUGUAAUAUCUCACAUCGAUGAAUGAGGAUUUAGAAGCUGACCUUAUUAGUAGUGCUGGUUGCUAACUUGUCAGAUGCGUUUUGGGGUCAUGCGUGAUCACAAAAAACAAAUUCGUGAGGAUGAUAAGGCCCAAAACGGACAAUAUUUGGCAGGUUGGGUCAGGCUGUGACAUAUUCGAUAAUAACUCUUCAAUUAAGUCCUAAAUCUCAUUUCAUCUUUUCAAUUUAAUCCCUAAUUUGACACCAACUCUUCAAUUAGACCCCAAAGCUCAUACCACUUGAGGAAAGCCCUCUUCUUUCAAUUUAGCCCCUCAUUUAUCUUUAAUUUAAUAUCGAAUUUUAUUCGAUCCAAGCCCAAAAUAGGCUCAAGCGAAGACAAAAUAAAGGAAGGAAAGAAAAUGAAUAAUUGCCCAACCAAGUUAACGUAUUCUGGUCUUUUCUCCAUGAUUCGGGUUGAACAUUUGACAUUUAUCCUUUUUUUAGAGGCUUUUCUCUAUGUUCGUUAUGACGCUGUACACGUGCGACAACCAUUAAAUCUAUAGUUAAUUUCAUUUUUUGAUAAAAGAUAAUGCCAUCAGUAUAGAAUGGUUACCAACUGUUAGUUUAAUAAGCCUUGUAUCCAAUCGGUUAGUUACACGAUAUAUUAUUAUAUUCAUGUAAAUACAUAUUUAUUAUUAAUAAAGGCUUAAUUUAACUUUAAUAUUCAUAUAAUAUUAGAUUAAUGAAUCUAGAGUGUCAUAACCCUUUUUGGGUUUUUCCCCAAAUUCAUUUUUUCUCUUCUAAAAAUUAAAAAAAUAUAUAUAUUUAGACUAAAAAAAAUAAUAACAGUGAGAAGGGGAUGCCAAAACGCCUGGAAAAUAACUAAAAAUUGGUUGAGGAGGUUUAAAAAUACAAGGAUUGAAAUUUGGCAGUAUAUCAUUGACUGAUGAGAGCCCGAUUGACAAAGAAAAUUCAAUUUGAGGAAGAAAUGUCUAAAAUCAGAUGUUUAUUGGACUCAAUUAAAUUUAUUAAAGGUUAAAUUGAGUUUAUAGAGGGUUUGAUUGCAAGAACAAUUGAUUUUGGAGUCAAUUUGGGCUUUAUUUGGAAGAAAUUAAAGUUCUGAGGUCAAAAUAUAAUUUUAAGGAGUUAAUUUGGUCAAAUCAGGGGCUUAAUUGCAUAAAUAUUGAAGUUUGAUGGCCAAUUAGGGACUGAAUUGAAGAAAUCUCAAACCAAGAACCAAACUGGAAAAGACACGUAAAUAGAGAGGCUGUAAUUAACCGAAUAAGGGGCUAAAUUAAAGAAAUUGGAAGUUUAUUUAUUAAUUAAGGGUCAAAUUGCAUACAUCAGAGACCAAGGACUAAAGUGAAAAAGGCGGCCAACUUCAGGGCCGACGAUUGAAUUUGACAGGGAUGCAAUUGAAUUGAUUUUUAAAAUCAAAAUAGCAAUUUAGGACUUGAUUGAAUAAAUCACAAAUUGAAGACUGAUUUGGACUUUGACACGAUUUUGCCGCCAUUUUCAUUUUGCUUAAUAUUGGUUUGUAUUUUAAUACUGUAAAAAUACAAAUCCGAUAUUAAAAUACUUGGUUUUUGUCAAAACAUAAAAUAUAUAUAUAUAUAUAUAUAUAUAUAUAUAUAUAUAUAUAUAUAUAUAUAUAUAUAUUUGUUUCAUGCAUACGUCCAAGUCUCUCAAAGAUAAAAAAAAAAAAAAAACCAUAUUGUAUUUUCAUACUACAAAGAAAACUUCAAAAAAAAAUAUGUUUUAACAUGCAUUUUGGCUUUAAUAACCAGUUUAUUAAAGUCACGAGAAUUUGGCAAAUAUUUAAAAAAUUUCAAAAAAAAUAUUUGUUUUUUUUAGUAUUAGGGAUUAUGAAUUUAUAUGUAAAAUGUAUUUUCAAUAUUAAAAGUGUUUUUCUUUUGAUGACAUAAAACAUUUAGGUGUUUACCUGAUAAGAUAAGAAUCUCUUUAUAGAGGAGGAUUUUUCUUAAACCAUAGAUAGACUGACAAUUAAAAACCACAACAAGACCUUAAAUUUUAUCAAACAACAAAACAAUGCAGCUUACAUUAGGUAGGGUGUAGUUGGGGUGCUAAUACCUCCCCUUUAUGCAACCAGUCUUCGUACCCGAUCUCUAAGACCAAUUAGGGUUCCUAGUGACCAAAAUACUAGGUGGAAACUCCCAUUCUAUUUUCCACUGAUAAAAGACAAGAAUUCCUUGUCUCCCCACAUUUACCAGAUAGAUAUACAUUUACUUGAGAGGGUGGACGUUUAUCGUGACACCGCACACAUGCGACAGAAUGGCGACUCCACAAGGUACCUUGUGGAUUAAUCUUUGUUUUUGUCUGAUUAUCGUGUUUUAUUGUUUGGUUUGUGUGUUAUUGUUAAUAUGCAUUUUCUCAUUUGCUCAUACGCUUUAAUUUUGUACAUAUUUGUUCAUGGAUUGUAUAAAAUUGUUUCAUGCAUCAUUCACAUUUUAUGAGAGUUUAUACUGAGAAAAACUUUAGGUUAAGUGGGGGACUAGUAGCUUACCUUACAAUUUUUAGUCGAGGUUUAAGUUUGUGUAAACCUCAACUCUUUGCUGAGUACUUAGAUUGAUAAUGAUUGGUACACAUGUCAUCUCAUUACCUAUUAAGCCCUUAUAUUGCCUUUACGAGGGUGAUCACUGGGACAACAAGAGACCCUUUUAAGACUAGGUAGAAAUGCACCCAUCAUGUAAUGGCCCAAAACCUAUCCUUAGAGUAUAAGCUCCCUAAUAUACAUGUACAUAUAUUUGCAUCCAUACAUACAUCAAUUCAUUGUAAAUAACAUACGUGCAUCAGAUUGAAAUAUAGGUCCCUAAAAAGUGUACAACACCCGACUUUGAGCAAGAAACAUAGAAGAUGGAGAGCGUGCUCACCGUGAUGCCUAUUUUCAAGAAGAGUUGGAGUCUCUGAAGACAAGCAUGGCUCGCCUUACUAGCUUACUCGAGCAAACACUGAGAAAUACCUCUGGUGAAGGCCCUUCUAACCGGCUAGUCACCGUCAAUUAGGCUUCAACUACAGUUUAGCCUGAAGAAAGAAUGAGUGAACAUGGUCAAGAGCCUUAAUAAAAUCCAACAUUUGUACAGUCAGCGACACUUGCAUUAGCCCCGACAGUCAUGAAGGUAUUUGCUAAUGAGUCCCAUAUGGCCAAUUCAUCUGAUAGCAUUGAUCAAGAUAAAAUACAGGCAUUGGAAGCCAGAAUCAAAGUCAUUGAAGGGGUAGACUUAUAUGACCCAGUUCGGGCAGCAAAGAUGUGUCUGGUCCCAAAUAUGGUUGUCUCGAAAAAGUUUCAUGUUUCGGAGUUCAUCAAAUAUAGUGGAAUACAAUGCCCCAUGACUCACCUCAAGUCUUACUGCAAUAAAAUGGCAGAGAUAGUACAUGAUGAAAAACUACUGAUGCAUUUUUUUAGAGAUAGUUUAAGUGGGGCAAUAUUGAGCUGGUACAUGAGAUUGGACAACACAAAAAUCUAGAGAUGGAAGGAUAUGGUGGUUGCUUUUGUCAAGCAGUACAAGUACAACAUGGACAUCACUCCCGACAGAAUCAACUUGUCCAAUAUAGAGAAAAAGGAUAAAGAAAGCAUAAGGGAAUACGUUUAAAGAUGGUGGGAAUCAGCUGCUCAAGUACAUCCCCAACUUCUGGACAAAAAGAUUGGCACUUUAUUUGCCGACACACUCAAGGCACCAUAAUGGGUAGUUUGGCCCAGCAAUUCACUAAUGCUGUGGUAGUGUGUGAACACAUAGAGCAAGGCGUCAAGAGUGGUAGAAUUUCUGCACCCAUUGAGAAUAGAGGUUUCGAAUGAAAAGAGGUUAACCAUAUUGAAGAUGGCUACAAGGGUAGGAAAAACUUAUCCCAAAACUACCAUACUUCAUCCCAAAUUGCCGACAUAAAAAAACCUGAGCCCCAAAACUUUCAAGCCAAAAGCCAAAUUAGAAAUUACCAAAGGGUCCAAGAACAACUACCUCCAUUACCGCUACCAUUAAAUGAGAUGUACCAGAAGUUAUUAAGCAUCAGACAUAUAGCUCCCGAACCUCUAGCACCUUUGCAACCCCCUUACCCCGGCUGGUAUAAGCCAGAGCUCACUUGCGAAUACCAUGCUAGUGUUGCUGGACAUGACAUUUAUAUUUGCAACACCUUUAAGAGAAAGCUUCUGCAAUUAAUUAAGGCAGGGUGGAUAGCAUUUGAAGACACUCUGAAUGUGAACACAAACCCUCUACCUAAUCAUGCUUAAAGCAGUGGAUUAGAAAUGCACUAGCAAUCGAAUGUUCGGGGAAUUUGAAAUCAUCAAUGGGCCAGGUAGGGUGCGAAAGGGUAGCAUAAAUUUUAAAGGACUCAAAUUCCAACCACAGUUGUUAUCCCCAUCAUCCCAAGAAUUAUUACAGGGAGGCUAGCCUAAAAGGAGAUUUACCAAAAUGAAAGGAUGAGGCCUGCCAUAUUAUUGCCUUUUGUUUAAUCAUGUUGGUUUCAACUAUUUCAGUCUUGUCGGUAAUUUAGCUCAUAAUGCCACAAGACUUUCUUUGUCAAAUAAGCCUUCUUGUUAAUAAGAUCAUGUAUUUUCCUGUGCUUAUAACAUGUUUUCCUUUUUCCAAAAUAUGCAUGAUCUCACAUGUUCAUAAGAAUUUUAGGAAUUCAAAGUUUGGUAUAAAAAUAAAAAUCAUAUUGGUGUUUGUCCAAAACAAAUAAAUUCUGGAAAUUCAAGUGAUUCCUUAGAAAGAUAAGUAUACACGUAGAAAACUUGAAAAAACAAAUAAACAAAUAAACACAUAAAAAAAAUCAUAAGGUGACUCCAAAGUUAAGUUUUAUUUGAAUAAAUAAUGAGAAAUCACUUUGCAUACUCGCAUGAAAGCAAGACGUAUCGAUCUUAAGUGCAUGUGUUUGAGAUGAGGAAAUGCCUUCUUUGAUAAUCGCUUCACGAGGCUAAAAUAUAUCCUUUGCAAUCCCUUUUUGAGUCUAGUAACAUUUUUUGAAAAUAACCUUGGCUAGGAUCACACUCAAACUAGGGUUAAGUGCGAGAGACACAGAAAAGACCUUGAUGAUUGAAGUGCCCAAGCAACACUGGGGGCAUAAAAGAAAAUUCUCAAUCAUCAAAGGUGCCCAAACAAAGCUAGGGGUAUGAAGAAAAAUCCAAAGGAUCCAAAAAUUUUAAGCAUACAAAAAAAAAACAAUUAAAUAAUGCUCAAAACCAAAUGAAGAAAAAAAAAAUAAAGAGAAAGAGCCCAACAUUGGGGGGCACGAUAAACCAUUUUGAAAAGACAUUCCAAAGACAAAAGGUCAGGAAACAAGCACUAGUGAUCCUUAGUCUUGAAAUCCCGUGAAAUACCUUUUGAGCCUACAAAUAUCCUUUUCUUCAUAACCAAGAACCCAAGCCUAUAUUACAUGCCUAAUCAAGCCCUUUCUGAUCAAAGACAAGCAAUCUGGAUCGGCAGACAAUGCUUUCUCAUACAACCCAAAUUAUUAUUCAUGUAAAUAAAAUAAAUGCUUUGAAGACUGGUUCUUUGUAACCCUCAAAUUAAAUCUUAAACCAUUUUUUACCAAACCCAAUGUCACUUCAUGUUUUUCACCAAAAGCAAAACGAAAGGUUUUCAUCACUUCUGAAAACCUCUUCAUAGGAAUCACUUGAAUUUCUUCAGAACAAGUUUGCUUUGAAUCGAUGUCAAAAUGAUUUCUGUGUUUGGAAUAGCUUUUAAAUUCCAACAUUUUUGCAUCAGAACAACUCCUUGUCAAAACUUCCUUUACAUAGCCUCAUUCCCAAACCCGAAUUAAAUACUUGGGGGCAUGAUCAAGUUGGGAGGCAAUAAAAAAUACAUGGUAGGGCAGACUUUAUAAUUCUUUUUCUAAGAAAAAUGUUGGGUAGAAUUGGCAACCCUUGAGAUAUAGGUUAGAGGGCAAAGAAGUAGGAUGAUAUGAAGCCUUUCUUAGAGGUCAAGAUCACAAGAUAUGACUCAAGUAAGCAAGAGCGAAAAAGUCAUCGAAAUUUACUACUUACACUCCAACUUUUGAGAAAAGAAAGACAUCAUGAAGAAAUGAGGACCUAUAUUUCUCAGGUAAGUAUACAUGCAUAUCAAUCAUAGUGCAUUACUUUCAACAUUGUCAGAUCGGUGUUUCACCAUCACCUUUUGGGUAGGACAUUUUAUAACCCUACCUCAUUUUGAGUGUGCCUUUGAGCCCUUAUUUUCUUUUCGAGUAAGUCUUUGAGCCCUCAUCUCAUUUUAAGUGCGCCUUUGAGCCCUUACUUCGUUGUCAAGAUGCGACUUUGAGCCUUUGCUUCCUUUGGAGUGCGCCUUUGAGCCCUCAUUUCCUUUUGAGUACGUCUUUGAGUCCUCAUCUCUUAGGUAGUGCAUUUUAUAACCCUACCUCAUUUUGAGUGCAUCUUUGAGCCCUUACUUCCUUUUGAGUGCGCCUUUGAGCCCUCACUUCAUUUCGAGGGUGGUAGUGUAUUUUCUAACCCUACCUCCUUUUGAGUGCGCCUUUGAGCCCUCACCAUCUUCCUGGAUAGGUCAUCCAUUACAAUGAUGCUAUUUUUACACUUGGGUAGGUCACCUAUUAUAAUGAGACCAAUCUUUCCUUUCCCACUUGGGUAGCUCACUCAAUACAAUGAGACUAAUUCUUCGUAUUUUUUUGCCUAGGUAAGUCCCUCAUUAUAAUGAGACCAUUCUUCCACCUGGGUAGGUCACCUAUUAUAAUGAGACCACUAUUUCCUUUUUUUUUCCCUUUGGGUAGGUCACCCAUUGCAAUGAGACCAUCCUUUUUUCUAGGUAGGUCACCUAUUAUAAUGAGACAACUCUUUUAUUUUUUUUUUCCCUUUGGAUAAGUCACUCAUUACAAUGAGAUCAUUUUUUUUCUAGGUAGGUCACCCAUUACAAUGAGAUCAUUUUCCAUGUUUUUUUUACCUGAGUAGGUCAUCCAUUACAAUGAGACCAUUCUUUUUUUUUCCACUUGGGUAGGUCAACCAUUACAAUGAGACUAUCAUUUUUCUGGGUAGGUCACCCAUUAUAAUGAGGCCAUUCUUCCACCUGGGUAGGUCACCCAUUACAAUGAGACCACUCUUUCUUUUUCCCCUUUGGUGACCACUAUCAUUUUUUUGGGUAGGUCACUCAUUACAAUGAAAUCAUUCUCCAUGUUUUUCCACUUGGACAGGUCACCCAUUACAAUUCGACCAUUUCAAAAAUCUUUGAAUUUCACCAGGAAAAAAAACCUUUCGACCAUUUAAGUUUGCUUUCUAGCCCUCAAAUGCUUUCCAAACAAUUCAUCAUAUGGUGAGUCCGUUAUCUUUUUUUUUCUUCUUUACAAAGCUUAUUAUCUAAAAUCUCUUACGAGACUUUCUAUCGUAAGUAUUGUAAAUAGAGGACAACUGUCAUAACCUAUUUUUGGAUUAUUCCCCAAAUUUAGUUUUUCUCUUCCAAAAAUAAUAUAUAUAUAUAUAUAUAUAUAUAUUCGGACUAAAAAAUAAACAACAAAAAAAAUAAACAAAAUAAUAACAGUGAGAAGGGGAUGCUAAAGUGCUCGGAAAAUAACUAAAAAUUAGUUGAGGAGGUUUAAAAAUACAAGAAUUGAAAUUUAACAGUAUAUCAUUGACUGAUGAGAGCCCGACUGACAAAGAAAAUUCAAUUUGAGGAAGAAAUGUAUAAAAUCAGAUGUUUAUUGGACUCAAUUAAAUUUAUUAAAGGUUAAAUUGAGUUUAUGAAGGAUUGGAUUGGAAGAAAAAUUGAUUUUGGAGUCAAUUUGGGCUUUAAUUAGAAGAAAUUAAAGUUCUGGGGUCAAAAUAUAAUUUUUGAGAGUUAACUUGAUCAAAUCAGGGGCAAAAUUGCAUAAAUAUUGAAGUUUGAUGGCCAAUUAGGAACUUAAUUGAAGAAAUAUGAAACUAAGGACCAAACUGGAAAAGGCGCGUAAAUAGAGGGCUGUAAUUAACUGAAUGAAGGGCUAAAUUAAAAAAAUUAAAAGUUUAUUGAUCAAUUAAGAGUCAAAUUGCAUUCGACCAAGAACUAAAAUGAAAAAUCAGCUAACUUCAGAACUGAUGAUUGAAUUUGACAGGAAAGCAAUUAAAUUAAUUUUUAAAAUUAAAAUUAUAAUUUAGAACUUGAUUGAAACACUUAAAAUAAAAAACUUAAAAUCACAGCAUGAUAAAAGAAGAAAGAAAGGAAUGGGAAAAGGAAGAAAGAAUAAAAAAAUCCCCUAAAAUCACGGCAUGAUAAAAGGAGAAAGAAAAGGAUGGGACAAAGAAGGAAGAAAGUAAGGUCGCGUAGGGGCCAGUAUUGAAGAAAAGCUAAAAGAACCAGGUAAUCCAAGGAACCAAUAGAUUAUCGCCACAUGUUCAACCUUAUAUUUAUUGUGACAUGGAGAUAAAGAUAAUCUCAAAAGCUAAUAGAUGGUCGCCACGUGUUCGACUUUAUCUACCCACUAGGAAAGGAAUCAAAGGAUAGAAAAGUGGGGGAGAGAAAGGUUAAAAAGGCUUUAAAAAAAAAAGAAAAGGAAAGACCCGGUUGAGAUAAGAGGGGGGACGUGGAAAUAGAAGGAGAAACGGAAGGAGACAUAGAAAGAUCGGAGGAGAGUAAGAAAAAAAUAUAUGAAUAUGUGAUGUCCAAUUUCUCAUAAAAAUUCUCUGUUUUUUUCUCUCUUUUAUUUGGAAUUUCUUUGGACACUUUAAUAAAAUAAUAACAAAAAAAUUAAAAUAUUGAUGAAAUUAAUAUUCAUUCAAACACAGAUUUACUGUGUACUAUGAUAUUAUUAUUUUUUUAAUUUUAAAAAACACGGCUUGGAUAAUAUUUCAAGUAGUGUCGUAAAAAAUAGCGUGUUUGUUUUUUAUUUUUUAAAUAAUUUUAAAUAAUAUUUUUUUAAUUUUUAUAUUGAUAUUAAAAAUAAUUUUUAAAAAAUAAAAAAUAUUAUUUUAAUAUAUUUUUAAAUAAAAAAUAUUUUAAAAAAACUACUUUAAAAACCUUAAAACCACGGCAUGAUAAAAGGAGAAAGAAAGGAAUAGGACAAAGGAAGAAAGUGAAAGGGAGAAAGGAAGAAAGUAAGGUCACGUAGGGGGGCCAGUAUUGUAGAAAAUAGGAGAUGAAAAAUUGGUAUGAAAAAGAGGAUGAUGGAGUGGUUGUCCAAAUCAUAGUGGUUUUUAUAAUUAUAUUUAUUUAUAGAAAUAUUAAAUUAAUAUAUUCUUAGUAUUUUAUAUGAUUAAAUUUUUUUGUUGAUUUAAAAAAUAUAUGCGUAUAAAAAAUUAUUUUAAUAUAUUUUUAAAUAAAAAAUAUUUUUAAAAGUAUGUAUCACAGUACCAAAUUAUAGUAUCAAUUAAAAGAAAAUAGGGUUUUAUGUUCAUUACCACUCACUUAUACUCAUUUAAUUCUUAUACUCAUUUAAUUGUGGACAAUAACAGUAUCUCAUUUGAAAACUUUCAAUUUUAUACUUAAAUUUUUUUCAUAAUUAAUCAUUUUUAAUUAAAAUUAGAGUUCAAAUGUAUAUUUUUUUUUAAGGAGGAGAGUUGAAUUAAAAAACAGGGACUGAAGUAAAAAAUUCAGCUAAAAUAGGUAGCGACUCUAUAAUUUAUUUACAAAAUUUAUUUUAGUUUCUCAUCUUUUCAAGUUAUUAAAUAAUAAGUCCGCAUAAUUUUCCAACAUUGCAUUUCAAAUUUUUUUUAUUAUUAAUACUUUUAAUAUAUUUUUUUGAAAAUAAUUUUAAAAACGGUGUUUUCAUUAAUAUUCCUUUUCUAUGAUUUGUUUUUUUGGCAUUAUGUAGUCUUUCUUCAAUUAUUUUUAAUUUUGUUGCUUUGUUUAAUUUUUUAAGAGGUUAAUAAUAUUUAUCUGUAAAUAUUUGUUAUAUAUUUCAGAUAGAUUAAGUAUUUAAUUUUCAUAAUAAUUUGAAUAUGUGUAGCGUUGCAUAGUUUUUCUUCCUUUUAUGAUAUUAAAAAAAAUUAUGUGUGUGUUGAUUUCUAUUAUCGAUUGAUUUUAGUAAAUAAAUUCAUUAAAUAUAACCAAAUAAAUGAUCCAUAUUGCAAUAUUAAAUACUUUAUCUAUAUUUGUUUCUUAAUUUUUCCACUUGCACUUUUAAUUAUCGGUAAUGACUUCAUUUUUUCAUUUAUUUACACAAUUGUUUGUGAUUUAUUUAAUUUGAUGCGUGUAUAAGUUUUUCGAUUUACAUUUAGAAUUUUUUUAAUGUAAAAAAACACGUUGAGAAAUUCUUAUUUUUAUGAUUUUAGUUUGAUCCUUAUUCUUAUAAUUUCUUAUUUUCUUUCUAACCCUUUUAUAAAACAAAAAAUUGUUUAUAAUUUCAUCCUUCAAUUGAACAUAAUGAUGUAUUUUUUUUAUUAUUUAUAUUCUUGUUUGUUAUUAUUGCUUUUUUUCUUUAUAUAAUUCAUAUAAAACCAGCUUAUUUAAUCGGCCAAGACUAAAUAAAUAAAUAAAAAGAUAUACUGUGUCUUCCCAUUUCCUCUCCCUGGUGAAUUUUGGCGACCACCCACACAAUGAUAGCCUAAACAACCACCAGCCAUGCCACUUUUCAAGACCCCAUCUCUCAAUCUCAAAACCAGAAACAACCCUUUCUCAUAAUUCCGGGAAAGUGAAGAACUAAACCAUAGUGGCAAAAAUCUUAAAGGGUCUAAAUUAUCUCUGUUACUUUCCCUCAAUUUUCUAGACAAGCAAAAGGAGCUAAACUUAUUCCCGACCAAAACGCCAAGAAUUUCAGUAGAACAAAAGAAGAGAUUGUUACUUGACCAUAAACAAUUAGUCCGCACCCAAACAAACUGAGUGAAUGAGAGAAAAAGACUAAUGGCUAGAAAACAAUCAACAGAUCCAAGAAUUUUCUGUAUGGUUUCCAAGAAAAUGAAACGAAACGAGCAGCACAACCCUCUUUCCCCUCUAAGAAAAGAAAGAAGAAGAAAAAGAAAAAGAAAAAGAAAGGAAAGAAACAAAGAAGUUCGAGGAAAGAAAAAGUAAGGAAGAUGAAACCAUAAACCUGCAAGUCCUACAAAUCAUAAACAUUGACUUUGAUUUUUCCUUUAUAAAACCAUAAACCUGCAAGUCCUACAACAUGAAGACUUAUCAGAUCCUAAUGAAAAGCUGUCAAAAUCCUAUCAGAAAUUAAGGAAGAUGACGUUACGUUAACUUCAAAUCUGAGGAUUAAUUGUAGCAGAUCUUAUAGGGUUCAGCUGAUUGCUUUACUUGUUUAAAUAAUUCUCUUGUAAGCCUAAUGGUUCACGUCUUCCAUCAUUGCAACCUUUUUUUCUGUGAUUGAAAAAUCUAUAAUAGGAACCUGCACUGCAUCCCUUCUAUGCUGUUGUUCUUUCUUCUUGUUUUGCUAUUUUGAUUUUAUCAUAUUUUCUAUGAUGAAAGUUGAAGAAAUUCUACUUCGAAACUCAAGACAAAGUCUCUCGAUCGGACUGCAUAUUAGUGGGUUGCUCAUUGGGAUUUCUAUAAACAACUGAUUCUAAUAUUGCAAAGCAACAUUACGAAAAACUGAAUAUUUCACACAUAGUCUAAUAAAAGUAGAUUCCAUUGUCAAUUCCUUAACAUUUUCCAAACAAAUCCAUGCUCCUCAUUUUAUACUUUCUUGAGGGUUUCUAUUCUCUUAUUACCAAUUUCAGUGAGUUUCAUAAUAAGCUGCUUAGAAAGAAGCUAUCUAGCAGGAGGGUGGGGCUACUCUUAGCCAAUGAAAACAGCUUCACAUGCUAUACAGCAACGUGAAAAAAAGAUUCUCAGCCUGUUCUCUCUUUAAUGAACACCCUCUUGGAUUCUCUAGCAUUAGCCAACAAGGUAUUUGCUUGGAAUUACUUCCACCUGAAAACAACAGUUAACCUAUUUAAUAUACUUAACUAAGUAUCUAUUUCAUAACCUUAUAUAUUUUUUUAAUUAAAUUAGUUAUUUUUUUCAAAAAUAAAAAAAGUAAACGGUUUUCCAAAAAUCUAAUUCACAAUAAAACAAAUAAUGAAACUUGAUAAUAAUUCAUUAAAUAACCAUCAAUUAUUCAUCAAACCAAUCUGAAAAAGCUCAUAUUAAAGCUAGGGACCAAUCUGGAAUUUUAUCAUAUUUUUAGGGGUCAAAUUAUAAUUUUAUCAAAUUAGAAGACCAAACUAAAAAUAUCAUAAAUUCAUGACUAUACUAGAAUUCUGCCCAUAAUUCAUCAUAAAUUCUGCCCAGAAUUUCAAAUUAUGCUCCAAGGACCACUAUAGAAUUUUAUCAAAUAUCUAGGGUUAAGUUGUAAUUUCAUCAAAUUGGAGGACCAAAGUGAAAAUAUCAUAAAUUCAUAACUAUACUGGAAUUCUGCCCAUAAUUUAACUUUAAUUCUGUCCAGAAUCUCGGAUUAUGCUCCAGGGACCAAUCUCUAAUUUUUCUAAAGUUCAAGGACUAAACUGUAAUUUUCACAAAUUGAGGGACCAAACUGAAACUUCAACCUCAAACCCAGAAUUUACACAGAUAACCUACUGAUAUAUCAAGAUUUCUAACUCAAAUUCACCAUUUAAAUAAAAUCAUAACUCAAAAUCAUUAUUUUUACCUAAAAUCUUUCAAAAUCAACUAAAUAAUUCAUUAUCCAUAACAAUCAACCCAUAAUUUUUCUGUAAUGUAAUUGUAAUUCCUAGCAUAAUGCAUAUCCGAGGGCAAGCACAACAACUCAAGAACAAAGAAACUCGAUGAAAUAGCAAAAGAAAAGGACUUGAAGGACUGAAAUAAAAUAAAACCAAAAAAUAGGGAUUAAAAAAGUAACCGCACUCUGGUUGCCAUAAAAAACAUAGUUCUUUUAAUAUUUUUUUUUUAACUAUUGUAAUAGGUCAAUCAUAUUACCCGAGUGUGUGACUCAGAGAUGAUCAUCAUAGAAAAUUACUUUUAAUUGCUUGAGUUUUAUCCUUAGAUGAAAAACUUACCUCGUCCUCCUAAUGCUUUUGCUUUCAUUGUUUCGAAAGUAAAAGAGACAUAAACAUAAUCAUUUCCUUCCUUUUACUUUCCACUUCUUUGUAAUGGAUUGCAAACGGGAUGGUGCUUAGUGAGGCCAGUUUUUCUUUUCCUUUCUAUUUAAAAUCUUAUGCCUAAUUGGGUGAGGAAAUUAGUGGAGCAUUAGACUUUUUAAAAGACAACAAAAGGAAGCAAUGUCUCAUCUUUUGAUAUGGUGGUCUUCCAUGAUCAGUUUGUUGAUGAAGAUAUCGAAAGAUUCGAGUCUCCGUUCUAGUUCAGGUUGGAUGCAAGGCCGAAAGCUAAGCUUCUUUUAAUUAUGAAUUGUUUAUGCAAAGGAAACCCAGAAGCUUGAACAAACAGAAAUGCCUUGUUGAUUUCUCUGCUACUACUCAUUAUUUCCAAUAUUAUUCCAUUAUCUUACCCGAAAGCAAUUAUACAAGAAAUUUCAUUAUCCUGCCCCAAAGGCAGUUUAUUGCAUGGACUUCCUUUAACCUAGCUCCUUGAAGGCAAUUUAUUUGAUGAAAAUUCCUUUAAUCCACCUCAAAGACAAUUUAUCUUAGGGAAUUCCAACAACCCUUAAGGCAUUUUAUCAAAGGGAAUUCCAAAAACAAUUUAUUUCUUGGACUCAGUAUUCUUUGAUACUAGUUAUUUAUAUAUAAUUUAACAACACUUAACCAUCUUACAUUUAAGAAGAAAUUCAAAAGUAAGGAUAACCCUUAUCUAGAGCUCCUGUGGUUCUUGCUCCCGAGAGAAUUGGCUCCACUCCGGACAAAUCUACUAUCAGAAACCCAAGUUUCAACCAAUCAAUAACAUCAACACCCAUUUUAUAUUAAUGCAAUAAGUUUUUCUUAACCAAUUUACUUGAUGCAAGUUCUUAUAAUAAAAGUGACAGUAUUCAAGGUGAAGACAAGCAGAAGGGCGUGAUAGAGUUUGACAAAGAUGAAGCUAGUUCCAAUAAAGGGAAACACUCUAUGCAGGCCAAACAACAGUGGAAAUUCUUAUAAUCCCACCAAUCAAGGAUUACAGGACCCUAGUCCUUCCCAAACCAAUUUGAACUCCCCGUAGAGAAAACAUCUCCAAACCCAUUUUGAAUCACCCACAACAAGCAUCUCCACAACCUGUUCUGAACCCCCCCACAACAAGCAUCUCUGCAACAUGAUUUUAUUUCCUUGUGUGACAGGGAGGUCAAAAUUGAAAGAUAUUACUAUUUUCAUUAAUUUUAUUAAAGCUUAAUUAUUAUUUUUUUUCCCUUUUCUUUUAAAAAUGUUAUCUCCUUGGUAAGGAAUCCUUGGUUCCCAACAGCAACUGUAGCAUAGUUAAAAAAAUAUCUAAACUCCACCGAAAGUAGUGGAGCCUUAGAAUUUUUAAAAGACAAAACGGGGACAAGUGAGAGACGAAGAAAAAGACAAAAGUAAUCCCAUCUAUUGAUGUGGUGAUCCAAGAUACACCAUAACAUGGUGUUCUUCCAUGAAGUCUAAGAUACACCGUCGUGUUGUUUCAUAUAUAUUUUUAUAUAUGAAAAUAAUAAAGCUACCGUUUAAAACAACUCUGAAAACAAAAUUUUUAAUAAUCCAUAAUUUUUAAGCAAACAUCACUUAUAAGCAAAUAAUUAAUGAUGGUUAGUUAAACUAAUUCAUUGUUAGGCGGAUAUAUAUUAAGGUUAAGAACCCUCUAUCUAACACUAAUAACUAAUCACUGAUAAUAUUUAUGCAAAACUUGUAGCUUAGGAUGAACUCUCAGAGAUGUGGGCGAGGCAACUCAAAGUAGAAGGGAAGGGGUAACCUCUGAUAACAGAGAAAAUUGUAGAGUAAAGCAGGACCGAAUUUUCUUAAAUUAACAACAGAAAUCUACAAUGAACAGUUCUCGAGAAGAAACUCAAGAAACGUAUAUAAAGCUACAUGAUGACAUAAUAGGAACCUGCAUUGCCUCCAUUCUAUGAUGAAAGUUCAAGAAAUUUUACGUCGAAACUCAAGACAAACUCUCUCAGACUACAUAUUAGUGGGAUUUCCAUGAACAACUGAUUCUAUUGCAAAGCAACAUUAGGAAAAAUUGAAUAUUUCACACAUAGUCUAAUAAAAGUAGAUUCCAUUGUCAAUUCCUCAACAUUUUCCAAACAAAUCCAUGCUCCUCAUUUUAUACUCUCUCUCUUAUUACCAACUUCAUUGAGUUUCAUAUAAGCAUAGUCAAUCACACAACUAAUAUGUGAAUUCACAAUUUCUUACCGAAAACAUUUUAUCAGUGCAAGUUAAUACAUAAUUUUACCUCUCCUCUUGGUGAAAACAUAAAGACACAACCACCGAGCAGAUCUCUGGUAAUGGUCUCUACAAAUUCCCUACAGUUCCUAUUGCCAACAAACUCCUCUUGCCAUUCCCUAACUGCAUUGAGCCAGCUAAUCUGGAUGAAAGAAAAGACUUCAGCCAUUCCCUAACCUUAAAGCAGACCCAACUUUGUAGCUCAUUACCAGUUAAGUAAAAGUUAUCAAUAGCUGUGUAAAUCAUUGAAACUGCCACAAAAGCCCCAAAUUAGUUAUGAAUUGGAUUCGAUAAGGGAAAGAGGGGAAGAGGGGAAAUGGGUAACGGAAAAUUAAAGAGAGAUGAAGAUCUGCGCAGGGCUACCUGUUUUGAGAAUUAUGGAUUUUUAUCCCUAACUCCAAAUUGCACCAAUUAUAAGUUCAUUAAAACAAAUCUGGAACAGAACAGAUGGAAAAAACUCGAAACAACUUGGCUAGAAUUUGGGCAAGAAAUUCAGAACGGCCAAGAUUUUAAGUGAGAUAAAAGUUAUCCCAUUUUGUUCUGUUUUUUUUUAAAAAAUUAAUAUGAGAUGUACUAUCCAUUUCAAGCGGAACAUAAUGGAAUGAACAACCUUGCAUCGAAGACCUAAUUUUAGUGAAACUCAAGUUUCUUGUGUCAAAGAAAAUGUUCUAAAAAAAUGUUUUAAGCAUUAACAAAAUCUAGUUGGCCUAGGCAAUCCACUAUUGUUGCUGUUACCGUUGGUGCAUACUCCAUUACACCAUUGACAUAGUGCAACUGUUUUUCUUUCUUUCUUUCUUUCUUUCUUUUAAAAAAAUCCAUGUUAUGUUUUUUAUUUGAAGCUUUUUUGUUAAUAUCUUUCGCAAUUGGCCUUGGUAUUUUGUUUCCAUUUUCUCUGUUUCCUUCUUCUGUAGUUAGAAAACAUCAUGUCUUUGGGUUUGCGCUUGAUACAGCAAAAUUAAGGACACAAUAAUCAAAGAACACAAAAUUUUAUAAGGGAAAGGGGUUGCAGUUGUGAACCUAAAAUUUACAAAUUUAUUUUCUCAAUAAUAAUAAUAAUAAUAAAGAAGUUUGCCUUCUUAAAAGGUUUACAAAACCUUAAAUAGGUUAGGAACCUUACCUCAACAAGGGAACAGAAAAAAAAUCCAAAAUUAUAAAUGAAACAAGCAUAAAAUCUGAAAUAAGCAAGAAAUGAAAAUAACAAAAAACUACCAAAAUCAGGGGCAUCAUUGAGAUUUUUAAUAUCUAAAGAUCUAAUGAUUUGUAUAAAAAUUUGAGCACAUUAAUCCAAUAAUCGAAAAAACAAUUAUGGCUCUUUUGAGCUGUUAUUCUAGUCUAGCACGAUCAAACAUUCUCUUGGGUUUAGACUUGUUCUAUUGGUUCAUAAAUGCAUUUACUAGGCCAUCAACAUUAAUUGUCUAAGGCAAAUUCUCAUCUAGUUGUGGUAGACUCACACCUGACUGCUUAUAAAAUUGGUUGGUUUUUUGUUUUCGAAGAGAUUUAAAAUUUGAUGCAAAUGAAAGCUAAAAACACAAUAAUUAAAGGGCACAAAAAAAAUUAUAAGCGAAAAAGACUGCAGAUGUGAACCCUCAAAUUCACAAGUUUAUUUUCUCUAAAAUAAUAAUAAUGAAAUUUGUCUUCUUAGGAGGUUUCCAAAGCCAUAAAAAUAUCAAGAAUCCUACCUUAACUUGGAAACAAAAACACAAACUCAAAAUUACAAAGGAAAAAAGCAUAAAAUCCAAAAUAAGCAAGAAAUUAAAAAAUAACAAAGAAAAUCACAAAAAACUACCAAAACUAGAGGGCUCAACAAGAUUUUUGAUAUCUAAAGAUUCAGCAGUCCACGCAAAAAAAUUUGCAUGGUCCAACGGUCGGAUAAGAAAUUGUGAUCAUUUUGAGCUAUUAUACACGACCAAAUCUUCUUUUGAUCCUAUACUUGUCCUAUUAGUCCAUAAAUGCAUUUUCAUAACCUAUCUUUUUUUUUUUUCUACUAUAGAUGGUGUUUGACCAUCAUCGUCAUAUGGUUUGACUUAGUUGUACCGGUUUUUAAUAAGAUGAACUUUAUAUAUUAUGGGUUUACAUUUACUAUUUUUUAAAAAUGUUCAUUAUCGUUUCGAUCUCUAUAAGUCCAUUGUUCACAACUGAAGUCCGUACCUGCAGCGGAUCACAGGCAAUGAAACUAUACAAACACACUAGAGACUCAAGAGUAAACAUGCUACUAUAGUUAGCAGGUAAGGGUCAGGUCAUUUGUUGUCUGGUUUCAAAUAGAGUUUCAACUCAUUUAAUAAAUAUAUAUACAUGGCUCAUAGUUGGAUUAUUUGUGUUUUUGUUAUUUGUUCUUCCCAGUAAUUGUACCAGAAGCUGCUCUCAUAUUUGAAGGAAUGCAAACAAUAUAUUGUUAAUAUGAAACUUAUGAUGCCUAGGAAAUUGCCAUUUUUCUCAUUUUUAAUUGGAAGAAAAAUCACAAGUAUGUUUCUGUUAGAAAUAACUUCUUAUUUCAAUCAGAAGUGUGUCACUAAAUUGAUUUAUAAGUAAGUUUUUAAAUUGUGGAUUAUAUCUUAAUUACAUUAUAUUUUUUUAUUAACAAAAGUUUAUUUGAGUUAUUUUUAUUAAAAAUACUUAUAAUUUAAAAUUAUUUUAAUUCUUUUUUAUCAUAAAUUAUUUAUUAAAAACAACUUAGAUUAUCGCUUGAAAUAAAAAAUUCUUAAUUCAAAAGUCAUUAAAAAAUUCUUAAUUUAAAGAAGCUAAUAAUCUAAAAGGAGGGUGGGGCUGCUUAGCCAAUGAAAACAGCUUCACAUAUGAAAACAGCUUCACAUACAACGCAACAACGUGACACAAAGUAGAAAAAAAAAGAAAAAGAAAAAUUUCUCAGUCUGUUUUCUCUUUACUGAACAACCUCUUUGAUUCUCUAGCAUCUGCUUGGAAAAACCAUUCAACAAGGGAUUCUGCUAGGAAAACAUGCAAUUGUUCUUCUAUCUGAUAUCAGUUUCAAAAUUCUAAACAAAUAAUGCAACAAGUCACAUUUAUUCCAGACCUCAAGCUGCAUUGCCUAUUUCAAAACCACAAAGAGAACAUCAAACAGAACAACAAAUACCCAGUCGUAGAGCCAUUAAUUUGAGCAUAAAGGAGAAAGAAAGUCCACGCAUUAAACAGUAGGCACACACAUGAGUAUACAUUAUGCCCUUGUUUUUGAAGAUUCAGACACUUCAAAAGAAAACUCACGCUCUUAUUUUUGGGAAGUUCUUGUAUGGUAAAUAAGACUGUUACAAUGUGAAGCCAAUUUGUAUCCCAUUGCCAGUGAAACAAUAGGAAUUACUUCCACCAAUCUAAAACAUAUUCGCAGCACCACAGCUCAAAGACAUGAAUCUCUGUGAAAUCACCUAAGGUCGAGUUGCUCAUGUAAUAGGCAACCAACCUGCCUAAUGCUAACAGAAGAACAAAGACCAUUCAUGCAUAUCCAUUACCUGUUUAGCAUGUUUUUCAAAUUCCAAUGCCAAACUAAUCAUCCUACCCAUCAUCAUCAUCACCACCAUCUCCCUUCACCACCUUCCUUCAUCUCCUUCACCACAUACCCACCCAUUAUUUCGGGUCCACGUUUUACAAGUGCUGAUUGGCGCAGAGCAACCAGUGCUUGAAUCCUCAGCUACUUCAGAUACCUGUAAUCCAAUCCAAGCAUGGCAUACACAUUUUGGCUUCUAAAUCUUAUUAUUGAGUGAAACAAGAAACAAACACACAAAAAGAGAAGCAAGAAAUUAAGACAAUUCAGCAGCACCUCUGAUGGAGCUCUUAUUGAACCAUUUGGUGUAGUAGCAAAUUUUGUGAUCAGCUUUGGGCAUUCAAACACCUCCAACUGCUCUAAAUGAGGGAAUAAGAAAUCAUAACAUCCGAGACUGAAGCAUACAAUACUUGAUAAUUGUUCUAGCAACAGCACCUGCAGAUUCGGGAGCUCCAUCACCUUCUCAACAUUGACAGGUAAAGCAUUCUCAUCCUGAAGCCAUGGCUACUGGGAAGAGACUCUUCAACAUGUUGCAUUUUCUGACAUCAAUUUCACAUAAAUUAGGGAAACAUACAGAUUGAAGAUGAUCUCCUGGGAAUAUCUGAUCCUUUCCAUCAUCAUUAUCCCUAGCAAUGAUUUGCUAUAAUUCCUCACAACUUUCUAUGUUUAGAAAAUUCAGUUGAACUAGACUAGCAAUCAUGCUGUCUGAGAAUACAUGUGUUAGUCUUUUACACUUAUUCACCACCGAAGUAGUUAAAUUGCUCAGCACGAGAACCUUCCACAAACACCACAUGCUUGUGUCAGGCAGGGACUUCAAUUUUAAUGUUUUCAAACUUGUUAAACUCCUAUGCAUGCUCCACUUAUCAAUUUUAAUGUUUUAGCUCUUCAUUCGUCUCUCCAUUUAAAGCUAUAAAAUAAAAUAAAAUAAAAAUAGCUAACAAUAUUACCCUUUUUUUUAUUGACAAAUGCUACUGUUUUUUUCUUUUUUUUUUUCUUUUUGUCAUUCUAAAUAGAGCAUUUGCCAAUAAAAAAAAAUUAAGGCCUGGAAAUGAUGUUUUGUGAUUGGCCCAUCAUUAAUUUUGUUAUCCAUGCACAGUAUAGACCGGCCCGGGAAUGAUGUUUAAACUGGGAAUAAUGAGUUUUCUAUGGGCUUUGGAGCAUUGUGUGACACUUAACAGUGUGCACUUCAGGCCCAUUUAAGAAGAGAAAAAAGGGACAGGGAUAAAGUCUGAAGUAACGGUCAGAAAAGAAACCGAUAAAUUAAUUAAAUUGAAAAAAUUAAAUUAUAAAAAAAAUUAAUUAAAUAAAUUAGAAUAUUUUUAAAAAAUUAGUUGAGUUUGAUUUUGAUUUCAUAAAUUUAAAAUUAAAAAACCGAACCAAAUAAAAAAACCCAUUAAAAAAUCCCAAAAUUACCAAAAAAACAACAUAAUUUUUAAUUUUAAAUAUAAAAUAAUCAAACCAAAUCGAAAUCGGUCAAUUGAUUGAGUUUCAGUUUUUAAUAUAAAAUAAUUAAACCAAACCAAAACAGGUCAAUUGGGUUUUAUUUUCUAAUAUAAAAUAAUCAAAUAAAAUUAAAAUUGAUCGGUUGGAAUCGGUUUUAAUUUUUUUAUAUAUUUUAUAAAAUUUGAAUUUAUUAUUUUUAUAAAUAAAAAAAAUAAUCACUCUCGGUCUAAAGUCAAGACAUUGUGGUAUAUGACAUCAUUGGCAGGGUACUAUUCUACCACUAGAUCACUGGCACUUGUUGGUAUCAACGUGUGGAAUAGCUAAUUAAAUAUAUAUAGUCAAAUAGGUAAUUGAAUAUAUAUAAUGACACGUAUAUUUCCUAGUCAAACGCAGGAGCAAAAAUUUCAAAAUAGCAGACAACGUUUUUGACAGAAGUCUUGUACCAUUACUUCUAUCUCGCUUUAUUCUCUUCUAUAUAUAUAUAUAUAUAUAUAUAUGGUGAAUUGACUAGAGCAUGCAUAUAAGACUUCUUCUAGUCAUGAUGGUCAGUGAGGUUUUUGGUUUUAAAAUCAACAACUCCACUUAAAUUUCUUAAACUUGAAGAAUAUGCGAAGACAAUGCAUUUUUAAUAUGCUAAUUAUUCCUUGUACAGAAACAAGAAGGGAUUCUCCUCUACAUUAUUGUCCCAAUAUAUCAAACAUUGAUAAAGAAAAAAUGCAAAUCAAAACCAAGGCUCCCUCCCCACUGUUUCGUUUUAUAUGCUCUUGGAUCUUGAUUAACUAAUGAAGGAAACAAUUUGAAAACAUUAAAAUUGUAUCAAGAGACAGGGAAUGACACAGUUAGACAACUCCUUUUCAAUUUAGUGGAUGGCUAAAGGAUUUAUCUCCACUUAUCAAUUACUUCAGUUUCAGAAAUUUGGAGGAAGAAAUCACAAUGUAUUGAAGUUGACAACCAGAAGCCCAAAAGAAAACAAUUUUGACGAAUACCCACCAAACAGUUGAAGUGCUGCUGUAACUGAGAUUUUUUAUUAUAUGUAUUUUUUGUGGUCCAAUGGAUAAAUAAUUUUUUUUUCUUUUAUUUUAUCAGCUUAAUUUUGCAUGUGGAAUAUUGAGUUUUCUGUUAUUUUUUCAGACACAGAAUUGAAUCCUUUAUAUAUUCUUAAAACCAAAUUUGAAUUCUAAGUUCCUAAAUGAAGGAAUAAUAAAGAUUGUUGCAACUUGCAUGUACAAAUUCUCCUUCAAAAAAUUAACAAAUAAUAAAGUCUCCUAUGUUAAUGAAGAUUUAAUUAUAACUUAGCCCUGUAAUUUCUUAAAAUUAAUUAUUUAGUCUUUUAAGUAUAAUGGAUGUCGCACCCGACAUCGCGGCGGCCCUAAAAAUAAUCCUCGAAUAUGAAAAAAGAACAGAUUUCUGGCAUCUUGCUCUUUUAGAAGAAAAAAAAUGUCUUAUUUGAGGAGUCGCCACCUAUUAUUAUGGUCACUAGGAACCCUAACUAGUCAACAGAGAUUCUAUGGCUCGGGAUUGGUUAUGUAAAAGGGAAGAUAUUAUCACCCUUUAAACGUUCUGCCUAAUGCAGAUUGCAUUGCUGGUUUUGUCUUAAAUUGCUAAAUGUUUAUUAGUUUAUGCUAUGAUAAUUUGUUUAUAAUAUUCCUGACUCUGGCGCCAAUGAAUAUUCGAGCUCGAAUAAUUCCAACUCUGGCGUUGGUAAAAAUUCGUUGCUACGAAAAAAAAUUAGAUCAAUAUUUUUUAUUCUCUACUCUAGCGCCAAUGAAUAAAUAAAUAAAAAUAAAUUUAUUUUUACGCAUGCACAUAUUUUUUUAUUUCUUAUGUAGUUAAAUAAAAAUUAAAUCAGUAUUUUUUAUUUCUGACUCUGGCGUAAGUGAAUAAAUCAAUAAAUUUUUCUAUUUUUUCUAUUUUUAUUUUUUUUUGUUUUGGGGGUUGGGCCCAGCUCAGCCCACAAGGGCUGGGCUGGACCCAGCUGACUCGAUUGGGUCACUGGUCUAGACCAGUGACCCGGCCGGGUGGCAAACGCACGCCUGCCCAAUGAAUUAUAAUUCACUUGCUACAGUAGCAAGUGAAUUAUAAUUCACUGCUACUGUAGCAGUGAAUUAAAAUGCAAAAGGGUAGAGAUGAGGGACGACUGACCUGGUGCAGCAAGGCGUAGCCGGAGACGAUGGCGCACUGUGCUGGACAAACGACGCUGCCUCCUCUUGUUCUUCCUCUCUUCUUCCUUCUCUUCCUCCUUUUCUUCCCUGGUUCGUCCCUGUAUUUCUUUCCUGGAGUGCCCUGUUUCUGGUGCAGUGGCUGCUGAAGAUGGAGCUCUGGAGUUGCUGCUUCUGGAGGCGACGAAAACGGUUGUGACGCUGGUGGUGACUCUUGUCUACUGCUUUCCUUGGUCUUCCUUAUGUGCUUCCUCUGCUCAGGACAUCAACGAUGGUGAUGAAGAUGUUAGGUGCUGCCGGUUGAAUGGAAGCUUGCUCCCCUGUUUCUGUUUUUCUGCAUUCGUCUUCCCUAGUUUUCCUUUCCUAAGCUGUGAUAAGAUAGGAUUUAGAGGAAGAAGAGAUAAUAAGAUAAAAGGUGAUUGUUUAUUGAUUGCAUGCCUUUCCUCUCGAAACAGUGAGCCUAAAUAGGCCAUUCAAUACAACUGUAAACUAAAUAAUAGGAACUCCAGUAGUGGAGAGCUGAAGACUAGGGAUUCUCUGACCCAUUCAAUUACUUAAUUAAACAAUGAAAUAAAUUAAACAAUGAAACAAACAAAACAUAAAGUAAUUCCACGUAGACUCUCUCCAUGCAGUAGUAGCAAGAGAUCCACGUGCCCAAUGCUCUUAUCAUUCCCUCUCCCUCCCUUGAAUUCUCCUUGUCCGCAAGGUUGAAUUGAGGAUAAGUUUUUGCAAAUCGCCACAAAUUUUCCCACGAAGAAUCUUCUGGCAAUGCCCCCUUCCAUUGCACCAAGAUUUCCGUUCGUGGCCUGUAUUUCCCCUUCUGGAUAACCCUUCUAUCAAGGAUUGCUUCUGGUUCUGGUAACACCACAACAUCUGACAUAAUUGGAGGAAGGGUGAUCACCGCGUCCUUGGCUAUAUCUCCCCACUGUUUCUUGAGUAAACUGACAUGGAAAACAUCAUGUAUGCGUGACCCUGUGGGAAGGUCUAAUUUGUAUGCCACUGGUCCAAUGCGAGCGAGAACCUUGAAGGGGCCAAAAAACCUGGGUGAUAACUUUAAGGAACUCCUGAAAGCUACCGUUUUUUGGCGGUAUGGUUGCAAUUUUAAGAACACAUAAUCUCCAACCUGAAAUGUGACUUCCCGACGAUGCAAAUCUGCCCGAGAUUUCAUGCGUCCCUGUGCAUCAAUUAAAUUCCGUCUGAGGUCCCGCAGGAUGACCUCUCUUGUGCGCAGCAUUUGAUCUACUGCUUGAAGCUUUGUAGUUCCUGGUAUAUAGGAGAUCAUAGAUGGAGGAGGGACCCCGUACACAGCUUCAAAUGGAGAAACCUUCGUUGUUGAUUGAAUGGCCGUGUUGUAACCAUAUUCAGCCCAAGCCAGCCAUUCCAUCCAUGCCUUUGGGUGGUCGCAAGUGAAACAGCGCAGGUACUGUUCCAAGGUCCGAUUAACCACUUCGGUUUGGCCGUCCGUUUGCGGAUGGUAACUGGAGCUGUAGUUAAGUGUCGUGCCAUGUAGCGUGAAUAAGGACUUCCAGAAGGAGCUGAUGAAGAUUUUAUCCCGAUCACUCACUAUAGAACGCGGCAUGCCAUGUAAUUUGACCACAAUAUUUAAGAAACACUUCGCAACCGUCACUGCAGUGUAGGGAUGUUUAAGUGGCAUAAAAUGGUUGUAUUUGGAGAGCCGAUCCACCACAACCAUGAUAACACUGUAACCUUGCGAAGAUGGUAAGCCCUCGAUAAAAUCCAUAGAUAUGUCCGUCCAAAUGAGCUGUGGGAUUGGGAGAGACUGAAGUAACCCCGCUGGCCUUAAAGUUUCAUGUUUACAACGCUGGCACACCUCACAUUCUCUAAUGAAGUUCUUGACAGAUGUUCGUAUGCCAGGCCAUAGAAAGCUGGAGGAGAUGCGGGUCAAGGUCUUUAAAUAGCCAAAAUGUCCACCUGCAGGGAAUGAAUGCCCAUCGGCCAAAACAGCAGGUAACAAAGAGGAUGUAGGACUCAAGUGUAUCCUCCCUUUCUGCAUCCAAACCCCAUCUCUUUGAACCAGUUUUAAAGUGGGAUUGGUGGCCACAGUGCUGUAAUAGGGCUGCUGCUGGACUUCUUGUUGUAGAGUUUCCCACCAGUCUGUAAUAGGAGCUGAUAUAGCGUGUAAUUGUGCUGCUGCCACGCGAGAGAGAGCAUCAGCUCCCUGAUUUUCCUUGCCCUUGCGAUACUGAAUGCUGUAAUCGAACCCCAUAAUCUUCGGCAGCCAACGGGCUUGAGAAGGGGUGGUAAGUCGUUGCUCGAGAAGGUACUUCAAGCUUUGAUGAUCGGUCUUGAUCACAAAGGUUCUGCCCAAUAAAUACGGCCGCCAUUUCCGCACUGCCUUCACUACUGCGAGCAUCUCCUUGUCAUACGUUGACAGUAAUCUAGACUUGCCCUUCAAGGCCUCACUGUAAUAAGCAAUUGGCUGAUUGUCUUGAGAUAAAAUUGCUCUCAACCAUCACCACACGCAUCACACUCCACUGCAAAUUGUUGUGCAAAGUUUGGAAGUCGCAGCACAGGUGGGGACGUGAGGGCUUGCUUCAGUUUAUUGAAAGCCAUGAGCGCCUCCUCAGACCAGCGAAACCCCUCCUUGGAUAGGAGCUGAUUUAAUGGUGCAGCUAUGACGCCAAAUCCUCUCACAAAUUUUCAGUAAUAUCCAGCCAAACCGAGAAACCCACGGACAUCCUUGGGAGUUGCUGGAAUUGGCCAAUUUUGGACGGCUUGGAUUUUGGCAGGGUCCACUGCUACUCCUUCGGCAGAAAUGAGGUGCCCCAAAUAACCCACGGUAAGCACUCCAAACUGGCAUUUUGAGAGCUUUACAUACAGCUGGUUGUCCGAGAGAAUACGCAGCACUUGACAGAGAUGUUGUAAGUGAUCCAUCCAAGACCUGCUAUACACCAAAAUAUCGUCAAAAAAUAACAAUAUAAAUCGCCGUAAAUGAGGGCGAAAGAGGUCAUUCAUGAGACUCUGAAAAGUUGCUGGGGCGUUUGUCAAUCCGAAUGGCAUGACCACAAACUCGUAGUGACCGUCAUGAGUGCGGAAUGCGGUUUUUGGAAUGUCUUCCGGCUGGACUCUAAUCUGGUGAUACCCGGAGCGCAAGUCCAGCUUUGAAAAGAACUUCGCGCCAUGUAAUUCAUCAAGCAACUCAUCAAUGACCGGAAUGGGAAACUUGUCUUUAAUUGUGAUUUCAUUGAGCGCCCGAUAAUCAACACAAAAUCGCCAAGACCUAUCAGCCUUUUUAAUCAACAAAACCAGAGAAGAAAAGGGGCUGCGACUGAGGCGAAUAACUCCAGAUUGUAGGAAUUCCUUGACCAGUUUUUCAAUCUUAUUUUUUUGAUAGUACGGGUACCUGUAAGGCCGGUUGUUGACUGGAGAUUUAUUGGACAUCAAGGGAAUUUGGUGGUCAUGGCUGCGCGUAGGUGGCAGCGUUGUAGGCUCCUGGAAAACAUGUGCAAAAUCUGAAAGGAUGAGAUUGAGGUCAGGUGACCACGCUGAGGCUGUCUUUGGCAUUGUCUCCGUUUCUAUAUGCACAAAAUACCCCACACCUGAUAAGUGGAUCAACUCCUUAUCACUUAGGGGAGCGAGUUCAGUGUUUGAUAGUCCUCUCAAUGUGUACGUCUGGCCUUCUUGUUUAAAUGACAUGAUGAGCUUUUUGUAAUCGGUCUUGAUGGGGCCUAAAGUCUCCAGCCAUUGCACUCCUAAUACGGCUUGGCAGGCUAUCACUGGAAGCACAAAGAAGUCUGCGCGAACAAUGAUUCCUUGAAUCGAUAAAGAAAGGCCUAAGCACCGCCCAGUACACUCAAUAAUCUCCUUGUUCCCAACUGUGACUUGGAUGGUUUUGCCGCGAAUAACAUGUAGUCCCAAUUUGGUUGCCGUGGACUGAUCAAUAAAAUUAUGGGUGCUUCCCCCAUCAAUGAGCACUGUCAUAGCCGUGUUUCCUGCUCUACCAAUGACACGGAAAGUCUGUGGGUGGUUUGUUCCCACCAGAGCAUGAAAUGAUAUCUCUGGAAUGUCUUCCUCAGGCGUCACAAUCUCCAUGUCCACAUCGUCUCCUUCCUCCUUCUGCUGCACAUCCACCAUCAUGAACAACUGAGGCCGUGAACAACGAUGCCCGGGAACAUAUCGCUCAUCACAAUAGAAACACAACCCUUUUUCACGUUUCUCCCUUGCCUCCUGACCUGUUAUCCGUCGAAUUGGUGCAGUUGGGUGAGUUGUUCAUUGAGCCGGGGCAGGACCCAAGAGUCCCAUGGUGUUUGUGUGUGGUUGUUUCGGCUGGAAUGAAGGUGUUGUCGAUGGUCUGACUGGAUUGUUGAAUUUCCUUUGGAAAUGAUUUCGUUCUUCAAUUAAAUGAGCCACACUAAUGGAUUCAGAGAGAGUUUUUGGUUGCUUAACUCGAACAUCCAAACGAAUUUCAUCUUUUAAUCCCGCAAUAAAACACCCUACCAGGAAAUUUUCUGGGAGGUCAUCAACCUUGUGAGACAGUUUCUCAAAGGCUUCUUGAUAUACAUUCACAGUCGUGGUUUGCUUAAGUCUGGACAAUGCUUCUGACGGAUCAUCAUACUCAGUUGGUCCAAAACGGUGGAGAAGGGCUGAGACAAACUCAUUCCAGAGUAAUUGUCCCUUGCUUUUCGUAUACCAACGAUACCACUGCAAGGCGACACUCGACAGAUGAAAUGACGCCAAUUGUACUUGUCGUGGAGCGUCAAUGUUCUGGAACUCAAAGUAUUGUUCUGCCUUAAAUAUCCAGCCAGUGGGAUCCUCCCCUUCUCCAGAAUAGGUUGGAAAAUUCAACUUGAGGGUAGUGUGGUUUCUGUCGGCAUUGAAGGUUGCAGACGACCUGUCGUGAGAAGUACUUCCCCCAGCAUAAGGAUUUACUUCCCUCUCACUGGAACGAUGGGAAUGGGCGAUCCUCAUCGCUUGUAGCUCUGUCAUGACUCCCUGAAGGGCGUCGUUGACUCGAUUGAAAUUGUGAUUCAAUUCGUCAAAAUUGGCGUCGUGUCAUCCGAGAGUUUCUGUGAUCUCAGCACGAAACUACGCAUUAGUUUUACCACGCGUGUCCAUGGAUUGAACAGCUCUAAUACCACUGAUAAGAUAGGAUUUAGAGGAAGAAGAGAUAAUAAGAUAAAAGGUGAUUGUUUAUUGAUUGCAUGCCUUUCCUCUCGAAACAGUGAGCCUAAAUAGGCCAUUCAAUACAACUGUAAACUAAAUAAUAGGAACUCCAGUAGUGGAGAGCUGAAGACUAGGGAUGCUCUUGCUAAUCCCGUUACUUAUUCUCUAACCCAUUCAAUUACUUAAUUAAACAAUGAAAUAAAUUAAACAAUGAAACAAACAAAACAUAAAGUAAUUCUACGUAGACUCUCUCCAUGCAGUAGUAGCAAGAGAUCCACGUGCCCAAUGCUCUUAUCAAGCUGUUGCUUGUGAUAUUAUUGGAAAACGAAGACGCAGACGAAGACGAUGGUCGAUGGUGAUGGAGGUCUGCACCCAGGAGAUGGGGGUUCUUCCCCUGCGUUUUUCUUGUUGUUGUUCGUCUCUGUGUUUUUUUUUCUGUUCUCUGUUCUGGGUCUCCAGUGGCUUUUCGGUUAUGCCCUCCCCUCUCUUCUGUCUUCUCUCCCCUUUUCCCCCGGUUUUGCUCUUUUUUCCUUUCAUCCUCUUCUGCUCAGUCGUUCUUUGGCUUUUAUAGCCAGAGAAAAUAAUGUCGUUUCUUCCAACCAUAAAGUGUGAUAAUUGCAGAAGUAAUGGCUGUGCGGCGGUGGGCGUCCGUUUCGGUCGGGUGAGGAAGAUGAACAGUAACGGGCAACGGUGCUGUUUUGGUAUUCACAGUUGUAUGCCUUUUGGCCCUUGAAGUUUUGAACGUUUUGUAAUUAAGCCCCUAGUUAAAUUGUAAAUGGACCCCUGAAUUUCGACGCCUUUUACAAGUUAGGCUUUGGACUUUAAUCUGUUGCCAUUGUGCCCCCAAUUAACCCCAAAAUUUGGUAUUUUUUCAAUUAAGUCCCUGAUUUCAUUAAUUAAAUUAAAUCUAAGUCCAAUUAAGUCCCAAACUUAUCAAUUCAUUAAAUAAGCUCUUGAUUUUGUCAAUAAAACUAAUCCAAAGUUUAAUUAAAUCUCAAAACUUCCAAUUUUGUUGCCAUUAACCCAAAAUUUUAAUUCAUUCUUUAUUUUUAUCAUUUCACUCAUUUCAUCAUCAAAUUUUUUAAAUAAAAUAGAGAAGUCAAAAAUUGGGUUAUGAUAAUGAAUAAUUAAAAAAUCUAUUAACUUGUGUUGACCACCCUCCAUUUACUAUAUUUUUCUCUAAAAAAUGCCUUCCUUCCUAAUGAAAUUUCCUCAAAUACAUACUUUUUUUUUUAGGAAAUGUUCCAUUUUCCUCACUUCUAGAAAAAAAAAAUUAAAUGCUUGUGCGCAUGGGCUUGACCUUGCAGAUCCGCACACAAGCCUUUGAUGGGUGGGCCAAGCACUAGGCCUGACUUUCUAGAUCUAACAACGUAUGACCUCAUUUAUUUUUUUUAAUUAUUAUUAAUACCUAUAUAUAUAUAUUUAUUUAUAUAUUUGAAAAUAUUUUUAAAAAUGAUGUUUUUAUUAAUACUCGUUUUCGUUGAUUUUUUUUUUUGCCUUAUUUAGCGUUCAAUUAUUUUUAAUUAUGUUGGGUAUGUUUAGUUUUUUAAGAAGUUACUAUUAUUUAUCUGUAAAAUUUUUUUAUAUAUUUCAGAUAGAUUAAGUAUUUAUUUUUUUAUAAUAUUUUGAAUAAUUAUAGCCUUGCAUGGUAUUUUUUUUCCUUUUAUGCUAUUCAAUAAAUUUUAUAUGUGUAUUGAUUUCUAUUAUAAAUUAAUUUUAGUAAAUAAAUUAAUUAAACAUAACCAGGGUUAUUUAUUUAUUGGUAAUGACUUUUUUUUUCAUUUAUUUAUAUAAUGAUUCAUGAUUUAUUUAAUUCGAUGCGUGCAUAAGUUUUUUAAUUUAUAUUUAUGAUUGUUUUUAAUGUAAGAAAACACGUUCAUAAAUUCUUAUUAUUAUGAUUUCAGUUUAAUCCUAAUUUUUAUGAUUUUUUAUUUUUUUUCCUUAGCCUUUUAUAAAAGUUUUUUUGUUUGUAAUUUCACCCUUUAAUUUAAUAUGAUGGUGUAUUUGUUUUUUUAUUUUUUGCUUCUAUAUAUAUAUAUAUAUAUAUAUAUAUAUAUAUAUAUAUAUUCCCGUCUUUUGUUUUUUCGUUUUAUCAGCUUUUGCAUGUGGAAUAUUGAGUCUUCUACUUUUUCAGCCACAGAAUUGAAUCCUUUAUAUAUUCUUAAAACUAGAUUUGAAUUCUAAUGAACGAAUAAUAAAGAUGGUUGCAUGUACAAAUUCACCUUCAGAAAACAUAUAAUAAAGUCCCAUAUGUUAAUGAAGAUUUAAUUAUUAAGAAUAUAAAUUAAAUUAAAUUAAAUAUUGAAAAAACUAAAUGAAUUCCUUAAUAAAUAAAUAAAUUCUUUCUUUAGAAAGCAUGGAAAUGCCAUGACACUGGCUUUUUAGAGAGAUGAAGAUCUGGAGCACAACAGCCAAGAAAGUUAUCGAUAAAAGGAAGAUGGGAAGAGGGGAAAUGGGUAACGGGAGAGAGAUGAAGAUCUGCGCAUGGCUACCUGUUUUUGAGAGAAUUAUGGAAAGUUAUCCCUCACUCAAAACGGCACCAAUUAUAAGUUCAUUAAAAAAAAUCUGGAGCACAAUAGAUGGAAAAAACUCGAAACAACUUGUCUAGAAUUUAGGCAAGAAGAAUGAGCCAAGAUUUUAAUUGCAAUGAAAUUUAUCUCACUUUGUUAAGUUUUUUAAAAUGAUACAAGAUAUACUACCUAAUGAAACAAAAUGGAAUCAACAACCUUUAAAAGGAGUAGAGAUCACUUAUGUGUCUCUCAUAUUCAAUAGCCUUUUUCCCAUACUGACAUGUGCUUUACACUCACCAACAUUUUUUUUCUUUUUAUUUUAUAAUAUUCAACAUCGGCGAGUGAGAAUUUGAUAGCUAACUUUAUUAGUAGUGUUGGUUGCUGACUUGUCAGACACGUUUUGAGGCCAUAUGUAGUCACCAAGAACAAAUCCAUGAGGGCGAUAAGGCCCCAUAAAGACAAUAUCUGGUAGAUUCAGUCAGGCUAUGACAUAUUCGAUAAUAACUCUUCAAUUAAGUUCUAAAUCUCAUUUCAUCUUUUCAAUUUAAUCCCUAAUUUGACAUCAACUCUUCAAUUAGACCCCAAAGCUUAUCUCACCUGAGGAAAGCCCUCUUCUCUCAAUUUAGCCCCUUAUUAUCUUCAAUUUAAUAUCAAAUUUUAUUUGAUCCAAGCCCAAAAAAGGCUAAGCGAAGAUAGAAUAAAGGAAGGGAAAGAAAAUGAAUAAUUGCCCAACGGAGUUAACGUGUUUUGGUCUUUUCUCCAUGAUUUGGGUUGAACAUUUGACAUAUAUCCUUUUUUCUAUAGUUUUUUAUCCAUGUUCGUUGUGACGCCAUUGGUAUAGAAUGGUUACCAACUGUUAGUUUAAUAUGCCUUGUAGCCAAUCGGUUAGUUACACGAGACAUUAUUAUAUUCAUGUAAAUACAUAUUUAUUAUUAAUAAAGGCUUAAUUUAACUUUAAUAUUCAUAUAAUAUUAGAGUAAUGAAUCUAAAGUAUAAAUAAAGUUUAUGAGACAAAAAUGUUUUGCAAAGGAAAUUAUAAAGUUGUUAUAAUUAUGAGAUUUUUAAUGCAUCAAAGUAUAAUUCAUAAAAUAUUCUUGGUCGAUGCUCUCUUAAAUACUGGAUAUUAAUUAGAGCUAUAAAGACUGAUACAUAUUAUGUUUUUUCCUUUAUGAAAUGAAGCAACUGUUCUCAUAAGUUGAGCUAUAAGGGAUACCUAAAACUAAUAUGUAUAUGCUUGUCAUUAGACAUGUACACUGAAUUGACCGGCAUGAGAAUUCCAUAUGAAGAGAUUAUUUAUGUCUAUGGAAAGACUCACAUGACGGUUGUAUAUGUAAUCCUUAGACUUGAGAUCACUAAGUUAUCUUAUAUAGAGAAUGUUAUGCUUUGAUCCUGUUACAUGUUAUCUUAAUUGAGGUAACAAAAUGAUAGACAUUGGGUAUAUCAUGAACUAUAUGAAGGUACUUGAGUAAUCAAGAGAGGAUUUCAUCACCCUAUGUGAAUUAGAAAAAAUGUUCAAUCUGUUCUCAAAUAAUAUUGACUGAGAAAUCCGUGGCCAAUGUGGAAUGAUAUUUAAAAAGGAUUUCAAAUCUUAUUCAAAUAAUCAAUUGCUAUCAUAUAGAGAAUGACAUGAUUUAACAUGGCAAACAUGCUUCAUGCUUUAAUGUUAAAUAAGAACAUUAGUGAUAAAAUGGUAUUAAUUACAAUGAGAAACUGGUAAUUGAAACCACUAAUAACUUUUCUAAUAUUUAUGGGAUCAUGACACGUUACUAGACAAUGCAUAUGAUCUUCAAAUCUUCAAUUGUAAUUUAUUUAAUUAUAAUUAUAAUUUAUAUUUGGGUUAAUAUAUUAGGAACCUAAUAUGUCAUACACAUUAAGAAUUAAAUUGUGAUGAUUUAAUUAAGUAUAACUUGAUUAAAAAAAAAUUUAGAAAUUAAGGACUACAAUAUAAUUAAUACAAGGAUUAUAUUUUUAGAUCUAGAAAAAUCAAGGACUUGAUUGAGUUAAUUUAUAAAAUUAUCUUAAAUUAAUAUAUGGAUAUUAUUCAAGGGGAAAAUUGAUAUUUUGUCAAUUUAUAGGGUUUUUCAUAUUUCCUUAUAAAUAGUAAGUGUCGCACGUGUGCGGCGUCGUGACAAAAACAUUCACCCUCAAAAUCUUAUCUUAUAAUGUGGCAAAUGUGGGGAGACAAGGAAUUCUUGUUUUUUAUUAGUGGUAAAUUGGAAUGGGAGUCGCCACCUAGUAUUUUGGUCACUAGGAACUCUAGCUGGUCUCAAAGAUCGGGUACGGGGACUGGUUGCGUAAAGGGAAGGUAUUAGCACCCCAAAUACGCCCUACCUAAGGUAAGCUGCAUUGUUUUAUUGUUUGAUAAAAUCUAAGAUCUUGUCGUGUUUUCUCGUUGUUGGUUCGUCUAUGGUUUAAGAAAAGUCCUUCUCGGUAAGGAGAUCCUUAUCUUAUCGGGUAAUUCUGACGUCAACCAAAGAAUUUAAUAUCCGAAAUACGUCUUACGUAUAAGGUCAUAACCCCAGAUAUUAAAAGAAAACAAAAUAAUUUUUUUGGAAUUUUUGAAAUAUUGGCCUAGUUCUCGUGACUUUAAUAAACUGGUUAUUAAAGCCAAAAUGCAUGUUAAUAUAUAUUUUUGAAAUUUUCUUUGUUAUAUGAAAAUACAAUAUGAUUUUUUUUUCUUUUAUUUUUGAGAGACUUGGUCGUAUGCAUGAAAACAAAAUAUUUUUUAUUUUUUAAAUUUUUUUAAUGUCUUGACGAAAACCGGGUAUUUUAAUACCAGAUUUAUAUCUUUACAGUAUAAAAAUACAAACCAAUAUUGAUCAAAAUGAAGUAAAAAAUUUGCAGAAAAUCACAUAUUUUUUUAAAAUUCUUUUUCCGGGCUGGGCCCAGCCCGGCCCAUGUGGCUGGGCUGGACCCAGCAGGUUUCUACCCGCAUGCGUGCGUGAACAAUUCACGCACGCCUGCUACAGUCGCGAUGUAAUUAAUUUUCAUGUGCACAGUGUUUGUGCAUUUUCUGCAAAGUUGGAGAAGUUUACCUGGAAGCAAGACGAAGGCAACAACAGCUUUGGACCUCUAUCUUCACCUUUUCGUUUGUUUUUCUUCUGGUUCCUCUGGUUCUUCCUGUUUUUUUCUGUUUCUGUUUUCCGUUCUUCUUGUGGUUCCUUUCCUUUCGUCUCUGUCUUCUCCUUCCUCCCGGUAUUCUUUGUUUUUUUUGGUUCCCCUCCCCUUUUCUGUUUCUCUCCUCCCUAUCCUCUGCUUCCUUACGCUCUCCCUCUGUCUAUCUCUCUUUUUGUUCUUUUCAAAAGAUUUCCCACCCUCUGUUUCUUUCUCCCUAUGCUGCCCAGUUCUCCUUCCUUCUCGUUCUUUUUCUAUGUUUUCUCCCUGCUCCCUUCUUCUCCCCCUCUUCGGCUCAGUCUUCUUCUGCUGCUUUUAUAGGUCAGAGAAGGCUUUGUGCUGGUAACGGCUGGCUUGGUAACGGUUUGAAGAGGGAUGACAGCCGUGACACAUGCCCUAUAAUUGAAGAGAAUUGGCACUGUUGCUGCAAGAAAACGUCUCUCGGCCUUUAGUGCUGAAACGGCUGGAAGAAGACACUGAAUAGUGUUUCAAGGCAACGGCCCCGUUUUUUGCAAUUUUAAAUGAUAUUUAUGAUUUGGUCCUUGGAUGUUUUUACAAUUUGUAAUCAAGCCCUCGGAUAAAUUAUAAUUGGAUCCCUUGAUUGUAGCACCUUUUCUGUUUUGGUCCUUGGUUUUGAAUUGUUUCAAUUAAGUCCCUAAUUGGCCAUCAAACUUUAAUAACUAUGCAAUUAAGCCCCUGAUUUGACCAAAUCAACUCUUUAAAAUUAUAAUUGGACCCCAGAACUUUAAUUUCUUCCAAUAAAGACCUAAAUUGACUUAAAAAACAAUUUUUCUUGCAAUCAAACCCUCCAUAAAUUCAAUUAAACCUUAGAUAAAAUUUAAUUGAGUCCAUAAACAUCUUAUUUUGAAUAUAUUUUUUCAAAAAUUGAAUUUUCUUUGUCAACAGAACUCUCAUCAGUUAACGAUAAACUGUCAAAUUUCAACCUUUUGCAUUUUUGAACCUCUUCAACCAAUUUUUGGCCAUUUUUCGGCAUUCUAGCAUCCUUUUCUUACUCCUAUUAUUUUUUGGAUUUCUUUCGAAUAUUUUUUGAUAUAUAUUUCUUUUUGUAUUUUCUCAUUUUUUUGUGGGAACCCAAAAAUGGGUAACAACAGUAAGCUAUGCCUUUUAUUUUUUAGGAGUUGUCUGUUAGACAAAAAGACUACGUAUGUCACAUAAUAAAGAGAUAACACUCUAGGCAUAACAAUCCCUCUCUCUUAAAUAGGGACUUGAGAGAUUUUUCACUAGUGGUUCAUGUGAAUUACUAUUGAAGGACAAACAAUUGGACGACUUCUAGUUUACAACAACCCAGUCUUUAAAAAAUUAUUCAAAACCGAAGAUGAUCAAAUCUUUAGGUAAUAAAUCCCUAAACAACUCUAGAUCUGUUUAACAAAAUUCCAGAAAUUCCCGAAUAAUUUUAGGCUGUGUUUGUUUUCCGGAAAGUGGUUUCCGGAAAACCACUUUCCAAACUUUCCUGUGUUUGUUUGUUAUUAGGAAAGUUGGUCAACGGAAAACACUUUUCAGUCAAAGGCAAAAUUUAGCUUGGUUUUUAGAAAAGUGUUUUCCUUUUAUUUUAGGCGGAAAACACUUUCCGGAAGUUGUGCAAAAUUUAGAAAUGUCAUAUUAUUUGCUGAUUAUAUCAAAAUUGGUCCUGAAACUUUUGAUUGCUAUAUAUAUAUAUAUAUAUAUUUUUUGUUUUGAAUAUUUGUUUUUCAAUUUCAUCCCUUGGAAUUUAAUUUUUAUAUUAACUUUACUCCUCAUUUUUAUAAUUGCUAUUUGAUUUUCCCUUAUCAUUUUUUAAUUAAAUUUUUUUAUCUAUCAAAUUUGGUCAUCAUUCUUUUGAUUGUUACUUAUUUUAUUUGAAAUAAUUUAUAAAAUGUUAAUUAUUAUUAUUUUAAUUUCUUCAUCUUUCAAUUUUUUUAUUUUUUAGAUUUGAUCUCUAUUAUUUUGAUUAUUAUUUAUUUUAUUUGAGAUAAUUUAUGAAAUUAUAUUUUUUUUCAAUUUUAUUCUCAUUCAACUUUUUAAUUUGUAAGAUUUAUUCCUCGUUAUUUUAAUAAAUUUGAGAAAAAUAAAAUAUUAAUACGUUAUUUUCCAGCUUAUUUUCCAUGACAUAACAAAACACAGGAAAAUGUUUUCCAACUUAUUUUCCAUGACACUGCAAUUGGAUGACUCAUAUUUGAUUUAUGGAGCUAGCUAUGCUAAGGGAAUCAUGCUUGUAUCACCUAUACUAAUAAUAAUAAUUACAUAUUAACAAGCAUCAUUUGAUUAGUAAGUUUCCAAAUUCUAUCCACAAAUAUUAUAACCUCUUAAUUUAUGCAAGAACUUAGCUACAUUUCAUGCAAGCAAUCCCUAACUCUAGUAUUUUGUCUGUGUUAAAAAUGGAGACUUCUUGGUGUUCGCCGGAGCUUGGGUAUAUACCAUAUUUGAACAAAUAACAAUGUAAAAACAUCUUUUAACGAUAUUAAAAUCAUUUAUUCAUUUAAAGUAUCAAUAUUGUCAUUUAUAGUGAAACAUUUAAUUUUACUACAUUGAAAAUACGUUGACCAAUAGAAUCCCCGCCUUCAGCUAACCCCCAAUAUGUCUUGAAUAGCAAUGGCCAUCCUUUGGCCAUCAUGCCAUAAAAGCCUCAUUUGGAGCCAAUUCCUCUCUUUCUUGCCACUAUUUAGCUUCCGACCAUUCUUCGCGUUUCACUUUUCUUCAAAUGUUUUCACCAAAACAAAGCUUCAACCUUUAAAUUGUUGCUUAUAAAGUCGAGAUCCAAGGGAUUAUUUAAGAUUUUAUGGAAAUUACGUAUUUCAAAUAUUUUAUGUUUAUUUUUCUGAAAUAUCGUUUGAAGCAAAAGGCAAAAAAGAAUUAAAAAUUUUUUUAAAGUGUUUUUAAAACACAAAAACAAACAGAGUUUGUUUUUUAUUUUUUAAAGAAUUGUUUUUAAAAAAUAAUUUUUUGUAUUCUAAAUUAAUUUUUUUAUUAUUUUAAUAUAUUUUAAAUAAAAAAUAUUUUAAAAAACAUCUACUUAAAAAAUAUUAUUUUUCUGAAAUAAUACUUUUCUCUAUAUUUGAGUUUAGUUUAAAAUANNNNNNNNNNNNNNNNNNNNNNNNNNNNNNNNNNNNNNNNNNNNNNNNNNNNNNNNNNNNNNNNNNNNNNNNNNNNNNNNNNNNNNNNNNNNNNNNNNNNAUUUUAAUGUUUUUUCAUGCUCUAGCAAAUGAGGCACGAAAAGAGAACCUGAAAUCACGGCAGCAAAUAAGGAGAGAAAUAGGUGUUUGUUUUUUAUUUUUUAAAGUAUUAUUUUUUAAAAUUAAUUUUUUGUAUUCUAAAUUAAUUUUUUUAUAUUUUUAUAUUAAUAUUAAAAAUAAUUUUUAAAAAAUAAAAAAUAUUAUUUUAAUAUAUUUUUAAAUAAAAAAAUAUUUUAAAAAAGAGCUGCUUAUUCAAACACUUAAAAUAAAAAUCUUAAAAUCACAGCAUGAUAAAAGAAGAAAGAAAGGAAUGGGAUAAAGAAGAAAGAAUAAAAAAAACUCCAAAAAUCACGGCAUGAUCAAAGGAGAAAGAAAAGGAUGGGACAAAGAAGGAAGAAAGUAAGGUCACGUAGGGGCUUGUCUUGUAGAAAAUGUGAGAAUUAGCAUGAAAAGAGGAUAAUAGAGUAGUUGUUAGAAUCAAAAGACAUAAACACGGGAGAGAGGCUGCCCCUUACCUCCUCCUGGGAAGGAAUAUAUGUCAGACUAUACAGCCUUUUUCAAUUCAUUAAUGUCGUUCUCUGUUUGUCUUCUAAAACCUACUCCCAUCAUGUACAUGUAUUAUUUUCUUAAAAUUGCUCUAUGGAAUUGCAGGCCAUGCUCGUUUGAUUUUUUUAAUAACAAAAUUCUUUUCAUGCUCUUGCAAAUAAGGCAGGGAUGGAGGCCUUGAAAUCACGGCAGCGAAUAAGAAGUGAAAAAGAGCCUUUGUUUUUGCUUUUUUAUUUUUUAGUAUUUUUGAAACAAAUUAGAUUUUUUUAUUUUUUUUAUUUUCUAUUAUUUUGAUAUAUUUCUAAACAAAAAAAUAUUUUAAAAAACAACCACUAACACAUUCUUUUUAAGCUAUUAAGUAACCAGUCCCUAUAAUUUUUCAACAUUGCACUUGGGUACCAAACUUCAUUUUUCUCUUUUUCAAGUUUUUUUUUUGGUGGAGAAGACAGAGAGGGUCGCUGAAUUUUAUUUUAGAGAGAGAAAGUUGUUGUUAAGAAAGAUUUUGGCUACCGAAAUCGUUGAUUUUUGUAUCAAAUGGUAACCGCCUAUUUUUUUCAUGUGUUCAUACUUAAAACCUUCUUAAAGAGUUCUUAUCAAUGGUUUUAAAACCUCUCUCUCAAGAUCGAAAGGUUAGAAAUAACUCUCUACCCUCUAAGUCUAAUAAAACCAUCAAGUACUCUUAAAACCAAAACCACAAUUGCAAAAACCAGUUUAGUACAAGAACUUCUAACUAUUAGCUUUUAUCCAUAACCCUCUCACUUUGAUCAAAUGGUUAAACUUUCAUCAAUCUUUGAGGGAAUCCACAAAAAAACCUAGAAAAACAUAUAAUUACUCUUGAAAAUUAGAGCCGGAGAGGAGGAGAAAAAAAGAGGAAAAACAUGGGGAAAUAAUUUGUUAAUAGACUCUAUUAUAAAGGUUCAAGAGCCUAGAAGGUUUAACCAGCUUUAGAAAGAAAAAAAGUGAAAGGAAAAGAAGGAAGGAAAUGAAAAUAAAAAAAUAACAACGUAAUUUUGAACUUAAAGGCCUAAUUUCAGUGAAAGUUAAGAGCAUUAGAGACUAGACCGUGCUUAUACCAAAGACUCUCAUCGUUGAAGGAAUGCAAACAGUUGUUAACGAGACACUUAUGCUGUUCCAACAUUCAAAGAUUGUUGAAUCUAGUACCGGUGCUCAUUCUGGAUCUAGUACCAAAAGGAGAAUAUAGAAAGAGAUAGUAGUGAAUUAAUUAUGUUUCAUUCAGUAGUAAGAAACAAACGGGGGCAAUGCAUUUAUAAUAGCCAGAGAGGGGUUUUUAUAUACAUUCNNNNNNNNNNNNNNNNNNNNNNNNNNNNNNNNNNNNNNNNNNNNNNNNNNNNNNNNNNNNNNNNNNNNNNNNNNNNNNNNNNNNNNNNNNNNNNNNNNNNACUAGAUAUAAAGAAAAAGUACAAAUUCCAACAAAAAAUACAUGUUUGAAGGUUCAACAAAAAUGAUUUGCUAAUUAGCUAUAAGCUUGAGAAAGAUAAAUAAUGAGAGUGUGAGUUCAAAAACUCAGUGAGUAGAUAACGUUCAAUAUACAUACACGAGGUAAUACAACAAUGAGGAAUAUAUAUACAAUUAUGGCUUUAGAUUCUUAUAGGAAGGUUUCUCAAAUAGGCCAUAACAAGGUUAUCAUAAGGUAAAAUUCGUUAGAAAAUCAAAAUGCAAUAACAUGAGGCUCUGUACUAUGGGAUGAUCAGUCCACACAGGUUGAUGACUCUCCCAACCAACUAGGGUUUCAAAUACAAUGUGCACUAAGACUAACACUACCCUGUUAGUAUGAGCAUUCUAACUGGCAUACCAUAAGUUCAUAUCAUAAUCAAACAAACAAAUUCAUAUCUCAAGGCCCAACUCAUGACAUUAAUAAAACAAGAAGCUAUCAAUUCAGAAGUCAAUUUAGAAGUAUAUAUUGGCUUAUAUCAAAAAUUCAAAUUCAACAAUUAAUCAUGUUUUAUCAUAACAAAGAUAAUAAUCAACAUAUAUAUUAUCAAGAAGCACGAUCCAAUUCAUAUUAACAGCUCAAAUAUUUAUACUAUUUCUCAUGCAUAUGGAAAAUUAUACACUCACUUGACUUAAAAGUGAACAGAACUCGAAAGCAAAUACCGAAGAAAAUCCUACUGAUAUUCCGCAUAUAGAAUAUCAAGAUUAUCUAAAUACAAAGAAGACAUAUUAUAAAAUGACUCGAAAAGAACAUACAACCUAUUUAAUACACUUAACUAAGGGUCUAUUUCAUAACCCUAUACAUUUUGUUAAUUCUAAACUAGUUAUUUUUCCCAAAAACCAAAAAAGUAAACGGUUUUUCAGAAAUCUAAUUCAUAAUAAAACAAAUAAUGAGACUUGAUAAUAAUUCACUAAAUAACCAUCAAUUAUUCAUCAAAACAAUCUGAAAAAGCUAAUAUUAAAGCUAGGGACCAAUCUGAAAUUUUAUCAUAUUUUUAGGGGUCAAAUUAUAAUUUUAUCAAAUUGGAAGACCAAACUAAAAAUGUCAUAAAUUCAUGACUAUACUGGAAUUCUGCCCAUAAUUCAUUUUCAAUUCUGCCCAGAAUCUCAAAUUAUGCUCCAGGGACCACUAUAGAAUUUUAUCAAAUUUCUAGGGUUAAAUUGUAAUUUCAUCAAAUUGGAGGACCAAAGUGAAAAUAUCAUAAAUUCAUAACUAUACUGGAAUUCUGCCCAUAGUUUAUCUUUAAUUCUGUCCAGAAUCUCGGAUUAUGCUCCAGGGACCAAUCUCUAAUUUUUCCAAAGUUCAGGGACUAAANNNNNNNNNNNNNNNNNNNNNNNNNNNNNNNNNNNNNNNNNNNNNNNNNNNNNNNNNNNNNNNNNNNNNNNNNNNNNNNNNNNNNNNNNNNNNNNNNNNNCAGACCCACAUGCCUAGGGUCUGCAGACCCGCUUGCGGUUUGCAGACCCUUAUCCCUGGAGUUGCAGAACCCCGCGCCUGGGGUGUGCAGAACCGGGAGCAGGGUCUAGACCCGCUCAUCUGGGUUUGAAGAACCCCACUUCUUCUAUCGUGCCUGGGGUCUGCAGCAUCCUCCCAGGGGUUGUAGACCCACACAACUAGAUCUGCAGACCCCGUAGAGAAAAAUAACAAACUUGAAAAAAAAAAUGAAAACAAAUAUAAUAACUAAUAACAAUUAUUUUUAUCAUUAUUAUUAUUAUCGCUAAUAAAUUUUAUAAAAACAUUAUUACUAUCAAAACUUGGACUAGACAAGUUUAAUAUUAUUAUUACUAUACUAAAUAUUAUUGUUUUCAUUAUAAUUAAAAGUAUUAAUAUUUGUGUUAUAAAUACUAUUAUUUUUAUUAUAAUUAAAAGUAUUAAUAUUAAAAUUAUUAUUAUUUUUCUUAUAAAUAAUAUUAUUUUUAUUAUAAUUAAUAUUGAAAAUACUAUUAUUUGUAUUAUCAAUAUUAUUAUUUUGAGUAUAAUUAAUACUACUAACAUAAUAAUUAAUAAAUUUGAAAAAAAUAUUAUUUAUAUUGAAAAGCAAUAAUAGAUUUAAUUUGAAGGGUAAAAUUAAGAAUUAUUAUUAUUAUUAUUAUUAUUAUUAUUAUUAUUGUUAUUAUUUAUUGUUAUCAUUAGUAAAUUGAAAGAAACAAAAUUAUUAGUUAUUUUUAUCAUUUCAGCUGGGGUUGAAUUUUCUUAUUAGAGCAUGUUUGGUUUUGGUUUUAAAAAUUGCUUUGAAAAGAAUUUUAUUUUUUUUAUUUUUUUCUUUACUUCAAAUUAAUGUUUUUUCCUUUAAUUCAUAUUAAAAUGUUUUUGUAAUAUUUUGACGUGAUUAUAUAUUAAAUAGAUUUAAAAAAAAUUAAACAUUGCAGGAUUCAAAAUAGUCUUGGGUCCAGGUUGGGGCAGGACCCUAGAUCUUACAGGUUGCAGGACCCAAAAUAGCCUUGGGUCCGGCCGUAUGCAUGACCCAAAAUAGCCUUGUACAGUUGAGAACAUCUCAUGCAUGCGACAUCCAAUGCAACAUAAUAUAUAAAUUGCAAUGCAUGUAAUUAAUGGGGGGGAAAUUCAUGAAUGAAUUGAAAGAUAUAUAUCUUAUGGGAUAGAUACAACACGAGAAGAAAAAACCAUUUAGAGAAACAGACAAUCUCGAUUGAUGAUCAUCCUAUUAUUAGCAUGAAAGGUUGAAAAAGAAAGAAUUCAUACAAGGAGGUUGGCCUUGAAUUGGCAUUGCCUUAUUCCAAGCGCUAGCUAGCUUAUAAUAUUAUUCACUAGCUAGCUAGCUCGCUAGCUCCUCUCCCUAGCCUUCCCUGCAUCGAUCUUCUGCUUUGCAACCUCUUCCUGGAGCGACUCGAUGGAGGCAUUGGGGAUUCUUUUCUGGGUCACAACGCGGAAGCCCUUCGUAACUUAAGUAUUUUGGUUUUCUUGUAAUGGUAUCUGCUACAUCUCCUGCAACAAACGUGGUCAUCAGGAGCAUUAAAACACCAAAAGCCAUCAAUCCUUUGGACAUUGACAUUGUUAAACUAUGAUGAGAGCAGACAAUACACAAAUGUUGUUCUUAAAAGAAUAUUGAUUCGGUGACAAUAAAAAGCAAGGUCUGGCAUAUAUAUAUAUAUAUAUAUAUAUAUAUAUAGCAUAUGCAUGGAGUGUUUGCCGUUUAUAGCACAAUUUCUUGUGGAUAUUAAAAUAGUUAAUUCUCUUUGCUUUUUCAGAUUAUAGCCGCACCACUUAUAGCACAAUUUCUUGAAGUUGAUACCCACAUAUAGCUGGGAGCUCAAAUGGCCACAUCUUGCAUUAGACAUUGAGAGCUUAAUUGGAGGUCUUGGUCAGCUAAAUUCUCAGCAUCCCUGAUGAGGAGCACACAUUGCGUGGUUGUGACUUCACUUGAGAAAAGUACAUCCAAGAAACAAGGAGAGAUAUGCUACCAAAGAAAAGAUGUCGUGAGUUCGAGCGUCCAGGUUUGGAUCAUGGGAACGCAUACACAACCACAUGCCCACCCAGCUGCAAGAGCUCCAAGUCUGCAAUAUUGAUCUUGUAUUGUAUGUAAACUUCCAACAAAAGUGAACUAUAUGUUAGAUCAUUAGAGAAGGUUUUCCAUGUAACAUGACAUAACAAUAUUAAACAGCAUCAGGACAAAUAUUGCGAACAUAAUAUGUUUGGUUUAGGUGCGCGCGCCGCCUCUUAAAAAGCAUGUCGAAAUCCAUGCUUUCUGCGAGGUGCACCGCCCGGCGCACCUUACAUACAAACACAUUGUAAUUAGUGUGACCAAAAAGAACUCUUGGUGCGAUUAUCCAAGACCACAAAUCACACUCUGCAACGAGAAGUGUCCCCCAAAGACUAAACAAAAAGAAAAAAUAAAAGCAGCUUCCAAUCGUUUCAUUACUUGACUCACCCAAUAACAAAAGCUCUUCGUCUUCUCAAUAAGGAAAUUAAUACAUGCAAGCUGCCACAAGAUUAAAGCACUUAAUGCAGAGAAAGGAGGAGUCACUGCAAUCUAUUCUACUUCCCAGAUGUUGCAGUCAAACUUAAAAUGUGAAAAUCAAAUAUGGUAAAGGCCACGGCUCUACAUAUAAAGAAAUAGACACCUGGGAUAUGAGAGUUCUUAUUGUUAAAUAAUAUUUAUGUAGUCUUAUUUAUUAAGGGUAGAAUAGUACUUUCAGUUUGACCUAUAUAUACUUUAUUUGUAUUGAGGUUAACACAAAGCAUUCAUAAUAAACAGUCUGAGGGAAGAGAUAUGAGCCUACGUUUAAGUAUUUGAUCUCGAUUACUUUAACAUGGUAUCAGAGCUGGUUUUAUGGCACGAGGUUAAUCCCGUACACAGCUUAUGUCAAGGUAACCGAGCUCGAUAUCUAUCCUCAAUUAUUUUGGUAUUUCGUCUUCCCUUCAGCUUUGCAAUUUUGGUAAUUCCGUUCAGUUUCUGCAAAUUGUUUUGUGUUUUGGAGUAAUCGUAUAGUUUGAGAAGAUAUUUGUUUAGUUUCUGCAAUCUCUGUUCAGUUUCUGCAAUUUGGUAUUUUGUUUUCCGCUGCUUUUGCAUUCUGGUUCUUUGUGAUUGUUGAUUAUGGCUACUGAAAGAGAUGAUUCGCUUCAGUCUGUGAGUGUGAGGUUGGAUGGGAAGAACUAUUCGUAUUGGAGCUAUGUAAUGAGAAAUUUUCUUAAGGGUAAGAAGAUGUGGGGAUAUGUUAGUGGAACUUAUGUGGUACCUAAGAAUACUGAAGAAGGAGAUACUGUCUCGAUAGAUACAUGGGAAGCAAACAAUGCAAAGAUCAUUACUUGGAUCAACAAUUCUGUUGAGCAUUCUAUAAGUACACAGUUGGCAAAGUAUGAGACAGCAAAGGAGGUUUGGGAUCAUCUGCAACGGUUAUUCACGCAAUCAAAUUUUGCAAAACAGUAUCAGUUAGAGAAUGACAUACGAGCUCUUCACCAGAAGAAUAUGAGUAUUCAGGAGUUCUAUUCUGCCAUGACAGAUCUUUGGGAUCAAUUGGCUCUUACAGAAUCGGCAGAAUUAAAAGCAUGUGGUGCUUAUAUUGAACGUAGAGAGCAGCAACGAUUGGUACAAUUUUUAACAGCACUUCGCAGUGAUUUCGAAGGACUUAGAGGUUCAAUUCUGCAUCGUUCUCCACUGCCCUCUGUUGACUCUGUUGUCAGUGAGUUAUUGGCUGAAGAAAUACGUCUUCAGUCUUAUUCUGAAAAGGGAAUUCUUUCUGCUUCGAAUCCUUCUGUACUAGCAGUACCUUCUAAGCCAUUCUCUAAUCAUCAGAACAAGCCUUACACAAGGGUUGGCUUCGAUGAGUGCAGUUUCUGUAAGCAGAAAGGUCAUUGGAAGGCUCAGUGUCCUAAGUUGAGACAGCAGAAUCAAGCUUGGAAGUCUGGCAGUCAGUCACAAUCUAAUGCUCAUCGAUCACCUCAGGGUUAUAAACCACCACACCACAAUACUGCAGCAGUAGCUUCCCCAGGCUCUAUUACCGAUCCUAAUACUUUAGCUGAGCAAUUUCAGAAGUUUCUCUCCUUGCAGCCACAAGCAAUGUCCGCUUCUUCCAUAGGUCAGUUGCCUCAUAGUUCCUCAGGUAUGUCACACUCUGAAUGGGUCUUGGAUUCUGGUGCUUCACAUCAUAUGUCUCCAGAUUCCUCAUCUUUUACCUCAGUGUCCCCUUUGUCCUCCAUUCCUGUUAUGACUGCUGAUGGCACUCCUAUGCCCUUAGCAGGUGUUGGUUCUGUUGUCACACCUCACUUGUCUCUCCCUAAUGUUUAUCUUAUUCCAAAACUCAAAUUGAAUCUUGCGUCUGUUGGUUAAAUAUGUGAUUCUGGUGAUUAUUUAGUCAUGUUUUCUGGUUCUUUUUGUUGUGUACAGGAUCUGCAGUCUCAGAAGCUGAUUGGGACAGGUCGUAGGGAGAAUGGGCUAUAUAUUUUGGAUGAGUUAAAAGUGCCAGUUGCUGCUGCUGCUGCUGCUGCUACUGCUGAUUUGUCUUCCUUUCGUUUGAGUCUUUCAUCUUCUAGUUUUUAUUUAUGGCAUUCCCGUCUAGGUCAUGUUUCGUCUUCUCGUUUGAGAUUUUUGGCAUCCACAGGAGAUUUAGGAAAUUUGAAAACUUGUGACAUUUCUGAUUGUAGUGGAUGUAAACUGGCAAAAUUUUCUGCUUUAUCUUUUAAUCGAAGUAUUUCUGUUUCAUCUUCACCAUUUGAUUUGAUUCAUUCUGAUGUAUGGGGACCUUCUCCUGUUUCCACAAAAGGAGGGUCUCGAUAUUAUGUCUCUUUUAUUGAUGAUCAUACUCGUUAUUGUUGGGUUUAUUUAAUGAAACAUCGUUCUGAAUUCUUUGAGAUAUAUGCAGCUUUUCGAGCUCUUAUCAAAACUCAACAUUCUGCUGUGAUCAAAUGCUUUAGGUGUGAUUUGGGUGGGGAAUACACCUCUAAUAAAUUUUGUCAAAUGCUUGCCUUAGAUGGAACCAUCCACCAAACUUCAUGUACAGAUACUCCUGAACAAAAUGGUGUAGCUGAAAGAAAACAUAGGCAUAUUGUCGAAACUGCUCGUUCUCUCUUGUUGUCUGCUUUUGUUCCUAGUGAAUUUUGGGGAGAAGCUGUUCUUACUGCUGUAAGUUUGAUUAAUACAAUUCCAUCUUCUCAUAGUUCGGGUCUAUCUCCUUUUGAAAAGCUAUAUGGGCAUGUCCCUUAUUAUUCCUCAUUUAGAGUCUUUGGUUGUACUUGUUUUGUUCUUCGUCCUCAUGUAGAACGCAAUAAGCUAUCCUCUCGAUCCGCUAUUUGUGUCUUUCUGGGUUAUGGUGAAGGUAAAAAGGGGUAUCGUUGUUUUGAUCCAAUAACUCAGAAACUUUAUGUGUCUCGUCAUGUUGUCUUCCUUGAGCAUAUACCUUUCUUUUCUAUUCCAUCCACUACUCAUAGCCUGACAAAAUCUGAUCUUAUUCAUAUAGAUCCUUUUUCUGAGGAUUCUGGUAAUGAUACCUCUCCCUAUGUUCGAUCAAUUUGUACUCAUAACUCUGCAGGUACUGGUACUUUACUCUCUGGCACAUCUGAAGCUUCAUUCUCAUCUACAGCCCCUCAAGCUUCAUCUGAGAUUGUGGAUCCACCUCCACGUCAGUCCAUCCGCAUUCGUAAGUCCACAAAACUACCAGAUUUUGCUUAUUCUUGUUAUUCUUCAUCAUUUACUUCCUUUUUAGCUUCUAUUCAUUGUCUCUUUGAGCCCUCUUCCUAUAAAGAGGCAAUUCUUGAUCCGCUUUGGCAGCAAGCUAUGGAUGAGGAACUUUCUGCUUUGCAUAAGACAGAUACUUGGGAUCUGGUUCCUCUACCUCCUGGUAAGAGUGUUGUUGGUUGUCGUUGGGUGUAUAAGAUCAAGACUAAUUCUGAUGGGUCUAUUGAGCGAUACAAAGCUAGGCUGGUUGCAAAAGGAUACUCUCAACAGUAUGGUAUGGACUAUGAGGAGACAUUUGCCCCGGUUGCCAAAAUGACUACUAUUCGUACUCUUAUUGCCGUAGCUUCGAUUCGUCAGUGGCAUAUUUCUCAGCUUGAUGUUAAAAAUGCAUUCUUGAAUGGAGAUCUUCAAGAAGAAGUUUAUAUGGCACCCCCUCCUGGUAUUUCACAUGACUCUGGAUAUGUUUGUAAGCUUAAGAAAGCACUAUAUGGUCUCAAACAAGCACCUCGUGCUUGGUUUGAGAAAUUCUCUAUUGUGAUCUCGUCUCUUGGCUUUGUUUCUAGCAGUCAUGAUUCUACUCUUUUUAUUAAGUGCACUGAUGCAGGUCGUAUCAUUCUGUCUUUAUAUGUUGAUGACAUGAUUAUUACUGGUGAUGAUAUUGAUGGUAUUUCAGUUUUGAAGACAGAGUUGGCUAGACGAUUUGAAAUGAAGGAUUUGGGUUAUCUUCGAUAUUUCCUAGGUAUUGAGGUAGCAUACUCGCCUAGAGGUUACCUUCUUUCUCAGUCAAAAUAUGUUACAGAUAUUCUUGAGCGAGCUAGACUUACUGAUAACAAGACUGUAGAUACUCCUAUUGAGGUCAACGCGAGGUACUCUUCUUCUGAUGGUUUACCUUUGAUAGAUCCUACUUUAUACCGUACUAUUGUUGAGAGUUUGGUAUAUCUCACAAUUACUCGUCCAGAUAUUGCAUAUGUUGUUCAUGUUGUUAGUCAGUUUGUUGCUUCUCCUACUACUGUUCACUGGGCAGCUGUUCUUCGUAUUUUGCGAUAUCUUCGGGGUACAGUUUUUCAAAGUCUGUUACUUUCAUCCACCUCUUCCUUGGAGUUGCGUGCAUACUCUGAUGCUGAUCAUGGUAGUGAUCCCACAGAUUGCAAGUCUGUUACCGGGUUCUGUAUCUUUUUAGGUGAUUCUCUUAUUUCUUGGAAGAGCAAGAAACAAUCUAUUGUUUCUCAAUCAUCCACCGAAGCAGAAUAUCGUGUCAUGGCAUCUACUACCAAAGAGAUUGUUUGGCUACGUUGGUUACUUGCUGAUAUGGGAAUUUCCUUUUCUCAUCCUACUCCUAUGUAUUGUGACAACCAGAGUUCUAUUCAGAUUGCUCAUAACUCGGUUUUUCAUGAGCGCACUAAGCACAUUGAGAUCGAUUGUCAUCUUACUCGUCAUCAUCUCAAACAUGGCACCAUUGCUUUGCCUUUUGUUCCUUCUUCCUUGCAAAUUGCAGAUUUCUUUACCAAGGCGCAUUCCAUCUCUCGUUUUCGUUUUCUGGUUGGCAAACUCUCGAUGCUUGUAGCUGCCGCAUCGUGAGUUUGAGGGGAGAUGUUAAAUAAUAUUUAUGUAGUCUUAUUUAUUAAGGGUAGAAUAGUACUUUCAGUUUGACCUAUAUAUACUUUAUUUGUAUUGAGGUUAACACAAAGCAUUCAUAAUAAACAGAUUAUUCAGAAUUGUAGCCUCCUUUUUGUAUUUGAUCUCAAUUACUUUAACACUUAUACCAUGCCUCAAGGACAAAUGAAGGAGAGCAAAGCAUCUCCCGGAAAAAAAACAUCAAAUCAAGAGUCUUGCAAUCCACAUGCAUUAAAGCUUCUUUCAUAAAGGACAGAAGCUUUGAUUUCCAAAUGAGACAGCAAAAAAGAUAUGUCACUGAUAUCCACUUGUAAUUAAUAACCACUUCAUUUAUUUAUUCUAGGACAAAAAACCAAAACAAUCUUGGAUCACAUAGGAACAGGAAAAGGCCUUAAACUCUGACGAACAAGGCGGAGCUAUUAUACAUAGGAUACUUCAGAUGAACUGUUGAUUUCCAUUAUGCUUCAUGCCAAACGUGAGAACCCAACCUCCUUUCCCACCCAUAUCCACAUCACACAACCCGAUCAUCGUCGCAUAUUAAUUUCAUUACAUAAUAUGACACUAGGAUGCAUGUCAUGAUGAAACAUGGAUGAGAUUAAAACUCAUUGACAUAAAUCUGGUCUUUUAAUACAUGUCUCAGAUAAUUAGACCUGAUGAUUAAGAUUAUAAGUUCAAAAACAUAAAUAUAUAGCCAUACGCAAGAGUCUUAGAUUCUGGAAGCCAACAUUUCCAGCAAUACAUGUCUAGGCAAGACAUUGCAUAUCUGAUUCUGAGAAUCACAGCAAAUAUGCCCACUCUAUCAAACAUACUUGAAUGCAGCCAGUCUUAUUUGACAGGCAACUAAAACUAAACAUGAAAAAAGUUUCAUAUUAAGAAGAAGCAGUGAUCAUCUAUGAUCUACCAUCCUCCUAAAUCCUAGAACCUUUUAAUUUUUAACACAAAAACUAGUGACAGCACCUCAACAUGAUAGAAUUGAGAAGGAGAAGCUUCAACGCAAUGCAUGCAACUCAAAGCCAAUAUAUAUUACCCUUUCACUUAGACUACCAUCACAUUUCUAAGCAUCGAGUUUCAAUCUACUAGUUCAUUCCAGAAACAUUCUUCAACUAAGACAAAAUGCCGAACCUACCUGGAAGGCAGGACCCCCUCAGCAGAAUUCAUGAUGCUCCAGCAACCCAUGAAUGCAAAGAGGAACAAUCUUCUAAAAAUGACUUCCAUUGGAGGAAGUUCGACAAAAUUGAGUAAAUUCUUGACCCAAGGAGGAGACUCCUCCACUUUCUUCUCUAUCCUGGUCUUGAAAUUAAUUUUUGUUUCUUUCCUCUGUCUAAAGCUAGUCAUCAACAAUUUCUCAAAGGCAGCUUCUAUUGAUUCUUCGCUUCUUUCAUGCCCAGCAUAUUGUUUCAGGAGAAAAUUGCGUGAACUCCAGACUUCCUCUUCAGAAGCGUAAGGACUGACACCAAGACGUUUAAAAGGGUCCCAAACAUUCAUGGAAGGGAAUUUCGGGAUGUUACCUGUUGAGUUUGAACACGAUUGUGAUAGGUCCCUGUCACAGCAAGUAAUUAAAGACAAGAAACAAACACAAAUGUAUUCUGCUUUGGGCGAGAAUAAGCCACAAUUGAUAUUAUUGAAUAUUGAAUGAAUGCGUUCUCUGUCUCAUAGCAGAGUUUAAAUACAGGAAUUGAAAUAACAACUUUCCUAAAAUACUGGCAUGACUACAUAAAAUCAGGAUGACUCCUGCUACAUAGCUGGCAUUUAUUUGCUGAAUAAAACUUGACUCCUUCCUCCCGUGCACUAAGGCACUGCAGUGAGAAGACCCCCUUGACUCGUUCCUCCCUUGACUAGCUCUUCACAGCUCAAUAAACCUGCGAUUCUUCUUACGAAUUCUGCAUGAUCUUCUCGGCUCCAGCUGUUGCUCAUCCCGUUGUUGUAGUUCAUCACUUGACUCCUUCAAUUGCUGCUGCUGCUUAUCAAUACCUCCCUCUUUUAAGGGAACCUUGUCCUCAAGGUUCAGAUUCUGAAAUCGCUCCCGUAACGCCACAGCAUCUUCCCACGUGGCAUCAUCAUUCUGCAGAUGUUUCCAUUUGACGAGAAUUGCUUCGACAAACCGAGACCCUUUCUUGAUCCAACGAGUGUCUAGGACAGCCUCAGGUUCAAUCAGCAUCUCUCCCGCAGCAGACAUAGGUGGCAAUUCGAUUGAUUCAACCACCUCAUCUCCAAUUUUCUUUUUGAGCAAGGACACAUGAAAGACUGGAUGAAUUCAAGCCUGUGUAGGCAAUUUUAGCUUAUACGCUACCGCGCCAAUUCUUUCUGCAAUCUGAUAAGGACCAUAAUAGCGGCUAGCCAACUUUUUGCAUACACUCCUGACCACGGAUUGUUGACGGUAAGGGUGAAGUUUAAGAAAAACCCAAUCUCCCACCUGAAAUUCAAUAUCACGUCGCUUAGAAUUAGCAAGUUGUUGCAUGCGAUUACUAGCCGCAUGCAGGUUUGCCUUGAGCAGACUCAACAAUUCGUCCCUAGAGGCGAGUUGCUGAUCCACUUCAUUCACCGGAGACAUGCCAAUGUGGUAAUGGGGAAUUGUAGGUGGUAAACGUCCAUAGAGGGCCUGAAAUGGUGUCAUUCCUGUAGAAGCAUGAUAAGUUGUAUUAUACCAGAAUUCGGCCCAAGGUAGGAGGGAAUUCCAUUUUGCUGGCUGGUGGUGAACAAAGCACCGAAGAUAUUGUUCGACGCAGCGAUUGACCACCUCUGAUUGCCCAUCCGUUUGUGGAUGAUAUGCGGAACUCAUCUUCAACUUGGUACCUGACAAUUUAAAGAACUCACGCCAAAAAUGACUGAUAAAGAUAGGAUCUCUAUCACUGAUAAUGGACCGCGGCAUACCAUGUAGCUUCACUACCCCGUCAACGAAUUUCUCGGCCACAAUUUUGGUCGUAUAAGGAUGAGCCAAUGCCAAGAAAUGUGCUGACUUACUUAGGUGAUUAACCACAACGAAAAUUGUGUUCUUGCCACCCGAUGUCGGGAGACCUUCAAUAAAAUCCAUCGUAAUAUCAUCCCAAACCUGACAGGGAACAGGUAAUGGUUGUAAUAAACCCGCCGGUGAUAGUGUGUCUGAUUUUACCCGUUGACAUACGUCACAGGAUGCGACAUAUUCCUUCACUAUGCGAGCCAUUGAUGGCCAAUAGAACUGGUGUGCCAACCGUUUGUAAGUGCGCAACACACCCGAAUGCCCUCCAAUAGGUGAAUCAUGGAAUUCACGUAAUAGUUGUUGAAUGAUGUCCGAGUUGGGGGCAACUACUACUCAAUUUUUAUAGUGGAGCAACCCAUUCCGCCGUGUAUAUGGGCUGCCCGAAUUUUCAGCAGCGAGCUUGCCAAUUUUCUUCAUGUAAGGAAGAGAAACAGCUUCGGCCUUAAGCUGAUCCCAUACGGUACUUUGUGGAACAGAUAAGUGCGAAAGGCAAGGGCUUCCCGUCAUUCGUGAUAAAGCAUCCGCAGCUGAAUUCUCCUUUCCUGGCUUAUACACAAUUUCAUAAUCAUAGCCGAGUAAUUUCGAUACCCAUUUCUGCUGUUCUGGGGUAGUAAUACGCUGCUCCAAGAGGUACUUCAAGCUGCGUUGAUCGGUUUGGAUCACAAACUUACGGCCUAACAAGUAUGGUCUCCACAGCUGGACAGCCACCACAAUAGCCAGCAUCUCCCUCGCAUAAGUUGACCAUGCACGCUUGGAUAGCCCCAAAACGCGACUCAUGAAAGCUAUUGGCCGCCUUGUUGGGUCAGAACAGCGCCGAUGCCAUCACCGGAAGCAUCAGACUCAAUCACGAAAACUUCAGCAAAAUUAGGCAUGGCAAGUGUUGGGGUGGACGUCAUUGCGGUCUUUAAUGCCUCAAAAGCUGCCUCGGCUUCAUCAUUCCAGCCAAAUUGACCUUUGGUAACAAGGAUGUCAACGGUCGAGCAAGAAUUCCAUAAUUGCGGACAAAUUUCUUGUAAUAACCUGUAAGACCUAAAAAUCCACGAAGCUCAGAUAUAUUAGUAGGUCUUGACCAGGAUAGCAUAGCCUGGAUUUUUGCUUGAUCAACCUUAACCCCCAUUGGAGUAAUAAUAUGCCCCAAGUACUCCAGUUCUUGUUGACCAAAAGCACAUUUCUUCAAUUUCGCAAAGAAUUGGUACUGCCUUAGAAUUUCGAAAGCCUUGCGAACAUGUUCAAGAUGCAUGGUCCAAUUGGGACUAUAGAUCAAUAUGUCAUCAAAAAAGACUAAUACAAAUUUGCGAAGGUAUGGUCGAAAUAUGGCAUUCAUAAGGGCUUGAAAAGUAGAGGGUGCGUUACACAAACCAAAUGGCAUGACUAAGUAUUCGUAAUGACCAUUAUGAGUGCGAAAAGCAGUUUUAUGAAUAUCAUUUGGUGCUACCCUAACCUGAUGGUAACCAGCUGUCAAAUCUAGUUUGGUAAAAUAAACAGCCCCAUGCAAUUCGUCUAACAUGUCAUCUACUGUAGGAAUAGGAAAUCGGUCUUUAAUAGUUACUGCGUUAAGUGCUCUAUAAUCGGUGCAAAAACGCCAUGUGCCAUCUUUCUUUUUGACUAACAAAACAGGUGAUGAAAAAGGGCUAGUGCUUGAUCUUAUAAAUCCCAAUUUUAACAUGUCUUGAACCUGUUUUUCAAUUUCAGCUUUUUGAAAAUAGGCAUACCUGUAGGGUCUGACAUUGACCGGUUCUGUCCCUUCUUUGACAGUGAUGGUGUGGUCGAUCUCCCGGACCGGUGGCAAUUGAGCUGGAGUUUGAAAAAUAUCUCCAAAUUCCUCCAACAUCUGCUGCAUUUCAGACUCAACUUUGCUAACAGGCAUCUCGACUUCGGUUUGUAGACAGAUAGCAAACAUCGUUUUGCUUUGGCGCAGCUCCUUCGAUAAAUCCUUGAGAGACGCGGGUUGAAUGUGUUGGCUGUCAAUUCCCUGUAAUUUUUGCAUCUGAUUCUUCCACAUAAAUUCCAUGGUCAUUUUCUUCCAAUCACAGGCUACUGUUCCCAAUUGUUCAAGCCACUGCACUCCCAAAACCAAAUCUAACCCACAUAAAGGUAUGGCAUAUAAAGUCAGCAUAAAUGGGAUACCUUGAAGUAGGACGUGUAUGUUUUCAAAUAUGCCUUGACACUUCAAUGGAUUCCCAUUUGCCACCUUUACGUUGAAGGGCUGUGUGGGUAUCACUGGUAGGUGUAGCCAAUUAGCAAUCCGCUCGCUAAUGAAAUUGUGGGUGGAGCCACUAUCAAUGAGGACAGUCAAUUCGUGAUUUCCAAUUCUUGCCAUGAUGCGCAUUGUUUUGGCAGUCGACCAGCCAGUAAGAGCAUGUAGUGAAAUUUGUGGUUCAUCAUCUUCGAAGUCUUCGUCAUCUUGCAGAUGUGUCUUUUCGUCUCCUUCCAGUAGCAACAAACGGGGUCUUUGACACUUAUGGCCAGGAGUGAAUUUUUCGUCACAAUUGAAGCAGAGACCUUGCGAUCGGCGCUUCUGCAUCUCGUCCCACGCCAGGCGUUUCAUGGGCAUAACUGCUGCUGGUGAUUUUGUGGGUGAAAAAGAAGCAAUUGGAUUCUGACUAAUGGAAAAUGGCUUACGUCGUUGGCGAAGUAAUUGCUCAUCUCUCAUUCUGGCAAGGCUAAUUGCCUCUUUCAAGGAUUUGGGUUUAAACAUCCUAAUCCCUUCUGCAAUGUCAGGUUUCAAGCCUCCCAUAAAAGUUCCCACCAAUGCCUUCUGCGUCCAGCCUUGCACACGGUUACCCAGCCUUUCGAAUUCUUUUUGGUACUCCCGUAGUGAGCCCCCUUGUCUCACCCUUGACAGUGCUUCAUCGAAAUCUUCACAUUCUGGUGGUCCAAACCUUGCCCAUAAUUCCUCCUCAAAAAUUGGCCAUGUCAUCUCCUUGUCUUCCUCUUUGUAAGCACGUCGCAGCCACUGCCACCACUGGUUCGCCUCCCCUUGAAGAUGAAAAGAUGCCAAUGACACCUUUUGUGUUUCCACAGUACCUUGGUAUUCGAAGAAUUGAUCAACUCUGUUGAACCAUUCAGUGGGGUCGUUGCCCGAGUAUAUGGGGAACUCAAGCUUCGCCAGUUUUGAAGAGAACAUCUGUCUGUUCCCCUCAGCUCGUUCUGCAAUGUCUUCACGUUGAUAGCGCGGGCGUCCAUUGCGCUCAAUGGAUUGGCUGCUGGAUCCUUCUUUGUUGGACAGUAACGCCUCUGUCAGCUUAUUGAUGUUGACUUCCAUCUGCUGCAUUCUGUCAACAAGAGUAAUUUCCAUUCGGCUCAUUCCAUCUUGCAGACCUCCCAAUCCGAUUUCCAAAUUUUCUAUCCGCUCCUUGUUUGUUGUCAUUGUUAACCUGGCUCUGAUACCAAUUGAUAGGUCCCUGUCACAGCAAGUAAUUAAAGACAAGAAACAAACACAAAUGUAUUCUGCUUUGGGCGAGAAUAAGCCACAAUUGAUAUUAUUGAAUAUUGAAUGAAUGCGUUCUCUGUCUCAUAGCAGAGUUUAAAUACAGGAAUUGAAUAACAACUUUUCUAAAAUACUGGCACGACUACAUAAAAUCAGGAUGACUCCUGCUACAUAGCUGGCAUUUAUUUGCUGAAUAAAACUUGACUCCUUCCUCCCGUGCACUAAGGCACUGCAGUGAGAAGACCCCCUUGACCCGUUCCUCCCUUGACUGGCUCUUCACAACUCAAUAAACCUGCGAUUCUUCUUAGGAAUUCUGCAUGAUCUUCUCGGCUCCAGCUGUUGCUCAUCCCGUUGUUGUAGUUCAUCACUUGACUCCUUCAAUUGCUGCUGCUGCUUAUCAACUGCAUUGGCAUCCAAUAAGUGAGGACAAUCUUGUAUCUUCCAAGUGGCAGUAGAAUUUAAUUAUAACUACCAUUAUUCUUAUCUUUAGUUAGUAAUAUAACUCUAUUUAUUGUUUCUAGUACGUAGGACAUGUUGUAAUGAAAACCUGUUAGUUAUUUGGUGUGAUUCCAAGGAGUGAUUCCUUUGAAUGAUAUCAGGCUCUACUUAUUUUCCUCUAUCAAUACUUUCUUGCUAUCUUUUAUACCAUGUUCAUUAGUUUACAUAAAUUGUUCCCUUAAUAUCCUUUGGUAUUAAUAUUAAUUGAUAUCAGAACAAGUUUUGAAUUUUUGAUCUGCUAUGCCUGGAACCGCAGUGGAAAUUCUUAUAAUCCCACCAAUCAAAGAUUACAAGACCCUAGUCCUUCCCUAACCAAUUUGAACUCCCCGUAGAAAACAUCUCCAAACCGAUUCUGAACCCCCCACAACAAGCAUCUCCACAACCUAUUCCGAACCCCCCACAACAAGCAUCUCUACAACAUGAUUUACUUCCUUGUUAAACCAGUUAGAAGAUGCUCUCAGAAUGGUAAGCUUCGAAGAGCUGCAGGAUGCAAGCGUGUGCUGAAGAAGCAAGAGGACAAUUGCCCACAUAAAUGGCAAAGGGGGUGAUUGUUGGAAUAUUGCCAAUUAUGUGGCUGCCAUUGUCAAAGAAGAUGGCUGCAAUGGUGGGUUGUUGGUGGCAGCCAACAACCAUUGUCUAAUGUCAAAGUUUGGUAAGUUUGGCAGCCACCAUUGUUGACAAAAGAGUUGGAGGAGCUGCCAUGAAUGCCUAUAAAUAGAGGCCUACAUUAGAGAAGCAAAGUGAGAGAAGAAAGGAGAGAAAACGUGAGUGUGAGUUGAGAGAAAGAGAGAGCUGCAAUGGCAGCAGCCUUGCUGCCAUUGCAGCAGCUGCAACAGCUGUGUGUGAGAGCUGGGAGUAGAGUAGAGUGAAUGUAAUCCUCCUCCUCCAUAUAUAUUGUAAUCCUUUCUCUAUAUAUCUCAAUAAUAUAGACUCUCCCGUGGAUGUAGGCGGUUUUGCCGAACCACGUAAAAUAUUGUGCCAGUGUGCUAUCCCUCCUUUGAGCAAUUAUCAGUACACCCCCGGUCGGAAAUCCCCAACACAGAGUUGAUCAAGGAGGAGAUGUGGCUAUAGAUGAAGAAGAAGUAGGAGAACAUUAGCUCAAUUCAGUCUACAGUGACAGGGAGGUCAAAAUUGAAAGAUAUCACUAUUUUCAUUAAUUUUAUUAAAGCUUAUAAUAAAAGGUUGUGUUUUUAAUUGGAUUUAUUUUUAUAUGGCGUGGCUUCUUUUUUUAAAAUGCAAUCUGCUUCCCUUUAUAAUACAGAAAUCCAGUUUUGAGUUUAUGUAACUAUAUUAACAAAACGAUUAAAUGCUUUCGUGUCCGUUUAAUUAUUUAUAUAAAUAAUAAACCCAGUUAAUAUAUUUUGCAAUCAGUUUAUGGUUUAUUUAUCUCAUAGUUGAGUUAGUUAAUGUAUGUUUUUUCAAAUUAGUAGCAAAGGCGUGUGGGCUUGUCUCAGGCUCACAUGCUAGUGCCUGAGUUGUACUGUAAUAGACCCUAUCAUAUUAGGCCACAUAAGCCCGAGUGGUUGGAAUUUUUUUUAUUGGUCAUUUUUUAUUUUUUUAAUAUAAUUUUUUAAUUUUAUAUUUUAUUGUUGAGUUUUUUUAUUAAGUUUUAUUUGUCAAUAUUGAAUUAAUUAUAAAUUAAUUUUUAUAUUUUUUAUUAUAUAUAAACCGAGUAAAGUAUUUGGUGGGUUAGCUAUAAACCUGAACUUUUUAUUUUUUUAUUUUUUGGACUAGUAAAAGACAAAUUAAAAAAACAAAGUAAUCUUAUUUGAUAUGUUGUAAAUUUUUUUUUUAUCUAAUAAUUUAAAUUGAAAUCUCAUUUAAUAAUUUAAAUUAUUAAAUUGAAAUAAAUUUUUAAUACAAUGAUUUAAGAUGUACCAAGAUAUGGUUGUAGUUUUUAUUUUUUUGCCUUUUUCUUUAAAAAUGUUAUCUCCUUGGUAAGGAAUCCUUGGUUCCCAACGGCAACUGUAGCAACGUAAAAACAAAUCUCUAAACUCCACCGAAAGUGGUAGAGCAUUAGAAUUUUUAAAAGACAAAACGGGGCGCGACAUUCAUAAUUUAUAAACAGAUGCGAUAAAAUAAGUCAUACUGCAUGUUUUCAUUUGGCAUUUAAUUCCAUGAACAUGGCUUUUUUAGAUUAAUAUAGUGUUUGGACUAGCUUGUAUAUCUCGAAUAAUCUCAAGAGAUCUUGAAGUUAACAACGUACCAUAUAAGGCUUUAAUAGCAAUGAGAUUUGUAGGAUUCGAACUAGUGAUAUUUAGAAAACAAACUUAGUGACUAACUAGUUGAGCUACACCCCUUAAAAUUCCAUGAACAUGAUCUUACUUUUCGAUCAAAUUAAUGUGACCAUAUUAUACUUGUAAUCAAACCAUUAAUUGACUGUUCUUGACUAGCUAUUGUUUCUCAUUGGCAAGAGUCAUUGCCAAUGAUCAUAACAUGUUAGUGAUCUAUUGCAACUAGUUCUAGUAUCGACAGAGUUGUUAUUUAACCAUUAAAUCAAUUUAUAAAACAUUAUUGACUAGCUAUCUAACACUAACAACUAAUCACAGAUAAUAUUUAUGCAAAACUUGUAGCUUAAUACGAACUCUCAGACAUGUGGGUGGGGCAACUCAAAGUAGGAGAGUGGUAACCUCUGAUACAUAACAGAGAAAAUUAUAGAGUAAAGCAGGACGGAAUUUUCUUAAAUUAACAACAGAAAUCUAGAUACUUCAAUAAAUUAACACACUGACUAAUAAAUCCCCCCCACCAUCAUCCAGUUAUCACAGGUGCAUCUACAAUGAACAGUUCUCGAGAAGAAACUCAAGAAACGCAUAUAAAGCUACAUGAUGACAUAAUAGGAACCUGCAUUGCCUCCAUUCCAUGAUGAAAGUUCAAGAAAUUCUACUUCGAAACUCAAGACAAAGUCUCUCAGACUACAUAUUAGUGGGAUUUCUAUAAACAACUGAUUGUAUUGCAAAGCAACAUUAUGAAAAACUGAAUAUUUCACACAUAGUCUAACAAAAGUAGGUUCCAUUGUCAAUUCCUUAACAUUUUCCGAACAAAUCACAGUUGCUCCUCGUUUGAUACUUUCUUGAAGGUUUCUUUUCUCUUAUUACCAAUUUCUGUGAGUUUGUGAUUUUUUAUCUGUACCGUAUCAUCCGAACAAUUACUAGAACCACACAACUAAUAUGUAAAUUCACAAAUUCCCUACAGUUCAUAUUGCCAACAAACUCCUCUUGCCAUUCCCUAAUUGCAUUGAGCCAGCUAAUCUGGAUGAAAGAAAGGACUUCGACCUUGAAAUUAGCAUCAUAGUCAUGGAACCUUAAAGCAGGCCCAACUUUGUAGCUCAUUACCAGCUACGUAAAAGUUAUCAAUAGCUGUGUGGAUCAUUGAAACUGCCACAAAAGCAACCCAAAUUAGUUAUGAAUUGGAUUCGAUAAAGGAAAGAGGGGAAGAGGGGAGAAGACAGAUGAAGAUCUGCGCAGGGCUACCUGUUUUGAGAAUUAUGGAUUUUUAUCCCUAACUCAAAACGGCACCAAUUAUAAGUUCAAUAAAAAAAAAUAUGUAACAGAACAGAUGGAAAAAACUCGAAACAACUCGGCUAGAAUUUAGGAAAGAAAUUCAGAAUGAGCCAAGAUUUUAAGUGAGAUGAAACUUUGUUCUUUGAAAAAAAUAAUUAAUAUGAGAUAUACUUUUCAUUUUAGUGAACCUUAAAGCAGACCCAACAGUUAAGUAAAAGUUAUCAAUAGCUGUGUAAACCAUUGAAACUGUUACUGUAGGUGCACACUCAAUUACACCAUGGAUUCACAUAGUGCAAUUGUUAAUUUUUUUUUUAAAUUCCAUGUUAUUUUUUUAUUUGAACCUUUUUUUGUCAACAUGUUUCGCAAUUGGCCUUGGUAUUUUGUUUUCAUUUUCUCUAUGUUUCCUUCUUCUGUAGAUAAAAAACAUCAGGUCUUUGGGCUCGUACUUGAUAGUGCAAAAUUAAUGACACAAUAAUCAAAUAACACAAAAAUUUUUAUAAGCGAAAGGAAUUGGAGAUGUAAACCUAAAAUUCGCAAGUUUAUUUUUUCUAAAAUAAUAAUAAUAAUAAUAAUAAUAAUAAAGUCUACAUUCUUAGAAGGUUUACAAACCUUUAAAUGGGUCAAGAACCCUACCCCCAACUAGGAAGCAAAAAUAAAAAUUCAAAAUUACAAAGAAAAGAAGCAUAAAAUCCAAAAUAAACAAGAAAUCUAAAAAUAAUAAGGAAAAUCACAAAAAUUACCAAAACUAGAGGCCUCAAUGAGAUUUUUGAUAUCUAAAGAUCCGACGGUCCGCAUUAAAAUUUGAGCACAAUCUAACAAUUGAAUAAAAAAUUAUGACUCUUUUGAGUUGUUAUUCUGGUUUAGCGUGACCAAACCUUCUCUUGGGCUUAGACCUGUUUCAUUGGUCCAUAAAUACAUUUGCUAAGCUAUCAACAUAAUUUAUCUAGGGAAAAUCUUCAUCUAGUUAUGGCAGAUUCACACCUGACUGCUUAGAAUCACUAAUUAUUAUAGGAUUGACUACAUCAAAAUUGGUCGGUUUUUUUUGUUUUCAAAGAGAUUUAAACUUGAUGCAGAUGAAAGCUAAAAACACAAUAAUCAAAGAACACCAAAAAAUAUAUGAGCGAAAGAGAAUAUAGAUGUGAACUCUCAAAUUCCCAAGUUUAUUUUCUCUAAAAUAAUAAUAAUAAAGUUUGUCUUCUUAAGACGUUUACAAAGCCUUAAAUAUGUUAGGAACCUUACCUUAACUAGGAAACAAAAACAUAAACCCAAAAUUACAAAGGAAAGAAACAUAAAAUCCAAAACAAGUAAGAAAUAAAAAAAUAACAAGGAAAAUCACAAAAACUACCAAAACUAGAGGCCUAAACAAGAUUUUUUAUAUAUAAAGAUUCGAUGGUUCACGUGAAAAUUUGAGCAUGAUCAAAUAAUCAGAUAAAAAAUUAUAACUUUUUGAGCUUUUAUUCUGGUCUGACACGACCAAACUUCUUCUUGCUAAACUUGUUUCAUUGGUCCCUAAAUACAUCUCCAUAACCUUUUUUUUUUGUUUCACUAUAGAUAGAGUUUGACCAUUAUUAUAUAUGGUUUGACUUAGCCGUAUCGGUUUUCAAUUAGAUCAACUUUAUAUAUUAUGGGUUUACAUUUACUAUUUUUUAAAAAGUGCUCACAAGUCCAUUUUUCACACCUCAAACUCGUAACUGCAACGAUUCGUAGGCAACGAAACUAGUUAAAGACUAGAGAGUAAACAUGCUACUAAAGUUUGCAGGUGAGGGUUUAGAUUAGAUUAUUUGUUGUCUUGUUUCAAAUAUUAGAUCAGUCUCAACUCAUUAAAUAAACAAGUGGUGCAUUGAUCCUUGGACUCAAAUCAUAUAUACACGGCGAGCUCAUUUGUGUUUUUAUUAUUUGUCCCUCCCUGUACUUGUAGCAGAAGAGAAGCUGCUCUCAUCUUUGAAGGAAUGCAAACAAUUGUUAAUAUGAAACAUAUUAUGUACAAAUUAUAAUAUUUGUAAGAAGCCGUUUUGCUGCCCACCGGCGGCCAUCUGAUCAGAGAACAGUAUUAUAUUUUUUAAACCCUUCACUCUCAUAAAAACAAUUUAUAUGAUUAUAAAUAGGAAAACAUAAAAAAAAAUAGGAUUACAUAUUUUUAGAGAUUACAUAUUAUUGUUUUAGUUCUUUUUCUUGAUUAGAGAUAAGUUGAAUAAAAGUAGUAAUAAUUUAUUUUUGUGAAAAAAGUUUACUACAACUCCUAAUAAUUAGUUUCAUGUAAAAAAUAAAAAUAAAAAUAGUAACUAAAAUUUAUUUUAGUUAUGUUAAUAAAAUUUUAAAGAUAUUUUAAUUGAAUUAAGUAAUUCAACACAAAAUUUAUGUUCGCAUACAGUUGUUGUAACCCAUUUUUGGGUCCCCACACAAAAUACAAAAAAAAUAUAUCAAAAUAAAAAAAAUAUUAUAGAAAAAUAAUAGCAGUGAAAAGAGGAUGUCGGAGCGCCCAGAAAAUGAUCAAAAAUUGGUUGAGGAGGUUUCAAAAUAUAAGGAUUGAAGUUUGACAGUAUAUCAUUGACUGGGGCUUAAUUGCAUACAUAUUGAAGUCUGGUGGCCAAUUAAGGACUUGAUUUAAGAAAUCCAAAACCAAGGACCAUAGUGAAAAAAGCGCGCAAAUUGAAGGGCUAAUCUGAAAUUGGACCCAUUUUGGCACCAGUUUUUGUUUAAAUGAAAUGGCACGUUUUGAUAAAAAACAACGCCGUUUCAUGCAUUGCACAAAAAAAAGAGAGCAAACGGUGCCGUUUUGAACGGCACCAUAAGCCUUCUUCUUCCCCUGUUGAGAACAGGGGAAGAAAAAGCAUUUUUGAUGUAACUAUAUUAUUUGAUAGUUUCACCCACAUUUAACUAGUGUUUAGCCUAUGUUAUAUAUAUAAAAUGCCUUGAUAUUCUUUGUUUUAUGUUUUGAAGGCACCUUUAGAUGAAAGAUGCAAAAAGGAGUAAAUUGAAGAUAAUUGGCAGAUUUGAUGUUCAGUCGAUGUUUUGUGCAGAGCAUGAGCUCUAAAAGUCAAAACGAAGUGAUUCUAGUGGCAUUAGAAAUCUAACAUCCAUACCUUUCUGUAAAUAUAAGUCAAGAAAAAUAAAAAUACAACGAGCAUGGAAAUCACAUCCUUCAAAGUCAAAACUCGCAUUCUGCCAGUGUUGACCUUUGUCCAUUCAAAAUUCAAUAUCUGGAGCUGUAGAUAUCCAAUUGAUGUAAACUCAAUUGUUUUGGAUUCCUGACUCAAAGGUGUCUAUAAACGCUCCAAAUUUCAGCCACAAAUGAUGUCAUAUGAGGGAGAUAUGAGUUUUCAAAGAUGACAACUGAAUUCUGCCAGCAAACAGGUUUCGUGAAGAAACGAAUCCAAAUUACAUCCCGAAGCAUCAAAACCGACAUCCAAGUUUUAAUUUCAUCAAUUUAGCUCCUCAAGUAAAUCAAUCCAGAAGGUCAAGGAAGGCAGCCACCAACCUCAAGCCACCAACCUCAAACCACCAACCACAAACCAGCUGCCAGCCACUAGCCGCCUUCACACUACCACCAUCUCUUGAUGUUCACACUUGAACUUUGAUUUUUCUUACUUACAAUUUAUGUAUAAAUAGGCAGCUAAGUUUAUGCUAUUGAGUGAGCCAAGAGGGAAGGAAAGAGAGCCAAGAGGGAAGGAAAGAGAGCCAAGAGAGAGGGAGAGGGAGUGCAGUAGAAUAAAGAAAGAGGGGUGGCAGCCAUAAGAGAAGAAACACAAACUCUCCCCUCAACAAAUCAGAAAUCAUGUAUUCUUUUAUCUUUAGGAGUAGUUUUUCAAUAGAUAUGCAAGGCUAAGCUCGUUUUCUUGGUUGCAAGGACGCAAAAACCUUCAGAUUUAAAGAACCGUGAGAUUUAUUCUUCCAUUUAUUUUCAGUUUGUAUUAUGAAUGAGUAUGUUUGUUUUCCUAUGCAUAUUUUCUAUGAUUGUUUAUCUUAAUUGCUAGAGCGGACUCUAAGUUAUUAUUGUGAAUAAUCUAUUGCUAAGUUUGAUAUCAAAACCGGAGUUGUGGUAUAUAAACGUGUGAAGCAAGUAAGCUUGAUAAUUGUAGCGGAACUACAUUAUUAAACUUAGGGAGAACAUUCGAUCAAAGCAACACAAGCUGACAACUUGGUUGUUAAGAUUAAUGAAUUUAUCUAGAUCUUAAGGCUGCCAUUGGAUUAAACCAUUAGUGCGGACACUGUGAUUGUUUGUUGGUUAGGGUUAGUUAUACGGCGGAUCCGUUAAUUAACCAACAUUAAGAAAAGAUAAAAAAUUCAGAAUAUAAACUGAAGUUUCGUUUCAAGGAUCGGUUCUGAUUUCUGUAGGUGGAUGUGUGCUUGCGACCAAGGUUUGUUUUCUUGAUAUAUUUCAGUUUCAAUUGAUUUUGUUUGUUAGUGUAAUUUCUACCAUAGUUUAGAUCAUUGCAAAUCAAACCCCCCCAAUUAUAUAAUGUAUAGCAUAAAAAUCUGAACUAAACCUUCCUCGUGGGAUCGACCCCUUGCUUGCUCUAUACUAUCUUGUGUGUUUUAAGCUAGGGUAAUUAAUUUAUGCGACCGCGACAUCGCAACAAUUUCCCCCCCAUUUUUUUCUCCUCUCUCUCCCAAAACCCAAAAAACCAACGACGACCCGACUUGUCCUUUCACUGACACCACCACGCCCUCAUGCCGAAAGACCCAUACCCUACAGAGGUAGGGGCGGCUGUGCAGUAGCUGCCCCCAUGCCACCAUGCCCUGCACCAUGGCACAGGACAGGGCAUGGUGGCCCUCUCUCCCUCUACCUAUAAAUAUAAAGGGAGUGCGGGAGAGAAGAGGGGGGAAAAAGAUUUUUUGAAAGAGAAAGGGAGGAGAAACCGAGAGAGAGACCGACUGUUUUUUAAGGAGGAAAAGAGAGACCGAAAGAGGGGAAACAACAGUUUUUUUAGAGAGAAAGGAGUGAAGAGAAGCAGACCGAAACACUAGAAAUUAAAGGGGAGAAAAGAAAAAGGAGGGAGACCGAGAGAGAAGACAGAGGAGAGAAAGGGAAGCCAUAAAAGAAGCGGGGAAGAACAGGAAGUGACAGGGGAAGAAAAAAAUACUGGAGAAGAAGAACAACCACAGCUGCCACCGUGCUUCCUCUCCACCGACAUAGCGCACCACCUGACCGUAGCUGACAGCCCCGAAGAGACAGAGGAGAAAAGGAGAAGAUAACGGGAAAAAAAACACAGAGAUGAGGGGGCUGAGAAGAGAAACAGAGGAGAGGAGAGAAGGAAGGAAAACGCCGCCGCUGUCACCGCCGCUUUCCACCACCGCUGACGACCACAACCGUUCUUUCCCGCUCCAGGUAACUUUCUCCCCUUCCCUUGUCGUUUUUAGUUGUUCAUCUUCAUUUUGCAUGCAGACGUGAGCAAUUCACGUUCUGCAGCAAAAUGUAGAUUAAUUAGCUAGUUACUAUGUUAGGCACAGUAACUAGCUAAUUAUAUUUUGCUGGUUACUGUGUGCAGCACAGUAACCAACCCUUUGAUUGCUUAUGGGCUAGAACAUCAGCCCAGCCCACGCGGCUGGGCUGAGUCCAGCCCACAGUAUAUGGGCCGGGUCAGGCCCAGCCCAGGAUGGUUGGGCCAGAUCCGGCCCAAGUUUUUUUUUGGUUAAAAGAAAAUUUCAAAAAUAUUUUUUCAGAAUUUUAUAAUUUCCCCGCAUAUUUUUAUGUCAUUUUGAUUAAAAGCAAUAUUUUUUAUGUUGCUAAAAAUACAAAAUCCGAUAUUAAAAUACCUGGUUUUCGUCAAAACUUUCAAAAUACAAAACAAAAACUUUGUUUUGAAAAAAAGGAAAAUGUUUUUGUGCAUACGGCCAAGUAUCUCAAGGCUAAAAAAUCAUAUGGUGUUUUUCAUACACAAAAAAAAAACAAUGUUUUUGCAUGCAUUUUGGCUUUGAUAACCAGUUUAUUAGAGUCAAGAGAACAUUGGCCAAAAUUUCAAAAACUACAAAUUUUUUUUUUUUUUUGUCUUUUAGUAUCCGGGGUACGAUAUUACAUGUAAUACAUAUUCCAUAUAUUAAAUGUUUUUCCAACGUUAGAACGGUUAGGUUCUACCCCAUUAAAGAUAAGAACCUCCUUAUUGAGUAGGGCUUUUCUUGAGUCUUAGAUAGACAGGACCAAUAAGUAGAAAACACGACCAAACCUUAGAUUUUGAUAAGACAAAUAAAACAAUGCAGCUUACCUUAGGUAUGGCGUAUUUGGGGUGCUAAUACCUUCCCUUUACGCAACCAGUCUCCGUACCUGAUCUCUGAGACCAGUUAGGGUUCCUAGUGAUCAUAAUACUAGGUGGCGACUCCCAUUCUAUUUUUUUCACCGCUAAGAGACAAAGAAUUCCUUGUCUCCCCACAUUUACCAGAUAUAUAUCCAUACAUUGAGGGUGGACGAUCGCCGCGACGCCGCACACGUGCGACAGAAUGGCGACUCCACUGGGGACCUUGUGGACUAAGCAUUGUUUUGUCUGAUUUUUUGUUGGUUUUGUCCCUGUUUUGUUAUUAAGAUGCUUAUUUUAUUUACACGCUUUAAUUUUUGUACAUAUUUGUUCAUACAUUGUAUAGAACUGUUUCACGCAUCAUUCUUUUUAUGUGAGAGUUUAUAUGAGAAAACUUUAAGUUAAGUAGGGGACUAGCAGCUUACCUUAUGACUUUUAGUCAAGGUUUAAGUUUGUGUAAACCCCAACUCUUCGCUGAGUGCUCAGACUGGUAAUGAUUGGUCCAUAUGCCAUCCCAUUACCUACUGAGCCCCCAUAUUGCCUUCACGAGGGCGAUCACUGGGACAACAAGAGACCCUUUUAGAGACAGAAUAGCCAACCUACCCUUGUCAAGCAUAAAAGAAUUAGAACCGGCCUUUAGGGUGUAUGCUCCACUGUACAUGUUUUGCAUAAUACAUUAAACCUAACCAUAAAGCAUAUUGGUUUUCAGGUCUUUUUAACGAUAAGAUGGCCAUCAUUACCAAAGUUACUACUGUGGAAUAUGGGCAAAAUUCUGAAUUGUCACAACUAUCAGAGGGAGACGGCUCUAGAUGUAAUGCAAGGAAGCUUCCAAUAGUCAAAGACCUGAAUUGUAUGGUAAAUGAGAUGAAGAGAAUAUUGGUUCAUAGUCAGAACAUUGAUGAGGCGGCAUUUUCCGUGAAGUAUGGGCGAUUGUUAGAAAUUACGAAGAUAGAAGUAUUGAACCCAGCAAUCAAAGCCUUGAUUAACUUUUGGGAUCCUGAUUAUAGAUGUUUUUCCUUUGGAAAUGUGGAUUUGUGUCCCACUGUAGAGGAGUAUGGAAUGUUGAUGGAGUUUCCCAAGCACCUGCACAAGGUUUAUUUCCCUUUGAGAAGUGACAAAGUAAUUCCCGAAUUGUCAAAAUUGCUGAAAAUUCCAUAUCUGAGCAGAUUUUUAGAGAAGAAUGCCAGCGGUUUAAAGUGGAAAUUCCUGGAGAUUGAACUAGAAAGGAAAAAAUCACAAUAUGGAUCGAUGCUAGAAAGAGACAGGUUAAUCGCUCUGGGGAUAUAUGGUCCUGUAUUAUUUCCAAGCUUAACAGGGGUUAUAAGCCUAGAAGCUGCUGCUGCAUUUGUGGAAUAUGAAAAUACUCAUGUCAACCCUAUAACUGCCAUAUUAGCUGAGACCUUCCUGACCCUCAACCAUUUCAGGAAGACUGGGAAAGGCGCAAUGAGAUGUUGUACUAAGUUAUUAUACAUCUGGAUGGUAAGCCAUAUUGAAACCAAAAAGCCGAUCUUUAAUAAUUUUUGGUGGUUUAACCAAAAACCUUUGAAGUUAGUAGAAGAAGAAGAAUGGGGAAGCUUGGGCGAUCAGGGUUGGAUGAAAAAACUGCAAGAGUUACCAAGUAGCAACUUUAGUUGGAAAGCCCCUUGGGUCAAAUCGGUUGAUAUCCUAGUAAGUUGCGGACAAAAAUGUUGGGUACCUUUAGUUGGGAUCAUAGGUUAUGUCAGCUAUGCUCCGGCCUUGGUGAUAAGACAAUUAGGCGGCAUACAACACAUCCCAAGAACUGUGGGACUCGCUGAAUUUUCCAGGUUUUUCAAGGAUCAAUCCGCGCUAGAAGAUUGGAGCCAUUUGACUUUAAUGUGAAAGGAAUCUGAAAGGUUAAGAGACCCCAGCUCAAGUGAAGGAUAUGAAAAGUGGAGGAAUUUGACCCCGACUGCCGCUCCUAGAAUGCCAUGUUCUGAAGACGGGCCUUCACGAAUUAUAGAAGGGUCAUUCAAAAGAAAAAAGGUCAGUAAUGAGGAGGACCUUAUGGGGCAAUUGGAAAGGCUCCAAAUAGAAUUGGGAAAGAGUAAGGUAGAUAAAACAGCAUUAGAAAUGAUGAUGAUAGAGGGAGACAAAAGCCGAGUAUUUCUAAACGUACAGCUCGAAUCUAGAGAUGUAAAAAUAAUGAUGUUGGAGCUGCAACUGAGCAAAGGAAAAGUUGUAAUGGAAGAGUCCGAGAAAGAGAGGGGAACGCUGAUUUUGGAUUGGAUGCAGAGCAGCUCUGAAUUGGAAGCAUUAAAAGCCAACUUCAAUGACUAUCAGAUGCUGAAUAAAAUCAGGAUAAAUUUUUGCACGUUCAAGCGGAGUUAAUGGACCGAAUCGAGAAGUAUGAUGAGUUAAACAAGAAAUGUGUGAUGGUAAAAAGUCGGCUAGCCGAAUUGCAAGAGUUCGAAAGAAAGGGGAAGGAAGAGGAGGUUGUUAAAGCAGAUUUGGCAACUAAGAAAAAUGAAAUUAGGAUGCUGAAAGCGAAACUUGAUAGAGAGCGGGAAAAGGUAAGACAGUUGACCGAAAAGUUGGAAGCUUCAAAAAAACAUAAAGAACAGAUCGACACCAACAACAAUACCUUGAAUCAGAACAACAUGUUGCUUAUGGAGAAGAUGGCCAAAGUAGAUGAGCAAAUGGAUGAAGCUGCCAUUCAUGCACGGAUUAUUAGAACCAAUGCCCGAAGGGUGGGGAGGGACAUCUUUUGUUAUCGACAAAGCUUGGCUGAGACUGAUGCCUUCUUAGAAAAGAUUGAGAAUUGAGGCCUUGCUUUCCUACCAGUGGCUAGAAAUAUGGAUGAAGAGGAAGAUUGAUGUAUUUUUUUUCUUUUUUUGUAUCCUCUUUUCUUUUUGUAUCCUCUUUUCAAGAGAUGUAUUAGCCAAUAUUAUUAAUGAAAAGGGGCCUUGACCCAUCUUUUGUGAAAUAUCUCUUAUAGAGUAAGGUUAAGUCUACCAAAGCAACAACUUGAGCAAAACUACCCCUGAUAAGGAACGUGACAAAGGAGUCCAUACCCAUUACGCAAGCGAAAUGUUGGCCAUCGAUCGUUUUUGAAAAACAAGCUCACAUUACAUAUGCAUCAUGCAUUGUUCAUUAUCAUACAUUCAUUUACAUUUUUCCAUCCGCUCCAGAUCGUGAAACAUAGGUCCCCCACCCAAGGUCCACCACACUAGGCUAAGAUCAAGAAUGGAGAACGAAGAGAGGGCCAUUCUAGAAUCCCGCUACCAAAGUGAAUUGGAAUCCGUGAGAAAUGAAGUUUCCCGGAUGACCAAUCUGCUUGAGCAACUUCUAAGAGCCAAGAAUGGGGAGGGAACGUCUACCCAACCACCCAUAGGAGCACCACCAACUCAUGUCCCUGGGGUAUCUCAGAACUUGAGGGCAGAUUCAGUAACGGAACAACACUUUACACUAGCCAUUCCCAUCCAGCCCACUCAAUCUCACAUCACUGUAGAUUUAACAGCGAAUGGGCCUUCCGAUAAUAGGUCCACUGGUUUUAUGAACGACGACAAGAUAUCCGCUUUGGAAGAAAGGUUAAGAGCAGUUGAGGGAAAUGAUUGGUUUGACCCCAUGCGAGCUUCUGAAGUAUGCUUGGUACCAAACAUCAUGGUACCAAAAGAUUUUAGGAUACCAGAGUUUAUAAAGUACACUGGGUUGGAAUGCCCACACACUCACCUUCAAGAGACUUGUCGACUUUGGUUUUUGUAUUUUUUUUACAACAUGCAAGAAAAUUUACAAGCAUUUAUAUAUAAAAAAAUAUCAAAAAUACCAGUUGAAACCCAAAAAAUUACCUGAGUGUCACUGUAUAGGUAAAAUACUGAAAUACCCUGGAAGUUCUCCAAAAAUUACGAAAAUGCCACUGGCGGCGCGUGUGGCACACGCGCGGCUACUGUUGGCUGCGGCGAAAUUUUCUGGCGAGAUUUCUGGCCAACAAAUGGUUGAUUCUGGCAGAUCUGAGGGCGAGGAUUCUGAUGGUGGUGGUUGUGAAGGUCUUUGAUGGCUGAUGAGUGAGAAUCGACGACUUGAAGCUUCUGUGGCAGCCGACGAUCGCGACCCUUUUCCGACCAAAUGGGGCGGAGACAACGCUGAAAUCGGCCAGGGUUUUGCUUUAUAUGAGGAUAGAGACCUUUCUGUGGUGGUUUGGAAGCUUGAUAUGGCCGGAGAUGGGAGAUCGGAAGAGAGAGAGGGAGUUGCCGGCGAGAGGAGAGAGAGAGUCCGAGAUUACGCUACGGUGUGAACGCGUGUAUGGUAAACAGGUACCUCUGAACACUGUGCGCCGUUGGAUCUCGGAUGAAACGAUCGGAUGGCUGUGAUUGGCCUGAUCUGCAGGUUGAUCGGACGGUCCGGAUGAACAGAGGUAGGAUCUGGUGUGGCGCGGUGUACCGAGAGAUUGGUACACCGGGUGACGUGGCGAAACUGGAUCUAAGCUUAGAUUAUUUCAAGGGCUGAGAUGUGUCUGGGUUUUAAUCUAGUGUGGUAAGCCCUAUUGUAUCCUAUUAAAUCAACGGUUCAGAUCUAAACACUAUUAGAUCUAACGGUUAGGAUAUAUUUGGUAUUUUUCAUAUUGUAUUUUUAAAAAAUCAAUAUCCACUCUCAUGAAGAAAUAGUGAAAAACUUAAAUAGUAACCUUGAUAUUCGUUUCUUUUCUUUCUUUUUCUUACCUCUCCCCCUUUGUUCGUUUUUCUCACCGGCUAUUUAUAGCCAAUCAACAGGGGACAUCAAAAUCUCAACAUUAUCUACUUGCAAGAAAAAAAUCGUCGAUACAACUGCCCCGCCUGCUGUGACAAAAAAAGUUUGCAUUAUUGAUUUUUUUAUUUUGUUUUAUUAUAUAUAAUAAUAAAUAUUUAUAUGGAUAAAACUAAAACUCAAAUUAGUAUUAGAAAAGCCCGUUUCAACCGCUAAAAAUCAAUUUUAAUGACCGAAAAUAAUAGUUUUGACCCAAAAUAACCUGAAACUCAUUUUUUACCCCGAUCGACAUGGUUGGACCCGUAUGGACUCGGUGGACUCGGUUUUGACCGAAUAUGACGGUUUUGACCCAAAACGGCCCGACACUUAUUUUUUACCCUGGUCGACAUGGUUUGACCCGUAUUGACUCGGUGGACUCGGUUUUGACCCGAAACGGCCUGAAACUCAUUUUUUACCCUGGUCGACAUGGUUUGACCCGUAUUGACUCGGUGGACUCGGUUUUGACCGAAAAUGACGAUUUUGACCCAAAACGGCCUGAAACUCAUUUUUUACCCUGGUCGACAUGGUUUGACCUAUAUUGACUCGAUGGACUCGGUUUUGAUCGAAAGAUGCGGUUGACUCGAGAAAAAUAUAUUUUUAAAUUUUCCUUUUUCUUAAUUGUUUUGGAUUUUUAUAAAUAAUAAUAGAAAUAAAAUAACAUUCAAGAAAAUCUUGGUGAAUCCAAAAUUGGGUUACAACAGUUGCACCCUCUUUACAAUGCUUACGGUGCAAAGGCAUUGGAAAAUUCAUUUUCUUUUGACUUUGCAUAGUAAGUUUUGUAAAGAAAAACGAUGGAAGUGUUGAAAAAUGCACAGAUUUUUCGGUUGGUCUAAUUGUUAUGGGCGACCUGCCCAAGUGAAAAACAUGAAAGUGUUUUCAAUAUUGGUUUUGUGAAAUACAUGAAAGUGAUUUCAGCAAUGGUUUUGUGAAAUACAUGAAAGUGAUUUCAACAAUGGUCCUAUUUUCCAGAUGACCACCCCGAUGAUAAAAUGCGAGGAAACUCGCAAGUGGUUUAAUUGUUCCAGGCGACCUGCCCGAUGAUAAAAUGCGAAGAAACUCGCAAGUGGUCUAAUUGUUCUAGGCGACCUGCCCAAUAGUGAAAUGCGAGGAAACUCGUAAGUGGUCUAAUUGUUCCAGGCGACCUGCCCGAUGAUAAAAUGCGAGGAAACUCGCAAGUGGUCUAAUUGUUCCAGGCGACCUGCCCGAUGAUAAAAAAUGCGAGGAAACUCGCAAGUGGUCUAAUUGUUCCAGGCGACCUACCCGACAAUGAAAAUGCGAGGAAACUCGUAAGUAGUCUAAUUGUUCCAGGCGACCUGCCCGAUGAUAAAAAAAUGCGAGGAAACUUGCAAGUGGUCUAAUUGUUCCAAUCUAAUUGUUCCAGGCGACCUGCCCGAUGAUAAAAAAUGCGAGGAAACUCGCAAGUGGUCUAAUUGUUCCAAGCGACCUGCCCGAUGAUAAAAUGCGAAGAAACUCGCAAGUGGUCUAAUUGUUCCAGGCGACCUGCCCGACAAUGAAAAUGCGAGGAAACUCGCAAGUGGUCUAAUUGUUCCAGGCGACCUGCCCGAUAGUGAAAUACUUGAAAGUGAUUUCAAUAUAUUUUUGUGAAAUACAUGAAUGUGAUUUCAGCAAUGGUUUUACGAACCGACCCUUCUGUGAAAUACAUGAAAGUGAUUUCAACAUUUUUGUUUUGUGUGAAAUUCAUGAAAGUAAUUUCAACAUUGGUCCUAUUUUCCACGUGACCACCCCGAUGAUAAAAUGCGAGGAAACUCGCAAGUGGUCUAAUUGUUCCAGGCGACCUGCCCGAUAAUGAAAAUACGAGGAAACUCGCAAGUGGUUAAUUGUUCCAGGCGACCUGCCCGAUGAUAAAAUGCGAGGAAACUUGUAAGUGGUCUAAUAGUUCCAGGCGACCUGCUCGAUGAUGAAAAUGUGACGAAACUCGCAAGUGGUCUAAUAGUUCCAGGCGACCUGCCCGAUGAUAAAAUGCGAGGAAACUCGCAAGUGGUCUAAUUGUUCAAGGUGACCUGCCCGAUAGUAAAAUGCGAGGAAACUCGCAAGUGGUCUAAUUGUUCUAGGCGACCUGCCCGAUGAUAAAAUGCGAGGAAACUCGCAAGUGGUCUAAUUGUUCCAGGCGACCUGCCCAAUAGUGAAAUACUUGAAAGUGAUUUCAAUAUAGUCUUGUGAAACACAUGAAUGUGAUUUCAGCAGUGAGCUUUAGGGUUGAUUGAAAACUUCUAAAGGAAGUCAUACCUGUAUGGUUGAGAUCUGAUUUGUAAAUCGAUCUCCGAGAUGAUGAAAUCUUCUCAAGAAAGUCUUAUGUCUACGGUCGAGAUCUGAUCUUCUGUACAUCGAUCCCAAAAGAUGAUGAAAGCUUCUCAAGGAAGUCCUGUAUGUACGGUUGGGAUUUGAUUUGUAAAUGGAUCCCAAAGAUGAGGAAGGCUUCUCAAGGAAGUCCUGUAUGUACGGUUGGGAUUUGAUUUGUGGAUCCUAAAAAUGAGGAAAGCUUCUCAAGGAAGUCAUGUAUGUAUGGUUGGGAUUCGAUUUGUGGAUCCCAAAAAUGAGGAAAACUUCUCAAGGAAGUCUCGAUUUCAAAGAUGAUGAAAGCUUCUUAAGAAAGUCUUAUAUGUACGGCUGAAAUCUGAUUUGUAAAUCGAUCUCAAAGAUGAUGAAAGCUUCUCAAGAAAGUCUUAUAUGUACGGCUGAGAUUUGAGCUGCCGUUCAAAACGAUGGUAGGAGUAAAUUCCUUAUAAAUCACACAGUAUUUGGCAAAAGACAUCAUCAACUUCUUGCAUUUUCAAUACUCUCAAAGUUCUUAACUUUUGAAGCUUUAACCAUGUCUUCUUCUUCUUCCAAUGCUAACCCAAACCCUGUUCCUGCAGUAGAGCCUGCAGUUUGGCGUACUACCUUUGAAGUGAAUGGUCGUCCAGUUACAAUAGAGGAUACUGUAAUGGACAAUGAAGAUAUUGCUGUAGCCGUGGCUAGAGAUAUGAUCCUUCCUCGUGAUGAAAUAAUGCUGGCAGCCAGGACCGAUAUUGAAGUAGUGAAUCAGUCACUUGCUCUCAGUAUCAGAGCUACUUCGUCUUUGGUGAACGUUGCAGAGCGUCUUCAUGCUAGAAGACUUGAGUUGAAUACUCAGGUUCUUGAUCUCCAUCAUCAGAUUGAGAAUUUAAGGAAUAGACUCCGUGAUGAGAGACGUCACAGAAACAACUUGGAGAGGAGAAACCAAGAGCUAAAUACACGUGUUGACUUUUGGAGGGAUUAUGUUAACACACGACACCUCGAGUUCGAGGAAGAGAUGGAGCGCAUGCAUAAGCAAUUUGAGGAAUUCCGAGGCAUGAUUAACCAUCAAGAUGAAAAUAUCCCUGAUCGUCCUCGCACUGUUUAACAUUUGUACUUGUAAACCCCUUUUUCCAUGAAUAAAAAUCCAUAUUUCUUGUCUUCAUUUAUGAAUUUUGCUUUUGUGGAAUUGCCAUCUUUGAUGUGAUUUAAAAGAACUUCAAUUCAUGUGAGUCUCGUUGGAUCCCAGUGGGGAUAUUGUUUCAUAAAAUAUCUGCAAAACAAUUAUGCAAUGCAUGUGAAGUUAGAUGAUAUGCAAUGCAUCUUACCUGUUUUUGAAACAUAGGUCCCCCCUUUUUGAUGCUUCAUCGUCAUAGGGUGGCUUUGUUUGCAUUCCAAAACCUUCUUUGUUUUUCGAUGCAUUGGCUCAUUCAUGUGCUAGCCAUCCGCUCAGUUGUAAAUGCAGUGCCCAUCUUGGGUUGUCCGUGAUGAUUACUGCUCUCGCUGUUUAUCAAGCUUGACAAUGCCCCCAAGUGUAGUGUUGCUUGAUUUAUCAUUAAGAAGCUUAACAAAUCGUUCAUCUCCUGGAUUCUUUCAAGAAUUGUUCUCUGAUUGAUUGUGUGCAUCGUGCCAACACCUAUCAAGAUUGUCAAUCAGUUAUGAACUCACCUCCAGUUGAAACAUACCCUUCAAGGAUAUGCGGUCAUCCACUUUCAUGGAACUGUCAUGUCAUUCAGACCUGCAUUUCAUACUUUGCAGUACAAAGCUCAUCGUUGUAUGCUCAGCUUCUUUCUCAAUAGGUUCUUCUCAACUCAUUUAACCAGAUUGUGAAAAGAAGUGUCUCAGCCUCUUCAAUGAUGUUGCUUUUAUCACCCAUACUCAUGUGGUGCAAUGCGCAUUUGAGCUUCCAAUCAGAUGGCCCCACGGUCAGUCUAGGUGGGUGCGGUGUAUCCUUCCAACAUUCAUUCAAAAGCAAUCAUGUGAUAACAUCUUUCGAUAGUCAUAGCCAUAUUGGAGACGAUAAACCAAGAUGAAGAUAUGAAGAUGUCCUUCAGGUACAUCUUUGCUCUCAAUUGUUGUCGAGGUUUACUGGAUCAUAAACUGUUCUUGAACAUCAUUGCCCUUAAUUGAUAUGAAUGUGCUCAUUCACUGAUUAUCUUUCUUUGAACCAUAUUAUCCUCAGUUCAUUGAUUCAUCAUUUGAUCAUCUCUACCCCCCAGCUGAUUUAAAAACUGUUUGUUUUCCUUCUCAGAGGUCCAUUGUAUUGCCCCCAGAAGUGUCGAGAAGAAUUGAUGUCAUUUCUGUCAGGAAUUUGCAAACUCCGUCGAUGUUCUUAUUUGAAAAUCUUUCUUAUUUUGGAAUCAAAUCUCACAUUUCAAAGAUCAUGUCAAGCAAAUCUGAUUGUUGAAAUGAAAUCAGAGAGAUGUCAAUUUUGAAAGUAUUUUUGGAAAUCAAGCUUUGUUGGUCAAAGAUCCAACACACGCUAUUCAAUAUAGUCCUUUGAUUGUCUUGUAUUUUGAGAGAAAAGAAAUUGACUCGUUGUAAGAUUAAAAUGGCUUUUUUCAUGGUUUUUUGUAUCGAUUUUAAACUCUAAUUUUGGGUAUAUCUUUUGAUUAUCUGUGAUGAGGUGACCUUUUAUGAAUUUCAAGAAAAAUAAGGUACCCGAGGCAAAACUUGAGGCUUAAUCAAGAAAGAUGGUUUCUUUUUCUUAGCACCAAUUUUAUCAGCAUGCAUAAUAAUCAGUAGCUUGAUUCAUGAAGUCACGACCUGUAUGAAACAACUCUUCAAGUUUUGAGAUCGCCAUUUAUCGGUUCAGAUUGCUUACUUGAUUAAAAAGGACUUUCUAAAGCAUGUAAUGUAGGCUAUGGUUCCUGGCUAUGAAAGAAAGGAAUUUCACAAGCUCAAAAGGUGUUUGAGGGUUUCAUGAACCUAGGAUCACCAUCAAUUACUCAUCAAUCUCUUUUCCUCACGUUGUCUUUGUAGAGACGGUGACAUAUAACCUUGUUAAUCUCUAAGAUUAAAAUUCGUUUAACAUAGGUCAUAACGCAAAUCCAACUUUUCUUUAAUGAAUAGCCAAUCUAAACUUUUGAAGAUCAUAGAGGCUUUACCAUAGACACACCAAAAGACAUAACACUUGAUUUUUCGUGUUAACUUUUGGUAUUUGUUGUGUCUUUAUCAAUCUUUGGCUUUCUUCUUUUAGCCCUUUCUCAAUCAUUGGACUUUUGUUCUAAGCCUUCCCUUUGUCCAUCGACUCUAACAUUGUCUUCGUCUUUUCUAGGAAAAGACUCUCAUUGCCCCUAGUGUGGGGUGUGAUCCUAGUCAAGGUUUUUUAUGAAAGAAAUAUUCUAUCAGCUCAAAAUGGGACUGCAAGGGAUAUAUAUUUCAAGAAUUGUGAAAGGAUGAAACAAAAAUGGCCUUUUCUCAUCUCAAGUAAGGUCGGUUAGAACCGAUAAAUUUUGACCUCAUCCAAUAUAAUGAUUUAGACUUGUAAGAAUCAUAAUUCACGAGUCCAUAACUACUGAAUCCACUACGUUUCAUUAUGCAUACUGCUAAAACUUAGCUAUAUAGUAUGUGGUUCAAUUUCAUGUGUGAGUUCAAAAGUUUCUUGGUCACCUCAUGUCAUUUCAACAAGCUUCGAGUCAUUCAAGCAAAAUAAUUUUAAUCUUCAAGAUUGACUAAUCUUAAACGCAUGUUGGAGCUUGAUCAAAAUAUUUUGUCAAAAUAACCUUUGAAAGAAACAUCUCAUGCUUUCAGAACAACAAAGGGACAAAGAAAAGACAUGUUUUGUUAAAAGAUGAGAUAUGAUCCCAAAAUAAAAUGCAGAAUGACAAAACUCAUAACAAAAAGGAUCGACAGUUUAACACUCUUCUUGGAUCAGCUUUUCUGGUGAUAUCUGUGUUUUGUCAAGCAUUUCAAUCACUUGUCAUUAUGGGGAUGUUGUAGUGACAAUAUGGCCGAUGAUGUCAUUUUCACAAACUCAACUCGAUUCUUGAAAUUCUUGCAACUUUCAAAUGAAUGGCACAAAAUCCCCCAAUGAUAUUCAAAUCUCUUUUCUGGAUUAUACCACCUAGAAAAUGAUGGUUGUAUGGGAUUUGGCGGAGUCAUGGCAAUAAAUCCGGAGUCUAAUAGAUGCUGGUAGACAAACUCGAGUGGUCGAGGUAUGUCAAUCUUGGCAAAAAUAUUUGAGCAGUUGAUACAUAAUUAAAGCUUCCCAUCGUUAGAGUCAUCCUUUGAUUCAUCUCUCAUUAUUGUUCUACAAUCCUUGGCAGAAACUUCAAUAUUUCCCCUCUUCGUAGCUUGUUCAAUUCUUUCGAAAAUCCUCACAACAUCAAUAUCAAUCUUUCCAAUGUUGUUAUGGUUAUUUGUGGAUUGGUAUAAACUUUCCAAUAGCCAGGUAAUCUUGGUAGCGCACAGAAACAUUCAGCACCACCAUUGCCAACGUGUGGAAUCAUGCGUUGUCUCAACUGGAAGAGAAAAUGAUGAAUCUGAAAAUGAUGAAUCUGAAACCCUUUUGUCUCCUCUUCAAUUCCUCACUGGCAGUGCAGCAAACAAACACCUAUAGUGGGAAUUCUGCUUUGUUAAAGUUGCAAUGUUUGCUCUUUUUUUUCUCAGAGCAGCAUCCGAUACUGCAAUGUCUGCUUUGUUAAAGUUGAGAACAAGGGUUGUCAUUAGUUGAUGACUGAAGGCAUUGUUGUCAUUGUUCAUGACUAAAAAGGAGAGGUACAACUUCAAUGGAACGUGGACAAGUAGUGUUCUCAGCAAGAGCCUGUACAGACGUUCCCUUUCCACUUUUGAAGCUCAACAUUUAUUCAAACAGAUUUAUGAGUCGAGCCACUUCACCUUUACUGCUCUCAACUUCCUUUUGAUAAUAAACCUAUGUCUAACCCCUGUCUUUAUUUUCCAUCUUCAUCAGUCCAGUAGACCUCAGGUGGGGGAACUUAUGUUUCAACCGUGUGCAAGCUUGAUAAAUGAAUGAAAUGCGCAAAUGGAUGCAAAAUGCCAUAUGGACUAUGCAUGCUUGUUAUUUGUUUCAAGUUUUCCUUUAGCUUAUGACGAGGAAUAGACCAGAUCAGAUUCUCUUAAGAAAGUUCUCAAUGAGGACUCCAAACCUACAGGAACUUGAACCGAUUUAGGGGAGAAAUUUGAUUUUUAUUGGAUAUUCUUCAGUUGUUUUUCCCUCUACUCUCUUAGCAGAAGUAACCCUACCGGGAUGUUUCCAUGCCUUUUUCACUAACUCUAAUAAUUUCUUCGAGGUCUUGAAAUCUUCAUAAAAUGUUGGCAGUUUGGUAGUCAUUGGAAUAAACUGCUCAUGUAAGAUCCCACAUCGAAAGCGAGCGUCCAACGCCAAGGCCUUAUAAAUGCAUGUUCAUCUUAACUAGUAAGACGCGUUUAAAACCCUGAGGGGGACCUGGGUGGAAGCCCUGGAAAUGGGUAGACCGGGGGGCCUAGAAGGGACAGUAUCUGACAGGGUGAGUGUGCUGCUCUACUCUGAAAGACGCGUUUUGAGGCCAUGCGUGGCUGCCAAGAACAAACCCGUCAGGAGACUUGGGUGGAAGCCCUGGACAUGGGUGAACUAGGAGGCCCAAAGCGGACAAUAUUUUGCUAGUGAGGUAGGAUGUUACAGCUCAAAUCCAAAUUGUUGUAAAAUCAUGUUAGGACAAUAACUAAUACAGCAGCAGGCUCCUAUCACAACGGGACCCAUGGAUACUCACCAUAAUAUGCCAGAUAAGAUUUGAAGUAAGAGUAUCGACUCCUCCAAUGAAAUUGAGAUUUACUUAGAUUUAGAAACAUUGAUUCCCAUGUGGUUCUUGCUACUUCAUGCAAGUGUUUUUCAGCAAAAUUCUCCAGCUUAGAAUAAAGAUGCCAUGGGGUACCAACCAAACCUGAAAUCUUCCCCUCGAUCAUAUGACUCACAGUCCAGACAAACAAUAACUGCAAGCAACAUCUUAAACGACCCCUUCCAGCUUUUCUACAAUAAUUCAAGGAUGAGAAAGUUUCUGCCAAUAUUGCUGUAGCCGGGUUAAUUUUAAGGGUCACCACAUUUUUAAAUACAUUGACAGCCUCAAAAUCGAUCAUUCCCUCUGUAGAUGGGAAAAGAACCAAACCAUAUAUGCCUAAGGCCAAAAUUCUCAAUCGAAUUUCAUUGCUUUUAUCGUGUAAUCUCCUCUUGAAUAUGGCUUCUAGUUCAUUCCAAAACCAACCUUGGCUAUUUCCUCGUUUAGUUGCAUGAGAUUUUGCUAGUUGACAUUCUAUCUGGGUAAUCCAAGCAAAGUUAGAAAGUGCAUGCUCUAUAGGUGUGUAAAAGUAUACCUUUUCUGACUUGGGACAAUUUAGCAGGGAUUCAUACUCCUCAAUAGUAGGAGUCAUAUCCACAGUAUCAAAAGUGAAGCACCGAUAUUCUGGAUCCCAAAACCCUAUCAUGGCCUUAAAACAAGCAUGUUGGACCCUAAUUUUCAGUAAAUGUGAUAGAUCCCCAUAUUGUUUCUGAAAAGUGAUUUGAUCAUGAGAGGAUAACCUUUCCCAACAGUCUAGCAGCUGUCUUGUACCAAGUGGUCUGUCAUCUAAUUUAACAUGCUCUGGCAACUGAGACUCAAAUUCUGAUGGCAAACAAUCCCCUUCAUCAUGUUGGCUCAAUUCUGAUCUGGUAAAAAAUUCCUCAAUAGUAAUGGGUUUUUCCAUCUCACACUUCUUGUAAGGAUCGGUGGAGAUUUAAUGAGCACAUGAAAUGUAUAUGAACAUGUAUGUUCAUGCAUUGACAUUUGUUCGUGUCCUAAUGGGUAUAUCUUACUUGAUAGGAUCUAGCUCAUAAGGUUUGGUUCAGUUUAAUCUAUCCUUAAAGAUAUUUUUUGGUUCUUAGAUUGCCCGAAUUACCCAUGGAGUAAUCGGCCUCUUAACCUUAUACAACAUGAGUAUGGGAAACAAUUUCCACAAUACCCGUUGCAUAGGGUGAGUUACAAUCCAAGCGAAAGUCCAAAUGAGCAUCAGUGGACAUAAGUCACACUUGCCACCUGAAUCUCUCUUUUCUAAUCUUAAACAGGACGAGCUCGGGUCCAGAGCUUUUAUGGGUUCACCGUGAAGUGUGUGAAUACACAAAUAAAUAACAUGCAUGUAUGUGGCAAUAUGGAAAAUUGAAAAGAAUCACAGUAGAUAUUGCAUAAAAUAAAUAAUGCAAAUAAGAUAAAUGCCUAAAAAUAAAUAGCGAUAAGAAAGAACAAAUGAAAAGCAAAUACAAGCAGUUGGCUCAACCCUAAGUCCCCAGUGGAGUCGCCAUUCUGUCGAUACACGACGUCGGGCGACUGCUUCCGCUUUUUUUGUUUAUUUAACAAAAAGGGUUUUUUUUUAAUUGGGGGAAACAAAGAUUUUAUUGGAGUCGCCAUCUAGUAAUUUGAGGGAACUAGAAAUCCCAAAUUAGACACUGGUCCCAGAGAUUCAGGUACGGGGUUAGUUAUGAUUAAGGGAAGGUAGACACCACCCUUAAAACAUCCUUUCAAAGAAAGGUUACCCUUACUUGUGUGUUUUUUGUUUGAUUCAAAUGCGAUUAUAUUUUGGGCUUAUUUGUAAUUAUUUUAAAUGAUUAAUGUCGGUCCCUAAAAAUAGGAGACACGUUAAAAAUGACAUCAGUCCCUAAAAUUUAGGAGACUCGUCUAGAAUAUUAACGUUUAUUCCUAAAAAGGAGAGUUACGUCUGGGUUACCAAAAGAAAUAAUGGAUAUAAUCCAUUAUAUUUUGGGUUUAUUGGUAACUUGUUUUUUUUUAAAAUGGUUAACGUCGGUCCCUAAAAAUAGGAGACGCGUUAAAAAUGACAUCAGUCCCUAAAAAUUAGGAGACUUGUCUAAAAUAUGACGUUUUAACCCUAAAAAGGUGAGAUACGUCUGGGUUACCAAAAAAAAAAUAAUGGACAUAAUCCAUAUUUGGUAUUUGCAUUUUUGACAUCGGUCCUUUUUUUUAAAAAAAAAAGAGAAGUGUUGACUUUGGUUUUUGUAUUUUUUUUACAACAUGCAAGAAAAUUUACAAGCAUUUAUAUAUAAAAAAAUAUCAAAAAUACUAGUUGAAACCCAAAAAAUUACCUGAGUGUCACUGUAUAGGUAAAAUACUGAAAUACCCUCGAAGUUCUCCGAAAAUUACGAAAAUGCCACUGGCUAGAUUUCUGGCCAACAAAUGGUUGAUUCUGGCAGAUCUGAGGGCGAGGAUUCUGACGGUGGUGGUUGUGACGGUCUUUGAUGGCUGAUGAGUGAGAAUCGACGACUUGAAGCUUCGGUGUGAACGCGUGUAUGGUAAACCGGUACCUCUGAACACUGUGCGCCGUUGGAUCUCGGAUGAAAUGAUUGGAUGGCUGUGAUUGGCCCGAUCUGCAGGUUGAUCGGACGGUCCGGAUGAACAGAGGUGGGAUCUGGUGUGGAGCGGUGUACCGUGAGAUUGGUACACCGGGUGACGUGGCGAAACUGGAUCUAAGCUUAGAUUAUUUCAAGGGCUGAGAUGCGUCUGGGUUUUAAUCUAGUGUGGUAAGCCCUAUUGUAUCCUAUUAAAUCAACGGUUCAGAUCUAAACACUAUUAGAUCUAACGGUUAUGAUAUAUUUGGUAUUUUUCAUAUUGUAUUUUUAAAAAAUCAAUAUCCACUCUCAUGAAGAAAUAGUGAAAAACUUAAAUAGUAACCUUGAUAUUCGUUUCUUUUCUUUCUUUUUCUUACCUCUCCCCCUUUGUUCGUUUUUCUCACCGGCUAUUUAUAGCCAAUCAACAGGGGACAUCAAAAUCUCAACAUUAUCUACUUGCAAGAAAAAAAUCGUCGAUACAACUGCCCCACCUGCUGUGACAAAAAAAGUUUGCAUUAUUGAUUUUUUUAUUUUGUUUUAUUAUAUAUAAUAAUAAAUAUUUAUAUGGAUAAAACUAAAACUCAAAUUAGUAUUAGAAAAGCCCGUUUCAACCGCUAAAAAUCAAUUUUAAUGACCGAAAAUAAUAGUUUUGAUCCAAAAUAACCUGAAACUCAUUUUUUACCUCGGUCGACAUGGUUGGACCCGUAUGGACUCGGUGGACUCGGUUUUGACUGAAUAUGACGGUUUUGACCCAAAACGGCCCGACACUUAUUUUUUACCCUGGUCGACAUGGUUUGACCCGUAUUGACUCGGUGGACUCGGUUUUGACCGAAAAUGACGGUUUUGACCCGAAACGGCCUGAAACUCAUUUUUUACCCUGGUCGACAUGGUUUGACCCGUAUUGACUCGGUGGACUCGGUUUUGACCGAAAAUGACGGUUUUGACCCGAAACGGCCUGAAACUCAUUUUUUACCCUGGUCGACAUGGUUUGACCCAUAUUGACUCGGUGGACUCGGUUUUGAUCGAAAGAUGCGGUUGACUCGAGAAAAAUAUAUUUUUGAAUUUUCCUUUUUCUUAAUUUUUUUGGAUUUUUAUAAAUAAUAAUAGAAAUAAAAUAACAUUCAAGAAAAUCUUGGUGAAUCCAAAAUUGGGUUACAACAAUGUCAAUGGAAAAGAGAAGCCAAGAGUUAGUAAGGGCUUAUGCGCAAAGAUGGAGGGAUGAGGCAACACAUGUGCAACCCCCUUUGAUAGAGACGGAGAUGGUGACUUUGUUCCAAACUGAGAUCAGUGGGUUAACUCGGAGUGGCCGGUGCUUCACGCCCGAGGAGUUGAAGAAAGCAAAAGGCAAAGAAGUGGUAGAUCUUGACAAAGCACUAGAAGUUAAUAAGCCAAUAACUGAAGAGGAGUCAAAUGAAUUUUUAAAGUUGAUAAAGCAUAGCGAAUAUUGCAUAGUAGAUCUACUAAAAAAGACUCCAGCAAGGAUUUCCCUUAUGUCCUUGAUACUAAGCUCUAAGCCGCAUCGAAAUGCUUUGCAAAAGGUAUUGAAUGAGGCGUAUGUGCCCCAAGACAUUGAACAGAAAACCAUGGAGCAUCUGGUGGGGAGAAUCCAUGCAACUAAUUACCUGUACUUCACAGCUGAUGAGCUUGAUGCUGAAGGUAUCGGACAUAACAAGCCCUUAUACAUUACUGUUAGGUGCAAGGAUUGCCUCAUAGGAAAGUGCUCGUCGAUAAUGGCUCAGCUCUUAACGUGUUGCCAAAGCACAUGCUGAAGAAAUGCCAAUUGAUGAUUCUCAUAUGAAGUCGAGUACUGUGAUGGCCAGAGCAUAUGAUGGCUCACUUGGGCCAAUAAUUGGGACUGUAGAAGUGGAGCUAUAUGUGGGGCCACAAAUGUUCUUGGUGACCUUUCAAAUUAUGGACAUCCACCCUUCCUAUAGUAUGUUGUUAGGAAGACCUUGGAUUCAUGUGGCUGGGGCGGUAACUUCAUCAUUACACCAAUGCUUGAAGUAUAUCAUGAAUGGGAUGUUGGUAACUGUCAAAGCUGAGGAGACAAUAUCCAUGAUGAAGAAUGUGGCCAUACCUUUCAUUGAGGCAGAGGAUCGCAAGGAUAACAAUAUCCACUCUUUUGAGAUUGUGAACACUGACUUGGUACCUAAGAACACAGUACUAAGAAGGCCAAGGAUCUCAGAAGCAGCAAGGAUGGCAGCUCAAUGCUUCUUGGAACGCGGGAUCCCAUUUCAAUAUAACCCUAUCACUAGGGUACCAGAAAGGGUUAAUCCGAUAAAGAUGAAAGGUGUUGAUCAAAGAUUUGGGCUGGGGUAUAAACCUAAAAAAGUGGAUCAUCGGUGGGCUGCUGGUCGAAGAAGGGAAAGAAGAAUGGCUAGGAUUGAAGGAAGAGAGCUUGAAGAAGAAAAGCUGGAAAUCCCUCCCCUUAGAGUGUCGUUCCCAAAAGCUGCAUAUGUAAUGCAACCCGAUGAAGGAGCAGAAAGCCUUGGUCAAGAACUGUCAAAUAUGAGCAUAAACACCUUGGAGGAGAAUAAGGUGGAAGGAGGUGGCAUGAAGACGGUAGCGGGAAAGAAAGAUGAAGCACUACCACAACUAACUAUCCACACUUUGGAAGAAGUCUCUGCUAAGACCUUUGUACGAAAGCUGGCUGAAGGUGAGAAGUUUCAAAACUAGGUGACUCAAUAAGCCCUAGUAGUAUUUAAAAUGUAAACCAACUUUGUUUGCCUUAACAUGCUUUUGUCAUUGCUUUUGUUUGCUUUAUUUUCCCUGGUUGACAAUCGAGGCUCAUGAUGUCAAUCAGAUUUUGUCGUUGUCAUUGAGCCCACCUUUGUUUUAAAUAAUGAGAUCAUGCGUUUUCCAAAUUUAUCUCUUUAUUCAUGCAUUUACACCAAACACUUUCCGCUUUCAGGAACUCUGAAAGUGGAUCUUCCACAACAUCAUAUACACUUAGCAUCAAGAAUGAAUGGCCAAACUUUAACGAACAUGUGAUCACUAUGGAAGAAGAAGAAUGGGAUGAAAGCAAUAUUAGGGAAUUUACAAAGUUAGUAGAGCAACAUGAACAAACCUGGGAACCAACUACAUAAGAACUAGAAACCGUAAACGUGGGUAGCGAUCAGAUUAAAAAAGAGUUAAAAAUAGGGACCUUAAUCACUCCUAAGGAAAGAGUAGAGGUAAUUGCCCUACUACGAGAAUACGCAGAUGUUUUUGCUUGGUCUUACGAGGAUAUGCCUGGUUUGGAUAGAAAUAUUGUCGUACAUAAGAUACUGCAGGAGGAAGGUUGUAAACUAGUCAAACAGAAGUUGAGGAGAGCCCACCCGGAUAUUUGGAUCAAAGUUAAGGCAGAACUCGAAAAAUAGUGGAAUGCAGGCUUUCUAGAAGUAGUUAAAUAUCCACAAUGGGUAUCCAACAUUGUUGUCGUACCAAAGAAAGAAGGAAAGAUUAGAGUUUGUGUGGACUUCCAAAAUUUGAACAAAGCUAGCCCCAAGGAUGAUUUUCCUCUGCCACAUAUAGAUGUUUUGGUCGACAAUGCUGCACGUAGUUCCACAUAUUCCUUUAUGGAUGGUUUCUCGGGAUACAACCAGAUAAAGAUGGCUUUAGAAGAUAAGGCGAAAAUAACUUUUGUUACACCAUGGGGAACCUAUUGUUACAAGGUUAUGCCAUUUGGUCUGAAGAAUGCAGGAGCCACCUAUCAGAGGGCCAUGGUGACUCUUUUCCAUGAUAUGAUGCACAAGGAAAUUGAGGUGUAUGUAGAUGAUAUGAUUGCCAAGUCCAAGAAGGGAGAAGAUUAUGUAAAGGUUCUGAGGAAGUUAUUUGAGCGUUUGAGGAAGUAUGAACUAAAGCUCAACCCGGCAAAAUGUUCGUUUGGAGUUAAGUCUGGAAAGUUGCUAGGAUUUGUGGUAAGUGACAAAGGUAUAGAGGUGGAUCCUGAUAAAGUGAAGGCCAUCCAAUCCAUGCCAUCCCCAAAGACAGAGAAGGAGGUGAGGGGAUUCUUGGGAAGAUUAAACUAUAUUGCCAGACUUAUAGCUCAACUAACCACAACAUGUGAACCUGUCUUCCGGCUACUGAGGAAAAAGAAUCCUGGGAUUUGGAAUGAGGAGUGUGAGGAAGCAUUCAAUAAAAUCAAGCAAUACUUACAAAGUCCGCCUUUGCUUGUUCCUCCUAUAUCAGGAAGGCCUUUAAUAUUGUAUUUGACAAUAACUGAAACAGCUAUGGGAUGUGUAUUGGGUCAGCAUGAUGAAACCGGAAGGAAAGAAAGGGCUAUUUAUUACCUGAGUAAGAAGUUCACCGAAUGUGAGUCUAGAUACACGGUGAUAUAAAAACUCUGUUGUGCAUUGGUAUGGGCGACAAAAAGAUUACGACAUUACAUGUUGUAUCACACCACUUUGUUGAUUUCAAAAGUGGAUCCACUAAGGUACAUCUGUGACAAGCCCUAUCUCUCAAGCCGAAUUGCAAGGUGGCAGGUUUUGUUGUCAGAAUAUAACAUAGUAUAUAUGACAAGGAAAGCCGUGAAGGGGAGCGCGAUUGUCGACCACCUGGCUGAUAAUGCUGUUGAAGAUUAUGAGCCAUUGGAUUUUGACUUCCCUGAUGAAAAUGUAUUAUCAAUAGUGGGAGAAGAAGAGAAGAAAGAUUGGUGGACCAUGUUUUUUGAUGGGGCAGUGAAUGUUUAUGGUAAUGGGGUCGGCGCGGUGAUAAUCUCUCCUGACCAGAAGCAGUAUCCGGUUUCAGUUAAAUUGUAUUUUGAAUGCACCAAUAAUACAGCUGAAUAUGAGGCUUAUAUCCUGGGUUUAGAAGUUGUGUUAGAGCUGAAGAUCAGAAAGAUAGAUGUAUAUGGUGACUCAAUGUUGAUUAUCUGUCAAGUGAAAGGAGAAUGGCAAACCAAGGAAGAAAAGUUGAGGCCAUACCAGGAAUAUUUAUCAGCACUGUCAGAAGAAUUCGAAGAGAUAAGAUUCACCCAUCUAGGAAGAGAAGGGAACCAUUUUGCGGAUGCUUUGGCCACGUUGGCUGCUAUGGCUACGAUUGAUCUCGGGCAUAAGGUACAUCCUGUACACAUAAACAUCAGAAAUAACCCAGCUUACUGUUGCUCGAUUGAAGGAGAGGUAGAUGGAAAGCCUUGGUAUACGAUAUCAAGAAUUUUGUGCAAAAUCAGGAAUAUCCAGUGGGAGCUUCGAAGAUGGAUAAGAAAACCCUAAGAAGGUUGGCCAUGGAUUUCUACCUCGACGGAGAGAUUCUGUACAAAAGAUCAUUUGACAGAACCUUGCUAAGGUGUUUGAAUGAGACAGAUGCUAAAAAUGCUUUACGGGAGGUACAUGAAGGGGUUUGCUCAACUCAUGCUAACGGGCAUAUGGUAGCAAGGAAAAUACAAAGGGCUGGUUAUUUCUGGAUGACACUAGAGAAAGACUACAUCGACUAUGUCAGGAAAUGUCACAAAUGUCAAGUGCAUAGUGAUAAGGUCAAUGCGCCUCCGACUCCUCUGAUUAAUCUAGCAUCUCCCUGGCCAUUUGCAAUGUGGGGGAUUGAUGUGAUUGGACCUGUUAACCCAAAAGCUAGCAAUGGGCAUAGAUUCAUACUCGUAGCUAUUGACUAAUUCAUGAAAUGGGUAGAAGUUAGUUCAUACGCCCAUGUAACACAGAAAGUGGUGAAAAGGUUUAUAGAAAAAGACUUGAUUUGUCGUUAUGGUCCACCAGAAAAGAUAGUGACCGAUAAUGCACAGAAUUUCAACGGCAAAAUGAUCAUGGAGCUCUGUACCAAAUGGAAAAUCAAGCAUUCAAAUUCCUCACCAUACAGGCCCAAGAUGAAUGGUGCCGUAGAAGCAGCCAACAAAAACAUCAAGAAAAUUAUCCAGAAAAUGGUAGUCACUUACAAGGAUUGGCAUGAGAUGUUGCUGUUCGCUCUCCACGUAUAUCGCACUGCAGUAAGGACCUCAACAGGAACUACUCCAUAUGCUCUGGUAUAUGGAAUGGAGGCGGUGAUGCCUUUGGUAGUAGAAAUCCCUUCGUUGAGGGUGUUGAUGGAUUUAGAAUUAGAAGAGACUGAAUGGGCCAAAGUAAGAUAUGAACAGUUAAACCUGAUCAGUGAAAAGAGGUUGGCUGCAAUCUGUCAUCAUCAACUCUACUAGAAAAGGAUGGCCAAGACAUAUGACAAGAAGGUUAGACCUCGCAUGUUCCAAGAAGGAGAUCUAGUGCUGAAGAAACUAUUGUCUUUACCAGGAGAAGAUCAAAGCAAAUGGGCCCCAAAUUAUGAAGGUCCUUAUGUAGUGAAGAAGGCUUUCUCAGGAGGAGCUCUGAAGUUGUCUAGAAUGGAUGGAGAAGAUCUAGCUAGACCUGUGAAUUCUGACUCUGUAAAGAGAUAUUACGUCUAAUGUGUUCAGUUUUCUCCCAAAAUGAAUAAAGUGAAGUUUGGCUAUGAUUUCUUUGUGUAAAGAACCCUUUUUUUUCAUUUGCAUUGAUCUCACAACACUUAAUUUGUUUAUUUUCAAAAAAAAUCUUGGAAAGAUUUGGCUUUGUGCAUGAUUAUAAGGAAUGUAUCAUAAAAUGCUCAAAGAUGAAGUUUAAGCAUUUCCCGUUAAGAGGUGACCAAACCAAACAAACCCAACGCUGAGAUAAAACCUUGCCCCUAAUAGCAUUUUGAAUUGUAUGGAUAAAUGGUUAGGUAAUCAUCAUUGUAAUCACUCGGAUGUUUUUCUUUCGAGAUAAGAACAAGGUUUAUCAAUCCUAACAAUGUGCGUCUUGAAAUGAGGAAAGGCCAUCUUUGUCAUCCCUUCACUUUCUAAAGAUUUCAUCCUUUGUAGUCCCCAUUUGAGCCGGAUUGAGUUUAUUCUUUAUGAAAACCUGACUAAGACCACACCCCGCACUGGGGGCAAUGAGAAAUCUUUUGUUAGGAAAGAUAAAGAUAAUUGUAGAAAAAAAGGGUAAAGAAUGGAAGCCUAACAUUUAAGAAGAGAAUAAGAAGAAAAGGGAGAAGGAAUUUGAGCAAAUUACAAAAAAAAAAAAAGAAGAAGAAGAAGAAGAAGAAGACUUGGAUCUUUGAAAGUCCGAACCCAAAACUUGGGGGCAUAAAAAAAAAAGAAGGGGGGAAAAGGAAUAAAGAAAGAAGAUGAUGGUUUGAUAAUGCUUUAAGACUGAGAUGAGGAUCCUUAAGCAAGCUUCUCCAAAUGCAACCUAUGAGACAAUUUCACAAAAAACAAAAGAUAGAAGAAGAGUGGUCUUAAGUCUUUAAACCCUCAAACACUAUUGAGCCUUAAAGCAUCCUUUUCUUUCAUAGCCCGUAGAUGUAACCUACAUUACAAGCCUUUAAAAGUCCUUUCUGAUCAAGCGCACAUAACUUGGGUUAAUAAACGAUGGUCUUAUAACUCAUAGGACUUAACAAAUGAGAGAUAAUCCGCUUUUGUCCAUGCAAGAAAAAGGCUAAUAUGAGACAUUUCCCUUUUUCUACACAGCCUUUUCAAAUAAUUACUUAAAACCUGUUGAAAAGAUUAAACAGAAGAGCCUUUGAAAAGAAAAAAAAAACCUAAAGACAAACCGCAAACCGAUAAAACCCUCAUUGGGAAUCGCUUAAAAGAGUUUUCAAUAUGUAUGUUGAAAGUUUCAGUUGUCAUGAACAAAUUCAAGUCUUUUAAAGAUUCUUUUUGAGGAAGGAAUUUUUUGUGCUGGAACGAAAACCAAAAAACCCUUAAUUUGAGAAAGACAAAUUAAAGCAUUGACAAGAGCAUGAUAAAAAGCAAUGGCAAAUCAUGCAUUUUUGGAAAAGGUUCACCUAACGGAAAAGGUCAGGGAUUUCUUCCCUAAAAAGUGAUGGGUAGAAGAAACAUCAUAGGAAAUGGAUCCAGCAUGCCAUUUCGAGCACGUGAACAAGAUCGUAUUAAGAGAGAGUUUCAGAAAAUUGAAGGAAGCGAUGGGACCUAUGUUUCCAAACCAGGUAAGGAUGCAUACAUAAGCAUUGCAUCAAACAUUUUUGUUGAUUUGUUACAGGAAAAAUCCUCAAUAUAGUCCGGCAAGAUUAGAGACAAAGAAAGAAUCUUUGAGUUGAUGAACAACGAAGAAUCAUGCUUUGGACCCUGGAACGGGAGAAAGAUGAGAUAAACCCUAACAUUAGGGAAAUCUCAAAGAAAUAAGAGUCUUCAAUUCAAACCCUAUCAUCUUGAAGAAGAAACAUUUUUUGGUUAAAGAGGAUUGCCAAAAGGGAUCUCAGUUUAACCACCACAUGAAGAUUUUAGCUUUGGUUGAAGGGAGUCGCCAGAUGGGAUUCCAGGUUGACCGAGCUACACACAGGCUUUGGUUCUGGUUAAAGGGGAUCGGCGAAAGGGAUCUUAGUUUACCCUAACCACACAGAGACUUUGGUUCUGGUUAAAGGGGAUCGACGAAAGGAUCUCAGUUUAGCCUAACUGCACAGGAGUUUUGGUUCUGGUUAGAGGGGAUUGGCGAAAGGAAUCUCAGUCUAUCCUAACCAUACAGGUUUUUUGGUUAUGGUUAAAGGGGAUCGGCGAAGGGAUCUCAGUUUAGCCUAACCACACAAAGACUUUGGUUCUGGUUAAAGGGGAUCGGCGAAGGGAUCUCAGUUUAGCCUAACUGCAAAGGAUUUUGGUUUUGGUUAGAGGGGAUUAGCGAAAGGAAUCUCAGUCUAUCCUAACCACAUAGGAGUUUUGGUUCUGGUUAGAGGGGAUUGGCGAAAGGAAUCUCAGUCUAUCCUAACCACACAUGUUUUUUGGUUCUGGUUAAAGGGGAUCAGCGAAGGAUCUCAGUUUAGCCUAACCACACACAGAUUUUGGUUCUGGUUAGAGGGAAUUGGCAAAAGGAAUCUCAGUCUAUCCUAACUACAUAGGAGUUUCGGUUCUGGUUAGAGGGGAUUGGCGAAAGGAAUCUCAGUCUAUCCUAACCGCACACAGGAGUUUUGGUUCUGGUUAGAGGGGAUUGGCGAAAGGAAUCUCAGUCUAUCCUAACCACACAAUUUUUUAGUUCUGGUUAAAGGGGAUCGGCGAAGGGAUCUCAGUUUACCCUAAAUACAAAGGAUUUUGGUUCUGGUUAAAGGGGAUCGACGAAGGGAUCUCAGUUUAUGUUAACCACACACAGAUUUUGGUUCUGGUUAGAGGGGAUUAGCGAAAGGAAUCUCAGUCUAUCCUAACCACACAUGAGUUUUGGUUCUGGUUAGAGGGGAUUGGCGAAAGGAAUCUCAGUCUAUCCUAACCACACAGGAGUUUCGGUUCUGGUUAGAGGGGAUUGGCAAAAGGAAUCUCAGUCUAUCCUAACUGCACACAAGAGUUUUGGUUCUGGUUAGAGGGGAUUGGCGAAAGGAAUCUCAGUCUAUCCUAACCACACACACGAGUUUUGGUUCUAGUUACAGGGUAUUGGCGAAAGGAAUCUCAGUUUAGCCCAACCACACAACAGGACUUGGGGUCCGGUUGAAGUUUUAGGUCAACCAAAUUUUGGGAAGACCAGUUUCGGAAGACCAAUUUUGUUUAUCUUUACAACACUUACUACGCAAAAUCUUUGCUCCGUAAGCAUUGUAAAGAGGGGGCAUCUGUUGUAACCCAUUUUUGGGUCCCCGCACAAAAUACAAAAAAAAUUAUAUCAAAAUAAACAAAAUAUUAUAGAAAAAUAAUAGUAGUGAAAAGAGGAUGUCGGAGCGCCCAGAAAAUGGUCAAAAAUUGGUUGAGGAGGUUUAAAAAUACAAGGAUUGAAGUUUGACAGUAUAUCAUUGACUGGGGCUUAAUUGCAUACAUAUUAAAGUCUGGUGGGCAAUUAGGGACUUGAUUGAAGAAAUCCAAAACCAAGGACCAUAGUGAAAAAAGCGCGCAAAUUGAAGGGCUAAUCUGAAAUUGGACCCAUUUUGGCGCCAAUUUUCGUUUAAAUGAAACGGCGCGUUUUGAUAAAAAACGAUGUUCGUUUCAUGUAUUUCACGAAGAAAAAGAGCAAACGGUGCCGUUUUGAACGGCACCAUAAGCCUUCUUCUUCCCUUAUUGAGAAUAGGGGAAGAAGAAGCAUUUUCCCCCCAUUUUUUUCUCCUCUCUCUCUCUCCCAAAACCCAAAUAACCAACGACGACCCAACUUGUCCCUUCACUGACACCACCACGCCCUCAUGCCGAAAGACCCAUACCCUAUAGAGGUAGGGGCGGCUGUGCAGUAGCCGCCCCCAUGCCACCAUGCCCUGCACCAUGGCACAGGACAGGGCAUGGUGGCCCUCUCUCCCUCUGCCUAUAAAUACAGAGGGAGUGCGGGAGAGAAGAGGGGGGAAAAAAGAUUUUUUGAAAGAGAAAGGGAGGAGAAACCGAGAGAGAGACCGACUGUUUUUUAAGGAGGAAAAGAGAGACGGAAAAAGGGGAAACAACAUUUUUUUUAUUGCUUAUGGGCUGGAACAUCAGCCCAGCCCACGCGGCUGAGCUGAGUCCAGCCCACAGUAUAUGGGCCAGGUCAGGCCCAACCUAGGAUGGGUGGGCCAGAUCCGGCCCAAGUUUUUUUUGGUUAAAAGAAAAUUUCAAAAAAUAUUUUUUAGGAAUUUUAUAAUUUCCCCGCAUAUUUUUCUGUCAUUUUGAUUAAAAGCAAUAUUUUUUAUGUUGCUAAAAAUACAAAAUCCGAUAUUAAAAUACCUGGUUUUCGUCAAAACUUCCAAAAUACAAAAAAAAAACUUGUUUGUUUUGAAAAAAAGAAAAAUGUUUUUGUGCAUACGGCCAAGUAUCUCAAAGCUAAAAAAUCAUAUGGUGUUUUUAUACAUAAAAAAAAAAAACAAUGUUUUUGCAUGCAUUUUGGCUUUAAUAACCAGUUUAUUAGAGUCAAGAGAACAUUGGCCAAAAUUUCAAAAACUACAAAAAUUUUAUUUUGUUUGUCUUUUAAUAUCCGUGGUACGAUAUUACAUGUAAUACAUAUUCCGGAUAUUAAAUGUUUUUCCAACGUUAGAACGGUUAGGUUCUACCCCAUUAAAGAUAAUAACCUCCUUAUUGAGGAGGACUUUUCUUGAGUCUUAGAUAGACAGGACCAACAAGUAGAAAACACAACCAAACCUUAGAUUUUGAUCAGACAAAUAAAACAAUGCAGCUUACCUUAGGUAGGGCGUAUUUGGGGUGCUAAUACCUUCCCUUUACGUAACCAGUCUCCGUACCUGAUCUCUGAGACCAGUUAGGGUUCCUAGUGAUCAUAAUACUAGGUGGCAACUCCCAUUCUAUAUUUUUCACCGCUAAGAGACAAAGAAUUCCUUGUCUCCCCACAUUUACCAGAUAUAUAUCCAUACAUUGAGGGUGGACGAUCGCCGCGACGCCGCACGUGCGACAACAGUUAUAUAUUAAUUCUAAUAAAAAAUAUAUAUGGUUUCUAUGUUUAAAUUUUGGUAUUAAUAACGCAUACAACAAUGAGGCAGUUAAGUUUCUUUGAUAAAAUAAAAUCAUUUAAAAAAUAAAAAUAAGCUAGUAUGUUUGUUACAUAACUAAAAAAAAAAUUGAUUUUUUUUAAAUUAAUUUUUAAAAUCAUUUUAAUAGACUGAUAUUAAAAAUAAAUUUUAAAAAAUAAAAAAUAUAUUAUUUUGAUAUAUUUUUAAGAAAAAAACAUUAUGAAAAGAAAUUGUUAAUAUUGUUAAAAAUAUAUUAAUAUUUUAAGGAAAAAAUAAAAGAAUUUUUUUUUUUCAAAUUAAUUUUUUUCUUUUUUGUAUAUUUUUGUGGUUACCAUAUCAGACAAAGUAGAGGUUGAUUUCAACAUGCUUCCUGCAAGCAUGAUAAACCAAAUUCAUUAUGAGAUAUAUAGCCUCAAGAUUAUCACAUCAUAAAGAAGAGUAGAGGUUCAAAUCCCUAAAUCUAUAAAUAAAUAAAAAAUGAACUAAGCAAUUUUAUCUCGAAACAACAAUGACACUAACUUAAUGCUCAGCCUUGGUACAAAUUAUGUCAGCACUUCCAUGCCUUGUGAUCUUGACAAAAAUAUUUUUGGUCCUUUUAGUUUAGAAAUGAAACUUUUCAGUACAAAACUUUAUUUUACCUAUAUAUAUAGUUCUUGAGUUUGAGAAAAAAAAGAAAGAUUUGUUGAAAAACUACAAAGGAGAGAUAAAAUUAGUCUAUUUAGAUUUGGAUUGAUUUUCUAAUUUUAAAUCAAUUAAAUGUUUAUUUAAAAUCAUGAAUGGAUUUAUUGAAGUCACUUCUUACAUAUAGCACAAUAUUUAUGAAGAUGACACGAGUUAAAAUAAUUGUUUAAACACACACUAUAUAUUGUAAUGUUGUCUGCAUAUAACUGUCAUGUAAGGGCUUCCAAUUCGCCUCUCCGUAUUACAGCACUUUACAAAUUAUUAGAUCAUUUGAUACUACACACAACAUUUGAUAUUUUUAACCAUUCACAUACAUGAAAUAAAACCCAUGGAAACAUGACACAAACGUCGACUGCAACUGCAACAUUAUACUAAUGAGUGUAUUUUCUAAAGUCGAAAGAGUGCUACCCAAUCUAGGUUCAAGUGGGAUGAUGAAUUGAAGAGCAGUUGUUAUUUGACACUGCAAUUAGAUGUCUCAUAUUUGAUUUAUGGAGCUAUGAUAAGGGAAUCGUGCUUGUAUAUUUACAUAGUAACAAGCAUUAUUAAAGAUGGUACACUAGUAAGUUUCCAAAUGCUAUCAGCAAAUAUUAUAACCUCUUAAUUUAUACAAGGAUUGAGCUAAAUUGCUUUAUCAAAUAUUUUAUGUUUUUUUUUUUUUGAAAUAUUGUUAUAGACAUAGAAUCAACAAGUUUAUGUGACAUUCUAUAUUGAUUUUGUUAUAUUUUAAUCACUAAAAGUAUGGGUUUCAGAAAAAUAAAAACCAAACAAAAAAAUUGAAAAAAUUAAAAAUUUUCAAACCAACCCAAUCCAACAAAUUUGAUCAUUUUUCGUCUGGUUUAGUUCGGAUAUUUUUUAGUUGAAACAAUUACUAACCAUUUUCAAAAGAUAAAUAUUGACAAGCCUUUCACCAAAACCAUGUUCAUUUAUGCUGAAUCAGGCCAAAUCAGGUUCAGGUUGCUAACUCAAACUAACGCAAUCCAAAAUUAAAUGCAUAUAGACUCUGGGUUGGUUUAGUUUAUUGAUUAUUAGAAAUGUCAAACUGAAACCGAACCGAAAUAAAUGAAUAUUUCUAACUGAGACGCCCUAAAAUACUGAAAAAAAUGGUUGGUUUUGUUUAGUUUGGUUUGGUUAUAGCAGAUACCCUGACAAUUUACUUUUUCACUCGACCUCAAACAAUAAGCACUAUUAUUAUGUCUUUAAUUGAAUUACUAUAAAGUAUAAAAAUAUAUGUGGAUAAUUGAAAAUUUGCUUAGAGUUGCUAAUAAUUCACAACUGCAACAACCAUCACGACCAGGUAAUGCUUGGGAAUGGGAUCAUGUAAUUGUGGAGAUUUGUCUAGAUUUUCUAGAUAAUAAUUUCAACCACCCUCUCCUUUCCUCAACCACUAUCACUCACCUUUCAACCACCAUCAACUACCCUCUCCUUUUGUCAACCAUCAACACUUCUCAACCAAGCUGCCAAGGCUCUCAUUCCUUCUAUAAAUGAAGACAAAGAGAGAGCAAGAUAAAGUGUAGUGCAGAGACAGUGCAAGUGAGUGCAGAGGAGAGGAAGUGUGGAGAGUGCAAGUGCAACUUUGAGAGUUGUGAGCAGAUUUGAGAGAAACACCAAGUGUAAGAGUGAAACACUGGGAUUUUGGGAUUGUACUAGGGUUGAGUUGAGUGUUUGUAUCAUUCCUCUAAUAAUAUAUGAUUGUGCAUCAAAAGUAUCAUUAAGUCUCCUAUUUUACAUAUAUAUUUAUUAUUUUUAUUUGGGUUUUUUAUAAUAAUUGAUGUGCUUUUUAGUAAUGAAGUUUUUUUUAAUGUUUCGAUAGGAUUUUGGAGCUUAAAUGAAUUAUUUCAGAAAAUUCAACGUCGGAAUUCGGAACAAAGAAUCGAAGAGAAAUUUAGUUGAAGAUUGAAGCAAGUCUUGGUUCAAAUAAGUGCUCCAAAUUUUCCCCAAAAAUCAAUUCUAUUCCAAUUCUAGAAAAGAAUAUCAUAUGAUCUAUUUCAAGCCCAAACAUGCCUUAUGUUGUGUGCAAACUUCAACCAUCAAACACUCAAGGUUUCAAUGUCAAUCUUAGCCCAAAUAAUAGGUACAUUUCUAUCCUUAUUUGAUGCUUAAAUCAGCCCCAAAUCAGCCUCCAAAUCAGCCGAAGCACAAUCCAUGAUCUUACAUGCCCACACAACAAAUAACAUUUGAUUUAUUUUGGGUAAUUCAUUGAUCCAAGAGGGAAAGAACAUGGAUGGAAAGCUGGAGGGGACAUUGUGACAUUAUUUUGGGUCAAAAGAAGAAAGAGACAGCUCAUAAAGGAGGAAGAAAAACGUGCACCAAAGUGUUCUCCAAGCUGGCCUGGUUUGAUUUUCCAGAACACCUUUCGGUGUUUCGCCCAUAACUUUUGACUCAGAUGUCCAAAUGAGCUGUUCUUUAAUGAUGUGAAAAUAUAACAGAAUGGCCUAUAAAUAUGUCUCCAAUAGCCAUUUCCAGGGGAGGCUUCAAAAAGGGUCUAAUUUCUGUCCAAAGUUAGAGUCAAAUUUGUGUCCGAAUUUUUACUGAAAUUGUGUUGUGUGCUUCUUUAUAGAUUUUGGUUCUUUAGCUUGUAAAAAUCAUUAUUUCAGUUUGAUUCAAGUUAUUUCAUGUUUAUUAAAGUGUUAUUAUAUAUAAUCAUGGUUCGCUAAUCUCUUUCUUGGAUCCAAAUCAAGGAUGAUGGUGGUUGAGGUGAGUUUUUUAAGAUAUGAAUGAAUCUUAAUGUCUAUCUUUUCAUUUUCUUUAUAAAUGUUUUAUUAUUGCAAAGAAAUUUUAGAAAUCAUUUAGGUAAUGUUAUAAUCUUGAAUUUUUAUGCACAAACCUUAGUUUUGGUAUAGAGAUUGCUUGAUUCAAUGUCUUACUUAAUAUGAAAAUACUUGUUCAUUCUUAAGCAAUAAUCAAUCUUCAUCUUUUUAAACUUCAUUGUAAUAUCUUCUGAUCUAAUAUCACCAUCGUUGAUAUUAGGUUGAGUUAUCUUAUAUAUGUUUGAAGGAAUCACCAAUACAUCACCAUUAAAAUUGAUUUGGACCAAGACUUACUUUUUCUUGUCAUUUAAAAUCUAUUUACACUUUUUCAUCUUUGAAAACAAAUUCAUCAAUCAUUUUCAACCAAGUUAUUGUUAAUUUAAUUUCUCUUGAGUUUUUUUGUUACCUAGCUUAAUUUCCAGAUCUAGCUCUCUGUGGAUAUGACCUCAAUCUUACUGAGUUAAUUGCUACAUCGCACACUCGUGCACUUGCGAGUUAAAACAAGCCGAACAUAAAAAGCGGUCAAGCAAUUUUUGGCGCCGUUGCCGGGGAGCUAGCAAGCAAAGGUAACAAAUUUAUAUUUGAUUAUUGAAAAAUAAAAAAAAAUACAUAUAAAUAAUAAAUCAAAUGGCUGGUUUUACCGCCUAAAAAAAAAUUGACCUCAACUUUUCGGAUAUUGGACUGUGGACUAAACUAUUAAUUAUUGGAUUUUGGUUGGUUCAACCAUUUUUCUUUUAUUUUCUAUUCUAAUUAGUUUCUAAUAUUUAUUGUUUAUAUUAUAAGGCUGGUUUUACCGCCUCUUGUUUAUUUUAUUUUAUUUUGUUGUUAUUAUUUUUCUUAUAUUUAUUGUCUGAAGUGCUUAGCCGGUAUUACCGCCUCUUGUUCAUUUUAUUUUAUUUUGUUGUUUUGUUGUGAUUAUUUUUCUUAUAUUUAUUGUUUGAAGUACUUGGCCGGUAUUACCGCCUUUUUAUUCAUGCUUGUUAUAAUUAUCUUUUAAUUUUUAUUGUUGUUAUUAUUGCUUAUUAGUUGGAGUGUGAAUUUCUUAAUUUGUUAAAUUUUUAUUUUUGUGCUAUUACUUUAUCUUUUACAUUUCAUUUACUUUUAUUUGCAAUCUUCUUUUUCUUUUUCUUUUUUUUUUCCUUUCCUUUUGUAUUCAUAUAAUUGUUAUAUUAUUAGCUUUUUUUAUCAUGGCUAAUGUUGAAGAUGUAGAGGGUGAAGGGAGUGUUCAAGGUAAUGGACCUCCACAAUUCAAUGAUCAACCUAAUUUUCGAGUACACCUUCGUGUAUUAUCUUUCCUCUUAACCAACAAGCUUUCAAUUUGAAACCGGGCAUGAUUCAACUUCUUCCCACAUUUCACGGUAUGGAUUCUGAAAAUCCAUACAUACAUAUUGUCAUAACCCAAUUUUUGACCAUUUUAUUUUAAUUAUUAUUAUUAUUUUAUUUACUGAAAAGGAUAAAAAAAUAUGAUGAUGAUGAUAAAAAAAAAAUAAUGAUAAAAAAACAAGUAAAAUGAGAUAAAUGAAGAAUGAAUUAAAAUUUGGGUUAAGGGCAACAUGAUUAGAAGUUUUAGGGUUUAAUUAAACUUUGAAAUUAAUCUAAUUAAGCUUGGAAUUAAUUUAAUUAAUCUGAUUAAGGGUUUAAUUGGAGAAUUGAUAAGUUUUGAGACUUAAUUGAGCUUGGAAUUAAUUUAAUUAAUCCAAUCAAGGGUUUAAUUGGAGAAUUGAUAAAUUUUUAGACUUAAUUAAGCUUGAAAUUAAUUUAAUUCAUCCAAUCAAGGGUUUAAUUGGAGAAUUGAUAAGUUUUGAGACUUAAUUAAGCUUGGAAUUAAUUUAAUUAAUCCAAUCAGGGGUUUAAUUGGAGAAUUGAUAAGUUUUAGACUUAAUUGGACUUUGGAUUUAAUUAAAUUAAUGAAAUCAGGGACUUAAUUGAAAAAAUAGCAAAGUUUGGGGUUAAUUAGGGAUACGAUUGCAGCAGAUUAAAGUCCAAGGACUAACUUGUAAAAGGCACCGAAAUGCAGGGGCAAUUACAGUUUAAACCAGGGGCUUAAUUAUAAAAUUCGGCGUCGUUUGAAAGAGCACUAUUCAUCUUCUUCACCCGAAAACAAGAAGAAAACGCAUGCCUUUAUUGCAUUAAAAUCCAUGCAAAACGCAUGCCUUUAUUGCAUUAAAAUCCAUGCAACCGCAUGGCAUUCUCUGGUUAUAAAAACCAGAGAAGGAGAACCGGCAAAGAAAAAAAGGAUGGCAUAACCGAAAAGCCACUAGAGAAACACAGAACCGGGGAAAGAAUAGAAAAAAAAACUUUCGUUCCUCUGUUUCUUCUCAAAGAAACAGAGGAGGCCACGAGCAGCGGAGGAAGAAAGCAACUAGCCCACCAGUCCUCCAUCACGUCUCCGUUUCCCUGCUUACACAGAGGAAGUAACACCGGGAACACAACAAGACGCAAGAACAGAAACUGUACAGAGGGGAGCAAGUUUUCUGCCCCUGUUUCUUCUCUAAGAAACAAAGGCGUUCGUGCCUCACGAUCGUGAGGCACGAACGCGUGAAGAAAGGCCAUUCUCUGGCUUUAUAAGCAAGAGAAGGCCGCAGAGAAGGAAGAAAAACUGAGGAGAAACAUGAAAAAGAGAGGACAGAACCGGUGGACGAGAAGAACAAACACAGACGGCCGCGGACGAGCGGGGAAGACGACUAGCAGGGGAACAAACCGAAACAAAAAAGAAGAAGACGACAGAACAAGGAAAGCUAAAACAGAGGAGUAGACAGAAAGCAGUAACAGAGAGGAGUAACGCUGGUCAGUUGUCAUCCCCGUCUUCCAGUGCAGCAACAGGUAAGUUGCGUUGCCCCUCCCUGCAUUUUAAUUGCAUGUUGCUGUAACAGGCGUGCGUGAGCGGUUCACGCACGCCUGCGGGUAAAAAAAUAGAAAAAUGGCCAGCCGGGUCAAGCCUUUGACCCGGCUAGGCCUGCUGAGUCCAGCCCAGCCCAUGUGGGCUGAGCUGGGCCCAGCCCAAAAAAAUAAAAAAAUAAAAAAAACAGAAAAGUAAAAAAGGGUAGAAAAAAUAAAAAAAAUGUGUAUGCAUGAAUAAAAAUAAUGUAAAUUUACUGGUUUAUUCACUGACGCCAGAGUCAGGAAUAAAAAUACUGGUUUAAAUUUAUAUUAUUUUUAUUCGGUGUAUUUUAUUUUAUUUAGCUAGAAAAAUAAAAAAUAUGUGCAUGCAUAAAAAAUCAAUUUUUUUUAAUUUAUUCACUGGCGCUAGAGUAGGGAAUAAAAAAUAUUGAUCUAAUUUUUCGUAGCUACGAAUUUUUACCAACGCCAGAGUUGGAAUUAUUCGAGCUCGAAUAUUCACUGGCGCCAGAGUCAGGAAUAUUAUAAACAAAUCAUUAUAGCAUAAGCGAAUAAAUGUUUAGCAAUUGAAGACAAAACCAACAAUGCAGUUUGCCUUAGGCAGAACGUUUAAGGGGUGAUAAUAUCUUCCCUUUUACGUAACCAAUCCCGAGCCAUAGAAUCUCUGUUGACCAGUUAGGGUUUCUAGUGACCAUAAUACUAGGUGGCGACUCCUUAAACAAGAUCUUUUCCCCUAAAAGAACAAGAUGCCAGAUAUCUGUUCUUUUUCCAUAAAUCUAGAAUUAUUUUGUGGGCCGCUGCGAUGUCGGGUGCGACACAUAUUAAGGACUUUGAAGAGGUAUGUAAUACUUUUAUUGAUAGAACAUGCACCGAGGAAACCAUUCGGCUUAAAUUGUUCCCAUUCUCUCUAAAGGAUAAAGCCAAGCUUUGGCUAAACUCCUUGCGUCCUAGGUCUAUAGGUACAUGGAGAGAAAUGCAAGCUGAAUUUUUGAAAAAAUACUUCCCCACUCAUAGGACGACAACCUUACAACAUCAAAUGAUGAAUUUUUCUUGUAGUCCAAAUGAGUCAUUUCACCAAGCUUGGGAAAGGUUCAAAGACUUGUUAAAUGCAUACCCCCACCAUGGUUUUGAGAUGUGGAGGUUAGUGAGUUUCUUCUACGACUCUCUUACCGCAGAUUUUAAAAAGCUAGUGUCAACCAUGUGUAAUGGUGAGUUUUAUGACAAAGAACCAAGUGAAGCCUUUAAUUUCUUUGAUCAAUUGGCUGAAAACACAAAGCAAUGGGAGACUUCUCUCCUACUUCAUGUUGAGUCUAGAAACACCAUUUCUCAUUCAAGUGGGAAGUUCCAAUUGAAAGAGAUUGAUGACCUCAAUGCUAGAUUAGCCUCAUUGGCUAGGAAAGUAGAGUCUCUUGAGAUUAAAAAAGUGCAUGUCAUGAGUGAACAACAAGAGGAAAGUUGUGUUGUUUGUGAGAGCAAAGGGCAUAGGACAACUGAGUGUCCUACCAUUCCAGCCUUCAAGGAAGUGCUAUAUAGCCAAACUUCUGAUUCAAGUAAUGUUAGAAAGCCAUUUUCAAACCAAGUAGGCAAUCCCUACUCUGAGACCUAUAAUCCUGGAUGGAGGAACCAUCCAAAUUUUGGAUGGAGAAAUGAGGGCCCUUCAGUACCUCAAACAUUUCAACCUCCACCCCAACCAUUUCAUGCUACCACACAUAACACGUACCAAUCACCUCAUAAGAGAUCCCUAGAGGAUACUCCAACAAUUCAUGCAAACGCAAGGAGGAAUCAAUAACCAAGCUUACAAAUUUCAAGACCAGACUAAUAGGACCUUAGAUGACAUUCAAAGUCAACUAACCAAGUUGACUCAAUCAUUAAGCAUUCAAGAGAAGGGAAAGAUCCCAGCUCAACCAAUGUCAAAUCCUAGAGGUUAGGUACACAUGAGUGAAUCCUCAUUUAGUGAACCUUCAAACCAUGAACAAGUCCAAGCCAUCACUACCCUUAGAAGUGGAAAGAUUAUUGACAAAGCUAUAGGUUUUGGGAUUCCUAGAGGUAUUGUGGAGGAGAAAUCUAGGGAAAGUGAAGAGGGAAUCAAAACACAAGUGACAAAUGAGAGCUUGAGUGACAAAGAAGGUGAGAUAAAUGAGAAAGAAAUGAGUGAGAAAGGAGAUGAUUCAAGAAAAAUUGGAGUCAAAGUGAGUGAUUUAGAAUUUGUUCCUAGAGCACCAUUUCCACAAAGGUUAGGGAAGCCUAAACAUGAUCUUAUGAACUCGGAAAUCUAUGAAUUGUUCAAACAAGUGAAAGUCAACAUUCCACUCAUUGAUGCAAUUAAACAAGUCCCCUCUUAUGCAAAGUUCUUCAAGGACUUAUGCACAGUCAAAAGGAGAUUGAAUGUGAAAGAAAGAGCCUUUCUAACUGAACAUGCUAGUGCCAUCAUCCAGUUUAAGACUCCUCCCAAAUACAAAGAUCCUGGUUGUCCUACUAUUUCAUGCAUUAUUGGAAGUCAUAAAAUAGACCAAGCUUUGUUGGAUUUAGGAGCAAGUGUGAAUUUGAUACCCUACACUGUUUACGAACAGUUAGGUUUAGGAGAAAUCAAGCCUACUCAAAUCACCCUUCAAUUAGUUGAUAGGUCAAUCAAGAUUCCCAGGGGUAUUGUUGAGGAUGUGUUGGUCCAAGUAGACAAAUUCUACUUUCCUGUUGAUUUUGUAGUGUUAGACACCGCACCUAUUCAAGGUUCUAAUGCUCCCAUCCCAGUCAUCUUAGGUAGACCUUUCCUAGCUACAUCCAAUGCUUUAAUUAACUGUAGGAAUGGGGUGAUGAAAUUGUCUUUUGGGAACAUGACUGUGGAGAUGAACAUAUUCAAUGUCUCGAAACAAAUUGGUGAACAUGAGGACAUUAGAGAGGUAGAUUUGAUCCAAACAGUUUGUCAAGAACACUUUGAGAGAGAGUGGUUCAAAGAUCCAUUGGAGAGAACUUUAAUUCAUGAUGAAAGAUUUUGUUCUUUGGAAUGUGUUGAUGAGGAAGUAAGAGAACUCAAGACUUAUCUAGAUCCAAUGCCUAUUAUGUCAAUAGGUCAAUGGACCCCAUCGUUUGAGCCUUCGAUUUCACCCCAAAUGAAAGUUGAGGCAUCUCUUGUCCAACCUUAUAAACUAGAAAGGAAGCCUUUACCGAGUGAUCUUAAGUAUGCAUUUCUAGGGGAAGAUGAAUCAUAUCCUAUUGUGAUUUCAUCAAAACUUAGCAUAGAGCAGGAACAAGAACUUUUGAGAGUGGUGAGAAAACACAAAAAAAGCAAUUGGGUGGACUAUUACUGACUUGAAAGGAAUUAGCCCUCUUUUAUGUACACAUAGAAUCUAUCUUGAAGAAGAGGCUAAAUCUGUGAGGCAAAUGCAAAGACGACUGAACCCAAACAUGAAGGAAGUAGUAAGAGGUGAAGUGCUUAAGCUACUUGAUGCAGGUAUCAUUUACCCCUUGCAAACUCAAAAUGGGUUAGUCCAACCCAAGUUGUCCCUAAAAAAUCUGGAGUCACGGUAGUGAAGAAUGAAAAUAAUGAGCUAGUACCAACUAGAAUCCAAACUGGAUGGCGUCUGUGCAUUGAUUAUCUUAAGUUGAACAUGGUGACCAGGAAGGACCAUUUUCCGCUUCCAUUUUUAGACCAAGUGCUUGAAAGAGUAGCCGGAAGAGCUUUCUAUUGUUUUCUUGAUGGAUACUCAGGUUACAACCAAAUUGAGAUUUCUUUAGAAGACCAAGAAAAAAUCACUUUCACUUGUCCUUUUGGUACCUAUGCUUAUAGAAGAAUGCCUUUUGGCUUGUGUAAUGCACCAACCACUUUUCAAAGGUGUAUGAUGAGUAUCUUUAGUGACAUGGUGGAAAUUUUUUUUGGAAGUUUUCAUGGAUGAUUUUUCAGUUUAUGGGGAUUCUUAUGAGUUGUGUCUAAUGCAUUUAGAAAAAGUUCUUGAAAGAUGUGAAGAGAGCAAUCUUGUACUUAAUUGGGAGAAGUGUCAUUUUAUGGUGACACAUGGCAUUGUCUUAGGUCACAUUGUCUCUUCAAAAGGGAUAGAGGUAGAUAAGUCAAAAGUUGAAGUCAUUCAAAAAUUACCUAGCCCUAGGACUGUGAAAGAUGUGAGAUCGUUUUUAGGACACGCUGGUUUUUACCGAAGAUUCAUUCAUUCUUUUAGUACCAUUCCCAAACCAUUGUGUAACUUGUUGUCACAAGAUGUUCAAUUUGAUUGGACAUCAAAAUGUCAAGAAGCUUUUGAAAAGCUUAAAGGGUUGUUGACCACUACACCAAUCAUGCAAGCUCCUGAUUGGUCUUUACCAUUUGAACUGAUGUGUGAUGCUAGUGAUUUUGCAGUAGGGGCUGUUUUAGGGCAAAGAAAAGAUAAGAAGCCUCAUGUCAUUUAUUAUGCUAGCAAGACUUUGAAUGAUGCUCAAUUGAAUUACACUACAACUGAAAAAGAACUCUUAGACAAGUUUAGGUCUUAUUUGGUUGGAUCUCUUGUUAUUGUUUUCACUGAUCAUGCAGCAUUGAAAUACUUGCUCACAAAACAAGAUGCCAAGCCAUGUUUGAUUCGAUGGAUCCUUAUAUUCCAAGAGUUUAACCUUGAAAUUCGAGAUAAAAAAGGAGUAGAGAAUGUAGUGGCUGAUCAUUUGUCCCGUCUUUCAAGCUAUGAGACCAUAAUUGAUGAAUCUCCAAUAAAUGAAUUCUUUGCUGAUGAAAAUUUAUUUUGUGCAGGUAUUGUUUCCUACAUUGGCUCUCCAUGGUAUGCUGACAUAGCAAAUUACCUAGCCACAAGUCAGAUUCCUUCUCAUUGGUUUAAACUUGACAAACAAAAAUUCUUGCGCAACGUGCGUACCUUUUUUUGGGAUGACCCCUACCUAUUUAAAUACUGCCCUGACCAAAUUGUUAGGCGGUGCAUCCCUGAUCAUGAAAUUCCAAGUGUCAUUAAUUUUUAUCAUGCAUUAGCCUGUGGUGGGCAUUUCUCUUCCAAGAAAACCACUGCCAAGAUCUUGCAGUGUGGUUUUUAUUGGCCCACCAUGUUCAAAGAUGUCCAUGCCUUCUGUGUUGCAUGUGACCGAUGCCAACGACUAGGUAACCUCACUAGGCGUAACAUGAUGCCCCUAAACCCCAUUCUUGUUUUGGAAAUAUUUGAUUGUUGGGGGAUUGAUUUCAUGGGACCUUUCCCAAGUUCAUUUGGUAACCAAUUCAUCCUUGUAGCUGUUGAUUAUGUGUCUAAAUGGGUGGAGGCCAUUGCAUCUCGAACCAAUGACCAUCGAGUUGUGGUCAAAUUCUUGGAAGAAAAUAUUUUCUCUCGUUUUGGCAUGCCCCGGGCUAUGAUUAAUGAUGGGGGAAAACAUUUUUGUAACAAGCCCAUUGGGAUUUUGAUGAGAAAAUAUGGUGUAAUUCACAAGGUCAAUACCCCCUAUCAUCCACAGACUAGUGGCCAAGCUGAGUUGACAAAUUGGGAGAUCAAGAACAUUUUAGAGAAAACAGUCAAUCCAAACCGUAAAGAUUGGUCCCUACGACUAGUUGAUGCUUUGUGGGCAUAUCGCACUGCUUACAAGACCUCUUUAGGAAUGUCUCCUUAUAGGCUAGUUUAUGGAAAGCCUUGUCAUCUCCCUGUUGAGAUUGAGCACCGUGCAUAUUGGGCCAUCCGGCAAUUCAAUGACAAUGAAAACGAGGUUGGAAAAAAUAGAAAGCUUCAAUUGGAUGAAUUAGAUGAGCUGAUAAAUGAUGCAUUUGAAAAUGCAAAAAUUUCAAAACAUAAGAUGAAAACCUUGCAUGAUAAACAUAUUCUUAGAAAAUCCUUUCAUCUUGGUCAAAAGGUUCUCUUGUAUAAUUCACGAUUACAUCUCUUUCCUGGGAAGUUGAGGACAAAAUGGAUUGGUCCAUUUGUGAUUAAAUCCAUCUCUGAGCAUGGUGCAUUUGAGGUAGAAAAUCCUAAGAAUGGAAAUGUUUUCAAAGUAAAUGGUCAUCGAUUGAAACCUUAUCUUGAAAAUUUUGUGGCUGAAGUUGAGACAUUGGAUCUUGAAGAUCCAAUACCAUUGUAGUAUCAGAAGUAAUGAGCUUUUUAUUUUUAUUUUUAUUUUUUUAUUCAUUUUUAUUUUUCUGUUUUUCAUUUUUUUUCUUUCUUCCAUCGCUUAUAUUUUCUUGUUCAUGCAUUAGGGACAAUGCAUUAUUUUAAGUUGGGGGGUGUGAGGUUCUUUAUUUUUCAAAAAAAAAAUCAAUGUUUUCUUUUAGUUGUGAUAUGCAGGUAAAAAAAAUCAAGCAAGAAGUCAGCUCAUGUCCAAUUCAAUCAGACAUUCAUCCUUGAAAACAAAAGGGGAGUAAUAGUUUUCUAAUCUUUAUACUUUUCUUCUCUUUUUUUUUUACAUUGAGGAUAAUGUAAAACUUAAUUUUAGAUAUUUGAUUAUGUUGAAUGCUUGAGAUGACCAUGCAUGUUAAAAAAAAAAACUUGCAUUCGUAUAUGAAUGAGACUUGUUUAGGAUCAACAUUACAUUUUUGGAUUCAUUAUUGUGUUGAACAUUGCAUGCUUUAAUUUGGGAUAGAUAAUAUCUUAUAAAGCAAGAUAUAGCAUACUUUUUUUUAAGAUUAUUGAAGUACAUCUUUCCUUGUAAAAGUUGUGUGAGUUGUGUGAUUAUGCAUGAAAGAUGAGUGUGAUGCUUUACUUGUGAUCAUCCCUUUUGAUCUAGUCCUAAACAAGGUUUAAGUAAAUAGAGUAAUCAUUAUUACACAAAUGUGUACAAAGUUCUAUCUACUCCAAUGUUUUGAGUUGCUCAGUAACUAGGGGUAUUCAUCAUAAAUGUUUAUCUUUACGUCAAACGGCAGCUUGAAAUAUGAGUAUGCAAAGCACUUUAAGUUUGUGACUUUGUGAGUAACCGGGUGCAUUCAUCACAAAUGUUUGUAUUCGCGUCAAAAGGGAAGUGACCACUUAAAGAAAAAAAAUAAAUAAUAUCUUCAAAAAAAAAGAGAAAAAAAAGAAAAGAAAAAAAAUAUAUAUAUAUAUAUAUAUAUAUAUAUAUAUAUAUAUAUAGAUAUUUCUCUAGUUUGCUACCUUGUUUGUAGUAGUGAGAAGGGAAGAUUACAAGUUGAGUUUUCGCGUGAAUCAAUUAUGUUGGUUGCAUGAUAAAUACAAUUCUAGAAAAGAAUAUCAUAUGAUCUAUUUCCAGCCCAAACAUGCCUUAUGUUGUGUGCAAACUUCAACCAUCAAACACUCAAGGUUUCAAUGUCAAUCUUAGCCCAAAUAAUAGGUACAUUUGUAUCCUUAUUUGAUGCUUAAAUUCAGCCCCAAAUCAGCCUCCAAAUCAGCCCAAGCACAAUCCAUGAUCUUACAUGCUCACACAACAAAUAACAUUUGAUUUAUUUUGGGUAAUUCAUUGAUCCAAGAGGGCAAGCACAUGGAUGGAAAGCUGGAGGGGACAUUGUGACAUUAUUUUGGGUCAAAAGAAGAAAGAGACAGCUCAUAAAAGAGGAAGAAAAACGUGCACCAAAGUGUUCUCCAAGCUGGCCUGGUUUGAUUUUCCAGAACACCUUUCGGUGUUUCGCCCAUAACUUUUGACUCAGAUGUCCAAAUGAGAUGUUCUUUAAUGAUGUGGAAAUCAAACAGAAUGGCCUAUAAAUAUGUCUCUAAUAGCUAUCUCCAGGGGAGGCUUCAAAAAAGGGUCGAAUUGCUGUCCAAAGUUAGAGUCAAAUUUGUGUCCGAUUUUUUACUGAAAUUGUGUUGUGUUCUUCUUUAUAGAUUUUGGUUCUUUAGCUUGUAAAAAUCAUUAUUUCAGUUUGAUUCAAGUUAUUUCAUGUUUAUUAAAGUGUUAUUAUAUAUAAUCAUGGUUCGCUAAUCUCCUUCUUGGAUCCAAAUCAAGGAUGAUGGUGGUUGAGGUGAGUUUUUUAAGAUAUGAAUGAAUCUUAAUGUCUAUCUUUUCAUUUUCUUUAUAAAUGUUUUAUUAUUGCAAAGAAAUUUUAGAAAUCAUUUAGGUAAUGUUAUAAUCUUGAAUUUUUAUGCACAAACCUUAGUUUUGGUAUAGAGAUUGCUUGAUUCAAUGUCUUACUUAAUAUGAAAAUACUUGUUCAUUCUUAAGCAAUAAUCAAUCUUCAUCUUUUUAAACUUCAUUGUAAUAUCUUCUGAUCUAAUAUCACUAUCGUUGAUAUUAGGUUGAGUUAUCUUAUAUAUGUUGAAGGAAUCACCAAUACAUCACCAUUAAAAUUAAUUUGGACCAAGACUUACUUUUUCUUGUCAUUUAAAAUCUAUUUACAGUUUUUCAUCUUUGAAAACAAAUCCAUCAAUCAUUUUCAACCAAGUUAUUGUUAAUUUAAUUUCUCUUGAGUUUUUUUGUUACCUAGCUUAAUUUUCAAAUCUAGCUCUCUGUGGAUAUUACCUCGAUCUUACUGAGUUAAUUGCUACAUCGCACACUCGUGCACUUGCGAGUUAAAACAAGUCGAACAUAAAAAGCGGUCAAGCAAUAUACAAUCUGCUGCCUCCGUGGACGUACCCGGUUUUGGGGAACCACGUAAAUCUGCUUGUGUUGUGUUUUAUUUGUGUUUGCUUUCGGUCCAGUAUGCACAACAAAUUGGUAUCAGAGCAUUAGGGAAGCUUAAACACAGAAAAACACAUUUUUCAGCUCUCUGUUCAAAGUUGCAGAAUUUUCAAAUUUCUCAGAUCUUGAUUUUGAUCAGCUGCGGAGAUUCCUCUCGUUGAUACAAGUCCGGAGAUAUAAAGAUCAUCGAAAUCGGAGUUGAAACGAGCCCUGUAGAGCUCGUCGAAGUUUCGCCUGAAAUCUGCUGGAAAAACCAAACAGUGCCGGAAUUCUCGCCUUAGAAGACAGCCACGUCAUCCGACACGUAAGCGAUGAGUCAUCAUCCACAUCAUCAACAGGGGUCCACAUCGCCCUGUCAUCAGCCACAUCAUCUAACAGUGACAGAAUAUUCUCUUGACAUAGUAAGAAUAUUCCGUUAACAGUAAGAGAAUAUUCCCGUGACAAAAUAUUCUUUAUCAGAGACAGAAUAUUCCUUUCCUAAGUCAACUCGGUCAGAUUGGUUUUUUGGCCAACUCAGUGAUUUUUUAGCCUGUUUUUGGCCGAGUCAAGCUGGUUCCUAGCAUUUUCAACCAUUCCGGACGCGACCGUGGUGUCCGUUUUGUGAAACAGUACACAUCGAAGUUACUAUUUUGGCUCUUUUGAGCAUAAAAGUGCAUGUUUUAACAAUUUCAGGAGUCCAUUUGUAAUCCAAAGACGUUCUAAUGGCUGAUAUUCCAGAAGAAAAAUCAGCGGGGAAUGCUAGUAUACCUCCAUAAUACAUCCCGGUAUCAAGUACCAAAUUUGAGGUGGAGAAGUUUGAUGGGAAAGGUAAUUUUGGCAUGUGGAAAUGUGAAGUCAUGGAUAUGCUUGUCCAAAUGAAUUUGGAUUUCACUCUAGAAGAUAAACCGGAGGAUUUGGAUGAUAAAAGCUGGGAAAGGAUAAAUCGGUUGGCUUGUAGUUCCAUCCGACUUUGUCUUGUAAAGGAUCAGAAGUAUGCCUUUCCAGAACAAAACUCUGCAAAGGAAUUAUGGCAAGCACUGGAGGACAAGUUUAUGAAUAAGAGUAUAGAGAAUCGUCUCUACAUGAAGAAAAGGAUCUUCCGUUUUCAGCACAAGAAAGGUACUUCCAUGAAUGAGCAUCUGAAUGAUUUCAAUAAAAUGAUAGCUGAUUUGAAGAAUUUAGAUGUGGAAAUUGAUGAUGAAGAUAAAGCUCUGUUGUUAUUGAAUUCACUGCCUGACACAUAUGAACAUCUCGUCACCACUUUACUGNNNNNNNNNNNNNNNNNNNNNNNNNNNNNNNNNNNNNNNNNNNNNNNNNNNNNNNNNNNNNNNNNNNNNNNNNNNNNNNNNNNNNNNNNNNNNNNNNNNNAGAUUGUUCACAAGGAGUCAACGUCAGAAGCAUUGACAGUUAGAGGCAGAACAAACCCCAGAAGAUUUCGAGGACGAGGGAGAUCUCGCUCAAAAUCCAGAGGAGAAUCAUCAAACAGACGAUAUCUUGCAAAAGAUUAGUGUGCCUUUUGUCACAAAAAGGGCACUGGAAGAAAGAUUGUCCAAUCAAGGGCAGUAAGGAAAAAGAUGAACCAACUGUGAACGUUGCACGAGAUGAGGAUGAACAAGACUCUGCAUUCAUGGUCUCAUCACCAGAAAACCAUUCUGGUGAAUGGAUUCUUGAUUCUGCAUGUUCCUAUCACAUAUGCCCUAACAAGCACUUAAACUUGUCCUCCUCGUGCAUACAUACUUGUGCCUAUUUUUAGAGAAUGGGGUGUGAUCAGUCACGGUUCCUGUUAUUACUUCAGUUUCAGAACUUUUUUUUUCCUUCUCGUGCAUACAUACUUGUGCCUAUUUUUAGAGAAUGAUGGGUCAAGCCUGUUCAGGCCUCAAGUUUAAAUUGGUGUGUCCAAUCUUGUUUAUUUGAGAUGAACUGUUUCAAGCUUCUUGUGAAUUCUGGAAUAGACGGUUAUGCUUUGGUUUUAUUAAUCGUGAUGUUUGUGUUUAAUCAUGUUGUUCGUGUUUUGACAAAAUAUAAAAAAUGUUUUCUUGUGUGUUGCAUAUGUUUAAUACCCUAAUAUGUUUUUAAUGUUUUAUUUAUAUAAAAAAACAAAUAUUUGAAGUUUCAAAAAUAUGUUUUCGCAUGGAUUUCUUAAACACAACACAAAAAUUAUUUUCUUGCAUCUUGGAUUUUACAACAUGUUUGUAAAUUCCAAAGGGUGUUGGCCAAUAUUCCAAAAAUAUAAAAAUCUUAUUUUUGGGAAUUCGUUUUUAUUCACUAUUAAUAUUUGGAUAAAGAAAUCCCAAAAAGGAUAAAUAUCCAAAAUAUUAUUAUGAAUAAUUUGUUAUUCAUUAGUAAUGUUUGGAUAAAGAAAUUCCAAAGGGGUUAAUAUCCAAAAUAUUAUUAUGAAUAAUUUAUUAUUAUUCACCAUAAAUGUUUGGAUAAAGAAACCCCAAAAAGGGGUUAAUAAUCAAAAUAUUAUUGGGAAUAAUUCAUCAUUGUUCACUGAAUAUUUAGAUAAAGAAACCCCAAGUAGUAAAUAUCAAAAAUAUUUUUUUCUAGGAAUAACAAGUCAUUAUCCCUCAAUAAUAUAAGGGCAAAUAAACCUAUAAAAGGUAAAUGUCCAAAAUAUUUUUAAUAGGAAUACAACUUGUUUAGUUUUAACAUAAGGGCAGAUUUAUGCCUGAAAUUUUAUUUAGAACCAUUUAAUCGCACCUCUGAUUAGUACUUAAAAGUGCAUUUUUAUCAAGGUUUUAUAUCAUCAUUUUGCACUUGAAGUAUCAAUAACUCCUUAACUAAAGCAUGUUUUAUAAUAACAUAUCUAAUUAUAUAAGACACCUUUAAUUUAUGGUAAAUGUUCAUCUUAAAUGCAGGCCUAUCACAUAAAUGAAAGAAUUGAUUGAUGAGUUGAAAUACUGAAAUUGAAAGGACAAAGAGAUGGCCAAACUUAGAAAAGAGAUGCUAGUGCAGUCCAAACUGGAACACUGUUCGAUAAUUGGGUCAUAUCUGGAGCUGUAGAUCUUGUAUUUAGGUCCAUUUUAUAUGGAUGGAAAGAUAAGACAUAGGCCUAUAACUUUCAUGUGGAGCCCAAGAUUUAACAAGGCCGUUUUCAAGUCCAAAUUGUAGCAACAAAAAAGAAGUCUGAAUCUGUUCUACAGCCCAGACACUGUUCAGUGUUCAGCCCAUAUCUCAAGUUCUAGAAGUCCAAAUGAUCUCAAAUGUUUACCCUGGAAAGAUGAGACAAUUUCCUAGAACUUUCAUGAUUUAAGUUUGUUCAAAUUAUGACGUCAUAAAUGACGUUUUUGGCAGACAAGAAGAUAAGAAUUGUCACCAAGUCAAGAUGUGGCCACCCACUCAUCAAUUAGUCAGCAAAUCAAUAGUUCUGAAUUUUGGCCUAUAAAAUGAGGCAUUUGCCAUGUAUUUAGGCAUCUUGGUUUUCAGAUCAAGAUCAUGCUCUUGCUCUCUCUUUAUAUUUUGUAAUGCUUAAGUUUUGCUUAUAUUAAUCUCUUGCUUAUGCUUUUCAUUUCCUUUCCUUGUUUAUUUAUGUUUCUCUCUUUCAUUAUGUUUAACUAAGUUAAUUAUGUCAAGGUGAAAAGGGUACACUAAUGGUGUAAGAAUAAGUAUAAUAUAAACUUAACAUGGACCUUAAUGUUGGAUACUAACAUGCUUUAUAUUUGUUAUCUUGUUCACUUUUAACACUUUGCUUGUUAAAUGGUUAAUCUAGAUUUAUGUUGUAUAACACUUGGUACAACAAAUACUUGGCACUUUCAUAGCCCAUACUGUAUGGUAUAACCGACACCUGAGCUAUGAAAGGAACUUGAUUUGUUGUUAACAUAAGUUAUAAUAAUGAAUGCCUGAAAACAUUUACAAGUAUUAGCAUUAUUCGAAUAAGAUAACUAAUGUAAUCAUUUUAACAAUUUAUAAUCCGAUUGGAACCUCCUUUGUGUGUGGUUUCCAGUUGAGUAGAGUUUAUACUAUACUUGUUUGAAAUACCAUUAGUGGAUCCUCUAACCUUGACAUUUGUUGUUAUCAUUGUUUAAUCCUUACGUUAAUCUUCCAUCUCAAAAGUUCUCAUCAAUUUCUUCCUCUUCUUCUUCACUAUUAUUAUUAUCACUGUUAUUAUUAUUGUUGUUGUUGUUGUUGUUGUUGUUGUUGUUGUUGUUACUUUUGUUUUAUUGUUAUCUAUAAUUUAUACAAUUAACCUCCUUGUGGUUCGACCCCGGUCUUGCCGGGUUAUUUAUUACUUCGACACUUCUGCACUUGGGAGAAGACAUCAAUCUUUUGGUCGUGUCAAGUUUUUGGCGCCGUUCCCGAGGAGGUAAAUUCUUGUACAAAUUAUAGUAUUUAUUUUAUUUUACUUUUUUACUUUUCUUGUAUUUAACUUUGUUUCUUUGGUGUUGUUUCUUUUUCUUUUGUUUUCUUCUUCCUUUUAUUCUCUUUUUACACGUGCAUGAGAGUGUGGUCACGUACAUUAAGUGGUAGACUUUGUAGGGUAUCCUCAUCAUUUUCAGAAAAUAUGGCUGAAGAAGAUAACCAAUCGCUUCAUAAUGAGAAUAAUGAGAAUAUUCGGGUUAGAACUCUUAGAGACCACAUGAAUCCCACAAGAACAAGUGCACCCUCAUGCAUAGUUUUUCCUCCUGAUGCAUCUCAUUUUAAUUUUAAGACAGACAUUAUUCAACUUUUACCAUCUUUUCAUGGCUUAGAUUUAGAAAAUCCAUACUUGCAUUUAAGGGAAUUUGAGGAGGUUUGCAACACGUAUAAUGACUCAAAUUGUAGCAUGAACACCAUUAGAUUGAAGCUUUUUCCUUUUUCAUUAAAAGAUAAAGCUAAAACAUGGCUACAAAAUUUGAGACCUGGAUCCAUUCGUGCUUGGGAUGAAAUGCAACAACAAUUUUUUAAGAAGUUUUUUCCAUCCCACAGAACAAACUCUUUCAAAAGACAAAUCAUUACUUUCUCUCAAAAACCAAGAGAAACAUUUUACCAAUGUUGGGAUAGGUAUCGAGAAUUGCUUAAUACUUGCCCCCAUCACGGUUUUGAAACAUGGAGAUUAGUUUCACAUUUUUAUGAAGGGUUAACUCCUAGAGAUAGGCAAAUGGUUGAAUUGAUGUGCAAUGGAACUUUUGAGGAUAAAGACCCUAAUGAAGCAAUGGAGUACUUAGAUUUGCUAGCUGAAAAUGCACAAAAUUGGGACACCACAGGUACUUAUGAGGCACCAAGUAAAACCCAACCUCAUACAUCUAGUGGGGGUAUGUACAACCUUAGGGAAGAUCAUGACCUCCAAGCCAAGUUUGCAUCUUUAGCUAAAAAAGUCGAAGCGCUAGAAUUGAAAAAGAGUGGUCAAUUAAAAUCUGUUCAAGACAUUGCAUGUCAAAUCUGUGAAACCAACGAACAUUCAACCAAUGACUGUCCAACCUUGCCUUCUUUUAAAGAAUGUCUCCAUGAACAAGCCCAUGCAUUAAACAGUUUUCAACGGCCCAACCAUAACCCAUAUUCGCAAACAUAUAACCCUGGUUGGAGAAAUCAUCCAAAUUUCAGUUGGAAGAGUGAGAACAAUAAUGCUCAAACUUCACAGCCACCGUUUCAAGCACAUCAUAAUUUCCAAAAUUCUCAUAGAUAUGCACCUCCUUAUGCUCCACCUCCUAGAAGAAAUCUUGAGGAAACAUUGCAUGCAUUUAUGGAAAAGCAAGAGGCAAUUAACACUCAACUUGCUCAAAGCAUGACAGAUUUUAAAGAUACUCUGGCAAAAUUGACAUCUGCUCUCAGUUUCCAAGAGAAAGGUAAGUUUCCAUCUCAACCACAACAAAAUCCAAAGGGGCAAUACAAUGUGAAUGCAAGUAGUUCGGGAAGCCAACACAUGGAUCACGUAAAAUCAGUCAUCACUCUUCGCAGUGGUAAGGUUAUUAAAAAACCCAUUCUUGAACCUUGUGAGAAUGAUGAUGAGUCAAUCUCUCUGAGGGUAAGGAAGGGGUUGAAUCUGAUCAUUGCAAAGAAAAGACUGAUUCUCCGCCAGCACUUCCAUUUCCUCAUGCCAUGACGAAACAAAGGAAAGUCAAUCACAACUCUGAAAUUUUUGAAACCUUCAAACAGGUAAGGAUCAAUAUACCUUUGCUGGAUGCUAUUAAACAGGUUCCUUCUUAUGCUAAAUUUUUGAAAGAUCUGUGCACUGUGAAGAGAAAACUGAAUGUGAAAAAGAAAGCCUUUUUAGCCGAACAAGUAAGUGCCAUUCUUCAGAACAAUAAUGCAUUGAAAUAUAAAGACCCUGGUUGUCCUACAAUUUCAUGCUUUAUUGGAGAACAUAAAAUUGAAAGAGCUUUACUUGAUCUUGGAGCUAGUGUGAAUUUACUUCCAUAUUCAGUUUUUCAAAGUCUCAAUCUAGGUGAGUUAAACCAACUUCUAUAACUCUUUUACUUGCCGAUAGAUCUGUAAAAGUGCCUAGAGGAAUAGUUGAAGAUGUGUUAGUACAAGUUGAUAAAUUCAUUUAUCCUGUGGAUUUUAUUGUCUUGGACACACAACCUAUUGAAGCAUGUAAUUCAUUUCCUGUUAUUUUAGGGCGUCCAUUUCUUGCAACUUCUAAUGCAUUGAUUAAUUGUAGGAAUGGACUGAUGAAGCUAUCAUUUGGGAACAUGACAUUAGAGAUGAAUAUUUUCAACAUUUGCAAGCAACCUCGAGAUGAUAAUGAUUUACAAGAAGUAGAUUUUAUUGAAGAAUUGGUUUAUGAUCAAUUUGAAUCUACUUUGAGUAAUACUGAGUUUGAUGAAUUUGAAGAUUUGCAAAUGACUUAUUCUCAGGAAGAAAUCACGGAUGAAAAAGGCAUUGAAAAUGUUGAUGCGAAUCUUUUGUCAAGAGUGACAACAGAUUCGAUAUCUGACAUCACACCAACCGAUGAUUACUUUCCUGACAAAUCCUUACUUUCUCUUAGUUCAAUGCCUUGGUUUCCUAAAAAUAUCAAUUUCCUUGCCUCAGGAGAUUUGCCAACUCAUUGGAGUACCGAAGACAAAGGUAAGUUUUUGAACGAAGUGAAGAAAUUUUAUUGGGAUGACCCUAACUUAUUCAAACAUUGUCCUGAUCAAAUAUUUCAAAUAUGCAUUGCGGACAAUGAGGUAAGUAGUGUCAUUAAAUUUUGUCAUUUUGAAGCAUGUGGGAGUCAUUUCUCGUCAAAAAAGGCCAUUGCAAAAAUCUUUCAAACUGGAUUUUAUUGGCCCACCAUGUUCAAGGACACACAUGCAUUCUGCAAAACUUGUGAAAAUUGUCAAAAAGUUGAUACUGGUCAAAAAGUUUUGCUUUAUAAUUCUCAACUCCAUUUAUUUCCUGGAAAGUUAAGAUCAAGAUGGAGCGGUCCAUUUAUUGAGAAACAUGUGUAUCCUUAUGGGGUCUGUGAUAUCGCGAAUCCAAAAAAUAGCAAUGUUUUCAAGGUAAAUGGACAUCGUUUGAAAGUCUACUUUGAUAAUUUUUCAGUUGAAAAUGACUCUAUUGAAUUGAGUGAUCCUGUAUAUAAAGAUUGAUUCGUUUUAUCACAUUGUUUUGUGUUUCAUUUUGCUAGUUUCUCUCACCCCGGUCAAAAGGCGGAUAACGGUACUCCGUGACUUAAGUCGGUUCUUUCAGUUUCUCAUAAUAACUGAUAUUUGUAUAUAUUUGUGCAAUUCUUUGCUCUUUCUCCAUUCUUUGACUCUGUUCUCCAAUUCUCAUUUGAAAAUGGACACCACUCUUGAAAAAUUGAAAAAGUAUUUUCCCGCUCUGCCUCAGAAUGCGAUUACAAAAAUUUACCGUGCUAGGUGUGCAAGAUUGAAGUUGUUGAUGAAUCAUGGAAUUCCUGAAGAUAUUCGCUGGCUGAUUGAAGCAAAGGUCCGAUUAUUAGGUGAGUCCUCCAAUUCUUUCAUUUCACACAUGCCUGGAACAGGUAAAAGCACUUUUGCAAAGAAACGUCGUGCAAAACGACUGAAAGUCUGUCACAAAUGUGCCAGAUGGACUUGCAAUGCAACAUGUCGUUCUUUAGGAAUGGUAUCUAUAAACCGUGAAGAUAAAAUACAAUUCAUUAAGGAUGGCCUGAGUAAGGGGUCUUUAGAUAAUCUUUUGUUGACCCUUGAGACGCAUCCUAGUGGAGAUGUGCAUCGUGCAAUUCAUGAUUUAUAGCCCCAUUUUCAUAAAGAACAUGAUAGACUCAGUCUUGGGAAUCUGACUAAAAAAGACCUUGUUUGCCACUUUUUAAGAAAACUGGAUGGGAAGCCUCUCCCCGACCCAUAGAGGGCGUUUAAGCCGUUCUUGGACAUAAAACCAAGGGAAGAUGUGAGCCACAAUCACAACUACCUGUACAUACACAUUCUUUUUCAAAAUAAAUAAAUAAAAUAUAAAGAGAGAGCAAGAGCAUGAUCUUGAUCUGAAAACCAAGAUGCCUAAAUACAUGGCAAAUGCCUCCUUUUAUAGGCCAAAAUUCGGAACUAUUGAUUUGCGGACUAAUUGAUGAGUGGGUGGCCACAUCUUGACUUGGUGACAAUUCUUAUCUUCUAGUCUGCCAAAAACGUCAUUGAUGACGUCAUAAUUUGAACAAACUUAAAUCAUGAAAGUUCUAGGAAAUUGUCUCAUCUUUCCAGGGUAAACAUUUGAGAUCAUUUGGACUUCUAGAACUUGAGAUAUGGGCUGAACACUGAACAGUGUCUGGGCUGCAGGACAGAUUCGGACUUCUUCUUUGUUGCUACAAUUUGGACUUGAAAACGGCCUUUUUAAAUCUUGGGCUCCACAUGAAAGUUGUAGACCUAUGUCUUAUCUUUCCAUCCAUAUAAAAUGGACCUAAAUACAAGAUCUACAGCUCCAGAUAUGACCCAAUUACCGAACAGUGUUCCAGUUUGGACUGCACCAGCAUCUCUUUUCUAAGUUUGGCCAUCUCUUUGUCCUUUCAAUUUCAGUAUUUCAACUCAUCAAUCAAUUCUUUCAUUUAUGUGAUAGGCCUGCAUUUAAGAUGAACAUUUACCAUAAAUUAAAGGUAUCUUAUAUAAUUAGAUAUGUUAUUAUAAAACAUGCUUUAGUUAAGGAGUUAUUGAUACUUCAAGUGCAAAAUGAUGAUAUAAAACCUUGAUAAAAAUGCACUUUUAAGUACUAAUCAACCUCCUUGGAAGAAGCCUCAAUUAUAAUUAGGGACAUUUCAAAUUUUGAUUCCACAAUUUAUGACCCAUGGAAAAUAUUAAUUGCUAAGGCAAAAAUGGGCUUUUAAAGUACCUUGAAUUUCCUUAGAUUUUGAACUUAGUUUUUUUUCUCUUCCUUGCGAUUUAUGAGUUGCGAACACUUGAAAUAUUAAGGGGAAAAUGAGCUCUUAAGCACAUCGAAUCUCCUUAGAUUUCUAUAUUAGCUGUCUCUAAAUUCAUAAAUUCUGAAUUUAUUUCAAAUCAAACAUAGACUUCGAGAGAUCUACCUCUUUGGCACUCUACAAACAUAUCUAAAGGUAUGAUCCGUAUUGGCCAAGGGUUCUUUCCCUUCGACUUUGAACCCAAGUUCGUCGUCAAAACAGACUUAUCCUAGGAAACUGAUGGGAUUAGAGAACAUCAACACCAUAGCAAUUAUAGGGCAAACCAAACACCAAGCAGCUUAUCUUAGGUAGGGCGUACUAGGGGUGCUAAAACUUUUCCUUUACGCAACCAGUCUCUUGCCUUAGAAUCUUUGAAAGACCAGUUAGGUUUCCUAGUGACCAUAAUACUAGGUGACGACUCCCUUUUUUUACAAAACAAAGACCCCAACAUUAAUCCCUGCUAUCAGGAAGGGUCGCCUCAACAUCGAGCUCUCUUGAGGGUACGACAAUAAUAAUCAUAAUGUUGAUUCUUUUAUCUCCUACUUAAUGCAAGUGUCCAUCGUGUGCUGAAAUUGAUUGUUUACCAUAACAUUUCUUUUAAAGGUAGAGAUUUCUUGGUUGACAAUGGAAAAAAGUAAUCGCAUGGUUAUUUUCCAUAACAUUCCUUUGAGUAAAUAUUCUCUAUUGGAGGUCAAUUUCAUCGAAGCAAUUACCUCAAUGAACACGUCCUAAUUACCAACCUCUAAGUAGUCAUCUCCCUUAUCCUAACUUUUUAUUUCCUUAUAAAAUCUCACGGUUUUUCAUCAUUUUCAGAGGAAAAGUUGACCUUGCAAAUGGUGCUCUAAGGAACCAAGUCAUCCUAGAACUAAUCAUCCACCUAAUCUCGUCAACUCCUUGUUGCACAAACAGCCUGUCUCACUUAAAGGGGAUUUUAAUGAUGAACAAACACAAAUUCCUUGUUGCUCAAAUACAUAUGCUCAUUUAAACACAGGAUGCUUGACCUCAUUAAAGACAAACUGACGACAUCCGUCCGUAACAUAAAUUAUCUUCCUUGCCCCAAAGUCAGCACAGAAAAACCUUGUUCACUAUAAAGGUUCUGAAUGUUUUUCCUAAAUUUCAUGAUAUGGCAUUCAGCAUUCUUAAGCAAACUACAACUGCAGAAGGCUUGUACAUGUAGGGGAGACGUAGGAAGAACUGCAAAAGUUGUCGCAUCUAUUGUUAUGCUGUUCAGAGUUUCUAUCUCAUCAUCCAAUCUGCCUAAAAUAUAAAAGAUCAUGUGCAUGAAUUUGAUCUCAAAGGGGUACCACCUCAUAUGCGUACAGGACAUACAUGACCAGUGAUGGUUGUUCUAUCCACAAAAUUAGCUAACAUACGACUAUUUUAUUCAACUACCAUUUCAGGAUAUGAGUUCUCCUAGCCACACUCAAAAGCCCUAGCCGCUAUAUGAACAAAGCACCUAAAAAAUUAAUCACCUGCCUAAUCUAAUUCACCCACACACACACACACACCCACCUGAUCAUAGACAGGAAACGAGUUAUUUGAAUGCAUAGACAGGAAAUUCAGGUAAACACGCGCGCGCGCACACACACACCUGAUCAUAAAUUUCCUAAAGAAAUUCUGAAUUGUAACAUUGGUAAACAAAGUGUGACAAUAUCAUCACAUUAAAAAUGCAUUUCACUCAAAACAAAUACUAGCUCAAGAAAAAAAAAUGCAAGAAGCCAAGAGAGAAUAAAUUAAGCAGUCCAUAAACAAGAGACAGAGAGGCAUUGUUCCAAUGAGAAAAGUAAUUAAAACCCAACAACUAAAGAAAGAAUCAAACCAGUGAGUAACUAAUCCUUUUAAAGCAUUCCAAGAAUGGCAACCAAAUGUAACAUAAUCAACCUGCAAAAACAAACACAAAAAGAAUUAGAAGAAGAAACCCCAGACCUCCACCACCAAAUCCACCUCCACCAAAUCCACCUCCACCACCAAGCCCGCCACCUCAUUCAUCCUCAAAAGAACCCUUUCUAGAACCGGAUUCUGUAACGCAUUGUCUUCAUUCUGACAGGAGGGGAUAUCAGUCACAAUUUGGAAAUCUAAUAGUUUGAAGGUUUCUGAAAACCGUCCUCAGACCUGUCAGCGUCGCUGGCCAAUUUCUCAUUCUUCCACCGUUGGAUUAACACGAAUUUUGGGUAAGUUGUGUGUCACUAUAGUUCCCACAUCCUGACCAGAGCGAUCGUUCAUAUUUGAAUCCACUAGAUAAAUCUUACCGUUUGAAGAUUUCUGGGCAAAUCACUCUCGGAACAGUCAGAAUCGCCGGCUUAUUUCUUCUUUUUCUACCGUUGGAUCCAUCUGAAUUUUGGAUAUGUGAUGCGUAUGGUCGUAUUACACAUUCGGAACGGUGGAGAUGACAUGAAUCGUUUCCAGAAAAGAGUUAUGCACGCUCAACAGUGGUCCAUCAAUCUCAGGUCAGUUUUGGUCUAACUCCGAUCUAGGGAGAUCCAACCGUUAACUGGAGCUGAUAUUUGGAUAUGUUCUGCAUAAGAUGUGUUUUUACCUUGUCACCGUUGCGAUUUGUUAUUUGUUGAAUUGUUGGUGAGUAAUUGUUGUUUGAAGCUCUGCACAGAAUCUAUCAUGGCUUCCAAUCCGAAACUUCAAACCCUCAAAGCUAACACCACCCACUCAAUCACUAAACAACCCACAAACCAUCACCAAAACAUCCAAAAUACAGCCUCCUCAACGUAGGUUAGGUUUCUAAAAUCCCACGAAUCAACAAACAAUCAAAAAUCCCUUUCCAAUAGUCACCUCCGCCUUGACUCAAGACAACAACCACCCCCUAAACACAUUCACAAUAUUCCUAGCCCAAAAACCCAGAAUAACCAUUCCUUUAACAUUUCAGUGCCACAAAUUUACUUUGAAGGUUUCCCAAUAUGGGCUGAUUACCAUCGCAUAAAGGCUUCUUUUAACAAGUUUGGCUAUGUACUCAAACUUUAUGUAUCCAGGCGUGUCAACAAAUCAGGGAGUCUUUUUGGUUUUGUAACAAUAGCAUCAAAAUUUUCUGAUAAAGUUUUGCUAGAGAGUGUGAAUGAUAUUUGGUUUGAAUAUCACAGACUAAAGGCCAAUUUCACUAGACACUAUAAAAAGAUUCCAAGAGAGAACAAAGCUCCUGACAGAUCAAAACCCAAAACAACUUUAAGAGUGCCUAUUAGUGAAAGAGAUGACAGAAGUUACAAAGAGGUACUCAGUGAAGGAAAAGUGGAACAAAUACUUCUGCCUGUGGCUUCUGGACCAAAGGAUUACUUUGAAAAACUCUUCAUUGAUAUUGAAGAAGAGGAUUAUGCUUGGCUAAAGAGAUGUCUUCUGGGAAAAAUAAAAAAAGGAUCCAAUUACUCUUCUAUACGUUUUGGACUGAUCCAACAUGAUAUAGAUUUUGUUGGACUGCGCUUUCUUGGGGCAUCUCAGGUCCUUGUGAUUUUUUAUAAUAGAGACAUAUUAAUGGAAUCAUGGAGGAAGAAUAAUAAAUGUUGGGAUGUAUUUUUUGAGGAAGUUCGCCCCUGGGUUGAGACUGACACAACUUUGAAUCGGAUGGCCUGGAUAACAAUAACAAAUCUACCCAUUAUAGGGUGGAAUUGCAGAUGCCUCACAAAGAUUUUAGAAAGAUCUGGUCAGAUGAUAGGUUAUGAUAAAACUACUCUCAAGCUUUUUGAACUAUCACAGUUACGGAUCCUCAUUGGUACACAACUGGAUAAGGUGAAUAAGGUGAUUGUUUUGCAACUCAAUAAUCAAACAUAUCAGGUUAAGAUAGAGGAGAUGGACCAGUUACAUUACCCAAUUGCUGGCUCUAUUUCAUACACCAUGGAUGACUUUCUGACAUCCCUAGAGCAAGGGGAUGAUGAUGAUGAGGAAGACUCGGUUGAUGUGGGUGAUGGCGUAGACACAGAUGAGGACAGAGCAGGUGUGGCUCCAUCAGUCACCAGGACUCUUGGGGGCGGCACCAACGGGUGGGAAAAUUCAGAUCUGGCACAGGAUGGAGACAUGCUAUCAACUUCUGACGAUAGCUCUCUUAUCAUAUUUAAUGCUCUUCAUCUGGAUGUGGUGCAAGAUCAACAUGCUGCCUCAUCUUUAGAGAGAUUUCCAGAAAUUAUGGCAUACAAUCUUUCUUUUUCUGACAGCAGCUAUAUAAAAGCAGCCCCAUUCCCAAUGCUCUUACCCUAUAUACGGGACAUGGCACUCCUAUUUUGAGAGAAGAUGCUAGAAACCCUGCAGCUGCCUUGGACCUUGACUCCCUUGUAUUGGCCCAGAUUGAAAGCCCAGUUUAUGGCAGUGGAUCUCAAAGCCCAUCUGACGUUCUCUCUAUUUCAUUUGGAUCAAACAAUGAUUUAGCCCUUCAAUCAACAUACAAUCAUCAAGCCAUAGUAAUUCUGGAACCGCAACACAUGAAUCACCCAGUUAUUUUACACUCUAAUGCAAACACAAAAGAGAGUGCAAUUGCCCUAUCUGCAAAAACAAGAAGGAAGUUGCGACGUACAAAGAUGAUUACAGCUGAUGGAAGUUUGAAUGAAACAGUUAAUAUGAGUGAGAUGGAUACUAAGGACUCAACAAUACAGAGGUGUAACAGGAGGAACUUGCUAGCUCAUGACGAAAACAAUAAGCCUUCUGAGGGUGAUGAGGUUUGUUUAAUGCUGGAAAUAGGAGAGGUUUUGCAGAUUGAAAAACCUCACAAUUUAGAUGACUUCACAUCCUAUAUAAAUCAGCAAAGGCGUAAAGAGAAGGCUGAUUGGGAAGCAUCCCAGUGAGUAGAUGUUCCUCUUUGUUCUGUAAGGAUUUUAAAUCUCUUUUCUUAUGCAGAUUCUUUCAUGGAAUUCUUGUGGUUUGGGGUUAGCUAGAAAGAAGAGGACAGUUUCAAAGUUAAUCAGGGAUUUUGAUAUAGAGGUUUGUUUUUUGUUUGAAACUAAGUUACAAAGUUACUCAGACAAAUUGGUUUUUCAAUUAUGGAGCGUCAGUAAUGUUUCUUGGUUUGGUAAUGAGGCUGAAGGUACUAAAGGGGGCAUUCUGGCUAUGUGGGAUAACUCUAAGUUUGCGGUAUCAUCAGUGGAGUAUGGUCAUGGUUGGAUCGGGUUAUUUGGGCAGAAUGUCUUGACAGGCUUCUCAAGGGCGGUGGUAGGUGUUUAUGCCCUUUGCAAUCAAGCUGACAGACUUCUUCUUUGGAAGGACCUUCGUAUUCUGAAGGCUGCUUUUGAGUGUCCUUGGUUUUUAGCAGGUGACUUCAAUGAAACUAUGUUGCGAAGUGACAGAAGCAGUGGCUUCAUUAACAAGGUGGGUUCAACGGCUUUUAGACUUUUUAUUGAUGAUUGCAACCUAAUCGAGUACAACAUGUCAGAGGGUCUGUACACCUGGUUUCGUGGGGGGUCCAUGAGUAAACUAGACCGUAUUUUUUCUAGUCCUUGUUGUCAUUUGCAAUUCCCCCUUUUGUCUCUUCGACGGCUUCCAAGAGGGUUCUCUGAUCAUUGCCCUUUAAUCCUAGGGGUUUCACCUGCAGAAAAAGGUUGGAUUCCUUUCAAAUUCAUGGAUUGUUGGCUCCAUCAUCCAAAUUUUAAAGAUAUCGUAAAGGGUAUAUGGGAUGAAGCUUGCAAUGAAUUUUCAGGUCAGUUCAAGCUCAUUAAGAAGCUCAGCUUUAUGGCAACUUGGCUCAGACAGUGGAAUAGGGUUGGUUUUGGGCAUCAGGAGACUGCUUUGUCAUUGAUCCAAAGCAAUAUUUCAGCUAUAGAAAAGAAAUCAGAGUAUGGGCAAUUAUCUACUGCAUAGCAGAACUCGCUUGAUUCAUUGAUUAAGAAGUAGUGGCAAUGUAACUUGCAUAUAGAAAGCAUGUGGCGUCAAAAGUCUCGCCAAAUUUGGUGUCGCCUGGGCGAUCGCAACACGCGUUUCUUCCAUCUAGUUGCUAACUUCAGGAGGGCUAAAAACCAUCUCCUGAAAGUGGUUCAUAAUGGUUCUGUUGUUGAAGGUUUACCGGUCAUAAAAGAUGCGGCAGUUAACUUCUUCUCCAACUUAUUCAGAAGUUUUGAUAGAUUCCGAAUUGGUUUAGGGCCUGUUGGUUUUAAAACACUAUCGGCUUCUUCUUCAGCUAGCUUGGAGCGAGAUAUCACUUUGGAAGAAUUAAAGCAGAGUGUUUGGGAUUUUGAUGGGAGCAAGAGUCCGGGUCCAGAUGGUUUCAAUUUCAAAUUCUACAGGCUUGCUUGGAAUUUCAUUGCAGAUGAUUUGUUAGACCUGGCCAAGAAUUUCUUCAAAACAGGUAGGCUUCCAAAAGGAGUCAAUCAUGCUUAUGUUCAUCUAAUUCCGAAGAUAGCUUCCCCAAUUGGCUUCAAAGAUUUCAGGCCUCUUAGUUUGAUUCAUGGCAUUUACAAGAUAAUGGCUAAGGUUCUUUCUAGCCGUCUGAAAGCGGUUAUGCAUGACCUUAUCAGUGAGAAUCAAACAGCUUUCUUGGCAGGGAGGCAAAUAAUUGAUGGGUUUGUGGUUGCCAAUGAAGCAGUUCAUUCCUUGAAAAGACACAGAGUGUCGAGCCUUAUCUUUAAGGUGGAUUUUCACAAGGCUUUCGAUAGUGUGCAGUGGGAUUAUUUAGAGCAGGUUAUGAGGCAUAUGGGUUUUGGUGAAAAAUGGAUUAAUUGGAUCAACACUUGCAUCUCCACUGCAAAAUUAUCAGUGCUGAUUAAUGGAUCUCCUUCUAAGGAAUUCUUGAUGGGUCGUGGGAUUCGCCAAGGUGACCCCCUUUCUCCAUUCCUUUUUCUAAUAGCAGCAGAGGGAUUAUCUGUUUUGUUUCAAAGAGCAGCUUCAAAUGAUCUUUUCAAAGGUAUCCCUUUUGGAGACAGCUUUUGCCUUAGUCACCUACAAUAUGCAGACGACACUUUGAUCUUCAUGCCUGCUAAUCUUCAUAUGGUCAAAACGGUUAAAAGGAUCCUGUUAUGGUUCGCUAUUUGUUCAGGUUUGCACAUUAACUUCCAUAAAAGCUCUUUAAUUGGCAUAAAUGUUGGGGAAGAUACUUGUGCUAGUAUGACAUAUUCAGUCUUUUGCAGAUUUGAUUCCUUGCCUUGCUCUUAUCUAGGCAUGCCUUUAGGAUCCAAUCCUAAAAGAUUGUCUACAUGGAAGCCUAUUAUUGAGAAUUUCAGACGGAAGUUGAGCAUGUGGAGAGGUCGUAUGCUUAGUAUGGCAGGACGUAUUUGCCUAAUCAAAAGUGUCUUGAGUUCAUUGCCAGUAUAUUAUAUGUCUUCUUUUCUUAUGCCGAAAGGUGUCUGUAAUAUACUACCAUCUAUUCAACGAAGAUUCUUGGGUCUGAGUGGCGAAGCAAAAGAAAAUCUGCAAGGUACAAUGGCGUAUUGUUGUGAAAGCUAGAAAAGAAGGAGGCCUCGGGUUGGGUUCUUUAAUGUCAAAAAAUAUAUCCAUGCUUUUCAAAUGGAUAUGGAGGCUAAACUUACCAGACCAUGCCUUAUGGAAACAGGUAACAACCCAUUUUUACUCCCCAACUUUCGAGAAUGGAAUCCCAAAAUUGCAUGGUCAUAUUUCCCCAUUUUGGAAAGACAUUUUGUCAAUCUUGGAUCCAAACAGUGUCAUCGGCUUAGUAUUGCGUGAAAACAUUAAAUUCAAGAUUGGAGAUGGAUCCUCCAUCCUUUUCUGGUCUGACGUGUGGAUAGGAUCAAAUGCUUUACGUUGCAUUUUCCCUAAGCUUUACCAAAUUUCUACUUUUCGGAAUGGUUUGGUUAAUGAGAUGGGUCAAUGGGUGAAUGAUCAAUGGCGAUGGAAUUUGGUUUGGCGUAGGAAGCUCUUAUCUUAUAAAGAGCAACAAUAUCAUCAUUUGCUCUCAAUGCUGGAGCCAACGAUAAUUCGGCAAGGAAAAGAUGACAAACUUAUAUGGCCAUGCAAUUCUGAUGGAAGCUUCUCAGUUAAAUCGUGUUGCACCCUGAUUGACAAUACCUCCUCUGCGACUGAUAGAGUCUUUGAAGCCAAUGUUUGGAUUAAAGGGGCCCCUCUGAAAGUUCAGGUGUUUCUCUGGUUGGCAGUACAAGACAAAGUUAGUACAAGAGCUUUUCUCCAUCAACGGACUAUUUUGUCUGCCACACAAGCUUCAUGUGUCUUUUGCAGCUCAAAUUUGGAAACCUCAGAGCAUCUUUUUAUACAUUGUAACUUUUCUAUGAGUGUUUGGAUGAAAGUUUUGGAUUGGUGGGGUAUCCAAUGUUGUUUACCGAGAACACUUGACUUGCUGCUUCUGCAGUGGCCCGAAAUGGUACAAGGCAAAUUCCAAAGAUCAGCUUGGAGAUUAAUUUCAAGUAGUACUAUUUGGGGUAUAUGGUUACUGAGGAACAAAAUUGUUUUUGAGGAGGGAACUAUAAACUUGUUUGAUUGUUUCUCCACCAUCCUUCAUCGGGUUGCUAUUUGGUUGCAUACUCAUGAUUCAAACUUCAAUUAUACAGGCAAUGACCUCUUAAGAUCUUCUGAUGGCAUCAAAUUAUGGUGUAAUAAGAAAUCUUAGGUAGUCUUCUUGUUGUUUGCUGUAGUAGAUCAGUUUUUUUCUUUUUUCUUUUUUUCUUUUUUAUAUCCCUUGUAUUUCUCUUUGGCUAUUCGCUUUAUGGCCUUCUCAAUAUACUCUCGAUGAUUAUAAAAAAAAAGAAGAAGAAACCCCAUUAGUUAAUAAGUUAAAACAGCAGCAGCAGCAAAAAGACUCAAAUUUUAGUUAUUUGGACUUGAGAAAAAGCAUUGAACCCUCUGUGAAAAUGCCAUGAAAGGGGUGCUUAGAAACCUGGAAAAUAAAAACUUUUAAAAGGGUGUUUUUACAAAGCAAGAAAGAAGCUUGGAAGCAAGGAAGCAAGCCAGCCUACCCUCACGAACUCUGUUUGUUAAUUGUUUUUUCUCCUUUAAAGUGAAAACAAAAAAAUAAAAAACAAAAACAAAGAGCACCCAGAAAAUCUAGUCAGAAAUAUUUUAUGUUGCUGUCUUGGAGAGACGCAUUAUAUUACAUAACAAAAUGAUAAAUUCAUUCAUUACAAAAAGAUACCCAACAAAAUAUAAGAAAACUAAUCUACUGUUCAACCCGAUAGGGGGAUGUACCUGAAAAUUGAUUUAAUACAAUAAUUCAAUUAGACAGAUGAAAAAAAGAUAUCCAUAAAAUUCUUUCUACUUUCUUUCUUUCUUCCUUUUUUUUUUUUUUGAAAAUUUAGUCAAAAGAUCAUUAAAUUAACUUGCUCAUCUAGUAUUGUAUAUAUAUAUCAAUUAAAUUUCAGAAUAAUCUAUGAGUUUGUUUUCUUUUUCUUUUUUCUUUUUUAAUAUCAACCAAAAAUAUAAUUAUUUCUAUCGCUCAAUUAACCCGGCAUUACUUUCACUAAUAGAUGAUUAAUUUUCCACCAGUCCAUUCAACAAACACUAUUGUCAUCAAUUCAAAAAUUAGUUUAAUGUUUCAUCCAUUCAUCAGGUAAAAAUCUCAUUAACCAGGGAAAUUAAUUCUUCAUCUUGCCCAUUUGUCAAGGCACUAAUUCCAUUAAAUCAGGAAUUAGUUCAAUGAUUUACCUAUUCACCAGGUUACUAAUCCCAUUAACCAGAGACUUAAUUCCUCAUCAUGCCUAUUCACCAGGACAUUAAUCCCAUUAAUUCAGGAAUUAGUUCAACGAUUUGCCCAUUCACCAGGGCAUCAUAAUUUCUUAUCACGCCCAUUCACCAGGGCAUUAAUUUCUUAUCACGCCCAUUCACUAGGGCAUUAAUCCCAUUAGUUCAAGAAUUAAUUCAUCACAUCGCAUAUCUUAUUUUCUAAAGUAAACAAUAUAAUAAUUUCAUAUUUAUCAACCACAAUUAAUCAAAUAAAAAUACAUAUUGACCAAUAAUAAAUUCGAGUACCGUGUAAUUACCUGAUGACUAAGCUCGAGUUGAAAUUUCCUGCUGUGGUGUCGGCCUGGCAGCCUCUCUUGAAUUGAAAAGUAUAUCACAUCAUUAUUCUACUUUCCAUAUUGAAACACUCAAUAAAUAAAAUCAUUCCAAUUAUCCUUUUAUUUGCCAAAAUAAAAUCAUUUCGUAAGUUUCCUUCCCUAUCUUUCAAUUUCCACAUUGUAACACAAUUCAUUUUAUCAUUCAAAUCAAUAUAUAUANNNNNNNNNNNNNNNNNNNNNNNNNNNNNNNNNNNNNNNNNNNNNNNNNNNNNNNNNNNNNNNNNNNNNNNNNNNNNNNNNNNNNNNNNNNNNNNNNNNNCUUUAAAUUCAUUUAUUUAAUUUUUACCAUAAUUUAAAUCAAAGAAAAACAUAAAACAAUUUCAUGAUCUAUUCACUCUUUAACAUUAAUAUCAUGCUCUUUCUUACACAAUCUCAUCAUCUUAUCAAAACUCUUAAAUUUUUAUUUUUCUUAUUAUUAUUUUUCCAAAAAUCCCUUCUUCAAGAACACCUAAAAUUUUGCUUUAAUUACCAUAAUUUCUUACUUUUUCUACUCAUUUCAAUAAUCUUAACACAAUUUCACAAUCAAUUGUAAUUUUCUCUAAAAUUUAUCAUGAACCCUAAUUCCUCAUUUCACAAAGUUCAAUCAAUUUAAAGCAUAAAUUCUUCAAGAAUCUUAUUUAAAAGUUUGAGUACAUCUUACCAAGCAAUAACCAAAGUUUUAACACUUUUAAAUUGAGAAAUUUUCCUUGCUUGAAUUUGUUUUUUCUCUCCUGGCCGAUUGCUUCCUUCUCUUUGAAAAAACAAGUUUGUUUUUUUUUUUUUUUUGUUUACUUAUAGCACACACUCACUUGCACUCAUAUAUAUAUAUAUAUAUAUAUAUAUAUAUAUAUAUAUAUAUAUUAACUCUCUUUUUUAAAUACCUUCCACGUCCCUCAAUUUGUUUCUUCCCCAUACACACAUAUAAUUACUUAACUUUUUAAAAAUACCUUCUAUAUUCCUCAAUAGUAAAUUUUAUGAUUUUUGGGUAAAAUUUCAUGAAUCCUAACACCUGUUUAUACCAAAUUUUAUCCAGAUUAUUUCAAAUUUCACUCAGUUACUCGUUAGUACUUUCAGUUUCAUGAAAUUCAUUUCCAUCAAAAUUUUAUUCACAUUUUCAUGUUUAUUUAUUUAUAUUUAUUUUUUAUAUAUAUUUUAACACCCGAACAAAACAUUUCAAUUCAGAUUCUCGAAUAUAUCAUCAUUCUUAUAAUUUAAUUUAUCACUUUCCCUCAUUUUUCGUAAUCUUGACUUUUAUUAAUAUUAAUAAUAUUACCCGGGGUUUUACAGUCUCAGUUGACACUGAUUUUCGCCAUAAAAAAUGGUCGAUUUUUGUUUUAAUGAGUUUCAUUUGAUGAAGAGAGUUCCAUUGAAAUGUUUUUUGCUCUUGAAAUUGCCAAAACAUUUAUAGUUUUUGGGCUGUUUUAUUGGUUUAUUACAUCAUAAAAACGAUUUUUAGGUGUUUUGGUGUGAACUUUGUUUAAAUUUGCAUUUUUUGGUCAAAAACCACCAUGCUUAAUUUUCUAGUCACCUCUCCAAUGGCCAAGAACUGAAAAGUCUCGGUAGGUGACAUGUCGCUUUUCUUUAUUUUUUUUUCAAAAACAUUUGGAGGAUUUUCAAAUAAAAAAGGCCCAUACGUACCAACCCUUUUUAAAAUGGGCUUGAUGUGUAGGCCCGACUUACUAGGCCCAAAAGCACUUGAUCUAUUUCUAUUUUUUUUUCUAAUUUUGUUUUCUUAAUUGAUAUUUUUUAUGUAUUUUUAAUGAAUUUUUGAAUUUAUAUUUAAAUUAAUACUUUUCUCUCUAAAUAUUUAGAUUGUUUAUUUAGUUUUUUCUAAAUAAUGGAUAUCUUUUACUUAUCUUUUAUGUAUUUAAUAUCUAGAAAAAAUUAUUUCAAUUCAUCUAUAUGUUUUUUUAUAUAUUUUAUAUAAAUAAACUUUAUUUUCAUGACGUGUUUAUAAAAAUAAGAAUUAUUUGUUCUUGGUAAGAAAAAGUGACCUUUAAGAUAAAAAAGAAGAAGAAGGAGAAAAGUGUGCAUGAAGAUGAAAGUUAAGGUUAAGUAUCAUAUUUAUGUAUCUUUUACUUUUAUGAAAAUGAUUAUCAUUUUAUUUUAUAAUUUGAUUGGCAUUAACAACUCUUUAUUAGUUUAUUAGUUCAUAUUUUUGUAAGAUUGUUUUUUACAUUUCUUAAUUAAGAGAAUCAUAAUACAAUGAAAUGCACUUGAAACAAUGUCCCAUUUUUCUACUACAUUAAAAAUUAACUUAAGAUCCUAUAUGUGGCACGAUGCGUUAACAACUAUUUUUUAUAUUUAUGAACACUUAUGGUCCUUACUUUAUUUUUAUUAUAUGUAAAUAUCAACUUUUUUAUUUACAAUUAUAAUUUUCUCUUGAUUUUUAAAAAUACGUUAACAACAUUUAUAUAUAUUUUUUUUUGCGUUCAAAAAAUUAUCUAACUCGUAGCAAAGUGAAUUAAAUAAAUGCAUCAACACUUUUUUUUUUGUAUUUAUGAUUAGGAUUUGUUUUUGUUAAAAAUGCAAUUGAAAAGCAUACAAAUUUAUUUUUUGCUAAAAACAAUUUUGUGAUCCAUACCGAAGUGCGAGUUAAAUAACUACGUAUAUGGCUAUAGUAAGUCUUUUAGUAUAUGUGGAUGUAGGAAGCAAUGCGUUAUAUUAUUAGUUAGAUAUAACUUACCUAUUCAUUAUUAAAAAAAACAUAAAAUAAAUAAAUAUAUUAAUAGAAACCUAAAAGAGGUCGGCUGAAAUAUAAUAUUUUUGUCCUUUUUUUUAUUUUGUUUCACAUUUCUCAAUUAAGAGAAUCAUGAUACAAUAAAAUGCAUUUGAAACACCAUCCUAUUUUUCUAUUAAAUUAAAAAUUAACUUCCUGAUGCAACCAUAUUAUUCGAUAGUUUCACCCACAUUUAACUAGUGUUUUGCCUAUGUUUUAUAUAUAAAAUGCCUUGAUAUUCUUUGUUUUAUGUUUUGAAGGCACUUUUGGAUGAAAGAUGCAAAAAGGAGUAAAUUGGAGAUAAUUGGCAGAUUUGACCUUCAGUCGAUGUUUUGUGCAGAGCGUGAGCUCUAGAGGUUGAAAUGAAGUGAUUCCAGUGGCAUUAAAAAGCUAACAUCCAUACCUUUCUGGAAAUCUAAGGCAAGAAAAUAAAAUAAGGAAGAGCAUGGAAAUCACAGCCUUCAAAGUCAAAACAGAUUUGCUUUCUUUUUCCCUUAUCUUUUAUUUUUCGCAUUUUACUUUAUUUUUGUCAUUCUUCAAUAUUCCUUUUCUUUUAUUUCAACAUUGAGGACAAUGUUGUGUUUUAAGUGUGGGGGUAUUGGGAGAAUGUUGGUUUUCUAAUUUUGGUUUUCUUUGUUAUUUUUCAAAAUAAAAAAAAAUUAUGUUUGAUCUUUUGAACUCCCAUUGGUUUUUGAGAAUAUGAGUAUUAUGUAUGAGAAUUAGUUGAGAUAGAUGAAGAUAUAAAUAAAAUGAAUGAGUGUGCAUGCAAGUUUUAAGGUUUAAUUGGUUUAGGGAUUGACUUUGAGAAUCUGUCAUGUUGACUUUAUAGUGUUAUACCAAUGCAAGCUUUUGAGCCUUCAACAUUAUAUUCUUUUAUUGUGCCUUCUUUCAAUGAUAUGUAUCUUUAGAACUUGUUUCAUAUCUUGUUGAGAUUACAUUCAUAUUACAUAUAUACAUGAAGAUAAUAAAGGCAUUAGGAAUUUUAACCACUUGAGCCAAAAAGCCAACCUAAAGCAUAUUAUCCUUAGUGAGCCCCUUUUGAGCUUGUUUAUCUUUUCUUUGCUUUAUCCAUGUAUAAGCCUUAACUUUUUAUAUGUUUUCCUUUUCCCCUGGCCAAGGAUUAGUAGAGCAUAUACUUAUGAUAUCUCAUGGAAUUAUGGUUGGAAAUUAUGCGAAAAGAAAGAAGAAGUGAUGCUUGAUGAAAAGAUGGGCAAAGUUGCCGAAGGUCAAAAAAAAAAAAGGAAAAAAAAAGAAAAAAAAGAAAAGAAAAAGAAAAAGAAAAAAGUGUUCCUUUAUGUUCUUAAUAUUUUAUAUUGAAAAAGCUUGAAAUCAAAAGAAGUUAAGCAUUGGUGAUUAAAGAUGGAAAAUUUAUGUGCUUUGAUGGAAUAUCUUGUUUGAAAUAUCAUUUUUCAGAAUGCUCUACUUUCUUUGGUUUGAACCUUUUGUUUUACUCUCUUUUACCUCACCUUAACCUUAGCCCCAUUACAACCAGAAAAUAAGACCUUUUGAUUCAUGCAUUGUUUGUAAUAUGUUAUUAAUGGGGAUGAGAUUGAAGAGCAAGCUUAUGGUAGAACAUAUUCAUUGAUUGAAUUUGAGAGAUUUAAACACAUAAGCCCUAAACACGUGAGUGUUGGAGUAUAUAUCAAUGAGAGGACCUAUCACUUUGGCAUGGCAUAGAUUUCAUUUAAAUCUCGACGAUUAAUUGACUUUUGAAGUUUGCAUGUAAAUAAAUUCAUGAAAAUUUAUACUCUUUAUCCUUCUUAAUUGUGUUCUUGUUUAUAAUGCAUAUAUUCUUGGAUAUUGAUGGGAGAUUAGAAGAUUAGUCAUAGUGAUUUCAUUUAAUUUAACUUCAAUUUGAUUUUACCUAUCCUUUCUCGAGGACGAGCAAGAGCUAAGUGUGGGGGUAUUUGAUGCAACCAUAUUAUUCUAUAGUUUCACCCACAUUUAACUAGUGUUUUGCCUAUGUUUUAUAUAUAAAAUGCCUUGAUAUUCUUUGUUUUAUGUUUUGAAGGCACUUUUGGAUGAAAGAUGCAAAAAGGAGUAAAUUGGAGAUAAUUGGCAGAUUUGACCUUCAGUCGAUGUUUUGUGCAGAGCGUGAGCUCUAGAGGUUGAAAUGAAGUGAUUCCAGUGGCAUUAAAAAGCUAACAUCCAUACCUUUCUGGACAUCUAAGGCAAGAAAAUAAAAUAAGGAAGAGCAUGGAAAUCGCAGCCUUCAAAGUCAAAUCUCGCAAUCUGCCAGUGUUGACCUUCGGCCAUUCCGACUUGAAUAUCUGGAGCUACAGAAGUCCAAUUGAUGCAAACUCAAUUGUUUUGGAUUCAUGUCUCAAAGGUCUAUAAACGCUCCACAUUUCAGCCCAAACCGAUUUCAUAUGAGGGAGAUAUGAUUUUUCAAAGAUGACAACUGAAUUCUGCCAGCAAACAGGUUUCGUGAAGAAACGAGUCCAAAUUACGUUCCGAAGCAUCUAAACCGAUAUCCAAGUUUGUAUUUCAGCAAUUUAGCUCCUCUAAGUCAAAGCUUGAAGAUUUCAUGCAAGGCUAUUUCUCCUUUUUUAGGAAAAUAGUUAUUGAAGUACUUAAAUGUAAACAGUCUACUUAAUGGAGGACUAUUUUGUAAAAUAGAGACCUAGGGUUUCCUAGGAUAUAAAAAGAAUGAGAGAAGAGAAGGGGGGAGGCAGCCAAGAAGAGAAAAACGCCCCCUUCCUCUAAGAAACCCUAAAUUAUGCAUUCUUCCUUCUUUUUGAUUAGUUGUUCAACAAACAUGCAAGGCUAAACACUUUUUCUUGGUUGCAAGAACACGGAAACCUUCGGAUUUCAAGAACUGUGAGAUUUAUUUUACCUUUUCUUUUCAGUUUAUAUGAUGAAUAUGUUUGUUCUCCUAUGCUUAUUUUUCCUAUGAUUGUUUAUUUUAAUUGCUAGAGCGGACUCUAAGUUAUUAUUGUAGACAAUCUAUUGUUAAUUUUGAUAUCAAAACCGGAGUUGUGGUAUAUGAACUUGUGAAGCAACUGAGUUUAAUAAUUGUGGCGGAUCUACGUUAUUAAUCUUAGGGAGAACAUUCAAUCAAAUCAAACAUAGACUGCGGACAGUUAUGUUUUCUUGAUUAAUCAACUUAUCUAGUUCUUAAGGCUGCCAUUGAAUUAAAUUACUAGUGCGGACACUGUGGUUGUUUGAUGGUUAGGGCUAGUUAUACGGCGGAUCCGUUAACUAACCAAUGUUAAGAAGAGAUAAAUAUUCAGAAUAUAAAUUGAUGUUUCGUUUCCAUGAUCAGUUCUGAUUUUUGUAGGUGGAUGUGUGCUUCUGACCAAGGUUUGUUCUCUUGAUAAUUUUCUGAUUUUAUUAAAUUUAGUUUGAUAGUUUUCUGUUUUCUUUUGCUUUAGCCUAGAUAAUGUCCAAACCCCCCCAAAUUGCAUAUCAUCUAGCAUAAAAAUCUGACUUGAAUCUUCCUCGUGGGAUCGACCCCUUGCUUGCUCUAUACUAUCUUGUGUGUUGUGUUUGAAGCUAGGGUAAUUAAUUUGUGCGACCGCGACAUCGCAACACUUCCUACAUGGGGUGCGUUGCGUUAACAAUUGUUUUUGUAUUUAUUAACAUAUAUGAUCCUCAAUUGAUUUUAUUAUAUGUAAACAUCAACUUUUUUUAUUCACAAUUAUAUUUUUUUCUCUCGAUAUCUAAAAAUACAUCAACAACACAUAUACAUCCAUUCUUUUGUGUUGGAAAAUAUUAUCUGACCCAUAGCGAAGCGAGUUAAAUAAACACGUCAAUACCUUUUUUUUGUAUUUAUUAUUAGGGUUUUUUUUUGUUAAAAAUACAUUUGAAAAGCAUUCAUAUUUAUUUAUUUUGCUAAAAAACAUUUCUGAUCUAUAGUAAAGUGCGAGUCAAAUAACUACUAAUAUGGCUAUAGUGAGUGUUUUUUUAGUAUAUGUGGAUGUAGGUAGCAAUGUGUUAUAUUAUUAGUUAGAUAUAACUUACCUAUUCAUUAUAAAAAUAAAUAAAUAAAUAUGCUGAAACAAUAUAGUCCCCGAGAGGAAAUAUUGUGAAUUCACACAAUGUUUACUUUCUCUUUUUUUGUCCUUUUUUUAUUUAGUGAUCUUUGAUGAUGAAUUGAUUAAGAUUUGAGAUGGGUACUGUAUUUUUAUUUACCUUUUUUAUAGUUAUCUUGCUCUCAAUAAAACAUCUUGAUAUUAGAACAAUGCUCAAUUUCACAAAAAAAAAAUUAAUGUUUGUAAGAAAUUGAAAAUGAAAAGAUCAAAAUUGAAACAAAUAAAAAACUAUUUAAAAAAAAAAUGGUGUCAACUUUGCCUUUUGUUUUUUGCUUUUGAUCAUCUACUUUUUUUAUAAAAAAAAAAUUAAUAUUUCAAUGCUGUGUUAAUUGGAAUUUGAAGUUGGUAAUUUGAUAUAAGUUGGUAAUUUUAUAUGAGCAUCUAGAACUAAAUAAAAAGCCGCACCAUUGGUUUGGUGCUCGACUUUACAAAAAAAAAAUCGAUUAUAUUGUUUGAGAAAAAAUAAAAAAUAAAAAAUAAAAAUUAAAACAUGAAAAAAAAAAUAAGGGGCCUUAAAAAAACAAAUUGUGUCAACGCCUCCAUGCCUUGUAAUUUUAAUAAAUCUUCUUUUUGGUAAUGAAACUUUUUGAUACAAAACUUUAUUUUACUUGUAUUUUAAUUCUUGAGGUUGAGAAAGAAAAAAGAAAUUCAUCAAAAAAUUAGAAAGAAAAGAGAAAAUUAGCGAAAGCCAGCAAGGUAUCUGCUCGAAAAAACCAUUCAACAUAAGAUUGCUCUGCUAGGAAAACAUGAUAUCAGUAUCAAACUUUUGAACAAAGAGUUCAGCAUCAAGUCUCAGUCAUCUUGAGAUUUGAAUUGCUCAUACAACAACAUUUUUAAUAAUGCAUUAGAAACAGAACAUCAAACAAAGAGUUCAGCAUCAAGGAGAACGCAUGAAAGUCCACACAUUAAACCAAAAGAAACACAAAUGGCCAAGCAAACAUACGCCCUUACUUCUGGAGGCUUGUACGAUAAUGGGCAAGCAUCAUUGUUUUUUUUACUAUUAACCAUCACCAUCACCAUCACCAUCUUCUUCUUCUUAUACUUCUUUCCACCCUUUAUUUCUGGUCCACUCUCUAUUAAUGCUUGAAUCUUCAGCUACUUCAGAUACCUGUAAACCAAUCCAAGCAUGGCAUGCUCAUUUAACUUGUAAAUCUUAUUAUUGAGAGAAACAAGAAACAAACACACUAAAAGAGAGGCAAGAAAUAAAGUUAAAUCAUCAGCAGCACCUCUGAGCGAGCACUCAUUGAACCAUCUGGUGUAGUAGCAAAUUUUGUGGUCAGCUUUGGACAUUGAUGGACCUUCAACUUCUCCAAACGAGGGAAUAAGAAAUAAUCACACCAUCCGAAACUAAAACAGACAAUACUUGAUAAUUGUUGUAGCGACAACUCCUUUAGAUUAGGAAGCACUAUCUCCUUCUCAACGUUGAUAGGUGAAGCUUGAUCAUCCUGCCCAGGAGACUCUGGAAUUAUUUCCCUUUUACCAUCCUCUUCUCUGAUUAUAUGCUUCAAUUGACCGCAUUUACUUAUGGAAAGCCUUUCUAGCUUUGGCAGACUUUGUGUGAGGGACGGUGUGAAGAUAAAUGGCAGUUUGUCGAGAGAAUCCAAACUCAGAAUAUUAAGACUUUGGAGGCUGACAUGUCCGGUGGGCCCCUUCCAUAUGCAUUUGACCUCAGGUAACCUUCGCAGCUCUAACUUUGUUAAAGAUGACAGCAGCUCCUUCUCCUCACUGCUUCCUUCAUCAGCCUCACCUAAUUCAAAUACCUCUUCCAAUGAUUUGCAGCCGCCAACAAUCACCUCCUUUAGAUUGUUCAAAGCUCGCAGCAAUUUUGCUGGAAACGGAGCGCGAACAUCCCCACAAUCGUCCACUUGUACAAUUUCUAAUCUUUGUACGGAGCCGUUUUGCUGCACAUGGCCGGCCAUCUUAUCAGAGAACAAUAUUAUAUUUUUUCACUCUCAUAAAAACAAUUUAUAUGAUGUAUAAAUAGGAGAAAAAAGAAGAAAAAACAGGAUUACAUACUUUUUAGAGGUUACAUAUUAUUGUUUCAGUUUUUUUCUUAAUUAGAGAUAAGUUAAAUAAUAAUUAGAUUUUUUGCGAAAAAAGGUUACUACAACUCCUAAUAAUUAGUUUCAUGUAAAAAAUAAAAAUAAAAAUAGUAACUAAUAUUUUUACUUUAGUUAAAAAGUUAAUAAAUUUUUAAAGAUAUUUUAACUGAAUUAAAUAUUUGAACACAAAAUAAGCUAAUAAUAAUUAGUUUCAUGAGGCAGUUAAAUCUAACAGAUAAUAUGUUCUUUCAUAUGAUUAAUUUUUAAUAACGCAGACAACAAUGAGGCAGUUAAGUUCUUAUAUUUAUAUAUGUUUAGAUAAAAAUAAAAAUGAGCAUUUAUCAAUUACUUUACUUUUAGAAAUUGGGAGGAAGAGAGAAUAAAUUAUCGCAAUUGACAAUUUAAAUUAAGUGGAGAAAUAUAAAUUACGUACUUGUAGCUGUGCCAACCAAUUACCCACUCCUUCGUGGCCUCCAAUGGUUAAGUCUUGCAAAGGCAAUUGAGCAUCAAAAUUCCUUGGACCUAAAAAGCUGUAAUUUGAUCUGAGCCGAAGAGACACUUGUCUUAGGUGAGGGAACUUGAUGAUGCCAUCUCUGUUACGAGACAAAGAGACUGGGAAGACAUAUUCCAGUUUACCACAGUGAGAUAUGAAGAGAGUUUUUAAUAGUGGGAAGCAAGGAGACUCUGGAAUUAUUUCCCUUUCACCAUCCUCUUCUCUGAUAAUAUGCUUCAAUUUACCGCAUUCAUUUAUGUAAAGCCUUUCUAGCUUUGGCAGACUUCGAGCGAGGGACGGUGUGAAGAUAAAUGUCAGUUUGUUAAGAUUCCAAACAAGUAGACGAGCAAGAUUUUGGAGGCUGACAUGUCCGGUGGGCCCCUUCCAUAUGCAUUUGAGCUCAGGUAACAUUUCCAGCUGUAACUCUGUUAAAGAUGACAGCAGCUCCUUCUCCUCAGUGCUUCCUUCAUCAGCCUCACCCAAUUCAAAUACCUCUUCCAAUGAUUUGCAGUUGUAAAUGUCCACCUCCUUUAGAUUUUUUAAACCUUGCCGCAAUUUUGCUGGAAACAGAGUGAAAACAUCCCCACAACUGCUCACUUGUACAGAUUCUAAUUUAUGUAAAAACAAUUGCUCAAAUGUCUUCGCAUUUAAGGAUGUACCAACCAAAUUUAAUCUUGUCGAGGUUGGGUAUCCAUAAUUGGGCAGAAUCCGAUUCCCAAAUAUUAUAUGAUAUUUGCGCAAACUAACUGGAAAAACAAAAUCUCUGGGAAUGCAUUCAACCUUCGGUAUCCACAAUGAUAAUACGGCUAACUGAGACAACGAAUUUAGUUCUGUUAGGCUUGCAUUCAUUCCUCCUGUGCUGUCACAUCCACCAACAACAUCCCAUCCCUGAAAGCUUUCAUCCCCGAUCAACAGCUCUUCUAACUUCUUCAACCUUCCAAUCAAAUUCACAGGGAUCCUUCUUAGCAUUUCACAACCUGUCACAUCCAACAACCUUAACUCCUUGAGCUCUCCUAUUUCAUCAGGUAAUUCUUCAAUGGAUAAGCACCACGUAAGAACAAGAAUCUUAAGUCUCUGCAGCUUUCUCAACCAAAUGAGGUCCUUGCAUCCACACCUGAUCAACACCAACGAUUGAAGUUUCGUUGAGAGUUCAAGUGAUUGCAAUGACAAACACCCUCCCUUCAGAGACAAAACUUCAAUUUCUUUCAUCCCUUCGAAAAACUUCUCUGGAACAUUCAUACCAUCAUCCAGUUCUAAUAAUAGAACUUUGAGCUGUGGGCAUACCAAUCCUUCAGGAAGUUUUGCUAGUUUAUUGCCCAUUAACGAAAUUGUUGUACAACCUUCAAAGCUUUUAUUGCUCAUUGGCCACUCCUUCAACCCAAUGCCAACCUUUACCAUGAAUCCAUAUUCUUCUGAUGAUGCUAUCUGAAUAGCAACAUCACGAACCAAGUCAUGCAUUCUCACAUGUUCUUCAGUUUCAGUGCCCAGCAACAAACAACAAGCUUUGAGGUAUUCGAUUGCCACAUGAACUUGUUCCCUUGCAUCUUCAAUGGGCUCCCCAUCUUGAUGUAGCCCAUAGCCAACUGCAUAUCUCGUCAAGUCCUCGAUUGGAAUGUUGUAAUCUUCUGGAAAUAAACAGCAUAGCAAGAAACAUAACUUGGUUUCCUUGGACUUCAAAUAAUCGUAGCUCAACUUAAGACAUGCAUAUGCAUUUUUUUCUUCAAUUUGUUCCAUGUCCACAAAUUGAGAGUUUUUGAGCUGUUUAGACACUCUUUUCCACUGGUUUUCAGAUUUAUCUCUUAGAGCCCUUCCCAAUGUCACAAGUGCUAUAGGCAAGCCUUUGCAUUCUCUCGCAACCUUCCUUGCCACUGUGUUCAAGGUAGAGUCCCCAUCACGUAAACCUGCAUUGAUUCUGAAUAAAGCCAAUGCUUCAUCUUCAGAUAAGACUCCUAAAAACACUUUUUGCUGGCACUCCAUAGUAGAACAAAUGUGUUCAAGACGUGUUGUUAGAAGAAUUUUACAACCCCUGUGAUCAUCACCAAAUGGGAUCCCUAUCUCUUUCAAGUCAAUAUGUUUCCAAACAUCAUCCAGGAUUAUAAGCAUCUUCUUUCCCUGCAGUCUCUGCCAUAAUUCACUUGCUCUACCUUCUUUACCCGUUUUUUCAAAUUUCAGAUGUAAACUAUCUGCCAUUCGAUCCUGGAUGCCUAUGACAUUUGGAUUCUGGGACACCGUAGCCAUAAAAACUUCAGGAAAAAGCUGCGACUCUUUGGCUCUCCUGCCUACUUCUUUCACCAGGGUGGUUUUACCCACCCCUCCCAUGCCGUACAGUCCGAUCAUAUUGACGUUGUCAUCUUUGAGAGCUUUCAUAAUCUGUUCCAAAGCUUCUUUUGAAGCUUCUGAGGGCGUGAAAUCCUUUGAUGGAAGAAAUUCUAUGGGCUGAGGAGGAGCUUUGUCGGCCACUUUUGUAAACUUUGUUUCUAAAAGUUUUCUGAAAGUCUCCGACUUCUUGGCCAGUGCCUUGCUUAACUUGAAUUGUCGCAUGCAGUUUGGACACCAAGUGAAGCAUUUGCCAUUUUUUCCUAUUUCAUUUUCCAAGGGCUUCGCACCUUCAAUUUCGUUGUUUGCAUCUUCCAGCCACUUUUUGACAUCUUUGUAAAUUUCUUCAGCAUUCCUUUCAGCAGCUUUGACAUCAUCUUGCAGACGUUCUUUUGCCGAAUCCAGGUUCUCCUUUCGUUCAUUGAAUUCUUCAACAAAAUGGUUGAAACAGAACAUGUAACGGAACUGCCUUCCUACUGGUUCCACCAACAUGUAACGGAACUGCCUUCCUACUGGUUCCACCAUGAGUUCUGCUAUCUUAGAUAGAAUGGCACUUUCGAGAGCCAUUUUCCACAGGUCUGAAAAUCUAAGAAAUAAGGAUACAGAACGUGAGAGUGAGUCACUUCAAGUAAAACAGGCGCAGAGAGAGUGGGAAUAGGAAUCCAUUACCUUAAUUUGGGAAAAUAUGUGCGCAAAAGCACUGGUACUGAUAGCUCAAUGAAAUAGCGGAAGGAAGAAAAGGAGAAGGCCUUUAGCUCUGUAUGGAAUCCAGCUUCAAAAGCAACAAGGCAAGGUAUAAGUUUAACAAUAAAAUAGUUUACAUGGAUUCUAACUGACUCUUGUGAGUUAAAGCAGUAGUUCCCAUUAAAAAUGCAUUUUGAUGACAUAAUUAAGAUCAUAUAGAGACAGUGACAAACAAAUAAAAAAAUAAUAAUGUGUAAAAGUACUCACCUAGCAAAUAUAAUUGACCUAAGCUCACUUAGACGUCUCCAUGGAUGAUACCAGCUCGCUUCCAACAACAAAUAUAAUUGACCUAAGCUGUGAUAGGUCAAAUUUUUUUUAGUUUUUUUUUUAAAAAAAAAAAACAGAUCAACAAGAGAAAAGACUUACAAAGAAGUAGAAUUACUGAAAGAAACUCAUCAAAGAAUCAAACUCAAGCAAUUAAAAAUAAUUGUCUACGAUGACCAUCUCUGUAUUACACAUUCAGGUAAUAUGAUUGACCUAUAACAAUAUUAAAAAAAAAAUAAAGCUAAAAGAAUUACGUUUUUGAUAGCAUCCAGAGUGCGGUUACUUUUUUAAUCCCUCUUUUGUGGUUUUAUUUUAUUUCAGUCCUUCAAGUCUUUUUCUUUUGCUAUUUCAUCGAGUUUCUUUCUCUUGAGUUGUUGUGCUUGCCCUCGAAUAUGCAUUAUGCUAGGAAUUACAAUUACAUUACAUAAAAAAUUAUAAUUACAUAUUACAAUUACAAAUUUUAAAAAAUAAUUAUGAGAAAGGACCAAUGUUACAAUGUGAACAAAUGAAAGGAGAAUUUUAAAUUUUCUUGUGACAUGGUGACCAGGUAAUUCAAGGAACCAAUAGAUUAUCGCCACAUGUUCAACCAUAUCUCCACAUGUUCAACCUUAUAUUGUAUUGUGACAUGGAGAUAAAGGUCAUCUAAAAAGCUAAUAGAUGGUCGCCCCGUGUUCAACUUUAUCUACCCAUUAGGAAAGGAUAGAAAGUGGGAGAGAGAAAGGUUAAAAAGGCUUAAAAAAGAAAAAGGAAAAGGAGAGACAGAAAUAAAAGAAAGGCUGAGAAAAAGGAAAGGACGUGGAAAUAGAAGGAGAGAUUGAGGGAGGCAGAAAUGGAAAGGGACAUAGAAAGAUCGGAGGAGAGUAAGAAAAAAAUAUGAAUAUGUGAUGUCCUAUUUCUGAUAAAAAUACUCUGUUUUUUUUUAUUUAAAUGGGAUUUUUUUAUCUUUUAUUUGGAAUUUCUUUGGACACUUAAAUAAUAUAAUAACAAAAAAAAAUUAAAAUAUUGAUGAAAUUAAAACCAAUAGUAUUUUUUUCUAUAUUUUAAGUUUUAGUUUUUAAUAGCCUCGUUUGAUUUUUAUUUUUAUUUUCAUGCUCUUAUAAAUAAUGCAGGAAAUGAGGACCUGAAAUCACAACAGCGAAUAAAAAGAGAAAUAACGUGUUUGUUAUUAAGUAUUAAAAAAAAAUAUUUUAUUUUAUUUUUAUUUUAAAUUAAUUUUUAAAAAACUAGCUUGAAAAUUAGUACGAAAAAUAGUGAUAAUAGAGUAGAUGUCCAAAUCAAAACAUAUAAAUAGAGUAUUUUAUAAAUAUUUUGGAUAAAAAAUAGGUUAAAAACAAGUUUUUAAAUAAAAAAUCAAGCUUUAUUAUUUUAUAUAAUUCAAAUAAAAUCAAUAUAUUUAGUUGUUCAAAAUUAUAACUCAAGUUCUGUCAUGUCUUUUUAGAAGGAAAAAAAAAAACGCUUGUAACAUAGUGCAGUGCAAACAGAAGAGACAUCUGGUUUUUAUUGAGAAAAAGAAAGGAAAAAAAAUAUAUAUAUAUAUAUACUCUCUCUUCCAAUUUCCUCUCCCAGCUGAAUUUUGGCGACCGCUCACACAACGAUAGCCUACACAACCACCAGCCAUGCCACCUUUCAAGACCCCAUCUCUCAAUCUCAAAACCAGAAACAACCCUUUCUCCAUUUAACCGAACCUCAUAACUCCGAGAAAGUGAAGGACUAAACCAUAGUGGCAAAAAUCUAAAUUAUCUCUGUUACUUUUCCUCAAUUUUCUAGACAAGCACAAGGAGCUAAACUUAUUCCCGACCAAAACGUCAAGAAUUUCAGUAGAACAAAAGAAGAGAUUAUUACUUGACCAAAAAUAACUAGUUAGCACCCAAAGAAACCGAGUGAAUGAGAGAAAAAGACUAAUAGCUAGAAAACAAUCAACAGAUCCAAGAAUUUUCUGUAUGGUUUCCAAGAAAAUGAAACGAAAUGAGCAGCACAACCCUCUUUCUCCUCCAAGAAAAGAAAGAAAAAGAAAGGAAAGAAACAAAGAAAGUCAAACUUGGCUCCUCUUUUAGUGUUAAAAAAAAAAACAAAGAAGUUCGAGGAAGUGGGCAGCCUUUUUUCUGAUGUUCAUGUGGUGUUCUGCUGUUCACGCAGACUAAGAACUCCUACCAUCGUAAAAUCAUAUAAUUAAAACACAACAAUAAAAAAGUAAAAAGCAGCUAAUUAUGUGCGAAAAUCAGAGAAAUAAGGAUACAGAACGUGAGAGUGAGUCAUUGCAAGUAAAAGAGGCGCAGAGAGAAUGGGAAUAGGAAUUUCAUUACCUUAAAUUGAGAAAAUAUGUGCGAAAAGCACUGGUACUGAUUGCUCAAUGAAAUGGAGAAGGCCUUUAGCUCUGUAUGGAAUCCAGCUUCAAAAGCAACAACGCAAGGUAUAAGAAUUUUGAUGACAUACUUAAGAUACUAUGCGUAGUAAUAUAGAGACAGUGACAAAGAAAUAAAGAAAAAUAAUGUGUAAAAGAACUCACCUAGCAAAGAAAGAAACGAAUGAAAGGUUCAGGAUAAUCACUUAGACGCCUCCAUGGAUGAUACCAGCUCGCUUCCAACAACAAAUAUAAUUAACCUAAGCUAUGAUCGGUCAAUGUUUUUUUUAGUUUUCUUCUUUUAAAAAAAAAAAAAGAUCAUCAAGGGAAAAGACUUGCAAAGAAGUAGAAUUAAUGGAACGAACACAACAAAGGAUCAAACUCAAGCAAUUAAAAGUAAUUGUCUGUGUCACACACUCAAGUGAGGAGAGAAAAGAAGGAGAAAGAAAGGAAAGGGACAAGGAAGGCAGAAAGUAAGGUCACGUAGGGCCAGUCUUGUAGAAAGUUUGAAAAGUAGCAUGAAAGAAGAGGAUAAUAGUGUAGUUGUCAGAAUCAAAACACGUAUAAACAGAGGACAAAAACAGGAAGGGAGGCUGUUUGUUUUUUUAACUGUGUCUGAGUGCUUUUUAUAAUUAUAUUUAAUUUAAAAAAUAUUAAAUUAAUAUAUUUUUUAAUAUUUCUUGUUAUAUAUAUAUAUAUAUAUAUUUAAUAUUUAAUAAAUUUUUAAAUAAAAAAUAUUUUUAAAAGUAUGUGUCACAAUACAAAAUUAUAGUAUAAAUUAAAAGAAAAAGGAGUUUUAUGCUCAUUACUAUUUACUGGACUUGUAGAUAUUAAUAAUAAAGUUUUUGAAAGUUUUCGAUCUAGUAUUUGAACUUAUUUUUUUUUGCAUAAUUGAAUUUUUUUAAGCUUAAUUGCAUAUUUGUUUUUUAAGGAAAUAGGUUGAAUUGAGAAACAGACAAACUCGGCAAAAAUAUGUGGUUAAAAUCAAUCCAUUUUUUUUAAAAAAAACUACUUGGUUGUUAAGGAAAGAUUGGUAGUGUGAACAAAUCACCAAAGUCAGCAGCAAGGAAGUUCUAGGAAGUGGGCAGCCUUUCUUCUACUGUUCAUGUGGUGUUCUGCUGUUCAUUGGACAGUGCAAUUAACGUGAACAGUGCAAAAAAAGCGAGGAAUUCUUGCUUUGCAAAUACUGCAUUUCCAACGCAGAAAAAAGAUGGGACCCAGUGAACAGUAUACCACAUUUUUAUUUAACCAAGCGGCCCAAACGGGCUCUAAGAACUCCUACCAUUGUAAAAUCAUAUAUUUAAAAUACAAUAAUAAAAAUGUAAUACGCAGCUAAUUAAUGUAUUAAGCAGCUAAUUAAUGUUGUUGUUCUUUCUUCUUGUUUUGCUAUUUUGAUUUUAUUGCAUGUUUCAAAAAAAGUAUGAUUGUGAAAGCUAGCCAAACCAUUAGAUCAAAGUAAUCUAAGAUGGUUUUUGAGAGUGUAGUUGUCGUUAUUUUUCACUCGGAAAUACAUCAAAAUAAUAUAUUUUUUAUUUUUUAAAAAUUAUUUUUGAUAUUAGCGUAUCAAAAUUAUUUGAAAACACCAAAGAAAUAUUAGUUUGAAGUAAAAAAAAAUAAAAAAAAUUUCAAAAGUGCUUUUGAAACGUAAAAACAAACAGAGUCUAGUGUAGUUGCGUCCAACGUUGUCCCGAGGUACUUUUUAUAAUCUAAAUUUUUUAAUAUAUUUUUUUAUUUAAUUAUGCAAUAUAUUCAUAGAAAACACUCAAAAUAAAAUUAUUGACAAAAAAAUAUAUAUUUCUUAAAAAUAUUUUUUUAUUGAAAACAUAAUUUUUUAAUUCAUGCAUUUUUUUAUUUAAAAAAAAUGUAUUUUUUAUGAGUAACAUUAUUUUGCUCAAAUGUCCCUAAUACAUAAUUAUUUAUAAAGUAAUGAAAAUAUCAUAAUAAAAAUUCCUAAUCUUCUUGAAAACAAUUAAAUAAUUGAACAAUUACUUAAAUAUUUUUUUAAUAAAUUGAUUGAAAGAAAUUUUUUAUUAAAAAUAAAGAAUAAAGAAUAACAUGAUAUCUAAGAUAAAGGUCAUACAAGCCUUCAAAGAUAAUAUAUGUAUGUGUAUAAUACAAAUUAAUAAAUUAUAAGUAGCAAUAUUUAAUGCAAGUUUAAGAAUAAGAGUUUGCUUUGUGUUUUGUUGUGAGAUUAACCAUAUCAAAUUAUAUAUUUAAUAAUAAAUAAUUGUGUUGUGUUAUGAGUAAAAUCAAUAAAUUAUUUGGUGUUAUGCUGUCUUGUUGUUUGAAUUAAAAUUAUUAUUAAGAAUAUAAAUUAAAUUAAAUUAAAUAUUGAAAAAACUAAAUGAAUUGCUUAAUAAAUAAAUAAAUAAAUUCUUUCUUUAGAAAGCAUGGAAAUGCCAUGACAUUGGCUUUUUAGAGAAUACUACGAUAUUAAUAGCCAAAAAAGUUAUCGAUAGCUGUGUAAAUCAUUGAAAUUGCCACAAAAGCAACCCAAAUUAUUUAUGAAUUGGAUUCGAUGGAAGGAAGAUGGGAAGGGGGAAAUUAAAGAGACAUGAAGAUCUGUGCAUGGCUACCUGUUUUGAGAAUUAUAGAUUUUUAUCCCUAACUCAAAACGGCACCAAUUAUAAGUUCAUUCAAAAAAAUCUGGAACACAAAAGAUGGAAAAAACUCGAAACAACUCGUCUAGAAUUUAGGCAAGAAGAAUGAGCCAAGAUUUUAAGUGAAAUGAAAUUUGUUUUACUUUGUUCUGUUUUUUAAAAUGAUAUAAGACAUACUACCUAUUUAAGGUGAAACAAAUGGAAUCGACAACCUUUAAAGAGAGUAGAGGCCACAUAUGUGUCACUCGUAUUCAAUAGCCUUUCUCCCAUACUGACAUGUGUUUUACACGCACCAACAUUUCUUUCUCUUUUAUUCUAUAAUAUUCAAUAUCGGUGAGUGAGGAUUUGGUAGUUGGCCUUAUUAGUAGUGUUGGUUGUUGACUUGUCAAACACGUUUUGGGCCCAUGCGUGGUCACCAAGAACAAAUUCGUGAGGGCGAUAAGGCCCAGAAAGAUAAUAUCUAGUAGGUUCAGUCAGGCUAUGACAUAUUCGAUAAUAACUCUUCAAUUAAGUCCUAAAUCUCAUUUUAUCUUUUCAAUUUAAUCCCUAAUUUGACACCAACUCUUCAAUUAGACCCCAAAGCUCAUCUCACAUGAGGAAAGCCCUCUUUUUUCAAUUUAGCCCCUUAUUAUCUUCAAUUUAAUAUCAAAUUUUAUUCGAUCCAGGCCCAAAAAAGGCUAAGCGAAGAUAGAAUAAAGGAAGGGAAAGAAGAUGAAUAAUUGCCCAACUGAGUUAACGUGUUCUGGUCUUUUCUCUAUGAUUCGGGUUGAACAUUUGACAUUUAUCCUUUUUUUCCUAUAGUCUUUUCUCCAUAUUCGUUGUGACGCCGCACACGUGCGACAACCAGUAAAUCUAUAGUUAAUUUCAUUUUUUGAUAAAAGAUAAUACCAUCGGUAUAGAAUGGUUACCAACUGUUAGUUUAAUAUGCCUUGUAGCCAAUCGGUUAGUUAUACAAGGUAUUAUUAUAUUCAUGUAAAUACAUAUUUAUUAUUAAUAAAGCCUUAAUUUAACUUUAAUAUUCAUAUAAUAUUAGAUUAAUGAAUCUAGAGUGUAGAUAAAGUUUAUGAGACAAAAAUGCUUUGCAAAGGAAAUUAUAAAGUUGUUAUAAUUAUGAGAUUUUUAAUGCGUCAAAAUAUUGUUAAUAAAAUGUUCUUGGUUGAUGCUCUCUUAAAUACUGGAUAUUUAUUAGAGCCAUAAAGACUGAUACAUAUUAUGUUUUUUCCUUUAUGAAAUGAAGCAACUGUUCUCAUAAGUUGAGCUAUAAGGGAUAUCUAAAACUAAUAUGUAUGUGCUUGUCAUAAGACAUGUGCACUGAAUUGACCCGCAUGAGAAUUCCAUAUGGAGAGAUUACCUAUGUCUAUGGAAAGACUCACGUGACGGUUGUAUAUGUAAUCCUCGGACUUGAGAUCACUAAGUUAUCUUAUAUAGAGAAUGUUAUGCUUUGAUCAUGUUACAUGUUAUCUUAAUUGAGGUAACAAAAUGAUAGACAUUGGGUAUAUCAUGAACUAUAUGAAGGUAUUUGAGUGAUUAAGAGAGGAUUUCAUCAUCCUGUGUGAAUUAGAAAAAAUGUUCAAUCUGUUCUCAAAUAGUAUUGACUGAGAAAUCCUUGACCAAUGUGGAAUGAUAUUUAAAAAGGGUUUGAAAUCUUAUUCAAAUGAUCAAUUAGUAUUAUUUAGAGAAUGAACAUAAUUUAACAUGACAAAUAUGCUUCAUGCUUUAAUGUUAAAUAAGAACAUUAGUGAUAAAAUGGUAUUAAUUACAAUGAGAAACCGGUAAUUUAAACCACUAAUAACUUUUCUAAUAUUUAGGGUAUCAUGACACGUUACUAGACAAUACACAUGAUCUUCAAAUCUUCAAUUGUAAUUUAUUUAAUUAUAAUUAUAAUUUAUAUUUGGGCCAAUAUAUUAAAUUGUGAUGAUUUAAUUAAGUAUAACUUGAUUAAAAUAUAUUUUAGAAAUUAAGGACUACAAUAUAAGUAAUACAAGGAUUAUAUUUCCAGAUCUAGAAAAAUCAGGUAAGGACUAGUGGUUCAUGUGGAUUACCGUUGAAGGACGAACAAUUGGACGACUUCUAGUUUGCAACAACUCAGUCUUUAAAAAAUUAUUCAAAACCGAAAAUGAUCAAAUUUUCAGGUAAUAAAUCCCUAAACAACUCUAGAUCUGUUUAACGAGAUUCUAGAAACUCCUGAAUAAUUUUAUUUUAUUACUUCAGCUGCAUAUUUGUUAUUCGACAAACCCAACACCAACUUCAUUGUUGGUUUAACAUUUCUUUUACAUGUUGGGAAUUUGGUACUAAUGGAUGUAUUUUCUUAAGUUGAAAUAAUGCCACACAAGAAAGGUUAAAAAGGCUCUUAAAAAGAAAAGAAAAGGAAAGACACGGUUGAGAUAAGAGGACAAAGGAAGAAAGUGAAUGGGACAACGGAAGAAAGUAAGGUAUUGUAGAGAAGAGGAGAUGAAAGUUAGUAUGAGAAAGAGGAUGAUAGAUAGAGUGGUUGUCCAAAUCAUAGUGGUUUUUAUAAUUAUAUUUAAUUUAUACAAAUAUUAAAUUAAUAUAUUCUUAGUAUUUUAUAUGAUUUAAUUUUUUUUUUGAUGAUUUAAAAAAUAUGUGUAUAAAAAAUUAUUUUAAUAUAUUUUAAAAUUAAAAGAAAAUGAGGUUUUAUGUUCAUUACCAUUUAAUUGUGGACAACAAUAGUGUAUUUUUUGAAAAUUUUCAAUUUUAUACUUAAAUUUUUUUUCAUAAUUGAUCCUUUUUAAUUAAAAUUAGAGUCGAAUUACAUAUUGUUUUAAGGAUGAGAGUUGAAUUAAAAGACAGGGGACUAAAGUUAAAAACUCAGCUAAAAUAGAUGGCAACUCUAUAAUUUGUUUGCAAAGUUCAUUUUAGUUCCCUGUUUUUUUAAGCUAUUAAAUAAUAAGUCCCUAUAAUUUUCCAGCAUUGCAUUUUGAAUUUUUUUUAUUAAUACUUUUUUAUAUAUAUUUUUGAAAAUAAUUUUAAAAAUGAUGUUUUUAUUAAUACCCUUUUUCUAUGAUUUUUUUUGGCCUUAUGUAGUCUUUCUUCAAUUAUUUUUAAUUUUGUUGCUUGUGUUUAAUUUUUUAAGAGGUUAGUAAUAUUUAUCUGUAAAUAUUUUUUAUAUAUUUCAGAUAGAUUAAGUAUCUAAUUUUUAUAAUAAUUUGAAUAUGUGUAGCCUUGCAUAGUUUUUUUUUUCCUUUUAUGAUAUUAAAAAAAAAUUAUGUGUGUGUUGAUUUCUAUUAUAGAUUGAUUUUAGUAAACAAAUUCAUUAAAUAUAACCAGAUAAAUGAUCCAUGUUGCAAUAUUAAAUAUUUUAUCUAUAUUUGUUUCUUAAUUUUUCCACUUGUAUUUUUAAUUAUCGGUAAUGACUUUAUUUUUUUCAUUUAUUUACAUAAUUGUUUGUGAUUUAUUUAAUUUGAUGCGUGUAUAAAUUUUUUGAUUUACAUUUAAAAAAAAUUUAAUAUAAAAAAACAUGUUGAGAAAUUCUUAUUCUUAUGAUUUUAGUUUGAUCCUUAUUCUUAUGAUUUCUUAUUUUCUUUCUAACCCUUUUAUAAAACAAAAAAUUGUUUGUAAUUUUAUCCUUCAUUUCAACAUAAUGAUGUAUUUUUUUCCUUAUAUAUAUUCUUGUUUGUUAUUAUUGCUUUUUUUCUUUAUAUAAUUCAUAUAAAACCAGCUUAUUUAAUCGGUCAAGACUAAAUAAAUAAAUAAAAAGAUAUACUCUGUCUUCCCAUUUCCUCUCCCUGGUGAAUUUUGGCGACCACCCACACAAUGAUAGCCUAAACAACCACCAGCCAUGCCACUUUUCAAGACCCCAUCUCUCAAUCUCAAAACCAGAAACAACCCUUUCUCAUAAUUCCGGGAAAGUGAAGAACUAAACCAUAGUGGCAAAAAUCUUAAAGGGUCUAAAUUAUCUCUGUUACUUUCCCUCAAUUUUCUAGACAAGCAAAAGGAGCUAAACUUAUUCCCGACCAAAACGCCAAGAAUUUCAGUAGAACAAAAGAAGAGAUUGUUACUUGACCAUAAACAAUUAGUCCGCACCCAAACAAACUGAGUGAAUGAGAGAAAAAGACUAAUAGCUAGAAAACAAUCAACAGAUCCAAGAAUUUUCUGUAUGGUUUCCAAGAAAAUGAAACGAAACGAGCAGCACAACCCUCUUUCUCCUCCAAGAAAAGAAAGAAGAAGAAAAAGAAAAAGAAAAAGAAAGGAAAGAAACAAAGAAGUUCGAGGAAAGAAAAAGUAAGGAAGAUGAAACCAUAAACCUGCAAGUCCUACAAAUCAUAAACAUUGACUUUGAUUUUUCCUUUAUAAAACCAUAAACCUGCAAGUCCUACAAAUCAACAUGAAGACUUAUCAGAUCCUAAUGAAAAGCUGUCAAAAUCCUAUCAGAAAUUAAGGAAGAUGACGUUACGUUAACUUCAAAUCUGAGGAUUAAUUGUAGCAGAUCUUAUAGGGUUCAGCUGAUUGCUUUACUUGUUUAAAUAAUUCUCUUGUAAGCCUAAUGGUUCACGUCUUCCAUCAUUGCAACCUUUUUUUCUGUGAUUGAAAAAUCUAUAAUAGGAACCUGCACUGCAUCCCUUCUAUGCUGUUGUUCUUUCUUCUUGUUUUGCUAUUUUGAUUUUAUCAUAUUUUCUAUGAUGAAAGUUGAAGAAAUUCUACUUCGAAACUCAAGACAAAGUCUCUCGGACUGCAUAUUAGUGGGUUGCUCAUUGGGAUUUCUAUAAACAACUGAUUCUAUUGCAAAGCAACAUUACGAAAAACUGAAUAUUUCACACAUUGUCAAUUCCUUAACAUUUUCCAAACAAAUCCAUGCUCCUCAUUUUAUACUGUCUUGAGGGUUUCUAUUCUCUUAUUACCAAUUUCAGUAAGUUUCAUAAUAAGCUGCUUAGAAAGAAGCUAUCUAACAGGAGGGUGGGGCUACUCUUAGCCAAUGAAAACAGCUUCACAUGCUAUACAGCAACGUGAAAAAAAGAUUCUCAGCCUGUUCUCUCUUUAAUUGAACCAGUUAUUUUUCUCAAAAAUAAAAAAAGUAAACCGUUUUCUAAAAAUCUAAUUUAUAAUAAAACAAAUAAUAAGACUUGAUAAUAAUUCACUAAAUAACCAUUAAUUAUUCAUCAAACCAAUAUGAAAAAUCUAAUAUUAAAGCUAGGGACCAAUCUGGAAUUUUAUUAUAUUUUUAGGGGUCAAAUUAUAAUUUUAUUAAAUUGGAGGACCAAACUAAAAAUAUCAUAAAUUCAUGACUAUACUGGAAUUCUGCUCAUAAUUCACCCUCAAUUCUGCUCAGAAUCUCAAAUUAUGCUCCAAGGAUCACUCUAGAAUUUUAUCAAAUUUCUAGGGUCAAAUUGUAAUUUCAUCAAAUUGGAGGACCAAAGUGAAAAUAUCAUAAAUUCAUAACUAUACUGGAAUUCUGCCCAUAAUUUAACUUUAAUUCUGUCCAGAAUCUCGGAUUAUGCUCCAGGGACCAAUCUCUAAUUUUUCCAAAGUUCAGGGACUAAACUGUAAUUUUCAUAAAUUGAGAGACCAAGCUGAAAUUUUAUAAUCUUCAACCUCAAACCCAGAAUUUACACAGAUAACCUACUGAUAUAUCAAGAUUUCUAACUUAAAUUCACCAUAACUUAAAAUAAUUAUUUUUACCUAAAAUCUUUCAAAAUCAACUAAAUAACUCAUUACCCAUAACAAUCUACUCAUAAUUUUUCUGUAAUGUAAUUGUAAUUCCUAGCAUAAUGCAUAUUCAAGGGCAAGCACAAAAACUCAAGAGCAAAGAAACUCGAUGAAAUAGUAAAAGAAAAAGACUUGAAGGAUUGAAAUAAAAUAAAACCAAAAAAGAGGGAUGAAAAAAGUAACCGCACUCUGGUUGCCAUAAAAAACAUAGUUCUUUUAGUAUUUUUUUUUUAAUAUUGUAAUAGGUCAAUCAUAUUACCCGAGUGUGUGAUACAGAGAUGAUCAUCAUAGAAAAUUACUUUUAAUUGCUUGAGUUUUAUCCUUAGAUGACAAACUUACCUCGUCCUCCUAAUGCUUUUGCUUUUGCUUUCAUUGUUUCGAAAGUAAAAGAGACAUAAACAUAAUCAUUUCCUUCCUUUUACUUUCCACUUCUUUGUAAUGGAUUGCGAACGGGAUGGUGCUUAGUGAGGCCAGUUUUUCUUUUCCUUUCUUUUUAAAAUCUUAUGCCUUGGGUGAGGAAAUUAGUGGGGCAUUAGACUUUUUAAAAGACAACAAAAAGAAGCAAUGUCUGAUCAUCUUUUGAUAUGGUGGUCUUCCAUGAUCAGUUUUCGAAAGAUUCGAGUCUCCGUUCUAGCUCAGGUUGGGAGCUAGGCCGAAAGCUAAGCUUCUUUUAAUUAUGAAUUGUUUAUGCAAAGGAAACCCAGAAGCUUGAACAAACAGAAAUGCCUUGUUGAUUUCUCUGCUACUACUCAUUAUUUCCAAUAUUAUUCCAUUAUCUUACCCGAAAGCAAUUAUACAAGAAAUUUCAUUAUCCUGCCCCAGAAGGCAAUUUAUUACAAGGACUUCCUUUAACCUCCUUGAAGGCAAUUUAUUUGAUGAAAAUUCCUUUAAUCCACCUCAAAGACAAUUUAUCUUAGGGAAUUCCAACGACCCAGGAAAUUUAUUUCCUGGAAAUUCCUUUAACCCGCCCUAAUUAAGUCAUUUUAUCCAAGGGAAUUCCAAAAUCAAUUUAUUUCUUGGACUCAGUAUUCUUUGAUACUAGUUAUUUAUAUAUAAUUUAACAUCACUUAAUCAUCUUGCAUUUAAGAAGAAAUUCAAAAGUAAGGAUAUAACCCUUACCUAGAGCUCCUGUGGUUCUUGUUCCCGAGAGAAUUGGCUCCAUUCCUGACAAAUCUAUUACCAAAAACCCAAGUUUCAACCAAUCAAUAACAUCAACACCCAUUUUAAUUCAAUGCAAUAAGUUUUUCUUAACCAAUUUACUUGAUGCAAGUUCUUAUAAUCAAAGUGACAGUACUAUUCAGGAUGAAGACAAGCAGAAGGGCGUGUAUUAAUUUUAUUUUUUAAUGUUCAGCUUUUUUUAUUGAAUUUUAUUUGUCAAUAUUGAAUUAAUUAUAAAUUAAUUUUUAUAUUUUUUUUUAUCAUAUAUAAAAAAACAAAGUAAUCUCAUCUUUUGAUACGGUGGUCCAAGAUGCACCAUGACAUGGUUGUACGUAGUUUUUUUUUGCCUGUUUCUUUUAAAAAUGUUAUGUCAUUUAAUUUAUAAUUAUAAAUUAAUUUUUUUUAUUGGUCAUUUUAAUUUUUUUUACUUUUUUUAUAUAUAAUUUUUUAAUUUUAUAUUUUAAUGUUGAGUUUUUUUAUUAAAUUUUAUUUGGCUAUAAACCAGAACUUUUUAUUUUUUAUUUUUUGGACAAGUAGAGAGAAAUUAAAUAAACAAAGUAGUCUCAUCUUUUGAUAUAGUUGUAGUUUUUUAUUAUUUGAUUUUUGCCUUUUUCUUUUAAAAAUGUUAUCUCCUUGGUAAGGAAUCCUUGGUUCCCAACGGCAACUGUAGCAACGUAAAAACAAAUCUCUAAACUCCACCGAAAGUAGUAGAGCAUUAGUUUUUUAAAUUGACAAAACGGGGACAAAGUGGGAGCGAAGAAAAAGACAAUAGUGCAUGUUUAAAACAUGCGAUACACCGUAUAUAUGACAAUAAUAAAACCACCGUUUAAAACAACUCUGAAAACAAAUUUUUUUUUAUAAUUCAUAAUUUAUUAAACAUGCGAUAAAAUAAGUCAUAGUGCAUGUUUUCAUUUGGCAUUUAAUUCCAUGAACAUGAUUUUUUUAGAUUAAUAUGAAUAUCCGGAUUAGCUUGUGUACCUCAACUAAUCCCAUGAAUCCUAAAAUUAACGAUAAUAUAAGUAUCUAGUGGCCCUGAAGUUUGUGAAAUUUGAACUUAUAAUUUUUAGAGAGCAAAUUCAGGAUCUGAUCAAUUGAGCUACUUUCCUCAUAUUUUCAUUAAAUCUUACUUUUCGAUCAAAUUAAUGUGACCAUAAUAUACUUGUAAUCAGACCAUUAAUUGACUGUUCUUGACUAGCUAUUGUUUCUCAUUGGCAAGAGUCAUUGCCAAUUAUCAUAACAUGUUAGUGAUCUAUUACAACUAGUUCUAGCAUCUACAGAGUUCUUAUUUAACCAUUAAAUCAAUUUAUAAAACAUUAUUGACUAGCUAUCUAACACUAACAACUAAUCACUGAUAAUAUUUAUGCAAAACUUGUAGCUUCAUACAAAUCACAGUUGCUCCUCGUUUGAUACUUUCUUGAAGGUUUCUUUUCUCUUAUUACCAAUUUCUGUGAGUUUGUGAUUUUUUAUCUGUACCGUAUCAUCCGAACAAUUACUAGAACCACACAACUAAUAUGUAAAUUCACAAAUUCCCUACAGUUCAUAUUGCCAACAAACUCCUCUUGCCAUUCCCUAAUUGCAUUGAGCCAACUAAUCUGGAUGAAAGAAAGGACUUCGACCUUGCUAAUCUGGAUGAAAGAAAGAAAGGAACCUUAAAGCAGACCCAACUUUGUAGCUCAUUACCAGUUACGUAAAAGUUAUCAAUAGCUGUGUGAAUCAUUGAAACUGCCACAAAAGCAACCCAAAUUAGUUAUGAAUUGGAUUCGAUAAAGGAAAGAGGGGAAGGGGGAAAAGACAGAUGAAGAUCUGCGCAGGGUUACCUGUUUUGAGAAUUAUGGAUUUUUAUCCCUGUCUAACGUGACAAAACCUUCUCUUAGACUUAGACCUGUUUCAUUGGUCCAUAAAUGCAUUUGCUAGACUAUCAACAUAAUUUAUCUUGGGCAAAUCUUCAUCUAGUUAUGGUAGACUCACACCUGACUGCUUAUAAUCACUAAUUAUUAUAGAAUUGACUACAUCAAAAUUGGUCGGUUUUUUUGUUUUCAAAGAGAUUUAAACUUGAUGCAGACGAAAGCUAUAAACACAAUAAUUAAAGAACACCAAAAAAUAUAUGAGCAAAAGAGACUGUAGAUGUGAACCCUCAAAUUCCCAAGUUUAUUUUCUCUAAAAUAAUAAUAAUAAAAUUUUUCUUCUCAGGAGGUUUACAAAGCCUUAAAUAUGUUAGGAACCUUACCUCAACUAGGAAACAAAAACAGAAACCAAAAUUACAAAGGAAAGAAAUAUAAAAUCCAAAACAAGCAAGAAAUGAAAAAAUAACAAGGAAAAUCACAAAACUGUCAAAACUAGAGGCCUAAACAAGAUUUUUUAUAUUUAAAGAUUCGAUGGUUCACGUGAAAAUUUGAGCAUGAUCAAAUAAUCAAAUAAAAAAUUAUAACUUUUUGAGUUUUUAUUCUGGUCUGACGCGACCAAACUUCUUCUUGAUCCUAAACUUGUUUUAUUGGUCCAUAAAUACAUCUCCAUGACCUCUUUUUUUUUGUUUCACUAUAGAUGAAGUUUGACCAUCAUCAUAUAUGGUUUGACUUAGCCGUAUCGGUUUUCAAUUAGAUCAACUUCAUAUAUUAUGGGUUUACAUUUACUAUUUUUUAAAAAAAUGCUCACAAGUCCAUUUUUCACACCUCAAACUCGUAACUGCAGCGAUUCGUAGGCAACGAAACUAGUUAGAGACUAGAGAGUAAACAUGCUACUAAAGUUUGCAGGUGAGGGUUUAGAUUAGAUUAUUUGUUGUCUUGUUUCAAAUAUUAUAUCAGUCUCAACUCAUUAAAUAAACAAGUGGUGCAUUGAUCCUUGGACUCAAAUCAUAUAUACACGGUGAGCUCAUUUGUGUUUUUAUUUUUUGUCCCUCCCUGUACUUGUAGCAGAAGAGAAGCUGCUCUCAUCUUUGAAGGAAUGCAAACAAUUGUUAAUAUGAAACAUAUUAUGUACAAAUUAUAAUAUUUGUAAGAAGCCGUUUUGCUGCCCACCGGCGGCCAUCUGAUCAGAGAACAAUAUUAUAUUUUUUAAACCCUUCACUCUCAUAAAAACAAUUUAUAUGAUUUUAAAUAGGAAAACAUAGAAAAAAAUAUGAUUAAAUAUUUUUAGAGAUUACAUAUUAUUGUUUUAGUUUUUUUUCUUGAUUAGAGAUAGGUUGAAUAAAAGUAGUAAUAAUUUAUUUUUGUGAAAAAGGGUUACUACAACUCCUGAUAAUUAGUUUCAUGUAAAAAAUAAAAAUAAAAAUAGUAACUAAAAUUUAUUUUAGUUAUGUUAAUAAAAUUUUAAUUAUAUUUUAAUUGAAUUAAGUAUUUCAACACAAAAUUUUUGUUCUUAUACAGUUAUAUAUUAAUUCUAACAAAAAAUAUGGUUUCUAUGUUUAAAUUUUGGUAUUAAUAACGCAUAUAACAAUGAGGCAGUUAAGUUUCUUCGACAAAAUAAAAUCAUUUAAAAAAUAAAAAUAAGCUAGUAUGUUUGUUACAUAACUAAAAAAAAAUCGAUUUUUUUUUAAAUUAAUUUUUUUAAAAUCAUUUUAGUAGACUGAUAUUAAAAAUAAAUUUUAAAAAAUAAAAAAUAUAUUAUUUUGAUAUAUUUUAAAAAAAACAUUAUGAAAAGAAAUUGUUAAUAUUUGUUAAAACAUUAUUGUUAAUAUUUCUGGUCGUUUACUAAAUAUAUAAUGACAUGUGAUUGGAAUAACGUAUGUGAACUUGUACAAAACUUAAUAAAUGAGAAAACUAAGGUAGCCGGUCACGUGGGCUUAAUGGACCUCAAUACAAGUUUUUGAUAUUUACUUUCACGUGUGUUUUAUGAGAAAACUAAGGUAGCCGGUUUCUGAUAAUAUGAGCUGAAUCAAUCAAGCUUAAGAAGCCAAUUUGUAUCCCAUUGCCAAUGAAACAGUUGGAAUUAAUUACUUCCCACCAAUCUAAAACAUAUUCGCAGCACCAACCUUGAAAUCAUGUAACAGCUAACCAACCUUGCCUGAUGCAAACAUGAAGAACAAAGACAAUCCAUGAUUUAAUUCAACCAUUAAAAUUUGAAGGUAAAGGAGAGGAUAAAUAAUCUUCAGCUAUAUCACCUGGUUUGGGCAAGAAAGAAUUAUUAGACUACCAAUCAUCAUCAUUCUUCCCACCCGUUAUCUCGGGUCCACUCUCUAUUAAUGCUUGAAUCUUCAGCUACUUCAGAUACCUGUAAACCAAUUCAAGCAUGGCAUGCUCAUUUUAACUUGUAAAUCUUAUUAUUGAGCCAAACAAGAAACAAACACACUAAAAGAGAGGCAAGAAAUCAAGUCAAAUCAGCAGCACCUCUGAUUGAGCACUCAUUGAACCAUCUGGUGCAGUAGCAAAUUUUGUGGUCAGCUUUGAACAUUGAUGGACCUUCAACUUCUCCAAACGAGGGAAUAAGAAAUAAUCACACCAUCCGAAACUAAAACAGACAAUACUUGAUAAUUGUUCUAGUGACAACUCCUUCAGAUUAGGAAGCACUAUCUCCUUCUCAACGUUGAUAGCUUGAUCAUCCUGCCCUGGAGACUCUGGAAUUAUUUUCCUUUCACCAUCCUCUUCUCUGAUAAUAUGCUUCAACUCACCACAAUUACUUAUCUCAAGUCUUUCUAGCUUUAGCAGACUUUGAGCGAGUGACUGAGUAAAGAUAAAUGUCAGUUUGUCGAGAGAAUUCAAAUACAGACGAGCAAGACUUUGGAAGCUGACAUUCCUGGUGGGCCCCUUCCAUAUAUAUUUGAGCUCAGGUAACCUUCUUAGAUGUAACUCUGUUAUAGAUGACAGCAGCUCCUUCUCCUCACUGCUUCCUUCAUCAGGCAGCUCACUCAAUCCAAAUACCUCUUCCAAUGAAUUGGAGCCGCAAAUUUCCACCCUCCUUAGAUUUUUCAGAGCUCGCAGCAAUUUUGCUGGAAACAGAGCGCGGACAUCCCCACAAUCGUACACUAGUACAGAUUCUAAUCUUUGUAAGAAGCCGUUUUGCUGCCCAAGGACGGCCAUCUUAUCAGAGAACAAUAUUAUAUUUUUUCACUCAUAAAAACAAUUUAUAUGAUGUAUAAAUAGGAUAAAAAAAAAUAGAAAAAACAGGAUUAAAUACUUCUUAGAGAUUACAUAUUACUGUUUCAGUAUUUUUUUUCUUAAUUAGAGAUAAGUUGAAUAACAAUUAGAUUUUUGCGAAAAAAGGUUAAUACAACUCCUAAUAAUUAGUUUCAUGUAAAAAAUAAAAAUAAAAAUAGUAACUAAUAUUUUUAUUUUAGUUAUAAAGUUAAUAAAUUUUUAAAGAUAUUUUAAUUGAAUUUAAUAUUUGAACACAAAAUAAGCUAAUAUGAUUUCUAUGAUUAAUUGUUGGUAUUAAGUUUCUUAUAUUUAAUACAACUCAAUAUAAGAUGGAGGUUUAUCUUCCUUUUCAAAUACUUCCAUUAAUUGGGGGAAGAGCCUCAAUUUCACUCAAACUUGGAAAGCAUAAAGAUUGAAAAAUCUAGGUAGGAUUUCAUUACAGUAAUUAAUUGUUCCAGUGACAGCUACCACAGAUUAGGAAGCCCAUCUCCUUCUCAACGUUGAUAGGUGAGGAAUGAUCAUCCUGCACAAAUACUCCAAAUAAUUGAGAAGCUUCACUUACUUUUAGUAUUUGGAGCUUUGGGAGACCUGAAGUCAUGGCUACUGGGAAGAGACUCUUCAACUUGUUGCAUUUUCUGACAUCAAUUUCACACAAAUUGGGAAAGCAUAAAGAUCGGAGAUGAUCUCCUAACAAUAUAUGGUCGUUUUCAUCAUCAUCCUUAAUUAGCAAUGAUUUGCUCUGAUUCCUCACAGAACAAUAUCCGUAGAAUUUUCAGUUGAACUAGACUGACAAUCAUGCUGCAUGUGAAUACAUGUGUCAAUCUCUUACACUUGACCACAUCCAAAGUAGUCAAUUUGCUCAGCACGAGACCCUUCCAUAUACACCUCAUGUCAAGCAGGGAUUCCAAGCAUAAUGUUUCCAAAUUUGUCAACCCUUGCAUCAAAAGAAAACAAGGAUACCAAUUUGUUGGAUAUAAUUCCUACGAAAUUUUGUGCACGGUGGAACUAUAUAAUUUUGGUAAAUAGAUGGAUGAAUUGUCCCCAAUACUUCAGCCAAAAACUUAUCAACAAAAGAAUAUAAGUAAACAUGGCAAUAGGGCUUCGGAAUAUGAAAUCAGAAGUUGUAGGACUGAAAGAGACAACUCAAUAUUAACAGAUGGAGGUUUAUCUUCCUCUUCAAAUACCUCUUAAGCCCUGCAUCAAGAGACAGGGAAAGAUACAGUUAGCCAACUCCUUUUUAAAUUUAGUGGAUGGCUAAUGGAUUUAUCUCCACUUAUCAAUUACUUUUGUUUUAGAAAUCUAGAGGAAGGAAUCACAGUGUAUUGAAGUUGACAAUUUAAAUUAAAAAGGAAAAAAUUAUUGGAGAAAUAUAAAGGAUGUACUUGUAGCUGUGCAGACAAAUUACCCAAUUCUUCGUGGCCAGAGAUGCAUAGAUUUUGCAAAGAAGGUAAUUGGGCAGCAAAAUUCUUCGAACCAAAAAAGCUGUAAUUUGAUCUGGAAAAAAGAUACAAUUUUCUUAGUCGAGGGAACUUGAUGAUGCCAUCUCUGGUGAGUGCAUCUCCUUCUCCAAUGUAAAAUAUUUGCUUUAAAUUGUCAGCAAAAUCAAUCUCCAUCUCUUCCAGGUUCAGAAGGCUUGGAGAAACAGAGACAGGGAAGACAUAUUCCAGUUUACCACACCGUUCUAUGAAGAUAAAUUUUAAUUCUGGGAAGCCCGGAGACUCUGGAAUUAUCUCCCUAUGUAGACACAAUUUUAUACACCUGAAAUUAAACAACUACAAGUGUAUAAAUAUAUAAUUUUAUUAAAUAUAUGAUCAGAUAUAAUUUUUAUCUAAUAUAUUUUUUCAAAAGAAUAUGAAAAUUCUUUGAUUCUUCUUUUGGAUUUGAUAUAUGAUGACUUGAUUUAUUUGAGAAAUCAAACCAAGAUUUGUGCUUUGCAAGAACACGAAUUUAGGCGUAUAUUGCAAAGCGAGAUAUGAUAAUUUGAUGCUUUGAAGAGUACCUUUAAAUCGUCUUCAAAGUAUUGUUGAAGAACUCAAAUAGGCAUUUAGACUUGAUUCAAUAUAGCUUUGUUCUUUGUAAACUUCAAGCGUAGAUGAAGGAGGCUUGAGAACUUUUGAGAAGGCUUCCUUACUUGAAGAGAGAGAGAGAGAGAGAGAGAGAGAGAGAUUCUUUGCUUGAACAGUUUGUCUUGAAAGAAAUUUGUAUUUCCCAGAAUCCUCCCCUUCUCUAGGUUGAGACCCUCUAUUUAUAGAGAUCUGUAAAGGUUCUCAGGUCCUUUUCCAAUGCCUUAUGAUAUAAUUUUAUUAGUUGAUAUUUAUUGGUGUGAUCUUGCAUUUAUGACAAGAUAUCUUGAAUAUCUUAUCUCAAGUGUCAACCUUUUAUUGGCCAAGAAAUAUAUGAAGACUCAUUUAUUUUUCAUGUUAUAUAUUUCAAUUUUAUUUAUUCUUUCUUUUAAAAUAAAAUAACACGUGGUGAAAUUUGAUUGGUAAAAAAUUUGUGUUUCUACAUAUGUCCUCUCGAGAAAAGUUCACUUACUUUCGAAAUAAGUGGGCAUGUCUCGAAAAAUAUGGUCGAGAGGGUUUUAUAUUUUUGACUAAAAUUUGAUUUGAUCAUAUUAGAUUUUCAUAAUAAAUAGAUAAAUUUGAUUGUGAAAUAAAAUAUGAUAGUCAAAAUUAAAAAUUUAUGGACCAAUCUUGAUUGAAAUUUAUCAAAUCAAAUGAUAGAAUAUCUAAAUUCAAUAUCUCAUUUGAAACAGUUGCAUAUUUAAGGAUCAAACAAAAUUUAUCUUUAUACCUGAAUAGCAACCAACACUUUGACCGGCUUGCAGGAUUUUUUUUUCAUCGGAAGUGGUCACUGUAACAUCUUGUUUUGAAGAUCUCAUUGUUCUGAAUCCAACGACGAAAUUCGUUCGUGAUUCCAGCUAGUGGUUAAUGAGCUAUAAAAUAUUAAAGAUUUUGAUUAAUUUUCUCUUCCUUCUCUUGAUAUGCGUGCGCACUCAUAUUGGUUGAUGAAUUAUUUUCUUCCUUCCCGUUCAAAUGUUCUUUCCUUUAACAGUACAGGAAAUUUGUGUUUCCUUUUCUUUUGGCUUUACCAUGUGCAUCCUUUGUUUCCUGAAUGAAUUGUCCAACGUGAAUGAAUUAUUAAAAGAGCAAAAGAAUUCCAGUACUGGUAGCCGACUUCGCUUAAUUGAACUAGGAAAACUUUCUUCAACUAGGAAAAGUUCGCUGGCUUUUGAUUAUGUUAAUUAAGCAAGAGUCCUCUCAUCAGAGUAAGCGGCUAUAAAAACCAUACUUGUCCCUUCUAUUUUUUUUACAGACAGUUCGGCUUCCAAUAAAGCCAGGCAAUCAAUCUUAGGAGGCGUUCGUCAUUCUCUUCUUCUUUAGCACCAGCAGGUUGCUACUUCUCAAAGGAAUCAGCUAUUUUAUUUCUAUCAAUAAGUUGCGGUCGUUCUGUGUUGUUUUAAUAAUCCUGGUUCCUUCAACACAGCCUCCACCAGCAGUCCAGGUAUGCAUGUCUCCAUUUAUUUUUUUGUUUUAUUACAACUGCAAUUUUUUAAAACGAGAAGGAAGGUGCCCACCCUAUUCUUGCUGCUAUCUCUAUAUAUCUCUGAUUAUGCGUGUGGCUGUUCACUGCUAGGUGGUAUCGAACCUCCCAAAGCUCAUUGAAGGUCUGAAGUGAUUGGCCAAGUCUACUCCCAUGGUGGACUGUUCCAUCAAGGGAUCUUCUUUAUUGGAAACCAAACCAUCACUGCAGCUAUUUCAAUGUCCUUUUCAUCACCAACCAAGUCUUUAUCAAUGUCAAUAGCAUCUGAAUUAUGACCAUCAAUGUCGACUGGAGCAAAGCUGUGACCCUUAAUUCCAAUUGCAUCAGAUCCAUUGCCAUCAAACUUCUCCUUGGUCCCAUCCGACACAAACCUCCAAGGAUCAAACGAUGCUAAUAAUCUUUUUUUUUAUUUGUGUCUUUGCAGAUUUUGCUUCAGCAAGACCUGCUCCCUGAUGAUCAUCGUAAUAUUUUGUAUGGGCUCACUUUCAUCUUCUCAUUGAAUUACCACGGAGUUGUUGUAACAGUAGCAGCAGAGUCAACAAAUCCUUCAGCUUUACAUCUUUCACAGUCUUAGGGGUAGGUAAUUUUUGAAUGACUUCAACCUUUGACUUAUCUACCUCUAUCCCUUUUGAAGAGACAAUGUGACCUAAGACAAUGCCAUGUGUCACCAUAAAAUGACACUUCUCCCAAUUGAGUACAAGAUUGUUCUCUUCACACCUUUCAAGAACUUUUUCUAAAUGCAUUAGACACAACUCAUAAGAAUCCCCAUAAACUGAAAAAUCAUCCAUGAAAACUUCCAAAAAAUUUUCCACCAUGUCACUAAAGAUACUCAUCAUACACCUUUGAAAAGUGGUUGGUGCAUUACACAAGCCAAAAGGCAUUCUUCUAUAAGCAUAGGUACCAAAAGGACAAGUGAAAGUGGUUUUUUCUUGGUCUUCUAAAGAAACCUCAAUUUGGUUGUAACCUGAGUAUCCAUCAAGAAAACAAUAGAAAGCUCUUCCGGCUACUCUUUCAAGCACUUGGUCUAAAAAUGGAAGCGGAAAAUGGUCCUUCCUAGUUACCAUGUUCAACUUACGAUAAUCAAUGCACAUACGCCAUCCAGUUUGGAUUCUAGUUGGUACUAGCUCAUUAUUUACAUUUUUCACUACCGUGACUCCAGAUUUUUUUGGGACAACUUGGGUUGGACUAACCCAUUUUGAGUUUGCAAUGGGGUAAAUGAUACCCGCAUCAAGUAGCUUAAGCACUUCACAUCUUACUACUUCCUUCAUGUUUGGGUUCAAUCGUCUUUGCAUUUGCCUCACAGUUUUAGCCUCUUCUUCAAGAUAGAUUCUAUGUGUACAUGAAAGAGGGCUAAUUCCUUUCAAGUCAGUAAUAGUCCACCCAAUUGCUUUUUUGUGUUUUCUCACCACUCUCAAAAGUUCUUGUUCCUGCUCUAUGCUAAGUUUUGAUGAAAUCACAAUAGGAUAUGAUUCAUCUUCCCCUAGAAAUGCAUACUUAAGAUCACUCGGUAAAGGCUUCCUUUCUGGUUUAUAAGGUUGGACAAGAGAUGCCUCAGCUUUUACUUGGGGUGAAAUCAAAGGCUCAAACGAUGGGGUCCAUUGACUUAUUGACAUAAUAGGCAUUGGAUCUAAAUAAGUCUCGAGUUCUCUUACUUCCUCAUCAACACAUUCCAAAGAACAAAAUCUUUCAUCAUGAAUUAAAGUUCUCUCCAAUGGAUCCUUGAUCCACUCUCUCUCAAAGUGUUCUUGACAAACUGUUUGGAUCAAAUCUACCUCUCUAAUGUCCUCAUGUUCACCAAUUUGUUUAGAGACAUUGAAUAUGUUAAUCUCCACAGUCAUGUUCCCAAAAGACAAUUUCAUCACGCCAUUCCUACAGUUGAUUAAAGCAUUGGAUGUAGCUAGGAAAGGUCUACCUAAGAUGACUGGGAUGGGAGCAUUAGAACCUUGAAUAGGUGCGGUGUCUAGCACUACAAAAUCAACAGGAAAGUAGAAUUUAUCUACUUGGACCAACACAUCCUCAACAAUACCCCUGAGAAUCUUGAUUGACCUAUCAGCUAAUUGAAGGGUGAUUCGAGUAGGCUUGAUUUCUCCUAAACCUAACUGUUCGUAAACAGUGUAGGGUAUCAAAUUCACACUUUCUCCUAAAUCCAACAAAGCUUGGUCUAUCCUAUGACUUCCAAUAAUGCAUGAAACGGUAGGACAACCAGGAUCUUUGUAUUUGGGAGGGGUCUUAAACUGGAUGAUGGCACUAGCAUGUUCAGUUAGAAAGGCUCUUUCUUUCACAUUCAAUCUCCUUUUGACUGUGCAUAAGUCCUUGAGGAACUUUGCAUAAGAUGGGACUUGUUUAAUUGCAUCAAGGAGUGGAAUGUUGACUUUCACUUGUUUGAACAAUUCAUAGAUUUCCGAGUUCAUAAGAUCAUGUUUAGGUUUCCCUAACCUUUGUGGAAAUGGUGCUCUAGGAACAAAUUCUAAAUCACUCACUUUGACUCCAAUUUUUCUUGAAUCAUCUCCUUUCUCACUCAUCUCUUUCUCAUUUAUCUCACCUUCUUUGUCACUCAAGCUCUCAUUUGUCACUUGUGUUUUGAUUUCCUCUUCACUUUCCUUAGAUUUCUCCUCCACAAUACCUCUAGGAAUCUCAAAACCUAUAGCUUUGGCAACAAUCUUUCCACUUGUUCAUGGUUUGAAGGUUCACUAGAUGAGGAUUCACUCAUGUGUACCUGACCUCUAGGAUUUGGCAUUGGUUGAGCUGGAAUCUUUCCCUUCUCUUGAAUGCUUAGUGAUUGAGUCAACUUGGUUAGUUGACUUCGAAUGUCAUCUAAGGUCCUAUUGGUCUGGUCUUGAAAUUUGUAAGCUUGGUUGUUGAUUCCUCCUUGUGUUUGCAUGAAUUGUUGAAGAGUAUCCUUUAGGGAUCUCUUAUGAGGUGGUUGGUAUGUAUUAUGUGUGGGAGCAUGAAAUGGUUGGGGUGGAGGUUGAAAUGUUUGAGGUACUGAAGGCCCCUCAUUUCUCCAUCCAAAAUUUGGGUGGUUCCUCCAUCCAGGAUUGUAGGUCUCAGAGUAGGGAUUGCCUACUUGGUUUGAAAAUGGCUUUCUAACAUUACUUGAAUUAGAAGUUUGGCCAUAUAGCACUUCCUUGAAGGCUGGAAUGGUAGGACACUCAGUUGUCCUAUGCCCUUUGCUCUCACAAACAACACAACUUUCCUCUUGUUGUUCACUCAUGACAUGCACUUUUUUAAUCUCAAGAGACUCUACUUUCCUAGCCAAUGAGGCUAAUCUAGCAUUGAGGUCAUCAGUCUCUUUCAAUUGGAACUUCCCACUUGAAUGAGAAAUGGUGUUUCUAGACUCAACAUGAAGUGGGAGAGAAGUCUCUCAUUGCUUUGUGUUUUCAGCCAAUUGAUCAAAGAAAUCAAAGGCUUCACUUGGUUCUUUGUCAUAAAACUCACCAUUACACAUGGUUGACACUAGCUUUUUAAAAUCUGCGGUAAGAGAGUCAUAGAAGAAACUCACUAACCUCCACAUCUCAAAACCAUGGUGGGGGCAUGCAUUUAACAAGUCUUUGAACCUUUCCCAAGCUUGGUGAAAUGACUCAUUUGGACUACAAGAAAAAUUCAUCAUUUGACGUUGUAAGGCUGCCGUCCUAUGAGUGGGGAAGUAUGUUUUCAAAAAUUCAGCUUGCAUUUCUCUCCAUGUACCUAUAGACCUAGGACACAAGGAGUUUAGCCAAAGCUUGGCUUUAUCCUUUAGAGAGAAUGGGAACAAUUUAAGACGAAUAGUUUCCUCGGUGCAUGUUCUAUCAAUAAAAGUAUUACAUACCUCUUCAAAGUCCUUAAUGUGUAUGUAUGGAUUUUCAGAAUCCAUACCGUGAAAUGUGGGAAGAAGUUGAAUCAUGCCCGGUUUCAAAUUGAAAGCUUGUUGGUUAAGAGGUAAGAUAAUACACGAAGGUGUACUUUGUCUAGCCGGGUGAAGAUACUCUCUAAGAGUUCGAAAAUUAGGUUGAUCAUUGAAUUGUGGAGGUCCAUUACCUUGAACACUCCCUUCACCCUCUACAUCUUCAACAUUAGCCAUGAUAAAAUAAUAAUAAUAUAACAAUUAUAUGAAUACGAAAGGAAAGGAAAAACAAAGAAAAAGAAAAAGAAGAUUGCAAAUAAAAGUAAAUGAAAUGUAAAAGAUAAAGUAAUAGCUCAAAAAUAAAAAUACAACAAAUUAAGAAAUUCUCCAACUAAUAAGCAAUAUUAACAACAAUAAACAUUAAAAGAUAAUUAUAACAAGCAUGAAUAAAAAGGCGGUAAUACCGGCCAAGCACUUCAGACAAUAAAUAUAAGAAAAAUAACAACAAUAAACAUUAAAAGAUAAUUAUAACAAGCAUGAAUAAAAAGGCGGUAAUACCGGCCAAACACUUCAAACAAUAAAUAUAAGAAAAAUAAUCACAACAAAACAACAAAAUAAAAUAAAAUGAACAAGAGGCGGUAAUACCGGCCAAGCACUUCAGACAAUAAAUAUAAGAAAAAUAAUAACAGCAAAAUAAAAUAAAAUAAACAAGAGGCGGUAAAACCAGCCUUAUAAUAUAAACAAUAAAUAUUAGAAACUAAUUAAAAUAGACAAUACAAGAAAAAUGGUUGAACCAACCAAAAUCCAACAAUUAAUAGUCUAGUCCACAGUCCAAUAUCCAAAAAGUUGAGGUCAAUAUUUUUUUUUUAGGCGGUAAAACCAGCCAUUUGAUUUUUUAUUUUUAUGUAUUUUUUUUUGUUUUCCAAUAAUCAAAUAGAAAUUUGUUACCUUUGCUUGCUAGCUCCCCGGCAAUGGCGCCAAAAUUACUUGACCGCUUUUUAUGUUCGGCUUGUUUUAACUCGCAAGUGCACGAGUGUGCGAUGUAGCAAUUAACUCGGUAAGAUCGAGGUCAUAUCCACAGAGAGCUAGAUCUGGAAAUUAAGCUAGGUAACAAAAAAACUCAAGAGAAAUUAAAUUAACAAUAACUUGGUUGAAAAUGAUUGAUGGAUUUGUUUUCAAAGAUGAAAAGGUGUAAAUAGAUUUUAAAUGACAAGAAAAAGUAAGUCUUGGUCCAAAUCAAUUUUAAUGGUGAUGUAUUGGUGAUUCCUUCAACAUAUAUAAGAUAACUCAACCUAAUAUCAACAAUGGUGAUAUUAGAUCGGAAGAUAUUACAAUGAAGAUUAAAAAGAUGAAGAUUGAUUAUUGCUUAAGAAUGAACAAGUACUUUCAUAUUAAGUAAGACAUUGAAUCAAGCAAUCUCUAUACCAAAACUAAGGUUUGUCCAUAAAAAUUCAAGAUUAUAACAUUACCUAAAUGAUUUCUAAAAUUUCUUUGCAAUAAUAAACAUUCAUGAAGAAAAUGAAAAGAUAGACAUUAAGAUUCAUUCAUAUCUUAAAGAACUCACCUCAACCACCAUCAUCCUUGAUUUGGAUCCAAGAAGGAGAUUAGCCAACCAUGAUUAUAUGUAAUAACAUUUUAAUAAAUAUGAAAUAACUUAAAUCAAACUGAAAUAAUAAGUUUUACAAUCUAAAGAACCGAAAUCUAUAAAGAAGAACACAACACAAUUGCAGUAAAAAUUCGGACACAAAUCUGACUCUAACUUUGGACAGCAAUUCGACCCUCUUAGAAGCCUCCUUUGGAGAUGGCUAUUAGCAAUAUAUUUAUAGGCCAUUCGGUUAGCUUUCCAGAUCAUUAAAUAACAGCUCAUUUGGACAUCGGAGUCAAAAGUUAUGGGUAAAACACCGAAAGGUAUUCUGGAAAAUCAAAUCAGGCCAGCUUGGAGAACACUUUGGUGCACGUUUUUCUUCCUCCUUUGUGAGCUGUCUCUUUCUUCUUUUUUACCCAAAAUAAUGUGACAAUGUCCCCUCCAGCUUUCCAUCCAUGUGCUUGCCCUCUUGGAUCAAUGAAUUACCCAAAAUAAAUCAAAUGUUAUUUGUUGUGUGAACAUGUAAGAUCAUUGAUUGUGCUUGGGCUGAUUUGGGGCUGAUUUUGGGGCUGAAUUUAAGCAUCAAAUAAGGGUACAAAUGUACCUAUUAUUUGGGCUAAGAUUGACAUUGAAACCUUGAGUGUUUGAUGGUUGAAGUUUGCACACAACAUAAGGCAAGUUUGGGCUUGAAAUAGAUCAUAUGAUAUUCUUUUCUAGAAUUGGAAUAGAAUUGAUUUUUGGGGCAAAUUUGGAGCACUUAUUUGAACCAAGAUUUGCUUCAAUCUUCAACUAAAUUUCUCUUCAAUUCUUUGUUCCGAAUUCCGACGUUGAAUUUUCUGAAAUAAUUCAUUUAAGCUCCAAAAACCUAUCGAAACAUUAAAAGAAACUUCAUUACUAAAAAGCACAUCAAUUACUAUAAAAAACCCAAAUAAAAACAAUAAAUACAUAUGUAAAAUAAGAGACUUAAUGAUACUUUUGAUGCACAACCAGUGGACUUACUUAAAGGACAAAAUGUCAAACUGGAUCAAACCAUAGCCAACCAAGGUGCUCAGAUUAGAGACAUGCAGGGUAUUAUGGGCACCAUGGCACAACAACUAGAAUUGGCUUUGCAUAAGCUUUCUCCCCACACUGGCAGCCCAAGUCAAGGCAGAGACAAGCAAGUAUCAGGCAUGGAAGGUUAUGAGUCAAGGCAUAGGAGCUCGCAGGAGGAGAGAAUUCCUGCAUACAAAAUACAUAAACCAAAACAUUUCUUCCCAAUUUUCAAUGGUGAAGAUGUUCAUCGCUGGCUUUACAAAUGUGCUCAGUAUUUUGAGAUUGAAGAAAUUGCCAACACUGACAAGUUGAGAAUAGCAUCUUAUUAUCUUGAAGGUGUUGCAUUGUAUUGGCACCAGAACUUUUUAAGGAGUAUAGCCAACCAAGGAGUCACCUGGGAAGAGUAUGUGGAGGCUAUUGGCUGCAGAUUUGGAUGGCAACAAGAUCCCUUGGAGACACUAAUGGAGCUAAAACAACUAGGAAAUCUGGAAGAAUACAUCUAGGAUUUCGAUAUUUUGUGGAACAAGGCAGGAAUCAAUGAGAAGCAAGCACUGGUCAUUUUUCUUGGAGGUCUGGAGUUGGAGAUCAAAAACACGGUAAAAACGUUUGAACCCAAGACUCUUAAGCAUGCGUAUAAUUUAUCCAGGCUACAAGCUAACACAUUAUCCUACAAGAAACUGUCUCCUCUUCCUAAACAUUACACCCCACCUUUCAAUACCACACAGCCACAGAUCCAUCUUCCUACAAACACACAGAACCCCACGACCAUGCAAAAUACCAUAAAACCAAGUCCAGCUCCCUGGCACAAUAAUCCUUCAAAUACCAUUCACAGGAACAAUGUUAAACCAACCAAAUCUAUAAAGAACCAAGACUUUGAAGAGAGGAGGUUAAAGGGGUUAUGCUUCUGGUGUGAUGAUAAGUUCGUUCCUGGCCAUAGAUGCAGAAAUAAAAGGUUGUAUCCAUUAAGUGUUAUGGAGGAAGAAGAUGAAGUCAUUACAGAAGAAAAGCUGACAGACAAUGACGCCCUAACAUGGGAGCUUUCACCCCACAUAUCCUUGGAUGCAUUAGAAGGUACGGUGGGGCUCAACACGAUGAAGGUCUCUGGUAGAUUGGAUAGAACUACGGUUAGUAUUCUAAUUGACUUAGGAAGUACUCACAACUUCCUCAAUGCUGAAAUGGCUCUGAAACUCCAGCUCAAAUUAAUUGCCAUUAAACCAAUGAUGGUGCAAGCAGCUAAUGGUGACAAGAUGAUUUGUAAAUCCUUGUGCAAAAACUUGAAUUGGAAGAUGCAGGGAAUAAGCUUUGUGGCUGAUGUGUUCAUCAUAGACCUAAGUAAUUGUGAGAUGGUGUUAGGUAUCCAAUGGCUAUCCUUAUUGGGUGAUAUACUAUGCAACUACAAGCAUUUAUGGAUGUCCUUCGAUUGGCAAGGCAAAAGGGUGUUACUUAAAGGGGAAAACCCACCAAAGCUGCAAUAUAUAGAACUGGAGCAUCUAAAUUCAUUAGCAGGCAACCAUGACCAGCUAGAGGGGUAUCAUUUAUGUAACUUGCAAAUGGUAGAUGAGGUAGAGGCAGGAACUACUCCAGAGUCCACUACUAUCACUAUUCCUUCAACAGAUAAUCAAGACAUCCACCUGCAAAACCUGUUAGCAGCAUAUAUUGACUUGUUUCAGGAACCCACAGGCCUGCCUCCUCUUAGAUCCCACGAUCACAGGAUUCCUCUAAAGGAAGGAGGAGACUCAGUUAAUCUAAGACCUUACAGGUACUCUGGCCUUCAAAAAGAUACAUUGGAGGACAUGAUAAAAGAAAUGCCGAGGAUAAAAAUCAUAAGGACCAGCAACAGCCCGUUUGCCUCGCCAGUAAUCCUUGUUAAGAAAAAAGACUCCACAUGGCGUCUCUGUGUUGAUUACAGAGCCUUGAAUAAACUCACCAUCAAGGAUAAGUAUCUUAUUCCCAUGAUUGACGAACUUUUGAAAGAAUUAGUGGGAGCUUCUGUGUUUUCCAAUAUAGACUUGAGUUCAGGCUACCAUCAGAUCCGCAUGGCGAGAGGAGAAGAGUUCAAAACAGCUUUCAGAACUCACAGCGGCCACUACGAAUUCUUGGUAAUGCCAUUCGGCUUAACCAAUGCUCUGGCCACCUUCCAGAGUUUAAUGAAUGAGAUUUUCAGGGAGCAUCUGAGGAAAUUCAUUCUAGUAUUCUUUGACGACAUUCUCGUCUACAACCAUACACUCACAGAACAUUAUGAGCAUCUAGCUACGGUUCUCAACUUAUUAAGAGAACAUCAUCUGGUGGCUAAAGCCAGCAACUGCUUCUUCGGCAGGGACCAGGUGGAGUAUUUAGGACACAUCAUUUCUAAGCAAGGUGUGGCGACAGAUCCCUACAAAAUACAAGCCAUUCGGGAAUGGCCACUGCCUAUAGGAUUAAAACAACUAUGAGGGUUUUUGGGAUUGACUGGUUACUAUAGAAGAUUUGUAAGGGGUUAUGGCAGCAUUUGUAAACCACUCACUCAAUUACUCAAAAAAGAGGCCAAGGGAUGGAAUGAUGCGGCCACCACAACUUUCAAUCAGUUGAAAAUGAUUAUGACUAGUGCUCCAGUAUUAGCUCUGCCAGAUUUCAACAAAACAUUUAUCGUUGAGACAGAUGCAUCCAUGAUUGGUAUGGGAGCAGUCCUCAUGCAAGAGGGACACCCCAUUGCGUUCAUUAGCAAAUCAUUGGGUCCUAAACAACAGGUAAUGUCAGUAUACGAGAGGGAAAUGCUGGCUAUUCUCCAUGCAGUCACCAAAUGGAAGCAUUAUCUCUGGGGGCGCCAUUUUAUCAUCCGAACAGACCACAUAAGUCUGAAAUAUCUUCUACAGCAGAAGUUGACUACCCCUGCACAACAUUUCUGGUUGGUGAAAUUGCUGGGGUAUGACUACGAUAUAGAGUACAAACAAGGUCGCGAAAAUGUUCCCGCAGAUGCCCUUUCCAGAAUUCCAAACAAAGAGGUUUAUGCUCUAACCACUUCUACCAUCUCUACUGACCUCCUGGCAGAAAUCAAGAAUUCUUAUGAAGGUGAUGUUACAGUUCAAGGAAUUAUUAAACGGUUACAAGAGUCUACAAACACCCACCCACACUACACUUGGGUGAAUGAUCACCUUAACAGAAAAGGAAAGGUGGUGGUAGGGAAGAAUCUUGUACUACGGGACAAGCUCAUCUCCAUGUUUCAUAAUUCAGCUGUUGGAGGACACUCAGACAUGACAGUAACAACAAAAACCAUUGGGGGUUUAUUUUAUUGGAAGGGUCAGCAGAAACACAUCAGGCAAUUCGUUAGGGAAUGCAAUGUGUGCCAGAGGAAUAAACAUGAAAACACAGCCAGUCCUAGACUCCUUCAACCAUUACCCAUUCCUUCUGCUCCCUUCAUCGACAUCAACAUGGAUUUCAUGGAAGGACCGCCCAAAUAUGAAGGGAAGGAGGUGAUAUUGUUGGUGGUGGAUCGUUUCAGCAAAUACGCACAUUGCAUGGCCCUCAGUCAUCCUUACUCUGCCUCAGGGGUGGCCAAGACCUUUAUGCACAAUGUCUAUAAACUACAUGGGUUACCAGCCUCGAUAACAAGUGACAGAGAUCUGGUCUUUUUUAGCAGGUUUUGGAAAGAAUUAUUCACCAGUCAAGGGGUCAACCUCAACUAUUCCUCAGCUUACCACCCGCAAACAGACGACCAAACCGAAAUUGUUAACAAAUGCAUCGAACAGUACUUACGCUGCAUGAUUGGUGAUUGCCCGAACCAGUGGGUCAAAUGGCUACCUUUAGCUGAAUGGUGGUACAAUACUAACUACCACUCAGCCACCAAGAUGACACCUUACCAAGUUUUAUAUGGAGUUGCCCCACCCCUACACAUUCCCUAUUUUCCUAAAAAUUCAGCUGUGGAAUCAGUCGACGAGUACUUAUCAGCUAAAGAAGAAGUCAUCAAGAGGGUCAGGGAACAUCUCCAAGCAGCACAGAACAGGAUGACUAUAGUGGCUAACAGAAAAAGGAGUGAUCAUAGUUUUGAGAUCAAUGACUAUGUCUUCCUCAAACUCCAACCAUACAGGCAACAUUCAUUGGCACGCAGGUCCUCACAGAAGUUAGCUGCAAAAUAUUAUGGGCCUUAUCAGGUCUUGGCCAAGAUAGGGAAGGUGGCUUACAAGCUGGAAUUGCCAGCUUCAACACUUAUUCAUCCAGUGUUCCACGUUUCUCAGCUUAAAAAACAUAUUGGAAAUCACACCGCACAAGGCACUCCUCCGAUGAGACCAAAAACAACUACACUACAGCCUCGAACAGUGUUAGACCGACGAAUGGUUAAACGUCACCACCAAGCACACACUCAAGUAUUGAUACUCUGGGAAGGACUAGCUCCUACUGAGGCUACUUGGGAAGACAUGGAGGAAUUUAAGUUGCACUUUCCAUUAUUCAACCUUGAGGACAAGAUUGGUUUCAAGGGAAGGCAAUUGUUACCUGCAGAAGAAGAAAUGGAAUAAUAGGAACUAAUGCAGGCCACGCAUUCAAAAGUUAGUUAUAGAAUCCAUACGCACCGUUUCAUUUAAGUAACCAUACGCACCGUUUCAAUUCCAUAAAAUGUUGCAUGACAGUUAACACACAGCCUCCGUGCUGAAGGUUUUCGUAACCAAUUAGAAUUGCAAUAUUCUAUAUAAAGGCAUAUGCAUGAUAACAGAAGGGAACAAGAAUUAUAAUGAAAGAAUGAAUUCCUUAUUAUCAGGAAACGACUAUCAGGGUGUUGUUGGUGUGGUAUCAACGGCCUCUCAUAAAUCCUCCCCACUAAAGCCCCUACUACAGCAUUAACCAUCACUGGAGACCAUCCAAUUCGGGUCCAUCAUUUCUUCACUUGUAACAACUGGUAUCAGAGCUUGCAAUCCACGGACUACCACCAUGCCACCAAGCCCCACAGCAGCAAGCGAUCUCCUUCACUGCCAACCAGCCAGCUCGUCGAGACCCGACACUCUCUUUCAACCAGCCUCUAGCGGCAAAAAUAACACAGUAGCGCCGCACCCACAGACCAGCUGCCUCUUGGCCUUUCCACCAGCCACCUGAAACAGGUCCAACAGCGACGCCCCCUUCUCGGUUGUUCCUCCUCACCACCAGCCACCUAAAGUGGAGGAGAAGAAGAAGCCCUCCCAUCGGCAGAAGGAAAACCAACAGAGAGGGAGAAGGCGGAGGAACUGGAUAGAUCUAAAAAAAAAAAGGACUGCUUGUGCGUUUUCUUUUGUUGCAGGUCAUGGUGAAAGCCACCACGGGCAGGGAAGAGAAGAGAAGAGAGGAGGAAACCAUUUAAGAGCCCCCUGUUUGUUGGACUUUUGUGCGGUGGCGAGUGAACCCACGCGCCGCCAGUGGCGGGGCGCGUGGAGGAGACGCGCCGCCACUGUUCCACAAUCAUAGAAGAUGGCCAGAAUUCUCCAGCACUGUUCCCGAAGUUUUUUUUUUUUUGUAAUUUUCAAAUGUUGCUGUUAUAUUUAGAUUAAUGGUAUUUGAUUUAUUUUGAACUUUUGAUAUUUUGUAAUAUGUAAAAGUGAUGUGUGAGUUAAGCAUAGUAAAAAAGUGAUAUUAGUGUGUCUGUUUGUUUUUUUAUUUAUGUUAUUGAAUUAUAAAAUAAAAAAAAUUAAGUGUUUAAUUUGAAUAUGGUUAAAUAUCUUAAGGAUUAAUAAAAUCAUGAUAUAUUCUCCAUGAAAAUGUAAGAACAUGUUUCUAUAUAUAUUCUGGGAUUUAAUAACUAAUUUAUUAAAACUUUAGAAUUUGAUUAAUAUUUCAAAUUUUCAAAUCACAUUAAAUCAUGAAGCAGCUUACCUCAGGUAGGGUGCGCUAGGGAUGCUAAUACCUUCCCUAACCACAACCAGUCCCUUACUCUCGAAUCUCUGACAACGACCAGUAAAUCCGGGUUUUCUAGUAACCCAAUUAAAUACUAGGUGAUAACUCCCAAAGAACCAAUCAAGCAAGAAAAAUAAAAAAUCGCCGAAUCGCCACGCGGGGGACGUGCGACAAGAAUCUUGCUGCCCCAUUACCAUUUUUGCAAAAUCUUGUUCAUCUGAAGUUGUUUCUUGUCGCAAAACUGUCAUUUAUCUUCACACCGUCCCUCGCUCAAAGUCUACCACAACUAGAAACACUAGAGGUAAGUUGUUGCGAUGAAUUGAAGUAUAUUGUCAGAAAACAAGAUGAUGAAAGGGCAAUAAUUCCAGAGUUUCUAAGCUUCCAAAAAUUAAGAACUCUAUUUAUAUAUGACUCUGAUAAACUGGAAUAUGUCUUCCCUGGCUCUCUGUCUCCAAGUCUUGUGAACCUGAAACAGAUGACAAUUAGAUACUGUGGUAAAUUUGAAUAUGUCUUCCCUGUCUCUGUGGCUCCAAGUCUUCUGAACCUGGAAUAAAUGACUAUAUUUGCUGACAAUUUAAAGCAAAUAUUUUAUAGCGGGGAAGAAGAUGCACCACCCAGAGAUGACAUCGUCAAGUUGCCUCGACUAAGAGAAAUGGAUCUUUCAUCUAAAUCAAAUUACAGCUUUUUUGGUCCAAAGAAUCUUGCUGCCUAAUUACCUUUUCUGCAAAAUCUAAGCAUCCAUGGCCACGAAGAAUUGGGUAAUUUGUUUGCACGGCUUCAAGUACGUCCUUUAUAUUUCUCCGCUAAUUAUUUUCCUUUUUAAGUUAAAUUCUAAACUUCAUUUAAUAUAAAUAAAGUGUUGAUUUAGUCUUGUAGUCAUUAUCUCAAAGCUUUUCUUAGUUUAUUAUAAAUUAUCACAUGGAUAAAUUACAAUUAAUGUAUGCGAGACAAUAACAAAUAACACAAGAAUUAGUAGAAACACACUCACCUUAUAGUAGAGACAAGAGAAUGAUUAUGAAUGGAAGGUUCAUGCACGAUCACUUGGUCGACACACACACACUUGAUAACACCUUUGAUCUAUCGAUCGAUUCCGACCACAAAUAUAAUUUAUCUAAGGAGUUAUGUAUGUGAUGUUACUUUAGUUAUGGUCUCUCAAGGGGAAAUUAACGAAAAGAAUUGAAAAGGAGAAAAUAAUUAGUUGAAUGAAGGAAGCUCUCUGCCACUUCCCUAUAUCACACUUGUAAACCCAGGAAAAAAUAAAUAAAUAACAAAAAUUCAAAAAAUUUUGAAUAUAAAUUUUCGGGUGAAAUAGUUUGAAACAUUAUAAUAAACUCAGUACUGUUGAGGGUUGGAUUUAAUUGAAGAAAAUAAUACACUUAAAGGAAAAGGGGGGCCUAAAUGCAAAUAAGAGAAAAUAUAGAGUAUAAAUACUCUCUCCUCACCAAAAAUAUGUAGGAACCCUAAGGAGAGAAGAUAGGGAGUUUUAUACCCAUUCUUGAGAAAUCAAGAGAGAAACAUUAAAAUUUCAAGAACCCAUCCAAGAUUAAGAGCUUAUAGAUGGGAUAAAAACUUGAGAGCAAAGGAUUACCAAGAAAUUGAACAAGAAGAAAAGAAAGGAGGGAGUUGAAAAUCUUCAACUAGUUGAAGAUCAAAAUCUUAAUUUGUACCGGGUAAGGUAUUCUAAACAUGAUCUUAAAAAAAUUCAUUUUUAAAUUCGAUAAAGAAUUGAUGCCUUGAUAUUGAAUCAUAGGUUAGGGUUCUUAGACAUAAAUUGGGGAAAAGUACUUAUUGUUGAGAUUAAGUUAAUUCAUGUGUGUGGUAUGUAGUUUAUGAAAGUAUUGAGUGAAGGGGAGGGGAGACAAAUCUGGACAGACUUGUCUCCUGACUUUCUGUGAGAUUUCAGGUAGGAGGAUGAGGGAAUUAGGAUCGGGUUCCUCAUAGGAAUUGUAGAUUUGAAUGUUAGCUAACCAAGGAAACUGGUCUUGCUCAAUUUGGAGAUGUAGAACUCCAAUUAUGGGUUACCAGCUGAGACUGAGUCGUGACUGAUUAUGUAGGGCAGUAGGACUAAUUAGUUAAUGAGCAAUUUUGACUAUUUUGGAGGCAAAACUGGGUUCUUCUCCCUCAGAGAACUUGUAGCCUUGUGUCUUAGCUUUCUAACGAGAUCAAUCUCACUUAAAAUGGAGUUUUAGAACUUUAGAUAUAGUUAAAAAUCUGAUGAGUGUUCAGACAAUAACAGUUGAAAAUUGGACAAUAACAGUUCAAAGUUGGACAGUAACAGUUGAAAAUUGGACAGUAACAGUUGAAAAUUGCACAGUAACGGUUCAAAGUUGGACAGUAACAGUUGAAAUUUGGACAGUAACAAUUGAAAAUUAGACAGUAACAGUUCAAUGUCUAGACAGUAACGGUAGGCUUUCACGUGAAUACUAUAUAUACAAGAAUAUAAAAGAAUUGAGUCAUACGAACACUUGCACAUUGAGAUACUAACUCUGAAAAUAUACAUGAUAUAUGUAUGUAUGUUAUUAUGAGAAAAUGAACAUGUAUAUAAAGUAACAUAUGAGUAAUGGAUGAAUAUGGAUUCUCUAUAAUGUCGGCUUGAAGGAAUCAUAACCAAAAACUUCCUUAUGAUUCAGGAGGAGCAACCAAGAUUGGAUCUUCUGUUAGGGGAGGUCGCGAGACAGGCGAAGUAGGUGCGUGAUUCUCCUCCUAUUUGCACUUAUACAAUUUAGAAUUCUUAUGGUGAAUGCAAUUACAAUAAAUGUCGUGUUCAAUGUAAAUAAAAAUCUAGCGUAAAUACAAGAUUAGCUUCGGCAAAUGGCAUCCGUGAUAGGAUUGCUGGGAUAUGAAUUACAAGAUUAGCUGCGGCUAAUGGCAUCCAUGAUAGGAUUGCCGGGAGAUGAAUUACAAGAUUAGCUUCGGCUAAUGGCAUCCGUGAUAGGAUUUCCAGGAUAUGAAUUACAAGAUUAGCUUCGGCUAAUGACAUCCGUGAUAGGAUUGCCGGGAGAUGAUUUACAAGAUUAGCUUCGGCUAAUGACAUCCGUGAUAGGAUUGUUGGGAUAUGAAUUACAAGAUUAGAUUUGGCAAGGUCACCCAGUUCAUGCAAGUAAAUAAGAAUAUUCAAAUCAUGGAUAUACAAAUGAGUGUGAAUUAGGUUUAAAAGACUUACAAGCAAAUUAUAAGUUCUUUGUUAGAAUUCUUAUGGGUCCGAUAGAAAGUUAAUACUUCAUUCGUAUUCAUUACAUGAGCAUAUAUAUUCUUUAUCAACAUAAUGAUAUGUUUAAUUAUGUAACAGGUCCAUCAAAUAUCCAGGAAGAUCAUUAGUUUAGGACUCUACUUUGCGAAGCUUAUGUAAAUAUUUAACUUAAACAAAAGGGAAUUAACGUGUUUAUGUAGUAUAUUUUUGUGUAAACCUUGAUGUAUUUAUAAAAGUUCAAUUUUGCAUGUGGUAUUUUAGUUAUCUUGUAAUUAACCCUUUUAAAAUAUUUAAGAACACUUAUUAUGUUGUAAAUACUUUCUUUGCAUGUUAGUAUUCUUUUCCUUUCAAAUUUUACGAUAUGAUGUUUGGACUAUGUUCAUAUUGAACUUACUCAUAGGAUAUAUAUAUAUAUAUAUAUAUUGUGUGGAUUGUAUGAGGUUUGAUAUAAGGUCCGGAAUUAUGGGACCUUAUGAUGAUGGGUUGAUUGAGUAAAUUGAUAGUAGUCGAUAACUUGGGAUAUCCUAAAUACAAACAAAACUCUGCUGAAUUUUUGGAAAAAAAAAUUUACCCUCAGAUAAAGAGGAUAUGUUAGGAUCUUUUAACAUUGAUCGAGUCUUACAGUUCAGACCGUUACAGUUGGUAUCAGAGCCCUGGUAUAGGUUAUGGGAAGAAAUCAAAAGAGGUUGUUGAUGUUCAUUAAUUUAUUGCAGGAUGGUACAUACCUGUCAAGAGAUUAGAACAGAUCUAUCCUCUGCAGGGAGGGGGAAUAGAGAUAUAGACUCUUCCAAAGGGCAAGAAGAGAGCCCUUUGGAAGAUACUGCUUCACAUGCACUGGUAGUAUCGACUCAAGUAGGGCAUGAAGAAUCGACGGGGCCUUAAAUUAGACAGGCACCAAGGCAAACUGGGGAUGUUCAGUUGACCAUGUUAGCUCCACGGGGACGAGUAGAGGAGCCCCCUCAGACUACACCUGCAGGGCCAUCUGUUUCUUAUGUUGAUCCGAUGCUCCUGGCCCAGCUAGUCAAAGCAGUAAUGGAAGGUAUGGCUAAUGCUGCCACUCCUAUGCCAGCACCCCCAUUUGCACCCAUCAUACCAACCGUUUCAGAAGCAACUACAACUACUAAUGACGUGGUACAACUAGUUCGUUUAGUGAAAAGUAUGAGAGAAAUGGGUUGUGAACCCUACUCUAGUGAACAGAAUGCUGAAGUGGUGGGAAGGUGGAUUAGAAAGGUGGAGAAAACCAUGAUUCAAAUUAAGAUACCAUAUGAUCUGCGGGUAGACUAUGCUACUUAAUUACUAUCAGACGGUGCUAUGACUUGGUGGGAGACAGUUCAGUUGAGGAGGGCUACAGAAACCCUAUCCUAGGAUGAUUUCAAGAUAGAGUUUGAGAAUCAAUAUUACUCCAAAUAUCAUCGGAGGAUGAAGGAACAGGAAUUCCUAGCCUUGAGACAGGAGGGAAUGUCAGCACUUGAGUAUGAGAGACAAUUUCAUGACCUCUCACUAUUCGCACUACAUUAUAUCCCGUCAGAACAACACAUGAUAGAAAAGUUAAGGGAUGGCUUCAGACAAGAAUUGAAGCAGGGGUUGAUUGCUUUGCGAUUCAGGACAGUAAGGGAACUGAUUGAAGCAGCACAGGCCUUGGAGGCGUGUAUGGUGACACGAUCAAAGAGUUGAUGUCUUAUCCCAAGUGCAGGAGUAUCAAAGUAAUAAAUAACCCGGCAAGACCGGAGUCGAACCACAGGGAGGUCAACUAUAUAAAUUACAAAUAAAGAGAAAGAUUUGAAGAGAAUAAUAACAGAAAAGAAGUUGAAGAGAGUUUUGGGAUAUGAUAUUGAUAUAAGGAUUAAACAAUAAUAAAACAGUUGUCAAGGUUAGAGGAUCCACUAAUGGUAUUUCAAAUAAAUAUAAUAUAAACUCUUUUUAUUACUCAAUUGGAAACCACACACAAAGGAGGUUCCAAUCGGAUGAUUUAUCGUUAUUAACUCAUUAUAAAUUAUUAACAUGAUCAUAUUAAUCAUCUUAUCUAAGUAACACCAUACUUAUAAAUAUCAUCAGGCAUUUAUGUUGCUAGCUUAUGUUAACAACAAAUCAAGUUCCUAUCAUAACAACGAUGUCAGCCGAAAACUAUGAAGGAUCAAACAUUUGAUGUACCAAGUGUUAUACAACAGAAAUCUAGAUUAACCAUUUAAAAAGCAAGGUAUUAAGAAUUAGUAAGAUAAAAAGAUAAAACAUGUUAAUAACAAUCUUUCUUGAAUAUAAACAUUAAAGUCCAUGUUGAGUUUAUAUUAUACCUAUUCUAACACCACUAGUGAAACAUUUUUACCUUGACAUAAUUAACUUAGCUAAACAUAAUGAAGAAGAAAAACAUAAAUAAACAAUAUAAGAACAUAAAUAUGAUAUAAGUUAACUAAGUAUAGGAAAGGAAAUGAAAAAGCAUAAACAAGAGAUUAAUAUAGCAUGAAAGAAAACUUGAACAUUACAAAAAGAGAAAGCAAGAAGAUGAUUUUGAUCUGAAAAAUAAUAUGACUAAAUACAUGGCAAAUGCCUCCUUUUAUAAGCUAAGAUUCAGAACUAUUGAUUGGUUGACUAAGAAAAUAGUUGGUGGCCAACCAUUGAUUUGGUGGCUGGUUUUUGACAUUGUUGGCUGAUUUUUGAUAUUGUUGGCUGGCCAAAACGUCAUUUCUAACAUCAUAAUUUGAGCCCUUUGUUUCAUGAAAGCUGUGGGCAAUUAUCUUAGCUUUCCAACAAAAAAAACCAGAGCUCAUUUGGACUUCUAGAACUCAAGAUAUGAGCUGAAAACCGAACAGUGUCUGAGCUGCAGGACAGGUUCCGACUUCUCCGUUGUUGCUAAACUUUGAACUUGAAAACGGCAGAAUUGAGUCUUGGACUCUGCAUGAAAGUUUUAGGUCUAUGUCUUAGAUUUCCAUCCAUAUAAAGUAGACCUAAAUCCGAGUUCUACAACUCCAGUUAUGAUCCAAUAACCGAAUGGUGUUUCAGUUUGGAAUUGAACUAUCAUCUCUUCUCUUAGCCUAGUCCUCUUUUUGUCUCUUCACUUUCAAUAGUUAAUCACAUCAAUCAAUCCUUUGAAUUGUGAGAUAUACCUGCAUUCAAAAUAAGCAUUUAUCAUAAAUUAAAGAUAUACUAUAUUAUCAGACUUGUUAUUAUAAAACAUGCUUUAGUUAAGGAAUUUAAUGAUACUUUAGUGCAAUAUGAUGAUAUAAAGCAUUAAUAAAAAUGCACUUUGAAUUACUAAUCAUAUGGAAGAAUGCCAACAGAGUCAUGGGGGUGCAGGAAAACGAAAGGAUAUGGAAUUUUUAGGCAGGCCACCGCUUCCAAAGAAAGGUAGAGGCGAACAGUUCCUUCAAUUCAAAAAGAAAAGAGGGACGUCAACUAGCUUCCGACAGGAUAUCGGUGGGAAGUCGGGAAGUGGUCAGACCCGCUCCAGGGCUAUAGCUGCAAGGGGGCAUAACAAUCAGAAGGAAAUUGUCUACCCUCGAUGUGCUUAGUGUGAACAAAGACACCCCGGGAGUUGUAUGGUUUCUCCUGGACAAUGCUAUAUAUGUCGAGGAGAAGGUCAUAAGUGGAAACCCUGUUAAUACUUGGGAAGAGGAUGUCAUCAUUGUGGUGAGAAAGGUUACUUUAAAAGGGAAUGCCCCAAGUUAAACACUAAACAGCCUUAGAGACAUGGGGAGCAAAGUCAGAGUCAUCAGCAAUCCAUCAUAGUAAACAGACCGGGAAGGUCGACUCAGUCAGGAGCUAACUCAAAUAGGGGACGACCCAGAGUACAAAAUGAAAAGGGAUCAAGGAAGGGUUUUCCAUAUGACCCAGGAGGAUGUCAGAGCAGCAUCAGAUAUGGUGGCAGGUAUGCUGCAAAUGAAUGACUAUCAAAUACAUGUUUUGUUUGAUUCUGGUGCCACUCACUCUUUCAUAGCAAAUAAAAAUGUAACCAAAUUGAGUAAGGAAACGAAAAGGGUAGAGAAAGGAUUUAUUAUUGGGACACCUUUGGGUGAAAUUGUGAAAACAAAUAUUGUAUUUGAAGGGGUGGGAAUUAACAUUAAUGGGUGUGAACUAAAAGCAGAUUUAAUACCCCUAGAAUUAAGUGAUUUUGAUAUAAUUCUAGGUAUGAAUUGGUUGGGCAAAAAUAAGGCUCGUCUAGAUUGCUUUACAAAAACAGUAACCUUUCAAGGGGCUAAGGGUGAAACAAUAGUCUUUAAGGGGGAGAGAAUUUACAACUUUACAAAUAUGAUCUCGGGUAUGGUUGCGAGAAAACUACUAAAGAAAGGUUGUACAACAUACCUUGCCUAUGUGAUAAAUUCGGAAAAGGGUAAAAUAAGAUUGUCUGACAUUCCAAUUGUGAGGGAAUUUCCGGACGUAUUUCCGGAAGAAUUGCUAGGACUACCCCCAGAAAGAGAAGUUGAAGUCACCAUAGAUAUAUUUCCUGGAGUGUCUCCUAUAGCCCAACCACCGUAUAGAAUGGCCCCAAAAGAAUUGGAUGAGUUGAAAAUUCAAUUGCAGGAGCUUUUAGACAAAGGGUUCAUACAACCAAGCAACUCGCCUUGGGGGCACCUGUAUUAUUUGUGAAGAAGAAAGAAGGAACGUUGCGGCUUUGCAUAGAUUACCGUCAGCUGAAUAAAGUGACGGUAAAGAAUAGAUAUCCACUUCCACGGAUAGAUGAUUUGUUCGAUAAGUUAAAGGGUGCCAAAGUAUUCUCAAAUAUUGAUUUAAGAUCAGGAUACUACCAAAUGUGAAUCAAAGGGCAAGAUGUGCCGAAAACUGCCUUCAGAACUCGCUACGAACACUUUGAGUUCUUGGUGCUACCCUUUGGAUUAACUAAUGCUCCAACACUUUUUAUGUAUUUAAUGAACCAAGUAUUCCAACCAUACCUUGAUAAGUUUGUUGUCGUAUUCAUCGAUGACAUCUUGGUUUACUCCAAAUCCUAUGAGGAGCAUGAACAGCACCUGAGACAGAUACUAUAGACUCUGAGGAGCCAUCAGUUGUAUGCCAAGUUGGAUAAAUGUGACUUCUGGUUAAAAGAAGUUACCUUUUUGGGGCAUGUAGUGUCUUCAAAAGGCAUUUUUGUGGACCCUCAGAAGGUGGAAGCAUUUUUGAGAUAGGAAAGGCCUACUACGGUAACUGAAAUUUGUAGUUUUCUCAGAUUGGCAGGGUAUUAUAGAAGAUGUAUCGAAAGGUUUUCAACGAUAGCAACUCCAUUGACACGACUCACCAGGAAGAAAAUAAGAUGGGAAUGGUCAAAGGAGUGCGAUGAGAGCUUUCAAGAAUUGAAGAGAAGGCUUACUACUGCCCCCGUACUAAUCCUUCCAUCCGGAACAGAAGGCUUUGUAGUCUACAGUGAUUCCUUAAGAAAAGGACUGGGUUGUGUUCUAAUGCAUCAUGGAAAAGUAGUUGCCUAUGCAUCGAGACAACUGAAGACUCAUGAAGUCAACUACCCAGUUCAUGACUUAGAAUUGGCAGCAGUAGUUUUUGCUUUACGAGUAUGGAGGCACUACUUAUACAGAUCCCGGGUCCAAAUUUUCACCGAUCAUAAGAGCCUUAAAUAUCUGAUGUCAUAGAAGGACUUGAAUAUGCGACAACGGAGAUGGGUAGAAUUAAUUAAAGACUACGAUUGUGUUAUAGAUUAUCAUCUAGGAAAAGCGAAUGUAGUCGCGGAUGCUCUCAACCAUAAAGACAAGGUGAUUAGGGGUAGACCAGCGACUUGGAAUGAGGAAACCAUGAUUGACCUAAAGAGAUUGGGGGCAGUACUAGGUGUGAGCCCAGAAGGAUCCUUAAUGGCUCAACUAAGGGUGAAGUCAGGAUAUCGAGAGCAAAUAUUAGAGGCUCAACAACAUGAUGAUGAGGUGUCAAAAGUGAGAAUCAAACUGGAAUCGGCGGGUGAAACUCUUUUUUGAAUGGGUGAUGAUGGAAUAGUGAUGUUGGGGUGACGUAUGUAUGUACCUGACAGCAAAGCCCUUAAACAAAAGUUACUACGAGAAGCUCACGAGUCUAAGUUCACUGUACAUCCAGGUAGUACUAAGAUGUACCAGGAUAUGAAGCAGUACUACUGGUGGCCAAAUAUGAGAAAAGAAGUGGUUGGUUACAUGGCAAAGUGUAGUAUUUGCCAACAAGUAAAAAUAGAACACCGAAAACCGGCAGGGCUGUUACAACCAUUACCAAUCCCUGAGUGGAAGUGGGAGAUGAUCACAAUGGACUUUGUGUCGAGACUACCCAGAGGAAAGAGGGGAAAUGAUGCAAUCUGGGUCAUUGUGGAUCGACUAACAAAGUCUGCUCUUUUCCUACUAGUAAAGAUGACAGAUCCAGUUGACAAGUUGGCUAAGAUUUAUGUGAACGAAGUUGUAAGGCUUCAUGGAGUCCCAAUAUCAAUUGUUUCAGACCAAGACCUAAGAUUUACUUCAUGUCUCUGGCCGAGCAUACAACGUGUCUUGGGAACAAAUUUGAGUAUCAGUACUGCCUUUCAUCCGCAAACUGAUGGCCAAUCUGAGAGAAUUAUUCAGAUCUUAGAGGAUUUACUAAGGGCAUGUGCUUUGGAAUUUGGUGGAAACUGGGAGGAGCACCUAUCACCAAUAGAAUUCACGUAUAACAACAGUUAUCAGGCAACAAUUGGAAUGGCCCCAUUUGAAGCUCUUUAUGGUAGAAAGUGUAGGACACCCUUGUGUUGGGAAGAAGUUGGGGACAGAAAGCUGUAUGGGGCAGAAUUAGUACAAAUCACUACUGAAAAAGUGAGAAUUAUUAAGGAUUGAAUGAAGGUGGUUCAGGAUAGACAGAAGAAGUAUGCAGAUAUUCGAAGAAGACCACUUGAAUUUUUUCCUAGAGAUAAAGUAUUUCUGAAGGUAGCUCUAUGGAAGCACAUGCUGAGAUUCGGCAUGAAGGGGAAGUUAGCUCCGAGGUUCAUUGGACCAUUUGAAAUCUGAAAACAUAUCAAACCUGUAGCAUAUGAAAUAAACUUGCCCUCAUAGUUGGCCAAGGUUCACAAUGUAUUCCAUGUUUCUUUGCUGCAAAAAGCCGAUAUAGACCCUUUGAGAGUGUUACCCCAAGUGCCAGUGGAGAUAAAAGAAGACUUAACACUUGAGGUAAGACCGAUAAAGAUACUUGAAUGGGGCGAGAAAGAACUUCGUAAUAAGAAAGUUCCCAUCCUCAGAGUCUUAUGGCGAAGCUCACAAAACGAGGAAGAAACAUGGGAGAAAGAAUCAGAAGUGAGACGAAAAUUCCGCGACUUGUUAAUAAACUCAGGUACCUCACUCAAAUUUCAAGGAUGAAAUUUCUAUUAUGGGAGGAGAAUGUAAACCCCGGAAAAAAAUAAAUAAAUAAAUAACAGAAAUUCAAAAAAUUUUGAAUAUAAAUUUCCGGGUGAAAUAGUUGGAAACAUUAUAAUAAACCCGGUACUGUUGAGGGUUAGAUUUAAUUGAAGAGAAUAAUACACUUAAAGGAAAAGGGGGGCCUAAAUGCAAAUAAGGAAAAAUAUAGAGUAUAAAUACUCUCUCCUCACCAAAAAUCCGUAGGAACCCUAAGGAGAGAAGAUAGGGAGUUUUAUACCCAUUCUUGAGAAAUCAAGAGAGAAACACUAAAAUUUCAAGAACCCAUCCAAGAUUAAGAGCUUAUAGAUGGGAUAAAUACUUGAGAGCAAAGGAUUACCAAGAAAUUGAACAAGAAGAAAAGAAAGGAGGGAGUUGAAAAUCUUCAACUGGUUGAAAAUCAAUAUCUUAAUUUGUACCGGGUACGGUAUUCUAAACAUGAUCUUAAAGAAAUUCAUUUUUAAAUUCGAUAAAUAAUUGAUGCCUUGAUAUUGAAUCAUAGGUUAGGGUUCUUAGACAUAAAUUGGGGAAAUGUACUUAUUGUUGAGAUUAAGUUAAUUCGUGUGUGUGGUAUGUAGUUUAUGAAAGUAUUGUGUGAAGGGGAGGGGAGACAAAUCUGGACAGACUUGUCUCCUGACUUUCUGUGAGAUUUCAGGUAGGAGGAUGAGGGAAUUAGGAUCGGGUUCCUCAUAGGAAUUGUAGAUUUGAAUGUUAGCUAACCAAGGAAACUGGUCUUGCUCAAUUUGGAGAUGUAGAACUCCAAUUAUGGGUUACCAGCUGAGACUGAGUCGUGACUGAUUAUGUAGGGCAGUAGGACUAAUUAGUUAAUGAGCAAUUUUGACUAUUUUGGAGGCAAAACUGGGUUCUCCUCCCUCAGAGAACUUGUAGCCUUGUGUCUUAGCUUUCUAACGAGAUCAAUCUCACUUAAAAUGGAGUUUUAGAACUUUAGAUAUAGUUAAAAAUAUGAUGAGUGUUCAGACAAUAACAGUUCAAAGUUGGACAAUAACAGUUCAAAAUUGGACAGUAACAGUUGAAAAUUGCACAGUAACAAUUCAAAGUUGGAUAGUAACAGUUGAAAAUUAGAUUGUAACGGUUGGACAGUAAAAGUUCAAAGUUGGACAGUAACAGUUCAAAGUUGGACAGUAACUAUGAAACCCUAGAAAAUUUAUAAUUUAAAUAUGCGGAUGUAUAACCUCCCACGUAAACGUAAGACUGAAAGUGAUAUAUAAUGGAGGGGAUGACCUCCAUAAAAUGAAUUUUAUUUUAGAAUUCAUAAAAUAGAGAAACUGGUAACAUGUUUGAAUGGAUAAAAUAAUGAGAGAAAUAACAAAAUGUUUCUAAGAAAUAAGUGAGUAAUAAAGAAUACAUUAUAAUAAAGGAUAAUUCAAUGAAAAUGGCAGGACUGAAGGUGCAAGCAUCAAUUAAAAAUCAGUGACGUUACUUUGGAACGAUAAUAAUACCUGAUAAAUAAAUAAAGGUAGAAAUUUUAAAAUGAAUAUAUUCCAAAAUAAUAAAAUGACCUUAAAGGUUUAGAAGGAUGAUUGAUAUUAUUUUAUGUGAAGAUUGAACAAGAAAAUUUGGAUCAUUGACGAAAAGUUAUGAACUGACCAAUUUUACAUUAAAAAGCAGAGCUCUCAAUCCAAUCGUCGGAUCGGGAUGAAAUUUUGCAUGAAGUCUAUUAAUAUGUUUUCCUACCUUUGUGAAAGAUCUCAUCCCAAUGGAAGUUUGGUAAAGACUAGCGAUUUAAGCAGAAACAAACCGGAUGGGGUGAGAGACAAUAGAGAAUUCGGUUACAGAGAGGUGCAAGAUUUGGAGGAACCAAUAAUGCUUCGAUGGCCAUAUCUCUAGAAGCCACCGUUGGAUCAUGUUGAUUUUUGGAUAUAUUGUUCUUCUCACAAUCCUACACUAACUGACCGGAAGUUUCCUGGAAAACAUCAGGGAUUUGGAGGCACAUAAUCCGUUGAACAGAAAUCAUCAUCGAAAGUUUCCUGGAAAACAAAAGGAAAUAUACCUGCAGGGAAGUUUUGGUCACCGGCUGAUUUCUCUCUUUUCCACCGUUGGAUCAUGCCUAUUUUUGGAUAUGUGGUGCACCUCUAUGUUGCCUUCAUUCUGGACGGGGGAGAUCGCAAACUUACUCUCCGGCAGGUUUAGUUCAUGUUGAACAGUAGCUCGUCCAUUUUCAGGUUAGUUUGGUUUUAUUCAGAUCUAUGGAGAUCCAACCGUUGGAUCAUUCUAAUUUUGAGAUAUAAUGUACACAACACGAUGAUAUAUAUUAUGACCGUUGGGUUCAAGGAAAUAAUUAGAGGUGGAUGAGUUGUUGCUAUUUGAAUCUAUUGCUAGUCUUAGUAAAACAUUUAGGAAGCUUGAUUUAAUUACAUGUUUUGAUGAAAUUAGAAUUGUGUGGGUGUAGGGUUUAUGUAAGAUGUAAUGGUAAAAUAUGUUCUUGUUAUUAGUGUUGUUAUAGAUAAAUUGUGUUGUAAAAUGUGUUAGGGAAGUUUUGAAAUUUGGAUGAAGGGACAUUGAGUUUGUUGAUUUAAUGGAUAUAUGUUUUUAGGCAUUAAAAAAGGAUUGGGUCUAGUGGUAAUUGAAAGAAAACUUGAAGAAAAAUUUAUCCUCCAUUUAAUGCAAAGAUUCGGCCUAGACAUAUAAAUGAGAGGAUGUGCUUAAUUGUUUUAAUUGCUAUGGAAUUUGAGUUGAAUGAGGUUAGACUAGAUAUGAAAUAAAUGGGUAAAGGUUUAUCCGGAAUAAUUAAAAAGGGCCUCACCAUGAAGGAAGGCAUUCGGCCAAAUGAAGAAGAAAUAAAGGAGAUAAGACUUUGUUUCAUUUUCUAUGUAAAUUAGGUAUGGAUGCAUAUAUCUGGUAAAGAAGAUUAGUUAGGAAGUCAGAAGAAAGAAUAUUAAAAAGAACCAAAUUCUCAUCAUAAUAUGGAAUUCCGCCAAAAAUAGAAAUAUUGAUCUGAGCAAUUGACCAAUGACANNNNNNNNNNNNNNNNNNNNNNNNNNNNNNNNNNNNNNNNNNNNNNNNNNNNNNNNNNNNNNNNNNNNNNNNNNNNNNNNNNNNNNNNNNNNNNNNNNNNNNNNNNNNNNNNNNNNNNNNNNNNNNNNNNNNNNNNNNNNNNNNNNNNNNNNNNNNNNNNNNNNNNNNNNNNNNNNNNNNNNNNNNNNNNNNNNNNNNNNNNNNNNNNNNNNNNNNNNNNNNNNNNNNNNNNNNNNNNNNNNNNNNNNNNNNNNNNNNNNNNNNNNNNNNNNNNNNNNNNNNNNNNNNNNNNNNNNNNNNNNNNNNNNNNNNNNNNNNNNNNNNNNNNNNNNNNNNNNNNNNNNNNNNNNNNNNNNNNNNNNNNNNNNNNNNNNNNNNNNNNNNNNNNNNNNNNNNNNNNNNNNNNNNNNNNNNNNNNNNNNNNNNNNNNNNNNNNNNNNNNNNNNNNNNNNNNNNNNNNNNNNNNNNNNNNNNNNNNNNNNNNNNNNNNNNNNNNNNNNNNNNNNNNNNNNNNNNNNNNNNNNNNNNNNNNNNNNNNNNNNNNNNNNNNNNNNNNNNNNNNNNNNNNNNNNNNNNNNNNNNNNNNNNNNNNNNNNNNNNNNNNNNNNNNNNNNNNNNNNNNNNNNNNNNNNNNNNNNNNNNNNNNNNNNNNNNNNNNNNNNNNNNNNNNNNNNNNNNNNNNNNNNNNNNNNNNNNNNNNNNNNNNNNNNNNNNNNNNNNNNNNNNNNNNNNNNNNNNNNNNNNNNNNNNNNNNNNNNNNNNNNNNNNNNNNNNNNNNNNNNNNNNNNNNNNNNNNNNNNNNNNNNNNNNNNNNNNNNNNNNNNNNNNNNNNNNNNNNNNNNNNNNNNNNNNNNNNNNNNNNNNNNNNNNNNNNNNNNNNNNNNNNNNNNNNNNNNNNNNNNNNNNNNNNNNNNNNNNNNNNNNNNNNNNNNNNNNNNNNNNNNNNNNNNNNNNNNNNNNNNNNNNNNNNNNNNNNNNNNNNNNNNNNNNNNNNNNNNNNNNNNNNNNNNNNNNNNNNNNNNNNNNNNNNNNNNNNNNNNNNNNNNNNNNNNNNNNNNNNNNNNNNNNNNNNNNNNNNNNNNNNNNNNNNNNNNNNNNNNNNNNNNNNNNNNNNNNNNNNNNNNNNNNNNNNNNNNNNNNNNNNNNNNNNNNNNNNNNNNNNNNNNNNNNNNNNNNNNNNNNNNNNNNNNNNNNNNNNNNNNNNNNNNNNNNNNNNNUGGUACGUCAAACAAGUAUAGUAUAAACUCUUAUUAUUCAAUUGCCAAACCACACACAAAGAAGGUUCCAAUCAGAUUAUAAAUUGUUCACAUGAUUACAUUAGUUAUCUUAUUCGAAUAAUGCUAAUACUUGUAAAUGUUGUCAAGCAUUCAUGAUUAUAACUUAUGUUAACAACAAAUCAAGUUCCUUUCAUAGCUCAGGUGUCGGUUAUACCAUACAGUAUGGGCUAUGAAAGUCCCAAGUAUUUGUUGUACCAAGUGUUAUACAACAUAAAUCUAGAUUAGUCAUUCAACAAGCAAAGUAUUAAAAAUGAACAAGAUAACAAAUAUAAAACAUGUUAGUAUUCAACAUUAAAGUCCAUGUUAAGUUUAUAUUAUACUUAUCCUUACACCAUUAGUGUUACCCUUUCACCUUGACAUAAUAAACUUAGCUAAACAUAAUGAAAGAGAGAAACAUAAAUAAACAAGGAAAGGAAAUGAAAAGCAUAAGCAAGAGAUUAAUAUAAGCAAAACUUAAGCAUUACAAAGAGAGAAAGCAAGAUCAUGAUCUUGAUCUGAACACCAAGAUGCCUCAAUACAUGGUAAAUGCCUCCUUUUAUAGGCCAAAAUUUGGAACUAUUGAUUUGUUGACUAAUUGAUGAGUGGGUUGCCACAUCUUGACUUGAUGACAAUUCUUAUCUUUUUGUCUGCCAAAAACAUCAUUGAUAACGUCAUAAUUUGAACAGACUUAAAUCAUUAAAGUUCUAGUAAAUUGUCUCAGCUUUCCAGGAAAACAAAGAUGAGGUCAUUUGGACUUCUAGAACUCGAGAUAUGGGCUAAACACUGAGCAGUGUCUGGGCUGCAGAACAGAUUCAGACUUCUCCGUUGUUGCUACAAUUUGGACUUGAAAACAGCCUUUUUAAAUCUUGGACUCCCAUGAAAGUUUUAGGCCUAUAUCUUAGCUUUCCAUCCAUAUAGAGCAGACCUAAAUCCAAGAUCUACAGCUCCAGAUAUGCCCCAAUGACCGAACAGUGUUCCAGUUUGGAUUGAACCAGCAUCUCUCUUCUAAGUUUGACCCUUUCUUUGUUCUUUCAAUUUCAGUACUUAAACUCAUCAAUUAAUCCUUUUAUUUAUGUGAUAGGCCUGCAUUUUAGAUGAACGUUUACCAUAAAUUAAAGGUAUCUUAUAGUAUCAGACUUGUUAUUAUAAAACAUCUUAUAGUUAAGGAGUUAUUGAUACUUCAAGUGCAAAAUGAUGAUAUAUAACCUUGAUAAAAAUGCAUUUUUAAGUACUAAUCACACCCCCCAACCAGCUUAUUACUAGUCCCUAGUAAUCAAAGCGUUAAAAUAGAAAAACAAUUUGUAAAUUCCACAAAGCAAGGCAUUCAUCAUUCAACUUCCCUUAAUCUAUCGAGAUAAACAAACUCUCAUUAAGUUUAUAUAUCUGCUCAAUACCUCUUAAACAAGAUAUUAAUAAACCUUCCUUUUUAUGUGCUCAUUGUACGAAAACAUAGAUGAUGGGGCUUUUGUUGGAGGAAAACAAUAUUAUGUUCUAAUGUUUAAGGUUAACUUCCUUGGGUUGGGAUUAUUAUUAUUAUUAUUAUUUUUCUCUCUUUUUUUUAAUAUAUAUACAUAUAACUUAAAACACAAUGUAUCUUUAACCCAUGUAACGAGCUUUCGGCUAAUGGCUCCCAGACCAGUUGGUCUUAGGGCAUUAGGUGUUGAGACACCCCUACGAGCUUAGUAACUCGGGUUUCAGAUACUGAUACGUAGAUAGUGCAAUGUUUGAUUCCCUUAAGCUUUUCUCCUUAACCCAUGUAACAAGCUUUGGGCCAAUAGCUCCCAAGUCAGUUGACUUUAGGGUAUUAGGUGUUAAGACACCCCUUUGGGCUUAAUUGCUUAGGUUAGGGAGGCUAAGAAACCAAACUUAUCUACGUUUUUAUUAUCAUCAUUUUUUUUUGUUUUUUUUUAAAAUUAUAUACCAUCCCUUUCCCUUAGUUGUUACCUUUAACAAAAGAACAUAAAUAAUGUAAUAAUCCAAUGUGCAACCCACAAUCAUAUGUUAAAGUGUGUGUGUGUGAAAAUGAAGGUUUAAGAAUACUUGUUAAAUGAGUAUAUGAGCAGAAUUAAGUGAUAACAAUGCGAGAGUUUGUAAACCUGAAUAUUUCAAGAAGUUUUUUGAUAGACCUUGGUAAUGAUACUUACUAAGAUGCGUCUCUAGAGUCAAUAAAAUUUCCUCCUUACUCUGCCAUCCUAAUAAGAAUACUUUACUAAGAUGCGUCUCAAGAGUUAAUAAGACUGACUCCUUACUCAGCCAUCCUAAUAACAAUUGUGUCAAAUGGUUUUAAUAAUAGCAAAAACAGUUAGUAAGUUAGUUUUUUUUUAAGGAUUGUAGUUGGUCAAUCAAUUGUUCAGCAGUAGCAGCAGAGAUUAUGAUUUGUCAUGCUGAAGAUGUUAGAAAAUUCUGUUCCACAACAUGAUCAAGAAAAGACAACAAAUUAUCAUAAAAACCAUUGACAUUUAGCAAAUCUAUAGGUUUAUGGUGAAUGUGCAGUUGGGCCCAAGAGGAAAUAUGAAAGAUCUCUUCCAAUGUGCCUCGACCACCUGAUAAUCGAACCUUCGCUUCAAUCAGCCAGCGAAUAUCUUCAGGAAUUCCAUGAUUCAUUAACAAUCUCAAUCUUGCACACCUUGCACGGUAAAUUUUUGUAAUCACAUUCCGAGGCAGAGUGGGAAAAUACUUUUUCAAUUUUUCAAGAGUGGUGUCCAUUUUCAAAUGAGAAUUGGAGAAGAGAUUCAAAGAACUGAGAAAGAGCAAAGAAUUGCACAAAUAUGUACACCGAUAUCAGUUAUUAUGGGAAACUGAAAGAACCGACUUAAGUCACGGAGUAACGUUAUCCGCCAUUUGACCGGGGUGAGAGAAACUAGCAAAACAAAACACAAAACAAUGUGAGAAAAAAACAAAAUAAUCAACCUUUAUCUACAGGAUCACUCAAACCAAUGGAUUCAUUUUCACUAGGAAAAUUAUCAAAGUAAGCUUUCAAAUGAUGUUCAUUUACCUUAAAAACAUUGUUAUUCUUUGGAUUCUCGAUAUCACAGGCCCCAUAUGGAUACACAUGUUUCACAAUAAGAGGACCACUCCAUCUUGAUCUUAGUUUUUCAGGAGAUAAAUUGAGUCGAGAAUUAUAAAGCAAAACUUUUUGACCAAUAUCAACUUUUUGACAACUUUCACAAGUUUUGCAGAAUGCAUAUGUGUCCUUGAACAUGGUGGGCCAAUAAAAUCCAUUUUGAAAGAUUUUCGCAAUGAUCUUUUUUGAUGAGAAAUGACUCCCACAUGCUUCAGAAUGACAAAAUUUAAUGACACUACUUACCUCAUUGUCCACAAUGCAUCUUUGAAAUAUUUGAUCAGGACAAUAUUUGAAUAAGUUAGGGUCAUCCCAAUAAAAGUUUCUCACUUCGUUCAAAAACUUUCCUUUAUCUUCGGUACUCCAAUGAGUUGGCAAAUCUCCUGAGGCAAGGAAAUUGAUAUUUUUAGCAAACCAAGGCAUUGAACCAAGAGAAAGUAAGGAUUUGUCAGGAAAGUAAUCAUCGAUUGGUGUGAUGUCAGAUGUCGAAUCUGUUGUCACUCUUGACAAAAGAUCCGCAUCAACAUUUUUUAUGCCUUUUUCAUCCGUGAUUUCUUCCUGAGAAUAAGUCAUUUGCAAAUCUUCAAAUUCAUCAAACUCAGUAUUACUCAAAGUAGAUUCAAAUUGAUCAUAAACCAAUUCUUCAAUAAAAUCUACUUCUUAUAAAUCAUUAUCAUCUCCAGGUUGCUUGCAAAUGUUGAAAAUAUUCAUCUCCAAUGUCAUGUUUCCAAAAGAUAGCUUCAUCAGUCAAUUCCUACAAUUAAUCAAUGCAUUAGAAGUUGCAAGAAAUGGACGCCCUAAAAUAACAGGAAAUGAAUUACAUGUUUCAACAGGUUGUGUGUCCAAGACAAUAAAAUCCACAAGAUAAAUGAAUUUAUCAACUUGUACUAACACAUCUUCAACUAUUCCUCUAGGCACUUUUACAAAUCUAUCGGCAAGUAAAAGAGUUACAGAAGUUGGUUUUAACUCACCUAGAUUGAGACUUUGAAAAACUGAAUAUGGAAGUAAAUUCACACUAGCUCCAAGAUCAAGUAAGGCUUUUUCAAUUUUAUGUUCUCUAAUAAAGCAAGAAAUUGUAGGGCAACCAGGGUCUUUAUAUUUCAAAGCAUUAUUAUUCUGAAGAAUGUCACUUGUUCGGCCAAAAAGGCUUUCUUUUUCACAUUCAGUUUUCUCUUCACAGUGCACAGAUCUUUCAAAAAUUUUGCAUAAGAAGGAACUUGUUUAAUAGCAUCCAGCAAAGGUAUAUUGAUCCUUACCUGUUUGAAAGUUUCAAAGAUUUUAGAGUUGUGAUUGACUUUCCUUUGUUUGGCCAUGGCAUGAGGAAAUGGAAGUGCUGGCGGGGAAUCAGUCUUUUCUUUGUAAUGAUCAGAUUCAACCCCUUCCUUACCCUUAGAGAUUGACUCAUCAUCAUUCUCAUAAGGUUCAAGAAUGGGUUUUUCAAUAACCUUACCACUACGAAGAGUGAUGACUGAUUUGACUUGAUUCAUGUGUUGACUUCCAGAACUACUUGCAUUUGCAUGAUACUGCCCCUUGGGAUUUUGUUGUGGUUGACAUGGAAACUUACCUUUCUCUUGGAAACUAAGAGCAGAUGUGAAUUUUGCAAGAGUAUCUUUAAAAUCUAUCAUGCUUUGAGCAAGUUGAUUGUUAAUUGCCUCUUGCUUUUCCAUAAAUGCAUGCAAUGUUUCCUCAAGAUUUCUUCUAGGAGGGGGAGCAUAAGGAGGUGCAUAUCCAUGAGAAUUUUGGAAAUUAUGGUGUGCUUGAAACGGUGGUUGUGAAGUUUGUGCAUUAUUGUUCUCACUCUUCCAACUGAAAUUUGGGUGAUUUCUCCAACCAGGGUUAUAUGUUUGCGAAUAUGGGUUAUGAUUGGGCAUUUGAAAACUAUUUAAAGCAUGGGCUUGUUCAUGGAGACAUUCCUUAAUAGAAGGCAAAGUUGGACAGUCAUUGGUUGGGUGUUCAUUGGUUUCACAGAUUUGACACGCAAUGUCUUGAACAAAUUUUAAUUGACCACUCUUUUUCAAUUGUAGUGCUUCGACUUUUUUAGCUAAAGAUGCAAACUUGGCUUGGAGGUCAUGAUCUUCCCUAAGGUUGUACAUACCCCCACUAGAUGUAUGAGGUUGGGUUUUACUUGGUGCCUCAUAAGUACCUGUGGUGUCCCAAUUUUGUGCAUUUUCAGCUAGCAAGUCUAAGUACUCCAUUGCUUCAUUAGGGUCUUUAUCUUCAAAAGUUCCAUUACACAUCAAUUCAACCAUUUGCCUAUCUCUAGGUGUUAAUCCUUCAUAAAAAUGUGAAACUAAUCUCCAUGUUUCAAAACCAUGAUGGGGGCAAGUAUUAAGCAAGUCUCGAUACCUAUCCCAACAUUGGUAAAAUGUUUCUCCUGGUUUUUGAGAGAAAGUAAUGAUUUGUCUUUUGAAAGAGUUUGUUCUGUGAGAUGGAAAAAACUUCUUUAAAAAUUGUUGUUGCAUUUCAUCCCAAGCACGAAUGGAUCUAGGUCUCAAAUUUUGUAGCCAUGUUUUAGCUUUAUCUUUUAAUGAAAAAGGAAAAAGCUUUAAUCUAAUGGUGUUCAUGCUACAAUUUGAGUCAUUAUACGUAUUGCAGACCUCCUCAAAUUCCCUUAAAUGCAAGUAUGGAUUUUCUAAAUCUAAGCCAUGAAAAGAUGGUAAAAGUUGAAUAAUGCUUGUCUUAAAAUUAAAAUGAGAUGCAUCAAGAGGAAAAACUAUGCAUGAGGGUGCACUUGUUCUUAUGGGAUUCAUGUGGUCUCUAAGUGUUCUAACACGGUUAUUCUCAUUAUUUUCAUUAUGAAGCGAUUUGUUAUCUUCUUCGGCCAUAUUUUCUGAAAAUGAUGAGGAUACCCUACAAAGUCUACCACUUAAUGUACGUGACCACACUCACAUGCACGUGCAGGAAGAGAAUAAAAGAAAGAAAAGAAAAACAAUAGAAAAAGAAACAAAACAAAAGAAAUGAAGUUAGAUAUAAGAAAAGUGAAAAGAGAAAACAAAAUAAAUAACUCGACCAAAAACUUGACACGACCAAAAGAUUGAUGUCUUCUCCCAAGUGCAGGAGUGUCGAAGUAAUAAAUAACUCGGCAAGACAGGGAGGUUAAUUGUAUAAAUUAUAGAUAACAAUAAUACAACAAUAACAAUAACAACAACAAUAACAACAACAAUAAUAAUAGAGAUAAUAAUAAUAGUGAAGAAGAAGAGGAAGAAGUUGAUGAAAACUUUGAGAUGGAAGAUUAACGUAAAGAUUAAACAAUGAUAACAACAAAUGUCAAGGUUAGAGGAUCCACUAAUGGUACGUCAAACAAGUAUAGUAUAAACUCUUAUUAUUCAAUUGGAAACCACACACAAAGAAGGUUCCAAUCAGAUUAUAAAUUGUUAACAUGAUUACAUUAGUUAUCUUAUUCGAAUAAUGCUAAUACUUGUAAAUGUUGUCAAGCAUUCAUGAUUAUAACUUAUGUUAACAACAAAUCAAGUUCCUUUCAUAGCUCAGGUGUCGGUUAUACCAUACAGUAUGGGCUAUGAAAGUCCCAAGUAUUUGUUGUACCAAGUGUUAUACAACAUAAAUCUAGAUUAGCCAUUCAACAAGCAAAGUAUUAAAAAUGAACAAGAUAACAAAUAUAAAACAUGUUAGUAUUCAACAUUAAAGUCCAUGUUGAGUUUAUAUUAUACUUAUCCUUACACCAUUAGUGUUACCUUUUCACCUUGACAUAAUAAACUUAGCUAAACAUAAUGAAAGAGAGAAACAUAAAUAAACAAGGAAAGGAAAUGAAAAGCAUAAGCAAGAGAUUAAUAUAAGCAAAACUUAAGCAUUACAAAGAGAGAAAGCAAGAUCAUGAUCUUGAUCUGAACACCAAGAUGCCUCAAUACAUGGUAAAUGCCUCCUUUUAUAGGCCAAAAUUUGGAACUAUUGAUUUGUUGACUAAUUGAUGAGUGGGUUGCCACAUCUUGACUUGAUGACAAUUCUUAUCUUCUUGUCUGCCAAAAACAUCAUUGAUAACGUCAUAAUUUGAACCGACUUAAAUCAUUAAAGUUCUAGUAAAUUGUCUCAGCUUUCCAGGAAAACAAAGAUGAGGUCAUUUGGACUUCUAGAACUCGAGAUAUGGGCUAAACACUGAGCAGUGUCUGGGCUGCAGAACAGAUUCAGACUUCUCCGUUGUUGCUACAAUUUGGACUUGAAAACAGCCUUUUUAAAUCUUGGACUCCCAUGAAAGUUUUAGGCCUAUAUCUUAGCUUUCCAUCCAUAUAGAGCAGACCUAAAUCCAAGAUCUACAGCUCCUGAUAUGCCCCAAUGACCGAACAGUGUUCCAGUUUGGAUUGAACCAGCAUCUCUCUUCUAAGUUUGACCCUUUCUUUGUUCUUUCAAUUUCAGUACUUAAACUCAUCAAUUAAUCCUUUUAUUUAUGUGAUAGGCCUGCAUUUCAGAUGAACGUUUACCAUAAAUUAAAGGUAUCUUAUAGUAUCAGACUUGUUAUUAUUAAACAUGUUUUAGUUAAGGAGUUAUUGAUACUUCAAGUGCAAAAUGAUGAUAUAUAACCUUGAUAAAAAAUGCACUUUUAAGUACUAAUCAUGAAGUUACUAAGUUUGUACAUGAUGGGUUGAGUAGACAAAAAUAAAAUAAAAUAAGAUUGUUAGGUCAUGUUUAAAGAUAUUUAGUCUGGAAAGACAAGUCAUGAAAGGAAAGGAAAUAAAUAAAUAAAUAUGUGAAUGCAUGUGUCAUGCGAUUUUAAAUUUAAAUGAAUUUUAGAAUGGAAUUUUCAAUUAUGGUGGAGCCACAUUUGAUAUGUAUCUUUAAUGAUACUGGAGAGAUUGCAGAAUCUGUUCAGUAGCAUGGGACUUUUACGCGAGUUCAAGCAUUAGGUAGGUGUCUUAUACCUCAAACUUUUGUUUUUACAAUACUUGUUAGAGUUAAAUAAAUGGUAUUUUCUAUAAAUAUACUUGUGCUUGUGUAAUUGUGAAUGUUUAUGUCGAGGAAAAUAUAGUGGACUAGCUAGUUUGAAUAGAGUUAGUGGUGCUACUGUACUGACUGUUGAGUUAGAUGUAUAAUAACAAAAAUGAAAUGUACCGACUUUAGGGUGAUAAAUUAAUGGUACAUUAUGAUUAAAUUAUUGAUGCUCGAUUUAUAUAUGUAUACUGAUGAUGUGUAUGUGUUUAAAUAAUUUAUAUGAAGGAAGCAGGUGUAUCCCACCUUGUCUCUUUUAAGUUGUGUAAACUUAUUGGUAAAUUUCAGAAUUUAUUGUUUUAUUGCUUCGAUGAUAUUGACAUGAGUAAGAGUACCUUAUGUGCAACGGUAUACCUCUAUUAGUUAGGAUAAUGUUUGAACGAAUAGGAGUGACUUGCGUGUGUUGUUAUGUAUUGAAUUAAUUAUGUUAUUAUGGUCGUAGUGUCGAUAACUAAGUUUGUGUGGGAAUGAUGCUUAGCAACAGUUGUUAUAAUGCAUAUGAUGUAAGAAAAAAAAAGAAGAAGAAGAAGAAAAGAAAGAAAGGGGAUCGAUACGAAUGGAAAUUUCAAGUGACAUUGAUUAGCUAUCCGGGUUUGGAUAGCUAAUGGUAUCAAUGAGGUUUCAUUGGUAUCGGCAUUUAGGGUGACAUUGAUUAGUUAUCCGGGUUUGGAUUGCUAAUGGUAUCAAUGAGGUUUCAUUGGUGCCGGCAUUUCUUAAAUUGAUUAGUUAUCCCGAGCAAUUGGGUGACUAAUGAUGUUAGUAAUGAUUACUAAAAUCGGCAUGGUUACUCUUGGUUCAGUGAAAAAGAUAAGUUUAUUAACUAUUUUGGGUCGAGAAUAGUUAAUGAUAUCAAUUGGUCAUAUUGGUAUCGGCAACCAUUUCUGGUGUGAUUAGCUACUCCAGGUAAGGAGGCUGAUAAUGUAAAGGGUUCUUGACAUCGGCAACUUUGAUGAUAAAUCAUAUAUGAAUAGGAUUUGAUACUCCAGAUAAGAAUAGUUAAUGAUACUAAUCGGUUGUGUUAAUAUCGGUACGUGAAUGUAAGUUAUUAGUCUAUCCCAAUAUUAAAAGACUAAUGAUACUAAUGAGAUUUAUUAGUGUCGGCGAUUACUUUCUAGAAAAUAAAAGGGAAAAUAUUGAUUAGUUAUUCCAAAGGAAUGAGAUAAGCUAAUGAUACCAAGAGAGAAAUGUCUUGGUAUAAAGAGAGAAUUGAUUUAUAAGGAGAUGGUGUUCGAAAAUCAUUGAGUUGUGUUGAGAUUUCCAAGAUGAAAUUAUUCUCAACAAAUGGGAAAGGAUAUUAGAUGGAUAUUGGUAAUAGAUUGAAAAUGCAUGUUGUAAAAGAGGUUUAUACCUAAUUUUAUGUCUCAAAAGAAAUUCUAUGAAGAUUAUUACCUAUCAUUGUUAUUGUUUGUUACUACCUUUUUAUAUUUAUGUGUACACGUUAAUUUCUAUUUUCAGGUCCAUCAGGGUCGCGUCCGGAAUGAUAUUGGUUUAGUUACCUUUUGCUUUUGACCAUGUAAUUAUUUGUAAAUUAAGAGUCUUAUAUCCUAAAACUUGAAAUAUAAUAUUAAUCCGUAAAUUUGAAUGUAUGACUUUAAUCUAAUGUUUGUAACUUUAAGUACCUAUUUAACCAUGCAUGUUUAGAGUUGAAAACAAAUCUUUCACUUGAAUUACAUUAUAUGACGUUAUUGAAUAACAUGUGUUAUGUUGAUGAUGAUGAGUUGGGUUGAGAUCUAGGAUGAUUGGAUUAGGAUGUGAACUAAAAUUGGAAGUAUAAUAUGAUUUUGUCGAUAACUUGGGACCUCCUAGUAUAGGGGAGACUCUGCCAAAAUUUUGGUAGACAUUUGGUGGAACCGGUAUAUUAAAAAAAAAAUUACUUGAAAAUUUCCAAUGUAUCGUGAAAAAAGGAUGUUGGAAAUCAAGGUUGUUAUAGUAACAGUUGAAAAUUGGACAGUAACAGUUCAAUGUCUAGACAGUAACGGUAGGCUUUCACGUGAAUACUAUAUAUGCAAGAAUAUAAAAGAAUUGAGUCAUACGAACACUUGCACAUUGAGAUACUAACUCUGAAAAUAUACAUGAUAUAUGUAUGUAUGUUAUUAUGAGGAAAUGAACAUAUAUAGAAAGUAACAUAUGAGUAAUGGAUGAAUAUGGAUUCUCUAUAAUGUCGACUUGAAGGAAUCAUAACCAAAAACUUCCUUAUGAUUCAGGAGGAGCAACCAGGAUUGGAUUUUCUAAUAGGGGAGGUCGCGAGACAAGUGAAGCAGGUGCAUGAUUCUCCUCCUAUUUGGACUUAUACAAUUUAGAAUUCUUAUGGUGAAUGCAAUUACAAUAAAUGUCGUGUUUAAUGUAAAUAAAAAUCUAGCGUAAAUAUAAGAUUAGGAGAUGAUUUACAAGAUUAGCUUUGGCUAAUGGCAUCCGUGAUAGGAUUGCCGGGAGAUGAAUUACAAGAUUAGCUUCGGCUAAUGGCAUCCGUGAUAGGAUUGCAGGGAUAUGAAUUACAAGAUUAGACUUGGCAAGGUCACCCAGUUCAUGCAAGUAAAUAAGAGUAUUCAAAUCAUGGAUAUACAAAUGAGUGUUAAUUAGGUUUAAAAGACUUACAAGCAAAAUAUAAGUUCUUUGUUAGAAUUCUUAUGGGUCCGAUAGAAAGUUAAUACUUCAUUCGUAUUCAUUACAUGAGCAUCUAUAUUCUUUAUCAACAUAAUGAUAUGUUUAAUUAUGUAACAGGUCCAUCAAAUAUCCAGGAAGAUCAUUAGUUUAGGACUCUACUUUGCGAAGCUUAUGUAAAUAUUUAACUUAAACAAAAGGGAAUUAACGUGUUUAUGUAGUAUAUUUUUGUGUAAACCUUGAUGUAUUUAUAAAAGUUCAAUUUUGCAUGUGUUAUUUUAGUUAUCUUGUAAUUAACCCUUUUGAAAUAUUUAAGAACACUUAUUAUGUUGUAAAUACUUUCUUUGCAUGUUAGUAUUCCUUUCCUUUUAAAUUUUACGAUAUGAUGUUUGGACUAUGUUCAUAUUGAACUUACUCAUAGGAUAUAUAUAUAUAUAUAUAUAUAUAUAUAUAUAUAUAUAUAUAUAUAUAUAUAUAUGGUGUGGAAUUAUGAGGUAUGAUAUAAGAUCCGAAAUUAUGGGACCUAAUGAUGAUGGGUUGAUUGAGUAAAUUGAUAGUAGUUGAUAACUUGGGAUGUCACUCUGCCGAAUUUUUGGAAAAAAAAAAAUUUACCCUCAGAUAAAGAGGAUAUGUUAGGAUCUUUUAACAUUGAUCAAGUCGUACAGUUCGGACCGUUACAACACUCAAUGAACAUGAUUUACCCAUAAAGGAAAAAGAGACAUUCCUUACUUCAAGUUUGCUUUACUUAUGAUGUAGGCUAAGGACAACAACAACUGCAAGUUAAAGAGGGAUAAUCAUUAGAUUGUGUGUUGGGACAAAAUAAAUAAUUUUUUUAAUAUCCGUGAUCAGUACCGGUGAAUAUGAUAGAAUGGAAGACUCCCCUUCAUUAUCUAAAAAUAAAUAAAUAAAAUCUAGAUUAUCCUUCUAUUGUGUAUCAAAUUUAUGCUUUUUAUUGGUCAGUGAUUUUAAAUCCGGUUUGGUGGUCGACCCGACCCAAGGGGUUCUAGUCACGAGUUUUGAUCGGGUCACCUGAGUCAACUCCAAUUUUUUUAUAAAUCAAAACGAUAUCGUUUUUUAUUAAAAAAAAUCAACAGGUUGCAACCGGGUUUUUUAAUCCAUUUCAAGGGCAAUAGCAUUUAGAUCCAUUUCAAUAGCAUUGAUUCCAUCAGGGGCUCCGGUGUAUAGUGAGGACCUUGCUGUUAGAAACUAUGGAGCCCACUAUUUAUUAAUCCAUUUCUAUUUACUACUUAUUACUAUUUAUUUUUAUUUACUAUAUUUUUGUUUGUGAUACCCGGUACCAAUACAAUUUGAGAUUCCUUCAAUUUUUAAGGUGCAUGCAAGUCUAAUGGCUUCAUGUACAAAAUCAAUUCAAGGGUGUGUAUCCUUAACUAUCAGGCUAACCUUUACAAGCUUGGCAAUCGAUAAUUAAUUUUUAAUGAAUUCAAUUUUUUUUUAAAUAAGGAAAAGGACAUUGGUGAAUAAAUUGUUUCCUUCCUAUUAUAAUUGUUAGACCUUACCAAAGGGCUAAUUUAGAAAAAGAUUGUAACUUAUAGGUCACUAGGGCCGAGGUCAACUUGUGACUAAGUAGAUCAAUUUAAAUUAAUUAUUUUUAUUAAAAUAAUAAUGUUUUGUUUUUUUUCUUGAUAUUAAUUUGGCUAAUUUUUAUCAAAUCAAAUCACUAAGAACUUAACCAAAUCAAAUUUCAUCAAAUCAAUAAUAUUUUAUGUAGUUGAAUUAAAAAUUCAAUUCAAUUCUAGCUCUGAACCCUGAUUUUUUUUUUGUUCAAUCUAGCAUACAGGUUUAUCAAAUAUGCUUCGCGCUUGCAGCUGUGGUUUGCUGCGGGCAUUUGAUAAUUGGAUUACUGUAAAGAUUAUUGUUGUCAUUUCCAACUUCAUGCAUGUUGCUAGCACUAGAAGUUGACCCAACCACCCUUUCUACCAUGCUCUCAUUAGGACCAAAUAGUUCUCCGUGUGCAUACCAACACAGGUAAUCUUCCAUGAACCAUUUGGUUAGAAGAUGCAUCGUUACAACAUUUUGAUGCAGAAACGUUUUAUUUUUACACUUCCUGCAUGGACACCUAAUACCGCCAUCAGUAAAAUUCGUCGGAAUAGAUGUUGCGAAAUUAAUAAAACCCAGAACCCCGUUAUAAUAAUCCAUCCUCCGCAAUCCUUGGGGUGAGUCCCGAUACAUCCAUGAACGAUCAUCCAUGACUUCUAUCGAACCUCUAUAAAAUUAUGACGACAACAUGUAUUAAUUAACUAUGUUACGUAAAUAAAUUUGCAAAAAUAUUGGUUUGCCCCAACAUUAUCCAACAAACUAAAAAAACACUUAUGUUAAAUAUUCAUUAUCAAUUAUCAAUUAUCAAGGUCCAUACAAAUUUAUAUAUAUAUAAAUUUAUGAAAUCACAACUUCGCAAUAGAAUUGAUAAAAAUUAAAACAGACCCGUUAAACAAGCUAUUAUUUAUUUCAUCACAACAUAUCUAAUUCGGUGUAAUUCAAACAAAGUUUCAAUAAUUUACAAAUAAAUACAAUUUGACAAAAUCUAAAACAAACUAUAACAACUAUAAAAUUCUACAUUCAUACUACAAGUUUCUUUGACAAAUAACAAUCAAACAAGUACAUACGUUAACAAAAAUAUACAUAUACUAAAAAAAAAUGACAUUUAAAUGUUAAAACUAAAAGGAUAAAUUUACUUACAAAAAAUGAUAAAAUCCACAAUAAACUGCUCGGAGAACGGAUGUUGUGACCACGUACAAAAGUAUAAGAAACUUGAGUGCUUGUGUUGAGAAGAUGGGGGAGUUGGGAUGGGUGGUUGGCUGCAGUUUGGGAGGGCAGAGUUGGGAUGGGGAAAAAGAAGGGGAAGAAGAAGGAGAAAUAGGGCAGAGAGUGUCGGCAGAGUGGAUAAUAUAUUGGCUUUUACCGAUGGAAUCACCGACUGAACGUUUCCGUUGGUGAGUCGGCCAGUGAAUGUGCCACAUCACUGUAUGGCGAUCCCGGUUUGAAUCCCUCGGUAAUUCCAUCGGUAAAAUCAUCUGAAAAAAAUCCACGUCAUCACACCGUUGCAACUUUUCAAAAAACUAUAUAAUCCGUCAGUGAUACCGUCGGUAUAUAGCGACGGUAUCGCCAACGGAAAUUGUCUGUCGGUAUAUACCGACAGAAGUAGAGACGGAAUUAUUUUCGUCGGUAAUUUUUACCAAUGAAAAAAGUCUGUCGGUAAUUCCGUUGGUUUUCGCCGAUUUUUUGGUAGUGAAAUCUUAUUUAAAUUAAAAAGCCAAAAAUGAACUCAUCUACUCUUUGCAAGAAUGGACUAAAAUCCGCAUAAUUAAAUAGUACUGUUACUGUAAACUACUAGGAAAUUCAUGGGUAGAGCCAAAAUGUUAACAAUAGCAUUGAUUCGACCAAGUAAGGGGCUCACUAUUUAUUAAUCCAUUUCUAUUAAGGAAAUAACCAUAGAAAUUAUGGAGCCCACUAUUUAUUAAUCCAUUUCUAUUUACUACUUAUUACUAUUUAUUUUUAUUUAUUAUAUUUGUGUUUGUGAUACCCAGUACCAAUAAAAUUUGAGAUUCCUUCAAUUUUUUAGGUGCAUGGUCUAGUCUAAUGGCUUCAUGUACAAAAUCAAUUCAAGGGUGUGUAUCCUUGACUAUCAGGCUAACCUUUACAGGCUUAGCUAGCAAUCGAUAAUUAUUUUUUAAUGAAUUCAUUUUUUUAUUUAAAAUAAGGAAAAGGACAUUGUUACACCUUAACUAUUAUAAUUGUUACACCUUACCAAAGGGUUAAUUUAGAAAAAGAUUAUAACUUAUAGGUCACCAGGGCCGAGGUCAACUUGUGACUAAGUAGAUCAAUUUAAAUUAAUUAUUUUUAUUAAAAUGAUAAUGUUUUGUUUUUUUUCUUGAUAUUAAUUUGGCUAAUUUUUAUUAAAUCAAAUCACUAAAAACUUAACCAAAUCAAAUUUCAUAUUUCAUCAAAUCAAUAAUAUUUUAUGUAGUUGAAUUAAAAAUUCAAUUCAAUUCUAGCUCUAAACCCUGAGUUUUUUUUUUUUUUUGUUCAAUUUAGCAUACAGGCUUAACAAAUAUGCUUCGCACUUGCAGCUGUGGUUUGCUGCGGGCAUUUGAUAAUUGGGAGAGGCUUUAGUUUCGUACCUGUUGUUCUGCUUCAUGUACACUCGGACCUCUUAUUUUAUUUUAUAUUGGUUGGAUCCAAACUUAAUCCAACACAAAAUUAACAUAUUUAUUAUUUAUUUAAGAUAAAUGAUAUAGGUUUAACAUAUUAGCGAACACUUAAUAUGAUUAAAUUUAAUUUUAAUUAAUUAACAUCUCACCGUAAUAAAUUUUACCAUUUGCAACCAAAAAACAGUUGACACCUUAUUAAUAUAAUCAAUAUAGUAGAAAAAUUAUAGUGAUUUAAAACAAUUCAUUAAAAUGUUCGUAAAUGUUUUUAUUUUGUGACAAGGAUUUUCAUGUUAUCUGUUAUGUAUUGUUACUGUUAUAAUCCAUUUCUAGAUUAUUUCUCAAAUUCCAUAAUUAGAUUUUUAAUAGGUCAAUUUGAUUUAAUCAUUGGCCAAAUUAAAUUUUAAUUAUGUUUAAAAUUUUAUUUGGGUCCUAUUGAAGGAUUUAAUUAGAUGCAAUGACUUAACUUUACUUUAAAUGGGUCAAAUUAAAUUUAUAAGGGUAAAAUUGCAAGAAAAUCAAAGUUUUUGGGGUCAAUUAAGGGCUAAAUUAAAAAAAUUCACAGCCAAGAACUAUUUUGCAAAAGACGCUAAACUAUAGAAACUCAAUUGAUUGAAAUUAGAGAUGGAAAUGAAAGAAUUGAAAGUUUAAGAAUCAAUUGAGGGUUAAAUUGCAUAAAUCCAAGACCAAGGAUCAAAAUGAAAUAGGUGUUGAAAUUUGAGGCUGACAUUCAAGUUCGGCAGAGGCAAAAUUGCUUAAAAUUGAAAGUUUAAGGUCAAUUAGGGAUGCAAUUGAAAGAAAUUAAAAGUCGGAGGACCAAACUGAACUUUGGCCAAAUCCCUAAAAUAAAACCUUAAGAGCCAAAACAACGUUGUUUCAUUUAAAUGCAUUUAAAUGAAACAACGUAAAUGAAACAACGUUGUUUUGACAAAACAGUACCAAAAAAAAAAGGCAAACCAGACAACGCAUCAUCUAGACUGUUCAUCUUCUUCAUCAUUAGCCUCCUAGAAAGCUUCUCAAAUGGCCACUUUCUCAAGGCAUUUAAUGUCUUUUCUCUCCAUCAAAUUUGAUAAAAUUUGCACGCAAACGGUGGCCUAACAUCUGGUGUUGUCCUUUAUGGCUGAUUGACGCCACAGCGGUUAUGGCACCGCCUUAAAGUGGCCAACCCGACUAGCCCUUCUGUAGUAACUUGUCAAACCAUGAUUGCAACUUUAAGUCAAUGGUUGAGAUCUUUCAGAGUUGAAUUAGGGGCUAAGAUUUAGCAACUUUAAAUCAAUUAUUGCAAAGUCAAUGCUUUUAUUUUGUGACGACGAUUUUUGUGUUAUCUAUUAUGUGUUGUCAUUGUCAUAAUCUGUUUCUAGAUUAUGUUUCAAAUCUAUCUUCUUUCUUUUCAAAAUAAAAAAGAUCAAAAAAUAAUAAUAGCCAGAAAACUAGCAUUUUGGCAAAAGCAAGUUGGGAAAAUUUCAAAUGUAGAAUUGCAAUUUUGGAUGGAAUUGGGAGCCUAAUUAUAUCUUAUUUAUCCAAAACUAGAGAAACAAUACAAAUUCAAUGUCAAGUUAAAUGAUUAUUGAAUGAAUCUUUAUAAAAAUUAAGUCUAAGGACAUAAUUAGAUUUUAAAUAGGCUAAUUUGAUUUAAUCAUGGGCCAAAUUAAAUUUUAUUUAUGUUUAAGAAUUUAUUUAGGUCCAAUUGAAGGAUUUAAUUAGAUGCAAGGACUUAAUUUUACUUUAAAUUGAUCAAAUUAAUUUUAUUAGGUGACUUAAUUAGUGAAAAAUUAAGUUUGGGAGCCCAAUUUGAGCUUAAUUGAGAAGAUUGAUAUUUUAGGAUGUCGUACAUGGACGUGCAACAUCGGGGGGUCAUUUGGAGUCGUCACCUAGUUAUUUAGUUCAAGGUCGCUAAAAAACCUAGGUAUAUUGGUCUUGUUAGAGAUUCGAGAGUAAAUGACUAGUUGUGGCUAAAAAAGGUAUUAACACCCCUAACGCAACCUACCCAGGUAAGUUACUUUGUGAUUAGAUGUGGUUUAGAGAUUUUAAUGGUUUUUUAAUAUAUCUAUAGUUUAGGAUUGCGUUUUGCAUGUAUGAAUAAAUUUGAUGUUUAAUAAUUUAUUAUGGACUCUUGUACCCAGAUCAAUUCUUAGAAAAAAAAGUUCUUCGUAAUUUAUGUAUUGUGGUAAAAAUUACUCUCAAUAAAAAUUAAUGAUUAUUUAGAAUAACUUUGAGGAUUUUCUGGUCAACUCCAAUAUUUCAAAUAUCAGCCUCACUUAUAGGUAUAGCGUUUUAUAUCAAGAUUUUUAACCAUUAAUUCUCAUGAAUUAAAAAAUAGUGGUCUAUUAAAAUAUUGAUCAAAUUCACAUGAAUUUAAUAAACUAGUUAUUAAAUUCUAAAAUGCAUAUUCAUAUAUAAUAUUUUAAUUUGUUUUUAAAUAAAAAAUAUUUUUAAAAAGUAUGUGCCACAAUACCAAAUUAUAGUAUAAAUUAAAAGAGAAAGUAGUUUUCUCUUCAUCACUAUUCACUUAUAUUCAUUUCACUAUGGAUAUUAAUAGUGAAUUUUUUGAAAAUUUCCAAUGUGGUAUUCAAUUAUUUUCUUCACAAUUGAGCUCUUUUAAAUUCAAAUUAGAGUCUAAUUGCAUAUUUUUUCAAGGAUGAGGAUUGAAUUGAAAGACAUAGGACUAAAGUGAAAAACUCGACUAAAAUAAGUGGUGGCUUUGCAAUUUGUUUGCAAAGUUCAUUUUAGUCCCUAUAUUUUUUCAUCAUUUUAUUUUGAUACCAAACUUUAUUUUCCUCUGUUUUUAGUUUUUUUUUGUGUAGGAGAGAGAGAGAGAGGAUCACUGAAUUUCAUUUUAGAGAGAGAAAGUUGUUGUUGGGGAUUUUGGCCACCAAAACGGUUGAUUUUUGUGUCAAAUUAUUAUGUCUUAAUUUAACAAGAUUCCUUGGAUAUUUUCUAGGUGUUUUGGAUCAAAAUGAGUUGAAAACAAGUUUUUUGAUAAAAAAAAAAUCAAGCCUCCUUUUUCUAGCCAUACUAGUAAUCGAAAUCCGGGGACGCAUUGACGACACAUCGUUUGUUGAGGAAAACGCCGUGUCAUUUUUUUUCAAAGCAUUGGGGUGACGACGUGUCAUCCGCCCUAUUAACUUAAAAAAAGUUAAAGGCUUGUGCGUGUGUGCCGACUUUGCAAGUCAGUGCGCGAGCCUUUGAUGGGUGGGCCAAACACUCUAAGCUUGACUCUCCAAGCUCAGCAAUGUCUGACUUCAUUCAUUUCCUUUUAUUAUUAUUAUUAUUAUUAUUAUUAUUACCUAUAUAUAUAUAUAUAUAAGAAAAUAAUUAAGAAAAUAAUUUUAAAAUGAUGUUUUCAUUAAUACUCGUUCUCUAUGUUAAUAUGAUUUAUUUGUAAUGUUUUAUAUAUAUUUCAGAUAUAUUAAGUAUUAUUUUUUUAUGUGUGUGUCGAUUUCUCUUAUAUAUUGAUUUUAGUAAACAAAUUCAUUAAAUAUAACCAGAGAAAUGACUCAUGUUGCAAUAUUAAAUAUCUUGAUCUAUAUUUGUCCCUCAAUUUUUCCACUUGCUUUUUUAAUUAUCGAUAAUGACUUUGUUUUUUUUAUUUAUUCACACAAUAAAAAAACACUUUGAGAAAUUAUUAGGCUUUUCUAUUAUUUAUUUGAAGGGAAUAACUUUUUUAUACUUAUACAAUAUUGUAAGGUUUUAUAGUUUUAAUAUAUAAAUGGUUGUAAUAGCUUUUUGGCAUGUGAGACUUGGAUAAAUGAAAAUCAAAUAUUUUGGGUGUCUAUCUUAUAGUUAUGAUAUUUUUAGUAUUUGAGGGUUUUGACUUGGAAUAAAUCUUGUUAUUAUUCGUUUUCGUUUAUAUCAAUUUGGUUAGUGUCUUAGGACCAAAAGAAAAGAAUCAAAAUGAAAAAAACACAUUUGAUUUAAAAUAACUUAGAUAGAGAUAUAAAAUAAAUAUAUUUCUAAGAUAUUUUUUGAAUGAGUUUCUAUCAUUACAAAACAAAAUGUGCAUGAAAAUAUGUUUCAUCUAUCUCCACCAUCUCUAUUUUUAAAAAAAGAUAUACUCUAACCAUCUAGGUGGUGGCCUAGUGGUAAGAGCUUGGGACCAAGAGGUUUGCUCCCUCUGUGAUCUCAGGUUCGAGCCCUGUGGUUGCUCAUAUGAUGGCCACUGGAGGCUUAUAUGGUCGUUAACUUCAGGGCCCGUGGGAUUAGUCAAGGUGCGCGCAAGCUGGCCCGGACACCCACGUUAAACUAAAAAAAAAAAGAUAUACUCUCUUCCCAUUUUCUCUCCCUGCUGAAUUUUGGAAACCACCCACACAACAAUAGCCCUCACAACCACCAACAUGAUUUUUUUUAAUCUUAUUUAGCCUUUCUUCAAUUAUUUGUAAUUAUGUUGGGUGUGUUUAGUUUUUUAAAAAAUUAGUAUAAUUCAUCUGUAAUUUUUUAUAUAUAUUUCACAUAAAUUAAGUAUUUAUUUUUUUAUAAUAUUUUGAAUAUGUUUAUCCUUGAAUUUUUUUUCUUUUUAUGUUAUUCAAUAAAUUUGAUGUGUGUGUUGAUUUCUAUUAUAUAAUGAUUUUAGUAAACAAAGUCACUAAAUAUAGCAAGGUAAAUGACCUAUGUUACAAUAUUAAAUAUCUUGAUCUAUAUUUAUCUCUUAAUUUUCCACUUGCCUUUUUAAUUAUGGGUAAUGACUUUGUCUUUAUUUAUUUAUUUACACAAUGGUUCGUGCUUUGUUUAAUUCGAUACGUGCCUAAUUUUUUCGAUUUACAUUUAUGAUUUUUUUAAUGUAAAAAGAACGCGUUAAGAAAUUCUUAUUCUUAUGAUUUUAAUUUAAUCCUUAUUCUUAUGAUUUCUUUCUUUUUUCCUUAACCCUUUUAUAACAAAAAUAUUGUUUGUAAUUUCACCCUUCAAUUCAAUGUGAUGGUGUAUUGUUUUUGUUUUUUUAUUUUAUUUUGAUCCUCAUUGAUCGCUUCUUUAUAUAUAUAUUCUUGUUUGUUAUUAUUGCCUUAUAUAUAUAUGAUUCAAAUAAAAUCAACUUAUUUAAGUCGGUCCGGACUAUAAAGUUAUUUAAUGUUUUUUUUUUUAAAGAAACACGCUUGUAAUAUAGUGCGGAAACCAGCAGGUGAGACUUGAGUAAAUGAAAAUGAAAUAUUUUGAAUGUCUUUCUCAUAGUUAUAUUAUUUUUAAUAUUUGAGGGUUUUAAUUUGGAAUAAAUCUUGUUAUCAUUCGCUUUUGUCUUGUCAAUUUGGUUAGUGUCUUAGAAAAACAUAGGAUUCAAAAAGAGAAAAACAUAUUUGAUUUAAUAUAACAUAGAUAGAGAUAUAAAAUAAAUAUAUUUCUAAAAUAUUUAUGGAAUGAUUUUCUAUCAUAUCAAAAUAAAAUGGGCAUGAAGAUUUCUUCUAUCUCCACUAUCUCUAUUUUUAAAAAAAGAUAUGCUCUAUUUUCCCAUUUCCCAUGAAAAUGGGCUGAAUUUUGGCGACCACCCACACAACGAUAGCCUACACAAUCACCAGCCAUGCCACUUUUCAAGACCCCAUCUCUCAAUCUCAAAACCAGAAACAACCCCCUUCUCCAUUAAACCGAAUCUCAUAACUCCAGGAAAGUGAAGGACCAAACCAUACUGUUAAAAAUCUUAAAGGGUUUUAAAUUAUCUCUUUUACUUUCCCUCAAUUUUCUAGACAAGAAAAAGGAGCUAAACUUAUUCCCCACCAAAAUGUCAAGAAUUUCAGUAGAACGAAAGAAGAGAUUAUUACUUGACCAAAAAACAACUAGUCAGCACCCAAAGAAACCGAGUGAAUGAGAGAAAAAGACUAAUAGCUAGGAAACAAUCAACAAAUCCAAGAACUUUCUAUACGGUUUCCAAGAAAAUGAAAAGAAACGAGCAAGACAACCCUCUUUCUCCUCUUUCAGUGUUCAAAAAAACAAAGAAACGUAAAAGAGGACUUUUCAAAGUCAGCUAAGUAUAUGGCUUAUUAUAUUCAUAGAGAGAGGCGGAAUUAAUUUUAUAAGCCAUGUAAAAUAUAUCUUUUUUCUUGGCAACCAAACACAACCAGAAGCCCAAAUGAAAACAAUUUUGACGAAUUCCCACCAAACAAUUGAACUGCUGUUGUAACUAAGAUUUUCAGUUAUACGUAAUUUUUGUGGUCCAAAGGACAAAUAAUUUUCUUUUCUUUUAUUUUAUCAGCUUAAUUUCACUUGUGGACUUGAUGGGCAACCAGACUUGCAAAUUGAGGUUCAAUCUCGUAUGCACAAUUAAAUCUCGUAUGCGUAAAUUGCAAGCAACAAAUUUUAAAGUGAAUUUGGUUACUGAAACUGGUUUGACAACGACUCAAAACAAUCUGAAAGUGCAAAAGAAAGGAAACAAAUUCAAGAAAAAACAAAAUGCUAAUAAGAAGCAUAGAGUUUGUUUCCAUUGUGGAAAUAAAGAACAUUAGAUAAAAUAGUGCGGAUUCAAGAAUUUCAACAAGAAAGGUGGUUCUUUCAAAGUAAAUAUGGUUGAACAAGAUGAAGGCAGGGAGUUAGUUGUCAUGGUUUCAAACAUUCAAAUUUGAAUGAUUACCGAAUUAAAUAUGGCAACUAAGUUAUAAAGACUUCAGAUUGGUGGCUGGAUUCUGGUGCAACAGUUCUUGUUUGCAACAACAAAGCAUGGUUCAAGACUUAUGAAGAAUUGAAAAAACCUGAAGAGGUCUUGAUGGGCAACCAUAAUUCUGCCAAAGUUUUGGGAAAAGGAACUAUUGAGUUGUACUUUACUUCUGGACAAAAAUUAUCUUUACUCAAUGUGUUUCAUGUUCCUGAAAUUACAAAAAAACCUUGUAUGCAGUUUUGGGAAAAGGAACUAUUGAGUUGUACUUUACUUCUGGACAAAAAAUGUCUUUACUCAAUGUGUUUCAUGUUCCUGAAAUUACAAAAAACCUUGUAUCUGCUAGUCUCUUGAGCAAGAAAGGGUUCAAGAUUGUUUUGGAGUUUGAUAAGGUUAUUGUAACUAAGAGUGGGAUGUUUGUGGGAAAGAGUUAUUCUUGUGAUGGCAUGUUUAAGUUCAGUAUUAAUGAAAUCAAUGUUAUUUCUGCUUAUAUGGUUGAAUCUACUUCUCUUCUUUGGCAUGCUAGAUUAGAACAUCUAAAUUAUAGAUAUUUUAAAUAUAUGUGUAAGCAUGGUUAUAUUUCAUAUCAAUAUAAUAAUAAAAACAAAUAUGAAGUAUGUAUUCAAGAAAAGAUGAAAAAGAAGUCUUUUUCUAAAGUAGAAAGGAAUUCUCAAUUACUUGAGUUGGUCCAUUCUGAUAUAUGUGAAAUAAAUGGUAUGUUAACAAGGGGUGAGAAAAGAUAUUUCAUAACUUUCAUUGAUGGUUAUUCUCGUUUUACCUAUGUUUACUUUUAAGAACUAAAGAUGAAGCCUUUGGAAAAUUCAAGAAAAUGGUAGAAAAUCAAAAGGAAAGGAAAAUUAAAGUUCUUAAAAGUGAUAGAGGUGGAGAAUACUUUUCUAAGGAUUUUUCUACAUUUUGUGAGGAAAACGGAAUAAUCCAUCAAAUGAUAGCACCCUAUACACCACAACAUAAUAUGGACUUGCUGAAAGGAAAAAUAGGAUCUUAGUGGAUAUGGUCAAUGCCAUGCUUUUGAAUGCUACAUUACCAAAUAAUUUAUGGGGUGAAGCCUUACUUACUACAUGUCACAUUCAUAAUAGAGUACUAUCUAAAAGAUUAAAUGUUUCUUCCUAUGAAGCAUGGAACAGUAGAAAACCAAAUCUGAAUUAUUUUAAAGUAAGGGGGUGUGUAGCUUUUUAUAAAAGUUCUAAUCCUUAAAGAACAAAAUUAGGACCCAGAAGUCUUAGGAGUGUUUUUGUUGGUUAUGCACAAAAUUUAAAGGCUUAUAGACUUUUGGAUUUAGAAACUAAUGUGAUUGUUGAAUCUAUACAUGUUGAAUUUAUCGAAUAUAAAUUCAUAAGUGAUUCAAAUGUGCAAGAACCAAAUCUAAAAGUAAUAACUCCUAGCUCAACGUUAAGUGAAAAAUGUAAAAACCUAGAAGUAAUAGGUUCAAGUGAACCUAAAAGAAGUCAAAUAGUUAGAAAGGAAAAACACAUAGAUACAAAUUUUAUUUCUACUGAUUCAAUUGUAUUUUUAGUGGAAGGUGAUAGAAAUACAAUAUUAAAAAAAAAACACCUAUGAUCCUAACUAUAGAAGAUGAUCCAAAGACAUUCGGUCAAGCUAUGACUUUUAAGGAUGUUGCUUUUUGAAAAGAAGCGGUAAAUGAUGAAAUGGAUUCAAUAUUGUCUAACAAUACUUGGGUCCUAAUAGAUUUACCUCCAGGUUAUAAGCUAAUAGGAUGUAAGUAGGUGUUUAGAAGAAAAUACAAUACUGAUGAUUCUAUACAAACCUUCAAGGCAAGAUUGGUUGCCAAAGGUUUUACUCAAAAUGAGGGUGUUGAUUAUUUUGGCACUUAUUCUCCAGUGGCAAGAAUUACAUCAAUUAGAGUUUUAUUUGCAUUAGCAUCAAUUUAUAAAUUGUAUGUUCAUCAAAUGGAUGUAAAGACAACUUUCCUAAAUGGAGAUUUAAAGGAAGAAGUGUAUAUGGAGCAACCUGAGGGUUUUAUACUUCCUGGAAAUGAAGAAAAAGUCUGUAAAUUGGUAAAGUCUUUAUAUGGUUUAAAACAAGCUCCGAAAUAAUGACAUGAAAAGUUUGACAAAACAAUUUUGUUGAAUGGUUUUCAUCACAAUGGUGCUGAUAAGUGUAUGUAUUCCAAAUUUACAAAAGAUUUUGGUGUGAUUAUUUGUCUCUAUGUAGAUGACAUGUUAAUAUUUAGCACCAAUAUGAUUGGAAUAGUUGAAACCAAAAGGUAUCUCACUUCUAUCUUUAAAAUGAAAGAUCUUGGUGAAGUAGAUACAAUUUUAGGUAUCAAAGUUAAGAAACAUAGUAGUGGCUAUGCACUUAAUCAAUCACAUUAUAUUGAGAAAAUGCUCGAUAAGUUUAAGCAUCUCAAUAUAAAGGAGGCUAAUACCUCAUUUGACUCUAGCAUGAAGUUAAAUGAUUAUUGUGAUAAAGCGAUAGCGCAACUAGAAUAUGCUAGUGUCAUUGGAAGUCUUAUGUAUGCUAUACAUUGUACAAGACCAGAUAUAGCUUUUGCUAUAUGCAAGUUAUCAAGAUAUUCAAGCAAGCUGAAUACAGAUCAUUUGAAGGUUAUUGCAAGAGUCUUUGGUUACCUAAAAAUAACGAUCGAUUUAGGCUUGUUUUAUUCUGAUUUUCCAAUUGUGAUGGAAGGAUAUAGUGAUGCAAGUUGGAUGACUAGUUCAAGUGAUAAUAAGUCCACAUCAGGAUGGAUUUUCUCACUUGGAGGAGGUGCAAUAUUUUGGGCAUCUAAGAAACAAACAUGCAUCUCUCAUUCUACCAUGGAAUCAGAAUUUAUUGCUAUAGCUGCUGCAGGUAAAGAAGCAGAAUGGCUAAGAAAUAUGUUGUUUGAUAUUAAGUUGUGGCCACAACCUAUGUCAGCUAUUUCUUUAUGCUGCGAUAGUGAAACAACUAUGUCUCGAGCUUAUAGUAACAUUUACAAUGGUAAGUCAAGACAUACAAGCAUUCAACAUGGAUAUAUUCGAGAGUUGAUUACAAAUGGUGUAAUCACCAUUGUCUAUGUGAAAUCUGUGAAUAAUUUAGUGGAUCCGCUCAUAAAAGGACUAUCUAGAGACAUGGUACGAAAAACAACUAAUGGAAUGGGGUUGAAACCCGUUAUUCAAGAUACCAAUAAUAGGAACCAAACUUCGGAUUAGCAAGAAGCUUAUCUCUUAGUUUAAUGGGUAAUAACAAGUUACUGUUUUGUAUAUGUUGGACACUGAUAAUUAAUUUGAGUCCCUAUUCUAAUAGUAUUCAGUGUGUUCUAUUACGAAAAGUAGGAUGAGCAUGGGCUCUUAAUAAAAUUUAAAGUUCGUGUCUAAUGUAAUAGAGACAUGUAUAAUUCCACCUAUAUGAAUAUAAAAGUGGUGCCGCUUUUGACAAGACUUAGGGUUUUCUCUUAUAGAUAUUUAUGAAAAAAAAAAAUUAUGAUUUUAGCACAUGGCCAUAAUAGUGCUAAACAGUUGUAAACCUCUUUAAGAGUUUGGAUAGUAUUAUGUGUGUAGUAUCUUUUAUUCUACAACAAAAGUUUUGGUUUAAUCUACAAACACCAAUAACUUUAGUAGGAUUUAAGUUCUAACACUAAUUGAAGGUUUAAAUUGCAAAAUACCUUCUUGUAAGUAUAAUUCUAUCGAGUGAAAAGACCUUCAUUACAAACUAGUGGGGGAUUGUUGGUGUAGUUUAUAAAUGAAUAAAGAAAAGAUGUUUAUCACACAUUGGAAAGAAACACUCCCUCCUAAUGUUUCUAAGUGUGGGUUACUAUUGUGUAGUAAAUUAAGCCAUGGUGGACAAACUCUUCUAUUUGGCUUCCUAAUGUUAUUAUAUGGAUAUUUAUAAUAUCAAAAGAUAGCAUUUGGAACUUGGAAUUAAUAUGAACAAUUAUACUGUUUCAUGAAUAGUCAUAUUGUUUGAUGAUCAACCAUUGUGUUUCAUCAAUAGUCAUAUUGUUUUAUUCAUCAACAAUCAUAUUAUUUGAUGAACAAUCAUAUUGUUUCAUCGUUAUAUUUGAAGUCUAUAAAAGCAUAUUACUAUACAGAAAAGAAAUACAAUAAAAAAAACAUACAUUCUUUAAUUGGUCUUGAUCAACACCUCUUCUAAUUUCUUCAAUCUUCCAAUCACAUUCUCAGGAAUCCUACUUAGCCUUUCACAACCUGUCACAUCCAACAACCUUAACUCCUUGAGCUCUCCUAUUUCAUCAGGUAAUUCUUCAUUGGAGAGGCACCGCUUAAGACUAAGAAUCUUAAGUCUCUGCAGCUUUCUCAACCAAAUGAGGUCCUUGCAUUCACACAUGAUCAACACCAACGAUUGAAGUUUCGUUGAGAGUUCAAGUGAUUGCAAUGACAAACAACCUCCCUUCAGAGACAAAACUUCAAUUUCUUUCAUCCCUUCAAAGAACCUCUCUGGAACAUUCAUACCAUAAUCCACUUCUAACAAUAGAACUUUGAGCUGUGGACAUUCCAAUCCUUCAGGAAGUUCGGUUAAUUUAUUGCCCAUUAACGAAAUUGUUGUACAAGCUUCAAAGCUUUUGAUACUCAUUGGCCAUUCCUUCAACCCAAUGCCAGCCUUUAUUAUGAAUCCAUAUUCUUGUGAUGACGCUAUCCGAAUAGCAACAUCACGAACCAAGUCAUGCAUUUUCACAUGUUCAUCUGUUUCAGUGUCCAACAGCAUGCAACAAUCUUUGAGUUUUUUUAUUUCCACAUAAACUCGUUUCCUUGCAUCUCCAAUGGACUCCACAUCUUGAUGUAACUCAUACCCAACUGCGUAUCUCGUCAAGUCCUCAAUUGGAAUGUGGUAAUCUUCUGGAAAUAAACAACAUAGCAAGAAACAUAACUUGGUUUCCUUGCUUUUCAAAUAAUCAUAGCUCAACUUAAGACAUGCAUAUGCAGUUCUUUGUUCAUCAAUGUGUUCCAUGUCCGGAAAAUGAGAGUUUUUUAGCUGUCCAAUUGCUACUUCCCACUCAACUGCAGAUUUAUCUCUUAGAGCCAUUCCCACUGUCACAAGUGCUAUAGGCAAGCCUUGGCAUUCUCUCGCAACCUCCCUUGCCACUGUGUUCAAGGUAGAUUCCCCAACACGUAAACCUGCAUUGAUUCUGAAUAAAUCCCAUGCUUCUUUUUCAGGUAAGGGACUUAACAGCACUUUUUUCCGGCAUUCCGUAUAAGAACAUAUGCCUUGAAGACGUGUUGUUAGAAGAAUUUUACAACCCCUGUGAUCAUCACCAAAUGGGAUCCCUAUCUCUUGGAAGUCAAUAACUUUCCAAACAUCAUCCAGGAUAAUAAGCAUCCUCUCCACUUUCUUCAGUCUCUGCCAUAAUCGAUCUGCUCUCCCAUCUUUACUACUUCCUCUAAUAUCCAGACCUAACUUAUCUGCCAUUUGGUUCUGGAGGUCUGUGACAUUUGGAUUCUGCGACACCGUAGCCAUCAAAACUUCAUCAAAAAGCUGCGACUCUCUGGCUAUCGUGCCUACUUUUCGCACAAGGGUGGUUUUACCCACCCCUCCCAUGCCGCACAGUCCGAUCAUAUUGACUUUGUCAUCUUUGAGAGCUUCCAUAAUAUGUUCGAAAGCUUCUUCUGACGAUUUUGAGGGGGUGAAUUUCUUUGAUUGAAGAAAUUCUAUGGGCUGAGGAUGAGUUCUGUGGGACACUUUUGUAGACUUUUUUUCUAAAAGUUCUCUGAAAGUCUCCGACUUCUUGGCCAGUGCCUUGCUAAACUUGAAUUGUCGCAUGCAGUUUGGACACCAAGUGAAGCAUUUGCCAUUUUUUCCUAUUUCAUUUUCCAAGGGCUUCGCACCUUCAAUUUCGUUUUCUGCAUCUCCCAGCCACUUUUUGACAUCUUCGUAAAUUUCUUCAGCAUUCCUUUCAGCAUCUUUGACAUCGUCUUGCAGACGUUCUUUUUCCGAAACCAGCUUCUCCUUUUGUUGUUUGAAUUCUUUAACAAAAUCGUUGAAACAGAACAUGUAACGGAACUGCCUUCCUACUGGUUCCACCAUGAGUUCUGCUAUCUUAGAUAUAAUGGAUCCACCCACACUUUCGAUAGCCAUUUUCCACCAGUCUGGAAUCAGAGAAAUAAGGAUACCAAACGUGAGAGUGAGUCGUAGUAGAGGCAUAGAGAGAAUGAGAAAAGGAAUUUUAUUAACUUAAUUUGGGAAAAUAUGUGCGAAAAGCUCUGGCAAUCAAUGAAAUAGCGGGAGGAAGAAAAGGAGAAGGCCUCUAGCUCUGUACGGAAUCCAGCUUCAAAAGCAACAAGGCAAGGUUCAAACUGACACUUGUGAGUUGAAGUAGUAAUUCCCAUUAAAAAUGCAUCUUGAUGACAUAAUUAAGAUAAUAUAGAGACAGUGACAGAGAAAUAAAGAAACGAAUGAAAGUUUCAGGAUAAUCACUUAGACGCCUCUCUGGAUGAUACCAGCUCGCUUCCAACAACAAAUAUUAUUAACCUAAGCUAUGAUCGGUCAGUUUUUUUUAGUUUUCUUUUCUUUUCUUUUCUUUUAAAAACAGAUCAACAAGGGAAAAGACUUGCAAAGAAGUAGAAUUACUGGAACGAACUCAACAAAGGAUCAAACUCAAAAAAAUAAAAGUAAUUGUGUAUGAGAAGCAUUUCUGUGUCACACACUCAAGUAAUAUGAUUGACCUAUUACAUUAUACAAAUUAAUAAUAAUAAUAAUAAUAAAAGAACUAGGUUUUUGAUGGCAUCCAGAGUGCUGUUGCUUUGAAAUAAAGAGGCUUGUGCAUGUGGUGUUAUGCUGUUCAUGUAGGCUAAGUUCUCUCUUCUUGUCUUGCUAUUCUGAUUUUAUCUUUUUCUUUGCAUGAUAUAAGAGCAGGUUCUUACCUCUUGAAGUCUGCUGAAUAAACCUAUCAGCAGAAGAUCCUGAACCGAUCCCAAAUCACAGCUUCAAUCCCCACCACAGCCAAUCUCCUCUUUCCCGUAGUCUUGCGUCCUCAAUUGGGAAAUGAUCCAAAAUCAACAACCGGUCCGGAGAUAGUUUGUGUGAAAAGAAACGGCUGAAAGAUGAAAUGUGAAGGUUAUGGUGAGAAAUUAGAUGAGAAAUUGGAUUGCAAACGGGAUGGUGCAAACUGGUGGAGCAUUAGACUUUUUAAAAGACAACAAAAAGAAGCAAUGUCUCAUCUUUUGAUCAGUUUGUUGAUGAAGAUAUCGAAAGAUUGGAGUCUCCGUUUUAGCUUAGGUUGGAAGCAAGUCUGAAAAUUAAGAUUAUUUUAAAAGAAUUUUUAUUGAUGGUUUGUGAGAUUAGUAAUGAAGUAAUUUAUGACAAUUUAAUCUUUAAAAAAUUAUUUAAAAUUAAAAAAGAUUAGAUUUUUAGGUAAUAAUUCUAGUCGGUUAGGCAAUAUAAACAGUUUUUGCAAAGAUUCUACUACUGAUGUGUCCAUAUUACAUAGGAACAGAAUGCUAGAGAAUAACUUUCUUUUUAAAAAAAAAAAGGUCGAGAAUUUUCCUUAAAGCAGACACCCAUGAAGAAGAUCUAGUUACCUUAGCCAAGCUGCUCACUUUACAAAAUUGUAUCGUAAUAGUUUGCGUCCACUAGGAAGUCGAGAAUAGGAAAAGAAAAGGGACGCUUAGCGGACCCACAAAAUCUUGAAUUAUCCCUUACUUUUUCAAUGGUAAGGAUAUCCUCGUGUCACCUUCUACAUUAAGUUUUAUAAAAUCUUGAUUUUUUUUAAAUUAAUUUUUUAAGUUUUAAUUAUGAAUUGUUUAUGCAAAGAAACACAAGAAAAGGAAAAAUUUCUCAGUGUGUUUUCUGUUACUUGUUUAGCAAUAGCUAGCAAGGUUCUGCUUAAAAAUACCAUUGAACAAGGGAUGAACCAUUCAGCAAGGGAUUCUGCGAGGAAAACAUGAAAUUGUUAAGCAUAAUAAUAUGUUAAGCAUGACAAAUUUCAUUUAAAUUAAAAAGCCAAAAAUGAACGCAUCUCCUCUUGCAAGAAUGGACUCAAAAGUUCAGCUAAUCCGCAUAAUUAAAUAGUACUGUUACUGUAAACUACUAGGAAAUUCAAGGAAAGUUAACAAUAGCAUUGAUUCGAUCAAGUAAUAAUCAUAGAAACUAAGUACCAAUAAAAUUUGAGAUUCCUGCAAGUUUUUAGGUGCAUGGUCUAGUCUAAUGGCUUCAUGUACAAAAUCAAUUCAAGGGUGUGUAUCCUUGACUAUCAGGCUAACCUUUACAGGCUGAGCUAGCAAUCGAUAAUUAAUUUUUAAUGAAUUCAAUUUUUAUUUAAAAUAAGGAAAAGGACAUUGGUGAAUAAAUUGUUUCCUUCCUAUUAUAAUUGUUAGACCUUACCAAAGGGCUAAUUUAGAAAAAAGAUUUUAACUUAUAGGUCACCAGGGCCGAGGUCAACUUGUAAUUAAGUAGAUCAAUUUAAAUUAAUUAUUUUUAUUAAAAUGAUAAUGUUUUGUGUUUUUUCUUGAUAUUAAUUUGGCUAAUUUUUAUCAAAUCAAAUCACUAAAAACUUAACCAAAACAAAUUUCGUCAAAUCAAUAAUAUUUUAUGUAGUUGAAUUAAAAAUUCAAUUCAAUUCUAGCUCUGAACCCUGAUUAAGCAUACAGGUUUAGAAAAUAUGCAUCUCACUUGCAGCUGUGGUUUGCUGCGGGCAUUUGGUAAUUGGGAGAGGCUUUAGUUUCGUACUUGUUGAUCUGCUUCAUGUACACUUGGACCUCUUAUUUUAUUUUAUAUUGGUUGGAUCCAAACUUAAUCCAAUACAAAAUUAACAUAUUUAUUAUUUAUUUUAUUAUUUAUUUAAGAUAAAUGAUAUCGCUUUAACAUAUUAGCGUACACUUAAUAUGAUUUAAUUUAAUUUAAUUAAUUAACAUCUCACCGCAAUAAAUUUGACCAUUUGCAACCAUAAACAGUUGACACCUUACUAAUAUAAUCAAUAUAGCUGAAAAAUUAUAGUGAUUUAAAACAAUUCAUUAAAAUGUUUGUAAAUGUUUUUAUUUUGUGACGAUGAUUCUCGUGUUAUCUUUUAUGUAUUGUCGCUAUCGUACGUGAACGCCCGACAUGAGGGUCAUUUGAAGUCGUCAUCUAGUUGUUUAGUUCAAGGUCACUAAAAAACCUAGAAAUACUAGUCCUGUUAGAGAUUUGAGAGUAAAGAACUAGUUGUAGUUAAAGAUUGUAUUAACACUCCUAGCGCACCCUACCCAAGUAAAUUACUUUUGUGUUUAAACGUGGUUUAGAGAUUUUGAUGGUUUUCUAAUAUAUCUAUAGUUUAGGAUUGAGACUUGCUUGUAUGAAUAAAUUUGGUGUUUAAUAAUUUAUCAUGGAUUCUUGUACCCAGAUAAAUUCUUAGAAAAAAAAGUUCUUCAUAAUUUGUGUAUUACGGUAAAAAUUACUCUCAAUAAAAAUUCAUGAAUAUUUAGAAUAACUUUGAGGAUUUUUUGGUCAACUCCAAUAUUUCAAAUAUCAGCCUCACUUAUAGGUAUAGUGUUUUAUAUCAAGAUUUUUAACCAUUAAUUAAAAAAUAGUGGUCUAUUAAAAUAUUGACCAAAUUCACAUGAAUUUAAUUAACUAGUUAUUAAAUUCUAAAAUACAUAUUCAUAUAUAAUAUUUUAAUUUGUUUUUAAAUAAAGAAUAUUUUUAAAAAGUAUGUGUCACGAUACCAAAUUAUAGUAUAAAUUAAAAGAAAAAGGAGUUUUUUCUUUAUCACUAUUCACUUAUAUUCAUUUUACUAUGGAUAUUAAUAGUGAAUUUUUUGAAAAUUUCCAAUUUGGUACUCAAUUAUUUUUUUUCACAAUUGAGCUCUUUUAAAUCCAAAUUAGAGCCCAAUUUUAAACAAAUCAAGAAGAGAAAAGACUUGUAAAAAAAGUAGAAUUACUGAAAGAAACUCAACAAAGAAUCAAACUCAUACAAUUAAAAAUAAUUGUCUAUGAUGACCAUCUCUGUAUCACACAUUCAGGUAAUAUGAUUGACCUAUAACAUAAAUAAAGCCCUGCAAACAAUUAAAUCAUGCUUCAAAAGCAACAAGACAAGGUAUAAAGUACACCAACAAAAAUAGUUUACUAACUGACACUUGUGAGUUAAAGCAGUAAUUCCCAUUCAAAAUAUUGCAUUUUGAUGACAUAAUUAAGAUCAUUUAGAGACAGUGACAAUCAAAUAAAAAAAAAAAAAUGUGUAAAAGUACUCACGCAAAGAAAGAAACGAAUGAAAGGUUCAGGGUAAUCACUUAAGACUCCUCCAUGGAUGAUAGCAGCUCGCUUCCAACAACAAAUAUAAUUAACCUAAGCUGUGAUGGGUCAAAGUUCUUUUUAGUUUUCUUAUUAAAAAAAAAAAAAAAAACAGAUCAACAAGAGAAAAGACUUGUAAAAAAAUAGAAUUACUGAAAGAAACUCAACAAAGAAUCAAACUCAAGCAAUUAAAAAUAAUAGUCUAUGAUGACCAUCUCCUAUCACACAUUCAGGUAAUAUGAUUGACCUACAACAAUAUUAAAAAAACAAAAAAAAAGCUAAUAGAUGGUCGCCAAGUGUUCAACUUUAUCUAGCCUUAGGAAAGGAUAUAAAGUGGGAGAGAUAGACGUCAAAAGGCUUAAAAAAAAGAAAAAAGGAAAGGCAGAAACGGAAGAAGACAUUGAAAGAAAUAAAAAAACGAUAGUGGCAUUAAAAAACGAUAAGUUAUUUAACGUCUUUUUAGGGGGGGAAGAGACAUCUGUUUAUUUAAAGAAAGAAAAUAUAUAUAUAUAUAUAAAUACUCUCUCUUCCAAUUUCCUCUCCCAGCUGAAUUUUGGCGACCGCCCACACAACGAUAGCCUACACAACCACCUUUCAAGACCCCAUCUCUCAAUCUCAAAACCAAAAACAACCCUUUCUCCAUUUAUCCGAACCUCAUAACUCCAGGAAAGUGAAGGACUAAACCAUAGUGGCAAAAAUCUUAAAGGGUUCUAAAUUAUCUCUGUUACUUUCCCUUAAUUUUCUAGACAAGUAAAAGGAGCUAAACUUAUUCCCGACCAAAACGUCAAGAAUUUCAGUAGAACAAAAGAAGAGAUCAUUACUUGACCAAAAACAACUAGUCAGCACCCAAAGAAACCGAGUGAAUGAGAGAAAAUUAAAGACUAAUAGCUAGAAAACAAUCAACAGAUCCAAGAAUUUUCUGUAUGGUUUCCAAGAAAAUGAAACGAAAUGAGCAGCACAACCCUCUUUAUCCUCCAAGAAAAGAAAGAAAAAGAAAGGAAAGAAACAAAGAAAGUCAAACUUGGCUCCUCUUUUAGUGUUAAAAAAAAAAAAACAAAGAAGUUCGAGGAAGUGGGCUGCCUUUUUUCUGCUGUUCAUGUGGUGUUCAGCUGUUCACGCAGACUAAGAACUCCUACCAUCGUAAAAUCAUAUAAUUAAAACACAACAAUAAAAAAGUAAUAAGCAGCUAAUUAUGUGCCAAAAUCAGAGAAAUAAGGAUACAAACGUGAGAGUAAGUCAUUGCAAGUAAAAGAGGCGCAGAGAGGAUGGGAAUAGGAAUUUCAUUACCUCAACUUGAGAAAAUAUGUGCGACAAGCACGGGUACUGAUUCCUCAAUGAAAUCGAGAAGGCCUUUAGCUCUGUAUGGAAUCCAGCUUCAAAAGCAACAAGGCAAGGUAUAAGCAUUUUGAUGACAUAAUUAAGAUACUAUGCGUCGUAAUAUAGAGACGGUGACAAAGAAUUAAAGAAAAAUAAUGUGUACAAGUACUCACCAAGCAAAGAAAGAAACGAAUGAAAGGUUCGGGAUAAUCACUUAGACGCCUCCAUGGAUGAUACCAGCUCGCUUCCAACAACAAAUAUAAUUAACCUAAGCUAUGAUCGGUCAAAGUGUUUUUUAGUUUUCUUCUUUAAAAAAAAAAAAAAAAAACAGAUCAUCAAGGGAAAAGACUUGCAAAGAAGUAGAAUUAAUGGAACGAACACAACAAAGGAUCAAACUCAGGCAAUUAAAAGUAAUUCUCUAUGAGUACCAUCUGUGUCACACACUGACUCAAGUGAGGAGAGAAAAGAAAGAGAAAGAAAGGAAAGGGACAAGGAAGGCAGAAAGUAAGGUCACGUAGGGCCAGUCUUGUAUAAAGUUUGAAAAGUAGCAUGAAAGAAGAGGAUAAUAGAGUAGUUGUCAGAAUCAAAACACGUAUAAACAGAGGACAAAAACAGGGAGGGAGGCUGUUUGUUUUUUUAAUUGUGUCUGAGUGCUUUUUAUAAUUAUAUUUAAUUUAAAAAAUAUUAAAUUAAUGUGGUUAAAAAUAUUUAAUUAUAACUCAAUUGCAUUUUUUUUUUAAGGAAAUAGGUUGAAUUGAGAAACAGAGAAACUCGGCAAAAAUAUGUGGUUAAAAUCAAUCCAUUUUUUUUAAAAAAAAAACUCCUUAGUUGUUAAGGAAAGAUUGGUAGUGGGAACAAAUCACCAAAGUCAGCAGCAAGGAAGUUCCAGGAAGUGGGCAGCCUUUCUUCUGCUGUUCAUGUGGUGUUCUGCUGUUCAUGCAGACUAAGAACUCCUACCAUUUUUAAAAUAAUAUAUUUAAAAUACAAUAAUAAAAAUGUAAUACGCAGCUAAUUAAUGUAUUAAGCAGCUAAUUAAUGCUGUUGUUCUUUCUUCUUGUUAUUCUAUUUUGAUUUUACUGUAUUUUAAAAAAAUUUAUGAUUGUGAAAACUAGCCAAACCAUUAGAUCCAAGCAAUCUGAGAGGGUAUUCAAGAGUGUAGUUGUCGUUGUUUUUCAAAGUAUUUUUCACUUGGAAAUGCAUCAAAAUAAUAUUUUUUUUAUUUUUAAAAUUUUUUUUUUGACAUCCUUGUAUCAAAAUAAUAUAAAAAAACCAAAAAAAUAUUAAUUUGAAGUAAACACAAAAAUAAAAAAAAUUAGAAACUAGUGUAGCUGCGCCCAAUGUUGUCCCGAGAUACUUUUUAUAAUCUAACUUUUUUAAUAUAUUUUUUAUUUAAUUAUGCAAUAUAUUCAUAGAAAACACUAAAAUUAAAAUUAUAGACAAAAAAAUAUAUAUUUCAUCAAAAUUUUCUAGUCUGAUUAAUGUAUUUUUCUUAAAAAAAAAAGUUUUGACAAUAUAAAAAGUAAUAACUAGGAAAAAGUAUCCUAAGAAACUGUAAUGAUUAGAACUAAAAAAAUAUUUUUUUUUUGUUGGAAACACAAUUUUUUAAUUCAUGCAUUUUUUUUAUUUUUUAAAAAUUUACUUUUUAUGAGUAACAUUAUUUUACUAAAAUGUCCCUAAUACAUAAUUAUUCAUAAAUUAAUGAAAAUAUCAUAAUAAAAAUGCCUAAUCUUCUUGAAAACAAUUAAAUAAUUGAACAAUCAUUUAAAUAUUAUUUUAAUAAAUUGAUUGAAAGAUUUAUUUUAUUAAAAAUAAAGAAUAAAAAUGAAUUGAUAUCUAAGAUAAAGGUCAUACAAGCCUUCAAAGAUAAUAUAUGUACGUGUAUAAUACAAAUUAAUAAAUUCUAAGUAGUAAUAUUUAAUGCAAGUUUAAGAAUAAGAGUUUGCUUUGUGUUUUGUUGUGAGAUUAACCAUAUCAAAUUAUAUAUUUAAUAAUAAAUAAUUGUGCUGUGUUAUGAGUAAAAUCAAUAAAUUAUUUGGUAUUCUGCUGUCUUGUUGUUUGAAUUAAAAGUAUUAAUAAGAAUAUAAAUUAAAUUAAAUAUCGAAAAAACUAAAUGAAUUCCUUAAUAAAUAAAUAAAUUCUUUCUUUAGAAAGCAUGGAAAUACCAUGACAUUGGCUUUUUGGAGAAUACUACGAUUUUUACAGCCAAAAAAGUUAUCGAUAGCUGUGUAAAUCAUUGAAAUUGCCACAAAAGCAACCCAAAUUAGUUAUGAAUUGGAUUCGAUGGAAGGAAGAGGGGAAGAGGGGAAAUGGGUAACGGCUAAUUAUAAGUUCAUUAAAAAAAAUCUGGAACGCAACAGAUGGAAAAAACUCGAAACAACUCGUCUAGAAUUUAGGCAAGAAGAAUGAGCCAAGAUUUUAAGUGCAAUGAAAUUUGUCUCACUUUGUUCUUUUUUUUUUUAAUGAUACAAGAUAUACUGACUGUUUUAAGUGAAACAGAAUGGAAUCGACAACUUUAAAGGGAGCAGAGACCACAUAUGUAUAGCUCGAAUUCGAUAGCCUUUCUCCUGUACUGACAUGUGAUUUACAUGCACCAACAUUUCUUUCUUCUUUAUUUUGUAAUAUUCUACAUUGGCGAGUAAGGAUUUGGUAGCUGACCUUAUUAAAAGUGUUGGUUGAUGACUUGUCAGACACGUUUUGAGACCAUGCGUGAUAACAAAAAACAAAACCAUGAGGGUGGUAAGGCCCAAAACGAACAAUAUCUGACAGAUUGGACCGGACUGUGACAUUUGGUAUUAGAGCUGACCUCACUAGCUAUUCAGUUGUGCUGACAGGGUCAUUGAGCUCCUUAACAGGGGUGAAUUGUAAUAUCUCACAUUGGUGGGUGAGGAUUUGGUAACUAGCCUUACUAGUAAUGCUGGUUGCUGACUUGUUAGAUGCGUUUUGGGGUUAUGCGUUGUCGAUACACGACGUCGGGCGACGGCUCCCGCUUUUUUUGUUUAUUUAACAAAAAGGGUUUUUUUUUCUCGAUUGGGGGAAACAAAGAUUUUAUUGGAGUCGCCAUCUAGUAAUUUGAGGGAACUAGAAAUCCCAAAUUAGACACUGGUCCCAGAGAUUCGGGUACGGGGUUAGUUAUGAUUAAGGGAAGGUAGACACCACCCUUAAAACAUCCUUUCAAAAGAAAGGUUACCCUUACUUGUGUGUUUUUAUUUGAUUCAAAUGCGAUUAUAUUUUGGGCUUAUUUGUAAAUUUUUGUAAAUGAUUAACGUCGGUCCCUAAAAAUAGGAGACACGUUAAAAAUGACAUCAGUCCCUAAAAAUUGGAGACUCGUCUGAGUUACCAAAAGAAAUAAUGGAUAUAAUCCAUUAUAUUUUGGGUUUAUUGGUAAUUUGUUUUUUUAAAUGGUUAACGUCGGUCCCUAAAAAUAGGAGACACGUUAAAAUGACAUCAGUCCCUAAAAAUUAGGAGACUUGUCUAAAAUAUGACGUUUCAACCCUAAAAAGGAGAAUUACGUCUGGGUUACCAAAAACAAUAAUGGACAUAAGCCAUAUUUGGUAUUUACAUUUUUUUGACAUCGGUCCUUUUAAAAAAAAGAGACGUGUCGGCUUUGGUUUUUGUAUUGUUUACAACAUGCAAGAAAAUUUACAAGCAUUUAUAUAUAAAAAAUAUCAAAAAUACCAGUAGAAACUCCGAAAAAUUACCUGAGUGCCACUGUAUAGGUAAAAGACUGAAAUACCCUCAGGUUUCUCCAAAAUUUACAAAAAUGCCACUGGCGGCGCGUGUAGCACACGCGCGGCUACUGUUGGCGGCGGGGAGAUUUUCCGGCGCGAUUUCUGGCCAACCGAUGGUCGAUCCUGGUAGAUCUGAUGUCGAGGAUUCUUAUGGUGGUGGUCUUGACGGCCGUUGAUGGCUGAUGAGCGAGAAUCGACGACUUGAAGCUUCGGUGGCAGCCGACGAUCGCGGCCCGUUUCCGGCCAAAUAGAGCGGCGAAAACGCUGAAAUCGGCCGGGGUUUUGCUUUAUAUGAGGAAGGCGACCUUUCUGUGGUGGUUUUCAAGCUUGCAGUGGCCGGAUAUGGGAGAUCGGAGGAGAGAGAGGGAGUCGCCGGCGAGAGGAGAGAGGUGCUCUGGGUUAUGCUAUGGUGAGAACGCAAACACGGUACACCAGUGCUGUUGAUGCUUGUGAUCCGUAGGAUCUCUGAUGGAAAUAUCGUGCGGCUGUGAUUGGCCCGAUCUGCAGGUUGAUCGGACGGUCCGGAUGAGCGGAGCUUUGAUCUGGUGUGGCGCGGUGCACCAAAUCUCGGUACACCGGAUGACGUGGCGCAACGGGAUCAAAUCUUGGAAUAUUUCAAAGGCUGAGAUGUGUUUGGGUUUUAAUCUAGUGUGGUAAGCCCUAUUGUAUCCUAUUAAAUCAACGGUUCAGAUCUAAACACUAUUAGAUCUAACGGUUAGGAUAUAUUUGGUAUUUUUCAUAUUGUUUUUAAUAAAAAUCAAUAUCCUACCCUCGUGAAGAAAUAGUAAAAAAAACCUGAAUAGUAAACUCUUCUUUUUUUUCUUCUCCUUUUUUUUCUCUUUUUUUUUCCUCUGGCGCACUGUUGGCUAUUUAUAGCAGGGGACAGCAAGCAUCGGCUUUAAAUUAAAAAAUGUAUCCAUCCAACUGCUCGUCUACAAUGUAACUGCCCCGCCUAAUAUGACAAUUCUGUAUUAUUAAUUUUGUUUUAUUAUAUAUAAUAAUAUAUAUUUAUAUAGGUAAAAUUAAAACUUAAAUCAGUAUUAGAAAAAGCCUGAUUCAACUGCUAAAAAUCAAUUUUAAUUACCGAAAAUUAUGUUGAAACAUAAAAAAAAACUUUCAACGGAUAUAAACCCGGUGGACCGGGUUUUGACCAAAAAAUAACAGGUUUGACCCAAAACGGCAUGAAACUCAUUUUUUAUCCUGGUCGACAUGGUUUGACCCGUAUUGACCCGGUGAACUCGGUUUUGGUCAAAAAUGACGGUUUUGACCCGAAACGGCCCGAAACUCAUUUUUUACCCUGGUCGACAUGGUUUGACCCGUAUUGACCUGGUGAACUCGGUUUUGGUCAAAAAUAACGGUUUUGACCCGAAACGGCCCGAAACUCAUUUUUUACCCUGGUCGACAUGGUUUGACCCGUAUUGACUUGGUGGACUCGGUUUUGACGGAAAGAUGCGGUUGACUCGAGAAAAAUAUUUUUUUGAAUUUUCCUUUUUCUUAAUUUUUUUGGAUUUUUAUAAAUAAUAAUAGAAAUAAAAUAACAUUUGAGAAAAUCUUGGUGGAUCCAAAAUUGGGUUACAACAGUUGCCCCCUCUUUACAAUGCUUACGGUGCAAAGGCAUUGGAAAAUUCAUUUUCUUUUGACUUUGCAUAGUAAGUUUUGUAAAGAAAAACGAUGAAAGUGUUGAAAAAUGCACAGAUUUUUUCAGUUGGUCUAAUUCUUAUGGGCGACCUGCCCAAAUGAAAAACAUGAAAGUGUUUUCAAUAUUGAUCUGGUGAAAUACAUGAAAGUGAUUUCAGAUUAAUGUUGUGAAAUACAUGAAAGUGAUUUCAACAUUGUUUUUUUUUUUUUUUGUGAAAUACAUGAAAGUGAUUUCAACAUUUGCAUUGUGAAAUACAUGAAAGUGAUUUCAACAAUGGUUUUGUGAAAUACAUGAAAGUGAUUUCAACAUUUGUUUUCUGAAACACAUGAAAGUGAUUUCAGAUUAGCAUUGUGAAAUACAUGAAAGUGAUUUCAACAAUGGUUUUGUGAAAUACAUGAAAGUGAUUUCAACAUUUGUUUUCUGAAACACAUGAAAGUGAUUUCAGAUUAGCAUUGUGAAAUACAUGAAAGUGAUUUCAACAAUGUUUUUGUGAAAUACAUGAAAGUGAUUUCAACAAUGUUUUUGUGAAAUACAUGAAAGUGAUUUCAACAAUGAGCUUCAGGGUUGAUGAAACAUUCUAAAGGAAGUCAUACCUGUAUGGUUGAGAUCUGAUUUGUAAAUCGAUCUCAGAGAUGAUGAAAUCUUCUCAAGAAAGUCUUGUAUGUACGGUUGGGAUUUGAUUUGUAAUUGGAUCCCAAAGAUGAGGAAAGCUUUUCAAGAAAGUCUUGUAUGUACGGUUGGGAUUCGAUUUGUGGAUCCCAAAAAAUGAGGAAAGCUUCUCAAGGAAGUCUUGUAUGUACGGUUGGGAUUUGAUUUGUGGAUCCCAAAAAAAUGAGGAAAACUUCUCAAGGAAGUCUUGUAUGUACGGUUGGGAUUUGAUUUGUGGAUCCCAAAAAAAUGAGGAAAACUUCUCAAGGAAGUCUUGUAUGUACGGCUGAGAUUUCUGCCGUUCAAAGUGAUGGUAGAAGUAAAUUUCUUAUAAAUCACGCAGUAUUUGGCAAAAGACAUCAUCAACUUCUUGCAUUUUCAAUACUCUCAAAGUUCUCAACUUUUGAAGCUUUAACCAUGUCUUCCUCUUCUUCCAAUGCUAACCCAAACCCUGUUCCUGCAGUAGAGCCUGCAGUUUGGCGUACUACCUUUGAAGUGAAUGGUCGUCCAGUUACAAUAGAGGAUACUGUAAUGGACAAUGAAGAUAUUGCUGUAGCUGUGGCUAGAGACAUGAUCCUUCCUCGUGAUGAAAUAAUGUUGGCAGCCAGGACCGAUAUUGAAGCAGUGAAUCAGUCACUUGCUCUCAGUAUCAGAGCUACCUCGUCUUUGGUGAACGUUGCAGAGCGUCUUCAUGCCAGAAGACUUGAGUUGAAUACUCAGGUUCUUGAUCUCCAUCAUCAGAUUGAGAAUUUAAGGAAUAGACUUCGUGAUGAGAGACGUCACAGAAACAACUUGGAGAGGAGAAACCAAGAGUUAAAUACACGUGUUGACUUUUGGAGGGACUAUGUUAACACACGACACCUCGAGUUCGAGGAAGAGAUGGAGCGCAUGCAUAAGCAAUUCGAGGAAUUCUGAGGCAUGAUUAACCAUCAAGAUGAAAAUAUCCCUGAUCGUCCUCGCACUGUUUAACAUUUGUACUUGUAAACCCCUUUUCUAUGAAUAAAAAUCCAUCUUUCUUGUCUUCAUUUAUGAAUUUUGCUUUUGUGGAAUUGCCAUAUUUGAUGUGAUUUACAAGAACUUCAAGUCAUGUGAGUCUCGUUGGAUCCCAGUGGGAACUUUGUUUCGUGAAAUAUCUGCAAAACAAAUAUGCAAUGAAAUAUAGGUUCCCCCCUCUUUGAUGCUUCAUCGUCAUGGGGUGGCUUUGUUUGCAUUCCAAAGCCUUCUUUGUUCUUUCGAUGCAUUGUUUGCAUUCCAAAGCCUUCUUUGUUCUUUCGAUGCAUUGGCUCAUUCAUGUGCUAGCCAUCCACUCAGCUGUAAAUGCAGUGCCCAUCUUGGGCUGUCCGUGAUGAUUACUACUCUCGCUGUUUAUCAAGCUUGACAAUGCCCCCAAGUGUAGUGUUGCUUGAUUUAUCAUGAAGAAGCUUAACAAAUCGUUCAUCUCCUGGAUUCUUUCAAGAAUUGUUCUCUGAUUGAUUGUGCGCAUCGUGCCAACACCCAUCAAGAUUGUCAAUCAGUUAUGAACUCGACUUCAGUUGAAACAUGCCCUUCAAGUAUAUGCGGUCAUCCACUUUCAUGGAACUAUCAUGUCAUUCAGACAUGCAUUUCAUACUUUGCAGUAAAAAACUCAUCUUUGUAUGCUCAGCUUCUUUCUCAAUAAGUUCUUCUCAGCUCAUCUAACCAGAUUGUGAAAAGAAAUGCCUCAACCUCAUCAAUGAUGUCGCUUUUAUCACCCAUACUCAUGUGGUGCAGUGCACAUUGACUUCAAAUCAGAUGGUCUCACGGUCAGUCUAGGUGGGUGCGGUGCAUUCUUCCAACAUUCAUGCAAAAGCGAUCAUGUGAUAACAUCUUUCAAUAGUCAUAGCCAUAUUGGAGAUGAUAAACCAAGAUGAAGAUAUGAAGAUGUCCUUCAGGUACAUCUUUGCUCUCAAUUGUUGUCGGGGUUUACUGGAUCAUAAACUGUUCUUGAACAUCAUUGCCCUUAAUUGAUCUGAAUGUGCUCAUUCACUGAUUAUCUUUCUUUGAACCAUAUUGUCCUCGGUUUAUUGAUUCAUCAUUUGAUCGUCUCUAUCCCCCAGCUGAUUUAAACACUGUUUGUUUUCCUUCUCGGAGGUCCAUUGUAUUGCCCCCAGGAGUGUCGAGGAGAAUUGAUGUCAUUUCUGUCAGGAAUUUGCAAACUUGGUUGAUGUUUUUCUUUUGAAAAUCUUUCUUAUUUUGGAAUCAAAUCUCACAUUUCAAAGGUCAUGUCUAUUCAAGUCUAAUUGUUGAAAUGAAAUCAGAGAGAUGUCAAUUUUUGAAAGUAUUUUUGGAAAUCAAGCUUUAUUGGUCAAAGAUCCAACACACGCUAUUCAAUGUAGUCCUUUGAUUGUCUUGUAUUUUGAGAGAAAAGAAAUUGACUCAUUGUAAGAUUAAAAUGGCUUUUCCAUGGUUCUUUGUAUCCAUUUUAAACUCUAAUUUUGGGUAUAUCUUUUGAUUGUCUGUAAUGAGGUGACCUGUCUGAAUUUCAAGAAAAACAAGGUACCCGAGUCAAAACUUGAGGCUUUAUCAGGAAAGAUUGUUUCUUUUUCUUAGCAACAAUUUUAUCAGCAUGCAUAAUAAUCAGUAGCUUGAUUCAUGAAGUCACGACCUGUAUGAACAACUCUUCAAGUUUUGAGAUCGUCAUUUAUCGGUUCAGAUUGCUUACUUGAUUAAAAAGGACUUUCUAAAGCACGUAAUGUAGGCUAUGGUUCAUGGCUAUGAAAGAAAGGAAUUUCACAAGCUCAAAAGGUGUUUGAGGGUUUCAAGAACCUAGGAUCACCAUCAAUUACUCAUCAAUCUCUUUUCCUCACGUUGUCUUUGUAGAGACAGUGACAUAUAACCUUGUUAAUCUCAAAAAUCAAAAUUUGUUUAACAUAGGUCAUAACGCAAAUCCAACUUUUCUUUGAUGAAUAGCCAAUCUAAUCUUUUGAAGAUCGUAAAGGCUUUAUCAUAGACACACCAAAAGACAUCACACUUGAUUUUUUUUCGGGUUAACUUUUGGCAUUUGUUGUGUCUUUAUCAAUCUUUGGCUUUCUUCUUCUAGCCAUUUCUCAAUCAUUGAACUUUUGUUCUAAGCCUUCCCUUUAUCCAUCGACUCUAACAUUGUCUUCGUCUUUUCUAGGAAAAGAUUCUCAUUGCCCCCAGUGUGGGUGUGAUCCUAGUCAGGGUUUUUUAUGAAAGAAAUAUUCUAUCAGCUCAAAAUGGGACUGCAAGGGAUAUAUAUUUCAAGAAUUGUGAAAGGAUGAAACAAAAAUGGCCUUUUCUCAUUUCAAGCAAGGUCGGUUAGAACCAAUAAAUUUUAACCUCAUCCAAUGUAAUGAUUUAGACUUGUACGAAUCAUAAUUCAUGAGUCCAUAACUACUGAAUCCACUACGUAUCAUUAUGCAUACUGCUAAAACUUAGCUACAUGGUGUAUGGUUCAAUUUCAUGUAUGAGCUCAAAAGUUUCUUGGUCACCUCAUGUCAUUUCAGUAAGCAUUGAGUCAUUGAAGCAACAUAAUUUGAAUCUUCAGGAUUGACUAAUCUUAAACGCAUGUUGGAGCUUGAUCAAAAUAUUUUGUAAAUAACCUUUGAAAGAAACAUCUCAUGCGUUCAGAACAACAAAGGGACAAAGAAAAGACAUGUUUUGUUAAAAGAUGAGAUGUGAUCCCAAAAUAAAAUGCAGAAUGACAAAACUCAUAACAAAAAGGAUCGACAGUUUAACACUCUUCUUGGAUCAGCUUUUCUGGCGAUAUCUGUGUUUUGCCAAGCAUUUCGAUCACUUGUCAAUUUGAGGAUGUUGAGGUGACAAUAUGGCCGAUGACGUCAUUUUGCACAAACUCAACUUGAUUCUUGAAAUUCUUGCAACUGUUCAACUGAAUGGCACAAAAUCCCCCAAUGAUAUUCAUGUAUCUUUUACUAAGGGAUGAGGGCUCAAAGGCGCACUCAAAGGGAGUUGAGGGCUCAAAGGCGAACUCAAAAUGGAGGUGAGGGCUCAAAGGCGCACUCAAAAGGAGAUGAGGGCUCAAAGGCGUACUCAAAAGGAGUUGAGGGCUCAAAGGCGCACUCAAAAUGGAGGUAGGGUUAGAAAACGCACUACCUAAGGGAUGAGGGCUCAAAGGCGUACUCAAAAGGAGUUGAGGGCUCAAAGGCGCACUCAAAAGGAGGUAGGGUUAGAAAACACACUACCAAAAGGAUGAGGGCUCAAAGGCACACUCAAAAUGGAGGUGAGGGCUUAAAGGCGCACUCAAAAGGAGUUGAGGGCUCAAAGGCGCACUCAAAAGGAGUUGAAUUGGCAGAGUCAGGGCAAUAAGUCCGGAGUCUAAUAGAUGAUGGUGGACAAACUCGAGUGGUCGAGGUAUGUCAAUCUUAGCAAAGACAUUUGAGCAAUUGAUGUUACAGUGAGACCUGGUUGGACCACAUAAUUAAGGCUUCCCAUCGUUAGAGGCAUCCUUUGAUUCAUCUCUCAUUAUUGUUCUAGAAUUCUUGGUAGAAUCUUCAAUCAUUCCCCUCUUCAUAGCUUGUUCAAAUCUUUCAACAAUCCUCACAACAUCAUAUCAAUCUUUCCAAUGUUGUUGUGGUUGUUUGUGGAUUGGUAGAAACUUUCCAACAGCCAGGCAAUCUUGGUAGCGCAUAGAAACAUGCAGCACCACCACUGCCGACGUGUGGAAUCAUGCGUUGUCUCAACUGGAAGAGAAACUGAUGAAUCUGAAAACCCUUUUGUCUCCUCUUUGAUUCCUCACUGGCAGUGCAACAAACAAACACCUAUAGUGGGAAUUCUGCUCUGUUAAAGUUUCAAUGUCUGCUCUUGUUUUUCUCAGAGCAGCAUCCGAUACUGCUGGAUCGGAAUGGUGUUCACAAGAGAUGUCUGGAAAGAAAGCCAAUGCACCAGGAACAGAAAGCUAGCAACUGUUAUGUGCCCUUGGAAUAUGUGAAGGCUUUGAAUGACUAUCAGUGCAGUUGAACGAGAACAAGGGUUGUCGUCAUUAAUUGUGACUGAAGGCAUUACUGUCAUUGUUCAUUGUUCAUGAUGAAAAAGGAGAGGUGCAACUUCAAUGGAACUUAUUCAAACAGAUUUAUGAGUCUGUACAGACGUUCCCUUUCCACUCUUGAAGCUCAACACUUAUUCAAACAGAUUUAUGAGUCGAGUAGACCUCAGCAGGUGGGGGAACUUAUGUUUCAACCGUGUGCAUGCUUGAUAAAUGAAUGAAAUGCACAAAUGGAUGCAAAAUGCCAUAUGUUUUAUGCAUGCUUGUUAUUUGUUUCAAGGUUUCCUUAUGACGAGGAAUAGACCAGAUCAGAUUCUCUUAAGAAAGUUCUCACUGAGGACUCCAAACCUACAGGAACUUGAACCGAUUUAGGGGAGAAAUUUGAUGCCAUAAAUCAGAAUAAACAUUUCUCAUAACAAAAAGAUGAUGAAAUUGUCUUUUAUUAAUUCAUAAUAUUAAAAGUGCAACAAGUCAAUCUUUCCAAAGCCUUGGACCGUCGUAUGCUGAGAUCUCAUUAAUUCCAUCUCUGAUCAACCCAAAAAACUGAUGGAAUUCAUUUCUGGUCAUUGGCUCACCAUCUGCUAUUUGUUGGGCUAGGCCUCGUAAUCCUAAAGCAUAAUUCUUGGCAUCAUCUGCUUGUACAUGAUAGCGCAUAGCUUCAGAAGCCCAACAUUCUGCUUCUUUUUCUGCCUUUUCUUUUUCUGAUGAUAAAGUUUGCUCAAUAAAAAGCAAAUGGUCUAAAUGCUCAUCUAAAUUGGCAAUUAUUACAUCUUGCUUUUGAUGUUGCUCCUGAAGUGAUUUAUUUGUCUCUUCCAACUUUAAUACCAUUUCCUCAGCUUUCGAUGCUCUUCUAACCCAUCUCUUCAUGUUGACAUCUUGCUUCGUCUUAUCUUCUGACAAAAGUACAUAUUUUUCUUGUAAUUGCUGGAAAUCAAGUUGUUGAUGUUGUAGCUGAGCUGACAAGUCAUCAUUUUCCUGUUUUAUGAUAACCAAAGCUUUUUCUCGAGUGGCUAGAUUAGAUUCUAACUUUCUUUUUUUAGCCCCUAACUCUUCCACUUCAGCAUUCAAACUUAGGUUAUAAGAUUCUUGUUGGGCGCGAACUUCUUCGUGUAUGUCUUCAGCAGACUGAAUCAAAGACCUGGGUGGUCCUUCAAAAGGAGGAACUUUGUACCCUUUCCCUCUCUUCUUUUGCCAUAUUGGAUAUCCUUCAGUUGUUUUUCCUUCUACUCUCUUAGCAGAAGUAACCCUACCAGGAUGUUUCCAUGCCUUCUUCACUGACUCCAAGAAUUUCUUUGAGGUCUUGAAAUCUUCAUAAAAUGUUGCCAGUUUAGUAGUCCUUGGAAUAAACUGCUCAAAUCCAAACUGUCGUAAAACCAGGUUAGGACAGUAACUAAUACAGCAGCGGGCUCCAAUCAACGGGACCCAUGGGUACUCACCACAAUACGCCAGAUAAGAUUUGAAAUAAGCAUAUCGACUUCUCCAAUGAAAUUGAGAUUUACUUAGACUUAGGAACAUUGAUUCCCAUGUGGUUUUUCCUACUUCAUGCAAGUGUUUUUCAGCAAAAUUCUCCAGCUGAGAAUAAAGAUGCCACGGGGUACCAACCAAACCUGAAAUCUUCCCCUCAAUCAUAUGACUCACAGUCCAGACAAACAAUAACUGCAAGCAACAUCUUAAACGACCCCUUCCAGCUUUUCUGCAAUAAUUCAAGGAUGAGAAAGUUUCUGCCAAUAUUGCUGUAGCAGGGUUAAUUUUAAGGGUCACCACAUUUGUGAAUACAUUAACAGCUUCAAAAUCAAUCAUUCCUUCGGCAGAUGGGAAAAGAACCAAACCAUAUAUGCCUAAGGCCAAAAUUCUCAAUCGAAUUUCAUUGCUUUCAUCAUGUAAUCUCUUCUUGAAUAUGGCUUCUAGCUCAUUCCAAAACCAACCCUGGCUAUUUCCUCGUUUAGUUGCAUGUGAUUUUGCUAGUUGACAGUCUGUCUGGGUAAUCCAAGCAAAGUUAGAAAGUGCAUGCUCUAUAGGUGUGUAAAAGUACACCUUUUCUGACUUGGGACAAUUUAGCAGGGAUUCAUACUCCUCGAUAGUAGGAGUCAUAUCCACAGUAUCAAAUGUGAAGCACCGAUAUUCUGGAUCCCAAAACCCUAUCAUGGCCUGAAAACAAGCAUGUUGGACCCUAAUUUUCAGUAAAUGUGAUAGAUCCCCAUAUUGUUUCUGAAAAGUGAUUUGAUCAUGAGAGGAUAACUUUUCCCAGCAGUCUAGCAGUUGUCCUGUACCAAGUGGUCUGUCAUCUAAUUUAACAUGCUCUGGCAACUGAGACUUAAAUUCUGAUGGCAAACAAUCCCCUUCAUCAUGCUGGCUCAAUUCUGAUCUGGUCAAAAAUUCCUCAAUGGUAAUGGAUUUUUCCAUCUCACACUUCCUGUAAGGAUCGGUGGAGACUUAAUGAGCAUAUGAAAUGUAUAUGAACAUGUAUGUUCAUGCAUUGACAUUUGUUCGUGUCCUAAUGGGUAUAUCCUACUUGAUAGGAUCUAGCUCAUAAGGUUUGGCUCAGUUUAGUCUAUCCUUAAAGAUAUUCUCCGGUUCUUAGAUUGCCCGAAUUACUCGUGAAGUAAUCGGCCUCUUAACCUUAUACAACAUGAGUAGGGGAGAAAGACUCCACAGUACUAGUUGCAUAGGGUGAGUUACAAUCCAAGCAAAAGUCCAAAUGAGCAUCAGUGGACAUAAGUCACACUUGCCACUUGAAUCUCUCUUUUCUAAUCUUAAAAAGGACGAGCUCGGGUCCAGAGCUUUUAUGGGUUCACAGUGAAGUGUGUGAAUACACAAAUAAUAAUAUAUAUGUAUGUGAUGAAAUGAAAAAUUGAAAAGAAUCAUAGUAGAUAUUGCAUAAAAUAAAUAAUGCAAAUAAAAUAAGUGCCCAAAAAUAAAUAGCGAUAAGAAAGAGCAAAUGAAAAGCAAACACAAGCAGUUGGCUCAACCCUAAGUCCCCAGUGGAGUCGCCAUUCUGUCGAUACACGACGUCGGGCGACGGCUCCCGCUUUUUUGUUUAUUUAACAAAAAGGGUUUUUUCUCGAUUGGGGGAAACAAAGAUUUUAUUGGAGUCGCCAUCUAGUAAUUUGGGGGAAACAAAGAUUUUAUUGGAGUCGCCAUCUAGUAAUUUGAGGGAACUAGAAAUCCCAAAUUAGACACUGGUCCCAGAGAUUCGGGUACGGGGUUAGUUAUGAUUAAGGGAAGGUAGACACCACCCUUAAAACAUCCUUUCAAAAGAAAGGUUACCCUUACUUGUGUGUUUUUAUUUGAUUCAAAUGCGAUUAUAUUUUGGGCUUAUUUGUAAAUUUUUGUAAAUGAUUAACGUCGGUCCCUAAAAAUAGGAGACACGUUAAAAAUGACAUCAGUCCCUAAAAAUUGGAGACUCGUCUGAGUUACCAAAAGAAAUAAUGGAUAUAAUCCAUUAUAUUUUGGGUUUAUUGGUAAUUUGUUUUUUUAAAUGGUUAACGUCGGUCCCUAAAAAUAGGAGACACGUUAAAAUGACAUCAGUCCCUAAAAAUUAGGAGACUUGUCUAAAAUAUGACGUUUCAACCCUAAAAAGGAGAAUUACGUCUGGGUUACCAAAAACAAUAAUGGACAUAAGCCAUAUUUGGUAUUUACAUUUUUUUGACAUCGGUCCUUUUAAAAAAAAGAGACGUGUCGGCUUUGGUUUUUGUAUUGUUUACAAUAUGCAAGAAAAUUUACAAGCAUUUAUAUAUAAAAAAUAUCAAAAAUACCAGUAGAAACUCCGAAAAAUUACCUGAGUGCCACUGUAUAGGUAAAAGACUGAAAUACCCUCAGGUUUCUCCAAAAUUUACAAAAAUGCCACUGGCGGCGCGUGUAGCACACGCGCGGCUACUGUUGGCGGCGGGGAGAUUUUCCGGCGCGAUUUCUGGCCAACCGAUGGUCGAUCCUGGUAGAUCUGAUGUCGAGGAUUCUUAUGGUGGUGGUCUUGACGGCCGUUGAUGGCUGAUGAGCGAGAAUCGACGACUUGAAGCUUCGGUGGCAGCCGACGAUCGCGGCCCGUUUCCGGCCAAAUAGAGCGGCGAAAACGCUGAAAUCGGCCGGGGUUUUGCUUUAUAUGAGGAAGGCGACCUUUCUGUGGUGGUUUUCAAGCUUGCAGUGGCCGGAUAUGGGAGAUCGGAGGAGAGAGAGGGAGUCGCCGGCGAGAGGAGAGAGGUGCUCUGGGUUAUGCUAUGGUGAGAACGCAAACACGGUACACCAGUGCUGUUGAUGCUUGUGAUCCGUAGGAUCUCUGAUGGAAAUAUCGUGCGGCUGUGAUUGGCCCGAUCUGCAGGUUGAUCGGACGGUCCGGAUGAGCGGAGCUUUGAUCUGGUGUGGCGCGGUGCACCAAAUCUCGGUACACCGGAUGACGUGGCGCAACGGGAUCAAAUCUUGGAAUAUUUCAAAGGCUGAGAUGUGUUUGGGUUUUAAUCUAGUGUGGUAAGCCCUAUUGUAUCCUAUUAAAUCAACGGUUCAGAUCUAAACACUAUUAGAUCUAACGGUUAGGAUAUAUUUGGUAUUUUUCAUAUUGUUUUUAAUAAAAAUCAAUAUCCUACCCUCGUGAAGAAAUAGUAAAAAAAACCUGAAUAGUAAACUCUUCUUUUUUUUCUUCUCCUUUUUUUUCUCUUUUUUUUUCCUCUGGCGCACUGUUGGCUAUUUAUAGCAGGGGACAGCAAGCAUCGGCUUUAAAUUAAAAAAUGUAUCCAUCCAACUGCUCGCCUACAAUGUAACUGCCCCGCCUAAUAUGACAAUUCUGUAUUAUUAAUUUUGUUUUAUUAUAUAUAAUAAUAUAUAUUUAUAUAGGUAAAAUUAAAACUUAAAUCAGUAUUAGAAAAAGCCUGAUUCAACUGCUAAAAAUCAAUUUUAAUUACCGAAAAUUAUGUUGAAACAUAAAAAAAAAACUUUCAAUGGAUAUAAACCCGGUGGACCGGGUUUUGACCAAAAAAUAACAGGUUUGACCCAAAACGGCAUGAAACUCAUUUUUUAUCCUGGUCGACAUGGUUUGACCCGUAUUGACCCGGUGAACUCGGUUUUGGUCAAAAAUGACGGUUUUGACCCGAAACGGCCCGAAACUCAUUUUUUACCCUGGUCGACAUGGUUUGACCCGUAUUGACCUGGUGAACUCGGUUUUGGUCAAAAAUAACGGUUUUGACCCGAAACGGCCCGAAACUCAUUUUUUACCCUGGUCGACAUGGUUUGACCCGUAUUGACCUGGUGGACUCGGUUUUGACGGAAAGAUGCGGUUGACUCAAGAAAAAUAUUUUUUUGAAUUUUCCUUUUUCUUAAUUUUUUUGGAUUUUUAUAAAUAAUAAUAGAAAUAAAAUAACAUUUGAGAAAAUCUUGGUGGAUCCAAAAUUGGGUUACAACAUGCGUGGUCACCAAGAAUAAAUCUAUGAGGGCGAUAAGGCUCAAAACAGACAAUAUGUUGCAGGUUGGGUCAAGUUAUGACAUAUUCAAUAAUUACUCUUCAAUUAAAUCCUAAAUCUCAUUUCAUCUUUUCAAUUUAAUCCCUAAUUUGACACCAACUCUUCAAUUAGACCCCAAACCUCAUCCCACCUGAGGAAAGCCCUCUUCAUUCAAUUUAGCCCCUUAUUAUCUUCAAUUUAAUAUUGAAUUUUAUUCGAUCCAAGCCCAAAAAAGGCUAAGCGAAGAUAGAAUAAAGGAAGGGAAAGAAAAUGAAUAAUUGCCCAAUCGAGCUAACGUGUUCUGGUCUUUUUUCCAUGAUUCGGGGUGAACAUUUGACAUUUAUCCUUUUUUUCUAUAGUCUUUUCUCCAUGUUUGUUGUGACGCCGCACACGUGCGACAACCAGUAAAUCUAUAGUUAAUUUCAUUUUUUGAUAAAAGAUAAUACCAUCGGUAUAGAAUGGUUACCAACUGUUACUUUAAUAUGCCUUGUAGCCAAUCAGUUAGUUACACGAGGCAUUAUUAUAUUCAUGUAAAUACAUAUUUAUUAUUAAUAAAGGCUUAAUUUAACUUUAAUAUUCAUAUAAUAUUAUAUUAAUGAAUCUAGAGUAUAGAUAAAGUUUAUUAGAUAAAAAUGCUUUGCAAAUAAAAUUAUAAAGUUGUUAUAAUUAUGAGAUUUUUAAUGCAUCAAAGUAUUGCUCAUAAAAUGUUUUUGGUCGAUGUUGUCUUAAAUACUAGAUAUUUAUUAGAGCCAUAAAGACUAAUACAUAUUAUGUUUUUUCCUUUAUGAAAUGAAGCAGUUGUUCUCAUAAGUUGAGUUAUAAGGGAUACCUAAAACUAAUAUGUAUGUGCUUGCCAUAAAACAUAUACACUAAAUUGACCCGCAUGAAAAUUCCAUAUGGAGAGAUCAUAUAUGUCUAUAGAAAGACUCGCAUGACAGUUGUAUAUGUAAUCCUUAGACUUGAGAUCACUAAGUUAUCUUAUAUAGAGAUUGUUAUGCUUUCAUCUUGUUACAUGUUAUCUUAAUUGAGAUAACAAAAUGAUAAGCAUUGAGUAUAUCAUGAACUAUAUGAAGGUUUUCUUGAGUGAUUAAGAGAGGAUUUCAUCACCCUAUGUGAAUUAGAAAAAAUGUUCCAUCUGUUCUCAAAUAGUAUUGACUGAGAAAUCCUUAGCCAAGGUGGAAUGAGAUUUAAAAGGGGUUUCAAAUCUUAUUCAAAUGAUCAAUUACUAUUAUGUAGAGAAUGAACAUGAUUUAACAUGACAAACAUGCUUCAUACUUUAAUGUUAAAUGUUGCUACCCAAUUUUUGACCCAUGUUUUGAUAAAUUUUCAGAAAAAUUCAAAAAUAGCAAAAAACAUUGAAAAUCCAAAAAAAUACAUUUUUAAUACAUUUGCAUCGUUUUUAGCAUUUUUAGCAUCGUCUCAAAAGAAUUUAAAUUUUCAAAGAUGUUUGGAACGUGUUCAACUUUUAACGCAUUAUUUUUAAAAGCAUUGAUUUUCCUCAUUGAGUCGAUGUUGAUAUUGCUCGUUUUCAAAAAAUACAAAAAAAAUAAGAAAAAUCAAAAUUUACAAGAAAAAGAAGUUGAGGGACCAAAUUUUGAGGCCCAAGCUACAUUUUACCUAUAAAUAGUAGCCUUCAACACACACAAAAAAGGGGGGCAAUUUUGAAAAAAAAAAAGAGGAGAAAACCUAACCCUAAACCUAUCUACCCAAAGAGCCGCCCCCCACCCGGCUGGAUUUUUUUUGCUCUCCGAAACCAGCCGUUCAAGUCCUUUCCCUCCUCCACAUCGUCUCCAACUCCUUCUCCCUCAGCCACACACACGACAGAAACCAGAGCUCCCCUUCUCCUCUCCCAGCCGCCACUUGUACUUUCCCCUCUCUCAGCCGAUCCCUCAUCUCCUUUUCCCUACAAACCAGAACGCCGACCCCCCCCAGCCGUUCUCUCACCCUAGACAACCCCCAACAACAGCCGCCACCCUCACAGACCCGGCGACUCCUAGCUUCUCUUCAAUCGGCCACAAACCCAUGAUCGCCCUAUCAGCCACCGUGAACAGCCGCCUCCAGCAUUUCCUUUCCUCAGCACCAGCACCAGCACCGAUCUGUCCAUUCCUCCGCCUCAACACCGCCAGCAAGCUUAUCUCCACCGCGACUUCAGCGACCACGGACGACAGCCACCAGAUCAGAGGAAGGAGAAGACCGAGAACCAGCUGACUACCGCUGCCACCAACAUGAGUGAAGACCGUCAACGCAGCGACCACCACCGAAAGCUCCCCCCACAACCGCCGGCCAUCUAAAACAGAAGAAGAGGAAACAAAAACAACAUGCAGAGAGGAGCAGAUCUGAAAAUGAGAAGGGAGAGAAGCAGAUCUAGACUAAAAUGGAUUGAAAUCGACUGUUUGUUGGGUUUUUUGUUCUUUUGCAGGUGACGGUGGGUGUCACCACCGGCAGAGAAGGGAAAAGGAAAGGAAGCUGAGCCAGACCCCCCCUGUUUUCUGGCCUUUCUCGCGGCGGCGCGUGAACCCACGCUCCGCCAGUGGCGGUGGCGCCUGGGAAGACGCGUCGCCACUGUUCAUGCUGUUCCAGAAGGGCUUCCCAGCACUGUUAUGGAGUUUUGAGGGGUUAUUUUGUAAUUUUCAAAUUUUUAAUGUAAUUUUUUUGUUUAGUUUUGAAUUUUUAUUAUUUGUAGUGUUGAUGUAAAAAAAAAAAAACAAAGAAAAGAAAAGAAAAAAAAUAUAGUGAAAGUGUAUGUGUGUGUUUGUAUUUGCUUUAUGAGUGUUUUAUUUUAUUUUAUUAUGUAUGAUAAAAUUGCAAAGAUUAAAGAAGAAUUUAAUAUUUUGAUUUGCUCACGGUCCAGAAUUAUUAACUUAUACGUAAGUUGUAUUUCUAAUAUCCGAUGAAAAGACAAAAUUUUUAAAACUUCUUUAACACAUCAAAGUCACGAAGCAGCUUACCUCAGGUAGGGUGCGUUAGGGGUGCUAAUACCUUCCCUAACCACAACCAGUCCCUUACCCGCGAAUCUCUGACAAGACCAGUACAUCCGGUUUCCUAGUAGCCUUCAAUAAAUUACUAGGUGGCGACUCCAACGAACCAAUUCAAGCAAACGACAACGAAAAGAUCGCCAGCCGAUGCCGCACGGAUUUUCUGAUGUGCGACAUUAAAUAAGAACAUUAGUGAUAGAAUGAUAUUAAUUACAAUGAGAAACCAGUAAUAGAAGCCAGUAAUUGAAACCACUAAUGACUUUUCUAAUAUUUAGGGGAUCAUGACACGUUACUAAACAAUGCACAUGAUCUUCAAAUUUUCAAUUUUAAUUUAUUUAAUUAUAAUUAUAAUUAUAAUUUAUAUUUGGGUCAAUAUAUUAGGAACCUAAUAGGUCAUACACAUUAAGAAUUUAAACUGUGAUGAUUUAAUUAAGUAUAACUUGAUUAAAAUAUAUUUUAGAAAUUAAGGACUAUAAUAUAAUUAAUACAAGGAUUAUGUUUCCAGAUCUAGAAAAAUCAGGUAAGGACUUGAUUGAGUUAAUUUAUAAAAUUAUCUUAAAUUAAUAUAUGAAUAUUAUUCAAGGGGGAAAAUUAAUAUUUUGUCAAUUUAUAGGGUUUUUCAUAUUUUCUUAUAAAUAGUAAGUUAUGCCUCUUAUUUUUUAGGAGUUAUCUGUUAGAAAGAAAAACUACGUAUGUUACAGAAUAAAGAGAUAACACUUUAUACAUAACAAUCCCUCUCUUCUAAAUAGAGACUUGAGAGAUUUUUUACUAGUAGUUCAUGUGGAUUACUGUUAAAGAACGAACAAUUGAACGACUUCUAAUUUGCAAUAACUCAGUCUUUAAAAAAUUAUUCAAAACCGAAGAUAAUCAAAUCUUCAGGUGAUAAAUCCCUAAAUAACUCUAAAUUAUUUUAUUGUUUCAGCUGCGUAUAUGCUAUUCGGCAAACCCAACACCAACUUCACCACGGGUUUAACAUUUCUUUUACAUGUUGGGAAUUUGGUACUAAUGGGUGUAUUUUCUUAAGUUGAAAUAAUGUCACACAAUGCAGGUUCAAGUGGGUUCAUGAAUCAAAUAGUGGUUGUUAUUUGACACCGCAAUUGGAUGGCUUGGAGUUCGCCGGAACUUGGGCAUACCAUUUUUGAAUAAAUAACAAGGUAAAAACAUCUUUUAAUGAUAUGAAAUCAUUUAUUCAUUUAAAGGUAUCAACAUUGUCAUUUAUAGUGAAACAUUUAAUUUUACUACAUUGAGAAUACGUUGACCAAUAGAAUCCCCGCCUUCAGCCAACCCCAAAUUUGUCUAUCAUCGUGUAAUAUUGAUCAUUACAUUAUGCGCUUUCCAGCUAAUGAUAGGAUUUUAAGGACAACAUUAUUAAAUUGACAUCCAACCGACCAUUAUGGCUGUCAUAGAAUAGCAAUGGCCAUCCUUUGGCCAUCAUGCCAUAAAAGCCUCAUUUGGAGCCAAUUCCUCUCUCUCUCUUGCCACUAUUAGCUUCCAACCAUUCUUCGCGUUUCACUUUUCUUCAAAUGUUUUCACCAAAAUUGUUGCUCAUAAAGUCGAGAUCCAAGGGAUUAUUUAAGAUUUUAUGGAAAGUACGUAUUUCAAAUAUUUUAUGUUUAUUUUUCUGAAAUAUUGUUUGAAGAAAAAAAAAAUUUAAUUUUUUCAAAAUCAUUUUUAAAACACAAAAAUAAAUAGAGUUUGUUUUUUAUUUUUUAAAGUAUUGUUUUUUAAAAAUAAUUUUUGUAUUCUAAAUUAAUUUUUUUAUUUUUAUAUUAAUAUUAAAAAUAAUUUUUAAAAAAUAAAAAAAUAUUAUUUUAAUAUAUUUUUAAAUAAAAAAAUAUUUUAAAAAACAUCUACUUAAAAAAUAUUAUUUUUCAAAAAUAAUACUUUUCUCUAUAUUUUGAGUUUUAGUUUUUAAUAGCUAUGGCUUGUUUGAUUUUUUAUUUUUAUUUUUUUCAUGCUCUUGCAAAUAAGGCACGAAAAAAGUACUCGAAAUCACGGUGUAAAUAAGAAGAGAAAUAACAUGUUUGUUUUUUAUUUUUUAAAUUAAAUUUUUGUAUUUUUAUAUUAAUAUUAUAAAUAAUUUUUUAAAAAUAAAAAAAUUAUUUUAUAAUAACAUGGAGAUAAAGAUAAUCUCAAAAGCUAAUAGAUGGUCACCACGUGUUCAACUAGGAAAGGAUAGAAAGAGGGAGAGAGAAAGGUCAAAAAGGCUUUAAAAAAAAAAGAAAAGGAAAGACACGGUUGAGAUAAGAGGGACGUGGAUAUAGAAGCAGAAACGGAAGGAGACAUAAGCCCUGUUUGUUUGCUGGAAAGUAGUUUUUUUUUGGAAAGUGAAUUCCGGGAAAGUAUUUUCCGAUGUUUGGUAGUGUAAUGGAAAAUAAGUUGGAAAACACUUUCCAGUGUUUGGUUAUGUCAUGGAAAAUGAGCUGGAAAAUAACUUAUUAAUGUUUUAUUUUUCUCAAGUUUAUUAAAAUAAUGAGGAACAAAUCUUACAAAUUAAAAAGUUGAAUGAGAAUGAAAUUGAAAAAAAAUAUAAUUUCAUAAAUUAUCUCAAAUAAAAUAAAUAAUAAUCAAAAUAAUAGAGAUCAAAUCUAAAAAAUUAAAAAAAAAAUUAAAGGUGAAGAAAUUAAAAUAAUAAUAAUUAACAUUUCAUAAAUUAUUUCAAAUAAAAUAAGUAACAAUCAAAAGAAUGAGGACCAAAUUUGAUAGAUAAAAAAUUUCAAUAAAAAAUGAUAAGGAAAAAGCAAAUAACAAUUAUAAAAAUAAGGACCAAAAUUAAUAUAAAAAUUAAAUUUUAAGAGAUGGAAUUGAAAAAUAAAUAUUCAAAACAAAUUAUAUAUAGCAAUCAAAAGUUUGAGGAUCAAAUUUGAUAUAAUCAGCAAAUAAUGACAUUUCUAAAUUUUUCACAACUUCUGGAAAGUGUUUUCCGCCCAAAUUUUCCAGGAAAACACUUUCCUGAAAACCAAGCCAAAUUUUCCUUUGACUGGAAAGUGUUUUCCGUUGACCAACUUUUCUAAUGGCAAACAAACACAGGAAAGUUUGGAAAGUGGUUUCCCGGAAAUCACUUUCCGGGAAACAAACACAGCCAAAAGGGAAAACACUUUCCUGAAAACCAAACCAAAUUCGAAAAGUGUUUCCAUUGACUAGAAAGUGUUUUUCGUUGACCGAAAAGUGUUUCCGUUGACUGGAAAGUGGUUUCCGUUUACCAACUUUCCUAAUGGCAAACAAACACAGGAAAGUUUGGAAAGUAGUUUCCCGGAAAGUGAAUUCCGGAAAACAAACAUGGCCAUAGAAAGAUCAGAGGAGAGUAAGAAAAAAAAAUGAAUAUGUGAUGUCCUAUUUCUGAUAAAAAAUACUUUGUUUUGUUUUUUUUCUCUUUUAUUUGGAAUUUCUUUAGACACUUUAAUAAUAUAAUAACAAAAUUUUUUUUUUCUUUAUUUAUAUUUUGAGUUUUAGUUUUUAAUAGCCAUGCUCCUUUGAUUUUUUAAAAUCAUUUUUUUCAUACUCUUGCAAACACGGCAGAAGAGGAGGACCUGAAAUCACGACAGUGAAUAAGGAGAGAAAUAAGCAUGUUGGUUUUUUUAUUUUUUAAAGUACUUAAAAAAUAUUUUUUUUAUUUUUAUAUUGAUAUUAAAAAUAAUUUUAAAAAAAUAAAAAAAUAUUAUUUUAAUAUAUUUUUAAAUAAAAAAUAUAAAAAAAAACUACUUUAAAAACCUUAAAACCACGGCAUGAUAAAAGGAGAAAGAAAGGAAUAGGACAAAGGAAGAAAGUGAAUUGGACACAGGAAGAAAGUAAGGUCACGUAGGGGGGCCAGUAUCGUAGAUAAUAGGAGAUGAAAAUUAGUAUGAAAAAGAGGAUGAUAGAGUGGUUGUCCGAAUCAUUGUGGUUUUUAUAAUUAUAUUUAAUUUAUAGAAAUAUUAAAUUAAUAUAUUCUUAGUAUUUUAUAUGAUUUAAAAAAUAUGUGUAUAAAAAAAUAUUUUAAUAUAUUUUUAAAUAAAAAAUAUUUUUAAAAGUAUAUGUCACAGUACCAAAUUAUAUUAUAAAUUAAAAAAAUGGGGUUUUAUGUUCAUUAGUACUUACUUAGAGUCAUUUAAUUGUGGACAAAAUGGUGUAUUCUUUUGAAAAUUUUCAAUUUUAUACUUGAAUUUGUUUUCCACAAUUGAUCCUUUUUAAUUAAAAUUAGAGUUCAAUUGCAUAUUUUUUUAAAGAUAAAAGUUGAAUUAAAAAUAGAUAAAAGUUGAAUUAAAAGAAAGGGGACUAGUUAAGUGAAAAACUCAGCCAAAAUAGGUAGCGGCUCUAUAAUUUGUUGGCAAAGUUUAUUUUAGUUUUUCAUCUUUUUAAGUUAUUAAAUAAAAAGUCCCUAUAAUUUUCCAACAUUGCAUUUUGAAUUUUUUUAUUGAUACUUUUUUAUAUAUAUUUUUAAAAAUAAUUUUAAAAAUGAUGUUUUCAUUAAUACCCAUUUUCUAUGAUUUUUUUUGGCUUUAUGUAGUCUUUCUUCAAUUAUUUUUAAUUUUGCUAGAUGUGUUUAAUUUUUUAAGAGGUUAGUAUAAUUUAUCUGUAAAUAUUUUUUGUACAUUUCAAAUAGAUUAAGUAUUUAAUUUUUAUAAUAUUUUGAAUAUGUGUAGCCUUAUAUAGUUUUUUUUUAUGAUAUUAAAAAAAUAUGUGUAUUGAUUUCUAUUAUAAAUUAAUUUUAAUAAAUAAAUUUAUUAAAUAUAACCAGAUAAAUCAUUCAUGUAAUAUUAAAUACUUAAUCUAUAUUUAUCCCUCAAUUUUCUAGGCAAGCAAAAGGAGCUAAACUUAUUCCCGACUAAAACGUCAAGAAUUUCAGGAGAACAAAAGAAGAGAUUAUUACUUGACCAAAAACAAUUAGUCCGCGUCCAAAGAAACCGAGUGAAUGAGAGAAAAAAGACUAUAUAUUAGCUAGAAAACAAUCAACAGAACCAAGAACUUUCGGUAUGGUUUCCAAGAAAAAUGAAAUGAAACGAGCAGCACAACCCUCUUUCCCCUCUAAGAAAAAGAAAAAGAAGGGAAAGAAACAAAGAAGUUCGAGGAAGUGGGCAGCCUUUGUUCUGCUGUUCACACAGACUAAGAACUCCUCAAAUUGUAAAAUCAUAUAAUUAAAACACAACAAUAAAAAUGUAAUAAGCAGCUGAUUAAUGCUAUUGUUCUUUCUUCUUGUUUUGCUAUUUUGAUUUUAUCAUAUUUUCUUAAGAAAUUAUGAUUGUGAAAGCUAGCCAAACUAUUAGAUCCAAGCAAUCUAAGAUAAAAACUAGCGUACUUGCGUCCUGUUGUCGCAAGUACUUUUUAUAAUUAACUUUUUGUAAUAUUUUUUUAUUUAAUUAUACAAUAAAUUCAUAGAAAAAACUACAAGAGGAAAAUAUAUAUUUCAUCAAAAUUGUGUAAUCUGAUUCAUGUAUUUUUCUUAACAAAAAAAAAAGAUUUUGAUGAUAUAAAAAGUAAAAAAAAUAAAUAGAAAAUGAAGACAUGGAGAGUGGCGGGCGGGCAUUAUUGUGUUAUUUUUGAAUCCGACUCCCAUAUAUAAUGAAAGUAAGAACGUUCAUUCCUUUAUAAACAUUGACUUUGAUUUUUCCUUUAUAAAACCAUAAACCUGCAAGUCCUACAAAUCAACAUGAAGACUUAUCAGAUCCUAAUGAAAAGCUGUCAAAAUCCUAUCAGAAAUUAAGGAAGAUGACGUUAACUUCAAAUCUGAGGAUUAAUUGUAGCAGAUCUUAUAGCGUUCAGCUGAUUGCUUUACUUGUUUAAAUAAUUCUCUUGUAAGCCUAAUGGUUCACGUCUUCCAUCAUUGCAACCUUUUUUUCUGUGAUUGAAAAAUCUAUAAUAGGAACCUGCACUGCAUCCCUUCUAUGCUGUUGUUCUUUCUUCUUGUUUUGCUAUUUUGAUUUUAUCAUAUUUUCUAUGAUGAAAGUUGAAGAAAUUCUACUUCGAAACUAAAGACAAAGUCUCUCGGACUGCAUAUUAGUGGGUUGCUCAUUGGGAUUUCUAUAAACAACUGAUUCUAUUGCAAAGCAACACCACGAAAAACUGAAUAUUUCACACAUAGUCUAAUAAAAGUAGAUUCCAUUGUCAAUUCCUUAACAUUUUCCAAACAAAUCCAUGCUCCUCAUUUUAUACUUUCUUGAGGGUUUCUAUUCUCUUAUUACCAAUUUCAGUGAGUUUCAUAAUAAGCUGCUUAGAAAGAAGCUAUCUAACAGGAGGGUGGGGCUACUCUUAGCCAAUGAAAACAGCUUCACAUGCUAUACAGCAACGUGAAAAAAAGAUUCUCAGCCUGUUCUCUCUUUAAUGAACACCCUCUUGGAUUCUCUAGCAUUAGCCAACAAGGUAUCUGCUUGGAAUUACUAAUUCCACCGACCUGAAAAAGAACGUCCAACCUAUUUAAUAUACUUAAUAAAGUUCUAUUUUAUAAUCCUAUAUAUUUUUUAACUGAACUACUUAUUUUUCUCAAAAACCCAAAAAGUAAACGAUUUUCCAGAAAUCUAAUUCAUAAUAAAACAAAUAAUGAGACUUGAUAUUAAUGCAUUAAAUAACCAUCAAUUAUUCAUCAAACCAAUCUGAAAAAUCUAAUAUUAAAGCUAGGGACCAAUCUAGACUUUUAUUAUAUUUUUAGGGGUCAAAUUAUAAUUUUAUCAAAUUGGAGGACCAAACUAAAAAUAUCAUAAAUUCAUGACUAUACUGGAAUUCUGCCCAUAAUUCAUCCUAAAUUUUGCCCAGAAUCUCAAAUUAUGCUCCAAGGACCACUACAUAAUUUUAUCAAAUAUCUAGGGUCAAAUUGUAAUUUUAUCAAAUUGGAGGACCAAAGUGAAAAUAUCAUAAAUUCAUAACUAUACUGGAAUUCUGUCCAUAAUUUAACUUUAAUUCUAUCCAGAAUCUCGAAUUAUGCUCCAGGGACCAAUCUCUAAUUUUUCUAAAGUUCAGAAAUUAAACUGUAAUUUUCAUAAAUUGAGGGACCAAGCUGAAAUUUUAUAAUCUUCAACCUCAAACCCAGAAUUCACACAGAUAACCUAUUAAUAUAUCAAGAUUUCUAACUUAAAUUCACCAUUUAAAUAAACCAUAACUUAAAAUCAUUAUUUUUACCUAAAAUGUUUCAAAAUCAAUUAAAUAACUCAUUACCCAUAACAAUCGAUCCAUAAUUUUUCUGUAAUGUAAUUGUAAUUCCUAGCAUAAUGCAUAUUCGAGGGCAAGCACAACAAUUCAAGAGCAAAGAAACUCGAUGAAAUAGCAAAAUAAAAAGACAUGAAGGACUGAAAUAAAAUAAAACCAAAAAAGAGGGAUGAAAAAAGUAACCGCACUCUGGUUGCCAUCAAAAACAUAUAUAGUUCUUUUAGUAUUUUUUUUUUUAAAAUAAUAUUGUAAUAGGUCAAUCAUAUUACCCUGAGUGUGUGACACAGAGAUAAUCAUCAUAGAAAAUUACUUUUAAUUGCUUGUGUUUUAUCCUGAGAUGACAAACUUACCUUGUCCUACUAAUGCUUUUGCUUUCAUUGUUUCGAAAGUAAAAGAGACUUAAACAUAAUCAUUUCCUUCCUUUUACUUUCCACUUCUUUGUAAUAUUGGAUUGCAAACGGGAUGGUGCUUAGAGGGGCCACUUUUUCUUUUCCUUUCUUUUUAAAAUCUUAUGCCUUUGGGUGAGGAAAUUAGUGGAGCAUUAGACUUUUUAAAAGACAACAAAAAAAAGCGAUGUCUCAUCUUUUGAUAUGGUGGUACAAGAUACACCAUGGUAUGGUGGUCCUGCAAGAAAUGUCUUAGCUUUUGAUAUGGUGGUCUUCCAUGAUCAGUUUUCGAAAGAUUCGAGUCUCCGUUCUAGUUCGGGUUGGAAGCUAGGCCGAAAGCUAAGCUUCUUUUAAUUAUGAAUUGUUUAUGCAAAGGAAACCCAGAAGCUUGAACAAACAGAAAUGCCUUGUUGAUUUCUCUGCUACUACUCAUUAUUUCCAAUAUUAUUCCAUUAUCUUACCCGAAAGCAAUUAUACAAGAAAUUUCAUUAUCCUGCCCCAGAAGGCAAUUUAUUACAAGGACUUCCUUUAACCUCCUUGAAGGCAAUUUAUUUGAUGAAAAUUCCUUUAAUCCACCUCAAAGACAAUUUAUCUUAGGGAAUUCCAACAACCCAGGCAAUUUAUUUCUUAAUUUUAUAUUACUGUUUUCAUUAAUUUUAUUAAAGCUUAAUUUUAUAUUUUUUCUGCCCUUUUCUUUUAAAAAUGUUAUCUCCUUGGUAAGGAAUCCUUGGUUCCCAACAGCAACUGUAGCAUAGUUAAAGGUUGCGUUAAAAAAAUAUCAAAACUCCACCGAAAGUAGUGGAGCCUUAGAAUUUUUAAAAGACAAAACGGGGACAAGUGAGAGACGAAGAAAAAGACAAAAGCAAUUCCAUCUAUUGAUGUGGUGAUCCAAGAUACACCAUAACAUGGUGUUCUUCCAUGAAGUCUAAGAUGCACCGCCGUGUUGUUUCAUAUAUAUUUAUAUAUAUGAAAAUAAUAAAACUACCGUUUAAAACAACUCUGAAAACAAAAGUUUUAAUAAUUCAUAAUUUAUAAGCAAACAUCACUUAUAAGCAAAUAAUUAAUGAUGGUUAAACUAAUUCAUUGUUAGGCGGAUAUAUAUUAAGGUUGAGACCCAUCUAUCUAACACUAAUAACUAAUCACUGAUAAUAUUUAUGCAAAACUUGUAGCUUAGGAUGAACUCUCAGAGAUGUGGGCGAGGCAACUCAAAGUAGAAGGGAAGGGGUAACCUCUGAUAACAGAGAAAAUUGUAGAGUAAAUUGUAGAUGUGGACCGAAUUUUCUUAAAUUAACAACAGAAAUCUACAAUGAACAGUUCUCGAGAAGAAACUCAAGAAACGUAAUAAAGCUACAUGAUGACAUAAUAGGAACCUGCAUUGCCUUCAUUCUAUGAUGAAAGUUCAAGAAAUUUUACAUCGAAUCUCAAGACAAAGUCUCUCAGACUACAUAUUGCAAAGCAACUGAUUCUAUUGCAAAGCAACAUUACGAAAAAUUGAAUAUUUCACACUCAGUCUAAUAAAAGUAGAUUCCAUUGUCAAUUCCUCAACAUUUUCCAAACAAAUCCAUGCUCCUCAUUUUAUACUUUCUCUCUUAUUACCAACUUCAUUGAGUUUCAUAUAAGCAUAGUCAAUCACACAACUAAUAUGUGAAUUCACAAUUUCUUACCGAAAACAUUUUAUCAGUGCAAAUUAAUACAUAAUUUUACCUCUCCUCUUGGUGAAAACACAAAGACACAACCACCGAGCAGAUCUCUGGUAAUGGUCUCUACAAAUUCCCUACAGUUCCUAUUGCCAACAAACUCCUCUUGCCAUUCCCUAACUGCAUUGAGCCAGCUAAUCUGGAUGAAAGAAAAGACUUCAGCCAUUCCCUAACCUUAAAGCAGACCCAACUUUGUAGCUCAUUACCAGUUAAGUAAAAGUUAUCAAUAGCUGUGUAAAUCAUUGAAACUGCCACAAAAGCAACCCAAAUUAGUUAUGAAUUGGAUUCGAUAAGGGAAAGAGGGGAAGAGGGGAAAUGGGUAACGGAAAAUUAAAGAGAGAUGAAGAUCUGCGCAGGGCUACCUGUUUUGAGAAUUAUGGAUUUUUAUCCCUAACUCCAAAUUGCACCAAUUAUAAGUUCAUUAAAACAAAUCUGGAACAGAACAGAUGGAAAAAACUCGAAACAACUUGGCUAGAAUUUGGGCAAGAAAUUCAGAACGGCCAAGAUUUUAAGUGAGAUAAAAGUUAUCCCAUUUUGUUCUGUUUUUUUUUUUAAAUUAAUAUGAGAUAUACUAUCCAUUUCAAGCGGAACAUAAUGGAAUGAACAACCUUGCAUCGAAGACCUAAUUUUAGUGAAACUCAAGUUUAUUGUGUCAAAGAAAAUGUUCUAAAAAAAUGUUUUAAGCAUUAACAAAAUCUAGUUGGCCUAGGCAAUCCACUAUUGUUGCUGUUACCGUUGGUGCAUACUCAAUUACACCAUUGACAUAGUGCAACUGUUUUUCUUUCUUUCUUUCUUUCUUUUAAAAAAUCCAUGUUAUGUUUUUUAUUUGAAGCUUUUUUGUUAACAUCUUUCGCAAUUGGCCUUGGUAUUUUGUUUCCAUUUUCUCUAUGUUUCCUUCUUCUGUAGUUAGAAAACAUCAUGUCUUUGGGUUUGCGCUUGAUACCGCAAAAUUAAGGACACAAUAGUCAAAGAACACAAAAAAAUUUAUAAGUGAAGGGGGUUGCAGUUGUGAACCCUAAAAUUUACAAGUUUAUUUUCUUAAUAAUAAUAAUAAUAAUAAUAAAGAAGUUUGCCUUCUUAGAAAGUUUACAAAGCCUUAAAUUGGUUAGGAACCUUACCUCAACAAGGAAACAAAAAAAAAAUCCAAAAUUAUAAAGGAAAGAAGCAUAAAAUCUAAAAUAAGCAAGAAAUUUGAAAAUAACAAAGAAAAUCACAAAAAACUAACAAAACCCGGGGCAUCAGUGAGAGUUUUGAUAUUUAAAGAUCCGAUGGUCUGUAUAAAAAUUUGAGCACAAUCCAAUAAUCGAAUAAAAAAUUCUGGCUCUUUUGAGCUGUUAUUCUUGUCUAGUACAACCAAACAUUCUCUUGGGCUUAAACCUGUUCUAUUGGUUCAUAAAUGCAUUUACUAGGCCAUCAACAUUAUUUGUCUGAGGCAAAUCCUCAUCUAGUUAUGGGAGACCCACAUCUGACUGCUUAGAAUCACUAGUUAUCGUAGGAUCGACUAUAUCAAAAUUGGUUGGUUUUUUGUUUUCAAAAAGAAUUAAAAUUUGAUGGAGAUGAAAGCUAAAAACACAAUAAUUAAAGAGCACAAAAAAUUUUAUGAGCAAAAGAGGCUGCAGAUGUGAACCUUCAAAUUCACAAGUUUAUUUUCUCUAAAAUAAUAAUAAUGAAGUUUGUUUUCUUAGGAGGUUUCCAAAGCUAUAAAAAUAUCAAGAAUCCUAUCUUAACUUGGAAAUAAAAAUACAAACUCAAAAUUACAAAGGAAAGAAGCAUAAAAUCUAAAAUAAGCAAGAAAUUAAAAAAUAACAAAGAAAAUCACAAAAAACUACCAAAACUAGAGGGCUUAACAAGAUUUUUGUUAUCUAAAGAUUCGAUGGUCCGCGUAAGAAUUUUAGCAUGAUCUAACGGUCGGAUAAGAAAUUAUGACCCUUUUGAGCUAUUAUUUUCGUUUAACGCGACCAAAUCUUUUUUUGGUCCUAUACUUAUCCUAUUAUUCCAUAAAUACAUCUCUAUGACCUAUCUUUUUUUUUCCUACUAUAGAUGGAGUUUGACCAUCAUCAUCAUAUGAUUUGACUUAGUUGUAUCGGUUUUCAAUCAGAUCAACUUUAUAUAUUAUGGGUUUACAUUUACUAUUUUUAAAAAAUGCUCAUUAUCGGUUUUCGAUCACCAUAAGUCCAUUGUUCACACCUCAAGUCCGUACCUGCAGCGGAUCGCAGGCAACGAAACUAUAGACUCGAGAGUAAACAUGCUACUAUAGUUAGCUAGUAAGGGUCCAGGUCAUUUGUUGUCUGGUUUCAAAUAGUGUUUCAACUCAUUUAAUAAAUGUAUACAUGGCUCAUAGUUGGAUUACUUGUGUUUUUGUUAUUUGUUCUUCCCAGUACUUGUACCAGAAGCUGCUCUCAUAUUUGAAGGAAUGCAAACAAUUGUUAAUAUGAAACUUAUGAUGCAUAGGAAAUUGCCAUUUUUCUCAUUUUUAAUUGGAAGAAAAAUCACACGUAUGUUUUUGUUAGAAAUAACUUCUUAUUUCAAUCAGAAGUGUGUCACUAAAUUGAUUUAUAAGUAAGUUUUUAAAUCGUGGAUUAUAUCUUACAUUAUAUUUUUUUAUUUACAAAAGUUUAUUUGAGUUAUUUUUAUUAAAAAUACUUAUAAUUUAAAAUUAUUUUAAUUCUUUUUUAUCAUAAAUUAUUUAUUAAAAACAACUUAGAUUAUCGCUUGAAAUAAAAAAAGAAAAAGAAAAAUUUUUCAGCCUGUUUUCUCUUUACUGAACAACCUCUUUGAUUCUCUAGCAUCUGCUUGGAAAAACCAUUCAACAAGGGAUUCUGCUAGGAAAACAUGCAAUUGUUCUUCUAUCUGAUAUCAGUUUCAAAAUUCUAAACAAAUAAUGCAACAAGUCACAUUUAUUACAAAAAAAGUCACGUUUAUUCCAGACCUCAAGCUGCAUUGCCUAUUUCAAAACCACAAAGAGAACAUCAUACAGAACAACAAAUACCCAAGUCGUAGAGCCAUUAAUUUGAGCAUAAAGGAGAAUGAAAGUCCACGCAUUAAACAGUAGGCACACACAUGAGUAGACAUUAUGCCCUUGUUUUUGAAGAUUCAGACACUUCAAAAGAAAACUCACGCUCUUAUUUUUGGGAAGUUCUUCUAUGGUAAAUAAGACUGUUACAAUGUGAAGCCAAUUUGUAUCCCAUUGCCAGUGAAACAGUAGGAAUUACUUCCACCAAUCUAAAACAUAUUCGCAGCACCACAGCUCAAGGACAUGAAUCUCUGUGAAAUCGCCUAAGGUCGAGUUGCUCAUGUAAUAGGCAACCAACCUGCCUAAUGCAAACAGAAGUACAAAGACCAUUCAUGCAUAUCCAUUACCUGAUUAGGAUGUUUUUCAAAUUCCAAUGCCAAACUAAUCAUCCUACCCAUCAUCAUCAUCACCACCAUCUCCCUUCACCACCUUCCUUCAUCUCCUUCACCACAUACCCACCCAUUAUUUCGGGUCCACGUUCUACAACUGCUGAUUGGCGCAGAGCAACCAGUGCUUGAAUCCUCAGCUACUUCAGAUACCUGUAAUCCAAUCCAAGCAUGGCAUACACAUUUUAACUUCUAAAUCUUAUUAUUGAGCGAAACAAGAAACAAACACACAAAAAGAGAAGCAAGAAAUCAAGACAAUUCAGCAGCACCUCUGAUUGAGCUCUUAUUGAACCAUUUGGGAGCAUGAACGAAAACAGAGAGGGGACCUAAAAAGAGAGAAAUAGGGAGAGAGCAAAAGGACAGCAGGCCUGCUUUGCCUUUGUUCUCAAAACGCAAGUGAAGUGCAGGGAAACUGCAAGCGUUGGUCAGCCUAAUUAUUCGUCUCCAGCUACACACUCCAAACCAUCGAAAGAAAGAACUGAGAAAAACAGGAGAAAAGGAGGAACACGAAAAAAAACCAAGGGAACGGGCAGAUACAGAAAAAAAAAACUGGAGGGAAAAACCCAGGGGAAAGAAAAACAGAGGACUGCAGGUGGAAAAACUGGGGAAGAAAAGGGCAGAACCGCGGGAACAGAGAGAAGAGACUCAGGAAAAAAAGUAGAAGGAAAGGCAGAGGAGAGUCACAGAUCAGCUCUGCCAUUGUCUUCAUCCCUGCAAAAAAAUAAAAGAAUGACACUGAACCAAAGACUAUUGACAACCGGCAUCACCAUUGUUUACUUUCCUUCAUCUCAAAACUAGAGGAGACAGAACGCAAUCAAAGAAAGAAGCAGAGGAAAGUCACCGAGACCGUUGCUACUGCCUUCGGCGUUUCCAGAACUAGGAGAGAAAGCAAAAGAAAGCAGGAGGAAAGGUGUUAAGCAGACAACAGGCACCAUCACACUGCAGCCAUCUUCGCCGUUUCCAGAAGCAGGUACGCCCCUCAUCCCAUUUUGCAUCUUCAUUUCAAAUUGAAUUGUUACAAGAGCUGUGCGAAGGUAAUUUAAUUACCUUCGCACUGCUCAUGCACGCGUGAAGCCACUUCACGCGUGCUUUUCGUUUUGCCCAGCCGGUCACUGGCUUGGGCCAGUGACCGGGCCGGGCUGGCUGGGUCCAGUCCAUGCCAUGUGGGCUGAGCUGGGCCCAGCCCCAAAAAAAUAAAAGAAAAAAACAGAAAAAUAAAAAAAUAGAAAAAAUAGAAAAAAAUAAAAAUAAAAAAUAUGCAUGCAUGAAUAAAAAUAAUGUAAAUUUAUUGGUUUAUUUACUGACGCCAGAGUCAGUAAUAAAAAUAUCGGUUUAAAUUUAUAUUAUUUUUAUUCGUUGUAUUUUAUUUUAUUUAGCUAGAAAAAAAAUAUGUGCAUGCUGAAAAAUAAAUUUAUUUUUUCAUUGGCGCUAGAGUAGGGAAUAAAAAAUAUUGAUAUAAUUUUUUUUAUAGCUACGUAAUAUUUAUCAACACCAGAGUUGGAGAUAUUCAUAGUUGAAUAUUCACUGACGCCAGAGUUAGAAAUAUUAUAAGCAAAUUAUCAUAGUGUAAACUAAUAAAUAUUUAGCAAUUUAAAACAAAACCGGCAAUGCAGUCUGCCUCAGGCAGAACGUUUAAGGGGUGAUAAUAUCUUCCUUUUUACGUAACCAGUCCCAUACUAUAGAAUUUCUGUUGAUCAGUUAGGGUUUCUAGUGACCAUAAUACUAGGUGGCGACUCCAUAAACAAGAUAUUUUUUUCUAAAAGAACAAGAUAUCAGAAAUCUGUUUUUUUUCCACAGUCAAGUUUAUUUUGUGGAUCGUCACGAUAUCGGGUACGAUAAAAGUAGUCAAAUUGUGCAGCACGAGACCCUUCCACAAACAUCUCAUGCUUGUGUCAGGCAGGGACUUCAAUUUUAAUGUUUUCAAACUUGUUAACUCCUACAUCAGAAGACAACAAAGGCACUAAUUUGUUAGAUAUAAUUCCUAGUAUGUUUUGGUAAAUAGAUGAAUCAAUUAUCCCCAAUACUUACUUAUCAACAAAAGGAUAUAUGUAGACAUGGCAAUAGACAACUCAAUAUUAGCAAAUGGAGGUUUAUCGUCCUGUCCAAAUACUUCCAUUAUUUGGGGAAGAGCCUCAUUUUCACUCAAACUGGGAAAGCAUAAAUCUAGGUAUCAUUUCAUUACAAUAAUUAAUUUCUUACUUCUUAAGCCCUGCGUCAAGAGACAGGGAAUGAUACAGUUAGACAACUCCUUUUAAAUUUAGUGGAUGGCUAAAGGAUUUAUCUCCACUUAUCAAUUACUUCAGUUUCAGAAAUUUAAAGGAAGAAAUCAACAUGUAUUGAAGUUGACAAUUUAAAUUAAAAAGGAAAACAAAUAUUGGAGAAAUAUAAAGGACAAAUUAUCAAUUACAUGUACUUGGAGCUGUGCAGACAAAUUACCCAAUCCUUCGUGGCCAUAAAUGGUUAGACUUUUCAAAGAAGGCAAUUGGGCAGCAAAAUUCUUUGGACCAAAAAAGCUGCAAUUUGAAAGAGACAAUUUUCUUAGUCGAGGAAACUUGAUGAUGCCAUCUGUGGUGAGUGCAUCUCCUUCUCCACUGUAAAAUAUUUGCUUUAAAUUAUAAGCUUUAAAAAUCCGCAUCUCUUCCAGGUUUAGAAGGCUUGGAGACACAGAUACAGGGAAGACAUAUUCCAGUUUACCACAGUGAGAUAUGUAGAGAGUUUCCAAUUUUGGGAAGCGAGGAGACUCUAGAAAUAUUUCCCUUUCACCAUCCUCUUCUCUGAUAAUAUGCUUCAACUCACCGCAUGUUCUUAUCUCAAGUGUUUCUAGCUUUGGCAGAUUUUGAGCGAGGGACGGUGUGAAGAUAAAUGUCAGUUUGUCCAGAUACCCCAACUCCAGACGAGCAAGACUUUGGAGGCUGACAUGCCCGGUGGGCCCCUUCCAUAUGCAUUUGAGCUCGGGUAACUCUCGCAGCUCUAACAGUGUUAAAGAUGACAGCAACGGCAGCUCCUUCUCCUCACUGCUUCCUUCAUCAGCCUCACCCAAUUCAAAUACCUCUUCCAAUGAUUUGCAGUCCUCAAUUUCCACACUCCUUAGAUUUUUCAGACCUUGUAGCAAUUUUGCUGGAAACGGAGCGCGAACAUCCCCACAAUCGUACAAAUGUACAGAUUCUAAUCUUUGUAAGAAGCCGUUUUGCUGUCCAUGGGCGGCCAUGUUAUCAGAAAACAAUAUUAUAUUUUUUCACUCUCAUGAAAACAAUUUAUAUGAUGUAUAAAUAGGAGAAAAAAAUAGAAAAAACAGGAUUAUAUACUUUUUAGAGAUUACAUAUUAUUGUUUUAGUUUUUUUCUUAAUCAGAGAAAACUUGAAUAAUAAUUAGAUUUUUGUGAAAAAAAGGUUAAUACAACUACUAAUAAUUAGUUUCAUGUAAAAAAUAAAAAUAAAAAUAAAAAUAAAAAUAGUAACUAAUAUUUUUAUUUUAGUUAUAAAGUUAAUAAAUUUUUAAAGAUAUUUUAAUUGAAUUAAAUAUUUGAACACAAAAUUUAUGUUCUUAUAUAUAUAUUAAAUCAACAUGUAUUGAAAAAUACUUCCAUUAAUUGGGGGAAGAGCCUCAAUUUCACUCAAACUGGAAAGCAUAAAGAUUGAAAAAUCUGGAUAUCAUUUCAUUACAAUAAUUAAUUUCUUACUUCUUAAGCCCUCUAUCAAGAGACAGGGAAUGAUACAGUUAGACAACUCCUUUUAAAUUUAGUGGAUGGCUAAAGGAUUUAUCUCCACUUAUCAAUUACUUCAGUUUCAGAAAUUUAAAGGAAGAAAUCAACAUGUAUUGAAAUUGACAACCAGAAGCCCAAAAGAAAACAAUUUUGACGAAUACCCACCAAACAGUUGAAGUGCUGCUGUAACUGAGAUUUUUUAUUAUAUGUAUUUUUUGUGGUCCAAUGGAUAAAUAAUUUUUUUUUCUUUUAUUUUAUCAGCUUAAUUUUGCAUGUGGAAUAUUGAGUUUUCUGUUAUUUUUUCAGACACAGAAUUGAAUCCUUUAUACAUUCUUAAAACCAAAUUUGAAUUCUAAGUUCCUAAAUGAAGGAAUAAUAAAGAUUGUUGCAUGUACAAAUUCUCCUUAAAAAAAUUAACAAAUAAUAAAGUCCCCUAUGUUAAUAAGAUUUAACUAUAACUUAGCCCUGUAAUUUCUUAAAAUUAAUUAUUUAGCCCUGUAAUAAUAAAGUCCUCCAUUUACUAUAUUUUUCUCUAAAAAAUGCCUUCCUUCCUAAUGAAAUUUCCUCAAAUGCAUACUUUUGUUGUCCUUAUUCUAUUUUUCAAGAAUGAAGAAAAACCUCUAAAUAGCAUUAGGUUCCAUGAAAUUGAAUGUUUACAUUAUAAUUCUUCUAUAGAAGUCUUCAAUAUUCUAUCACUUAAAAUAUAAAGCUUCAAACCUCCAAAUUUUCAAGACCCCAUCUUUCAAUCUCAAAACCAGAAACAACCCCUUCUCCAUUUAACCGAAUCUCAUAACUCUAGGAAAGGAGAGGGAUACGACUUUUGUAAAUUGAUUUAAUAUAUUUUUGACUUUUGAUUUUAAUUUUCUUUUUAAGUAUGUUAGUUAAAAUUGCUUUUGAUUUAAUUUUUUUUUGUUAUAAAUUGGAUUCAAAACUUUGAUUUAAUAAUAAAAAAAUCUUAACUUUAGUUUGUGGAUUGUAUACUAAAUUCCUUAAUAAAAAUAGUAAUUUUGAAUCUUUUUUACAAAUAAUGCUUAUAACUUAUGGUUAUUUUAAUUUAUUUUUUUCAUAAAAAAACUUUUAAAUUAUAGUUCAAAGCUACCAGAUUAGGCAUGUAGCUUAUGAAGGGUUUGUAAGCAGCAAACAAUUAAAAUUAGAAAUCAGAGGAACAUUUAGAAUCUCUAGCAAUAGCCAGCAAUGUAUCUGCUCGAAAAAACCAUUCAACAUGAGAUUGUUCUGCUAGAAAAACAUGAGAUUGCUCUGCUAUUUGAUAUCAGUUUCAAACUUCUGAACAAAUAAUACAGCAUCAAGUCUCAGUCAUCACAUGCCCAUACAAAAACAUUUAUUCCAGAUCUCAAGCUGCAUUGCCAGGCCCGUUUCCAAAACCACAUAAGCAUAUGCAAUAGAAACAGAGCAUCAAACUGACAGAGAAAGCAUGAGAAUGAAAAUCCACACAUUAAACAAGAGUAAACAUUAUGCCUUUAUUUUUGAAAGGUUCACACACUUCAAAACAAACACGAAUGGGCAAGCAACAUUCGCCCUUACUUCUGGAGGCUUGUACGAUAAUGGGCAAGCAACAUUAUUUUUUUGAGGUUCGCACAGUAAUGACUAAACACACAACAUUACAUUACAUGGGUAAACAAGCAGAUAACCUUAUUCACACAUAUAUAGAUAAGUCGAUAUCUUCUUUUGAAAUCACACAUAGCAGAUAACCAAACGAGGGAAUAAGAAAUCACAGCAUCCGAAACUGAAGCAGACAAUACUUGAUAAUUGUUUUAGCGACAGCUUCUUUAGAUUAGGAAGCACCAUCUCCUUCUCAACGUUGACAGGUGAAACAUGAUCAUCCUGCCCAAACACUCCCAAUAAUUGAGACGCUUUUUUUACUCUAAGUAUUUGGAGCUAUGGGAGACCUGAAGCCAUGGUAACUGGGAAGAGGCUCUUCAACAUGUUACAUUCUCUAAUCUCAAUUUCACACAAAUUGGGAAAGCAUAAAGAUUGGAGAUGAUCUCCUAACAAUAUCUGGUCGUUUUCAUCAUCAUCCUUAGCAAUGAUUUGCUUGAAUUCCUCAUAGGACAAUAUCUUUAGAACUUUCAGUUGGACUAGACUGACAAUCAUGCUGCAUGUGAAUACCAGUGUCAGUCUCUUACACUCAACCACCUUCAAAGUAGUCAAUUUGCUCAGCACGAGACCCUUCCAUAUACACCUCAUGUCAGGCAGGGAUUCCAAGCAUAAUUUUUCCAAAUUUGUCAACCCUUGCAUCAAAAGAAAACAAGGAUACCAAAUUUAUAAAACAUUCUUACUUACAAAAACUUGUAGGUCUAGUGUUACCAAUCCUUGUCUUGGGCUUAUACAUGUUCCAUUGGUCCAUAAAUAUAUUUGCUAAGCUAUCAACAUAAUUUGUUUGGGACAAAUCCUCAUCUAGUUAUAAUAGACUCACACCUGACUGCUUAAAAUCACUAGUUAUUGUAGGAUUGACUACAUCAAAAUUGAUUGGUUUUUUGUUUUCAAAGAGAUUUAAACUUUUGAUGCAGACGAAAGCUAAAAACACAAUAAUCAAAGAAAACAAAAAAAAAAUAUAAGCAAAAGGGACUAUAGAUGUAAACCCUCAAAUUCACAAGUUUAUUUUCUCUAAAAUAAUAACAAUGAAGUUUGUUUUCUUAGAAUGUUUACAAAUCCUUAAAUAUGUCAGGAACCUUACCUCCACUAGGAAACAAAAACAAAAAUACAAAAUUACAAAGAAAAGAUGCAUAAAAUCCAAAACAAGCAAGAAAUAAAAAAAAUAACAAGGAAAAUCACAGAAACUAUUAAAACUAUAGGCCUAAACAAAAUUUUUGAUAUCUAAAGAUUUGAUGGUCCACGUAAAAAUUUAAGUAUGAUCCAAUAGUCGAAUAAGAAAUUGUAACUCUUUUGAGUUGUUAUUCUAGUCUGACGUAUUUUUUCUCUUUUUUUCACUAUAAAUGAAGUUUGACCAUCAUUGUCAUAUAGUUUGACUUAGUUGUAUCGGUUUUUAAUCAGAUCAACUUUAUAUAAAUCAGAUCAACUUUAUAUAUUAUGAGUUUACAUUUACUAAUUUUAAAAAAAUGCUCACAAGUCCAUUGUUCACACCUCAAAUUCGUAACUGCAGCGAUUCAUAGGCAACGAAACCAGUUAGAGACUAGAGAGUAAACAUGCUAUUAAAGUUUGCAAGUAAGGGUUUAGAUUAGAUUAUUUGUUGUCUUGUUUCAAAUAUUAGAUCAGUCUCAACUCAUUAAAUAAACUAGUGGUGCAUUGAUCCUUGCAUUAAUUGUUCAUUAACAAACAAUUGUUAAUAUGAAACUUAUGAUGUAUUAAUAACGCAUACAACAAUGAGGCAGUUAAGUUUCUUCGAUAAAAUAAAAUCAUUUAAAAAAUAAAAAUAAGCUAGUAUGUUUGUUACAUAACUAAAAAAAAAAUUGAUUUUUUUAAAUUGAUUUUUUUAAAAAUCAUUUUAAUAGACUAAUAUUAAAAAUAAAUUUUAAAAAAUAAAAAAUAUAUUAUUUUGAUAUAUUUUCAAGGAAAAAACAUUAUGAAAAGAAAUUGUUAAUGUUUGUUAAAACAUUAUUGUUAAUAUUUCUUACUAAAUAUAUAAUGACAUGUGAUUGGAAUAAUGUAUGUGAACUUGUACACAACUUAAUAAAUGAGAAAACUAAGGUAGCCGGUCACAUGUGAUUGGAAUAAUGUAUGUGAACUUGUACACAACAUUAUUGUGGGCUUAAUGGACCACAUACAAGUUUGCCCUGUAUUUUAAGUGAAGUUUUGCAGAUUUUUGAAAGUUUUUUUUUUUCAAAUUGAAUUUUUUUUUUUUUUUUUUUGUGGUUACCAUAUCAGACAAAGUAGAGGUUGAUUUCAACAAGCAUGAAAAACCAAAUUCAUUAUGAGAUAUAUAGCCUCAAGAUUAUCACAUCAUAAAGAAGAGUAGAGGUUCAAAUCCCUAAAUCUAUAAAUAAAUAAAAAAUGAACUAACCAAUUUUAUCUCGAAACAACAUUGAUCGUGGUCAACCGUGUGACUUGUUCCGCCCCCGUCCCGGGUUCGACCCUCUAUGUGCACGCCUGUCACCCCCGCGGUGCCUUACCUGCCCCUGGGCUUGCAGGAUGUCCAGUGGGCCGUGGGGAAUAGUCGUGGUGCGCGCAAGCUGGCCCGGACACCCCACGUGAAUCAAAAAAAAAAAAAAAAAAACAUUGACACUAACUUAAUGCUGAGCCUUGGUACAAAUUAAGUCAGCACUUCCAUGCCUUGUGAUCUUGACAAAAAUAUUUUUGGUCCUUUUAGUUUAGAAAUGAAACUUUUCAGUACAAAGCUUUAUUUUACCUCUAUAUAUAGUUUCUGAGUUUGAGAAAAGAAAGAAAGAUUUGUUGAAAAACUACAAAGGAGAGAUAAAAUUAGUCAAUUUAGAUUUGGGUUGAUUUUCUAAUUUUAAAUCAAUUAAAUGUUUAUUUAAAAUAUUUAUAUAUCUAACUUUUCAAUAAAGGAGCAAUUUUUCAUUACAUUCAGCACAAUAUUUAUUUCACUAACCUGUACGAAGAUGACACGAGUUAAAAUAAUUGUUUAAACACACACUAUAUAUAUUGUGCAUAUAACUGUCUUGUAUUCACAUUAUUAGAUCAGUGUAUGCACACAACAUUUGAUAUUUUUAACUGUUAUGAAUAAUCUGUAUAUUAUGUGUCGCACGUGAGCGACGUCGCGGCGAUCGUCCACCCAAAACAAAUGUAAUAAUAUGGGGGAUAUAUAUCUGGUCAAUGUAGGGAGACAAGGAAUUCGUUGUCUCUUAGCAGUGAAAAAUGGUGUGGGAGUCGCCACCUAGUAUUUUGGUCACUAGGAACCCUAACUGGUCUCAGAGAUCGGGUACGGGGACUGGUUGCGUAAAGGGAAGGUAUUAGCACCCCAAAUACGCCCUACCUAAGGUAAGCUGCAUCGUUUAAUUGUCUGAUAAAAUUUAAGGUGUUUUCAUUGUGUUUCCUAGUUGUUGGUCCGUCUAUGGUUCAAGAAAAGUCCUCCUUAAUAAGGAGGUCCUUAUCUUAUCGGGUAAAACCUAACCGUUCUAGCGUCUAUGUAAAAAAACAUAUUUUUAAUUUCAGGAAUACGUUUUACGUAUAAAUUCGUAAUCCCAUAUACUAACAGAGGACAAAAAGAUUUUUUAGAAUUUUUGGAAUAUUGGCCUAGUUCUCAUGGCUUGAAUAAACUGGUUAUUAAAGCCAAAAUGCAUGCUAAUACAUAUAUUGUUUUGAAAUUUCUUUUGUUGUGUGAAAAUAUGAUGUUAUAAUAUUUAUAUAUAUAUAUUGGAGAGACUAGGCCGUAUUUUAAAACAAAAACAUUUUUUAAAUAUGUAUUUUGUACGUUUUGACGCAAAUCGGGUAUUUUAAUACUGGGUUUGUAUCCUUGCAGUAUAAAAAUACAACCAAAUAUUAAUCUACUUUGAUAAAGCAAAUGCAGAAAAAUCAACAAUAUUUUCAAAGAUAUUUUAGAAAAUUUUUGAAAGCAAAAGACAUUUUUUAUUUUGAAAAUCUUUGAUGUUUUGAUGAAAACCGGGUAUGUUAAUACCGGAUUUGUAUCUUUACAGUAUAAAAUACCAACCAAUAUUAAUCAAAAUACAGUAAUAAAAUUACAGAAAAUCACAUAUUUUUGAAAUAAUUUUUGAAGAAUUUUUGUAAUUUUUUCAUAUAUAUAUAUAUCUAUAUAAAUAAUACAAAAUAUAAUAUAUAUAAUAUAAUAUAUAAUAUUAAAUGGGCUGGGCUGGUCCGGCCCAACCGACUGGGCCGGACUCAGCCCAAAAUUGUUGGGCCGAUCUCGGCCCAAAAUGGGUUGGGCCGAUCUCGGCCCAAAACAAAAAACACAUUAUCUUCUGGGCCAGACCCGGCCUAGAAGACAGGGCUGGGCCAGGAUCCGCCUGGCCCAAGCCAAAACGGGGCGGGGGGGGGAAUUAUUUUCCCCCCACCCCUGCAUGCAGAACGCUACUCGUUCUGCAUGCAGGGAACGAAACGAGAAAAUAAACGCUCUCCUAGAAACCGCAGAAAAGUUACCUGGCGCGGAGGCGAAAGCGGUGGCUGGCUGCGUUUCUGGCGGUUCUGUGGUGGAGGCUGGUAGCGGUGUCGCUGCUCCCUGGCGGCGACUCCAAGCAGCGGCGCUGCUGUCUCAAGCGGCGGAAAGAGGGAUUCUUCCUCUUUCCUUCUCCUCUGUUUCCUUCCCUUUUCUUCUCCUUCUUUGGUUUUCUUUCCCCCUGUUUUCCCUUCUUUCGGUUCUCUUCUCCCUCUCCCCUUUCUCUCUCUUUCGGUUUUUUCCGUUCCUCUCUCUCUCCUCUGUUUUUCGUUUUCUCCUUCUUCCCCCGUCUGUUCUCCUCCCUCUUUUUCUUCUACUGUCGUGUUGGUUGUUAUUUAUAGAGCCAAGUGAGUGGCUUUUCGCUGUGGAGCAUGGGGAGCAGCCGGCCGGUCGGCCAUUGGGCGCGACUGCCAACGCUCGGCCCCCCUCCCCGGCUUUCUGGCAGGUGCGCGGUGGGUGGUCGGCCAUUGUGUUCGGUCGGUGGGCUCCAGGCGAGAGAGAGGGGCCGGCAAAAAUUUCAAAAAAAAGCACCAUUUUUCCCUUCUUCCCCGCUGCAUGUUCGGGGGGGAAGAAGAAAGAUGAACAGUGUCGUUCAAAACGACACCGUUCUGCCCUUUUCCCUUUUUUUUUUUUUUUUGAAUGGAUGAAACGACGUCGUUUUGGAUAAAACGCGCCGUUUCAUUUAAAUCCUACAAGACGCCAAAACGCGUCAAUUUGCAAAGCAGCCCUCAAUUAUCUUUUGUCCCUUCAAUUGCAUCCCUGCCGAAUUUGAACCCCGUCCCUAUAUUUGGCCGCGUUUUUCACUUUGGUCCUUGGCCUUUGAAUUAUGCAAUUGAGCCCUUAAUUGAUCAAUAAACUUCCAAUUUCUUCAAUUAGGCCCCUGAAUCAAUUAAUUCCAGCCCCUAUACUUACGCACCUUCUUCAAUUUGGUCCUUGGUUUCGGAUUCCUUCAAUUAAGUCCCCAAUUGGCCCUUAAACUUCAAUAUUUAUGCAAUUAAGCCCCUGAUUUGACCUAAUAAAUUCCUAAAAAAUAUAUUUUGGCCCCAGAACUUAAAUUUCUUCUAAUUAAAGCCCAAAUUGACUUAAAAAUCAAUUUUUCUUGCAAUCAAAUCCCCUAUAAAUUCAUUUAAAAAUCAAAUUAAGUCCAUAAACAUCUAAAUUUGGGCUUUUCUCCUCAAAUUUGAAAUUUUCCUUGUCAACAGGGCUCUCCUCCUUCAAGAAUAUAUUAUCAAAAAUUCCAUCUUUGUUUUUUUAACCUUAUUGACCAAUUUUCCAACCAUUUUCUGAGCGCUUCUGCCUCCUGUUAUUUUUCUAACCUCCUUUGGCUAUAUAUUUUUAUAUAUAUUUUGUGGGGACCCAAAAAUGGGUUACAACAUUAUGAAUGCUUAGUCUUAACCUAAAUACAAAUAAAGUAUAUAUAGGUCAAACUGAAAGUACUAUUCUACCCUUGAUAAAUAAGACUACAUAAAUAUUAUUUAACAUCUCCCCUCAAACUCACGAUGCGGCAGCUACAAGCAUCGAGAGUUUGCCAGCCAAAAAACGAAAACGAGAGAUGGAAUGCGCCUUGGUAAAGAAAUCUGCAAUCUGCAAGGAAGAAGGAACAAAAGGCAAAGCAAUGGUGCCAUGUUUGAGAUGAUGACGAGUAAGAUGACAAUCGAUCUCAAUGUGCUUAGUGCGUUCAUGAAAAACCGAGUUAUGAGCAAUCUGAAUAGAACUCUGGUUGUCACAAUACAUAGGAGUAGGAUGAGAAAAGGAAAUUCCCAUAUCAGCAAGUAACCAACGUAACCAAACAAUCUCUUUGGUAGUAGAUGCCAUGACACGAUAUUCUGCUUCGGUGGAUGAUUGAGAAACAAUAGAUUGUUUCUUGUUCUGCCAAGAAAUAAGAGAAUCACCUAAAAAGAUAUAGAACCCGGUAACAGACUUGCGAUCUGUGGGAUCACUACCAUGAUCAGCAUUAGAGUAUACACGCAACUCCAAGGAAGAGGUGGAUGAAAGUAAAAGACUCUGAAAAACUGUACCCCGAAGAUAUCGCAAAAUACGAAGAACAGCUGCCCAGUGAACAGUAGUAGGAGAAGCAACAAACUGACUAACAACAUGAACAACAUAUGCAAUAUCUGGACGAGUAAUGGUGAGAUAUACCAAACUCCCAACAAUAGUGCGGUAUAAAGUAGGAUCUAUCAAAGGUAAAUCAUCAGAAGAAGAGUACCUUGUGUUAACCUCAAUAGGAGUAUCUACAGUCUUGUUAUCAGUAAGUCUAACCCGCUCAAGAAUAUCUGCAACAUAUUUCGACUGAGAAAGAAGGUAACCUCUAGGUGAGUAUGCUACCUCAAUACCCAGGAAAUAUUAAAGAUAACCCAAAUCCUUCAUUUCAAAUCGUCUAGCCAACUCUGUCUUCAAAACUGAAAUACCAUCAAUAUCAUCACCAGUAAUAAUCAUGUCAUCAACAUAUAAAGACAGAAUGAUACGACCUGCAUCAGUGCACUUAAUAAAAAUAGCAGAAUCAUGACUACUAGAAACAAAGCCACGAGACGAGAUCACAAUAGAAAAUUUCUCAAACCAAGCACGAGGUGCUUGUUUGAGACCAUAUAAUGCUUUCUUAAGCUUACAAACAUAUCCAGAGUCAUGUGAAAUACCAGGAGGGGGUGCCAUAUAAACUUCUUCUUGAAGAUCUCCAUUCAAGAAUGCAUUUUUAACAUCAAGCUGAGAAAUAUGCCACUGACGAAUCGAAGCUACGACAAUAAGAGUAUGAAUAGUAGUCAUUUUUGCAACCGGGGCAAAUGUCUCCUCAUAGUCCAUACCAUACUGUUGAGAGUAUCCUUUUACAACCAGCCUAGCUUUGUAUCGCUCAAUAGACCCAUCAGAAUUAGUCUUGAUCUUAUACACCCAACGACAACCAACAACACUCUUACCAGGAGGUAGAGGAACCAGAUCCCAAGUAUUUGUCUUAUGCAAAGCAGAAAGUUCCUCAUCCAUAGCUUGCUGCCAAAGCGGAUCAAGAAUUGCCUCUUUAUAGGAAGAGGGCUCAAAGAGACAAUGAAUAGAAGCUAAAAAGGAAGUAAAUGAUGAAGAAUAACAAGAAUAAGCAAAAUCUGGUAGUUUUGUGGACUUACGAAUGCGGAUGGACUGACUUGGAGGUGGAUCCACAAUCUCAGAUGAAGCUUGAGGGGAUGUAGAUGAGAAUGGAGCUUCAGGUGUGCCAGAGAGUAAAGUACCAGUACCUGCAGAGUUAUGAGUACAAAUUGAUCGAACAUAGGGAGAGGUAUCAUUACCAGAAUCCUUAGAAAAAGGAUCUAUAUAAAUAAGAUCAGAUUUUGUCAGGCUAUGAGUAGUGGAUGAAAUAGAAAAGAAAGGUAUAUGCUUAAGGAAGACAACAUGACGAGACACAUAAAGUUUCUGAGUUAUUGGAUCAAAUCAACGAUACCCCUUUUUACCUUCACCAUAACCCAGAAAGACACAAAUAACGGAUUGAGAGGAUAGCUUACUGCGUUCUACAUGAGGAAGAAGAACGAAACAAGUACAACCAAAGACUCUAAAUGAGGAAUAAUCAGGGACAUACCCAUAUAACUUUUCAAAAGGAGAUAGACCCGAACUUGACCUAUAUAUACUUUAUUUGUAUUUAGGUUAAGACUAAACAUUCAUAAUAUACAGAUUAUUCAGAAUUCUAGCCUCCUUUCUCUAUUUGAUCUCAAUUAAUUUAACAUUAACCAUUCACAUACAUUAAAUAAAACCCAUGGAAACAGGACACAAACGUCGACUGCAACUGCAACAUUAUACUAAUGAGUGUAUUUUCUGAAGUCGAAAGAGUGCUACCCAAUCUAGGUUCAAGUGGGAUGAUGAAUUGAAGAGCAGUUGUUAUUUGACACUGCAAUUAGAUGGCUCAUAUUUGAUUUAUGGAGCUAUGAUAAGGGAUUCGUGCUUGUAUCACAUAUAACAAUAUUUACAUAGUAACAAGCACUAUUAAAGAUGCUACACUAGUAAUUGCUUUAUCAAAUAUUUUAUGUUUUUUUUUUUGAAAUAUUGUUAUAGACAUAGAAUCAUCUAGAUUAUGUGACAUUCUAUAUUGAUUUUGUGAUAUUUUAAUCACUAAAAGUAUGGGUUUCAGAGAAAAAAAACCAAACAAAAAAUUGAAAAAAUUAAAAAUUUUCAAACCAACCCAAUCCAACAUAUUGAUCAGUUUUGGUCUGGUCUGGUUCAAAUAUUUUUUAGCUGAAACAAUUAAUAACCAUUUUCAAAAGGUAACUAUUGACAAGCCUUUCACCGAAACCAUGUUCAUUUAUCCUGAAUCAAUCCAAAUCAGGUUCAGGUUUGAAAGGUUCGGAUAAUCACUUAGACGUCUUCGGUUCUAAUUUUAGGCCUUGUCACUUAGUCAUCCCUUAUCCUAACUUUUUAUUUCCUAAUAAAAUCUCACGGUUUUUCAUCUAUGUUCAAAGGAAAAGUUGACCUUGCAAAUGGUGCUCUAAGGAACCAAGUCAUCCUAGAACUAAUCAUCCACCUAAUCUCAUCAACUCCUUGUUGCACAAACAGCUUGUCUCACUUAAAGGGGAUUUUAAUGAUGAACAAACACCAACUCCUUGUUGCUCAAAUACAUAUGCUCAUUUAAACACAAUUUUGCAUUACCUAGAACUGACAAGGCCUAAAAUUCCUGACAUAUAAUUUUGUUUUAAAGGAACUUCAGGAUUUCUAUAUAGGAUGCUUGACCUCAUUAAAGAAAAACUGAGGACAUCCAUAACAUAAAUUAUCUUCCUUGCCCCAAAGUCAGCACAGAAAAACCCUGUUCAAUAUAAAGGUUCUGAAUGUUUUUCCUAAAUUUCAUGAGCUGGCAUUCAACACAUCAAACUCCCAAUUUAGCAUUCUUAUGCAAACUACAACUGCAAAAGGCUUGUACAUGUAGGGGAGGUAGGAAGAGCUGCAAAGAAUUGUGGCAUCUAUUGUUAUGCUGUUCAGAGUUUCUAUCUCAUCAUCCAAUCUGCCAAAAAUAUAAGAGAUCAUGUGCAUCAUCAAAAGCCCCAGCCGCUAUAUGAACAAAGCACCUAAAAAAUUAAUCACCUAGCUAAUCUAAUUCAGGAAAAUUCGGUCAAAAUCUCCUACAAUGAAACGAGUUAUUGGAAUGCAUAGAUAGGAAAUUCAGGUAAACACACACACAUACACACACACACCUGAUCAUAAAUUUCCUAAAGAAAUUCUGAAUCGUAACAUUGGUAAACAAAGAGUGACAAUAUCAUCACAUUAAAAAUGCAUUUCACUCAAAACAAAUAACAGCUCAAGAAAAAAAAUUGCAAGAAGCCAAUAGAGAAUAAAGUAAGCAGUCCAUAAACAAGAGACAGAGAGACAUUGUUCCAAUAGAGAAAAGUAAUUAAAACCCAACAACUAAAACUGAGAAAGAAUCAAACCAGGGAGUAACUAAUCCUUUUAAAGCAUUCCAAGAAUGGCAACCAAAUGUAACAUAAUCAACCUGCAAAAACAAACACAAAAAGAAUUAGAAGAAGAAAUCCCAUUAGUUAAUAAGUUAAAACAGCAGCAGCAGCAAAAAGACUAAAAUUUUAGUUAUUUGGACUUGAGAAAAAGCACUGAACCUGUGUGAAAAUGCCAUGAAAGGGGUGCUAAGAAACCAGGAACAUAAAAACUUGUAAAAGGGUCUUUUUACAAAGCAAGAAAGAAGCUAGGAAGCAAGGAAGCAUGCCAGCCUACCCUCACGAACUCUGUUUGUUAGGCCAUGUUUGUUUCCCGGAAUUCACUUUCCGGGAAACCAUUUUCCAAACUUUCCUGUGUUUGUUUGCCAUUAGAAAAAUUGAUCAACGGAAAACACUUUCCGGUCAACGGAAAACACUUUUCAAUCAACGAAAACACUUUCCCAUCAAAGAAAAAAUUGGUUUGGUUUUUCAGGAAAGUGUUUUCCCUUUUGGCUGUGUUUGUUUUCCGGAAAGUGGUUUCCGGGAAACCACUUUCCAAACUUUCUUGUGUUUGUUUGUCAUUAGAAAAGUUGGUCAACGGAAAACACUUUUCGGAAGUUGUGAAAAAUUUAGAAAUGUCAUUAUUUGUUGAUUAUAUCAAAUUUAAUCCUCAAACUUUUGAUUGCUAUAUAUAAUUUGUUUUGAAUAUUUAUUUUUCAAUUCCAUUUCUUAAAAUUUAAUUUUUAUAUUAAUUUUGCUCCUUAUUUUUAUAAUUGUUAUUUGCUUUUUCCUUAUCAUUUUUUUAUUGAAAUUUUUUAUCUGUCAAAUUUGGUCCUCAUUCUUUUGAUUGUUACUUAGUUUAUUUGAAAUAAUUUAUGAAAUGUUAAUUAUUAUUAUUUUAAUUUCUUCACCUUUCAUUUUUUUAAAAUUUUUAGAUUUGAUUUCUAUUAUUUUGAUUAUUAUUUAUUUUAUUUGAGAUAAUUUAUGAAAUUGUAUUUUUUUUCAAUUUCAUUCUCAUUCAACUUUUUAAUUUGUAAGAUUUGUUCCUCAUUAUUUUAAUAAACUUGAGAAAAUAAAACAUUAAUAAGUUAUUUUCCAGCUCAUUUUCCAUGACAUAACCAAACACUGGAAAAUGUUUUCCAACUUAUUUUUCAUUACACUACCAAACAUCAGAAAAUACUUUCCCGGAAUUCAUUUUCCCGGAAUUCACUUUCCAAAAUGAAACUACUUUCCAGCAAACAAACGGGGCCUUAAUUGUUUUUUCUCCUUUCAAGUAAAAAAAAAAAAAAAAAACAAAGAGCACCAAGAAAAUCUAAUCAGAAAUAUUUUUUUUUUAGUCUGAAAUAUUUUAUGUUGUUGUCUUGGAGAGAUGCAGAUACCGAGGAACAGUUGUGGGGCCACCAUUGGUGAGCAGUGAUACAGUGGCAAGUACGUGAAGUAACGCAUAUUACAGUGCGCAAUGAUAGAGUGAGUCUGGGUGGACAAACUUUUGGUGGUACACGUGGUGCGUAAUGAUUUGACGGCUAUGGAGAGAAGUUACAUGAGGGAAAUAAGAUGAAAAAAGUGGCCUCUCUAGAUUUUGGAAAUGUUCUCUGAAGAAAGAAAGAAAAUAAUCUCAAGGGUGGACAAAAAUGGGGUAAUAUCAGAUUUGGAACAUAAUCUUGGUUGGUGAAGAAUAACAUAAUCUGAAGAGAAAUCUAGGGCAAGCCAGUGAGAUUUGAGCUUAGAUUUUGGACCAAUUUAUAGGUGGAUGAUACCAUCAUGGAUGAUGUCUAGCUGAUAAAUGUUUAGUUACUAGCAAUUCUAUCAUAAGUUAUCAGAUUCUGUGUGUGUGAGGCUGCCAUAAAUUUCUUUCUUCUAUGAUGGAUAAAAAACGCUAAGCAAUGAACCAUUUUGUCAACCUAGUAAAAAAGGUAUUAUGGUAUUAUAGACUUAAAUUCAUAGAUAAUUAAGUAAAUUUCUUGAGGAAAAGCAAAAUUUAACUAUAGAUAAUCAAAGUGAAAAAAAAACACCUCAAAAAAAGAUGGUAGUUUCAAGAUUAAAGCCAAAAAUUCACUUUGAUUCUCAUACUUUUCAGAUAAUGACUUUUUGGUCCCUUAAGUUUUCUCACAUUUUAUUUUUGAUCCACAACUUCAUUUUUCUAUAUUCUCAUUCCCUAAUUUGAUAGAGGAGACAAAAUGUUAUUGGAUUACAAUGUUAGAGAGAGUCUCUGUAACAGCCUCAACAUUUGUAUUCAAAACAAAGAGUAAGGACAUGAUGAUUCAAAUAAGAUUAUGGAAUUUUUUUUUGUAAUCAAUAAAAAAUUCAGCAGAGUUUUUUUUAUAUUUUUAGAUACUAAAUUAUCGACUUUUCAUCUACAAUCCUCAAUUAUCAAAUUUCUUACUCAUCCUAUCAUCCAGAACUUCCUCCUCUCAUUACAUCACAACUUCUCAAUAAUCAAAUGCACAUAUGUCUAAAUAAUUCAAUAUCCCACAUUUACAUGGAUGCAAUCCAAAGAAUUAUUCUACAAAUUAUAAUUGAAGUACAUUACAUAAUUCAAAGAUUUACAAAUAAGGACCAUUAACGAAAUUAUAAUCGAAAUAAGUAUAUAAUUAAAGAAGAAAUUCAUAAUUAAGAUUAUACUACACAAAAGAGCUUUCGAUAAACUGUUGACACAUUAUAUUACAUAACAAAAUGAUAAAUUCAUUCAUUACAAAAAGAUACCCAACAAAAUAUAAGAAAAUUAAUCUAUUGUUCAGCCCGAUAAGGGGAUGUACCUGAAAAUUGAUUUAAUACAAAAAUUUAAUUAGACAGAUGAAAAAAAGAUAUCCUGCUUUCUUUCUUUCUUCCUUUUUUUUUUAAAAAAAAAUUAGUCAAAAGAUCAUUAAAUUAACUUGCUCAUGUAGUAUUAUAUAUAUAUAUAUAUAUAUAUAUAUAUAUAUAUAUAUAUAUAUAUAUAUAUCAAUUAAAUUUCAGAAUAAUCUAUGAGUUUGAGUUUGUUUUCUUUUUCUUUUUUAAUAUCAACCAAAAAUAUAAUUAUUCAUAUCACUCAAUUAACCCGACAUUACUUUCACUAAUAGAUGAUUAAUUUUCCACCAGUCUAUUCAACAAACACUAUUGUCAUCAAUCCAAAAAUUAGUUUAACGUUUCAUCCAUUCAUCAGGUACAAAUCCCAUUAACUAGGAAAAUUAAUUCUUCAUCUUGCCUAUUUGCCAGGGCACUAAUUCCAUUAAAUCAGGAAUUAGUUCAACGAUUUACCCAUUCACUAGGGUACUAAUCCCAUUAACCAAAGACUUAAUUCCUCAUCAUGCCCAUUCACCGGGACAUUAAUCCCAUUAAUUCAGGAAUUAGUUCAACGAUUUGUCUAUUCACCAGGGUUCUAAUCCCAUUAACUAGAGAAUUAAUUCCUUAUCACGCCCAUUCACCAAGGCAUUAAUCCCAUUAGUUCAAGAAUUAAUUCAUCACAUCGCAUAUCUUAUUUUCUAAAGUAAACAAUAUAAUAAUUUCAUAUUUAUCAACCAUAAUUAAUCAAAUAAAAAUACAUAUUGACCAAUAAUAAAUUCAGGUACCGUGUAAUUACCUGAUGACUAAGCUCGAGCUGAAAUUUCCUGCUGUGGUGUCGGCCUGGCAGCCUCUCUUGAAUUGACAAGUAUAUCAUAUCAUUAUUCUACUUUCCAUAUUGAAACACUCAAUAAAUAAAAUCAUUCCAAUUAUCCUUUUAUUUGCCAAAAUAAAAUCAUUUUGUAAAUUUCCUUCCUAUUCUUUCAAUUUCCACAUUGUAACACAAUUCAUUUCAUCAUUCAAAUCAAUAUAUAUAUUCUUUAAAUUUAUUUAUUUAAUUUUUACCGUAAUUUAAAUCAAAGAAAAACAUAAAAAAAUUUCAUGAUCUAUUCACUCUUUAACAUUAAUAUCAUCUCUUUCUUACACAAUCUCAUCAUCUUAUCAAAACUCUUAAAUUUUUAUUUUUCUUAUUAUUAUUUUUCCAAAAAUCCCUUCUUCAAGAACACCUAAAAUUUUGCUUUAAUUACCAUAAUUUCUUACCUUCCCUACUCACUUCAAUAAUCUUAACACAAUUUCACAAUCAAUUGUAAUUUUCUCUAAAAUAUAUCAUGAACCCUAAUUCCUCAUUUCACAAAGUUCAAUCAAUUUAAAGCAUAAAUUCUUCGAGAAUCUUAUUUAAAAGUGUGAGGACAUCUUACCAAGCAAUAACCAAAGCUUUAACACUUUUAAAUUGAGAAAUUUUCCUUGCUUGAAUUUGUUUUUCCUCUCCUGGCCGAAUGCUUAAAAAGCAAGUUUUUUUUUUUGUUUCCUUAUAGCACACUCACUUGCACUCAUAUAUAUAUAUAUAUAACUCUUUUUUUAAAUACCUUCCACAUCCCUCAAUUUUUUCUUUCCCCCUACACAUAUAUAAUUACUUAACUUUUUAAAAAUACCUUUUAUAUUCCUUAAUAGUAAAUUUUAUGAUUUUUGGGUAAAAUUUCUUGAAUCCUAAUGCCUGUUUAUACCAAAUUUUAUCCAGGUUAUUUCAAAUUUCACUCAGUUACUCGUUAGUAUUUUCAGUUUCAUGAAAUUCAUUUCCAUAAAAAUUUUAUUCAUAUUUUCAUGUUUAUUUAUUUAUAUUUAUUUUUUAUAUAUAUUUUAACACCCGAACAAAACAUUUCAAUUCAGAUUCUCGAAUAUAUCAUCAUUCUUAUAAUUUAAUUUAUCACUUUUCCUCAUUUUUCGUAAUCUUGACUUUUAUUAAUAUCAAUAAUAUUACCCGGGGUUUUACAAUCUCAGUUGGCACUGAUUUUUGCCAUAAAAAAUGGUUGAUUUUAAUGAUUUUUUUUAAUAUCUAUAUGUUUUUUUUAUAUUUUAUAUGAAUAAACUUUAUUUUCAUGAUGUGUUUAUAAAAAUAAGAAUUAUUUGUUCUUGGUAAGAAAAAGUGACCUUUAAGAUUAAAAAGAAGGAGAAAAGUGACCUUUAAGAUUAAAAGUAUCUGCUCGAAAAAACCAUUCAACAUAAGAUUGCUCUGCUAGGAAAACAUGAUAUCAGUAUCAAACUUUUGAACAAAGAGUUCAGCAUCAAGUCUCAGUCAUCUUGAGAUUUGAAUGCCCAAACAUAUUCAGAUGCUCAUAAAAUAACAUUUUUAAUAAUGCAUUAUGCAAUAGAAACAGAACAUCAAACAAAGAGUUCAGCAUCUUACGCAUGAAAGUCCACACAUUAAACCAAAAGAAACACAAAUGGCCAAGCAAACAUACGCCCUUACUUCUGGAGGCUUGUACGAUAAUGGGCAAGCAACAUUAUUUUUUUGACUAUUAAGCAUCACCAUCACCAUCACCAUCACCAUCACCAUCUUCCUCUUCCUCUACUUCUUCUUCUGUCCACCCAUUAUCUCGGGUCCACUCUCUAUUAAUGCUUGAAUCUUCAGCUACUUCAGAUACCUGUAAACCAAUCAAGAAAAGAGAAAUUCAUAAAAAAAUUACAAAGAAAAGAGAAAAUUAGCGAAAGCCAUUCAACAUAAGAUUGCUCUGCUAGGGAAACAUGAUAUCAGUAUCAAACUUUUGAACAAAGAGUUCAGCAUCAAGUCUCAGUCAUCUGGAGAUUUGAAUGCCCAAAUAUAUUCACAUGCUCAUACAAUAACAUUUUUAAAAAUGCAUUAUGCAUUAGAAACAGAACAUCAAACUGCAGAGAAAACAUGCUGAUGCAGAAAAUACUCAAGUCGUAGAAAGGAGAAUGCAUGAAAGUCCACACAUUAAACAUUAUGCCUUUCUUUUUGAAGGUUCACACACUUCAAAAGAAACACAAAUGGGCAAGCAAUAUACGCCCUUACUUCUGGAGGCUUGUAAGAUAAUAAUGGGCAAGCAACAUUAUUUUUUUGAGGUUCGCACAGUAAUGACUAAAUACACAACAUUACAUUACUCCUGUGCUGUCAACAAUUCUUCUAACUUCUUCAGCAAACACAUAGAUAGAUAAGUCGAAAUCUUCUAUGGUAAAUAAGACUGUCACAAUGUGAAGCCAAUUUGUAUCCCGUUGCCAAUGGAACAGGAGGAAUUAUUUCCCACCAAUCUAAAACAUAUUCGCAGCACCAACCUUGAAAUCAUGUAAGAGCUAACCACCAUUCAACAUGAGAUUGUUCUGCUAGGAAAACAUGAUAUCAAACUUUUGAACAAAUAGUACACCAUCAAGUCCAAAUAUAUUCACAGCUCAAAGACAUGAGUCUCCAUCUUCUUUCCACCCCAUAUUUCUGGUCCACUCUCUAUUAAUGCUUGAAUCUUCAGCUACUUCAGGUACCUGUAAACCAAUUCAAGCAUGGCAUGCUCAUUUAACUUGUAAAUCUUAUUAUUGAGAGAAACAAGAAACAAACACACUAAAAGAGAGGCAAGAAAUCAAGUCAAAUCAGCAGCACCUCUGAUUGAGCAUUCAUUGAACCAUCUGGUGUAGUAGCAAAUUUUGUGGUCAGCUUUGGACAUUGAUGGACCUUCAACUUCUCCAAACGAGGGAAUAAGAAAUAAUCACACCAUCUGAAACUAAAACAGACAAUACUUGAUAAUUGUUCUAGCGACAACUCCUUUAGAUUAGGAAGCACUAUCUCCUUCUCAACGUUGAUAGGUGAAGCUUGACCAUCCUGCCCAGGAGACUCUGGAAUUAUUUCCCUUUCACCAUCCUCUUCUCUGAUAAUAUGCUUCAAUUGACCGCAUUUACUUAUGUAAAGUCUUUGUAGCUUUGGCAGACUUCGAGCGAGGGACGGUGUGAAGAUAAAUGUCAGUUUGUUGAGAGACUCCAAAUUCAGACGAUUAAGACUUUGGAGGCUGACAUGUCUAGAUGGCCCCUUCCAUAUACANNNNNNNNNNNNNNNNNNNNNNNNNNNNNNNNNNNNNNNNNNNNNNNNNNNNNNNNNNNNNNNNNNNNNNNNNNNNNNNNNNNNNNNNNNNNNNNNNNNNAAUACCUCUUCCAAUGAUUUACAGCUGUCAACAAUCACCUCCUUUAGAUUGUUCAAAGCUCGGAGCAAUUUUGCUGGAAACGGAGUGCGAACAUCCCCACAAUCGUCUACUCGUACAAAUUUUAAUCUUUGUAAGAAGCCGUUUUGCUGCCCAUGGACGGCCAUCUUAUCAGAGAACAAUAUUAUAUUUUUUCACUCUCAUAAAAACAAUUUAUAUGAUGUAUAAAUAGGAGAAAAAAAUAGAAAAAACAGGAUUAAAUACUUUUUUUUUGUCUUAAUUAGAGAUAAGUUGAAUAAUAAUUAGAUUUUUGCGAAAAAAGGUUAAUACAACUCCUAAUAAUUAGUUUCAUGUAAAAAAUAAAAAUAAAAAUAGUAGCUAAAAUUUUUAUUUUAGUUAUAAAGUUAAUAAAUUUUUAAAGAUAUUUUAAUUGAAUUAAAUAUUUGAACACAAAAGUUAUAUAUUAAAUCUAACAGAUAUUAUGAUUUCUAUGAUUAAUUUUUGGUAUUAAUAACGCAAACAACAAUGAGGCAGUUAAUUUUCUUAUAUUUAUAUAUGUUUAGAUAAAAAAACAAAUCAUAAAAAAAAAAAAUAAGCUACUAUGUUUGUUAUAUAAUUAAAAAAAAAAUUCAAACUUGGAUUUCCUAGCAUUUAUCAAUUACUUUACUUUUAGAAAUUGGGAGGAAGAAAGAAUAAAUUAUCGCAAUUGACAAUUUAAAUUAGUGGAGAAAUAUAAAUUACGUACUUGUAGCUGUGCCAACCAAUUACCCACUUCUUCGUGGCCUUCAAUGGUUAAGUCUAUGAUGCCAUCUCUGUUAUGAGACAAAGAGACUGGGAAGACAUAUUCCAGUUUACCACAGUGAGAUAUGCGGAGAGUUUUUAAUUUUGGGAAGCGAGGAGACUCUGGAAUUAUUUCCCUUUCACCAUCCUCUUCUCUGAUAAUAUGCUUCAAUUCACCACAAUCACUUACCUGAAGUCUUUUUAGCUGUGGUAGACUUUGAAGAGUUAGAGACACGGAGACAGGGAAGACAUAUUCCAGUUUACCACAGCCUUCUAUGAUGAUAGUUUUUAAUUUUGGGAAGCAAGGAGACUCUGGAAUUAUUUCCCUUUCACCAUCCUCUUCUCUGAUAAUAUGCUUCAAUUCACCGGAUUCACUUAUGCAAAGGGUUUCUAGCUUUGGCAGACUUUGAGCAAGGGACGGUGUGAAGAUAAAUGUCAUUUUGUCGAGAGAAUCCAAAUGCAGAUGAGCAAGACUGUGGAGGCUGACAUGUCUGGUGGGCCCCUUCCAUAUGCAUUUGAGCUCAGGUAACCGGUACAGCUUUAACUCUGUUAAAGAUGACAGCAACGGCAGCUCCUUCUCCUCACCCAAUUCAAAUACCUCUUCCACUGAUUUGCAGUCCUCAAUUUCCACCCUCCUUAGAUUUUUUAAACCUUGCUGCAAUCUUGCUGGAAACAGAGUGAAAACAUCCCCACAAUCCCUCACUUCUACAAAUUCUAAUUUAUGUAAAAACAAUUGCUCAAAUGUCUUCGCAUUUAAGGAUGUACCACCCAAAAUUAAUCUUGUGGAGGUUGGGUAUCCAUUAGAAUAAUAUUUAGUAGUAUUCCCUAACAUUAAAUCAUAUUUGAGCAAGCUGGGAAAAACAAAAUCUCUGGGAAUGCAUUCAACCUUCGGUAUCCUCAAUGAUAAUACGGCUAACUGAGACAACGAAUUUAGUUCUGUUAGGCUUGCAUUCAUUCCUCCUGUGCUGUCACAUCCAACAUCAUCCCAUCCCUUAAAGCUGUCUUUCCCGAUCAACAAUUCUUCUAACUUCUUCAACCUUCAAAUCAAAUUCACAGGGAUCCUUCUUAGACUUCGACAACCUGUCACAUCCAACAACCUUAACUCCUUGAGCUCUCCUAUUUCAUCAGGUAAUUCUUCAAUGGAUAAGCACAUUAUAAAAACAAGAAUCUUAAGUCUCUGCAGCUUUCUCAACCAAAUGAGGUCCUUGCAUCCACACCUGAUCAACACCAACGAUUGAAGUUUCGUUAAGAGUUCAAGUGAUUGCAAUGACAAACACUCUCCCUCCAGAGACAAAACUUCAAUUUCUUUCAUCCCUUCAAAAAACCUCUGAGGAACAUUCAUACCAUCAUCCAGUUCUAAUAAUAGAACUUUGAGCCGUGGACAUACCAAUCCUUCAGGAAGUUCGGUUAGUUUAUUGCCCAUUAACGAAAUUGUUGUACAAGCUUCAAAGCUUUUGAUACUCAUUGGCCAUUCCUUCAACCCAAUGCCAGCCUUUACCAUGAAUCCAUAUUCUUCUGAUGAUGCUAUCUGAAUAGCAAAGUCACGAACCAAGUCAUGCAUUCUCACAUGUUCUUCAGUUUCAGUGCCCAACAGCAUGCAACAAUCUUUGAGGUUUUCGAUUGCCACGGAAACUCGUUUCCUUGCAUCUUCAAUGGGCUCCGUAUCUUGAUGUAACCCACAGCCAACUGCAUAUCUCGUCAAGUCCUCGAUUGGAAUGUCAUAAUCUUCUGGAAAUAAACAGCAUAGCACGAAACAUGACUUGGUUUCCUCGUACUUCAAAUAAUCAUAGCUCAACUUAAGACAUGUGUAAGCAUUAUUUUGUUCGUCAAUUUGUUCCAUGCGCACAAAUUGAGAUUCUUUGAGCUGUUUAGACGCUACUUCCCACUGAACUCGUGAUUUACCUCUUAGAGCCCUUCCCACUGUCACAAGUGCUAUAGGCAAGCCUUGGCAUUCUCUCGCAACCUCCCUUGCCACUGUGUUCAAGGUAGAGUCCCCAUCACGUAAACCUGCAUUGAUUCUGAAUAAAUCCCAUGCUUCAUCUUCAGGUAAGACUCUUAAAAGCACUUUUUGCUGGCACUCCAUAGAAAAACAUAUGCCUUGAACACGAGUUGUUAGAAGAAUUUUACAACCCCUGUGAUCAUCACCAAAUGGGAUCCCUAUCUCUUUCAAGUCAAUAUGUUUCCAAACAUCAUCUAGGAUUAUAAGCAUCUUCUUUCCCUGCAGUCUCUGCCAUAAUUCACUUGCUCUACCUUCUUUACUCGUUUUUUCAAAUUUCAGAUGUAAACUAUCUGCCAUUCGAUCCUGGAUGCCUAUGACAUUUGGAUUCUGGGACACCGUAGCCAUCAAAACUUCAGGAAAAAGCUGCGACUCUUUGGCUCUCCUGCCUACUUCUUUCACCAGGGUUGUUUUACCCACCCCUCCCAUGCCGUACAGUCCGAUCAUAUUGACGUUGUCAUCUUUGAGAGCUUUCAUGAUCUGUUCCAAAGCUUCUUUUGACGAUUCUGAGGGUGUGAAUUCCUUUGAUGUUAGAAAUUCUAUGGGCUGAGGAGGAGCUUUUUGGGCCACUGUUUUAAACUUUUCGCUACUUUCUCCAAGUUUUCUGAAAGUCUUCGACUUCUUGGCCAGUGCCUUGCUUAACUUGAAUUGUCGCAUNNNNNNNNNNNNNNNNNNNNNNNNNNNNNNNNNNNNNNNNNNNNNNNNNNNNNNNNNNNNNNNNNNNNNNNNNNNNNNNNNNNNNNNNNNNNNNNNNNNNNNNNNNNNNNNNNNNNNNNNNNNNNNNNNNNNNNNNNNNNNNNNNNNNNNNNNNNNNNNNNNNNNNUUUGCCGAAACCAGGUUCUCCUUUCGUUCUUUGAAUUCUUCAACAAAAUUGUAGAAACAGAACAUGCAACGGAACAGCCUUCCUACUGGUUCCACCAUGAGUUCUGCUAGCAUAGCUAUAAUGGAUCCACCAGCACUUUCGAGAGCCAUUUUCCACAGGUCUGAAAAUCAAAGAAAUAAGGAUACAGAACGUGAGAGUGAGUCACUACAAGUAAAAGAGGCUUAAAGAGAAUGGGAAUAGGAAUUUCAUUACCUUAAUUUGGGAAAAUAUGUGCGAAAAGCACUGGUAUUGAGUGUUCAAUGAAAUAGCGGGAGGAAGAAGAGGAGAAGGCCUUUAGCUCUGUAUGGAAUCCAGCUUCAAAAGCAACAAGGCAAGGUACAAGUAUAACAAUAAAAUAGUUUACAUGGAUUCUAACGGACUCUUGUGAGUUAAAGCAUUAGUUCCCUUUAAAAAUGCAUUUUGAUGACAUAAUUAAGAUAAUAUAGAGACAGUGACAAACAAAUAAAAAAAUGUGUAAAAGAACUCACCUAGCAAAGAAAGAAACGAAUGAAAGGUUCAGGAUAAUCACUUAGACGCCUCCAUGGAUGAUACCAGCUCGCUUCCAACAACAAAUAUAAUUAACCUAAGCUAUGAUCGGUCAAAGUUUUUUUUAGUUUUCUUUUUUUUUUUAAAAAAAAAAAGAUCAACAAGAGAAAAUUAAGACUUGCAGGAACGAACUCAACAAAGAAUGAAACUAAAAGAACCAUGUUUUUUAUGAUGAUCAUCUCCGUGUCACCCACUUGGGUAAUAUGAUUGACCCGAGUGUGUGACAUCCAGAGUGCGGUUACUUUUUUCAUCCCUCUUUUUUGGUUUUAUUUUAUUUCAGUUCUUCAAGUCUUUUUCUUUUGCUAUUUCAUCGAGUUGCUUUGCUCUUGAGUUGUUGUGCUUGCCCUCAAGUAUGCAUUAUGCUAGGAAUUAUAAUUACAUAUUAUAAUUACAAAUUUCAGUUUUUUAAAAAACAAAAAAAAUAUGAGAAAGGACCAAUAUUACAAUGUGAGCAAAUGAAAGGAGAAUUUUAAAUUUUCUUGUGACAUGGUGACCAAGUAAUCCAAGGAACCAAUAGAUUAUCGCCACUUGUUCAACCUUAUCUGCACAUUAAGAUAGGGGUAGAAAGUAGGAAAGAAAAAUCAUAAUCCUAGAUUUUAUUGUGACAUGGAGAUAAAGGUAAUCUCAAAAGCUAAUAGAUGGUCCUUUAUCUACCCUUAGGAAAAGAUAGAAAGUAGGAGAGAAAAGUCAUAAUCUUAGAUUUUAUUGUGAUAUGGAGAGUUUCUCUCAACUCAUUUUUAGACCUCAACUGAUGAAGAUGGUGUGUAUUUUUUUUUAAAUCAAGUGCAUGUGUUUGUUGAAAAAUUGAUAAAAAUAAAGGAGAAAGAAAUAUUUUUUUCGAACCCUGUUUGAGGUGUUUUCUACUCUUUAUAUCCUCCUCCUUUGAUGCCAAAAGCAUCAGGUUUCUUAGGCUAAUAAGGAGUCUUCAUAUAAAUCCCUCAUAAUUUGCAUUUGUUUUUUUAAAAAACUGAUUAUGCUGCUGUCGUAAUUUUUUAUUCCAACUUAGGCUCUAAUUCUGACUUGGUUUCGUAUGAUAUUUGACCAUCCUACCUAUUUUUAUCACUCAUGACAUGUUGAAGAAUUGACCUAUACCUUUAUUGGGUCCUAGGGGUCAUUGUUCUUAGGGUAGACUCUCAGUCAGAUUUGGAUGCUUGGCAUUGUCAGAUCAAGAAAACCUUUUUGACCAACCAGAUUCCUGUCAGAUUCUGUUAUCUAAAACGAUUUUAUCUCACUUCAAAUCCUUCAUCAAAGUUGUAGUCUGGGACAAGUAGAUGAAUUUGAGCUUUUGAAUUGCUUGAUUUGAAGAUAUUCCUGUUUGAAAUCUAGCAUGAAAGCAUAAAAUCCUGCCGCGAGAAGGUUUCCAGUCGAGUUUGGUUGCAAUUCUGUUAUUCAAAAGGAAUUUAUCUCAUUUUUAUCUUUCAUGAAAGUUGUAGCUCUACAAGUGUAGAUGAAUUUGGGACUUUUCAAUCGCUUGAUUUUGAUAUCAAAAGCUCAUAAUAUUCUCGUUUGAAUAUCUAACGUGAAAGCAGAGAAUUCUGUCGCGAGAAGGAUCUUGACCCGAGUUUUGCACUAAAGACUCUAUUUCCAUCACAAAAAUUAUUGAUUUGUUCUUAGGUCAUACUCUCAGUCAUAUCGCGAUGCUCGACGUUGUCAGUUUCUGAAUUAGAUCAGGAGACCCUUUUUGACCAACCAGAUUACUGCCAGAUUCUGUUCUCUAAAACAAUUUUAUCUCACUUCGAAUCCUUCAUCAAAGUUGUAGUCCUGGACGUGUAGAUGAAUUUGGGCUUUUGAAUCGCUUCAUUUCAAUAUCAAAAGCUCAAGAUAUUCUCAUUUGAAUAUCUAAUGUGAAAGUAGAGAAUCCUGCCGCGAAAAGGGUUUAUCCCAAGUUCGCAGGUCUUAUUUGAAGGAUUUUUUUGGACCAAGGACUAAAUUGAAAAGUGCUAAAAUGAGGGAUUUAAUUGAAGAAGGAUAUUGGAAGCUGGAGAGGGGGGCUGGAUCAUCAUAAAUGACGGGAUUUCUACCACACCGAAUAAGGAAAAUAAGACUUUGCAGCAUGCACCGUUACCCAUCUGAUUUCUUUUCUUUUUCUUUGCAAAUUUCUUGCUGGUUUCCACGUUUCUCUUGCUGGAUUGGAGAGCUCCAGGCCAUGUUUUUAUUGCCUCAUUUCAAAGGAAACAGCUGGUGUCUCAUGAUCCCAGAUUUGGAAGGAAAGAAAGGAGUCGCACUAUCCUCUAAAAUACUGGAAAGAAAUCAGAUAUGAUCACAGAAUCAGAAUCAAAAUAUUUUGGUUUCCUAUUUCUACUCACCCGAGAUUACACCCUAGAGUUAAUGUAAUAUUUGUUUUCUAAAUAGAGCUGCGUUUUAGGUUAUAAGCCUCCUCUACUGGGAGAAGAAAGGGAUGAAAAAAAAGAAGGGAAGCAGGACAGAAAAGAGGGAGAACAGGAGAGGAGAAAAGGGGCCAAAUCUAAACCCUCUCUAGAGGAGCGCCACCCCCCCCCCCCACUGGCUUCUGUUUUGGCUCCCAGAACAGGCCACAACGCAGAAAAGGGGGGGGGGAGGCCUUUUCUUUCAUCCUUUGGUUACUGUGAAGACUUUACUGAACGGGGAAAGAAAAGAAAAGGAAAGGAGGAGCAGAGGAAAAAACAAGAAAAGAAAGACAAGAAAAAACAUAAGAGAGGCAGGGAGUAGGAGAGAAAAAAACAGAGAACGAGGGAGUUUCUUUCCUUCAUCCUUGCGUUGUUGGGAGAUCAGGAAGGCAAGCAGUAUAAGAGAAGAAGGAGAAGAAAAAGCAAGAAAAACGAGAAAAGAAAGAGAAACCAUAAACAAGCAGAGACUGCCUUUUCGGUCUUGCUUUCAUUUUUCUGCAUAUAACAUCUGCAGAACAGGGAAGGAGAAAGUGCAGGAACCAGGGAGAGAGGGUGACGAAGACGCAGAGAAAAGAAAAAAUCAGAAAACAGACGCAAAUAUAGAACAAGAGGAAAAGGUUUGAAACAGAUGAAACAGACCGAUCAACCAUCACGCUUUCAACGUCAAGGCAGCUUCUUCGCUUCCGUUCCUAGGUCUGUUCUCUUCACCUCUCGCACCAUGCAUUUUUUUGCUUUGUGUUUGCAUUGUUCAAGUGAAUUUUAACUCACUUGAAUAGUAACGUGGUCUCUUUGCAUGCAUUUUACUUUGUUCAUUGAGAGGAUUGCGCCCUUUUUUUUGUGUCCAGCCGGGUCACUUGCAGCCAGACCUACUAUUUUUUUCUUUUAAAAAAAUAAAAGAAAGAGAAAGAGAUUUAUGAUUUUCUGGCAUAUUUAUUUAAGGUCUGAAUUUUUUUUAUGUUGUAAAAAAUAUCAAUCUCGUAUUUAGAAUACCCGGUUUUCGACGCAAUGUGACAAAUAUACAUAUAUAUCAAAAAUGUUUUCUUGUGUGUUGCAUACGGCCAAUACCCUAACAUGUUUUGAACGUUCUUUUUUAUACAAAAAAUAUUGGAAGUUUCAAAAAUGUGUCGCAUGGAUUUCUUAAACACAACAAAAAUUAUUUUCUUGCAUUUCUGGAUUUUACAACAUGUUUGUAAAACUCCAAAGGGUAUUGGCCAAUAUUCCAAAAAAAUAAAAAAUCUUAUUUUGGAGGGAAUUAAUCUAUUGUUCACCAUUAAUGUUUGGAUAAAGAAAUCUCAAAGGGAUGAAUAUCCAAAAUAUUAUUGGAAAUAACUUGUUAUUAUUCACUGUUAAUAUUUGGAUAAAGAAAUCUUAAGUGGAAAAUAUCCAAAAUAAUUUUCUAGAAAGAAUAAGUCAUCACACAUCCUUGAAAAAAGCCUUGAUUAUAAUCGAGGACAUUUUAAUUUUUUACUCCACGGUUUAUGAGCCGUGAGAGUUUAAAACACUAAGGCAAAAAUAAGCUUUUAAAGCGCCCUAAAUUUCUAAAUUUUUGUCCCUCCUCCUUGCGAUUUACGAGUUGCAAACUCUUAAAAUACUAAGGGAAAAUGAGCUUUUAAAGCACAUGGAAUCUCCUUGGAUUUCUAUCUUAAUAAAUUUAGUUGAAUCAAACCUAGAAAAACUGAUGGGAUUAGAAAAACACCAACACCAUAGCAAUUAUAAAGCAAACCAAACACCAAGCAGCUUACCUUAGGUAGGGCGUACUAGGGGUGUUAAUACCUUCCCUUUACGCAACCAGUCUCUUGCCUUAGAAUCUCUAAAAGACCAGUUAGGGUUCCUAGUGACUAAAAUAUUAGGUGGCGACUCUUUUUUCCACACAAAAAAAACCGAAAUCAAUCAAGGGUCGUCGCAAUGGUGUGACAAACAUCAUCAUUACCCAUCAACAUAACUCCUCCAUCGAACUCUUUAAGUCUUGAGAACAAGUGUUUGUUGUGGCACAUGUGAUAGGAAAAUCUAAAAUUAAAAACCCAUUCACUGGAAUGGUUUUAUGGUGAUGAGACCAUGAAUGAAGAGUCUUGUUCAUCUUCAUCUCAUGCAAUAUUCAUAGUUGGUUCAUCCUUUUUUGUUGUCCUUGUUGCUUUUAUUUGGACAAUCUUUCUUCUAGUGUCCUUCUAUCUUAAAUAAAUAGCAGACAUGCUUGGGUCCUCUUUUUUUUCCCUUUGUGAGUGUACAACGCACAGUGGUAGGCAACCUAUAUUUCUUUUAUUAUUAAGCAAACAAUAAUUCACCUAAUGGUUGGAUCAUCUAAAACUUGCUAUUAUAACGAUAGCUGGAAAAAUAUAGGGUUGGUAUAAUAAUUUAAUUUUUAAUUCAUUGACAUCUAAAAAUACUAUAAAUUUUUUUUAUAAACCACUUACCAGCUCCAAAACAUCCUUAAACCAUUCAAAAGACAAAAAAAAAAAAAACUAAAUCAAAAAAAUCUAAAAGAACUUGAAUCUAUUUUUUUCAGGUAAGAUGAAUGACAGAGAACACUUAAAUGUAACUUUUCUCCUCGAAAGAAACCCGUUUAUACAAAGAAUGAUUUUUUCAUGGUCAUAAUCUUGGCAAUCAAAAACUUUUUUAUUUUAUCAUCAUUUUUCAAUGUUUCUCUUUCUCUCAUCUCUCAAACCAGAGAUCAAGAUUAACAUCCAAUCCCCAAAUUAGAAGGGAUCAAAAUGUAACUUUGACAAAACCAAAACAUAAAAUUUAACAAAAAAACCUAGACUCUUUUAUUCUUCUUCCAUUUGGUUUCUUAACUUUUAAUUUUGUAAAAAUAAUAAAAUCACAUAAAUUUCAAUAAAAUUAAAAAUCAAUUUAAUGACAAGAAGUUUUGUCAAGAAUAUAAUAGUCUCGUGAAAAAGCAAGAAAGAACAAAUUAUAAAGAUUGAUUCCAAUGAACACAAUGUGAAACAAUUAAAUAAAACAUUGAAGAGCAUUCAAAAAGAAAACAUUGUUUAGCCCAAUUCACAAAUUCCACUAAAGAUUCCACCUUUCUCACCUUUGAUUUCUGUGUCGCCGGUCUCCGUCUUAUUUGGUUUUGGUAUCUGUCAUUGUUUUUUUUUUUUUUUUUUUUUUGGGGGGGGGGGGGGGGGGGGGGGGGAAAAAAAUUUUUAGCGGGGGAAAAAGAAAAAUAUUUGCCGCCUAUUACUUUGUAAUAAAUAAAUUAAUUCUCAAAAAAUAGUAAAUUAAACUUGCCUUCAAUUAGGAUUUGUGUUCUUCAAUUUUGAACCUUUUCUUUUAAUCCCACAAGUAGUAUUUUGCUAUUUAGUUUACUACUACAUUAUAUUUAUAUUUAGUUUCAAGUUUUUCUUAAAAAAAUCUUAAUAUAUUUUUGUGUUCUUUUCUAUAUUCUACUUUUUACAACUUUUUCUUUAAAAAAACAUUAUUUUCUACUUUUUUAAGUUUUUCUUUAAAAAAUAAUAUUUUUUUAUCAAAUCUUAAACAAUUCAUUCAUAUUUGAAUUCAUAUAUUUAUAAGAAUUUAAUUUUUGUAAUUGAUUUUUAAAUCUCAUUCCAAAUUUAUAGUGUAAAGAUUAAACUGAAUUGGUUAGGUUGAUAAACUAGCACGAAAUCCAGAAAUGGAUAAUGCUCGUAAGCCCAACACAAAGCAAUACCCAAUGGAGUCCAGCUAAAGAAGUAGAAAGGGCCGAAGGGAAUCUUUUUAUUAGGAAGCUGCUACAUUUUCAAACAAGAAGUAGAACCCUUCGGUUAUAGUCGUCAAGAAACAGAAUAACAACAAUGGACGAAGUUCAAGAAAGAGAGAAAAAAGACGAAUUCGAUGCAUCAGAGAUUGAAUACGUUAGCUAUGGUGGUGAGCAUCACCUACCAUUAAUCAUGAAUCUUGUCGAUCAAGAACUUAGUGAGCCUUACUCCAUCUUCACCUACCGUUACUUUGUUUAUCUUUGGCCACAACUUUCUUUCUUGGUAAGUGUGAUUCUUUUCUUCUUUUAUGUUGUUGGGAUUUUUUUUUUGGUGUUGUAACUGUGUUUUUGUUGGUGGGUUUUCAAUUUCAGGCCUUUCACAAAGGCAAAUGUGUAGGGACUGUUGUAUGUAAGAUGGGGGAUCAUCGGAAUUCAACUUUUAGAGGUUACAUUGCUAUGUUAGUUGUCAUCAAACCUUAUCGAGGAAGAGGCAUUGGUAAUGGCUUCUUCUUUUUUUCAUAUUGGGAUUUUGUGCACAGUUUUAGGUUGUGUUGGAUUAUAUAUGUGAAUCCUGGAUUGGUUUUUAAUGUACUAUAGAUCUAUUGGAAACAAGAAAGGAAAGGGGGUGAGGGUUUUCAAGAAAUUGGACGUGCAUUGAUAACAUUAAUGGUAGAAAUAUGGAUGUUUGGAAUGAUUAUGUGUAUAAUAAACUGGCUGCAUUUGAUUUGAACUCAAGGUCCAUUCUUUGUUUUCCUACACUUGGGAUGGCAUUUACAAAGGAUUGGAUGUGGGCUUUGAUAGUUUUUAGGCUUUGUGUUGAUAUAUCAUGUUUUUCUUGUUAAUUGUGUUGUGUAUGGGUACGUUGUAAUUUCCAGUGAAAUUCUCUCCAGACUGCAGCUACUGAACUUGUUACCAGAUCUAUUCAAGUGAUGAUGGAAUCGGGAUGUGAAGAGGUUUGUCGAGUUUUAGUUGUUGUACCUUUUGGUUUGUACUCAUCUAAAUGGAGCAUUAUUCAUACAACUAUAUCACAAAGGAAGUACGGAUUUUUUAUCCUCAAGCUUUAGUUGUACUUUCCAUGGUACCAAAUGAGCAUAUAGGAGAGUAGAAAUAACUACAUUUCCUAAGCAUUACCACCAAACGUUGGAGCUCUGUUUGGGGCUUGAAACAGCAUGGGAAACAAAGGAGAAUUAUGAAACUGCUUAAGUGGUUACCUUCACUGCCAAUUAUAGGAGAGUUGAAAUAGUUUUCCUUUCUACUCCAUUGUGCUCUUUGAUCUCAAACCAAAGAGAAAAAUAAGCUUUCCUCUCGAGUUUGACUGGCACCUUGGCAUGUGUGUAAAUGGUGAUGCCGUAUCUUUUAUUCACACCUCCAAAAACCUUUUCUUCUGAAAUUUCUUGGUGUUUGUGCAUUACUCUGUAGUAACACCAUGUCUCUUAGACACUUCAUGCUUCAUGUGUUAUUUCAAUUCUAUCUCUCCUCUUAGUUACCUCAUGCUGCAUGUGUUAUUUCAAUUCCAUCUCUCCUCUUGCUUUAAUCUUUAUUAGGGUUAAGUGAGCCAGUCCUUGGAGGUAUCCCUGCACAUGGAUAGUAGUCCAUGCAAACAAUGAAUUAUGUUGUUAAUGUGCUGCCAGUUUAUGCUCCCUGCUAGAAGUCCAAAAUAUUACAUGUCAUGUGUGAUGAUUUUGACUUGCAUUGACUGAUUGCACCUACGUGACCAAUUUAGGACUUGCAGCUGAUAUAUUGAUAUGGUUAAAUUGAACUGUCCCAGAAAUUUUCAUUUCAUUAUCUCGAGGUUGAAAUUGUGAGAAAAAAAAAUUAAAAGAAUGAUUCCAUGGAAAAAAAAAAAAAAAAAAACGAGAUCAAUGGAAAUUUACUGCUGAGAAAGGAAUAUGGUUUCAUUCAAUGUAAACGCAACUCCAUGCUUUGCUGCAGUAUCAUAGUUCUGAACGAACUUAAAUAUUGUCCCAAGAAGCCAAUAAUUUGUGAGGCCUUGGCUUUGCUGAUAUUCCUUGUGUUUUUGAAUGAUGCGUUAAUUCUAUUUCUAGUUAUUUCACCUUGAUGCAUGAAUUUGCUCUCAUUUCUCAUAUCAGGCAAAGAACAUAGAAUGAAAAGGUGGGAGAGAAUAUAGAAUCCGAAUAAACUGCUAUGACUUUAAUGUAGGAUAUCAGAACAGCUCAAAUGAACUGCAUGAUUAUUUGACUGUUUUUCCACCUUAACUGGUGAUAAGUGGUCCACUCUGGAACACAAGCAUGCCACAUUAAAGAAUAUGGUCCAUUAAAUAACUAACUACAUUCCCCCCUAUUUGCUUAUGAUUUAGCAUAUCCCAACUUUAUAUUUAUGUAUUCAAGCAUAUCACUUUCUUAACUACAUUGUUGUUGAUCUUUUAUUGUGUUGUGUUUUUCUCUUUCCUCUUCGAAGGUAACAUUGGAAGCAGAAGUUACAAAUAAAGGAGCACUUGCACUAUAUGGCCGUCUUGGUUUUAUUAGAGCAAAACGACUCUUUCACUAUUACUUGAAUGGAGUUGAUGCCUUUCGUCUGAAGCUGCUAUUCCCCCAACCAGAGUUAUACCCCUCUUUGCCUAUGAUGGCUGAUAGAGACGAUACACACGAGCAUGAUGAUUGCUAGCCAAUGGAUGAGCUUUCUGAGCUCCGAGCUCCACAGAGGCUUGGAACUAGUGGGCUUUCUACCAUUCAUUACACAGUCUCUGCGAGCUACAAGGAUGGUUUGAUAUUUGAUCUUUAGAGAGGCAGCACAGCCUCGUAACCUACACAGGGAUUCGCACAAAUGUGGGUUCUUGGUCAUGUCAUCUUUGUUCACUGAAGUCGAUGUACAUGUUUUAUUGGCCUUGUCUAAUAGAAAUGUAUCAACAUACGAGGCCGAAGCUCACAUACUGUAAUACUUGCACAUUAUAGAUGUGGCAGCUAUGACGAAAACAGCCAAUCUCUCUCUGUUCACUCUCAAAAUAUUUGAUUGAGGCGAAGAUCAAGUCUAAAAGACCAAAAAUGCUUCAGCAAUGGUUUGGUACAAAGGGUAUGAUGGUGACUUGAGACAAUAGUGGGUUACUUACCAUAACAGCCAAUGAAACACAGUCAAACCAAGAAAAUCCCAAAUGUUAAAAUAAUAUCCAUGCGUCUCUCUCUAAUGGCUGCAGGAUAUAUAACAUUUGAUUUGCGUUGUAUGGUAGGUGGGUUGCUCAAUUGAGUCAGCUGCAUGCCUAUUCUAGUCAAAAGGCUUAAGAAAGUAGCAAUACUAUUUUAAAAGUGUUUUGUUGCUACGACUUCUUGGAGGUUGCAGCACCAAUCAAAAUGUUUUUAAAAACCAUAUUCUAAUGUGUAGUUGUGUUAAUUUACAAGCACCCGCAUUGUUAAUUUGUUUGAAUUUGGUGUGUUGAAGAAAUGUCUUCAAUUUGUUAAUAUUCUCCCAAGUUUAUAUGCUCUCUAUCAUUUUAAUAACCAGAAUUAUUUUGAUAAUUAAGCAACCAAGCAUUUACGAUAUGAUGAUAUGAGUCAAUGAACACUGCACCUCUUCAGUUAAGUUGAUCUAAUUGGCAUUGUCUAAUAGAAAUGCGUCAACAUAUUAGACCUAAUACAUGUAACAUAUUAUGAAAAGUUAAAAUUAAAAUUACAUUACUGUUUUUACUGUAGCCAAUUUAAUGUUCACCCUCUCAUUUCAUUGUGGAUUUCAGUAGUAAUAUAUUUGAAAAGUUUCAAUUUAAUCUUUAAAUUUUUAUUUUGCAUAAUUGAGCUCUUUUCAGCUCAAAUUGAAUGCCAAUUUAUAUUUUUUUGGGGUGAGGGUUGAAUUAAAAGAAAGAGGGCUUAAGUGAAAAAUAAAAGUAACAUAGGUGACGGCUGUGCAAUUAUUNNNNNNNNNNNNNNNNNNNNNNNNNNNNNNNNNNNNNNNNNNNNNNNNNNNNNNNNNNNNNNNNNNNNNNNNNNNNNNNNNNNNNNNNNNNNNNNNNNNNGUUCAUUAUAGUCCCUUAUUUUUUAGCUUUGAAAGAUUUUUUUGUUUCGGAUUGAUUAUGAGUUUUAAGGUGUUUUCUUUUUUUUGUGUUUUUUAAGGCUAUAAAUUGGUUAAACAAGAAUCCAGAGUGUUUCCUAAAUAUUUUAGGUUAAAAAUAAGUUGAAAUAGGUUUUUUGGUUGAAAAAAUAAGAACCCUAUUCAAAAAAUAUUUUUUGCAUUUAUGUUUUGAUUAAUACUUAUUCUUUGCGAUUUUUUUAUUUAUUUAGUUUUUUUAAAUAACAAUUAUUUUUAAAUUAUAUUAAAUAUUAAAAAUAAAUUAAAUUUUUAUUAAUAAUAAAUAUAAAUAUUUAUGUGAAUAUAAUAAAAUCAAGUAUAAAAACAGACGAUAGAUGAUGUGAGAACUCAAUCCCAUUCCAUUUCAGAAUCAAAAUGGGGAAUAUUUCCCGGCUCAAAGGUGCAAGAAAGUUGUUCGCUGAGGCUGUGGCAUGUGUAUAUUGAAUUCUUUGUUUCGAACAGAUCCAUUAUCCCGCUUGACCAACUGAGAGAUGAUUAAUAAACAAGAGAAAAGGACUAAUCAAUGGUUUAAUUUUCAAUUUCGAACAACAUAGUACAUGCAUUGCAAAAGUCAUGAUUUUUACCAAGAGAAUUUUGAUCUUUCUUGUUGUAGAGAAAUAUUUCCCAUUUAACUUCGUAAACACAUAUCUAUAUGAUAUUAAUUAUAUAAAAAAAAAUUAUAAGAUUUGAACUUAUAAUUAUUUUGUCAAUAAAAAUACUGUUAAGUUUGCACAAGCCCCAUUAUAUUAUGCUAUUAAUUAUAUAAAAAAAUAAAGAUUUGAACUCGUAAUUUAUGUGAAUUCAUUAAAAUAUAAAAAUAUCUUAAUUUAAAAACUUAAUCUAUCGUAUAAGAUUUUAAAAUAUUAUUUAUAUUAUUUUUUAAUACUAAUAAAUAUAAAUAAUCAUGUUCUUUGCCACACUCUUGAAACUAGUGAAAACUAUUUUUCUGGGCCAUCAAACGUGGGAGAUUUUUUCCAAGAAAAACAAGAUAGGUUAUUGUCAAUCAAAAGAUUAGCGUGACUUUACACAGCUAGAGCGCAUUCUUGUUGACUAAUUAAUAUUGAAUUCAAGGCUUUGAUUUAGCAAAAAUCAAGUUGGUGAGGCAUGUGAUUCAAAUCUUUCCAAUCUCGACCAAGCCUAAUAAACCAAAAACUAUAAUAUAUAUAAAAAAUAAACCUAACCAUCUAUACUUUUCCUUCUAAAUAUUCAUACCUCUUCAACUUUAUUAUACAUUUCAUGAUAAUCACUUGAAACUACAAGAGAGGAUUACCAUACGAGCUGCCAAUGAAACACAGUCAAACCAAGAAAAAUCCCAAAUGGCAUACAAUGUCCAUGCAUUUCUCCAUAGACUACGCAGGAUAUAUAACAUAUGAUUUCCAUGGCAUGGUAGGUUAAGGUUUGCUCAAUUGAGUCAAAUUCCCAUGCAAGUCAAAAGGCAAGGAAGUAAGUAGUGAUACUUGAAUUAUUUACUAGUACAAUCUUGGAGGCUGCAACACGAUUUUAACUAAGAAAAUUGAUCCGAGUAAUUAAUUGUCUAGGUAGUCUUAAAACCUUAUAUUAUAUUGGGUCAUUUUCGUAUUAUACAAGCACACGUACGUCUAGUUAACUUGUUUGAAUUUCAUGUGGUCUCCGAUAUUAUUCUCCCAAAGUUUGUAAGCUUAUCAUUUUAAUAAUCAAAAUUACUUAAUUUGAUAAUUAGUCAACCACACAUUUUGAAUAUGGUUAAUUAAAUGAUGAUGUGAGCUCCAAUUGCAUUGAUUUAUACAAUCUUCAUGUGAACGGUGUGGUCGAGACUCUUUAAUAUACUCAUACGUGAGAUUCUUUAUAUAUAAUAUACUUAGACAUGAGAUUCUUUAUAUAUAUAUAUAGUAAUGGAUUUCUUUGAGUAGUCUACAUAUUAAUUGAGAUUAGAUUUUUUUUCUCCAGUGAUCUUAAUUGUGUAUCUACUACAUUUGCUUGAUGUGUCUCGAUGAAUUUCAUAAAUUUUCUUGAAUACUAACUCUAAAUUUUGAAUAUAAAAAGUCAAAAAAUAAAACAAAUCCCUUUUAAAUUGGCGAAGAGAGCUAGAUAUGUGGAAUGUGCAUCUUUAGAAUUCAACUUAUCAUGUUGUUGAACGGGAACAAUCUAACGUUUUGGAACCACCUAUGUGAACUUGGCAUAACAUGCAGGAGAAUUUAUUAAAUUCUUUUGAAAAUAUUAGGCUAAUAUAGGAAGUAUGUCUUUAAAAAUCACUAAAAAAAUAAUUUUAGUUUACAUGCAAGUUAUCCAUCGGAAAAGAUAUAAGUUAUUUGUGCAAGUUAGGGAAACUUUUCAUAUAUUAUAACUAGAUUAUUUCUCAUAGCUAUGCUGUGAAUUGAAUUAAAUUUUUUUAAAUGUAAAAAAAAAAAUAUCUAAGCCAUGAAGAACUAUUUAAGAUUAUUAUUAAAUCUGGUUUAGUGUGUCAAACUUGAAAACUCCUGACUGAACUCCUUAUCUAAUCAUAUUUCAAAUUAAAUCUUGUAAAAUUAUUCUAACGUGACCUAGUCGACUUAGUGGAUAUAAAAGCUAAAAAAUAAAAGAAAAAAUAAUGACCAAAAUAAAAGUAAAGAGAGAGAGAUCAGGCGCACGAGUCUAAGGACAAUAUGGAUAAUUAGUAAAAACAUAGUUUGACUUUUUUAAAAAAAUUUAAAAUAACUUUUUUUUAAAAAAAACAAUCAAACAGUGAUAUAUUGAAUCGAUCUGAGUUAACUUGUCAAACUUGUGACCAGGAUCAUGAAUUCCACUAGAUCUAAUAACAAUUAAUUAUAUGAUAAAAAAUAUGAAGACUAGUUCAAAACCAACUAAAUAUUGAAUGAAAAAAAUGAAUUUUUUUUUUAAAAUACAGCAAAAACUCAAUGUUAAAUGAUAAAACUUGAGAGAAAAAAAAUACAAGUCAUGUGCGUGAACUUGGAUUAUAACAACGAAAAAAAAAUCUUAGCUUUGUAAAGAUAUCUUAAGCCUUUAACUCAGGAAAACAAAAUGAAUUUUUUUUCUACAUUUAGUAUCAGUAAUCCAUAUUGUCAUUUUAAUCUCAUGGUUUAAUUCAAUUCGAUAUAACACAUUCAUAUACAUUACAAAUAUCAUACAAUUAUGAUUGAUGUUUCUAAUUUUUAUCAAAAUUUCAGCAGAGUCUUCUUUGUCUAGGUAACCAAACAGUUCUUCUCUUCUUCUAAAAACCUACAUAACGAUCAAGGAGAGUUUCAAAUCCCACACAUAAACAAUUUAUAUCCAGGUAUUGGGCCUCAGGCCAUUCAAUCAAUCAAUCAAUUCAUAAUAGUUCACACCUAUUAAAGUUUAUUGGGUACAUUUAAAUAAUUUAAACUUAGCUUUUCAUCAAGAUAGCAUUUCAUUACAAGAACAACAUUAUAAAUACUUAUUCAUAUUACAAUCCCCGUUCAUUUGAAUUACAAUAUACUACUAAGAACUCAUCUAACAUUGUAACUAAGAAAAUUAGAAUCUUGUCUUAGCAUGUGAUAUUCCAGAUCAUAAACAUGAAAAUUAUAGAAAUUUAAAUAAGAUAUUUAUUACAACACAAUUAAAAUAUGUCAGAUACAAUAUAUAUAUAUGAUUUUUCAUGGAGCAAACAUAAUUUCUUUGGAUAAUAAUAGAAUCGACUCAUUUGUCAUAAUCUCUACUAAUUUUAAGUAUUGUAUAGUCACCUCGUCAAGGUAAUUCCAAGCUUUAUCUUCUCAUCUAAAAGUUAUAUCUUGUUCAUAAAUCCAUCUUGGAAACUUUAUCUAUCGAAGCUCACCAUAAAGUUUUAUUAAUGGUAAUUAAAGGCCUAUUCCACGUAUCCUACCCUAUGCUAUUAAUUUAUCAAAGGUAAAUUAUCAUUUGUACUCUUUGCUCUAUAUGUUUCUUAAGGAAUUAAAUCCUUUACUAGUAUCGCCCUACAAUUUUAAAUAAAUAUAAUUAAUGAUUUAUUGAUUUCUAUUUUCCAUAAUGAAUCUUUAACAUUGAUUUAACUUAAUUUGGUUUUAGCAACAUAUCAUUCAUCUUACAACAAACUUUUAUGUACACAUGUCUUAACAUGCAUCAAUACACUUAUUUGUCCAUUGGAUUGACCAUCAUAUAGCUUGAAAUAUACAAUCAUAGAUGUCCAUGUUCUUGUCCUAUUAGGCCACCAAGAUGAUUUUCAAAUCUCUUAUCAUGUUGUACUGGAAUCAGUAUAUACUUAUGCCCUUUUACAUUAUCAAACAAUCACCAUUUUCUUCAUGAAUACACCAUCAAAACCGCAUACAUUCAACUACACCACAUUAUACAAACCAAUUCUUUAUUAUAACCCGUUUCACUAUCAUUACAAUCCUUAGAGUUCUCAUGCAUAUGUUGUCCACAACAAUAUUUGAAAUCUAUUUUCAAGUCAUUUUCACCUAGAAAACAUUGUUGUUCCCCUAAUAACUCUUUGCUCAUAUAAUAGAUUGUCAAAACAACCUACAAAUUACGCUUCGAUGCAGCCCAAAACAUAAACAUGUAGUAAUAUUAGUCAUCACACCGUGAUUGACUACCCAAUAGAUUCUAAUAUCGUUAUUGUCUAAUACUACUAGUCUUUUAACUCUAAAACACCCUAAAAUAACACAAACAAAGGGGUUUUUAUUUGUUUAGAAAUCUAUUUUCAAGUCAUUUUCACCUAGAAAACACCAUAAAAACAUUCCUAAACCAACCAUUAACUCUAAAACACCCCAAAAUAACACAAAAAAUAAAAAUCAAACUAAUCAAGAAAAUCUUAAUUGAAUCCAAUCUACUUUUCAAGCAUUGUUAGAGAAAAAGUCAUCGCUAUUUGAAAACUCAUCAUUAAAUGAAACUCGUUGAGACCAAGAACAACUACUUUUAUCGCUGAAAAGUGGUCAAACCGAUAACUUUCUCUUUUCUUAUCGUUUUUCAAUGAGUCUCUCUCAUCUAUGUAACUUGGGGUUGAGAAUGACCAAAAUAAACUUUUAGACUAAAAUAUUAAAAAUUCNNNNNNNNNNNNNNNNNNNNNNNNNNNNNNNNNNNNNNNNNNNNNNNNNNNNNNNNNNNNNNNNNNNNNNNNNNNNNNNNNNNNNNNNNNNNNNNNNNNNCUCCUCUCUCUCCUUAAAUUGGUUUAUAUCCAAAUUUCAACCAUCAUCAGCUAUAAAAGAAUCAUUGAAAAACAAAUUUGAAGACAGAAUUAAAAAAAAAGGGGACGGAAAAAAGAAAGAAAAAGGAGGGUAGUUUUUUUAGUUAAAGCUGAUGGUUUCUAGCCAAAAAAAAAGCAAUGAGUGUUGGGGUGCCACGUGUAAGGAGCCCAUUAAGUAUGUGGUGGGUGAAGUCAGCUAGAGCUAAGCAUCCAUUUUUGGUGGGGUUUUUCUGGUUAGAUUUGCCUGUUGGAGGAUCGUAGCAUGGGAUUAUAUUUGGUUGUAAAGGAAAGUGUCAAUUUAGGAGCCACCAACCAUCGACAAGUUAGUGAAAAUGGUGUCGAGUGCCGCACCCACCACCUCCUUCGAUCAAUCACCUCAUCAUCCAUGUAAUUAACCCUUUUUUGAUCUAUCACUUUUACGUUACUAAACACUUCCACUUCUAUAUUAGACGUGUGGAAUGAUUCGAUUUCUAGUUUUUUUAUUUGUGAAUCAAAUUAAUACUUGAAGCUAGUAGAUGGAUGUGUCUAAUCAACUUCCUUUGAUUCAAUUUCAUGAAAUUUUUUAUCAUAAAACAUCAAUAAAAAUGUGUUGUAUAUCUUGAACCGAUAUCUAAUAAAAUCUUAAAAGUUGGGAGUGAAAGAUAUAAUUUAUUUUAUUUUUUUAAUAUGUUUUUUAAUUAAAAAUUAUUUCAGUUUAAAACUUAAAGGAUUAUACUAUUUUAUACAUUAAAAAAUAAUUCAUAACUAUUUGGUUAUCAUGUAAAAAAAAUAUUUUAAAUUAAAAAAUUUAAAUUUUUAAAAUUAUAUAAAUUGCUCUCUUUUGAAUAACCUUUCGUAUUGUGAUGUUUCAUGGGUAAAUAAAACAUGAUAAAAUAUAAUAAGAAAGAAUUUUGCUAGGAAAAAUACAAAAAUGAGAUACCAAAUCUAUUUAUUUAAUUGAACAAAACUAUUUUUCUAUCAAUCUCACAUGUAUAUCAAACAAUAAAGGAUAAAUUAGAAAGUGGACUUGUCACUAAUUAAAUGUAUAUAUUAUGAUUUUUAUUUUCUAAGAUGAUAUAUUAGGAUUUUUUAUUAUUAUUAAUGUAGGUGUUCGGACUAACUUGCGUGUACCUCAACUAAUCUCACGAGUUUUGAAGUUAACGAUCAUGUAAAUCUUCAAUGAUCCUGAGAUUUGUAAGACUCGAACUGGUAAUAUCUAGAGAAUAAAUUUAGAAUAUGAUGAAUUAAGUUUCACUUCUCAUGAUUAAUAUAUUUAGAGUUUUGAAUACUUAAAAGGAGGUGUUGUUUUUAUUUUUAUUUUCAAAUCUAAGAACCUCAAAAACUUUUAGGAAUCUAAAAAAAAACUCAUUUUUUUAACCCCAAAACAUUUUCUAAUUAGCCUAAAUAAUGAAAAUCAAUCUGAAUAAAAAAAAUAUUGGUCUAAUAUAUUUUUUCUAGCAUGGUUAAAAGGCAAAAUCAUUUUUAUUGAACUCUUUUUUUCAAAACAAAUCCAUUGAUGUUAAAAUUAGUUUUUUUAUGACCGGAAUAUGAUUAGCUUCACCACAUUCUCCCCCUCUCAACAUACAAUAACUAAAAAUAUGAUAAAAAUGAAGUUUUAAGAUGGAGUCGUAAAAAUUUUAAACAAUAUGAUUAAAUAAAUCUGAAAAACAAAAACUUCAAGGACCAUAUUAAACUUUUCUACAACUUUGGAAAAAGAUUGCAUUAUAGGAGAAUAGUUUAAUGCACAAUAACUUGAGUCUUGCUGCACAAUAAAAUUUAUUAUGGUAAGAAUAACAAAUGUUUUAAUUUAGAUUAUAACACGAAGCAUACACAAUUAAGAUUACAACAAGGAGAUUUCAAGUAGUUAAACUUAGGUUAUAUUAGAUAUGACUUUUGUAAAUUGAUUUAAUAUAUUUUUCACUUUUGAUUUUAAUUUUAAUUUUUUUUAAGUAAGUUAAAAUAGCUUUUGAUUUAAAUUUUUUUUGUUAUAAAUUGGAUUCAAACCUUUGAUUUAAUAAAAAACAAGAAAAUUUUACUUUAGUUUGUGGAUUUUAUACUGAAUUCCUUAUUAAAAAGUUAUUUUGAAUCAUUUUUACAAAUAAUGCUUAUAACUUACGGUUAUUUUAAUUUAUUUUUUUCAUAAAUUGUUUAUAAAAAACAACUUUUAAAUUACAAUUCAAAGUAAAAUAUCAUAAUUAGUUAUGAAUUGGAUUCGAUGAAAGGAAGAUGGGAAGAGGGGAAAUGGGUAACGGGAAAUUAAAGAGAGAUGAUGAUCUGCGCAUGGCUACCUGUACCAGAACAGAUGGAAAAAACUCGAAACAACUCGGCUAGAAUUUAGGCAAGAAAUUCAGAAUGAGUCAACAUUUUAAGUGAGAUGAAAUUUGUCUCACUUUGUUCUAUUAAACAGAGGAGCAUUUAGAGGAUAGAAUAUUAGAGUCUCUAGCAAAAGCCAGCAAGGUAUAUUUAGAGCCAAAUUCGGGUAACAAAUUAUCAUAACCAACUGAUCCAUUUCGGCUCGGAGGCUUCAGAUUUGUACCAGUCAUCAACUGGUGCUCUUUGCUUUGCAGCCUUUGAGGAAGAAGUAAAAGCCUCCAAAAAUAUCAUCAUUAUUAUUAACAGAUGAACUAGACCCGUUUAACCCACCAAAAUAUAUCAUCAUUAAAAGAUGAUUUCGCACUCGUAUUUUUAGUACUGGAAAACACAAAAUCAUAACCGAAAUCAAACCCAGUGCUAUUUUGUUUUUAAUUCUUUUGAAAAACAUCAAAAAUGUCAAAAUCAUCAUCAAAAUUCUAUAAUUUUGAAUUGCUAAAGAGAGUUUCGUGAUAAUCCAUGAAAGACCUAUCAAAAGAAUUGGAAAUGAAGGUUAAUUUAGAAGAAUAUGAGGAGGGUUUCUGGUUUGAUGGAGGGAAAUUCAAAUAACAAAACUGGCUAUAUGUUUCUUUGAGGAUGAAACAUGCAAGAGAUUCCACCACCAGGACAGACAACAACACNNNNNNNNNNNNNNNNNNNNNNNNNNNNNNNNNNNNNNNNNNNNNNNNNNNNNNNNNNNNNNNNNNNNNNNNNNNNNNNNNNNNNNNNNNNNNNNNNNNNUAUUCAACUUUUACCUACUUUUCUUCGCUUAGAAUUAGAAAAUCCAUACUUGCAUUUAAGAGAAUUUGAAGAAGUUUGUAACACCUAUAAUGACUUAAAUUGUAGCAUAAACACCAUCAGAUUAAAGUUUUUUCCUUUUUCAUUAAAAGAUAAAGCUAAAACAUGGCUACAAAAUCUUAGGUCAGGAUCCAUUCGUGCUUGGAAUAAAAUGCAACAACAAUUUUUAAAGAAGUUUUUCCCUUCUCAUAGAACAAACUCUUUCAAAAGAUAAAUCACCAUUUUCAAUCAAAAACCAGGAGAAAUAUUUUACAAGUGUUGGGAUAGAUAUAAAGACUUGCUUAAUACCUGUCCUCAUCAUGGUUUUGAAACAUGGAGAUUGGUUUCACAAUUUUAUGAAGGGUUAACACCUAAAGAUAGACAAAUGAUGGAAUUGAUGUGCAAUGGAACUUUUGAAAACAAAGACCCUGAUAAAGCAAUGGAGUACCUAGACUUGAUAGCUGAAAAUGCUCAAAAUUAGGACACUACAUGCACUUGUGAGGCACCAGGUAAAACUUAACCUCAUACAUUUAGUGGAGGCAUGUAUAACCUUAGGAAAGAUCAUGACCUCCAAGCCAAAUUUGCAUCUUUAGCUAGAAAAGUUGAGGCACUAGAAUUAAAAAAGAGUGGUCAAUUAAAAUCUGUUCAAGAAAUUGUGUGUCAAACUUGUGAAACUAAUGAACACUCAACCAAUGAUUGUCCAACUUUGCCUUCUUUUAAUCACCAAAAUUUCAGUUGGAAGAGUAGUAACAAUAAUGCGCAAACUUCACAACCACCAUUUCAAACACAUCAUAAUUUUCAAAAUUCUCAUGGAUAUGCACCUCCUUAUGUUCCCCAUCCUAGAAGAAAUCUUGAGGAAAUAUUGGAUGCAUUCAUUGAAAAGCAAGAGACAAUCAACACUCAACUUGCUUAAAACAUGACAGAUUUUAAAGAUACUCUUGCAAAAUUCACAUCUGCUCUAAGUUUUCAGGAGAAAGGUAAGUUCUCAUCUCAACCACAGCAAAAUCCCAAUGGGAAAUACAAUGCAAAUGCAAGUAGUUCUAGAAGCCAACACAUAGAUCAAGUCAAAUCAGUCAUUAUUAUCCACGGUGGUAAGGUUAUUGAAAAACCAAUUUUUGAACCUUGUGAGAAAGAUGAUGAGUCAAUCUCUAAGGGUAAUUAAGGAAAGGGUUAAACCUGAACAUUGCAAAGAAAAGACUAAUUCCCCACUAAUACUUCCAUUUCCUCAUGCUAUGACCAAACAAAGGGAAGUCAAUCACGAUUCUGAAAUUUUUAAAACUUUCAAAUAGGAAGAAAUCGAGGAUGAAAAAGGCACCGAAAAUAUUGUCGUGGAUCAUUUGUAAAAAUUGACAAUAGAUUCGAUAUCUGACAUCACACUAAUUGAUGAUUACUUUCCAGAUGAAUCUUCACUUUCUAUUGCUUCAAUACCUUGGUCUGCUAAUAUUGAUAAUUUUCUUGCUUCAAGAUUUUUGCCAGCUCAUUUGGAUACCCAAGAUAAAAGAAAGUUCUUGAGCGACAUGCAGAACUUUUAUUGGGAUGACCCUUACUUAUUCAAAUAUUGUCCUAAUCAAAUAUAUCAAAGAUGCAUUUCUGACAAUGAGGUAAGUGGUGUCAUAAAAUUUUGUCACUCUGAAGCAUGUGGGGGUCAUUUCUCAUCAAGAAAGACGACUGCAAAAAUCUUACAAUGUGGAUUCUACUGGUCCAUCAUGUUCAAAUACAAAUAUGCAUUCUGCAAAACCUGUGAAAAUUGUCAAAAGGUGGGAUUUAUUUCAAAACAUAGAGAGUCUUUAGAUAAUCUUCUAUUGACUCUUAAGUCUCAUCGUAAUGGAGAUGUGCAUCGUGCAAUUCAUGAUUUAUAGCCCUAUUUUCAUAAAGAACAUGAUCGACUUAGUCUUGAGAAUCUAACUAAAAAAGACCCUGUUUGUCAGUUUUUAAGAAAACUGGAUGGGAAGCGUAUCCCUGACCCAUAGAGAGUGUUUAAGCCAUUCUUGGACGUAAAAUCAAGGGAAGAUGUGAGCCACGAUCACAACUACGAUUUAAGCCUUAGGUUGCAAAAAUUUAUGUAUUUUGGUUUUAUUAAUAGCAUAAUAUUUGUGUUCUGUUGUUUCUUAUAUUUGUUUAAGUGUGUUUUAGGUUUGUUUGUAGUCGCUAUUUUAGGUGAUGUCUUCUAUAUUCUAUCUUUCUGCCUUAAAACAUUGAGGACAAUGUCUCCUUUUGUUUGGGGGGAGAGGGUAGUAGUUGACAAAAAAAAUAUUACUAAUUGUGUUUUCUAUUAUUAAAAUCAUUUGCAAAACUGUUGUUACUAGGAUGGCAGAGUAAAUGAGGAACUUUAAUAACUCUUGAGACGCAUCUUAGUAAAUAUUUUUAACAAAGUCUAUCAGAAUACUUCUUGAAAUAUUCAGGUUUACAAACUCUUGUAUUGUUAUCACUUGAUUCUGCUCAUAUACUCAUUUAAUAAAUAUUCCUAAACCUUUAUUUUCACACACACACUUUAACAUAUGAUUGUGGGUUGCACAUUGGAUUAUUACAUUAUUUAUGUUCUUUUGUUAAAGGUAACAACUAAGGGAAAGGGAAUAUAUAAUAUUCAAAAAAAUAAACAAAACAAAAACAAAAGCAAAUUGAUAAUAAAAUGAAUAAAUAAUGAAAAAGUAGAUAAGUUUGGAUUCGUAGCUCUUACUUAAGCAAUUAAGCCCGAAGGGGUGUUUUAACACCUAGUNNNNNNNNNNNNNNNNNNNNNNNNNNNNNNNNNNNNNNNNNNNNNNNNNNNNNNNNNNNNNNNNNNNNNNNNNNNNNNNNNNNNNNNNNNNNNNNNNNNNGCUUGUUACAUGGGUUGAGGAGAAAGCUUAAGAGAAUCAAACAUUGCACUAUCUACGUAUCAGUAUCUGCAACCCGAGUUACUAAGCUCGUAGGGGUGUCUCAACACCUGAUGCCCUUAGACCAACUAGUUUGGUAGUCAUUAGCCGAAAGCUCGUUACAUGGGUUAAAGAUGCAUUGUGUUUUAAGUUAUAUGUAUAUAUACCAAAAUAAUAAUAAUAAUAAUAAUAAUAAUAAUAAUAAUAAUAAUAAUAAUAAUAAUAAUCCCAACUCAAUGAAGUUAACCUUAGAAAAAUAUUAGAACAGAACAUUGUUUUCUUCCAAUAAAAGCCCCAUCAUCCAUGUUUUCAUAUAUUAAGCACAUAAAAAGAAGGUUUAUUAAUAUCUUGUUUAAGAAGUAUAAAGCAGAUAUAUAAAUGAGAGUUUGUUUAUUUGGAUAGAUUAAUGGAAGUUAAAUGAUAAAUGUCUUACUUUGUGGAACUUUCAAAUUGUUUUUCUAUUUUAACACUUUGAUUACUAGGGACUAGUAAUAAGCUGAUUGAGGGGUGUAAUUAGUACUUAAAAGUGCAUUUUCAUUAAGGUUUUAUAUUAUCAUAUUGCACUAAAGUAUCAUUAAAUUCCCUAACUAAAACAUGUUUUACAAUAACAAGAGUCAUAAAUUGAUUAAACAAGAGUCCAAGGGUGUUUCUUAGAUAUUUUGGGUUAAAAAUAGGUUGAAAUAGGUUUUUUGGUUGAAAAAAUAAGAAUCCUAUUCAAAAAAUAAUUUUUGCAUUUAUGUUUUGAUUAAUUCCUCUUCUUGGUGAUCGAUUUUUUUACUUAUUUAGUUUUUUUAAAUAACAAUUAUUUUUAUAUUAUAUAAAUAUUAAAGAUAAAUUAAAUUUUUAUUAAUAAUAAAUAUAUAUUUAUGUGAAUAUAAUAAAAUCAAGUAUAAAAACAGACGAUAGAUGAUGUGAGAACUCAAUCCCAUUCCAUUUCAGAAUCAAAAUGGGGAAUAUUUCCCGGCUCAAAGGUGCAAGAAAGUUGUUCGCUUAGGCUGUGGCAUGUGUAUAUUGAAUUCUUUGUUUCGAACAGAUCCAUUAUCCCGCUUGACAAACUGAGAGAUGAAAAAGGAAAAAAAAACCAUGAUUAAUAAACAAGAGAAAAGGACUAAUCAAUGGUUUAAUUUUCAAUUUCGAACAACAUAGUACAUACAUUGCAAAAGUCAAUAUUUUUAUUUAUAGAAUUUUGAUCUUUCUUGUUGUGGAGAAUUUCCCAUUUAACUUCAUCAACAUAUAUUAUGCUAUUAAUUAUAUAUAUAAAAAAUUUAAACUCAUAAUUAUUGUGAAUUCGUUAAAAUAUAAAAAUAUCUCAAUUUAAAAACUUAAUUUAUUCGAAUAAAAUUUUAAAAUAUUAUUUAUAUUAUUUUUUAAUACUAAUAAAUAAAUAAUCAUGUUCUUUGCCACACUCUUGAAACUAGUGAAAACUAUUUUUAUGGACCAUCAAACGUGGGAGAUUUUUUCCUAGAAAAACAAGAUAGGUUAUUGUCAAUCAAAAGAUUAGCGUGACUUUACACAGCUAGAGCGCAUUCUUGUUGACUAAUUAAUAUUGAAUUCAAGGCUUUGAUGUAGCAAAAAUCAAGUUGGUGAGGCAUGUGAUGCAAAUCUUUCCAAUCUCGACCAAGCCUAAUAAACCAAAAACUAUAAUAUAUAUAAAAAAUAAACCUAACCAUCUAUACUUUUCCUUCUAAAUAUUCAUACCUCUUCAACUUUAUUAUACAUUUCAUGAUAAUCACUUGAAACUACAAGAGAGGAUUACCAUACGAGCUGCCAAUGAAACACAGUCAAACCAAGAAAAAUCCCAAAUGGCUUACAAUGUCCAUGCAUUUCUCCAUAGACUGCGCAGGAUAAAUAACAUAUGAUUUCCAUGCAUGGUAGGUUAAGGUUUGCUCAAUUGAGUCAAAUUCCCAUGCAAGUCAAAAAGGCAAGGAAGUAAGUAGUGAUACUUGAAUUAUUUACUAGUACAAUCUUGGAGGCUGCAACACCGAUCAACACGAUUUUAACUAAGAAAAUUGAUUGAGUAAUUAAUUGUCUAGCUAGUCUUAAAACCUUAUAUUAUAUUGGGUCAUUUUCGUAUUAUACAAGCACACGUUCGUCUAGUUAACUUGUUUGAAUUUCAUUUGGUCUCCGAUAUUAUUCUCCCAAAGUUUGUAAGCUUAUCAUUUUAAUAAUCAAAAUUACUUAAUUUGAUAAUUAGUCAACCACACAUUUUGAAUAUCGUUAAUUAAAUGAUGAUGUGAGCUCCAAUUGCAUUGAUUUAUACAAUCUUCAUGUGAACGGUGUGGUCGAGAUUCUUUAAUAUACUCAUACGUGAGAUUCUUUAUAUAUAAUAUACUUAGACAUGAGAUUCUUUAUAUAUAUAUAUAGUAAUGGAUUUCUUUGAGUAGUCUACAUAUUAAUUGAGAUUAGAUUUUUUUUCUCCAGUGAUCUUAAUUGUGUAUCUACUACAUUUGCUUGAUGUGUCUCGAUGAAUUUCAUAAAUUUUCUUGAAUACUAACUCUAAAUUUUGAAUACAAAAAGUCAAAAAAUAAAACAAAUCCCUUUUAAAAUGGCGAAGAGAGCUAGAUAUGUGGAAUGUGCAUCUUUAGAAUUCAACUUAUCAUGUUGUUGAACGGGAACAAUCUAACGUUUUGGAACCACCUAUGUGAACUUGGCAUAACAUGCAGGAGAAUUUAUUAAAUUCUUUUGAAAAUAUUAGGCUAAUAUAGGAAGUAUGUCUUUAAAAAUCACUGAAAAAAUAAUUUUAGUUUACAUGCAAGUUAUCCAUCGGAAAAGAUAUAAGUUAUUUGUGUAAGUUAGGGAAAUUUUUCAUAUAUUAUAACUAGAUUAUUUCUCAUAGCUAUGCUGUGAAUUGAAUUAAAUUUUUUUAAAUGUAAAAAAAAAAAUAUCUAAGCCAUGAAGAACUAUUUAAGAUUAUUAUUAAAUCUAGUUUAGUGUGUCAAACUUGAAAACUCCUGACCGAACUCCUUAUCUAAUCAUAUUUCAAAUUAAAUCUUGUAUAAUUAUUCUAACGUGACCUAGUCGACUUAGUGGAUAUAAAAGCUAAAAAAUAAAAGAAAAAAUAAUGACCAAAAUAAAAGUAAAGAGAGAGAGAUCAGGCGCACGAGUCUAAAGACAAUAUGGAUAAUUAGUAAAAACAUAGUUUGACUUUUAAAAAAAAUUCAAGAUAACUUUUUUUAAAAAAAAACAAUCAAACAGUGAUAUAUUGAAUCGAUCUGAGUUAACUCGUCAAACUUGUGAUCAGGAUCAUGAAUUCCACUAGAUCUAAUAACAAUUAAUUAUAUGAUAAAAAAUAUGAAGACUAGUUCAAAACCAACUAAAUAUUGAAUGAAAAAAAUGAAUUUUUUUUUAAAAUACAGCAAAAACUCAAUGUUGAAGGAUAAAACUUGAGAGAAAAAAAAUACAAGGCAUGUGCGUGAACUUGGAUUAUAACAACGAAAAAAAAAUCUUAGCUUUGUAAAGAUAUCUUAAGCCUUUAACUCAGGAAAACAAAAUGAUUUUUUUUUCUACAUUUAGUAUCAGUAAUCCAUAUUGUCAUUUUAAUCUCAUGGUUUAAUUCAAUUCGAUAUAACACAUUCAUGUACAUUACAAAUAUCAUACAAUUAUGAUUGAUGUUUCUAAUUUUUAUCAAAAUUUCAGCAGAGUCUUCUUUGUCCAGGUAACCAAACAGUUCUUCUCUUCUUCUAAAAACCUACAUAACGAUCAAGGAAAGUUUCAAAUCCCACACAUAACAAUUUAUAUCCAGGUAUUGGGCCUCAGGCCAUUCAAUCAAUCAAUCAAUUCAUAAUAGUUCACACCUAUUAAAGUUUAUUGCGUACAUUUAAAUAAUUUAAACUUAACUUUUCAUCAAGAUAGCAUUUCAUUACAAGAACAACGUUGUAAACAUUAUAAAUACUUAUUCAUAUUACAAUCCCCGUUCAUUUGAAUUACAAUAUACUACUAAGAACUCAUCUAACAUUGUAACUAAGAAAAUUAGAAUCUUGUCUUAGCAUGUGAUAUUCCAGAUCAUAAACAUGAAAAAUAUAGAAAUUUAAAUAAGAUAUUUAUUGCAACACAAUUAAAAUAUGUCAGAUACAAUAUGUAUAUGAUUUUUCAUGGAGCAAACCUCCAUAAUUUCUUUUGAUAAUAAUAGAAUCGACUCAUUUGUCAUAAUCUCUACUAAUUUUAAGUAUUGUAUAGUCACCUCGUCAAGGUAAUUCCAAGCUUUAUCUUCUCAUCUAAAAGUUAUAUCUUGUUCAUAAAUCCAUCUUGGAAACUUUAUCUAUCGAAGCUCACCAUAAAGUUUUAUUAAUGGUAAUUAAAGGCCUAUUCCACGUAUCCUACCCUAUGCUAUUAAUUUAUCAAAGGUAAAUUAUCAUUUGUACUCUUUGCUCUAUAUGUUUCUUAAGGAAUUAAAUCCUUUACUAGUAUCGCCCUACAAUUUUAAAUAAAUAUAAUUAAUGAUUUAUUGAUUUCUAUUUUCCAUAAUGAAUCUUUAACAUUGAUUUAACUUAAUUUGGUUUUAGCAACAUAUCAUUCAUCUUACAACAAACUUUUAUGUACACAUGUCUUAACAUGCAUCAAUACACUUAUUUGUCCAUUGGAUUGACCAUCAUAUAGCUUGAAAUAUACAAUCAUAGAUGUCCAUGUUCUUGUCCUAUUAGGCCACCAAGACGAUUUUCAAAUCUCUUAUCAUGUUGUACUGGAAUCAGUAUAUAUUUAUGCCCUUUUACAUUAUCAAACAAUCACCAUUUUCUUCAUGAAUACACCAUCAAAACCGCAUACAUUCAACUACACCACAUUAUACAAACCAAUUCUUUAUUAUAACCUGUUUCACUAUCAUUACAAUCCUUAGAGUUCUCAUGCAUAUGUUGUCCACAACAAUAUUUAAAAUCUAUUUUCAAGUCAUUUUCACCUAGAAAACAUUGUUGUUCCCCUAAUAACUCUUUGCUCAUAUAAUAGAUUGUCAAAACAACCUAAAAAUUACGCUUCGAUGCAGCCCAAAACAUAACACAUGUAGUAAUAUUAGUCAUCACACCGUGAUUGACUACCCAAUAGAUUCUAAUAUUGUUAUUGUCGCGGGUGCGUGACGUCGCGGCGAAUAUUCCACUUUUAAAAUCUAGGAAGUGUGUAUGGUAUCUAUCUGGCAAAUGUGGGGAGACAAGAAAAUAUUGUCUUUUGUUGGUAGAAAAUGGAAUGGGAGUCGCCACCUAGUAUUUUGGUCACUAGGAACCCUAACUGGUCUCAGAGAUUGGGUACGGGGACUGGUUGCGUAAAGGGAAGGUAUUAGCACCCCAAAUACGCCCUACCUAAGGUAAGCUGCAUUGUUUAUUUGUCUGAUAAAAUUCAAGGUCUCGUUGUGUUUCCUAGUUGUUGGUCCGUCUAUGGUUCAAGAAAAGUCCUCCUCAAUAAGGAGGUCCUUAUCUUAUCGGGUAAAAACCUAAUCCUUCUAACGUCUAUGUAUGUUGGUCCGUCUAUGGUUCAAGAAAAGUCCUCCUCAAUAAGGAGGUCCUUAUCUUAUCGGUUAAAACCUAACCGUUCUAACGUCUAUGAAAAACCAUAUUUUUAAUAUCAGGAAUACGUCUUACGUAUAAAUUCGUAAUCCCAUGUACUAAAAGAAGACAAAAAGAUUUUUUAGAAUUUUUGAAAUAUUGGCCUAGUUCUCAUGGCUUGAAUAAACUGGUUAUUAAAGCCAAAAUGCAUGCUAAUACAUAUAUUGUUUUGAAAUUUUCUUUGUUGUGUGAAAAAUAUGAUGUUAUAAUAUUUAUAUAUAUAUAUUGGAGAGACUAGGCCGUAUGCAUGAAAACAAAACAUUUUUUAAAAUAUUUUAUUUAUUUUUUUAUGUCUUGACGAAAACCGGGUAUUUGAAUACCGGAUUUGUAUCUUUACAGUAUAAAAAUACAAAUCGAUAUUGAUCAAAAUACAGUAAUAAACUUGCAGAAAAUCACAUAUUUUUUUGGAAUAAUUUUCGAAGAAAUUAAUUAAUUUUUCUAUAUAUAUAUCUAGAUAUAAAUAAUACAAAAUACAAUACAAUAUACAUCGUAUAUAAUAUAUAAUUGGGCUGGGCUGGGCCGGCCCAACGAACUAGGCCGGACUCAGCCCCAAAAUGUGUUGGGCCGAUCUCGGGCCAAGAGGUAUUGGGUCGAUCUCGGCCCAAACAAAAUCUAUUUUAUCAUGGGCCGGAUCCAGCCCUGCCAGCAGGGCUGGGCUAGGAUCAGUCCGGCCCACAGAAGGAAACCCAUAUUGCUGGGCCAGAACCAAUCUGGCCCAGCCUAAUUAAAAACCAACGGGGGGAAUUAUUUCCCCCCCAUCCUGCAUGCAGAACGCUGUUCGUUCUGCAUGCAGGAGAAGAACCAAACCGAUGCACAAAGAGGGGGGAGAAGAGCACCUGGCGUGGAAGAGGCGGUGCGUUGCUGGUAUGUCCGCGGUGCUGCGGUGGAGGCUGGUGGCUUCACUGGCGUGCACUGGUCCCGGUUGGAAGAAGAAGGAGCAGAUUCCUACAGAGGAGAAGGAAAGCUCUCGGCUGGAGCUAUUGGUGUGACUGAGGAAGGAGCUACUACUCCGGUUGCUGCUGGGCGUCGCUGGAGGAAGGAGGACUGCUGUUGGCCGGUGAAGAAGCUGGAAGGCGGAGGCUUGCUCCUGUGGAGGUUGUCACUGCUGAGGAGGCCGCGGGAGGCGUUGCUGGGGCUGUUGAAGCUGCGAUGAAGGAGAAGCUGAGGUGAAGAUCUGUUGCUGGCGUUGUGUUGAUGGGAGGGAGAGGGGACAAUGUUUCUUUGGGACUGCUGGAAGAGAAUGAGAGGAAAGGGAGGGGGCUGCCCCGGUUUGGCUUUGCAAGAGAGGGGGUUGUCCCUUGUUGCUGGCUGCUGAGGGGAAGAAGAAAAUCAAGGGGAGGGGAGAGGUGUGUGAGGGCUGUUCGGGUGUGUGGGUCUGUGGGGGGCUGGACUACGGCCGGCUGUCACUGGUUGAGGGAGAAGAAGCUGGAAAAAGAAAACUGGUUGCAGGAAAACCGGGCUGGAAAAGCUUAUUUUGUGCCAAUUUUGAGCUCCAUCCCACCAACCCUUUGAGCAUGAAAAUUGCUCCUAUUUAUAGGGCUGGAAAGAGGGUAAUCUUGUCUUCAACGGGGAAAAAGUCUCAGCCCUUGAUUCGACUCGAGUAAUCCAAACCAUUAGUUCAAAGUGUGCACCUCGAACUGCCAAAUUUGCAGACUACCCGAGGUGCACGAUUUGGGCCAAAAAACGGAGCCGUUCCAAACCUUUUUGACCCGACCGGACCACUCCCCAUGAUAAAUGGGUUCCAGGUGGAUAUGUUGGUGCAUGCUUUGUCGGAUUUGGGGGCCAAACGAGGCAGAAAACACGCCUGGAAGUCGGCCACUCGGGCAACUCGGUGGGGAAGAAAAUGAACAGUACCGGGCGACGCGUCGCCUGGUUCCUGCCCCUUCUUCUUCUUUUUUUUUUUAAAAUGCAAAAACGGUGCCGUUUUGAUAAAAAUAGGGAUUUCUUUGCCAAUUUUCAAUUUAGUCCUCCGACUUUCAAUUUCGUUCAAGAUUAUUCCCUAAUUGACCCUAAAACUUCUGAUUUGAUGCAAUUUAGUCCCGGCAUAACUUCAUCUUCGGCCCCAGAGUUACGCGCCUUUUGCAAUAUGGUCCUUGGUCUCGGAUUUAUGCAAUUUCAUCCCUAAUUGACCAUUAAACUUUCAAUUUCUUCAAUUAGGCCCCUGAACCGAAUAAUCGCAGCCCCUCCAUUUACGCGCCUCUUCCAAUUUGGUCCCUGGUUUCGGAUUUUCUCAAUUAAGUCCCCAAUUGGCCCUUAAACUUCAAUAUUUAUGCAAUUAGACCCCUGAUUUGACCUAAUAAAUUCCUAAAAAAUAUAUUUUGGCCCCAGAACUUAAAUUUCUUCUAAUUAAAGCCCAAAUUGACUUAAAAAUCAAUUUUUCUUACAAUCAAAUCUCCUAUAAAUUCAUUUAAAAAUCCAAUUAAGUCCAUAAACAUCCAAAUUUGGGCUUUUCUCCUCAAAUUUCAAAUUUUCCUUCUCAACAGGGCUAUCCUCCUUCAAGAAUAUACUGUCAAAAAAUCCAAUCUUUGUAUUUUUAACCUCAUUGACCAAUUUUCCAACCAUUUUCUGAGCGCUUCUGCCUUCUGUUUUUUCUAACCUCCUUUGGCUAUAUAUUUUUAUAUAUAUUUUGUGGGGACCCAAAAAUGGGUUACAACAGUUAUUGUCUAAUACUACUAGUCUUUUAACUCUAAAACACCCUAAAAUAACACAAACAAAGGGGUUUUUAUUUGUUUAGAAAUCUAUUUUCAAGUCAUUUUCACCUAGAAAACACCAUAAAAACAUUCCUAAACCAUCCAUUAACUCUAAAACACCCCAAAAUAACAGAAAAAAUAAAAAUCAAACUAAUCAAGAAAAUCUUAAUUGAAUCCAAUCUACUUUUCAAGUAUUGUUAGAGAAAAAGUCAUCGCUAUUUGAAAACUCAUCAUUAAAUGAAACUCAUUGAGACCAAGAACAACAACUUUUAUCGCUGAAAAGUGUUAAACCGAUAAUUUUCUCUUUUCUUAUUAUUUUUUAAUGAGUCUCUCUCAUCUGUGUAACUCGGGGUUGAGAAUAAGAAAAAUAAAUUUUUAGACUAAAAUAUUAAAAAUUCUAAAACUUUGAAAUUAACAAUGUAUUUUCUUCAUGUUUUACAUUUCACUCCUCUCACUUUUAAUUUGGUUUUUAUUAUCAAAAUUGUCGCACGUGAGCGACGUCGCGGCGAUCGUCCACCCACAAAUGUAAUGGGGGGAUAUAUAUCUGGUCAAUGUAGGGAGAUAAGGAAUUCGUUGUCUCUUAGCAGUGAAAAAUGGUGUGGGAGUCGCCACCUAGUAUUUUGGUCACUAGGAACCCUAACUGGUCUCAGAGAUCGGGUACGGGGACUGGUUGCGUAAAGGGAAGGUAUUAGCACCCCAAAUACGCUCUACCUAAGAUAAGCUGCAUCGUUUUAUUGUCUGAUAAAAUUUAAGGUGUUUUCGUUGUGUUUCCUAGUUGUUGGUCCGUCCAUGGUUCAAGAAAAGUCCUCCUCAAUAAGGAGGUCCUUAUCUUAUCGAGUAAAACCUAACCGUUCUAAUGUCUAUGUAUGUUGGUCUGUCUAUGGUUCAAGAAAAGUCCUCCUCAAUAAGGAGGUCCUUAUCUUAUCGGGUAAAAACCUAACCAUUCUAAUGUCUAUGUAUGUUGGUCCGUCUAUGGUUCAAGAAAAGUCCUCCUCAAUAAGGAGGUCCUUAUCUUAUCGGGUAAAACCUAACCGUUCUAAUGUCUAUGUAAAAAAGCUAUAUUUUUAAUAUCAGGAAUACAUUUUACGUAUAAAUUCUUAAUCCCAAAUACUAAAAGAAGACAAAAAGAUUUUUUUAGAAUUUUUGAAAUAUUGGCCUAGUUCUCAUGGCUUGAAUAAACUGGUUAUUAAAGCCAAAAUGCAUGCUAAUACAUAUAUUGAUUUUUGAAAUUUCAUUUGUUGUGUGAAAAUAUGCUGUUAUAAUAUUUAUAUAUAUAUAUUGGAGAGACUAGGCCGUAUGCAUGAAAACAAAACAUUUUUUUUUUGUAAUUAUGUAUUUUUUGAUGUUUUGACGCAAAUCGGGUAUUUUAAUACUGGGUUUGUAUUCUUACAGUAUAAAAAUAUAACCAAAUAUUAAUCCACUUUGAUAAAACAAAUGCAGAAAAAUUAACAAUAUUUUUAAAGAUAUUUUUAGAAAUAUAUAUAUAUAUAUUUUUAAUUAUCAUAUUUUAUAUAUAUAUACAUAUAUACACACAUAUAUUAUAACAUAUUAUAAUAUAUAAUAUAUAAUAUAAAAACAAAUCGGGCUGGGCCGGCCCAAGUAAAUGGGCCGGACUCAGCCCAACAAAGAAAGGUUGGGCCGAUCUCGGCCCAGACUGGGUUGGGCCGAUCUCGGCCCAACAGGCCAUCAUGCUUCUUCUGUGACGGGAUACUGUACACAACAGUGACUGAGAUACUGUACACAAAUAGUGACGGGGUACUGUGCACAAAUAGUAACCGGGUUACUGUACAUAAGCACAGUAACCCGUUAAUUAAUUAGGUGGCUACUGUGCACCUGCACAGUAACAUGUUAAUUAAUUAGACCUGCAUAGUAACCGGGGGAAUUAAUUAGCCGGUUACUGUGCCCCUGCACAGUAACCAGCUAAUUAAUUUCUUGCUUGCAGAACGUGCACAGUGCACGUUCUGCAUGCAAGAAGAUGAACAGGGGAAGAGUUACCUGCGACGAUGAGCUUGGGUAGAGGAGCUGACAGUGGUGCUGGUGGUGGUUUUGCUGGUGGUUGCUGACCGAAGGUUGGCUCUUCCUCUUCUCUACUGCUUUCUAUGUUAUUUCUCCUCUCCUCUCUCUCUUCUGUUUUUUUUCUUCCUCCUUCCUGUGUCUGUUCUCUUCUCUAUUUAUAGGAAAAAAUGGAGCAGGUGCGCCUUCAAUCACGCAACGGCUGGUCGGCCAGUGACCCGUUCGGUGGUCUAAAGGUGUGGGGACGAGGAGAGAGAGGCGGGACUUUUUUUGAAAAUGGUUUUUGUCUUCUGUUGUUGUUCAACGGGGGAAGGAGGAAGAUGAACAGUGUCGUUCAAAACGACACCGUUCUGGCCUUCCUCUUUUUUUUUUUUUUUAUAUGAAACGACGUCGUUUUGGAUAAAACGCGUCGUUUCAUUUAAAUGAGCCAAACUUCAAAUCAGUCCUCUAUCAUUUCUUGUUCAUUUCAAUUGUAUCCCUGCCAAAUUCGAUCUCCGCCCCCAUAGUUGGCCGCGUUGUUCACUUUAGUCCUUGGCCUCUGAUUUAUGCAAUUAAGCCCUCAAUUGAUCAAUAAACUUCCAAUUUCUUCAAUUAGGCCCCUGAACCAAAGUAAAACAGCCCCCCUCUAUUUACCCGGUUUUUCCAAAUUGGUCCCUGGUUUCGGUUUUUUUAAUUAAACCCCUAAUUGGUCAUUAAACUUCAAUAUUUAUUCAAUUAAACCCCUGAUUUGACCCAAUAAAUUCCUAAAAAAUAUAUUUUGGCCCCAGAACUUAAAUUUCUUUCAAUUAAAGCCUAAAUUGACUUAAAAAUCAAUUUUCUUGCAAUCAAAUCCCCUAUAAAAUCAAUUAAAAAACCAAUUAAGUCUAUAAACAUCCAAACUUGGGCUUUUCUCCUCAAAAUUCAAAUUUUCUUCUCAACAUGGCUCUCAUUCUUCAAGAAUAUACUGUCAAAAAUCCAAUCUUUGUAUUUUUAACCUCCUUGACCGAUUUUUCUGACCAUUUGCUGAGCGCUUCUGCCUCCUGUUAUUUUUCUAACCUCCUUUGGCUAUUUAUUUUAUUUCAUUUAUUUGGGGACCCAAAAAUGGGUUACAACAAAAAUUUCAAACCAUCAUCAGGCUAUAAAAAGAAUCAAUUGAAAAACAAAUUUUGAAGACAAAAAUUAAAAAAAAAGGGACGGAAAAAAAAAGGAGGGUAGUUUUUUUAGUUAAAGCUGAUGGUUUCUAGCCAAAAAAAAAAAGAAGCAAUGGGGGUUGGGGUGCCACGUGUAAGGAGCCCAUUAUGUAGGUGGUGGGUGAAGUCAGCUAGAGCUAAGCAUCCAUUUUUUGUGGGGUUUUUCUGGUUAGAUUUGCCUGUUGGAGGAUCGUAGCAUGGGAUUAUAUUUGGUUGUAAAGGAAAGUGUCAAUUUAGGAGCCACCAACCAUCGACAAGUUAGUGAAAAUGGUGUCAAGUGCCGCACCCACCACCUCCUUCGAUCAAUCACCUCAUCAUCCAUGUAAUUAACCCUUUUUUGUUCUAUCACUUUUACGUUACUAAACACUUCCACUUCUAUUAGACGUGUGGAAUGAUUCGAUUUCUAGUUUUUUUAUUUGUGAAUCAAAUUAAGACUUGAAGCUAGUAGAUGGAUGUGUCUAAUCAACUUUUUUGGAUCCAAUUUCAUGAAAACUUUUAUCUCAAAACAUCAUAGAAAUAAGUUGUAUGUCUUAAAGGAUAUCUAAUAAAAUCUUAAAAGUUGGGAGUUAAAGAUAUAAUUUAUAUUAUAUUUUAAUAUAUUUUUUAAUUAAAAAUUAUUUCAGUUUAAAUUAAAUUUACAAAAGAUUAUACUAUUUUAUACAUAAAAAAUUAUCAAUCACCUCAUCAUCCAUUUUUUUGAUCUAUCACUUUUACGUUACUAAACACUUCCACUUCUAUUAGACGUGUGGAAUGAUUCGAUUUCUAGUUUUUUUAUUUGAGAAUCAAAUUAAUACUUGAAGCUAGUAGAUGGAUGUGUCUAAUCAACUUCCUUUGAUUCAAUUUCAUGAAAUGUUUUAUCAUAAAACAUCAAUAAAAAUGUGUUGUAUAUCUUGAACCGAUAUCUAAUAAAAUCUUAAAAGUUGGGAGUGAAAGAUAUAAUUUAUUUUAUUUUUUUAAUUAAAAAUUAUUUCAGUUUAAAACUUAAAGGAUUAUACUAUCUUAUACAUAAAAAAGUAAUUCAUAACUAUUUGGUUAUCAUGUAAAAAAAAUAUUUUAAAUUAAAAAAUUUAAACUUUUAAAAUUAUAUAAAUUCUUGCUCUCUUUUGAAUAACCUUUCGUACUGUGGUGUUUCAUGGGUAAAUAAAACAUGAUAAAAUAUAAUAAGAAAGAAUUUUGCUAGGAAAAAUACAAAAAUGAGAUACCAAAUCUAUUUAUUUAAUUGAACAAAACUAUUUUUCUAUCAAUCUCACAUGUAUAUCAAACAAUGAAGGAUAAAUUAGAAAGUGGACUUGUCACUAAUUAAAUGUAUAUAUUAUGAUUUUUAUUUUCUAAGAUGAUAUAUUAUGAUUUUUUUUAUUAUUAAUGUAAGUGUUCGGACUAGUUUGUGUGUACCUCAACUAAUCUCACGGGUUUUGAAGUUAAUGAUCAUGUAAAUCUUCAAUGAUCCUGAGAUUUGUAAGACUCGAACUGGUGAUAUCUAGAGAACAAAUUUAAAAUAUGAUGAAUUAAGUUUCACUUCUCAUGAUUAAUAUAUUUAGAGUUUUGAAUACUUAAAAGGAGGUGUUGUUUUUAUUUUUAUUUUCAAAUCUAAGAACCUCAAAAACUUUUAGGAAUCUCAAAAAAACUCAUUUUUUUAACCCCAAAACAUUUAAUUAGCCUAAAUAAUGAAAAUCAAUCUGAAUAAAAAAAAUAUUGGUCUAAUAUAUUUUUUCUAGCAUGGUUAAAAGGCAAAAUCAUUUUUAUUGAACUUCUUUUUUCAAAACAAAUCCAUUGAUGUUAAAAUUAGGUUUUUUAUGAUCGGAAUAUGAUUAGCUUUACCACAUUCUCCCCCUCUCAACAUUCAAUAACUAAAAAUAUGAUAAAAAUGAAGUUUUAAGAUGGAGUCGUAAAAAUUUUAAACAACAUGAUUAAAUAAAUCUGAAAAACAAAAAAUUCAAGGACCAUAUUAAACUUUUCUACAACUUUGGAAAAAGAUUGCAUUAUAGGAGAAUAGUUUAAUGCACAAUAACUUGAGUCUUGCUGCACAAUAAAAUUUAUUAUGGUAAGAAUAACAAAUGUUUUAAUUUAGAUUAUAACACGAAGCAUACACAAUUAAGAUUACAACAAGGAGAUUUCAAGAAGUAGUUAAACUUAGGUUAUAACCUAAGUUUUAAUAUAUUUUUUACAUUUGAUUUUAAUUUUAAUUUUUUUUAAGUAAGUUAAAAUAGCUUUUGAUUUAAAUUUUUUUUUUGUUAUAAAUUGGAUUCAAACCUUUGAUUUAAUAAAAAACAAGAAAAUUUUACUUUAGUUUGUGGAUUUUAUACUGAAUUCCUUAUUAAAAAGUUAUUUUGAAUCAUUUUUACAAAUAAUGCUUAUAACUUACGGUUAUUUUAAUUUAUUUUUUUCAUAAAUUAUUUAUAAAAAACAACUUUUAAAUUACAAUUCAAAGUAAAAUAUCAUAAUUAGUUAUGAAUUGGAUUCGAUGAAAGGAAGAUGGGAAGAGGGGAAAUGGGUAACGGGAAAUUAAAGAGAGAUGAUGAUCUGCGCAUGGCUACCUGUACCAGAACAGAUGGAAAAAACUCGAAACAACUCGGCUAGAAUUUAGGCAAGAAAUUCAGAAUGAGUCAACAUUUUAAGUGAGAUGAAAUUUGUCUCACUUUCUUCUAUUAAACCGAGGAGCAUUUAGAGGAUAGAAUAUUAGAGUCUCUAGCAAAAGUCAGCAAGGUAUAUUUAGAGCCAAAUUCGGGUAACAAAUUAUCAUAACCAACUGAUCCAUUUCGGCUCGGAGGCUUCAGUUUUGUACCGGUCAUCAACUGGUGCUCUUUGCUUUGCAGCCUUCGAGGAAGAAGUAAAAGCCUCCAAAAAUAUCAUCAUCAUUAUUAACAGAUGAACUAGACCCGUUUAACCCACCAAAAUAUAUCAUCAUUAAAAGAUGAUUUCGCACUCGUAUUUUUAGUACUGGAAAACACAAAAUCAUAACCGAAAUCAAACCCAGUGCUAUUUUGUUUUUAAUUCUUUUGAAAAACAUCAAAAAUGUCAAAAUCAUCAUCAAAAUUCUAUAAUUUCAUCAUUAAAAGAUGAUUUCGCACUCGUAUUUUUAGUACUGGAAAACACAAAAUCAUAACCGAAAUCAAACCCAGUGCUAUUUUGUUUUUAAUUCUUUUGAAAAACAUCAAAAAUGUCAAAAUCAUCAUCAAAAUUCUAUAAUUUUGAAUUGCUAAAGAGAGUUUCGUGAUAAUCCAUGAAUGACCUAUCAAAAGAAUUGGAAUUGUAGGUUAAUUUAGAAGAAUAUGAGGAGGGUUUCCGGUUUGAUGAAGGGAAAUUCAAAUAACUAAACUGGCUAUAUGUUGAUGAAACAUGCAACAGAUUCCACCACCCAGCGGACAACAACAUUGAGAACAAAUCCGUGUGAGAAAUCAAUUUUAAUAGUCAUUUUAUUUUUUAAUUUGAGAGAAAUCACAAAUUCUUCACUGUUUAUUACUGAAAAAGAAGAGAGGGGGGAAGAAAUGAUGUCUUCAGAUGUUUCUGAAUUAUAGGAUGCUAGGGUAAUUUUUUUAUAUAUAAAUAUAUAAAUAGAAGAUUGUGUUAAAAAAUCAAAGGGAGCUUUUACAAGAAUACUAUUAUCUUUUUUCUUUUCUCAAAAUCAAUAAAAAGAAUUUCACUGAGAGAAAAAUAGUAUAUCAUCAAUCUAAUGACUGCAUUUAUCUUUACAAUCUUCCAAAGGAACAACUUUAUGUUAAGAAGAGGAGAAAUAUUAUAACAAAAUAAUUUUUAUGGAUUCAAACUAGUGUUAUAGACUCUUGUGAGUAAAAGUGUCAAUUCUCAUAAAAAAAAUUGCAAUUUGAUGACAUAAUGACUAAUACAGAGACACUAACAAACAAAUAAAAAUAAUAAUUUGUACAAAUACUCACCUAGCAAAGAGAGGAACGGAUAAAAGGUUCACCACGGUCAAUUUUUUUUCUUUUUCUUGGUUAAUUUUUUUUUUUGAAAAUGAUGAAUAAUGGGAAAAAAAGAAGAAGAAAAACUUGCAAAGAAGCACUUAUAAUGGAACAAGGUUAUGAUGACAAUCCCUGUAUCACACUCUCAAAUAAUAUAAUAUAUCCAUUAUAUUUUGCAUUAUAUAUAUAAACUAAAAGAGUUAGGCUUUUUGAUGGCAUCCAAGUGUAGUUGCUUUUUUCAUCCCGCUUUUUUUGUUUUAUUUUAUUUCAAUCAUUCAAUUUUGUUUCUGUUAUUUUAUCAUGCUUCGAGUUGUCUUUUUCAAUUUGAUUUGGUGCCAGCUUGGGAAUCACCAUUUUAAUUGUGGUUGUGAUUUCUAAUUGUUUGAUAGUAUUUCAAAAGCUGAUAUUAUAGCCUCUUCUAUAUGUUAUUUUCAGAAGUUACAAUUUAUAGCUUUUCAAAAGCCAUAAUUGCCUGUUUGUUUCUGCGUUUAAAAAACGUUUUUUAAAAAAAAAUUAAAUUUUUUUAAUUUUUUAUUAACUUUAAAUUAAUAUAUUUUUACUAUUUUUAAAUCAUUUUGAUGUGCUGAUGUCAAAAAUAAUUUUAAAAAAAUAAAAAAACAUCAUUGGCAUACAUUUUAGCACGAAAAGUUAUUUGAAAAACAACCGCAACCACAUUGUCAAAUUUCCAAAUAGAUUCUUGAUAGAGGGUUGUUUUGAUCUUGAGUGUUGUGCUUGCAAAGGAAUUACAAUUACUUUACACAUUAUAAUUAUAAAUUACUGUUUAAAACAAUUAAGAGAAAGGACCAAUAAUAUAGAGUGAGCAAAUGAAAGCAUAAAUUUAGAUUUUAUUGUGACAUAGAGAUUAGGUAAUCAUGAAAGUUGGUAAUAAUAUACUGUGAGCAAAGGAACCUGCUCGAAAAAACCAUUCAACAUGAGAUUGCUCUGCUAGGAAAACAUGAUAUCAGCAUCAAACUUUUGAACAAAUAGUGGAGCAUCAAGUCUCAGUCAUCUUGAAGUAUGUCGACAACAAGUCACAUAAGCAUAUGCAAUAGAAACAGAGCAUCAAACUGACAGAGAAAACAUACUGAUACCCUUAUUCACACAGAAAACAUACUGAUAGAUAAGUCGAAAUCUUCUAUGGUAAAUAAGACUGUUACAAUGUGAAGCCAAUUUGUAUCCCAUUGCCAAUGGAACAGUAGGAAUUACUUCCCACCAAUCAAAAACAUAUCUGCAGCACCACAGCUCAAAGACAUGAAUCUCCGUGAAAUCGCCUAUUGAGGAGUUGAUCGUGUAACAACCAACCAACCUUGCCUCAAGCAAACACGAAGAACAAAGACCAUCCAUGCAUAUUUAAUUCACCCAUUAAAAGUUGAAGGAUAAGGAGAGAAGAUAAAUAAUCAUAGCCAUGUUACCUAGUCAGGGCAAGGAUGAAUUAUUAGCAUGUUUCUCAAAUCCCAAUCCCAAACUAAUCAUUUCUCUUCAUUUUGUUGUGCUCAGCGAAGGAACUACCAAAUCUUACUGAAAGUAUUUAAGUGAAGACAACAAAUAGAUGUGUACUGUUUUAUUUGAACUGAAAAGAAUUGAUUGCUUACAGAUCAUUGCAAUCCUUACAAAUAUAUAGUAAACCAAACAAACUGAAUUGCUAACUUAAAGCACCAAAUCAUGCAAAAUGCUACCAUCAUUACCUUCAAAUCUAUAGUUAAUUCCAUUUUUCUAUAAAAGACAAAACCAUCAGUAUCCAAUAGUUGCCGACUUCACCACGGGUUCAACAUUUUUUUGACAAGUUGGGAUUCGAUACUAAUGAGCAUAUUUUCUUAAGUUGAAAUAGUGCUACCCAAUCUAGGUUACAGUGGGUUGAUGAAUUAAAGAGCAGUUGUUAUUUGACACUGCAAUUAGAUGGCUCAUAUUUGAUUUACGGAGCUAUGAUAUGGGAAUCGUGCUUGUAUCACAUAUAAAAAUAUUUACAUAGUAACAAGCAUUAUUAAAGAUGGUACACUAGUAAGUUUCCAAAUGCUAUCAACAAAUAUUAUAACCUCUUAAUUUAUACAAGGAUUGAGCUAAAUUGCAUACAAGCAAUCCCUAACUUUGGUAGUUUCUUUGUGUUAAAAAUGGAGACUUCUUGGUGUUUGCCGGAACUCCAACUUGGGUAUACCUUUUGUGAACAAGAAACAAGGUAAAAACAUCUUUCAACGAUAUCAAAUCAUUUAUUCAUAUAAAGUAUUAGUGUUGUCAUUUAAUUUCACUACAUUGAAGAAAAUUCUGAUUUGAUACCAAUUCAUGCUUGGCACGACUGUUACAUGACACCUGGGAUGCUCAGCAACACUACAUCCACAAUCAUGACAACGAACACUGAUGCAGCCUCGAAAACAUCAAAACACUAUUUGCUUUGGUAGUAGUAUUGACUGCAAACUUGGUUGACCAACAGAAUCCCUGCCUUCAGCCAACCCCAAAUUUGACUAUCAUCGUAUAAUAUUGAUCGUCACAUUAUAUUUUCCAACUUUUAAUAGGAUUUUAAGGACAAGUUACAGUUGAAAGCUAAUAUAACAACCUUCUUAAAUUCACAUCCUACCGACCAUUAUGGCUAUUAGCUUCCAACCAUUCUCCAUGUUUCACUUUUCUUCAAGUAUUUUCACCAAAAUAAAGCUUCAACCUUUAAAGUUUUGCUUAUAAAGUCAAGAUCCAUGGGGAUUAUUUAAGAUUUUAUGGGAAGCAUUUCAAAUAUUUUAUGUUUUUUUUUUUUUUAAAUAUUGUUAUAGACAUAGAAUCAACAAGAUUGUGUGACAUUCUAUAUUGAUUUUGUGAUAUUUUAAUCACUAAAAGUAUGGUUUCAGAAAGAUAAAAACCAAACAAAAAAUUGAAAAAAUUAAAAAUUUUCAAACCAACAGAAUCCAACAUAUUGAUCAGUUUUGGUCUGAUUUGAUUCGGAUAUUUUUUAGCUGAAACAAUUAAUAACCAUUUUCAAAAGGUAAGUAUUGACAAGCCUUUCACGAAACCAUGUUCAUUUAUGCUGAAUCAAUCCAAAUCAGGUUCAGGUUGCUAACUCAAACUAACAUAAUCCAAAAUUGAAUGCACACAGACUCUGGGUUGUUUCAGUUUAAUGAUUUUUAGAAAUGUCAAACUGAAACCGAACCGAAAUAUAUGAAUAUUUCUAACUGAGACGCCCCCAAAUACUAAAAAAAUGAUUGGUUUUGUUUUGUUUAGUUUGGUUAUAGCAGAUACCCCUAACAAUCUGCUUUUUCACUCGACAUCAAACAACAAGCACUAAUAUUAUGUCUGUAAGUAAAUUACUAUAAAGUAUAAAAAUAUAUGUGGAUAAUUGAAAAUUUGCUUAGAGUUGCUAAUAAUUCACAACUGCAACAACCAACACGACCAGGUAAUGCUUGGGAAUGGGAUCAUGUAAUGCCCGGGAAUGGGCCUUGGUGCACAAUCAUGAUUGUAACCAUGAUUUAAAAUCAUUUCCACACUAGACUAUCCAAGACAAUUGGUAUUGGAUUGUUAGCAACAAUUCAGUUUAUAAUAAUAAUAAUAAUGUUGAUUCUUUUAUCUCCUACUUAAUGCAAGUGUCCAUCGUGUGCUGAAAUUGAUUGUUUACCUCAUAUUUCUUUUAAAGGUAGAGAUUUCUUGGUUGACAAUGGGAAAAAGUAAUCGCAUGGUUAUUUUCCAUAAGAUUCAUUUGAGUAAAUAUUCUCUAUUGGAGGUCAAUUUCAUCGAAGCAAUUACUUCAAGGAACACAUCCUAACUAUCAACCUCUAAGUAGUCAUCUCCCUUAUCCUAAUUUUUUAUUUCCUAAUAAAAUCUCACGGUUUUUCAUCAUGUUCAAAGGAAAAGUUGACGUUGCAAAUGGUGCUCUAAGGAACCAAGUCAUCCUAGAACUAAUCAUCCACCUAAUCUCAUCAACUCCUUGUUGCACAAACAGCUUGUCUCACUUAAAGGGGAUUUUAAUGAUGAACAAACACCAACUCCUUGUUGCUCAAAUACAUAUGCUCAUUUAAACACAAUUUUGCAUUACCUAGAACUGACAAGGCCUAAAAUCCCGGAAAUAGAAUUUUGUUUUAAAGGAACUUCAGGAUUUCUAUAUAGGAUGCUUGACCUCAUUAAAGACAAACUGACGACAUCCGUCCGUAACAUAAAUUAUCUUCCUUGCCCCAAAGUCAGCACAUAAAAACCUUGUUCACUAUAAAGGCUCUGAAUGUUUUUCCUAAAUUUCAUGAUAUGGCAUUCAGCAUUCUUAAGCAAACUACAACUGCAUAAGGCUUGUACAUGUAGGGGAGACGUAGGAAGAACUGCAUGAAUUUGAUCUCAAAGGGGUACCACCUCAUAUGCCUACAGGAGAUACAUGACCAGUGAUGGUUGUUCUAUCCACAAAAUUAGCUAACAUACGACUAUUUUAUUCAACUACCAUUUCAGGAUAUGAGUUCUCCUAGCCACACUCAAAAGCCCUAGCCGCUAUAUGAACAAAGCACCUAAAAAAUUAAUCACCUACCUAAUCUAAUUCAGGAAAUUUUGGUCAAAAUCUCCUACAAUGAAACGAGUUAUUUGAAUGCAUAGACAGGAAAUUCAGGUAAACACACACACACCCCCCUGAUCAUAAAUUUCCUAAAGAAAUUCUGAAUUGUAACAUUGGUAAACAAAGUGUGACAAUAUCAUCACAUUAAAAAUGCAUUUCACUCAAAACAAAUACUAGCUCAAGAAAAAAAAUUGCAAGAAGCCAAUAGAGAAUAAAGUAAGCAGUCCAUAAACAAGAGACAGAGAGACAUUGUUCCAAUACAGAAAAGUAAUUAAAACCCAACAACUAAAACUGAGAAAGAAUCAAACCAGUGAGUAACUAAUCCUUUUAAAGCAUUCCAAGAAUGGCAACCAAAUGUAACAUAAUCAACCUGCAAAAACAAACACAAAAAGAAUUAGAAGAAGAAACCCCAUUAGUUAAUAAGUUAAAACAGCAGCAGCAGCAAAAAGACUCAAAUUUUAGUUAUUUGGACUUGAGAAAAAGCACUGAACCCUCUGUGAAAAUGCCAUGAAAGGGGUGCUAAGAAACCAGGAAAAUAAAAACUUUUAAAAGGGUGUUUUUACAAAGCAAGAAAGAAGCUAGGAAGCAAGCCAGCCUACCCUCACGAACUCUGUUUGUUAAUUGUUUUUUCUCCUUUGAAGUGAAAACAAAAAAAGAAAAAAAAAACGAAGAGCACCCGGAAAAUCUAGUCAGAAAUAUUUUAUGUUGUUGUCUUGGAGUGACGCAGAUACCGAGGAACAGUUGUGGGGCCACCAUUGGUGAGCAGUGAUACAGUGGCAAGUAUGUGAAAUAACGCAUAUUACAGUGCGCAAUGAUAGAGUGAGUCUGGGUGGACAAACUUUUGGUGGUACACGUGGUGCUUAAUGAUUUGACGGCUAUGGAGAGAAGUUACAUGAGGGAAAUAAGAUGGAAAAAGUGGCCUCUCUAGAUUUUGGAAAUGUUCUCUGAAGAAAGAAAGAAAAUAAUUUCAAAGGUGGACAAAAAUAGGGUAAUAUCAGAUUUGGAACAUAAUCUUGGUUGGUGAAGAAUAACAUAAUCUAAGGAGAAAUCUAGGGAAAGCCAGUGAGAUUUGAGCUUCGAUUUGGGACCAAUUUAUAGCUGGAUAAUACCAUCAUGGGUUAUCAGAUUCUGUGUGUGUGAGGCUGCCAUAUGUUUCUUUCUUCUAUGAUGGAUAAAAAACGCUAAGCAAUUAACCCACCUAGUAAAAAAGGUAUUAUGGUUAUGAUAAAAACUCUACAGCCUGUGAUUCUAUUUUUGAAGAUAUUCUUAUUAUAUUUAUAAUUAUAAGAAUCUUUAAAAAAGACACGGGUAAAAUAUUAUUCUCACAUCACUAUUCACUGGUGUUAUCGGCUUAAAUUGAUAGAUAAUUAAGUAAAUUUAUUGAGGAAAAGCAAAAUUUAAAUAUAGAUAAUCAAAGUGAAAACAAAAGCGCAAAAAAAGAUGGUAGUUUCAUGAUUGAAGUUAAAAAUUCACUUUGAUUCUUAUUUUUUUUUAAUCAAUAAAAAAUUCGGCAGAGUUUUCUCUAUAUUUUUAGGUAUCAAGUUAUCGACUUUUCAUCUACAAUCCCUAAUUAUCAAAUUUCUUACUCAUCCUAUCAUCCAGGACUUCCUCCUCUCAUUACAUCACAACUUCUAAAUAAUCAAAUUCACACAUGUCUAAACAAUUCAAUAUCCCACAUUUACAUGGAUACAAUCCAAAGAAUUGUUCUACAAAUUAUAACUGAAGUACAUUACACAAUUCAAAAAUUUACAAAUAAGGACCAUUAACGAAAUUAUAAUCGAAAUAAGUACGUAAUUAAAGAAGAAAUUCAUAAUUAAGAUUAUACUACACAAAAGAGCUUUCGAUAAACUGUUGACGCAUUAUAUUACAUAACAAAAUGAUAAAUUCAUUCAUUACAAAAAAAAAAAUACCAAACAAAAUAUAAGAAAACUAAUCUACUGUUCAAUCCGAUAGGGGGAUGUACCUGAAAAUUAAUUUAAUACAAUAAUUCGAUUAGACAGAUGAAGAAAAGAUAUCCAUAAAAUUCUUUUUACUUUCUUUCUUUCUUCCUUUUUUUUUUUUUUGAAAAUUUAGUCAAAAGAUCAUUAAAUUAACUUGCUCAUAUAGUAUUAUAUAUAUCAAUUAAAUUUCAGAAUAAUCUAUUAGUUUGUUUUCUUUUUCUUUUUUAACAUCAACCAAAAAAAUAAUUAUUCUCAUCGCCCAAUUAACCCGGCAUUACUUUCACUAAUAGAUGAUUAAUUUUCCACCAGUCCAUUCAACAAGCACUAUUGUCAUCAAUCCAAAAAUUAGUUUAACGUUUAAUCCAUUCAUCAGGGUACAAAUCCCAUUAACCAGGAAAAUUAAUUCUUCAUCUCGCCUAUUAAUUUGUCAGGGCACUAAUUCUAUUAAAUCAGGAAUUAGUUCAACAAUUUACCCAUUAACCAAGGACUUAAUUCCUCAUCACGCCCAUUCACUAGGACAUUAAUCCCAUUAGUUCAAGAAUUAAUUCAUCACAUCGCAUAUCUUAUUUUUUAAAAUAAACAAUAAAAUAAUUACUAAUUUAUCAACCAUAAUUAAUCAAAUAAAAAUACAUAUUAACCAAUAAUAAAUUCGGGCACCGUGUAAUUACCUAACGACUAAGCUCGAGCUGAAAUUCCCUGCUGUGGUGUCAGCCUGACAGCUUCUCUUGAAUUGACAAAUAUAUCACAUCAUUAUUCUACUUUCCAUAUUGAAACACUCAAUAAAUAAAAUCAUUCCAAUUAUCCUUUUAUUUAUCAAAAUAAAAUCAUUUUGUAAAUUUCCUUCCUAUUCUUCCAAUUUCCACAUUGUAACACAAUUCAUUUCAUCAUUCAAAUCAAUAUAUAUAUAUAUUCUUUAAAUUUAUUUAUUUAUUUUUUACCGUAAUUUAAAUCAAAGAAAAACAUAAAAACAUUUCAUGAUCUAUUCACUCUUUAACAUUAAUAUCAUCUCUUUCUUACACAAUCUCAUCAUCUUAUCAAAAUUCUUAAAUUUUUAUUUUUCUUAUUAUUAUUUUUCCAAAAAUCCCUUCUUCAAGAACACCUAAAAUUUUGCUUUAAUUACCAUAAUUUCUUACUUUCUCUACUCACUUCAAUAAUCUUAACACAAUUUCACAAUCAAUUGUAAUUUUUCAUAAAAUUUAUCAUGAACCCUAAUUCUUCAAUUCACAAAGUUCAAUCAAUUUAAAACAUAAAUUCUUCAAGAAUCUUAUUUAAAAGUGUAAGGGCACCUUACCAAGCAAUAACCAAAGCCUUAACACUUUUAAAUUAAGAAAUUUUCCUUGCUUGAAUUUGUUUUUCCUCUCCUAGCCGAAUGCUUCCUUCUCUUUGAAAAAGCAAGUUUGUUCUUUUUUUUUUUGGCUUCCUUACAACACACACUCACUUGCACUCAUAUAUAUCAAUUUUUUCUCCCCCCCCCCUCCCCUUCCCCCCCACACUUACACACAUAUAAUUACUUAACUUUUAAAAAAUGCCUUUUAUAUCCCUCAAUACUAAAUUUUAUGAUUUUUGGGUAAAAUUUCAUGAAUCCUGACUCCUGUUUAUACCAAAUUUUACACGGGUUAUUUCAAAUUUCACUCAAUUACUCGUUAGUACUUUCAGUUUCAUGAAAUUCACUUUCAUAAAAAUUCUAUUCAUAUUUUUGUGUUUUUUUAUUUAUUUUUAUAUAUAUAUUACUAUUUAUCUGGUAUCAGAGCCUAUUGGGAUCUGGGUGGGAAUAGUAACAUAAAAGCCAGUAUUCUUAGAAAGAACAAGAGACCAUUAGACUAUAGGUAUGCAACUGAAUGGUGUAAGUCCCGUUUGAGUUUUAGGGCAAUAAAUCCAUAUAACUUGCAGCGUGUUCCCUAGUUUAUCUUUCCUUUCUAUGGAUUCCGUCUUUCACAGGACUACUUCUCUUUCAGCUUCCUCUACCUCUGAAUCUUCUGAAAGCAGAAGAAUAGUACAAAGUGAAGAGAUAACUAUUGAAGACUUUACAAAAAACAUUGAUGACUGGAAAAUUCCAAAAAUUUCUCAAACUCAGAUUUAUCAAAAAUCUAAAUAUGAUAUUUUCAAAACAGAUUUUACUAUCAAAACUGAAGAGCGAGAUAUUCAGCUUACCAAACCUUUUGAAACCAUUCAACUCCUCUCUCAAAAAUCCUUACAAAAACAUCUAGCCCGAAACUAUAAAUAUAUUCAUGUUGGCCUUGUCCAGAUUGGAAUAAAACCCCUUACAAAAGAAGGCUUAAACACCUCUAUUCUAGCUGUCCUCCGUAAUGCUAGAUUUCAAAACUUCCAAGACUCCCUCCUCAGUUCUAUUGAGUCUAGUCUUUGCAGUGGGCCGAUAUCAUUUGACUGUUAUCCAAACAUAACCAUACCCCUCAAAGACAAAAAUAUCUUGCAGAGUAUGCUACUACAAAUAAAGACCCACAACUAUGACAUGCUAAAAGGAUCUAUCCCUGUUGCUCUCAUAUUCAAAAUCCAUUACAAAGCCAUGUUCUCAGCCUUUGCCAGCAAAGACAAAUUCCAAUCUCAAAAAGGUGAAACACUCCUACUACAAACAGAUUUAUCCCGCUCAAACACUGUUGUCCCAAAAGCAAUCCAAUGGAAAGACAUAUCCCUACCAGAAGAUUGGAUCCUUGAAGGUGCAGCACCACCAGAACUACCACCACCACCUCAACCCAAUGUCCAAAUUAAAAAUAUUACCCAAUAUACAGAUGGAAAAGUGAAACUGUCUUUCCACCGACACUCUACAAGUUCCAGAUUCUCAGAAGCCUCUUCCUCUUCCAGUACAAUAGAUUUGGGAAGAAUUUCCAAAAUCCCUUCUGUUAUCAAUAUCCCUUAUCACGAAAACCUUCCAAGAAAAUCUACAUCCGAUAUCCCUUCUCCUAGUUUCCAAAAUGCAGACUAUACUACAAAUAUACCAAAACCUGUCUAUACAAACCUUGAGCAACCAUCUCCUCCAACUUCACCGACCUUUUCAGCUAUUACUGAAAAUAUCCAAAACGAGCUGAAUGUUUUGACUUCAGAGAAACAUUUCGUUCUUGACAAAACACUUUUCAAAAAGGAUUUCUAUUCGGCCUGUAACUCUACAAAACGAAUUUGGUUUUUUCAAAACUUUCUCGAGCAAAGAAGUGAAAUACAAAAACAAUUUUAUAAUUUCAUUGAGCUACAUAAAAUACAAAUUCUAUUCUUUGAUUGAUUCGAAUUAUAUUAUGCAUCUGAACAUCACAUUUCAUAUCCUUUUGCAUCAAUUAAGCAUGCAUGCCCGGUCACAUCCAGGUCAAAAACCCAUGUAUGGAACCUCACCAGUGGACCUACAGUUGAGUCUGAACAUCCACAUUUGAGAAAUAUCCAAAUAACCCAUAAUAACCAGACUGUCGAGGCAGCCCCUUACAAAAUAUCCACUGAUGACACCCUUUCCAAUACAAAACACAUCAUUAACCAAAACAACUUUACAAACACCAACCUUAAUACCUUGGGAAAACAGCUUACACGGCUUGAGAAACAAAUACAAAGAACUGCUACAAGUUCAGCUGGCAUUAAAACCUCAACCGACUUAAAGCUAAAAAACCCAGUCUUCAAACCCUACCAAAUUACAAAAACCAGCCAAACACAGAUCCAAGAAAACCAAACAGAUUUUCUUAAAGCUAUUAAAACGCAUCUACAACACCUUGACAGUUCAUCUUUAACUGUCCCUGACACACCACAAAUAACCAACCCUUCUACCUCUACAAAUCAAGUCAACACUUUACAGAAUAGUCCUCAGGAAUCUUCUGAUGAAGGUACUUCUCCACGAAAACCUCUUACCCUAAACAGACUUACCUGGCAAACUCCCAAAACAACCAUUGCCCCAGACAUUUCCAUAACUACUGAACCAACUAUUCUUACUCAACACAAGUAUAAUGCCUCUUCCCUCUAUGAAUGGAAUAUAGAUGGAAUGUCCGAAUAUAAUAUCCUAAACACUCUCCAACAAAUGACCAUGGCAGCGAAUGCUUACAAAACCCAGACAGGAACCCCAGAUAAAGCUAUUGCUGAGCUCCUUAUUAAUGGUUUCUCCGGCCAAUUAAAAGGAUGGUGGGAUUACCAUCUCACUGACACUGAUCACCUGCAUAUCCUAAACUCCUUCCAAACAUAUGAGGACCAAACACCCAUCCUUGACCCAUUCGGAAACACCAUCCAAGACGUUGUGUCAACCCUUAUUCUUACAAUUUCCCUACAUUUUGUUGGAGAUCCUUCACAUUUGAAAGACAAAAAUGUUGAACUCCUUUCCAACCUUAGAUGCAAGAAACUAAGUGACUUUCAAUGGUACAAAAACACCUUCCUUACCCGUGUCAUGCUUAGGGAAGAUUCAAACCAACCCUUUUGGAAAGAAAAAUUCCUUGCAGGACUACCUAUUCUCUUAGGAGAAAAGGUUAGAAACAAAAUCAAAGAUACCUUCACAACAAAAACCAUCCCAUAUGACCAGCUCACAUACGGUGAACUUGUAAGCAUUACUCAAAAGGAAGGUCUGAAGAUCUGUCAAGAUCUUAAACUCCAGAAGCACCUAAAGUGGGAAAUGAAACGUACCAGGCAAGAACUUGGUAGUUUCUGUCACCAGUUCGACCUUUCCACCAAAAAACCCUCCUGUAACGGAAACUGUUCACAUCCCAAAAAAUAUUCAAGCCAGAGACCUCCUUAUAAACGAUCACUACAUAAAAACCGACAACAAUUCUAUUCUAAACCAGAUCAACCUUACUACAAAAAGCCCUAUAAAUUUACCAAGCCCCACAAACCUUUCCAGUCGAAACCUAAAACAAAAUUUGAUCCCAAAAACAUUACCUGUUAUAAAUGCAACCAGAAAGGACAUACAUCCCGUUUCUGCAAGGUCAAUACUAAACUUCAUGAACUCCAAAUAGAUGAAGACACCAUCAACCAAAUACAAAAUCUCUACAUUGAGGCUACAGACACUGACCACUCUCCUUCAGACACUUCUGAAGAAGAAUUCCAAAUCGAUGAAAUAGCAACCACCAGUGCUACUUCAGAUGCCUCUACAAAUUCCAAACAAUUCAACGUCUUGACCCAAGAUCAAGAGUUCAUUCUUGAGGCUAUCAAACGACUUGAUGAUCCUCAACUUCAAAAAACCUAUUUGGAUAAAUUAUUGAAAGACUUCAGCCAACCGGAGCACCCCCAGUCUAACCGCUCUAUAUUAACUUCUGCCAGCACCAAUACCUAUGAUCUUACAAAAAUUCUUGGCAGAAAGAAAUCCAAAACCACAGUCACCAUUCCAGAACUACAGUCUGAGAUAAAAACCCUCAAAUCAGAAUUGCAAAUCCUCAAACAAGCCCAACAGAAAGACUCUGCCAUACUACAACAUCUUCUGUCCAAAAUUGAAAGCCCGUCUGAUACUGAGUCUGAUACAGAGGAUCAAACCAUUGAAUCUCAUGCAUUACCACAUACACUUACAAAUAUUGAGCAUAUUCCAGAUGAUUUCUUAAACGUUCUAACCCAAAUAUCUUCCAAGAAAUAUUUAAUUCGAAUUACUCUUGUUUUCUCAGAAGAUUUCAAGCUUGAUACUAUUGCCUUAUUUGACACAGGUGCAGAUUUGAACUGUAUCAAAGAAGGCGUGGUUCCAAAAAGAUUUUUACAAAAUACCUAUGAAAAACUCUCUGCUGCUAACAAUUCCAAAUUACACAUUGCAGGCAAAACCCAAGCCUCUGUUUUCAAUAACGACAUUUCUCUUAAAACAUUUUUUGUUGUUACAAAAGACAUCAAUCAUACCAUCAUUCUUGGCACUCCAUUUAUUGACAUGAUCACUCCAUAUCAAGCACGUCAUAACUGUAUUACUUCCAAAAUUAAUAACACCAAACUUGUUUUUUCAUUCUUAGAAAAAUCUAAGACUAGGAAUUUAAAUUUAAUUAAAGCAUGUUCCAUACAUACCUGUCAUAUCAAUGCACUAAUUCAUGGGAAACAAUUCCAUCUACAUGAUUUACAAAACCAUGUUUCUUUUUGUCGUAUCAACAAACAAUUACAAAGUUCUGAUUUACAAAAGAAAAUCAUUGAUUUCCAAAAUAAGAUUGAACAACAGAUAUGUUCAGACUUACCCAAUGCUUUUUGGAAGCGAAAACAACACAUCGUUGAUCUUCCUUAUGAAGAUACAUUUUCAGAAAAACUAAUCCCUACAAAAGCAAGACCUAUACAAAUGAAUGCUGACUUAGAACAGCAUUGCAGACUUGAAAUCCACGAUCUCGAGUCUAAAGGUCUUAUCCAAAAGUCUAGAUCACCCUGGUCGUGUGCGGCCUUUUAUGUCAAUACAAAUUCUGAAAUUGAAAGGGGCACACCAAGACUUGUGAUCAAUUACAAACCUCUCAAUUCUGCUUUAAAAUGGAUCAGGUAUCCAAUCCCAAACAAAAAAGAUUUAUUACAAAAAUUGCACUCCGCAUUCAUAUUUUCUAAGUUUGAUAUGAAAUCUGGAUUUUGGCAAAUCCAAAUUGAUCCCAAAGAUAGGUACAAAACUGCUUUUACAGUUCCUUUUGGCCAAUAUGAAUGGAAUGUCACUCAAAAAUACACCAUCCGAAUUUCAACGCAUCAUGAAUGACAUAUUCAAUGCACAUUCAAAAUUCUGCAUUGUUUACAUUGAUGACGUGCUCAUUUUUUCACAUUCCAUAGAACAACAUUUCAAGCAUCUACAUAUAUUUUUUCAUACUGCCAAACAAAAUGGUUUAGUUGUUUCUAAAACAAAAAUUUCUCUUUUUCAAACCCGUGUCCGUUUCCUCGGUCAUUACAUCUGCCAAGGUACCGUAAUACCAAUAGAGAGAUCUUUAAACUUUACAAAUAAAUUUCCUGACAAAAUCACUGAUAAAACCCAAUUGCAAAGAUUCUUAGGAAGUCUUAAUUAUGUCUUGGACUACUAUCCCAAUAUUAGUCGUCUAUCCAAACCCUUACAUGACAGGUUAAAAACCAACCCCAUUCCUUGGUCUGACCUCCAUACCAAUCUAGUCAAACAGAUUAAGAAACAGGUCCAAACUAUUCCUCUCCUCCAUUUAGCUAACCCUUUAGCCCCUAAGAUUGUUGAGACUAACGCCUCUGACCUAGGGUAUGGUGGAAUUCUUAAACAGUUACAAGAUAACAAAGAACAAAUAAUCCAGUACACAUCUGCCCACUGGAAUGACUGCCAGAAAAAUUACUCUACUAUUAAAAAGGAAAUCCUUUCAAUUGUUCUUUGUAUUACAAAAUUUCAAAGUGAUUUAUUAAACCAAAAAUUUCUCUUACAUGUUGACUGCAAAUCUGCAAAAGAAGUUCUCUAAAAAGAUGUCCAAAAUCUUGCUUCCAAACAAAUCUUUGCCAGAUGGCAAGCCAUUUUAAGUAUCUUUGAUUUUGAUAUUGUUUACAUUAAAGGAGAAUCAAAUUCCAUCCCUGAUUUCCUAACCCGAGAAUUCCUUCAAAACAGGUCUUGAUGCCUCCUAAAGCAAAAGCCAAGGACAAGGGAAAAGCCCCUCAAACACAGCCUACAAAACCAGAGAGCCCCAAGCCUUCUACAAAACUCAUGUCUUCCGCCAUCCUCGCUGCCAAGCCUAUCAAAUCUUGGUAUGAGGCAGUUAUUGAAGAUGAAGAAACUACAAAACCACCACAAGUACAAACAGACGCAGUUCAACAUUGGGUUGACACUAUAUCCAAAUCGCCAGAAUUACUCCUGGCAUUGCAAAAAGUAUCCCAACAAGCCUCCAGUGACUCCGUGUCUCAAACAGGUAGUAUUUCCAAAUCACUUUCAAAACCCCAAGGAGGCAUUUUAUCUUCAAAACCCCUCCUUUCCUUACAACAAACAAGUUUUCCAAAAACCAAAUCCAAAUAUAUUUUCAAAAAUGCUUUCCAAAACAUUUUAACUAUGGAAGAAGGAUUUUACCAUGAAAACCCUUCCAUUGCUGCUUCAAAAAUAUUCCCUCCAAAAUGGCACUAUAAACCUUGAAAUCUAGCUCAACCACAAUCCUAUUAUGCAACUAUCCUUGAAAUUACCGAUUCUAUCGAAUUCAAACACUUCAAAUUACAUUCUGAUCACACUGAACCAGCUUACUCUACAUGCAUUAUUCACAAAGUCAUCCACCCUAAAGAUUGGGGACAACCCCUGCAUCAACCUCUCUCCUUCCCAAUACAAUACCGCACAAGCCCCCAAGACUUCAAUACCUCCUACACAUAUUGGGAUUACCAACAGGCAUGGUUUAAUGCCUUCCUCAUACAAAAUCAAAAUCAUAGCCAUUCUUGGCUCUUCUACUUCCACAAUACCAUGAAUACUACAAAUCUCUCCCUCUGGUUCCUUCAAUGGUGGGACUUUUAUGGUUGUCAUGUUGAUUACCUUAAAGAACAUCCUUUAGUUGAAAAUGGUUAUCUACAUUUCAAAAACAAUUUCCAACCAGCUCCCUCUGAAAGAAAGUUUUCUUCCCUCCUUAUCUUCUAUACAAAAUUUUUUGUUCCGUGGGUAUGUUCAUGGUUCUUUGAUUAUAAUUUACAAAACGGACAUCCAGUACUUAUUCGCAAAUUCAAAAUCAAGUGGUGGGAUUCCUUUGCAGCUGAGUCCAAAAGUUCAAAAUUAGCUGUUACGGAAUGGUUACAAAAACAUCAAACAACUCCCAUCAUCGAUCCUCAUCCUCAAUCAAAGUUCUUAGCCAGAAAGGCCCAAACGGCAGCUCUCCUUGCCUCUGCUAGAACUGAGGAAGAAUACCUACAAAUAGUACAAGGAAUUAUGCAAAGCCAAGACCCAGAAACAGUCUUGUCCCAAUCCAGCUCAUCUGGCUCAACAUCUCCUGCCAUUUCCCUCGACAAUGAUAAUGAAGAUGACUGUUUUGGUAUCCUGCCAUCUAUCACGUGACGUUAAAAAAAAAUAAAAAAAAAAAGAGUAUUUCAGGUCUUUUUAAGGCUCAUCUGUUUAGAGCCCAUUUUGGUCUUUUUUAAUGCUCAUCUGUUUAGAGCCCAUUUUGGUCUUUUUUAAGGCUCAUCUGUUUAGAGCCCAUUUUGGUCUUUUUAAGGCUCAUCUGUUUAAGAGCCCAUUUCUUUUAGACUCAGAUGUUUUGAGUCGUUUUUCGGCCUAUCUGUUUUAAGGCCUUUUUCUACAAAAGUUACUAGUUACUACAAACCCACCAAUCAAGUGUCGGUGGCAAGACGACAACAAACGAAGCUCAACCAAAAACGUGGACAAUUUCCAUUUUGUCGCCAUCCAAUCAAGGCAGACAGCACCACAUGGGCUUCUAUAGGUUCUGCCAAAUGCCACAUAGGUUCACAUGGGUCCUGAAGAGCUUCUCCAACAGGACAAUUUGGCCUCUUCCAUGCCAACUCGCCUAUAAAAGGCCACUUCAAAACCCUUAGAGGGCGGACUAAUCUUUCCCCUAGAAAAAAUUUACUCUCCCCUAAAAAUUUGUAACCCAUUCUCCUCUGUAACCAAUAUCUCCUGUCUUAAUUUUGUUACAAAUUUAAGUAAGAUAAUCUUAUUUUUAUCUACGUUUUUGUUAUAUCUGUUGUUGUUCUUUUUGUUACUUUUAAGUAUGCUCUGUGUUUGAUCAAGGAUCCUGACAUUGUUGGUCUUGCCUUGAUCAUUCGCAUCAGAAAUCUGUUUAUAUUGUUCUUUUCUUUGUUCUUUUAUACAAUCAGUAUAUAGGCUGGAAACCUAUGACCCGAUCUUUUAAAGAUCAUUCUCAGGUAUAACAACGCCACGUACUGUUUACUAUUUAUCUGUUUACUAUUUAUCUGUUCCUGUUUACUAUUAUAUAUAUAUAUAUUAACACCCGAACAAAACACUUCAAUUCAGAUUCUCGAAUAUAUCAUCAUUCUUAUAAUUUAAUUUAUCACUUUCCCUCAUUUUUCGUAAUCUUAACUUUUAUUAAUAUCAAUAAUAUUACCCGAGGUUUUAUAGUCUCAGUUGACACUGAUUUUCACCAUAAAAAAUGGUCGAUUUUUGUUUUAAUGAGUUUCAUUUGAUGAAGAGAGUUUCAUUGAAUUUUUUUUUUCCCUUGAAAUUGCCAAAAAAUUUAUGGUUUUUGGGCUAUUUUAUUAGUUUAUUACAUCAUAAAGACCAUUUUUAGGUGUUUUGGUGUGAACUUUGCUUAAAUUUGCAUUUUCGGGUCAAAAACACCCUGCUUAAUUUUCUAGUCACCUCUCCAAUGGUCAAGAACAGGAAAGUCUCGGUAGGUGACAUGUCGCUUUUUUUUUCAAAAUUAUUUGGAGCAUUUUCAAAUAAAAAAAGGCCCAUAUGUACCAACCCUUUUUAAAAUGGGCUUGAUGUGUAGGCCUGACUUACUAGGCCCAAAAGCACUUGAUCUAUUUCUAUUUUUUAAAAAAUUUUGUUUUCUUAAUUGAUAUUUUUUUUUAUGUAUUUUUAAUGAAUUUUUGAAUUUAUAUUUAAAUUAAUACUUUUCUCUCUAAAUAUUUAGAUUGUUUAUUUAGUUUUUUUUUUAAAUAUAGGUUAUCUUUUACUUAUCUUUUAUGUAUUUAAUAUCUAGAAAAAAUUAUUUCAAUUCAUCUAUAUGGUUUUUUUAUAUUUUAUAUGAAUAAACUUUAUUUUCAUGGCGUGUUUAUAAAAAUAAGAAUUAUUUGUUCUUGGUAAGAAAAAGUGACCUUUAAGAUAAAAAAAAAAAAAGAAGAAGAAAAGGAGAAAAGUGUGUAUGAAGAGGAAAGUUAAGGUUAAGUAUCAUAUUUAUGUAUCUUUUACUUUUAUGAAAAUGAUUAUCAUUUUAUUUUAUAAUUUGAUUGGCAUUAAGAACUCUUUAUUAGUUUAUUAGUUCAUAUUUUUGUAAGAUUUGUUUUUUACAUUUCUCAAUUAAGAGAAUCGUAAUACAAUGAAAUGCACUUGAAACAUUGUCCUAUUUUUCUACUACAUUAAAAAUUAACUUAAGAUCCUAUAUGUGGCACGAUGCGUUAACAACUAUUUUUUGUAUUUAUAAACACUUAUGGUCCUUACUUUAUUUUUAUUAUAUGUAAACAUCAACUUUUUUAUUCACAAUUAUAAUUUUCUCUUGAUUUUUAAAAAUACAUUAACAACAUUUAUACAUUUUUCUUUUGCGUUCAAAACAUUAUCUGACUCGUAGCAAAAUGAAUUAAAUAAACAUGUCAACACUUUUUUUUUGUAUUUAUGAUUAGGAUUUGUUUUUGUUAAAAAUGCAAUUGAAAAGCAUACAAAUUUAUUUUUUUGCUAAAAACAAUUUUGUGAUCCAUAACAAAGUACGAGUUAAAUAACUACUAAUAUGGCUAUAGUAAGUCUUUUAGUAUAUAUGGAUGUAGGAAGCAAUGUGUUAUAUUAUUAGUUAGAUAUAACUUACCUAUUCAUUAUUAAAAAAACAUAAAAUAAAUAAAUAUAUUAAUAGAAACCUAAAAGAGAUCGGCUGAAAUAUAAUAUUUUUGUCCUUUUUUUAUUUUGUUUCACAUUUCUCAAUUAAGAGAAUCAUGAUAUAAUGAAAUGUAUUUGAAACACCGUCCCAUUUUUCUACUACAUUAAAAAUUAACUUCCUACAUGUGGCGCGUUGCGUUAACAAUUGUUUUUGUAUUUAUUAACAUAUAUGAUCUCAAGUUUAUUUUAUUAUAUGUAAAUAUUAACUUUUUUUAUUCACAAUUAUAUUUUUUCCUCUCGAUAUAAAAAAAAUACAUUAACAACACUUAUACAUCCAUUCUUUUGUGUUGGAAAAUAUUAUUUGACCCAUAGCGAAGCGAGUUAAAUAAACACGUCAAUAUCUUUUUUUGUAUUUGUGAUUAGGGUUUAUUUUUUUUUUGUUAAAAAAAUACAUUUGAAAAGCAUUUAUAUUUAUUUAUUUUGCUAAAAAACAUUUCUUACCUUUAGUAAAGUGUGAGUCAAAUAACUACUAAUAUGGCUAUAGUGAGUGUCUUUUUAUACAGUAUACUUGGAUGUAGGUAGCAAUGUAUUAUAUUAUUAGUUAGAUAUAACUUACCUAUUCAUUAUUAAAAAAAACAUAAAAUAAAUAAAUAUAUUAAUAGAAACCUAAAAGAGAUCGGCUGAAACAACAUAGUCUCCAAGAGGAAAUAUUGUGAAUUCACACAAUGUUUACUUUCUUUUUUUUUUGUCCUUUUUUUUAUUCAGUUAUCUUUGAUGAUGAAUUAAUAAAGAUUUGAGAUGGUUUAAUUUCACAAAAUUUUCUUUUAUUGUUUGUAAGAAAUUGAAAAUGAGAAGAUCAAAAUUAAAAUAAAUAAAAAACCAAAUUUUUUUUUAAAAAAAAUAUGGUGUCAACUUUGCUUUUUAUUUUUUGCUUUUAAUCAUCUAUUUUUUUUAUAUAAAAAAAUAAUCUUUCAAUAUUGUGUUAAUUAUUUAUUUAUAAAAAAUUAAUCUUUCAAUAUUGUGUUAAUUAGAAUUUGAAAUUGGUAAUUUUAUAUGAGCAUCUAGAACUAAAUAAAAAGCCGCACCAUUGGUUUGGUGCUCAACUUUACAAAUAAAAAAAAAAAUCGAUUGUAUUGUUUUAGAAAAAAUAAAAAGAUCAAAACUAAAACACGAAAAAAGAAAAGAAAAAAAGGAGGCCUUAAAAAAACAAAUUGUGUCAGCACCUCCAUGCAUUGUAAUUUUGAUAAAUCUUCUUUUUGGUAAUGAAACUUUUUUAUUCAAAACUUUUUGAUUCAAAACUUUAUUUUACUUGUAUUUUAAUUCUUGAGGAUGAGAAAGAAAAGAGAAAUUCAUCAAAAAAUUACUAAGAAAAGAGAAAAUUAGCGAAAGCCAGCAAGGUAUCUGCUCGAAAAAACAAAUGGGCAAGCAAACAUACGCCCUUACUUCUGGAGGCUUGUGCGAUAAUGGGCAAGCAUCAUUGUUUUUUUGGGGGCUUGUACGAUAAUGACUAAACACACAACAUUACAUUACUUCUAGCUUCUUCAGCAAACACAGAUAGAUAAGUCGAAAUCUUCUGUAUUCCCAUUGCCAAUGAAACAGUUGGAAUUACUUCCCACCAAUCUAAAACAUAUUCGCAGCACCAACCUUGAAAUCAUGUAACAGCUAACCAACCUUGCCUGAUGCAAACAUGAAGAACAAAGACAAUCCAUGAUUUAAUUCAACCAUUAAAAUUUGAAGGUAAAGGAGAGGAUAAAUAAUCUUCAGCUAUAUCACCUGGUUUGGGCAAGAAAGAAUUAUUAGACUACCAAUCAUCACCAUUCUUUCCACCCCUUAUCUCGGGUCCACUCUCUAUAAAUGCUUGAAUCUUCAGCUACUUCAGAUACCUGUAAACCAAUUCAAGCAUGGCAUGCUCAUUUUUACUUGUAAAUCUUAUUAUUGAGCCAAACAAGAAACAAACACACUAAAAGAGAGGCAAGAAAUCAAGUCAAAUCAGCAGCACCUCUGAUUGAGCACUCAUUGAACCAUCUGGUGUACUAGCAAAUUUUGUGGUCAGCUUUGGACAUAGAUGGACCUUCAACUUCUCCAAACGAGGGAAUAAGAAAUAAUCACACCAUCCGAAACUAAAACAGACAAUACUUGAUAAUUGAUGUAUCGACAACUCCUUUAGAUUAGGAAGCACUAUCUCCUUCUCAACGUUGAUAGGUGAAGCUUGACCAUCCUGCCCAGGAGGCUCUGGAAUUAUUUCCUUUUCACCAUCCUCUUCUCUGAUAAUAUGCUUCAAUUGACCGCAUUUACCUAUGUAAAGUCUUUCUAGCUUUGGCAGACUUCGAGCGAGGGACGGUGUGAAUAUAAAUGUCAGUUUGUCCAGAGACCACAAAUCCAGAUAAGCAAGACUUUGGAGGCUGACAUGUCUGGUGGGCCCCUUCCACAUGCAUUUGAGCUCAGGUAAACCUGACAGCCGUAACCCUGUUAAAGAUGACAGAAGCGGCAGCUCCUUCUCCUCCCUACUUCCUUCAUCAGGCUCACCUAAUUCAAAUACCUCUUCCAAUGAUUUGCAGCCGUUAAUGUUCACACUGCUUAGAUUUUUCAAAGCUCGCAGCAAUUUUGCUGGAAACGGAGCGCGAACAUCCCCACAAUCGUCCACUCGUACACGUUCUAAUCUAUGUAAGGAGCCGUUUUGCUCCCCAUGGGCGGCCAUCUGAUCAGAGAACAAUAUUAUAUUUUCUCACUCUCAUAAAAACAAUUUAUAUGAUGUAUAAAUAGGAGAAAAAAACAGGAUUAAAUACUUUUUAGAGAUUACAUAUUAUUGUUUUAGUUUUGUUCUUAAUUAGAGAUAAGUUGAAUAAUAAUUAGAUUUUUGUGAAAAAAAGGUUAAUACAACUCCUAAUAAUUAGUUUCAUGUAAAAACAAAAACAAAAAUAAAAAUAGUAACUAAUAUUUUUAUUUUAGUUAUAAAGUUAAUAAAUUUUAAAAGAUAUUUUAAUUGACUUCAAAAUUUUCAACACAAAAUUUAUGCUCUUAUAUAUUAAUAAUUUAUUUGUGAAGUUAUUUGAUGUACUUUUGUAUAAAAAACAUUUUUUAUUACGUGCAAAGUUGUUUAAGUGGACAAACUUGUCUAAUUUUUAUCCAGAUAGAUUACCUCCAAAGUAGUCAAUUUGCUCAGCAGAAGACCCCUCAAGUCAGGCACGGAUUCCAAGCGUAAUUCUUUCAAAUUUGUGAACCCCUGCAUCAAAAGAAAUUUUGUGCACUUUUGAACUAUAUAAUUUUGGUAAAUAGAUGAACGAAUUGUCCAUAUAAAACUUCAGCAAAAAAACUUAUCAACAAAAGGAUAGAAGUAGACAUGGCAACAAGGCAUGGGAAUAUGAAAUCAGAAGUUGCAGAUGGAGGUUUAUCUUCCUCUUCAAAUACUUCUAUUAAUUGGGGGAAGAGCCUCAAUAUCACUUAAACUGGGAAAGCAUAAAGAUUGAAAAAUCAAGGUAGGAUUUCAUUACAAUAAUUAAUUUCUUACUUCUUAAGCCCUGCAUCAAGAGACAAGGAAUGAUAAAGUUAGACAACUCCUUUUAAAUUUAGUGAAUGGCUAAAGGAUUUAUCUCCACUUAUCAAUUACUUCAGUUUCAGAAAUUUGGAGGAGAAAUCAACCUGUAUUGAAGUUGACAAUUUAAAUUAAGAAGAAAAAAAAAUUAUAGGAGAAAUAUAAAGGACGUACUUGGAGCUGUGCAAACAAAUUUCCCAAUUCUUUGUGGCCAUUGAUUUUUAGAAAUCGCAAAGAAGGCAAUUGGGCAGCAAGAUUCGUUGGACCAAAAAAGCUGUAAUUUGAUAUGGAAGAAAGAACCAAGUCACUUAAUCGAGGGAACUUGAUGAUGCCAUCUGUGGUGAGUGCGUCUCCUUCUCCACUGUAAAAUAUUUGCUUUAAAUUGUCAGUACGAUCAAUCGUCAUCAAUUCCAGGUUCGGAAGGCUCGGAGACACAGAGACAGGGAAGACAUAUUCCAGUUUACCACAGUCUUUUAUGAAGAUAGUUUUUAAUCUUGGGAAGCAAGGAGACUCUGGAAUUAUUUCCCUUUCACCAUCCUCUUCUCUGAUAAUAUACUUCAAUUCACCGCAUUCACUUAUCUCAAGUGUUUCUAGCUUUGGCAGACUUCGAGCGAGAGACGGUGUGAGGAUAAAUGUCAGUUUGUCGAGAGAAUUCAAAUACAGAUAAGCAAGACUUUGGAGGCUGACAUGUCUGGUGGGCCCCUUCCAAAUGCAUUUGAGCUCAGGUAACCCUGACAGCAGUAACUCUGUUAAAGAUGACAGCAGCUCCUUCUCCUCACUGCUUCCUUCAUCAGACUCACCUAAUUCAAAUACCUCUUCCAAUGAUUUGCAGCCGUUAAUGUUCACACUGCUUAGAUUUUUCACAGCUCGCAGCAAUUUUGCUGGAAACGGAGUGCGAACAUCCCCACAAUCGUCCACUGCUACAGAUUUUAAUCUUUGUAAGAAGCCGUUUUGCUGCACAUGGACGGCCAUCUUAUCAGAGAACAAUAUUAUAUUUUUUCACUCUCAUGAAAACAAUUUAUAUGAUGUAUAAAUAGGAGAAAAAAAAAAGAAAAAACAGGAUUAAAUACUUCUUAGAGAUUACAUAUUAUUGUUUCAGUUUUUUUUUUCUUAAUUGGAGAUAAGUUGAAUAAUAAUUAGAUUUUUGCGAAAAAAGGGUUAAUACAACUCCUAAUAUAAUAUAAAUUACGUAAACCAUGAGGCAGUUAAAUCUAACAGAAAAUAUAUUUCAAAUGAGGCAGUUAAAUCUAACAGAUAAUAUGUUCUUCCAUAUGAUUAAUUUUUAAUAACGUAGACAACAAUGAGGCAGUUAAGUUUCUUAUAUUUAUAUAUGUUUAGAUAAAAAUAAAAAUAAAAAUGAGCAUUUAUCAAUUACUUUACUUUUAGAAAUUGGGAGGAAGAAAGAAUAAAUUAUCGCAAUUGACAAUUUAAAUUAAGUGGAGAAAUAUAAAUUACGUACUUGUAGCUGUGCCAACCAAUUACCCACUUCUUCGUGGCCUUCAAUGUUUAGUUUCUGCAAAGAAGGCAAUUGAAAAUCAAAAUUCCUUGGACCUAUAAAGCCGUAAUUUGAUCGGAGCCCAAGAGACAAUUGUCUUAGUUGAGGGAACUUGAUGAUGCCAUCUGUGGUGAGUGCAUCUCCUUCUCCACUGUAAAAUAUUUGCUUUAAAUUGUCAGCAUAAUAAAUCGACAUCUGUUCCAGGUUCGGAAGGCUUGGAGACAUGGAGACAUGGAGACAGGGAAGACAUAUUCCAGUUUACCACACCGUUGUAUGAAGAUAUUUUUUAAUUGUGGGAAGCAAGGAGACUCUGGAAUUAUUUCCCUUUCACCAUCCUCUUCUCUGAUAAUAUGCUUCAAUUCACCGCAUGCUGUUAUGUUAAGUGUUUGCAGUUGUGGUAGACUUUGAGCGAGGGACGGUGUGAAGAUAAAUGCCAGUUUGUCCAGAUACCCCAACUCCAGAAAAUUAAGACUUUGGAGGCUGACAUGUCUGGUGGGCCCCUUCCAUAUGCAUUUGAGCUCAGGUAACACUAACAGCCGUAACUUGGUUAAAGGUGACAGUAGCGGCAGCUCCUUCUCCUUACUGCUUCCUUCAUCAGCCUCACCCAAUUCAAAUACCUCUUCCAAUGAUUCACAGUUGUCAAUAAACACCUCCUUCAGAUUUUUUAAACCUUGCCGCAAUCUUGCUGGAAACAGAGUGAAAACAUCCCCACAAUCCCUCACUACUACAGAUUCUAAUUUAUGUAAAAACAAUUGCUCAAAUGUCUUCGCAUUUAAGGAUGUACCAGCCCAAUAAAAUCUUGUCGAGGUUGAUGAAUAAUACUCAUAGCCUAAAGCAUUCCCUAAUGUUAUAUCAUAUUUGCGCAAGCUAACUGGAAAAACAAAAUCUCUGGGAAUGCGUUCAACCUUCGGUAUCCUCAAUGAUAAUACGGCUAACUGAGACAACGAAUUUAGUUCUGUUAGGUUUGCAUUCAUUCCACCUGUGCUGUCACAUCCAACGACAUCCCAUCCCUGAAAGCUGUAUUGCCCAAUCAACAGCUCUUCUAAUUUCUUCAACCUUCCAAUCAAAUUCACAGGGAUCCUUCUUAGCCUUUGACAACCUGUCACAUCCAACAACCUUAACUCCUUGAGCUCUCCUAUUUCAUCAGGUAAUUCUUCAAUGGAUAAGCACGACAUAAGACCAAGAAUCUUAAGUCUCUGCAGCUUUCUCAACCAAAUGAGGUCCUUGCAUCCACACCUAAUCAACACCAACGAUUGAAGUUUCGUUGAGAGUUCAAGUGAUUGCAGCGACAAACGCCCUCCCUCCAGAGACAAAACUUCAAUUUCUUUCAUCCCUUCAAAAAACCUCUCUGGAACAUUCAUACCAUCUUCCAGUUCUAAUAAUAGAACUUUGAGCUGUGGACAUACCAAUCCUUCAGGAAGUUCUGCUAGUUUAUUGCCCAUUAACGAAAUUGUUGUACAACCUUCAAAGCUUUUGUUUCUCAUUGGCCACUUCUCCAACCCAAUGCCAGCCUUUACGAUGAAUCCAUAUUCUUCUGAUGAUGCUAUCUGAAUAGCAAAGUCACGAACCAAGUCAUGCAUUCUCACAUGUUCUUCAGUUUCAGUGCCCAACAGCAUGCAACAAUCUUUGAGGUUUUCGAUGGCCACAGAAACUCGUUUCCUUGCAUCUUCAAUGGGCUCCGCAUCUUGAUGUAACCCAUAGCCAACUGCAUAUCUCGUCAAGUCCUCGAUUGGAAUGUCAUAAUCUUCUGGAAAUAAACAGCAUAGCACGAAACAUGACUUGGUUUCCUCGUACUUCAAAUAAUCAUAGCUCAACUUAAGACAUGUGUAAGCAUUAUUUUGUUCAUCAAUUUGUUCCAUGCGCACAAAGUGAGAUUCUUUGAGCUGUUUAGACGCUACUUCCCACUGAACUCGUGAUUUACCUCUUAGAGCCCUUCCCACUGUCACAAGUGCUAUAGGCAAGCCUUGGCAUUCUCUCGCAACCUCCCUUGCCACUGUGUUCAAGGUAGAGUCCCCAUCACGUAAACCUGCAUUGAUUCUGAAUAAAUCCGAUGCUUCAUCUUCAGGUAAGACUCUUAAAAGCACUUUUUGCUGGCACUCCAUAGAAAAACAUAUGCCUUGAACACGUGUUGUUAGAAGAAUUUUACAACCCCUGUGAUCAUCACCAAAUGGGAUCCCUAUCUCUUCCAAGUCAAUAUGUUUCCAAACAUCAUCUAGGAUUAUAAGCAUCUUCUUUCCCUGCAGUCUCUGCCAUAAUUCACUUGCUCUACCUUCUUUACUCGUUUUUUCAAAUUUCAGAUGUAAACUAUCUGCCAUUCGAUCCUGGAUGCCUAUGAAAUUUGGAUUCUGGGACACCGUAGCCAUCAAAACGUCAGGAAAAAGCUGCGACUCUUUGGCUCUCCUGCCUACUUCUUUCACCAGGGUUGUUUUACCCACCCCUCCCAUGCCGUACAGUCCGAUCAUAUUGACGGUGUCAUCUUUGAGAGCUUUCAUGAUCUGUUCCAAAGCUUCUUUUGACGAUUCUGAGGGCGUGAAUUCCUUUGAUGUUAGAAAUUCUAUGGGCUGAGGAGGAGCUUUUUGGGCCACUAUUUUAAACUUUGUGCUAUUUUCUAGAAUUUUUCUGAAAGUCUCCGACUUCUUGGCCAGUGCCUUGCUUAACUUGAAUUGUCGCAUGCAGUUUGGGCACCAAGUAAAGCAUUUGCCGUUUUUUCCUAUUUCAUUUUCCAAGGGCUUCGCACCUUCAAUUUGGUUGUUUGCAUCUUCCAGCCACUUUUUGACAUCUUUGUAAGUUUUUUCAGCAUUCCUUUCAGCAGCUUCGACAUCGUCUUGCAGACGUUCUUUUGCCGAAACCAGGUUCUCCUUUUGUUCUUUGAAUUCUUGAGCAAAAUUGUUGAAACAGAACAUGUAACGGAACUGCCUUCCUACUGGUUCCACCAUGAGUUCUGCUAGCAUAGCUAUAAUGGAUCCACCAGCACUUUCGAGAGCCAUUUUCCACAGGUCUGAAAAUCAAAGAAAUAAGGAUACAGAACGUGAGAGUGAUCACUACAAGUAAAACAGUCGCAGAGAGAAUGGGAAUAGGAAUUUCAUUACCUUAAUUUGGGAAAAUAUGUGCGAAAAGCACUGGUACUGAGUGCUCAAUGAAAUAGCGGGAGGAAGAAAAGGAGAAGUCCUUUAGCUCUGUAUGGAAUCCAGCUUCAAAAGCAACAAUAAAAUAGUUUAGAUGGAUUCUAACUGACUCUUGUGAGUUAAAGCAGUAGUUCCCAUUAAAAAUGCAUUUUGAUGACAUAAUUAAGAUCAUAUAGAGACAGUGACAAACCAAAAAGAAAGAAACGAGUGAAAGGUCCAGGAUAAUCUAAGCUAUGAUCGGUCAAGGUUUUUUUUUGUUUUAUUCUUUUUUAAAAUAAAAAAAAAAAAACAGGAAAAGACUUGCAAAGAAAUAGAAUUACUGGAAUGAACACAAUAAAGGAUGAAACUCAAGCAAUUAAAAAUAAAUUAUCUAUGAUGAUCAUCUCUGUGUCACACUCAAUGAGGUAAUAUGAUUGGCCUAUUACAAUAUUAAAUAAAUAAAUAAAAAAGCUAAAAGAACUAGGUUUUUGGUGGCAUCUAGAUUGCGGUUACUUUCUUCAUCCUUCUUUUGUGGUUUUAUUUUAUUUCAGUCCUUCAAAUCUUUUUCUUUUUCUAUUUCAUCGAGUUGCUUUUGAGUUGAUGUGCUUGCCCUAGAAUAUGCAUUAUGCUAGGGAUUACAGUUACAUUACAUAAGAAAUUAUAAUUACAGAUUAUAAUUAACAAUUUCAGUUUUUUUUUAAAAAUAAAUUUAUGAGAAAGGACCCAACGUGAGUAAAUUAAAGGAGAAUUUUAAAUCUCAAGGAUUUACAUGAAAGUGUUUUUUUAGAUGUAAAACAUUUUCCAGAAAUUAUGAAAAAUUUAGAAAUAUGAUAUUAUUUAUUGAUUAUAACAAAUUUAGUCCUAAAAAAUUUAAUUGCUAUAUAUUUUGUUUAGAAUAUUUUUUUUUCAAUUUCACCCCUUAGAAUUUGAUUUUUAUACUAAAUUUGGUUCUCAUUUUAUGAUUGUUAUUUGCUUUUUUCUUUUUAUUUUUUUAAUUGAAAUUUUUUAUUUAUCAAAUUUGAUCCUCAUUAUUUUGAUUGUUACUUAUUCUAUUUGAAAUAAUUUAUGAAAUUAUAAUUAUUUUAAUUUCAUCAUCUUUUAAUUUUUUUUAUCUUUAGAUUUGAUUUUUAAAAGGCUUUUCAAAAAAAAAAAAACAGAGAGGAAAGGUACGGUUGAAAUAAGAUAGGGACGUGGAAAUAGAGGGAGAGGUUGUUGGAGGCAGAAAAGGAAAGACUACGAUAGUAUUUUUCUCUAUAUUUUGAGUUUUAGUUGUUAACAGCCAUGCUCGUUUGAUUUUAUUUUAUUUUAUUUUUAUUUAUUUUCUACAUGCUCUUGCAAAUAAGGCAGGAAAGGAGGACCUGAAAUCACGGCAGCAAAUAAGGAGGGUAAUAGCGUGUUUGUUUUUUAUUUUUUAAAUUAUUUUUUUAUAAAAUAAUGUUUUGUAUUCUAAAUUAAUUUUUUUUUAUUUUUAUAUUGAUAUUAAAAAUAAUUUUUUAAAAAUAAACAAAUAUUAUUUUAAUAUAUUUUUAAAAUAAAAAAAUAUUUUAAAAAACAACUAGUUAUUCAAACACUUAAAAUGAAAAUCUUAAAAUCACAGCAUGAUAAAAGGGGAAAGAAAGGAAUGGGAUAAAGAAGGAAGAAAGCCAGUCUUGUAGAAAAUAGAAGAUGAAAAUUAGUAUGAAAAGGAGGCUAUUUGUUUUUGUAGUGUUAGAGUGGUUUUUAUAAUUAUAUUUAAUUUAUAAAAAUAUUUAAUUAAUAUAUUUUUUAAUAUUUCUUGUUAUUUUAUAUAUAUAUAUAUAUAAUAUUUUAAUAUGUUUUUAAAUAAAAAAUUAUUCAAAAAAAUAUGUGUCACAAUACUAAAUUAUAGUAUAUAUUAAAAGAUAAAAGAGUUUUCUGUUCAUUAUUAUUUACCGAGACUUAUUUUAUUGUGGAUGUGGAUGUUAAUAGUGAAUUUUUUUAAAAAAAUUUCAAUUUUGUAUUUGGAUUUUUUUUUUUUUUUACAUAAUUGAAUCUCUUUAUGCCAAAAUUAAAACUCAAUUGUAUUUUUUUUUAAGGAUAAGAGUUGAAUUGAAAGAUAGAUAACUGAAAUGAAAAACUCGAUAAAAAUAUAUAGUGACACUGUAAUUGUUUGCAAAGUUCAUUUUAGUUCCUUAUCUUUUUGAGCUACUAAGUAACAUGUCCCUAUAAUUUCUCAACAUUACAUUUUAUACAGAAUCUCGGAUUAUGCUCUUGGAACUAAACUGAAAUUUUCACAAAUUGAAGGACCAAACUGAAAUUUUAUGAUCUUCAACCUCAAACCCAGAAUUUUCAAAGAUCACCUAUUGAUAUCAAGAUUUCUAACUCAAAUUCAUUAUUAAAACAAACCAUAACUCAAAAUCAUUAUUUUUACUUAAAAUCUUUCAAAAUCAACUAUAUAACUCAUUAUCAAUAACAAUCAACACAUAAUAUUCAAAUUAAUUCAUCAAUCAAACCCAAAACACAAUCUUCAAAACUCUAAUAUUCAACAAAAUAGAAAAUUAAAGCUAAGGAAAACACAUUUAUACACUUCAAAGCGUAACUCUUACAUUUUAACUUAUUUUCUCCAACUCUCUUCUCCUUUCUUUAUCUUUUCCUCUUUUUCUCUUUUUCUUUUUUCACUCUCACGGUUUUCUCUCUAAGAAUUGAGAGCUUUUUAUUUUUUUUUAUUUAUAUUUAUCAAUUAUUUGUUCAAUUACUACCGUUCAUUUAUUUAUACCUCCUUGCCUCCAAGAAUUUUGUAGCCUUUUUCUAUUCUCUUUUAUUUUCAAAAGAUCACAAUAAAAUUGUAUUCUUUUUAUUAAGCUGUUAAUUUAUGCAGCUUUAGCUCUUGUUCUCUUUUCAUGUUUGGCAACUCUGAUCUGAUCCAUUUCUUUGCAUGAUAUAUAAGAGCAGGUUCUUACCUCUUGAAGUCUGCUGGAUAAACCUAUCAGCAGAAGAUCAUGAACCGAUCCCAAAUCACAGCUUCAAUCCCCACCACAACCAAUCUCCUCUUUCCCGUAGUCUUCCGUCCUCAAUUGGGAAAUGAUCCAAAAUCAACAACCGGUGCGGAGAUAGUUUGAGUGAAAAGAAACGGCUGAAAGAUGAAAUGUGAAGGUUAUGGUGAGAAAUUGGAUGACAAACUUACUUUGUCCUACUAAUGCUUUUGCUUUCAUUGUUUCAAAAAGUAAAAGAGACAUAAGCAUAAUCAUAAGAAUCCUGUUUUUUCUAUUUUUUUCUCCUAUUUAUACAUCAAAAAAUGGCAGUUUUUCUUUUCCUUUCUUUUUAAAAUCUUAUGCCUUUGGGUGAGGAAAGUAGUGGAGCAUUAGACUUUUUAAAAGACAACAAAAAGAAGCAAUGUCUCAUCUUUUGAUAUGGUGGUACAAGAUACACCAUGGUAUGGUGGUCCUGCAAUAUUAGUUUGUUGAUGAAGAUAUCGAAAGAUUCCAGUCUCCGUUCUAGCUAAUGUUGGAUGCAAGGCUGAAGUUAAGAUUAUUUUAGAAUAUUUUUUUAAUCGGUGGUUUGUGUGGAGUAAUUUACGAUAAUUUAAUCUUUAAAAAAAAUUAGAUUUUUAAUUAAUAAAUUUUUAAGUAACUAUAAAUUUAUUUAAUGAGAUCUUCAGUAAUAAUUCUAGUUGGUUAGGCAAUAUAAACAGUUUUCACAAAGAUUCUACUACUGAUGUGUCCAUAUUACACAGGAACAGAAUGCUAGAGAAUAACUUUCUUUUUACAAAAAAAAAAAAAAAAGGUCGAGAAUUUUCCUUAAAGCAGACACCCAUGAAGAAGAGAUAGUUGCCUUAGCCAAGCUUCUCACUUUACAAAAUUGUAUCGUAGUAGUUUGCACCCACUAGGAAGUCCAGAAUAGGAAAAGAAAAACGGACGCUUAGCGGACCCACAAAAGUUUAAAACACUUGCAUUUCUUUUUUAUUUUCAAAUUAACAUGGUAAAUUUUGUAUGUUUAAAAAUAUCGUAAUGAAAAACACAGCAUUCGAAAAAAAACACAAUUGAAAUAAAUCUAGAUUAUCCUUCUAUUGUGUAUCAAAUUUAUGAUUUUUAAUGGUCAGGGAUUUUAAAUCCAGUUUGGUGUACGACCCGAUCCAAUAAAUUCGAGUCACGAGUUUUGAUCGGGUCACCCGAGUCAACUUUUUUUUUUAUAUAUAUAAAUCAAAAUAAUAUCGUUUUUUAUUAAAAAAAAUAGUCAACAUGUUACAAUUAGAUUUUUUACCGAUUCUUUCCAGGUCAACCGGAUUACCAAGUCACUUGACUUUUUAUUUUUUUUUAUUUUUUUUAAACCCGACUUGAUUCCAAUCCUGAAUCUAACCUGUAAGGUCAGACCAGGUUUUAAAAAUAUGCUAUUUGACUGAAAAGGAUGUUACACCCCCAUGUUUUUUUGGUGAAGAAUUGCAUGACGUAGUGUCAGAGUAUUGUGAUAUUGUGUUAUAAACAGAAGUUUUCUGGUUUUGGUUUAACCCACAAUUAGAUAAAACAAAGUAUUUUCUGGGAGCUUCCUUAUUGGAAGAUCAAUCUGCUCCACCAUAACCUUGAUGUCAUGCACAUAGAAAAAAAAAACAUGUUUGAAAACAUUUUUAACGGUCAUGAACGUGAAGGGAAAGACAAAGAACAAUAUCAUGGCUAGAAUGGAUAUAAUAUUUUUUUGUAACCGUAAAAAUAUGGAGUUGGUUUUUGAUGGGUCACGGGUCACAAAGUCCAGAGCAAGCUUCGUCUUAGAGAAGAAUACACAACUACUAGUCUACCUAUAGCUUAAAAGCCUGUGUUUUCCCGAUGGACAUGCCUCGAACAUAUUAAGGUUGGUUAAUCUAGAGAAAUUCAGAUUGUAUGGAAUGAAGAGCCAUGAUUGCCACGUGUUUUUGCAAACACUCAUUCCAUUAGCUUAUCUUGAUUUAUUGCCAAAGGACAUAUGUGAUACACUCAUGGAGAUCAGUCAUUUCUUUAGAGAUAUGUGCUCCAGCAAGUUGUAGACACAUCACAUUGAGAAGCUUGAAACAAAUAUCAUUGAGACAAUAUGCAAACUUGAGAUAAUAUUUCCUCUAUUGUUUUUUUGACUUGAUUGAGCAUCUACCAAUACAUUUACCGUAUAAGGCAAAAGUUGGAGGCCCAGUCCAAAAUAGAUGGAUGUAUCCAUUCGAGAGGUUAGAUAUUAGAGAUGCAAUGCAAGUAUUAAUGUAUUUUCAUUGUUUUUCUUAAUUGAAAAUGUUUGUUUAAUUUGAUGUAGGUACUUGUUCAAUUAAAAAAAAAAAGAAGUUAAGAAUAAGGUGCAUGUUGAGGCUUCGAUAUGUGUGGCCUAUAUUGUUGAGGAGAUCUCAACAUUUAUAUUAUACUAUUUCGAGCCUCAUCCGGGAACGAAAAUCAACCGCGUUCCACAGCAUGAUGAUGGUGGUCAAGUGCCUUCAAGUUCGAACUUGUCAAUAUUCUCCAAUCCUGGAUGACCCACAUCUAAAAAUGUUGUAAGGGGAACAUAUUUGUCUAAAAUAGAAUUCAAACAAGCACAUAAUUAUGUGUUAUUUAACUGCAAUGAACUGAGACUUUUUAUUUAUUUAGUAUAUAUACUACUUAAACUUUGUUGUAAAUGGACUAUUUAUCUAUUGUAAUAUCACAAAUUUGUACAUUUUUGAAAACCUCGUAGGCAAUGUUGACAAUAUUUACUAACUCACAACUGACGGAAUCCCUUCAAUUACAAGAUGAACAAUUUUCCAGGUGGUUCAGAACAUAUGUAAGUACUAUGACAAACUCAUCAUGUAUCAUUGUACUUAAUUUCAUUACAGAAUUCUCAUUUACUGUUCAUUGUUGUAGUUUGUUGCUACCCAAUUUUGACCCAUGUUUUUGAUAAAUUUUCAAAAAAAAGCAAAAAAACAAUGAAAACCCCAAAAAAUGCAUUUUUGAUAUGUUUGCAUCGUUUUUAGCAUUUUCAAUGUCAUCUCAGAAGAAUUUAAAUUUUCAAAGGUAUUUUGAACACGUUCAACUUUUAAUGUGUUAAUUUUACAAUCACUGAUUUUUCUUGUUGGGUCAACAUUGAUAUUGCUUGCUUUCAAAAAUACAAAAAAAAAUAAUUCAAAAUUGACAAAAAAUAAAGAAGUUGAGGGACCAAUGUGUUUUGGGGACCAAGCCACUUUGCCUAUAAAUAGAGGUCACAACACACGCAAAAGGAGGAGAAAAAUUUUACAGGGGAACAAUUUUAAGACAGAGAAAUUUAGGGCAACAAAAAAUAAACCUAAACCUAAAUUAUUUCUCCCAAGCCAGCCGACUGCCUCCCUCCCUUUGCAAAAAAGGUCGGCCGCCGCUUCCCCCAGUUUUGGUUCCCUUUGGCUCCUUCUUAAACCUUCAGCCCCUCCAUCACUAGGGUUCCCAUUUCCACGAUCUCCCCUAAGCUGGCCCCUGACCCAUUUCCGGGCAUUGCCAGCAGUGGCGCUGCAUGGAGCAAAUGCGCCGUCAUUAUUCUGGCAGAUUCCAGAAGGCUUUCCACUGAUCUUGUAGUUUCUGGGGGCUUAUUUUGUAAUUUUUGAAUUGUAUUUGAUACAUUUAAAAUUUUUGUUAUUUUGAAACAUGUCAAAAUGAUGUGUGAGUUGAGCAUAAUAAAAAAAAGUGAUGUUAGUGUGUGUGUUUGUGUUUUUUUUAUGUAUGUUUUCUUUUAAUGUUAAAAUUAAAAAAAAAGGUGAAAAUGUGAUGUUAGUGUGUGUGUGUGUGUUUGUAUUUUCUUUUAUGUAUGUUUUCUUUUAAUGUUAAAAUAAAAAAGACAAAAAUAUUAAAAAGAAGAAAAAAGAAUUAAGUGUUUAAUUUGUAUAUGGUCAAGUAUUUUAAGGACAAAUAAAAUCAUGUUGUACUUAUUUUGAUUAUUUUAAGGACAAGUAUUUUUUAAUUUUUUUAUAUGCUAGAUUUGAUUUUUAUUAUUUUUAUUUUUAUUUAUUUUAUUUAAAAUAAUUUAUAAAAUUAAAUUUCUUUUUUAAUUUCAUUAUCUUUAUUUUUUAUUUUUAUAAUAAACUUGAACAGAAAAACUCAAAUAUUAAUAAGUUAUUUUUCAAUUUAUUUUUUAUGACAUGAACAAACAUUUGAAAUUAUUUUUUAACAUAUUUUUUAAUUUAUUUUUCUUAACACUAUUAAAUAUAAAUAAAUAACUUACUUUGUAAGAAUUUAUUUUCUAUAAAAACUACCUUUUAAAAGAAACUACUUUAAAUAAACGGGGCUCAAAUCUCACUCUCAUGGCUUUAUUUUUCAAGUUUUAAGAGAUAGAUAGACCUUCAUAACCGCAUGUGGUUAUUUAUCAUGAUAUUACCUUCUUCUGGAGUUAGGACAUGAUGAAAAUAGGCAAACAGAACCUAAUAAUUUAGUCAUUCUCAAUGUUUUGGAAGAUUUUUGCGAAAGAAAAAUUAUUACAAAUUUCCCUAGUCAUGAUCAUAUCCAUGACAUCUGACAAAAUUAUUAUAAACAGAAUUUUUUUUUGCAAACAUUUAGAAAAAAGAGUUUAUUAUUUGGUGAAAAACAACUAGUCAUCACCCAAAGAAACCGAGUGAAUGAGAAAAAAAGACAAAUAGCUAGAAAACAAUCAACAGAUCCAAGAACUUUCUGUAUGGUUUCCAAGAAAAUAAAAAGAAACGAGCAGCACAUGUUUUGAGUCUAGUGUAUUAACCUAGAAGGAUUAAAAUCAAUAAUUUCUUCUAAAUGAUCAAAACAUGUUGUUUUGAAAAGACCAAAAAUAUCAAUUAGAAAUCUUAUCAAGUUUUGACUAGAUUACAAAUCAAUUCAUCAUCAAAUCAAUCGGGUCAACCUAUAUUAAUGUUGGGUUAACUUUUUUUUUAUACCCAACCCGAGCAAGCUGACGGAUUGUUCAAGUCAAGUUUAAUAACAAUGUUUUCAUCUAUUUAACUAACCCUUUUAAUCUAUAUAUUUGCGUUGAUGUAUUUUUUUUCAUUCCACAGUAAAAGAAAAUCUCUUGAUUUCUCAUGAACAAUCUUAAAACUGUUCUUCAAGAUUCUGAAGGAAAAGACAUUAAAGAAGCUUCUUAUGACAUGCAGUUUCAACGAAAACUCCUUCACGCUAUUUUCCAAGAUACUUCUACCCACUAGAAACCUGGAAAAACUUAAAUAAUAUCAGCAAAAGUUUUGUUGUCAAUGAACAUGGCAGUAACAGGUUGGGAAUGUGUCAGCAUGCGAAGUGCCAAAGGGUAAAAGUAUUAUUAAAGAGGCGUGACACAAACGAAGCUACCCCUUACCUACUCCUGGGAAGGAAUAUAUGUCAGACUAUACAGCUUUUUCAAUUCAUUAAUGUCGUUCUCUGUUUGUCUUCUAAAACCUACUCCCAUCAUAUACAUGUAUUAUAUUCUUAAAAUUGCUCUAUGGGAUUGCAGGUCAUGCUCGUUUGAUUGCUUUUUUUUAUAUUCUUUUCAUGCCUUGCAAAUAAGGCAGGGAAGGAGGACCUGAAAUCACGGCAGCGAAUAAGGAGAGAAAUAGCCCGUUUGUCUUUGCUUCUUUCUUUUAGUAUUUUUGAAAAAUAUUAAUUUUUUUACUUUAAAUUAUUUUUUUAUAUUUUCAUAUUAUAUUGAUAUAUUUCUAAAUAAAAAAAUAUUUUAAAAAACAACCGCUAACACACUCUUUUUAAAGCUAUUAAGUAACCAGUCCCUAUAAUUUUUCAACAUUGCAUUUUGGUACCAUCCAUUUUUUUCUUGUGUUCAUACUUAAAACCUUCUUAAAGGAUUCUUAUUAAUAGCUUUAAAACCUCUCUCUCAAGAUUAAAAGGUUAGAAAUAACUUUAUGCUCUCUAAAUCUAACAAAACCACCAAGUACCCUUAAAAUCAAAACCAUCAGUUUAGUACAAGAACUUUUAGCUGUUAGCUUUUAUCCAGAACCUUUUACUUUGAUCAAAUGGUUAAACUUUCAUUAAUUUUUGAGGGAAUCCACAAAAAAACCUAGAAAAACCUAUAAAUACUCUUGAAAAUUAGAGCUGGAGAGGAGGAGAAAAUGAGAGAAAAAGAGAGGAAAAACGUGAGUAAAUAAUUUGUUAAUAGACUCUAUUACGAAGAUUCAAGAGCCUAAUAUAAAAGGUCUAACCAGCUUAAAAAAAAAAAAAAAAAAAGGAAAAGAAGGAAGGAAAAGAGAAGAAGAAAAUAACAACGUAAUUUUGAACUAAAAAGGCCUAAUUUCAGUGAAAGUUAAGAGCAUUAGAGACUAGACCGUGCUUAUACCGAAAGCGACUCUCAUCGUUGAAGGAAUGCAAACGGUUGUUAACGAGACACUUAUGUCGUUCCAACAUUCAAAGGUUGUUGAAUCUAGUACUGGUGCUCAUUCUGGAUCUAGUACCAAAAGGAGAAUAUAGAAAGAGAUAGUAGUGAAUUAAUUAUCUUUCAUUCAGUAGUAGGAUAAAAUUUAAUUAUCCUAAUACAAGACUUAAUACAAUUUCAUAGUUGUGGAACACUAACUAGAUAUAAAGAAAAAGUACAAAUUACAACAAAAAAUACAGGUUUUGAAGGUUGAUGACUCUCUCGACCAACUACGGUUUCAAAUACGAUGUGCACUAAGACUAACACUACUCUGUUAGCAUGAGCAUUCUAGCUGGCAUACCAUAAGUUCAUAUCAUAAUCAAACAAACAAAUUCAUAUCUCAAGGCCCAACUCAUGACAUUAAUAAAAUAAGAAGCUAUCAAUUCAGAAGUCAAUUUAGAAGUAUAUAUUGGCUUAUAUCAAUAAUUCAGAUUCAAUAAUUGAUUAUGUUUUAUCAUAACAAAGAUAAUAAUCAACAUAUAUAUUAUCAAGAAGCACAAUCCAAUUCAUAUUAACAACUCAAAUAUUUAUAUUAUUUCUCAUGCAUAUGAAAUUGACUUAAAAGUGAACAGAACUCAAAAGCAAAUACCGAAGAAAAUCUUACUGAUAUUCCGCAUGUAGAAUAUCAAGAUUAUCUAAAUACAAAGGAGACAUAUUAUAAAAUGACUCGAAAAGAACAUACAACCUAUUUAAUACACUUAAUUAAGGGUCUAUUUCAUAACCCUAUAUAUUUUUUUUUAACUAAACUAGUUAUUUUUCCCAAAAACCAAAAAAGUAAACGGUUUUCCGGAAAUCUAAUUCAUAAUAAAAAAAAUAAUGAGACUUGAUAAUAAUUCACUAAAUAACCAUCAAUUAUUUAUCAAAACAAUAUGAAAAAGCUAAUAUUAAAGCUAAGGACCAAUCUGGAAUUUUAUCAUAUUUUUAGGGGUCAAAUUAUAAUUUUAUCAAAUUGGAAGACCAAACUAAAAAUAUCAUAAAUUCAUGACUAUACUGGAAUUCUGCCCAUAAUUCAUCCUCAAUUCUGCCCAGAAUCUCAAAUUAUGCUCCAGGGACCACUAUAGAAUUUUAUCAAAUUUUUAGGGUCAAGUUGUAAUUUCAUCAAAUUGGAGGACCAAAGUGAAAAUGUCAUAAAUUCAUAACUAUACUGGAAUUCUACCCAUAAUUUAUCUUUGAUUCUGUCCAGAAUCUCGGAUUAUACUCCAGGGACCAAUCUCUAUUUUUUCCAAAGUUCAGAGACUAAAUUGUAAUUUUCACAAAUUGAGGGACCAAGCUGAAAUUUCAUAAUCUUCAACCUCAAACCAGAAUUUACAUAGAUAACCUACUGAUAUAUCAAGAUUUCUAACUCAAAUUCACCAUUUAAAUAAACCAUAACUCAAAAUCAUCAUUUUUACCUAAAAUCUUUCAAAAUCAACUAAAUAACUCAUUACCCAUAACACUCAACCCAUAAUUUUUUUGUAAUGUAAUUGUAAUUCCUAGCAUAAUGCAUAUUCGAGGGCAAGCACAACUACUCAAGAGCAAAGAAACUUGAUGAAAUAGCAAAAGAAAAAGACUUGAAGGACUGAAAUAAAAUAAAACCAAAAAAGAGGGAUGAAAAAAGUAACCGCAUUCUGGUUGCCAUAAAAAACAUAGUUCUUUUAGUAUUUUUUUUUAAAAUAUUGUAAUAGGUCAAUCAUAUUACCCGAGUGUGUGACACAGAGAUGAUCAACAUAGAAAAUUACUUUUAAUUGCUUCAACUUUCCUCGUCUAAAUAAAAGAUUAAGAGUUUUCAUGAUUGGGAGGAUGUUAUAUAUUUUGGGUUUUGAUGGUGAUUGUGAAGGAUUUGUGAGAUGAAUUAUAGUUUGGAAGUAAAAAUUAGUGACUUAUGAAGCAUAUAGAGAAGAUGAGAAGUAUUAGGGUUUUUUUGAGUGAGAUCGAGAUGUUAUUUGAAUCGGGAUGAAGAAAGAUAUUUGAGAGGAAAUGUGAUUUUAAGAAGUAUAAUUACAAGAAUUGUAAUUUAAUGUAUUCAAUUGUAGUUUUCAACACACCUCUACUAAUCUUUGCCAUUUGUAUGAAGAUAUCGAAAGAUUCGAGUCUCCGUUCUAGCUCAGGUUGGAAGCUAGGCCGAAGGCUAAGCUUCUUUUAAUUAUGAAUUGUUUAUGCAAAGGAAACCCAGAAGCUUGAACAAACAGAAAUGCCUUGUUGAUUUCUCUGCUACUACUCAUUAUUUCCAAUAUUAUUCCAUUAUCUUACCCGAAAGCAAUUAUACAAGAAAUUUCAUUAUCCCGCCCCAAAAGGCAAUUUAUUACAAGGACUUCCUUUAACCUCCUUUAAGGCAAUUUAUUUGAUGAAAAUAACCUCCUUUAAGGCAAUUUAUUUGAUGAAAAUUCCUUUAAUCCACCUCAAAGACAAUUUAUCUUAGGGAAUUCCAACGACCCAGGCAAUUUAUUUCUUGGAAAUUCCUUUAACCCGCCCUAAUUAAGGCAUUUUAUCUAAGGGAAUUCCAAAAUCAAUUUAUUUAUUGGACUCAGGAUUCUUUGAUACUAUUUAUUUAUAUAUAAUUUAACAACACUUUUAUCUUACAUUUAAAAAGAAAUUCAAAAGUAAGGAUAACCCUUACCUAGAGCUCCUGUGGUUCUUGCUCCCGAGAGAAUUGGCUCCAUUCCUGACAAAUCUAUUACCAAAAACCCAAGUUUCAACCAAUCAAUAACAUCAACACCCAUUUUAAUUCAAUGCAAUAAGUUUUUCUUAACCAAUUUACUUGAUGCAAGUUCUUAUAAUCAAAGUGACAGUAUUCAGGGUGAAGACAAGCAGAAGGGCGUGUAUUAAUUUUAUUUUUUAAUGUUGAGUUUUUUUAUUGAAUUUUAUUUGUCAAUAUUAAAUUAAUUAUAAAUUAAAUUUUAUAUAUUUUUUUAUCAUAUAUAAAAAAACAAAGUAAUCUCAUCUUUUGAUACGAGUGGUCCAAGAUUCACCAUGACAUGGUUGUAGUUUUUUUUUUUGCCUUUUUCUUUUAAAAAUGUUAUGUCAUUUAAUUUAUAAUUAUAAAUUAAAUUCUUUUUAUUGGUCAUUUUAAAUUUUUUUACUUUUUUUAUAUAUAAUUUUUUAAUUUUAUAUUUUAUUAAUGUUGAGUUUUUUUAUUAAAUUUUAUUUGGCUAUAAACCAGAACUUUUUAUUUUUUAUUUUUUGGACAAGCAGAGACAAAUUAAAUAAACAAAGUAAUCUCAUCUUUUGAUAUAGUUGUAGUUUUUUAUUAUUUGUUUUUUGCCUUUUUCUUUUAAAAAUGUUAUCUUUGGUAAGGAAUCCUUGGUUCCCAACGGCAACUGUAGCAGAGUUGACGGUUGCGUAAAAACAAAUCUCUAAACUCCACCGAAAGUAGUGGAGCAUUAGAGUUUUAAAAGACAAAACGGGAACAAGUGGGAGACGGAGAAAAAGACAAUAGUAGGUGGUCUAAGAUACACCGUAUAUAUGAUAAUAAUAAAACAAGUGUUUAGUUCCCGUUUGUUUGCUGGAAAAUAGUUUUUUUUUAAAAGUAAAUUCCGGGGAAAGUGAAUUCCGGGAAAGUAUUUUCCGAUGUUUGGUAGUGUAAUGGAAAAUAAGUUGGAAAACAUUUUCCAGUGUUUGGUUAUGUCAUGGAAAAUGAGCUGGAAAAUAACUUAUUAAUGUUUUAUUUUUCUCAAGUUUAUUAAAAUAAUGAGGAACAAAUUUUACAAAUUAAAAAGGUGAAUGAGAAUGAAAUUGAAAAAAAAAAAAUUUCAUAAAUUAUCUCAAAUAAAAUAAAUAAUAAUCAAAAUAAUAGAGAUCAAAUCUAAAACAUUAAAAAAAAUAAAGGUGAAGAAAUUAAAAUAAUAAUAAUUAACAUUUCAUAAAUUAUUUCAAAUAAAAUAAGUAACAAUUAAAAGAACGAGGACCAAAUUUGAUAGAUAAAAAAUUUCAAUAAAAAAAUGAUAAGGAAAAAACAAAUAUCAAUUAUAAAAAUAAGGACCAAAAUUAAUAUAAAAAUUAAAUUUUAAGAGAUGGAAUUGAAAAAUAAAUAUUCAAAACAAAUUAUAUAUAACAAUCAAAAGUUUGAGGAUCAAAUUUGAUAUAAUCAGCAAAUAAUGACAUUUCUAAUUUUUUCAUAACUUCCGGAAAGUGUUUUCCGCCCAAAUUUUCCAGGAAAACACUUUCCUGAAAACCAAGCUAAAUUUUCCUUUGACUGGAAAGUGUUUUCCGUUGACCAAUUUUCCUAAUGGCAAACAAACACAUGAAAGUUUGGAAAGUGGUUUCCCGGAAACCACUUUCCGGAAAACAAACACAGCUAAAAGGGAAAACACUUUCCUGGAAACCAAACCAAAUUUUUCUUUGACUGGAAAGUGUUUUCCGUUGACUGGAAAGUGUUUUUCGUUGACCGGAAAGUGUUUUCCUUUGACCAACUUUUCUAAUGGCAAACAAACACAGGAAAGUUUGGAAAGUGGUUUUCCGGAAAGUGAAUUUCGGGAAACAAAUAUGGCCUAAAACAACUCUGAAAACAAAAUUUUUUAUAAUUCAUAAUUUAUAAACACAUGCGAUAAAAUAAAUCAUACUGCAUGUUUUCAUUUGGCAUUUAAUUCCAUGAACAUGAUUUUUUUAGAUUAAUAUGGAUAUCCGGGUCAGCUUGUGUAUCUCGACUAAUCUCAUGAAUCCUAAAAUUAACGAUUAUAUGAGCAUUUAGCGGGCCUGGAGUUUGUGAGAUUCAAACUAAUAAUUUUUAGAGAACAAAUUCAGAAUCUGACCAGUUGAGCUACACUUAUCGGAAUUUCAUUAACAUGAUCUUACUUUUCAAUCAAAUUGCUGCGACCAUAUUAGACUUGUAAUCAGACCAUUAAUUGACUGUUCUUGACUAGCUAUUGUUUCUCAUUGGCAAGAGUCAUUGCCAAUUAUCAUAACAUGUUAGUGAUCUAUUACAACUAGUCUAGCAUCGACAGAGUUGUUAUUUAACCAUUAAAUCAAUUUAUAAAACAUUAUUGACUAGCUAUCUAACACUAGCAACUAAUCACUGAUAAUAUUUAUGCAAAACUUGUAGCUUAAUACGAACUCUCAGAAAUGUGGGUGGGGCAACUCAAAGUACAGGGAGAGUGGUAACCUCUGAUAUAUAACAGAGAAAAUUAACAACAGAAAUCUAGAUACUUCAAUAAAUUAACACACUGACUAAUAAAUCCCCCCCACCAUCAUCCAGUUAUCACAGGUGCAUCUACAAUGAACAGUUCUCGAGAAGAAACUCAAGAAACGCAUAUAAAGCUACAUGAUGACAUAAUAGGAACCUGCAUUGCCUCCAUUCCAUGAUGAAAGUUCAAGAAAUUCUACUUCGAAACUCAAGACAAAGUCUCUCAGACUACAUAUUAGUGGGAUUUCUAUAAACAACUGAUUCUAUUGCAAAGCAACAUUAUGAAAAACUGAAUAUUUCACACAUAGUCUAAUAAAAGUAGGUUCCAUUGUCAAUUCCUUAACAUUUUCCGAACAAAUCACAGUUGCUCCUCGUUUGAUACUUUCUUGAAGGUUUCUUUUCUCUUAUUACCAAUUUCUGUGAGUUUGUGAUUUUUUAUCUGUACCGUAUCAUCCGAUCAAUUACUAGCUAGAACCACACAACUAAUAUGUAAAUUCACAAAUUCCCUACAGUUCAUAUUGCCAACAAACUCCUCUUGCCAUUCCCUAAUUGCACUGAGCCAGCUAAUCUGGAUGAAAGUUAUCGAAGAGGGGAAAAGACAGAUGAAGAUCUGCGCAGGGCUACCUGUUUUGAGAAUUAUGGAUUUUUAUCACUAAAUCAGAACGGCGCCAAUUAUAAGUUCAAUAAGAAAAAAUCUGUAACAGAACAGAUGGAAAAAACUCGAAACAACUUGGCUAGAAUUUAGAAAAGAAAUUCAGAAUGAGCCAAGAUUUUAAGUGAGAUGAAACUUUGUUCUUUGAAAAAAAUAAUUAAUAUGAGAUAUACUUUUCAUUUUAGUGAACCUUAAAGCAGAGCCAACAGUUAAGUAAAAGUUAUCAAUAGCUGUGUAAACCAUUGAAACUGUUACCGUUGGUGCACCCUCGAUUACACCAUGGAUUCACAUAGUGCAAUUGUUAUUUUUUAAAAAAAUUCAAUGUUAUUUUUUUAUUAAUUUGAACCUUUUUUUGUCAACAUGUUUCGCAAUUGGCCUUGGUAUUUUGUUUUCAUUUUCUCUAUGUUGCCUUCUUCUGUAGAUAAAAAACAUCAUGUCUUGGGGCUCGUGCUUGAUAGUGCAAAAUUAAUGACACAAUAAUCAAAGAACACAAAAAUUUUUAUAGGCAAAAGGAAUUGAAGAUGUAAACCCUAGAAUUCGUAAGUUUAUUUUCUCUAAAAUAAUAAUAAUAAAAAUAAUAAUAAAGUCUAUCUUUUUAGGAGGUUUACAAAGCCUUAAUUAAAUAGGUUAAGAACCUUACCCCAACUAGGAAGCAAAAAUAAAAAUCCAAAAUUAUAAAGGAAAGAAGCAUAAAAUCCGAAAUAAAUAAGAAAUCUAAAAAUAAUAAGGAAAAUCACAAAAAUUACCAAAACUAGAGGCCUCAAUGAGAUUUUUGAUAUCUAAAGAUCCGAUGGUCUGCAUAAAAAUUUGAGCACAAUCCAACAAUUAAAUAAAAAAUUAUGACUCUUUUGAGUUGUUAUUCUAGUCUAGCGUGACCAAACCUUCUCUUAGGCUUAAACAUGUUUCAUUGGUCCAUAAAUACAUUUGCUAGGCUAUCAACAUAAUUUAUCUAGGACAAAUCUUAAUCUAGUUAUGACAAACUCACACCUAACUGCUUAGAAUCACUAAUUAUUAUAGGAUUGACUACAUCAAAAUUGGUCGGUUUUUUUGUUUUCAAAGAGAUUUAAACUUGAUGUAGAUGAAAGUUAUAAACACAAUAAUCAAAGAACACCAAAAAAUGUAUGAGCGAAAGAGACUGUAGAUGUGAACCCUCAAAUUCCCAAGUUUAUUUUCUCUAAAAUAAUAAUAAUAAAGUUUGUCUUCUUAGGAGGUUUACAAAACCUUAAAUAUGUUAGGAACCUUACCUCAACUAGGAAACAAAAACAGAAACCCAAAAUUACAAAGGAAAGAAACAUAAAAUCAAAAACAAGCAAGAAAUUAAAAAAAUAACAAGGAAAAUCACAAAAACUACCAAAACUAGAGGCCUAAACAAGAUUUUUUAUAUCUAAAGAUUCGAUGGUUCACGUGAAAAUUUGAGCAUGAUCAAAUAAUCGGAUAAAAAAUUAUAAUUUUUUUAGCUUUUAUUCUAGUUUGACGCGACCAAACUUCUUCUUGAUCCUAAACUUGUUUCAUUGGUCCAUAAAUACAUCUCCAUGACUUUUUUUUUUUGUUUCACUAUAAAUGAAGUUUGACCAUCAUCAUAUAUGGUUUGACUUAGCCGUAUUGGUUUUCAAUUAUAUCAACUUUAUAUAUUAUGGGUUUACAUUUACUAUUUUUUUUAAAAUGCUCACAAGUCCAUUUUUCACACCUCAAACUCAUAACUGCAGCGAUUCGUAGGCAACGAAACUAAUUAGAGACUAGAGAGUAAACAUGCUACUAAAGUUUGCAGGUGAGGGUAUAGAUUAGAUUAUUUGUUGUGUUGUUUCAAAUAUUAGAGCAGUCUCAACUCAUUAAAUAAACAAGUGGUGCAUUGAUCCUUGGACUCAAAUCAUAUAUACACGGUGAGCUCAUUUGUGUUUUUAUUAUUUGUUCCUCCCUGUACUUGUAGCAGGAGAGAAGCUGCUCUCAACUUUGAAGGAAUGCAAACAAUUGUUAAUAUGAAACAUAUUAUGUACAAAUUAUAAUAUUUGUAAGAAGCCGUUUUGCUGCCCACCGGCGGCCAUCUGAUCAGAGAACAAUAUUAUAUUUUUUAAACCCCUUCACUCUCGUAAAAACAAUUUAUAUGAUUAUAAAUAGGAAAGCAUAGAAAAAAAUAGGAUUAAAUAUUUUUAGAGAUUACAUAUUAUUGUUUUAGUUUUUUUUCUUGAUUAGAGAUAAGUUGAAUAAAAGUAGUAAUAAUUUAUUUUUGUGAAAAAAGGUUACUACAACUCCUGAUAAUUAGUUUCAUGUAAAAAAUAAAAAUAAAAAUAGUAACUAAAAUUUAUUUUAGUUAUGUUAAUAAAAUUUUAAAGAUAUUUUAAUUGAAUUAAGUAUUCCAACACAAAAUUUAUGUUCUUAUACAGUUAUAUAUUAAUUCUAACAAAAAAUAUGGUUUCUAUGUUUAGAUUUUGGUAUUAAUAACGCAUACAACAAUGAGGCAGUUAAGUUUCUUCGAUAAAAUAAAAUCAUUUAAAAAAUAAAAAUAAGCUAGUAUGUUUGUUACAUAACAAAAAAAAAUGAUUUUUUCUAAAAAUGAUUUUUUAAAAAAUAAUUUUAAUAGACUGAUAUUAAAAAUAAAUUUUAAAAAAUAAAAAUAUAUAUUAUUUUGAUAUAUUUUCAAGAGAAAAAAAUUAUGAAAAGAAAUUGUUAAUAUUUGAUAUAUUUGAUUUAUGGAGCUAUGAUAAGGGAAUCGUGCUUGUAACACAUAUAACAAUAUUUACAUAGUAACAAGCAUUAUUAAAGAUGCUACACUAGUUGAUUUACAUAUAACAAUAUUUACAUAUAACAAUAUUUACAUAGUAACAAGCAUUAUGUUUCCAAGUGCUAUCAACAAAUAUUAUAACCUCUUAAUUUAUACAAGGAUUGAGCUAAAUUGAUUUAUCAAAUAUUUUAUGUUUUUUUUUUGAAAUAUUGUUAUAGACAUAGAAUCAACAAGUUUAUGUGACAUUCUAUAUUGAUUUUGUGAUAUUUUAAUCACUAAAAGUAUGGGUUUCAGAAAAAUAAAAACCAAACUAAAAAUUGAAAAAAUUAAAAAAUUUCAAACCAACCCAAUCCAAUUUUGUGUUUUUAAAAAUAUCGUAAUGAAAAACACAGCAUUCGAAAAAAAAUACAAUUAAAAAAAAAAUCGUUAGUUUAAGAAAACACCCCCUUCUUUGCAAUUAUUGUCAAUCCCCCACGUGGCUACCCAUAAUUGGACUGUCAAACUGGCAAGCUACAUCCCCAUCUCAAUCAUCACAGCUGUAUAAAUUUCUCGCUCAAGCCAAAAACAGAAACGCACAAAACCCCUCCCCCAACGGAGAAUCAAAUGAUAGCUAGAUGUCUGUGUAACCGACCAAUCGCGUUACCAAAGGAGCCUGCCUAGUACUGACGUGUCACUCUAACAUUUCCAUGACCAUAACAAUAAUAAUCAUAAUCCAACCAUGCCUUACUUUUUUAUUUUGUACCUUAAUAAUCUACAAUUACACUCUUGAAUUAUCCCUCAUUUUUUCAAUGGUAAAGAUAUCCUCGUGUCUGUCACCUUCUACAUUAAGUUUUAUAAAAUUCUUGAUUUUUUUUAAAUUAAUUUUUCAAGUUUUAAUUAUGAAUUGUUUAUGCAAAGAACCAAAAGAAAAAGAAAAAAUUUCUCAAUGUUUUCUGUUACUUGUUUAGCAGGAAAACAUGAAAAAUUAAAUAGAAACAGAACAUCAAAACGAUAGAGAAAACAUGCUGACGAGGAGCAUGAAACUCCACACAUUAAACUAUAAGCACCCACAUGAGUAACCAUUAUGCCCUUGUUUUUGAAGGUUCAGACACUUGAAAGAAACACAAAUGGGCAAACAAACACACGCCCUUAUUUUUCUGGUGCUUCACACAGCAAACACUUAGAUAGAUAAGUCGAUAUCUUCUUUUGGGGGUUCUAUGGUAAAUAAGACUGUUACAAUGUGAAGCCAAUGAAACAGUAGGAAUUACUUCCACCAAUCAAAUUCUUCUUCUUCUCCUCAUUCUUCCCAUCCAUCAUCUCUGGUCCACAUUAUGUAAGUGUUGGUUGGCACCGAGCAAUCAUCGCUUGAAUCCUCAGCUACUUGAGAUAUCUGUAAACCAAUUCAAGCAUGACGUACAUAUUUUAACUUGUAAAUCUUUUUUAUUGAGUGAAACUAGAAAGAAAUCAAAGUCAGAUCAGCAGCACCUUAUAUCGAGCACUCAUUGAACCAUUUGGUGUAGUGUCAAAAUUUGUAGUCAGCUUUGGGCAUUCAGACACCUUCAACUUCUUCAAACGAGGGAACAAGAAAUCAUAAUAUCCGAGAAUGAAGGAGAUAAUGCUUGGUAAUUGUUCUAGCGACAGCUCCCGCAGAUUAGGGAGCACCAUCUCCUCAACAUCGACAGGUAAAGCAUUAAUAUCAUCUUGCCCAAAGACUCCCAAUAAUCUAGAAGCUUUUGUUACUCUAAGUAUUUUGAGCUUCGGGAGACCUGAAGCCAUGGCUAUUGGGAAGAGAUUCUUCAACUUUCUGCAUUCUCUGACCUCAAUUUUACACAAACUAGGAAAGCAUAAAGAUUGAAGAUGACUUACUGACAAUAUCUGAUCCCUUUCAUCAUCAUCUUUAGCAAUGAUUUGCUCAAGUUUCUCGCAUAACCAUAUCUUUAGAACUUUUAGGUGAACUAGACCGGCAAUCAUGCUGUAAGUGAACACAUGUGUGAUUCUCUUACACUCAUUCACCUCUAAAGUAGUCAAAUUACUCAGCACGAGACUCUUCCAUGUACUGCUCAUGCUUGUGUCAGGCAGGGACUUCAAUUUUAAUGUUUCCAGACUUGUUAACCCCUGCAUCAAAAGAAAACAAGGGCACCAAUUUGUUAGAUAUAAUUCAAAGUAAUUUCUGUGCACAUUCAAACUAUAUUUAUCCCAAUACUUCAACCAAAUUCUUAUCACAGAAGGAUACAAACAGACAGGGCAAUAAGGCAUGGGACUGUGAAAUCAUAAGUCGCAGGAGUGAAACAAACAGCUCAUUAUUAACAGACGGAGCUUUAUCGUCCCGUCCACAUACUUUCAUUAUUUGGGGGAAGAACCUCAAUUUCACUGUGAUUGGGAAUGCAUAAAGAUUGAAAAUAUAGGACUCAUUUCAUUACAAUAAGUAAUUUCUAACUUCUUAAGCUCUGCAUCAAGAGACAGGGAAUGAGAUUGUUAGAAAUUUAUCUAAACUGAGUGGAUGGCUAAAGCAUUUAUCUUCACCUAUCAACUACUUCAGUUUUAGAAAUUUGGAGGAAGAAAGAAGAAAUUACCACAAUGUAUCGAAGUUGAGAAUUUAACUUGAAAAGGAAAAAACAUUAGCGGAGAAAUAUAAAGGACGUACUUGAAGCUGUGCCAACAAAUUACCCAAUUCUUCGUGGCCAAGGAUGCUUAGAUUUUGCAGAAAAGGUAAUUGGGCAGCACGAUUCUUUGGACCAAAAAAGCUGGAAUUUGAUUUAGACGAAAGAUCCAUUUCUCUUAGUCGAGGCAACUUGAAGAUGCCAUCUCUGGGGAGUGCAUCUUCUUCCUCGCUAUAAAAUAUUUGCUUUAAAUUGUCAGCAAAUAUAGUCAUCUGUUCCAGGUUCAGAAGACUUGGAGCCACGGAGACAGGGAAGACAUAUUCCAGUUUACCACAGUGUCUAAUUGUCAUCUGUUUCAGGUUCACAAGACUUGGAGACAGAGAGCUAGGGACGACAUAUUCCAGGUUAUCACAGUCAGAUAUAAGUAGAGUUUUUAAUUUUUGGAAGCUUAGAAACUCUGGAAUUAUUGCCCUUUCAUCAUCCUGUUUUCUGACAAUAUACUUCAAUUCAUCGCAACAGCUUACCUCAAGUGUUUCUAGCUGUAGUAGACUUUGAGCGAGGGACGGUGUGAAGAUAAAGGUCAGUUUUGCAAGAAGAAACAACUUCAGAUGAACAAGAUUUUGCGAAAAAGGUAAUGGGGCAGCAACAUUCUUUGGACCAAAAAAGCUGUAAUUUGAUUUAGACGAAAGAUCCAUUUCUCUUAGUUGAGGCAACUUGACAAUGCCAUCGCUGGGGAGUGCAUCUUCUUCCCCGCUAUAAAAUAUUUGCUGUAAAUUGUCAGCAAAUAUAGUCAUCUGUUCCAGGUUCAGAAGACUUGGAGCCACGGAGACAGGGAAGACAUAUUCCAGUUUACCACAGUAUCUAAUUGUCAUCUGUUUCAGGUUCACAAGACUUGGAGACAGAGAGCCAGGGAAGACAUAUUCCAGUUUAUCACAGUCAGAUAUAAAUAGGGUUUUUAAUUUUUGGAAGCUUAGAAACUCUGGAAUUAUUGCCCUUUCAUCAUCCUGUUCUGUGAUGAUAUACUUCAAUUCAGCGCAGCGGCUUACCUCAAGUGUUUCUAGCUGUGGUAGACUUUGAGCGAGGGACGGUGUGAAGAUAAAGGUCAGUUCUGCAAGAAGAAACAACUUCAGAUGAACAAGACUUUGGAGGCUGACAUGUCUGGUGGGCCCCUUCCAUAUACAUUUGAGCUGAAGUAAACGUGACAGCUUUAACGUUAUUAAAGAUGACAGCAGCGGCAGCUCCUUCUCCUCCUUGCUUCCUUCACCCAAUUCAAAUACCUCUUCCAAUGAUUCGCAGCUCUCAAUAUUCACACUCCUUAGAUUUUUCAAAGCUUGCAGCAAUUUUGCUGGAAACAGAGUGCAGAUAUCCUCACACCCAUCCACGUCUACAAAUUCUAAUCUUUGUAAGAAGCCCUUUCGCUGCCCAGAGAACUGAGACAAUGAAUUUAUUAUAUUUUCUAAACCCGCCACCCUUUUAAAAACAAUUUGAGACACAGUAGGAAACAACUGCUCAAAUGUCUUUGCAUUUAAGGAUGUGGCGCUUAUACCACCCAAAAAUAAUCUUGUCGAGGUUGGGUAUCCUACUGGAUCCCCUGUUGAUGAAUAAUAAUUCCCUAAUAUUAUAUCAUAUUUGUACAACCUGGGAAAAACAAAAUCGCUUGGCAUGGAUUUAACCUCCGGUAUCCUCAAUGAUAAUACAGCUAACUGAGACAAUGAAUUUACUUCUUUUAGGCUUGCAUUCAUUAUUCCAGUGCUUGUCCAAACAUCCCAUUCCUUAAAGCUGUCUUUCCCGAUCAGCAGUUCUUCUAAUUUCUUCAACCUUCCAAUCAAAUUCAUAGGAAUUUCUCUUAGACUCUUACAACCUGUCACAUCCAACAACCUUAACUCCUUGAGCUCUCCUACUCCUUCAGGUAAUGUUUCAAUGUAGUAGCACCUCAUAAAACAAAGAAUCCUAAGUCUUUGCAGCUUUCUCAACAAAUUUAGGCCAUUACAUUUACACUCGAUCAAAAGCAAAGAUAGAAGGUUAGAGAAAACUUCAAUUGCUGUCAUCUCUUUAAAAAAACUUCCUGGAACAUUCAAAUCAUCACCCAGUUCUAACAACAGAACUUUGAGCCGUGGACAUGCCAAUGCUUCAGGAAGUUUUGUUAGUUUAUUGCCCAAUAACGAAAUUGUUGUACAGCCUUCAACGCUUUCAAUACUCCUUGGCCACUUCUUCAAUACCAUGAAUCCAUAUUCUUCUGAUGAUGCUAUCUGAAUAGCAACAUCACGAACCAAGUCAUGCAUUUUCACAUGUUCUCCAGUUUCAGUGCCCAACAGCAUGCAAGAAUCUUUGAGGUCUUUGAUAGCUGCAUAAACUUGUUCCCUUGCAUCUUCAAUGGAUUUCACAUCUUGAUGUAACCCAUAGCCGACUGCAUAUCUCGUCAAGUCCUCAAUUGGAAUGUUGUAAUCUUCUGGAAAUAAACAGCAUAGCAAGAAACAUAACUUGGUUUCCUUGGGCUUCAAAUAAUCAUAGCUCAACUUAAGACAUGCAUAUGUUCGUCCAUCAAUUUCUCCCAGGUCUGGAAAUUGAGAGUUUUUGAGCAGUUUAGAUGCUGCUUCCCACUCAUAUGCAUCUUUACCUCUUAGAGCCCUUCCCACUGCUACAAGUGCUGUAGGCAAUCCUUGGCAUUGUCUCACAACCUGCUUUGCCACUAUGUUUAAGGUAGAUUCCCCAUCACUUAAACCUGCAAUGAUUUUGAAUAAAGCCCAUGCUUCAUUUUCAGACAAGAGACUUAAAAAAACUUUUUUCUGGCACCCCAUAUCAGAAGAUAUGUUUUCAAGACGUGUUGUUAAGAGAAUUUUACAACCCCUGUGAUCAUCACCAAAUGGGAUCCCUAUCUCUUUCAAGUUAUUAACUUUCCAAACAUCAUCCAGGAUUAUAAGCAUCUUCUUCUCUCUCAGCAGUCUCUUCCAUAAUCGUUCUGCUCUCCCUUCUUUACUCUUUUCAUCAAAAUGCCGAACUAAACUAUCUGCCAUUCUAUUCUGAAUGUCCAUGACAUCUGGAUUCUGCGACACCGUAACCAUCAAAACUUUAUCAAAAAGCUGCGACUCUGUGGCUAUCCUGCCUACUUCUUUCACCAGGGUGGUUUUACCCACCCCUUCCAUGCCGCACAGUCCGAUCACAUUGACAUUGUCAUCUUUGAGAGCUUUCAUAAUCUGUUUGAAAGCUUCUUUUGAUGAUUCUGCUAUGUUUGCUUUGUGGGACACUGUUUUAAACUUUUUGCUAUUGUCUUCAAGAUUUCUAAAAGUCUCCGUCUUCUUUGCCAAUUCCUUGCUUAACUUGAAUUGUCGUAUCCAAUUUGGACACCAAGUAAAGCAUUUGCCAUUUUUUCCUAUUUCAUUUUCCAAAGGAUUCACACCAUUAAUUUCGUUAUUAGCAUCUUCCAGCCAUUUGGUGACGUCUUUCUCAAUUUCUUCAGCAUUCCUUUCAGCAACGUCGACAGCAUUUUGCAGACGAUCUAGUGCUAAAGCAAGGUUCUGCUUUCGUUCAUUGAAUUCUUUAACACAAUUGUUGAAACCGAACAUGUAGCGGAACUGCCUUAUUGCUGGUUCCACCAAGAGUCCUGCUUUCUUAGAUAUAAUGGAUUCAUCAACACUUUCGAUAGCCAUUUUCCUCCCGUCUGAAUAUCAGAGAAAUAAGGAUGUCGACUGUGAGAGUGAGUAAUUACAAAUAAAACAGGCAUUGAGAGAAUGAGAAUAGGAAUUUUAUUACCUUAAUUUGUGAAAAUAUGUGCGAAAAUCACAGGUACUGUUUGCUCAAUAAAAUAUAGCGAGAAACAGAACAAGAAGGACUUCAGCUCUGUAUGGAAUCCAGCUUAAAAAACAAGUAGUCAAGGUAUAAGUAUACCAAUAAUCAAUUAAUCUCAUCGAUUUCCAUCUAUGUCAUGUAUAAAAGCCAUUUAUUGAUAGCAGUAGAUUUUUUCUUUCUUUCUAAUAUGCAAGUUUACGUUAAUAGGUAUAAUUUUCCGGAUUGAAAUUUGAUAAAAGAUUUCAUAAGCCUUGUUUUUUUUAUGGUGAAAAUGUUAAAUCCAUUGGAGUUUGAAAAAGCCUUCAAAUAAGGCCUAGAAGUAAGUAUUCGGGAUUUGUAACAUUUUUCUAGUAUGACACAUCAACUUCACUUGAUGCAACAAGUAGGACAGAGAAAUAUAAGACUUCAAGAGAAUUGUUUCACUAUAAAAUAGUUGAAAGUUCUUCUAUGAAUACUCAUGUUCUGAAGAUAAUCGGUAAUCGUUAUUUUAUAAAGUGUUGAUUUAGUAUUGUAAUCUUAUUUCAUAGGUAAGAAAUUGAGCCAAUUAACUUUGUCAUUUUAUAAAGGGUUGAUUUGGUAUUGUGAUCGUUAUUUCAAAGCUUUUCUUAGUCCAUUAUCAACUAUCACACUUGCAAACAUUUAUCAUGAAACAUAUAAUGUAUGCAAAAUAUAAAGACAACAACAAAUAACACAAAAACUAGUAGGAACACACUCACCUUAUAGUAGAGACAAACGAAUGAUUAUGAAUGGAAGGUUCACGAUCACUUGCACACUCACACACAUGAUAACUUCUAUCGAUCGAUUCCAACCACAAAUAUAAUUUAUCUAAGGAGUUAUGUAUGUGAUGUUACUAUAGUUAUGGUCUCUCAAGGCCUUUUUCAAAAAAGAAAAAGAAAAGGAUGAACAAGGGGACAUUAACGAAAAGAAUUGAAAAGGAGAAAAGAAUUAGUUGAAUGAAGGAAGCUCUCUGCCACUUCCCUAUAUCACACUCAAUGAACAUGAUUUACCCAUAAAGGAAAAAGAGACAUUCCUUACUUCAAAUUUGCUUUGCUUAUGAAGUAGGCUAAGGACAACAACAUCUGCAAGCUAAAGAGGGAUAAUCAUAAGAUUGUGGUUUGGGACAAAAGAAAGAAUUUUUCCAACAUCCGUCAUCAGUACCGGUGAAUAGGAUAGAAUGAAAGACUUCGGCCCCUUCUAUAUCAGUAUUUUUUAGAAGUUAUUUAAAUUAAAAAGCCAAAAAUAAAUGCAUCUACUGUUGCAGGAAUGGACUAAAAAGUCAGUUAAUCUGCAUAAUUAAAUACUGUUACUGUAAACUACUAGGAAAUUCAUGGGUAAAGCCACAAAAAAAAUGUAAAUUAUACAAGUUAACAAUAGCAUUGAGCAUUAAUUCGAUUAAGUUAAAGCCCUGGUGUGAAUAGAGAGGAUCUUGCCGUUUAAAAAAUAACCAUAGAAACUAUGGAACCCACUAUUUAUUAAUCCAUUUCUAUUUACUAUUUAUUUUUAUUUACUGUAUUUUUAUUUUGAUACCCAGUACCAAUAAAAUUUGAGAUUUCUUCAAUUUUUCAGGUGCAUGCACUAGUCUAAUGGCUUCAUGGUAUUUAUCCUUAACUAUCAGGCUAACCUUUACAGGCUUAGCUAGCAAUCAAUAAUUAAUAUUUUAAUGAAUUCAGUUUUUAUUUAAAAUAAGGAAAAGGACAUUGGUGAAUAAAUAGUUUCCUUAGAGGGCUAAUUUAGAAAAAGAUUUGGAUCACUAGAUCAACUUAUGGGAUACCUGGCCAAGGUCAACCUAUGAGUCAUAAAUCAAUCCAUAUCAAUUAUUUUUAUUAAAAUGAUAAUGUUUUGUUUUUUUUUCUUGAUAUUAAUUUGGCUAAUUUUGAUCAAAUCUUACCAAAUCAGCUGAAUCAGUAAGAACUUAACCAAGUCUGAUUUUAUAGAUCAAUAUUUUAUGUAGUUGAAUUAAAAAUUCAAUUCAAUUCUAGCUCCGAACCCUGAGUUUUGUUUGUUCAAUCUAGCAUACAGGUUUAACAAAUAUGCUUCUCACUUGCAGCUGUGGUUUGCUGCGGGCAUUUGGUAAUUGGGAGAGGCUUUAGUUUCGUACCUGUUGAUCGGGAUUCAUAUACACUUGGACCUCUUAUUUUAUUUUAUACUGGUUGGAUCCAAACUUAAUCCAAUACAAAAUUAACAUAUUUAUUAUUUAUUUAAGAUAAAUGAUAUCGCUUUAACAUAUUAGUGUACACUUAAUAUGAUUAAAUUUAAUUUAAUUAAUUAAAAUCUCACCGUAAAUUUUUUUACCAUUUGCAGCAAAAAAACAGUUGACACCUUAUUAAUAUAAUCAAUAUAGUACAAAAAUUAUAGUGAUUUAAAACAAUUCAUUAAAAUGUUCCUAAAUGUUUUUAUUUUGUGACAAGGGUUUUCGUGUUAUUUGUUAUGUAUUGUCACUGUCAUAAUCUAUUUCUAGAUUAUUUCUUAAAUUCCAUAAUUAGAUUUUUUAUAAGCCAAUUUGAUUUAAUCAUUGGUCAAAUUAAAUUUUAAUUAUGUUUAAAAAUUUAUUUGGAUCUAAUUGAAGGAUUUAAUUAGAUGCAAUGACUUAAUUUUACUUUAAAUAGAUCAAAUUAAUUUUAUUAGGUGGCUUAAUUGGUGAAAAAUUAAGUUUGGAAGCCCAAUUUGGGCUUAAUUGAGAAUAUUGGGAUUUUAGGAGACCAAAUUUAAUUUUUACCAAGUCAAUUGAUUCAAAUCAAGGGUAAAAUUGCAAGAAAAUCAAAGUUUUGGGGUCAAUUAAGGGCUAAAUUAAAGAAAUUCACAGCCAAGAACUAUUUUGCAAAAGACGUCAAACUAUAGGAACUCAAUUGAUUGAAAUCAACGGUGGAAUUGAAGAGAAUUGAAAGUUUAAGAAUCAAUUGAGGGUUAAAUUGAAUAAAUCCAAGACCAAUGACCAAAAUGAAAUAGGUGAUGAAAUUCGAGGCUGAUAUUGAAGUUCGGCAAGGGCAAAACUACUUAAAAUUAGAAGUUUAGGGUCAAUUAGGGGUGCAAUUCAAAGAAAUUAAAAGCUGGAGGACUAAACUGAACUUUGACCAAACCCCUAAAAUCAAACCUUAAGAGCCAAAACGAUGAUGUUUCAUUUAAAUGGAACAACACAAUUUGACCAAAACAACGCCAUUUUGACAAAACAGAAUCAAAACAAAAGGGGUAGACCAGAAGACGCAUUAUCUAGAUUGUUCAUCUUCUUCAUCAUUAGCCUCCCAGAAAGCUUCUCAAAUGGCUAAUUUCUCAAAGCAUUUAAUGUCUUGUCUCUCCACCAAAUUUGAAAACAUUUGCACGCAAUUAGUGGCCUAACGUCUGGUGUGGUCCUUUAUGGCCGAUUGAUGCCAUAGUGGUUGUGGCAUCGCCCUAAAGUGGCCAACCCGACCAGCCCUUCUGUAGUAACUUGUCAGGCCAUGAUUGCAACUUUAAAUCAAUUGUUGGGAUCCUACAAAGUUGAAUUAGAGGCCAAGAUUUGAAACCAUUAAAGACAAAAUGCCCCUCUUCCACACCCUAUAAAUAGAGGUGGAUUUCAUGACCUAAGGGAGGAAACAAUCGGGUCCAAAGUUGAUAAACAAUCAGCCUUCCCCCUAGUAUUUUAUAUGCCAUCAUAAUUUUUUUCUUCUUCUUCGCUGUCGUGAACUCGGCUUCUUUAGCCACCACAACCUCACCAACAACGUGACCUUUGGUGGCCCAGCACCCUUGCCACUCCAUCCCCUUGCCACUCCAUCACCUUGCCACUCCUCCCUUCUCCCUUAGACAAUAACCUCCGCAAGCUUCUUCUUUUUCAUCCCAAACCAAUAAUGACCCCUGCACCUUCAACCUCCACUCACUAGUAACAACACCAGCAACUCUAGCAAACCAAUAAUUGCCACCAUUUCAGUUUUGUUCUUCUCCAACACCGGCAGCAGUAGCAGCAGCAGCAGCUCCAACCACGCCAAUGUUUUCUCCUUUUUCUCUCUUCAACAGCCAACACCGCCCACCACCGUCUCCACCAACGGCUCCGACAGUAGUCGACAAAAAGACCAAUCAGCCACUCCUUCUGUAAUAUCCCAAUUUUGGAUUCUCCAAAAUUUUCUUGAAUGUUAUUUUUAUUUCUAUUUUCAUUCAUAAAAAUCCAAAAAAAGUUAAGAAAAAAAGUUUAAAAUUCAAAAAUAUAUUUUUCUCAGGUCAACCACCUUUUCCAUGAAAAUGAGCUUAUUGGGUUAAUACGAGUCAAGCCAUGUUGACCAAGGUAAAAAAUAAGUUUUAGGCCAUUUGGGGUCAAAACAAUCAUUUUCGGUCAAAACUGAGUCAAUCAGGUCAAUAUGAGUCAAACCAUGUCAACCAGGGUAAAAAAUGAGUUUCAGGCUGUUUUGGGUCAAAAGCCAUCAUUUUUGGUCAAAACCGAGUCCAUCAGGUCAAUAAGAGUCAAUCCAUGUCGGUCGAGGUAAAAAAAAGAGUUUCAGACCAUUACGGGUCAAAACCAAGUCCAUCGGGUCAAUACAGGUCAAACCAUGUUGACUGGGAUAAAAAUUGAGUUCCAAGCUAUUUUGGGUCAAAACUGUUAUUUUCGGUCAAAACCCGAUCAAUCGGGUUGAUCCUAGUUGAAAAAUAUUUUUUAAUGUUUGAAAUUAUUUUUCCAGUAAUCAAAAUUGAAUUUUAGCGGUGGAAACGAGUUUUUUCUAAUACUAAUUCGAGUUUUUAGUUUUAUCCAUUUAUAUAUAUAAAAUAAAACAAAUCAAUAAUGCAAAAGUUUUAUUAUAGUAGCUGGGACAGGUCAAAACAUUUCUUCAGGACAGCGCCGUGCCCUCUGGUUAUAAACAUUCGUGUCCCCUCAGCAUCAACAUUGGCUAUAAAAGGCAGUGAAAUUUUACUAAAAAAAGAGAAAAAAGGAGAAGAAAAAAAGAAGACGUGAAUCCGAAUGAUAAUACUAUUCAUGUUUUUUUAGUUUUUUCUUCACACGAGUAAGUUAUUGAUUUUUUUUAAAACAAUUCAAAAAAUACCAAAACUAUCAUGACCUUUAGAUCUAAUAAUAUCUUAUCUAAUACAUCUUAACACACUCGAUGAAAACCCAAAACCAUCUCAGCCCUUAACCAAAUCUGCCCUUGGAUCUAAUUUUUCCACGUCACUAGGUGUACCAACAAUCCUGUGCAGCUAUCACACCGAAGCCAAUAUCUGUCCAUCAGGACCGACUGAUCAAAUUUUGAUCGAGCCAACCAUAGCCGAAGGAUCAAUUUAGAAGUAAUCCAGCGGUCCAAAAGCUUUAGGUGCACCAGAUUACCACUCUCCCCUCUCGCCGACGAUUCUCUCUCUCUCAUCAGAUCUCCCAACUUCGGCCACAUAAAGACUCCGGACCACCACAAAAAGGUUCCUCACCUCUACGCAAGCAAACCCAUGCAUUUUGCAUCGCCUUCGACAUCACAUCUUGCCAGUAAAAGGCUGCGACGUCUUCGGCCACCCGAAGAUUCAAGCUGUCGAUUCUCUCUCAUCAACCAUCAACGGCCAACGAAAAAACCAUCAUCAUAAUCCUCUCUUCUAGAUAUACCAGAAGCUACCCUUUUUGGCUCAGAAUCCCGCCGAAGAAUUUCACUCCUCCAACAGUGGUCGCGCAUAAGCUACACGCGCCACCAGGGUUGUUUUCAUAAUUUCCUGAGAAUUUCAGGGAUAUUUCAGUCUUUUCCCCUACAGUGUAACUCAGGUAAUUUUGGGGUUCCUAGGGAUAUUUUAUUUGUUUUUCACAAGUAUUUAUAAACUUUUCUUUGUAUGUAAAAUACCCAAAAUAAAUAUAAAGAAGAAUGACAAGGCAGGUCCGAGACUUAUUUUAUCCCGUCAUCAUGCGCGGGUCCAAAGACUAAUUCUUAAAUAUGGGUUAUGCCAAUUUUUUUUAGCAAUUAUAACAUAAUCUUCUUUUUCAUGAAUGAAUGUUAUUCGUCAACAUGUCUCCUUUUACAAAUAAAUACCAAUGUUAAAAGUUUAAAAACAAAUAUGAAUUAUGUUCAUUAUGUUUUUUUACAACUUGAACGCAAUUCUUCUUUUUAGGAUUAAACGUCAACAUUUCAACAAGUCUCCUAAUUUUAGGGACUGAUGUCAACCCUCUAAAAAAAUAAAUUACAAAUAAGCUCAAAAGAUCAUAGCAUUUGAAUAAAAUAAAAAACACAAGUAAGGGUAACCUUUCUCUUGAAAAGAUGUUUUGAGGGUGGUGUUUAUCUUCCCUUAAUCAUAAGUAACUCAGUAUCUGAAUUUCUUGGACCAAUGUCUAAUUUGAAAUUUCUAGUUUCCCUCAAAUUAUUAGAAGGUGACUCCAAUAAAAUCUUCAUUUCCUCAAUUAAUCUUUUUAUUAAUAAAAAAAAUGGAGCCACUGUUUUCACGUCAUGUAUCGAUAGAAUACCCAUUGAUCUAUAUAAAACUAAAGAAAAACUUAUUCAAGAUCAUGUUAUAUUGACUAUGAAAAGUUGACAUGGGCCAAUUAUUAUGGGAUUGAGGGAGAAAUAAAUACUAAAUUCUGGGAAUUAGGGUGCUUAAGUAAAAAAAAAUGAGCAAAAACUUUCAUAGAUAGGUAAGAAUGAAAUUGCCUAACUUGUCCAAAACUAUUUAUGACAAGCUUGAAUACCAAGAUACUCUAAAGCAAUACAACAAAACCAUACACAUUUCUAUUUUCUUAAUUUGUAAUUUAGCAAUUAGUGGUAUCCUUGGCCAAGCUUGUGCAAAUCAAGACAACGUCCACCUCCCUAGUUUGGUCUAAAGCAUACAAUCUAUGCUAGGACUAGAGGUAUCAAGGGGAAAUAAAUCAUCAUAGCUACUAGUUUGGUCAAAAACAUACAAUCUAUGCUAGGACUAGAGUUAUUUGACUGCAAUUGGAACGCUGAUUAGUACUUAAAACUGUAUUUUUAUCAAGGUUUUAUAUCAUCUUUUUGCACUUGAAGUAUCAAUAACUCCUUAACUAAAGCAUGUUUUAUAAUAACAUAUCUAAUAAUAUAAGAUAGCUUUAAUUUAUGGUAAAUGUUCAUCCUAAAUUCAGGCCUAUCACAUAAAUAAAAGGAUUGAUUGAUGAGUUUAAGUAUUGAAAUUGAAAGGACAAAGAGAGGGUCAAACUUAGAAAAGAGAUGCUGGUGCAAUCCAAACUGGAACACUAUUUGGAAAUUAGGUCAUAUCUGGAGCUGUAGAUCUCGGAUUUAGGUCCACUUUAUAUGGAUGGAAAGGUAAGAAAUGGGCCUACAACUUUCAUGUGGAGCCCAAGAUUUAAAAAAGCCGUUUUCAAGUGCAAAUUAUAUCAACAACGAAGAAGUUUGAAUCUGUCUUGCAGCCUAAACACUGUUCAGUGUUCAGCCCAUAUCUUGAGUUCUAGAAGUCUACAUGACCUUAAUUUUUUUUCCUGGAAAGCUGAGACAAUUUCCUAGAACUUUCAUGAGUAAAGUUGGUUCAAAUUCUGACAUUAUCAAUGAUGUUCUAUUCAGACAAGAAGAUAAGGAUUGUCACCAAGUCAAGAUGUGGCCACCCACUCAUCAAUUAUUCAUCAAAUCAAUAGUUCCAAAUUUUGACCUAUAAAAGAAGGCAUUUACCAUGUAUUUAGGCAUCUUGGUUUUCAGAUCAAGAUCAUGCUCUUGCUUUCUCUCUUUGUAUUUUCGCAAUACUUAAGUUUUGCUUUCAUUAAUAUCUAGUUUAUGCUUUUCAUUUCCUUUCCUUUACUUAGUUAACUUUAUCUUGUUUAUGCUUUUAUCUUGUUCAUUUAUGUUUCUUUCUUUUAUUAUGUUUAGCUAAGUUUAUUAUGUCAAGGUUAAAAGGUUACACUAAUGGUGUAAGAAUAAGUAUAGUGUAAACUCAUCAUGGACUUUAAUGUUUGAUACUAACAUGUUUUAUAUUUGUUAUCUUGUUCACUUUUAAUACUUUGCUUGUUAAAUGGUCAAUCUAGAUUUAUGUUAUAUAACCCUUGGUACAACAAAUACUUGGCACUUUCAUUGCCCAAACCGUAUGGUAUAAUCAACACCUGAGCUAUGAAAGGAACUUGAUUUGUUGUUAACAUAAGUUAUAAUCAUGAAUGCCUAACAACAUUUACAAAUAUUAGCAUUAUUCAAAAAAGAUAACUAAUGUAAUCAUGUUAACAAUUUAUAAUCCGAUUGGAACCUCCUUUGUGUGUGGUUUCCAGUUGAAUAAUAAGAGUUUAUACUAUACUUGUUUGAAAUACCAUUAGUGGAUCCUCUAACCUUGACAAUUAUUUUUAUCAUUAUUUAGUCCUCACAUUAAUCUUACAUCUCAAAGUUCUCAUCAACUUCUUCUUAUUCUUCUUCUUUAUUAUUAGUAUUAUUAUUAUUAUUAUUAUUAUUAACAUUAAUAUUAGUAUUAUUGUUGUUGUUGUUGCUACUACUGUUGUUGUUGUCGUCGUCGUCUAUAAUUUAUACAAUUAACCUCCCUGUGGUUCGACCCCGGUCUUGCCGGAUUAUUUAUUACUUCGACACUCCUGCACUUGGGAGAAGAUAUCAAUCUUUUGAUCAUGUCAAAAGCUCAUAUUAAUUGAUUUAUGGUGCUAAGAUACAUAAAUUAUAGUCACUAUCACCAUCAUUAUUAUCAUCAAAUUUAUAAUUAAUUUCAUUUUUCAGUAAAAGAUAAUAUCAUCUGUAUCCAAUGAUUGCCAACUUCACCACAGAUUUAACAUUUCUAUAGUUAACAUUUCUUUUGCAUGUUAGGAUUUCAAUACUAAUGAGUGUAUUUUCUAAAGUUGAAAUAGUGCUACCCAAUCUAGGUUCAAGUGGGAUGAUGAAUUAAAGAGCAGUUGUUAUUUCAAUACUAAUGGCUCAUAUUUGAUUUAUGGAGCUAUGAUUAGGGAAUCGUGCUUGUAUCACAUAUAACAAUAUUUACAUAGCAACAAGCAUUAUUAAAGAUGAUACACUAGUAAGUUUCCAAAUGCUAUCAACAAAUAUUAUAACCUCUUAAUUUAUAUAAGGAUUGAGCUAAAUUGCUUUAUCAAAUAUUUUUUUUUUUUGAAAUAUUAUAUAGACAUAGAAUCAACAAGAUUAUGUGACAUUCUAUAUUGAUUUUGUGAUAUAACGCAUAUUACAGUGCACAUUGAUAGAGUGAGUCUGGGUGGACAAACUUUUGGUGGUACACGUGGUGCUUAAUGAUUUGACGGCUAUGGAGAGAAGUUACAUGAGGGAAAUAAGGUGGAAAAAGUGGCCUCUCUAGAUUUUGGAAAUGUUCUCCGAAGAAAGAAGGAAAAUAAUUUCAAAGGUGGAUAAAAAUGGGGUAAUAUCAGAUUUGGAACAUAAUCUUGGUUGGUGAAGAAUAACAUAAUCUAAGGAGAAAUCUAGGGCAAGUCUGGUGAGAUUUGAGCUUAGAUUUUGGACCAAUUUAUAGGUGGAUGAUACCAUCAUGGAUGAUGUCCAGCUGAUAAAUGUUUAGUUACUUGCAAUUCUAUCAUAAAGUUAUCAGAUUCUGUGUGUGUGAGGGUGCCAUAUGUUUCUUUCUUCUAUGAUGGAUAAAAAACGCUAAGCAAUGAACCAUUUUGUCCAUCUGAGUAAAAAAGGUAUUAUGGUUAUGAUGAGAACUCUACAGCUGUGAUUCUAUUUUUGAAGGUAAUAUUUAUUAUAUUUAUAAUUAUAAGAAUCUUUAAAAAAGACACGGGUAAAAUAUUAUUCUCACAUCACUCACUAUUCACUGGUGUUAUAGGCUUAAAUUGAUAGAUAAUUAAGUAAAUUUGUUGAGGAAAAGAAAAAUUUAAAUAUAGAUAACCAAAGUGAAAAAAAAAAGCAAAAAAAGAUGGUAGUUUCAAGAUCCAAAAAUUCACUUUGAUUCUCAUAAUUUUCAAAUAAUGACUUUUUGGUCCCUUAAGUUUUCCUACAUUUUAUUUUUUAUCCACAACUUCAUUUUUCUAUUUUCUCAUUCCCUAAUUUGAUAGAGGAGACAUAGUUUUGAAACCGGCCCGGCCUGGUGAGUCGACCCGGGAACCGGCUAACCCGGGGCUGGAACUGGGCCGGGUUGAAGAAAAAACGGGGGAAGAAAAAACCCGAUGUGACCCGGCAAGACCUAAUUGCAAACCCGUUGAUUUUUUUUUUUUGCUAAAACGAUAUCAUUUUGAUUUUUUUUUAAAAAAAUAAUUGACCCGGUCGACCCGGUAACCCGGUCAAAACUCGGAACUCGAGCCAUGGACCGGGCCGGGUCUUAAAACUAUGGAGGAGACAAAAAGUCAUUGGAUUACAAUGCUAGAGAGAGUCUCUAUAACAACCUUAACAUUUGUAUUCAAAACAAAAUGUAAGGACAUGAUGAUUCAAAUAAGAUUAGGGAUUUUUUUUAAUCAAUAAAAAAUUCGGCAGAGUUUCUUCUAUAUUUUUAGGUAUCAAGUUAUCAACUUUCAUCCACAAUCCCCAAUUAUCAAAUUUCUUAUCCUAUCAUCCAGGACUUCCUCCUCUUAUUAUAUCACAACUUCUCAAUAAUCAAAUUUACACAUGUCUAAACAAUUCAAUAUCAAACAUUAACAUGAAUGCAAUCCAAGGAAUUAUUCUACAAAUUAUAACUGAAGUACAUUACACAAUUCAAAGAUUUACAAAAAAAGACCAUUAACAAAAUUAUAAUCGAAAUAAGUACAUAAUUAAAGAAGAAAUUCAUAAUUAAUAUUAUACUACACAAAAGGGUUUUCGAUAAACUGUUGACGCAUUAUAUUACAUAACAAAAUGAUAAAUUCAUUCAUUACAAAAAAAUAUCAAACAAAAUAUAAGAAAACUAAUCUAUUGUUCAGUUCGAUAGGGAGAUGUACCUAAAAAUUGAUUUAAUACAAUAAUUCGAUUAGAUAGAUGAAGAAAAGAUAUCCAUAAAAUUCUUUCUACUUUCUUUUUUUCUUCCUUUUUUUUUUUUUGAAAAUUUAGUCAAAAGAUCAUUAAAUUAACUUGCACAUCUAGUAUUAUAUAUAUUAAUUAAAUUUAAGAAUAAUCUAUGAGUUUGUUUUCUUUUUCUUUUUCUUUUUUAACAUCAACCAAAAAUAUAAUUAUUCCUAUCGCCCAAUUAACCUAGCAUUACUUUCACUAAUAGAUGAUUAAUUUUCCACCAGUCCAUUCAACAAGCACUAUUGUCAUCAAUCCAAAAAUUAGUUUAACGUUUCUUCCAUUCAUCAGGGUAUAAAUCCCAUUAACCAGGGAAAUUAAUUCUUCAUCUCGCCCAUUUAUCAGGGCACUAAUUCUAUUAAAUCAGGAAUUAGUUCAACUAUUUACCCAUUCAAUAGGGUAUUAAUCCCAUUAACCAGGGACUUAAUUCCUCAUCACGCCCAUUCACCAGGAUAUUAAUCCCAUUAAUUCAGGAAUUAGAUCAACAAUUUGCCCAUUCAUCAGGGUUCUUGUAACAGUCCGCCUAUACGACUUGCUCAAUGUUAAAAGAUCCCAACAUAUCAUCUUUAUUUGAGAGUAAAUUAUAUAUAUAUAUAUAUAUAUAUAUAUAUAUAUAUAUAUAUAUAUCCUACGAGUAAGUUCAAUAUGAACAUAGUCUACAUAACAUAUCAUAAAAUUUUAAAGAAAAGGAAUACUAACAUGUAAAGAAAGCAUUUACAACAUAAUAAGUGUUCUUAAACAUUUCAAAAGGGUUAAUUACAAGAUAACUAAAAUACUACAUUCUAAGCUGAACUUUUAUAAAAAUACAUCAAGGUUUAUGCAAAAAUAUACUACAAAACCGCGUUAAUUCCCUUUAGUUUAAGUUAAAUAUUUACAUAAGCUUGACAAAGUAGAGUUUUAAACUAAUGAUCUCCCUGGAUAUUUGAUGGACCUGAUACAUAAAUGACAUACCAUUAUGUUGAUAAAGAAUAUAUAUAUGCUCAUGUAAUGUAUAUGAAUGAAGUAUUAAUUUUCUAUCGGGUCCAUAAGAAUUCUAAUAGAGAACUUAUAUAUAUUGCUUGUAAAUCUUUUAAACCUAAUUAACACUCAUUUGCAUACUCUUAAUUUGGAUACUCUUGUUUACUUGCGUGAACUGGGUGACCUUGCAAGUCUAAUCUUGAAAUUCAUUUCCCAGCAAUCCUAUCACGGAUGUCAUUAGCCGAAGCUAAUAUUGUAAAUCAUCUCCAGACAUUCCUAUCACGGAUGCCAUUAGCCGAAGCUAAUCUUGUAAUUCAACUCCCGGUAAUCCUAUCACGCAUGCCAUUAGCCGAAGCUAAUCUUGUAAAUCAUCUCCCAGCAUUCCUAUCACGGAUGCCAUUAGCCGAAGCUAAUCUUGUAAAUACACUAGGCUUUAUUUACAUUGAACACGAUAUUUAUUAUAAUUACAUUCACCAAAAGAAUUUUGAAUUGUAUAAGUGCAAAUAGGAGGGAAAGUCACGCACCUGCUUCGCCUGUCUUGCGACUUCCCCUAACAGGAGAUCCAAUCCUGGUUGCUCCCUUUGAAUCACAAGGAAGUUUUUGGUUAUGAUUCCUUCAAGCUGAUAUUAUAGAGAAUUCAUAUUCAUCCAUUACUCAUAUGUUACUUUCUAUGCAUGUUCAUUUCCUCAUAAUAACAUACAUACAUAUAUCAUGUAUAUUUUCAGAAUUAGUAUCUCAAUGUGCAAAUGUUCGUAUGACUCAAUUCUUUUAUAUUCUUAUAUAUGGUAUUCACAUGAAAGUCUAUUGUUACUGUCUAACUUUGAACUGUUACUGUUUAUACAUUUAAACUGUUACUGUCUAACUUUGAACUGUUACUGUUUAUACAUUUAAAUUGUUACUGUCUAACCGUUAUUGUUUAACUUUGAACUGUUACUGUCCAACCGUUACUGUCUAACUUUGAACUGUUACUGUCUAGACAUUUAAAGUGUUACUGUCUACACAUUGAACUGUAUUUGAAGUGUUACUGUCUACACAUUGAACUGUUACUGUCCAACCAUUAUUGUCUAAACAUUUGAACUGUUACUGUCUAAACACUUAUCAGAUUUUUAACUAUAUCUAAAGUUCUAAAACUCCAUUUUAAGUGAGAUUGAUCUCGUUAGAAAGCUAAGACACGAGGCUACCAGUUCUCUAAGGAAAGAGAACCCAGUUUUGCCUCUAAGAUAGUCAAAAUUGCUCAUCAACUAAUCAAUCCUACUGCCCUACAUAAUCAGUCACGACUCAGUCUCGAUUGGUAACCCAUAACUGGAGUUCUACAUCUCCAAAUUGAGUAAGACCAGUUUUCUUGGUUAGUUAACAUUCAAAUUUACAAUUUCUAUGAGGAAUCUGAUCCUAAUUUCCUCAUCCUCCUACCUAAAAUCUCACCGAAAUUCAGGAGACAAGCUGUCCAAAUUCGUCUCCCCCUCCCCUUCACACAAUACUUUCAUAAACUACAUACCACACACAUGAAUUAACUUAAUCUUAACAAUAAGUACUUUUUCCCCAAUUCAUGUUUAAGAACCCUAACAUAUGAUUCAAUAUCAAGGCAUCAAUUCAUUAUCGAAUUUAAAAUGAAUUUUUAAGAUCAUGUUUAGAACACCUUACCCCGUACGAAUUAAGAUUUUGAUCUUCAACCAGUUGAAGAUUUUUAACUCCCUCCUUUCUUUUCUUCUUGUUCAAUUUCUUGAUAAUCCUUUGCUCUCAAGUGUUUAUCCCAUCUAUAAACCCUUAAUCUUGGAUGGGUUCUUGAAAUUUUAGUGUUUCUCUCUUGAUUUCAUAAGAAUAGGUAUAAAACUCUCUAUUUUCUUUCCUUAUGGUUCCUGCAGAUUUUUGGUGAGGAGAGAGUACUUAUACUCUAUAUUUUCUCUUAUUUGCAUUUAGACCCCCUUUUCCUUUAAUUGUAUUAUUCUCUUCAAUUAAAUCUAACCCUCAAUAGUACCGGGUUUAUUAUAAUGUUCGAAUUAUUUCACCCGGAAAUUUAUAUUAAAAACUUUCUGAAUUCCUGUUUUUAUUUAACCAUAUGCAUGAAUUUCUUCACUUUUAUUUAUUUCUUUUUCCGGGGUUUACAGUUCUAAUCCUAUUAACUAGGGAAUUAAUUCCUUAUCACGACCAUUCACCAAGGCAUUAACCCCAUUAGUUCAAGAAUUAAUUCAUCACAUCGCAUUUCUUGUUUUCUAAAGUAAACAAUAUAAUAAUUACUAAUUUAUCAACCAUAAUUAAUCAGAUAAAAAUACAUAUUGACCAAUAAUAAAUUCGGGCAUCGUAUAAUUACCGGACGACUAAGCUCGAGCUGAAAUUCUCUACUGUGGUGUCGGCCUGACAACCUCUUUUGAAUUGACAAGUAUAUCACAUCAUUAUUCUACUUUUCAUAUUGACACACUCAAUAAAUAAAAUCAUUCCAAUUAUCCUUUUAUUUGCCAAAAUAAAAUCAUUUUGUAAAUUUCCUUCCAAUUUCCACAUUAUAACACAAUUCAUUUCAUCAUUCAAAGCAAUAUAUAUAUAUAUAUAUAGUCUUUAAAUUUAUUUAUUUAUUUUUUACCAUAAUUUAAAUCAAAGAAAAACAUAAAAAAAUUUCAUGAUCUAUUCACUCUUUAACAUUAAUAUCAUCUCUUUCUUACACAAUCUCAUCAUCUUAUUAAAAAUCUUAAAUUUUUAUUUUUCUUAUUAUUAUUUUUUCAAAAAUCCCUUCUUCAAGAACACCUAAAAUUUUGCUUUAAUUACCAUAAUUUCUUACUUUCUCUACUCACUUCAAUAAUCUUAACAUAAUUUCACAAACAAUUGUAAUUUUCCCUAAAAUUUAUCAUGAACCUUAAUUCCUCAUUUCACAAAGUUCAAUCAAGUUAAAGCAUAAAUUCUUUAAGAAUCUGAUUUAAAAGUUUGAGGGCUCAUUACCGAGUAAUAACCAAAGCCUUAACACUUUUAAAUUAAGAAAUUUUCCUUGCUUGAAUUUGUUUUUCCUCUCCUGACCGAAUGCUUCCUUCUCUUUGAAAAAGCAAGUUUGUUCUUUUUUAUUUGUUUCCUUACAGCACACACUCACUUGUCACUAUAUAUAUAUAUAUAUAUAUAUAUAUAUAUAUAUAUAUAUAUAUAUAUAUAUAAUAAACUUUUUUUAAAAUAUCUUCCAUGUCCCUCAAUUUUUUCUUCCGCCAUACACACUCACACUUACACACCUAUAAUUACUUAACUUUUUAAAAAUGCCUUCUAUAUCCCUCAAUAGUAAAUUUUAUAAUUUUUGAAUAACAUUUCAUGAAUCCUGACGCUUGUUUAUACCAAAUUUUACCCGGGUUAUUUGAAAUUUCACUCAGUUACUCGUUAGUACUUUCAGUUUCAUGAAAUUCACUUCCAUAAAAAUUUUAUGCACAUUUUUGUGUUUAUUUAUAUUUAUUUUUAAUAUAUAUUUUAACACCUGAAUAAAACAUUUCACUUCAGAUUCUCAAAUAUAUCAUCAUUCUUAUAAUUUAAUUUAUCACUUUCUCUCAUUUUUUGUAAUCUUGACUUUUAUUAAUAUCAAUAAUAUUACCUGGGGUUUUACAAUCUCAGUUGGCACUGUUUUUCACUAUAAAAAAUGGUCGAUUUUGUUUUAAUGAGUUUUAUUUGAUGAAAAGAGUUCCAUUAAAAUGUUUUUUGCCCUUGAAAUUGCCAAAAAGUUUAUGGUUUUUGGGCUUUUUUAUUGGUUUAUUACAUCAUAAAGACCUUUUUUAGGUUUUUUGGUGUGAACAUUGUUUAAAUUUGCAUUUUUGGGUCAAAAAACACCUGCUUAAUUUUCUAGUCACCUCUCCAAUGGUUAAAAAGGGGAAAGUCUCGGUAGGUGACAUGUCGCUUUUCUUUAUUUUUUUUUCUCAAAAACAUUUGGAGCAUUUUCAAAUAAAAAAAGCCCCAUACAUACCAACCUUUUUUAAAAUGGCCUUGAUGUGUAGGCCUGACUUACUAGGCCUAAAAGCACUUGAAAUAUUUCUAUUUUUUUUUCUAAUUUUGUUUUCUUAAUUGAUAUUUUUUAAUGUAUUUUUAAUAAAUUUUUGAAUUUAUAUUUAAAUUAAUACUUUUCUCUCUAAAUAUUUAGAUUGUUUAUUUAGUUUUUUUUAAAUAGUGGUUAUCUUUUACUUAUCUUUUAUGUAUUUAAUAUCUAGAAAACAUUAUUCCAAUUCAUUUAUAUGUUUUUUUUUAUUUUAUAUGAAUAAACUUUAUUUUCAUGACGUGUUUAUAAAAAUAAGAAUUAUUUGUUCUUGGUAAGAAAAAGUGAACUUUAAGAUAUAAAAAAGAAGAAGGAGAAAAGUGUGCAUGAAGAGGAAAGUUAAGGUUAAGUAUCAUAUUUAUGUAUUUUUUACUUUUAUGAAAAUGAUUAUCAUUUUAUUUUAUAAAAUGAUUGGCAUUAACAACUUUUUAUUAGUUUAUUAGUUCAUAUUUUUGUAAGAUUUGUUUUUUACAUUUCUUAAUUAAGAGAAUCGUAAUACAAUGAAAUACAUUUGAAAUAUUGUCCCAUUUUUCUACUACAUUAAAAAUUAACUUAAGAUCCUAUAUGUGGCAGAAUGUGUUAAAAAUUAUUUUUUGUAUUUAUGAACACUUAUGGUCCUUACUUUAUUUUUAUUAUAUGUAAACAUCAACUUUUUUAUUCACAAUUAUAAUUUUCUCUUGAUUUUUAAAAAUACGUUAACGACAUUUAUACAUUUUUUCUUUUGCGUUCAAAAAAUUAUCUAACUCGUAGCAAAGUGAAUUAAAUAAACGCGUCAACACUUUUUUUUUUUGUAUUUAUGAUUAGGAUUUGUUUUUGUUAAAAAUGCAAUUGAUAAGCAUACAAAUUUAUUUUUUUGCUAAAAACAAUUUUAUGAUCCAUAUCGAAGUGCGAGUUAAAUAACUAUUAAUAUGGCUAUAGUAAGUCUUUUAGUAUAUGUGGAUGUAGGAAGCAAUGUGUUAUAUUAUUAGUUAGAUAUAACUUACCUAUUCAUUAUUAAAAAAAACAUAAAAUAAAUUAAUUAAUUAAUAAAAACCUAAAAGAGAUCGACUGAAAUAUAAUAUUUUUGUCUUUUUUUUUUGUUUCACAUUUCUCAAUUAAGAGAAUCAUGAUACAAUAAAAUGCAUUUGAAACACCGUCCCAUUUUUCUACUACAUUAAAAAUUAACUUCCUACAUGUGGCGCGUUGCGUUAACAAUUGUUUUUGUAUUUAUUAACAUUGUUGUUACCCAUUUUUGGGUUCCCACAAAAAUAUAAGAAAAUACAAAAAACAAUAUAUCAAAAAAAUAUUCAGAAGAAAUCCAAAAAAAAUAAUAGGAGCGAGAAAAGAAUGCUGGAAUGUUGAAAAAAUACCAAAAUUGGUUGAGGAGAUUAAAAAAUACAAAAGGUUGAAAUUUAACAGUAUAUUUUUGACUGAUGAGAGCCUUGGGGAUAAGAAAAAUUCAAUUAGAGAAAGAAAAGUUCAAAAUCAGAUGUUUAUGGACUCAAUUAAAUUUUAUCCAAGGUUUAAUUGAAUUUAUGGAGGGUUUGAUUGCAAGAAAAUUUAUUUUUUAAGUCAAUUUAGGUUUUUAUUGGAAAAAAUUAAAGUUUUAGGGUCCAAUUAUAAUUUUAAAGAGUUGAUUUGGUCAAACUAGAGGCUUAAUUGCAUAAUUCUUGAAGUUUGAUGGUCAAUUAGGGACUUGAUUGAAAUAAUUCAAAACCAAGGACUAAACCGAAAACGGCGCUAAAAUCAAGGAAUCCAAUUACAAUUCAUCCGGGGGCUUGAUUACAAAAUUGUCAAAACAACCAGGGACCGAAUCGGAAAUAUUCAUUUGAAUUGUGAAACGGCGCCGUUUCCUUAGACACUAUUCAUCACCAUCUUCAAAGCAGCCGUUUCAGCAUACAGGAACCGUUUUCAGCAACAAAUGCCACAGAUUAUGGGAACGUUUCACAGCUACCAUUUCUCUACCGUUACCACUGCAAUAAUGGUUUUGAACGUUUUCAUUAUAAAAAACGCAUGCAGUUUUGGCUAUAAAAGAGGAGAAAAGAAGGACAAAAAAGGGAGGGGAAAAAAGACAGAGAGAGAGAGGAAUGUAAGGGGGGAAAACAGAGAUGACCUGAGGAGAACAGAAGAGAACUGAAAAAAAAAAAAAGAGGAAACGAGAGGGAAAACCAGAGGGGAACGACAGAGGAGAAAAAAAGGAGGGGAGAGAGCCGCACCAGCAUUGCCAACGCCAUCGUCAGCUCAUCAUCUUCUUCGUCCAGCAGCCACUGCCAUUCUCCAUCACAACCGCACCAGCACGGCACAACGGAAAGGAGGAGAGGAGAGAAAAAACGACAACGAGACAGUGAGGGGAGAGAGGACAGAGGAAAAAGAGAGAGAACAAAAGGAGGAAAAAGACGACACAGAGAGGGAAAGAAAAAAAGAACCGGGGGCAGAAACACAGAAAAAAAACGAGAUAAGGAGGAGAAACAGAAGCACGCAGAAGGCAGGAGGAAUACCACCACCCGUCUUCCUCUUCACAGCAACCAGCAGCACCGCUAGCACCAGCAGCAACUCCACAAAGCCACUGCAGAGAGGCAAGAACACUGUUGAUGGGAGAAACGAAAUACAGAGGAAACAAGCAGCACGGCGAAGCAGAGGUGAGAAGAAAGAGAAGCAACGUCUGCCACCACAGCCGGCUGCCGCGACAACAACGCCACCGUCAGCUUCUCACCAUCUUCCUCCCCCUGCUGCAACACCCGUGAAGAAGAAGAAGAAGCCCGCGCCUCUGCACAGACGGGAAGAACAGCAGCAAACACUGCCCGCCACCGCAGAGAAGAGCCAUCGUCUGCAGCCACCAGUGCCACCUUAAGCCACCAUCAACCACGACAUCUCCACCAUUAGAAGCAGAAGAAGAAAAGGAGAAACAGGAGACAGAAGCGGGGAGAAGAAGGAACACUGUCCUUCUGCACGAGUACCGACGGCAUUUCCGACGGAUUUGCCAACGGCUCGAAAAGUUUGGCGGGAUUUCCGGAUUUUUUUGGUGUGCAUUUCAAUUAAUUUCCGACGGAAUUACCGACGAAAUUUAAUUCCACCGAUAACAAUUAAUUUCCAUCGGUAAUUCCGUCGGAAAUAUUGCUUUAUAUAUCGCCAUCCCCCCCACUUUGUUCAUUUUCUCCUCUUCUCCCUUUCUCUUCUUCUCUUGUUUAUAUUUAGCUUUUAGAAGGAUUUUAUUGUUUUGGUGGUAGUUUUAAAAGGUAUGUAUUUUUUUUUCUUUAUCUUUGUAUUUUUUUUUAAUUAUGAUUAUUUUUUUUGGUGUUCUUUGUUUUGUAUAUUGUUUGUAGAUAAAAUCUUAAAUUCAACACAUUAUUAAGGUAAGCAUUUUUUAUUCCCAAAUUUAUUUUGAAUUGAUAUAAUGUUUUUUAGUUUUGUGUAUUGUUUGUUUUGUGUUUAUGUUGUGUGUUGUGUAGUGUUUUUUAGUUUUUUAAUUUUAUUUAUUAAUUUUAGUUUUUUAGUUUUGAUAUUAUUGUUUGUAUUGCUAUAAUUGUUAUUGUUGAAUUUAUGUUAAAAAUGUUAAUUUAUAUAUAUAAUUGUUAAUGUUGAUUUAUUUUAAAAAUGUUAAUUUAUAUAUAUAUAAUUGCAUUUAAUUAGUUUAUCUUAAUUUAGGAUAUUAUUGUUUGUAUUGCUAUAAUUGUUAUUGUUGAAUUUAUGUUAAAAAUGUUGAUUUAUAUAUAUAAUUGUUAUUGUUGAUUUAUUUUAAAAAUGUUAAUUUAUAUAUAUAGAAUUGCAUUUAAUUAGUUUAUCUUAAUUUAGGAUAUUAUUGUUUGUAUUGCUAUAAUUGUUAUUGUUGAAUUUAUGUUAAAAAUGUUAAUUUAUAUAUAUAAUUGUUAUUGUUGAUUUAUUUUAAAAAUGUUAAUUUAUAUAUAUAUAUAUAUAUAAUUGCAUUUAAUUAGUUUAUCUUAAUAAUAUUAAUCCGUAAAUUAAAAUGUAUGACUUUAAUCUAAUGUUUGUAACUCUAAGUACCAAUUUAACAAUGAAUGUUCAUAGUUGUAAUUCUAUAUGAUGUUAUUGAAUAAAAUGUUGUGUUGAUGAUGAUGAGUUGGGUUGAGAUCCAGGAUGAUUGGAUUGGGAUGUGAAAUAAAAUUGGAAGUGUAAUAUGAUUUUGUCGACAACUUGGGACCCCCCUAGUACAGGGGAGACUCUGUCGAAUUUUUUUUAAAAUAAUCGAAGUUAAUUAUGUAAUUAUUCGUAUACAUUUGUGUAGAUGCGUAGAAUGAAAUCUACAGCACGUCGUCAGAAGACGGUUGCAGCUAGUUCUUCUAGCAGCAAGGAGGACGUAUGCUUAGGUGAUGAUCACGGCAAGGAAUCUACGCCAACUUGUGAUGCUGCCUCUUCUAGCGCGGUUUCACAGCGCAGAAGCGGUGUGCCUUCCCAGCGGGGUCAAUUCACCCGCAAGUACCAGGCACAAUGGAAGGAGACCUCUCAAUGUAAGUUUGUUUAGGUUUUAGUUUUUUUAUAUAUAUACUUAUAAUAUAAUUUAUGAACAACUAAUUAAUAUUAAUUACUACUUUUAUUUAAUUUCAGGUUCACAAACAUUGAGGCUGCAAGGACUAUAACAUUGGCGUUUAAAUCGUCGAUGGAGAUUCCAUUGUUUCAAUGGAGCCAAGUUUCCAAACAUCCUGAGUGGAAACCUAAUAUCGAUGCAUGGUUUAAGCGAUUUCAGGUCGGUGUUAAUUUUUAAUUUCCAGCUUAUUUUUAAUAAAUGAUUUUUAUUAUUUUAUAUCUUGUACUAUUUUUAUUUUAUAUGCAUUAUUUAUAUACACAGAACAAAUUUGAGUGGGAUAGGGCGGACAACAAUGUUGUGAGGAGGGUAUGGGAGAAUCACGCGGCAACUAGGUAACAUCGAAAAUAAUAUUUAUUUUUGUUUUAUAAUUUUAUGUUUUAAAUUCUAAUUUGUUACUAUGGAAGUAGGUUGCGUGAUUUUUGGUAUGACACCCAAAAAAAAUCAAAAAGACAUGCGAGGGAUAACGGUCUUGAAGGAUGGAAUGAGGUGGCGGUUUGGCAGGAAUUCAAACCGCCAUUCAUCUCGGGGGAAAUAUGGACGGCAUAUAUUGAGCACGUGACCUCAGAGCGGUUCUCACGGCGCUCACAGUCCGGCGCCGACAACCGGAACCGGCAAAUUCAUGAUUCGGUGACCACGCACACUGGCGGAUCCGUCCCAUUCAGCACACAUGCAAAGCGGAUGGUAAGAUUAAUUUUAAUGAAAUAUAUCGUUAAUUAAUUUGUCGUUCCUUAUAAUAUAUUUAACUUUCAACCUAUUUUUUCCUUACAGGCUGCGUCUCUUGGAAGUGAACCGAGUCCAAUAGAGCUAUUUCUAGAGACGCAUGUGCGGAGUCAAGACCGCCAAAAAGGGAUGCAGCAGUUCGUGGACAACCGUGCUCAGCAGUUCGUGGUAUGAUUGUUCAUUCAUUUUAUUUUGUAAGUUAUUAUUUUCUUGAAUUGCAUCUUGAAUUGCAUUUGAUGAUUUUUUUACCGAUGGAAUUUUCAGGAGACCUAUAAUAGCCGGUUGAGGGAGAGAUAUGGGGACAAUCCGUCGACCCAUCCAGAUUUCGAUCCAGAUUUGUGGAUGGAGGCGGGAUCGUCUGGUGGACCCGAUAAAAAUAGGGUCUACGGGCUCUCCAACACUACAGCUGACAACUUGCGUUUGACUCGUAGUGUCUCAACUGUUGGAAGCUCUCCAUCAGUAUCGAACACCCAGUCUGAGGAGUUCAUUGCGUUGAAACAACAAUAUCAACAACUCUCGACGAAUUAUGAUGAGCUCCGUCAAAUAGUCAUGGAGAUGAGAUCAAAGAUGGAUGACGAUACUUGUGCAGCUUCUUUUUGGUCGUAUGGUCCCGGGAACAACCAGCCUCCUCCUCCUCCGCCUCCUCCUCCAGCUCCGCCGCUAUUCUAGUUUAAUUUUUUUUAAACACAUUAAAUUUGUAAUGAAUAUUAUUUAACAUUACUUUUUACAUUUUUAAUGUUUAAUGCAUUUUUAUUUGUUUAUUAAGGUUUUUUACAAUUAAUAAAUUAUUUUUUAUAUAUAUUUUAAAUACCAACCGACAGAAUUGCCGACGGAUAUUAUCUGUCGGCGACUAAAUACCGACGGCAUUACCGACGGAUAAUAUCCGUCGGUAUUACACAGAGAGUUGCAACAAAAUUACCAGCCAUGCCAUCAUUACCGACGGAUAAUAUCCGUCGGUAUUACACAGAGAGUUGCAACAAAAUUACCAGCCAUGCCAUAAUUACCGACGGAAUUUCCGUCGGUAAGGACGUCGGUAAUUACCCUUGAAAUUUCAGACGGAUUUAUUCCGUAGGUAAUGUUCCCGCGGGAAACUUUUUUUUGGCGCGCGCGUAUCCGUCUGUAAUACCGUCGAUGUGUCCGUCGGUGGGUGUUUUUUUUUGCGACAGAAUUAGCGACGGAAAUGGGAUUUACCGACGACUGUUAUACCGACGGACGUGUUCUAUCGGUGAGUCCGUCGGUAUGUUUUUCACCGACGGAUUUCAUCUCUGUCACCGACGGAAUGAGUCCGUCGGUAAAACUGGAUAAUGUUGUAGUGAUGCAACAGUUUCAAAUGAGGUAUUGGACCUGAAUAUUCUAUCAUUUGAUUUGAUCAAUCUCAAUUAAGAUUGAUCCAAAAAUUUUCAAUUUUAACUAUCAUAUUUUAUUUUCACAAUAAGAUUUAUCUCCUUGUUGUGAAAAUCUAAUAUGUUCAAAUCAAAUUUUAGUCGAAAAUAUAAAACCCUCUUAGUCAUAUUUUUCGAGACAUGCCCACUUGUUUCAAAAGUAAGUCAACUUGUCUUGAGGGGGCAUUUGUAGAAACACAAAUUUUCUAUCAAUCAAAUUUCACCAUGUGUUAUUUUAUUCUUUAAAAGAAGGGAUAAAUAAAAUUGAAAUAAAUGACAUGAAAAAUAAAUGAGCCUUCAUAUAUUUCUUGGCCAAUGAAAAGUUGACACUUGGGAUGAGAUAUUCAAGAUAUCUUGUCAUAAAUACAAGAUCCCAUCAGAUAUCUCUUCAUAAAUGUAAGAUCCCGUCAAUAAAUAUCAACCAAUAAAAUUAUGUCAUGUGGCAUUGGAAAAGAACCUGAGAGCCCCUACAGAUCUCUAUAAAUAGAGGGCCUCAACCUAAAGGAGGGGGAUCCCGGGAGAUACAAAUUUCCUUCAAGACAAGCUCUGCAAGCAAGGAAGCUCUCGCUCUCUCUCUCUUCAAGCAAGGAAGCUCUCUCAAAGAGUUCUCAAGCCUCCUUCAUCGACGCUUGAAGUCUACAAAGAAUGAAGCUCUGUUGGAUCAAGCCUAAACGCUCCAUUAGAGUUCUUCAACAACACUUUGAAGACAAAUCAAAGGUACUCUUCAAAGCAUCAAAUCACCAGAGGAUUCCGGGAGAUACAAAUUUCCUUCAAGACAAGCUCUGCAAGCAAGGAAGCUCUCGCUCUCUCUCUCUUCAAGCAAGGAAGCUCUCUCAAAGAGUUCUCAAGCCUCCUUCAUCGACGCUUGAAGUCUACAAAGAACGAAGCUUUGUUGGAUCAAGCCUAAACGCUCCAAUAGAGUUCUUCAACAACACUUUGAAGACAAAUCAAAGGUACUCUGCAAAGCAUCAAAUCACCAGAGGAUUCCGGGAGAUACAAAUUUCCUUCAAGACAAGCUCUGCAAGCAAGGAAGCUCUCGCUCUCUCUCUUCAAGCAAGGAAGCUCUCUCAAAGAGUUCUCAAGCCUCCUUCAUCUACGCUUGAAGUCUACAAAGAACGAAGCUCUGUUGGAUCAAGCCUAAACGCCCCAUAAGAGUUCUUCAACAACACUUUGAAGACACAUUAAAGGUACUCUUCAAAGCAUCAAAUCACCAAAUCUCGCUUCGCAAUAUACGCUCAAAUUCGUGUUCUUGCAAAGCACAAAUCUUGGCUUGAUUACUCAAAUAAAUCAAGUCGCCAUACAUCAAAUCCAAGGGAAGAAUCAGAGGAUUGUCAUAUUCUUUUGAAAGAAUAUAUUACAUAGAGAUUGUACCCAUUCAUAUAUUUAAUAAAAUCAUACAUUUGUACACGUGUGCUUGUUUAAUUUCAGGUGCUCAAAAUUGUGUCCACAGUCACUUAGCAAUGAUCUACUGCUUUACUGUCUAUCUGCUAAUGACAGCAGUAUGAGCAUUAUCUAGAUUAGGAUGUUUUUCAAUUUGUUUUAAGUUUAUCUAGGAUUAGACUAGCUUGUUAUAUAACUCCUUAGAUAAAAGAGAUGAUAGCUGGUAUGUCUCUUUAGUUUUUCACAAUUUUGCAAUGGUUGUUUCCUUCUAUAAAUAAACGACUAGGGAUAGCAGUAACCUAUCGAGACAAUUCUACUCUUUGUUCUCUCCACUGCAAAACUCUGUUCUUUGUUCUUUGCUCUUUUUCUUAGUUCAUUAACUAAAGUUUGUUCUUUAUAUCUUAGUUAUUACAACAAUUGGUAUCAGAGCUUCUUUAAUCUUUGAAGGGUUUAUGAGUGAAAACAUGAGAGAAUAGUAAGGUUAAAUCAAAGCUUUAUGCUUUGAAGGGUUUGUGAGUGAAACACGAGAGAUUAAGUGAGUUUUUUUUAAGCAAUGGAUUCUGCAAAUUUUCCAGCAAAAACACCAGUGUUCACAGGGCAGAAUUAUAGUGUGUGGGCUGUAAAAAUGGAAACGUAUCUCAAAGCUUUUGACUUGUGGAAGAUGGUGGAGAGUGAUAGGCAACCAACUCUACUAGGUAACAAUCCUACGAUUGCACAGAUGAAAUUUUUCAAUGAAGAAAAGGCAAAGCGAUUCAUAGCUUUUACCUGUCUUCAUGAUGCUGUGAGUGAAGAAAUCUUCACAAGGAUUAUGGCUUGUAAAUCUGUCAAAGAAACGUGGGAUAAAUUAAAAGCAGAAUUUCAUGGUGAUGAGAAGGCAAGGAAGAUGCAAGUUUUAAAUCUCAGAAGGCAAUUUGAAGGUCUGAAAUGAAAGAAACCGAUACCUUCAAAGACUUCUCUUCUCAAAUUUCAAAACUUGUGAAUCAAGUGAGACUUUUGGGGGAAGACUUUCCAAACUCAAGAGUAGUAGAGAAGGUUCUGGUAAGUCUACCAGAGAAAUUUAAACAUAAAAUUUGCUCUUUAGAAGAUUCUAAAGAUUUCUCAAAAAUGAGUCUGCAAGAACUAGUAAAUGCAUUGCAAGCUAUGGAGCAAAGACAAGCUUAUAGACAAGAAGGAACAAGUGAAGGAUCUCUUGUUGCAGUUUACAAGGAGAAGAGUCGGGCUAAGAAUUUUUACAGAAACAAUCAAGAAGGAAAAAAAAGAGAAAGGGAAAGGCUGGUAAUCCAAUAACUGGCAACAAAACAACAACAACACCAUCACUAGAGGAAAAGAGAAGAGAGAAGAUUUUCCUCCUUGCAAAUUCUGUCAGAAAACAAAUCAUCUUGAAGCCUGGUGUUGGCUCAAUAAUGCACAAUGCCGAAACUGCAAGCAAUUUGGUCAUAUCCAAAGAUUCUGCAAAAACGAAGCAAAAACUGUAAAACAAGCUCAAGUAGCUGAGGGUUCAAAAGUGGAGGAAAAUCUUUUAUUCAUGGCUACAAUACAGGAGAUGUGUAAUACAGCCAAGGCAAACGACUCAUCAUGGCUUAUUGAUAGUGGCUGCACUAAUCACAUGACUGUAGAUCUAGCUUAUUCAAAGAUUUGGAUAAAAACUAUCUAUCUAGAGUCAGAAUUGGGAAUGAAGACUAUGUGAAGGUCGAAGGAAAAGGCGCAAUUGAAGUGGAAACAAUGUUAGGUACAAAAACUCUAAAAAAUGUUCUUUGUGUACCUAAGAUCAAUCAGAAUCUAGUUAGUGUGGAACAAUUAAUUGUUUAAUGAUGGAGUGUGUGACAUUAAAGAUAAAAAGGGAAUGUUACUGCUCUCUGCUAAAAUUAUGAAUAGAAGUUUUAAUGUUGAUUGGAAAGAAGUAUGUUUGAGUGCCAACACUUGUGAAGACAAUAAGUCUAUUCUUUGGCACAAAUAUUUGGGGCACUUCAAUUAUUUAAAGAGAAUGGUUAACCUGCAAAUGAAUAUACAGGAACAAUAGAGUAUUUGUGAAGCCUGUCAGUUAGGAAAACAAACUACAGUUGUUUUUCCUAACAAUGCAUUCAGAGCACUGUCAAAACUCUAGUCGGUACACACAGAUGUGUGUAGGCCGAUGCAUAAUGAAUCAUUGAAUGGUUCAAAGUAUUUUCUUCUAUUUGUUGAUGAUUAUAGUAGGUUCUGCAGGGUUUACUUUCUGAAAUCAAAAUCUGAUGUGUUUGCUAAGUUUGUUAAAUUCAAAGCAACAGUUGAAUUAGAAAAAGGAAACAAGCUAAAGAUAAUGAGGUCUGACAAUGGAGGUGAGUAUACCUCUCGUCAAUUUGAGGCAUACCUGGCAAAAGAGGGGAUCAAACAUCAUCGGACUAUACCCUAUACACCACAGCAGAAUGGUGUCAGUGAGAUGAGAAACUGGACAUUGAUGGAAAUGGCAAGAUGUUUACUAUAUGAGAAGAAAGUGUCAUUGAAAUUCUGGGCAGAGGCAGUGAACACAACAUCAUAUCUUCUAAAUCGAAUGGCCUCAAUAGUUUUGGGAGACAAAACUCCUUGUGAAAUCUAGUAUGGCUUUAAACCCAACAUUGAUCAUUUAAAAGUGUUUGGCAGUCUUUGUUAUGUUAUGAAACCUGAAGUUAAAAGGAGAAAACUUGAUCAAAAGGCCGAUAUAGGAAUUCUUAUAGGCUAUAGCACAACAUCUAAGGCCUAUAAAAUCUAUGAUCUGAAUUUUAACAAAGUUGUGAUUGCUAGAUAUAUAAAAGUUGUAGAGAAUGCUACAUGAAAUUGGGAAAAUACAUCAAUUGAAGGGUCAAAACAGAUGCAACAAACUGAGUUGGAUGCUGCAAAAAAUGUUGAUGACCAACAAGCUAAGUUGGAUGUUGCAGAAAAUGUUGAUGAUCAACCAGUAAGGGGGACAAAGUUCUUAACUGACAUUUAUAGCAGGUGCAAUGUGGCUGAGGCAGAACCAAUAGGUUUUGAAGAGGUCAUGAAUUCUCAAGUUUGGAUAGUAGCAAUGAAGGAGGAGCUUGCGAUAAUAGGAAAAAAAUCAAACAUGGAUACUGGUUGACAGACCAGCUCAUAAGAAGGUAAUUGGAGUGAAAUGGAUUUUCAAAACCAAAUUGAAUGUAGAUGGUAAGAUCAAUAAGCACAAAGCAAGACUUGUAGUGAAAGGAUAUUCAUAAGAGGCAGGCAUCAAUUUCACAGAAACAUUUGCUCCAGUUUCCAGGCAUGAUACAAUGAAGCUCCUGCUUGCUCUAGCAGCACAAAAUGGUUGGUAUAUCUUUCAGUUGAAUGUUAAGUCUGCAUUUUUUAAUGGUGUUCUAAACGAGGAGAUUUAUGCUGAACAACCUGCUAGGUUUGAAAAACAAAAUUCAACAAACAAAGUGUAUUUAUUGAAGAAGGCAUUAUAUGGACUUAAACAGGCUCGUAGAGCCUGGUACACCAGAUUGGAUAAUCAUCUCUUAAGCUUAGGAUUUAAAAGGAGUAUGAAUGAGGUAACUUUUUAUGUAAAGCAUGUUGAUGGGCAUAAACUUAUCGUAUCAGUCUAUGUAGAUGAUUUGCUGAUUACAGGAGACAAGGAGCAGCUUGUAGAGGAGUUUAAAACCAACAUUAAAGAUAAGUUUGAGAUGAAUGAACUUGGUUUGUUGACAUAUUUUUUAGGAAUGGAAGUAACUCAGUCUGAUCAAGGUUACUUUCUCUAUAAAAAAUGUUUUUCCUUGAAAAUACUGAACAAUUUUGCAAUGGCUAAUUGCAAGCCAGUCAGUACACCUAUGAUACAGGGACAAAAGCUAAUAAAGGAGGAUAGAGCACCAAAAACUGAUGGGAAAGCUUACAGGAGUCUAGUUGGGAGUCUACUGUAUUUAACAGCCACACGUCCAGAUAUUCUGUUUGCUGUGAACUAUCUCUCAAGGUUCAUGCAAAAUCCAAGUCAAAUCCACUUUCUGGCAGCCAAGAGAGUUUUGAGAUAUCUGAAAGGGACUGUAGGAUUUGGCAUGCAUUUUGUGAAAUCUAGCUCUGUCAAUCUUGUUGGUUUUUCUGACAGUGACUGGGGUGGAAGUGAUGAAGGAAUGAUGAGCACCUCAGGUUAUUGUUUUGCUAUGGGAAAUAGUGUGUUCUGUUGGAAUUCAAAGAAGCAAUCAGUGGUGGCACACUUCACGGCAGAGGCUGAAAACAUAGCUGCAUAUGUGGCAGCAAAACAAUUGAUUUGGCUAAGAAAGAUGCUAAGUGAUCUAGACUGCAAUCACCAAAAUUCCACAGUACUGUUCUGUGACAAUACAUCAGCUAUAGCCAUCUCAAAAAAUUCUGUCUUUCAUGACAUGACCAAGCAUAUGAAGAUCAAAUUCCAUGCAAUCAGACAAUUUCAGCAAGAAGGAGAACUAGAGCUACGUUACUGCACCUCUGAAGAACAGCUAGCAGACUUGUUUACCAAGCCUUUAGCCAAAAAUAUAUUUGAAGAUCUAAGAGGAAGAAUUUGAAUGUGUAGCUUUGGAACCAAUUGGAAUGUGUAGCUUUGGGACUAAGAAGGAGUGUUGAAGUUAUGGUACCAAAGCUGGAAAAGGUCACUUAGCAAUGAUCUACUGCUUUACUGUCUAUCUGCUAAUGACAGCAGUAUGAGCAUUGUCUAGAUUAGGAUGUUUUUUAAUUUGUUUUACGUUUAUCUAGGAUUAGACUAGCUUGUUAUAUAACUCCUUAGAUAAAGGAGAUGAUAGCUGGUACGUCUCUUUAGUUUUUUACAAUUCUGCAAUGGUUGUUUCCUUUUAUAAAUAAAAGACUAGGGAUGACAGUAACCUAUCGAGACAAUUCUGCUCUUUGUUCUCUCCACUGCAAAACUUUGUUCUUUGUUCUUUGCUCUUUGUUUUUUUUCUUAGUUCAUUAACUAAAGUUUGUUCUUUAUAUCUUAGUUAUUACAACACAGCUACUGGUUCCACCAUGAGUUCUGCUAUCUUAGAUAUAAUGGAUCCACCCACACUUUCGAUAGCCAUUUUCCACCAGUCUGAAAAUCAGAGAAAUAAGGAUACAGAACGUGAGAGUGAGUCACUACAAGUAAAACAGGGGCAGAGAAAAUGUGAAAAAUAUGUGCGAAAAGCACUGGCAAUCAAUGAAAUAGCGGGAGGAAGAAAAGGAGAAGGCCUUUAGCUCUGUAUGGAAUCCAGCUUCAAAAGCAACAAGACAAGGUAGCAGUGAAGAAGGACCUGAAAUCAUGGCAGCAAAUAAGGAGAGAAAAUAAAGAGAAAAAAUAAUUUUAAUAAAGAAAAUUUUAAAUUUUAAAAAACACGGCUUGCACAAUAUUCCAAACGGUGUCAUCACGGCCAGUGUCACGGGGUUAAUUUUUCGCAACUAAACUUAACCCAAUGCGGCAGUCUAGCCCCAACUAGACUCAGCCUUGCCUCACCCUUUCACUCGUGUUUUCCUACGACUAUGUGUUUCGCUCACUCAAGGAGGUUCUCACACUCGCCUCGUCGUAGACAACAAAUAAACACAAGCAACACAAGCACACUAGAGUUUUACAAGAAUCCCUCUCAACCUUUAUUUAUCUCGUCAACAAAGGAAUACACAAAAAUGGUGUGUGCUAUGCACAAAUCGCAUGCUACACAGCAGAGGCUUGGCAGCCUAUUUAUAGCCAAAUGUGAGAUUCCAUCCUCACCUAUAAUCCCCUAAUUUCGGGGCAUAGUGGAGCAUUAUCUCCCCCAUGAUCACCCUUUACAUGGACUAGUGGAGCACUACCUUCCCCAUUAUCCUUAGUGGGUUGGUGAAGCACUUUGUCCUCCAUUAUCUGGCCCCUCCACCCAUGAUUCUGCCUGCCCUCAUGGCAGCCCCAAUUGUCUGCCUUGCUGUGUCAGCUGCUGACUUAGAAAGUCCAUUGCCUAAGCCCCACGUCCAUGCCAAGUCGCCAGCUCAAAGACUUGCACAGACCCUUGCACGCUGCCUGCCGAAUUCGUUUCUGCCGCAGUCCAUCGCUGCCGAAUUCUAGGCAAUGUGCCUUCGUUGGCGCGCCCCGCGCCUAGACCUCUAACAGCCAGUCUUUAGAAAGUUUGAAAAUUAGCAUGAAAAAGAGGAUAAUAGAGUAGUUAAAAUCAAAACACAUAUAAACAGAGGACAAAAACAGGCAGAGAUGCUGUUUGUUUUUUUAACUGUGUCUGUUUUUUUUAACUGUGUUUGAGUGGUUUAUAAAAUUAUAUUUAAUUUAAAAUUAUUAAAUUAAUAUAUUUUUAGUGUUUUUUUUAUUUUAAUAUAUAUAUAUAUAUAUAAUAUUUUAAUAUGUUUUUAAAUAACAUAAAUAUUUUUAAAAAACAUGUAUAUACUAAAAGAGAAAGGAGUUCUUCCAUUUAUUAUUGUUCACUUAAAUUUAUUUUACUUGUAUGACAAUAGUUUAACUUUUCAAUUUAAUACUUUAUUAUUAUUUAUUUAUUGUGUAUAAUUGUGCUUUUUUGAACUCAAAUUAGAGUUUAAUUACGUAUUUUUUAGGGGUGAGAGUUGAAUUAAAACAUAAAUAACUAAAGUGAAAUACUCGGGUAAAAUAGUUAAUAGCUCUGCAAUUUGGUUGCAAAGUUUGUUUUAAUUAAAAAUUAAAAAAUUAUGUAUCAAACAUUAUUAUAAUAAAUAUGAAAAAACCUAAGAACCAUAGAUUUGAGAAAACUAAAUAAAAACUUAACAAUAUAUAAAUUAAAAAAUAUUAGAUAUUUUAUCCUCAUUCAAUAUUAAUAAGCAAAUCAUUUUAGAAAAUUUAUCUAUUAUAAUAAUACAUAAUUAUUCAUAAAAUAAUUAAUAAUAUUACAAUAAAAAGCUUAAUUUUCUUGAAAACAAUAAAAUAAUUAAAUAAUUAUUUAAAUAUAUUUUUUUUAAUUUUAUCCUUCAAUUUAACCACUUGGGAAUGAGACCUCAGCUAUGACUUUAAAGGCUUUAAGUUUUUAUAAUUAACCUAAGCUAUGAUCGGUCAAUGUUUUUUUCAGUUUUCUUUUCUUUUCUUUUCAAAAAAAAAAAAAACAAAUCAUCAAGGGAAAAAAAUAAAAAGACUUGCAAAGGAGUACAAUUAUUGGAUUCGGAAUGAAUCAACGAAAGAUCAAACUCAACCGAUUAUCUAUGAUGAAUAUGGUGAAGUUUCUGUUGUUUCUGUUGGAGUUUUAUAGAGUUUCACAUAUUAUCUCACGAUUUCAUAUUUCAAUAGCUUUCCUAACAACAAGCGAUAGGAAGAGGGCAGCCUUUGUUCUGCUGUUCACACAGACUAAGAACUCCUACCAUUGGAAAAUCAUAUAAUUAAAACACAACAAUAUAUAAAAAUGUAAUAAGCAGCUGAUUAAUGCUGUUGUUCUUUCUUCUUGUUUUGCUAUUUUGAUUUUAUCAUAUUUUCUUAAGAAAUUAUGAUUGUGUUAUUUUUGAAUCGGACUCCCAUAUAUAAUGAAAGUAAGAACGUUCAUUCCUUUAUAAACAUUGACUUUGAUUUUUCCUUUAUAAAACCAUAAACCUGCAAAUCACGAAAAACUAGAUCAACAUGAAGACUUAUCAGAUCCUAAUGAAAAGCUGUCAAAAUCCUAUCAGAAAUUAAGGAAGAUGACGUUAACUUCAAAUCUGAGGAUUAAUUGUAGCAGAUCUUAUAGAGUUCAGCUGAUUGCUUUACUUGUUUAAAUAAUUCUCUUGUAAGCCUAAUGGUUCACGUCUUCCAUCAUUGCAAACUUUUUUUCUGUGAUUGAAAAAUCUAUAAUAGGAACCUGCACUGCAUCCCUUCUAUGCUGUUGUUCUUUCUUCUUGUUUUGCUAUUUUGAUUUUAUCAUAUUUUCUAUGAUGAAAGUUGAAGAAAUUCUACUUCGAAACUCAAGACAAAGUCUCUCGGACUGCAUAUUAGUGGGUUGCUCAUUGGGAUUUCUAUAAACAACUGAUUCUAAUAUUGCAAAGCAACAUUACGAAAAACUGAAUAUUUCACACAUAGUCUAAUAAAAGUAGAUUCCAUUGUCAAUUCCUUAACAUCUUCCAGACAAAUCCAUGCUCCUCUUGCCAUUCCCUAAUUGCGUUGAGCCAGUUAAUCUGGAUGAAAGAAAGGACUUCGACCUUGAAAUUAGCAUCAUAGUCAUGGAACCUUAAAGCAGACCCAACUUUGUAGCUCAUUACCAGUUACGUAAAAGUUAUCAAUAUCUGUGUAAAUCAUUGAAACUGCCACAAAAUUAAGCAACCCAAAUUAGUUUUGAAUUGGAUUUGAUAAAGGAUAGAGGGAAAGAGGGGAAAAGACAGAUGAAGAUCUGCGCAGGGCUACCUGUUUUGAGAAUUAUGGAUUUUUAUCUCUAACUCAGAGCGGCACCAAUUAUAAGUUCAAUAAAAAAAAUUUGUAACACAACAGAUGGAAAAACUCGAAACAACUCGGCUAGAAUUUAGGAAUGAAAUUCAGAAUGAGCCAAGAUUUUAAGUGAGAUGAAACUCUUUGAAAAAAAAAAUUAAUAUGAAAUAUACUUUUCAUUUUAGUGAAACUCGAGUUUAUUGUGUCAAAGAAAAUGUUCUAAAAAAAGGUUUUGAGCAUUAACAAAAUCUAGUUGUCUAGGCAAUCGACUAUUGUUGCUGUUACAGUUGGUGCAUACUCAAUGACACCAUGGAUUCACAUGGUGCAAUUUUAUUUUUAUUUUUAUAAAAUAUUUCACAAACUCUUAAAUAUACGAAAAACUCUACCUCAACUAAAAUAUAAAAAAAAUUGCAAAGGAAAGAUGCAUAACAUCCAAAAUAAGCAAGAAAUCUAAAAAUAAUAUGGAAGAUCACAAAAAACUACAAAAACUAGGGGUCUUAGCAUGAUUUUUUAUAUCUAAAGAUUCGACAGUCGGUGUGAGAAUUUGAACAUGAUCUAAGAAUUAGAUAAAACAUUAUAGUCCUUUUGAGUUAUUAUUUUGGUCUGACGCGAACAAACCUUUUCUAUUGAUCCAUAAAUUUAAUGCCCCUACAUAUAAAAAGAAAUAGAUAGCUGCUUAACUGAGUUAACACGUUUUGGUUCUUUUUUCAUGAUUCAAGUCGUAAAUUUAGUAUUUUUCCUAGGUUGAUUGUGUGUGAUCUUAUAUAUCAACAUCUUAAUAUUAAACAACAAAAAAUUUCAAGAUUGAUUUUUUUAGGCUGAUCUAUAUUUUACUAAUAGUCUGAGUUGUUUUUGGGUUUUUCAAAUAAAAAAGGAGUUAAACUUAAGAAAAACAACUUAAGAUUAACACUUAAAAUUUAAAAAUUUUAAAAAAAUCAUAAUAAUAAAAUUCUUAAUUUCUGACACCACAACAAGAUGCUUAGAAAGAAGCUAUCUAACAGGAGGGUGGGGCUACUCUUAGCCAAUGAAAACAGCUUCACAUGCAACACAACAACGUCAGCCUGUUUUCUCUUUAAUGAACACCCUCUUGGAUUCUCUAGCAUUAGCCAACAAGGUAUCUGCUUGGAAUUACUUCCACCAAUCUAAGACAUAUCCGCAGCUCCACAGCUCAAACAUGAAUCUCCGUGAAAUCACCUAAGGUCGAGUUGAUCAUGUAAUAGGUAACCAACCUUGCCUGAUGCAAACAUGAAGAACAAAGACCAUCCAUGCAUAUCGCAUACGUUGAUUUAAUUGAACCAUUAAAAGAAGAAGGAAAAGGAGAGCAGACAAAUAAUUGCAGCCAUGUCACCUGGUUUGGGCAAGAAAGAAUUAUUAGACUACCAAUAACCAUCAUCAUCAUCAUCAUCAUAUUACUUCAGCUGGUCCACUCUCUAUUAGUGCUUGAAUCUUCAGCUGGUUGAGAUACCUGUAAACCAAUUCAAGCACGGCAUAUACAUUCUAAAUUGUAAAUCUUAUUAUUGAGCGAAACAAGAAACAAACACACUAAAAGAGAGGCAAGAAAUGAAGUCAAAUCAGCAGCACCUCUGAUUGAGCACUCAUUGAACCACCAUUUGGUGUAAUAGCAAAUUUUAUGGUCAACUUUGAGCAUUCAUACACCUUCAACUUCUCCAAACGAGGGAAUAAGAAAUCACAGCAUCCGAAACUGAAGCAGACAAUACUUGAUAAUUGUUCUAGAGACAACUUUUUUAGAUUAGGAAGCACCAUCUCCUUCUCAACGUUGACAGGUGAAGCAUGAUCAUCCUGCCCAAAGACUCCCAAUAAUUGAGAGGCUUUUGUUACCCUCAGUAUUUGGAGAUUUGGGAGACCUGAAGCCAUGGCUAAUGGGAAGAGACUCUUCAACUUGUUGCAUUCUCUAAUCUCAAUUUCACACAAAUUGGGAAAGCAUAAAGAUUGGAGAUGAUCUCCUAACAAUAUCUGGUCGUUUUCAUCAUCAUCCUUAGCAAUGAUUUGCUCCAAUUCCUCACAGGACAAUAUCUUUAGAACUUUCAGUGGAACUAGACUGACAAUCAUACUGCGUGUGAAUACAUGCGUCAGUCUUUUACACUCAACCACAUUCAAAGUAGUCAAUUUGCUCAACACGAGACCCUUCCAUAGACACCUAAUAUCAGGCACCAGCAGGGAGCGCAAGCGUAAUGUUUCCAAAUUUGUCAACCCCUGCAUCGAAAGGAAACAAGGAUACCUAAUAAAUUUUGUGCACUUUGGAACUAUAUAAUUUUGGUAAAUAGAUGAACGAAUUGUCACCAAUACUUCAGCCAAAAACUUAUCAACAAAAGGAUAUAAGUAGACAUGGCAACAGGGCAUGGGAAUAUGAAAUCAUAAGCUGCAGGACUGAAACAAACAACUCAAUAUUAGCAGAAGGACGUUUAUCUUCCUCUUCAAAUACUUCCAUUAAUUGGGGGAAGAGCCUCAAUUUCACUCAAACUAGGAAAGCAUAAAGAUUGAAAAAUCUCGAUAUCAUUUCAUUACAAUAAUUAAUUUCUUACUUCUUAAGCCCUGCAUCAAGAGACAAGGAAUGAUACAGUUAGACAACUCCUUUUAAAUUUAGUGGAUGGCUAAAGGAUUUAUCUCCACUUAUCAAUUGCUUCAGUUUCAGAAAUUUAAAGGAAGAAAUCAAACAUGUAUUGAAGUUGACAAUUUAAAUUAAAAAGGAAAAAGAUUAUUAGAGAAAUAUAAAGGACGUACUUGGAGCUGUGCAAACAAAUUUCCCAAUUCUUUGUGGCCAUCAAUUUCUAGAAUUUGCAAGGAAGGCAAUUGGGCAGUAAAAUUCUUUGGACCAAAGAAGCUGCAAUUUGAAAGAUACAAUUCUCUUAGCUUAGGGAACUUGAUGAUGCCAUCUCUGGUGAGUGCAUCUCCUUCUCCACUGUAAAAUAUUUGCUUUAAAUUAUGAGCUUUAAAAAUCCGCAUCUCGUUCAGGUUCAGAAGGCUUGGAGACACAGAGACAGGGAGGACAUAUUCCAGUUUACCACAGUCAGAUAUGCUGAUAGUUUUUAAUUUUGGGAAGCCAGGAGACUCUGGAAUUAUUUCCCUUUCACCAUCCUCUUCUCUGAUAAUAUGCUUCAAUUCACCGCAAUCACUCAUGGAAAGUCUUUCUAGCUUUGGCAGACUCUGCGCGAGGGAUGAUGUGAAGAUAAAUGUCAGUUUGUUGAGACACCAAACAUUCAGAUGAACAAGACUUUGGAGGCUGACAUUUCUGGUGGGCCCCUUCCAUAUGCAUUUGAGCUCAGGUAACCUUUGCAGCUGUAACUCUGUUAAAGAUGACAGCAGCGGCAGCUCCUUCUCCUCACUGCUUCCUUCAUCAGCCUCACCUAAUUCAAAUACCUCUUCCAAUGAUUUGCAGCCGUAUAUGUUCACCAUCCUUAGAUUUUUCAAAGCUCGCAGCAAUUUUGCUGGAAACGGAGUGCGAACAUCCGCACAAUCGUCCACGUGUACAUAUUCUAAUCUUUGUAAGAAGCCGUUUUGCUGUCCGAGAACAUUUAUAUGAUUUAUAAAUAGGAGAAAAAAAUAGAAAAAACAUAUUAUUGUUAGAACAAAUUAGAGAUUACAUAUUAUUGUUUCAGUUGUUGUCUUAAUUAGAGAUAAGUUGAAUAAUAAUUAGAUUUUUGCGAAAAAAAGGUUAAUACAACUCGUAAUAAUUAAUUAGUUUCAUGUAAAAAAUAAAAAUAAAAAUAGAAACUAAUAUUUUUAUUUUAGUUAUAAAGUUAAUAAAUUUUUAAAGAUAUUUUAAUUGAAUUAAAUAUUUGAACACAAAAGUUAUGUUCUUAUAUAUUAAAUCUAACAGGCAAUAUGAUUUCUAUGAUUAAUUGUUGGUAUUAAUAACGCAAACAACAAUGAGGCAGUUUAGUUUCUUAUAUUUAUGUUUAGAUAAAAAAAAAAUAAGCAGUGACGAAGAAAGAAUAAAUCUAUGUUUGUUAUAUAAUUAAAAAAAAAAACUUGGAUUUCCUAGCAUUUAUCAAUUACUUUACUUUAAGAAAUUUGGAGGCAGAAAGAAUAAAUUAUCGCAAUUGACAAUUUAAAUUAGUGGAGAAAUAUAAAUUACGUACUUGUAGCUGUGCCAACCAAUUACCCACUUCUUCGUGGCCUUUAAUGGUUAAUUCUUGCAAAGGCAAUUGAGCAUCAAAAUUCCUUGGACCUAAAAAGCUGUAAUUUGAUCCGAGCUUAAGAGACAAUUCUCUUAGUUGAGGGAACUUGAUGAUGCCAUCUCUGUCAUGAGAUAAAGAGACUGGCAAGACAUAUUCCAGUUUAUCACAGAAAUAUAUGUUGAUAUUUUUUAAUUCUGGGAAGCAAGGAGACUCUGGAAUUAUUUCCCUUUCACCUUCCUCUUCUCUGAUAAUAUGCUUCAAUUCACCGCAAUUUCUUAUGUAAAGGCCUUCUAGCUUUGACAAACUUCGAGCGAGGGGCGGUGUGAAGAUAAAUGUCAGUUUGUGGAGAGAAAACAACUCCAGAUGAGCAAGAUUUUGGAGGCUGAUAUGUCCGGUGGGCCAUAUGCAUUUGAGCUCAGGUAACCAUCGCAGCUUUAACUCUGUUAAAGAUGACAGCAGCGGCAGCUCCUUCUCCUCACUGCUUCCUUCAUCAGCCUCACCCAAUUCAAACACCUCUUCCAAUGAUUUACAGCUGUCAACAAUCACCUCCUUCAGAUUUUUUAAACCUUGCCGCAAUCUUGCUGGAAACAGAGUGAAAACAUCCCCACAAUGCGUCACUUCUACAAAUUCUAAUUUAUGUAAAAACAAUUGCUCAAAUGUCUUCGCAUUUAAGGAUGUACCAGCCAAAAUUAAUCUUGUCGAGGUUGGGUAUCCAUAAUUGGCUGCCACAAACGGAUUCCCUAAUAUUAUAUCAUAUUUGCGCAAGCUAACUGGAAAAACAAAAUCUCUGGGAGUGCAUUCAACCUUCGGGAUCCUCAAUGAUAAUACGGCUAACUGAGACAACGAAUUUAGUUCUGUCAGGCUUGCAUUCAUUCCUCCGGUGCUGUCACAUCCAACAACAUCCCAUCCAUCAAAGCUGCGAUGCCCGAUCAACAGCUCUUCUAACUUCUUCAACCUUCCAAUCAAAUUCACAGGGAUCCUUCUUAGCCUUU